rnacentral:lncRNA from 1 species
AAGGGCCUCGGCAAGGGCGGCGCCAAGCGCCGCCGGAAGGUGCUCCGCGACAACAUCCAGGGCAUCACCAAGCCGGCCAUCUGUCGUCUGGCGCGCAGGGGCGGCGUGAAGCGCAUCUCGGGGCUCAUCUACGAGGAGACCCGCGACGUGCUCAAGAUCUUCCUGGAGAACGUCAUCCGCGAUGCCGUCACCUACACGGAGCACGCCCGCCGCAAGACCGUCACCGCCAUGGACGUCUCGUCUACGCGCUCAAGUGCCAGGGGCGAACCCUCUACGGAUUUGGCGGCUGAUCCUGCGGCCGCUGCUCCAAUCUUCAUUGUUUCGACUCUGCUAGCUGCUGUUCUGGUGCUAUGGUUUCGUUUCUGAGUCCGUGCGUUGUUGUUCCGUCGGUUUGUGUAGUUAGUGGAAGUUGCAGAAUACGCCGAACAUUAAUGACAAAGAAAGCAUCACGUAUGAGUAAUUCGAUUCUUCAACUUUUUGUCAGCAUAGUUGGACCCCUUGGUAUAAUAAUUCUCCGGGUUGCGCUUGAAGGGAUCCAAUGCAAGGAUCUUGCUACAUAUUUAUUUGUGAACAUGUCCCCACGCGCUAUAUACAACCCCUUUUGAAAGUUUUAAUACCCUCAACAAUACUCAGCCAAGUGAAGGAUAAUCCCUUCGUCGGGCCAGCUUCCGAAUUAUUUCCAUCGGGAGAGUAUUUAGCGCUACACACACAUGUGUGAUAGCAACAUUUUUGUGCUCAUUCCACCAGUGUUUAAACCAGAUAAUCCCAAAAUUAUCGAAAAAUCACUGCAAUAUUGCUAUUAAUGACUAAUGGGUGCAAGAAAUUGAGAAAAUCCGUUGUUUAACGUGUUUCCAUAGAAAAUGAGCUCAAACACGGAAUAAUAUCGUCACAUGGAACAAAAUAUGAAGUGUGGUGAACAAGGCAAGUCAUAUAAAACACUUAAAAACUGUCCUGGAACUGCCUGGGCCAAUACACGUAAACGAGCCCGAAGAUGCUUCCAAGGCCCAAAAGGACGUACUAGUUAGUACACACAGGUCCACCCCGAGUUCCUUCUAAAAAAAGCCCACCCCGAGUUGUUAACAAAAAGAAGAAAAACAAGUCACCCCGACCAUCCUGAGAAAGCACACCUCCUCCCGCGCACGUCCCCGCUCCCGCCAUGUCACCGAUCCGCGCCACCCCUCCUCCCCCACUCACAGCCAUCCAUCACCCAUCCGACGGUCCACACCACGCAUCACGCGGAUCGCGCCCUUCUCAUCGCCGGAAACCUCGCAUCUAUAAAUCCCCCACGCCCGAGCUCCAUCCGCCUCACCUCGCCACCACACCGCCGCAACAACCACCAGCAGCAACACACACACAGCAGCGAAGAUGUCCGGCCGCGGCAAGGGAGGGAAGGGGCUGGGCAAGGGCGGCGCCAAGCGCCACCGGAAGGUGCUCCGCGACAACAUCCAGGGCAUCACCAAGCCGGCCAUCCGGCGGCUGGCGCGACGGGGCGGCGUGAAGCGCAUCUCGGGGCUCAUCUACGAGGAGACCCGGGGCGUGCUCAAGAUCUUCCUGGAGAACGUCAUCCGCGACGCCGUCACCUACACCGAGCACGCCCGCCGCAAGACCGUCACCGCCAUGGACGUCGUCUACGCGCUCAAGCGCCAGGGCCGCACUCUCUACGGAUUCGGCGGCUGACCUGCGCCCUCUGCUCCAAUCUCCAUCGACUCUGACUCUGCUAGCUGCUGCUGCUGUUCUGGUGCUGUGGUUUCGUUUCUGAAUUCAGAGUGCGUGCGUUGUUGUUCCGUCGGUCUGUGUAGUUAGUGGAUGGCGAUGGAUCUGAAUGCAGUUAGUUCGUCAGAGUGCGUGUGUUGUCUGUGGAAGGAGAUAAAUAUGAAUGCAAUGGGAUUGUUGGUUUCUUCUAUUUGAAUCUGGUCACCACCAACUUGUUAUGCCACUAAAAAAUUUCUCAGCAGAGGAAGUUAGUUGCGGUAAUUUUCGUUUGGAUUUUCAUACCAUGCGCGCACAGAGAUCGAAAUAGGUAGGGGACUCUGUUUCUAUUUCGUUGUGCUGUCUGUUCCCAAACAUAGCUCCUCUGCAGCCGUAUGUCAACGAGGUGGAAGGGGAUGGCGGUCCAACUGACUCCAUCUGAAGAGGUGCUGCUGUUUAGAUCCUACUCCCUACAUGCCAGCUGGAGUAGCUGAAGUUUAUCUCUGAUGCAUCAUGAUCCUACUCCCUACUCUUGGCGUUGGAAUGCUGUACUUGGCGCCUGAUCAUGGAACCAGAUCCUCUAACAUUGCCAAGGAAAGUCAUCGUGCUACCGUGUUUGCCUAGUGUAAAAUAAAGAAAAAAAGUUAGGGACUGUUAUUAGGUAUAGUUAGUAGGUUGUUUACUCUUGGUAUUUACUGUAGAUAUAAAUAAUUUAAUUUUAAUUUUAUUUCACCAUCAAUUUGUUUGUACUCCCUCCAUUUCACAAUGUAGUGCUUCCUUUAUUCUUGUGCUUCAACUUUGACCGUAAAUUUAACUAACAAGACCGAUUGCGGCGGGAGCAAAAAUUAUAUCAGUGAAUUCGUAUUCGAAAGAAGUUUUCAAUUAUAUAAUUUUUUCUCCUGCCGUAGUUGGUUUCGUUGGUUAAAUUUAUGGUCAAAGUUAGAUCUCGGAAAGCGCGGGCGCACUAUAUUUUGGAAUGGAGGAAGUAUGUAAUUAAUAUAAAUGUACACAAUAGAUCAUCAAUUUGCAAAUUAAUUUAAAUCAUUUUAGCCAUAAUCAUAUGAAUAUAAAGAAGAAAAGUUAGCGCAUUGUACCUUCUCUAACUUUCCUUCUCAAUGUUAGAGGAUCCGGUUCCCCUGAUCAUGGGCUUCAUGAUGAAAAGGAAGCCGGAAGUGAUCUUUUCUGUAAUAAUAGUUGGUUACCCAGAAACGUUCUCUGAAUUUAUGUGUUAUUUUUGUAAUCAGAUACACUGUACUCCCUCCGUUCCUAAAUAAGUAGAUGAUGUUUGGUAGUUUAAUUUGAACUACCAAAACGUCAUGUAUUUAGGAGCGGACGAAGUAUGUUCUAAAAUUUGGUGAUGUCAAUUUUUUUAGUUCAGUUAAAUCAAAUGGUUAUAGAGUUGCACAUUGCUCAAUAUAAAAGCUCGCUAACUUGUAGUGACGUGAGAGAGAGAAAAAAAAAUCUUACAAUCAUCUUAUGCUACUACUUUGUCAGCUGCUAUUUUGCUUCCCCUAAAAAAAGUUGUUAUUUUGCUACAGGGACAUAAUUUUUAUCCUCUCUGAUGAUGUGUGCCCAAGGCCUCCAUGAGCUGGCUAACAUUUGAAUUUCAACCCUUUCAAAAGUUCUCUUAACAAAUGGACCUUUUCACUUCCUCACAAAAAAAAGACACAGAUUUUGAUCCAGUCAAGGAUAGGCCGAAUUAAAGUGAAACUAACAUUGUUUUCGAUAUGGUUCUACUACCUCUUAAGAAAUAAAGCAUCUCAAUUAUUCGUCUGAAAGACGGGGUGAAUUAUCACAUAGAGUUGGAACACGUCUCUUUACUGAUUGAUAGUAAGGUGUGGAAACCUUAAUGCUCGUCUAAUUAGGAUGGAAAUAUGAUAGUGCACAACAAGAUUGCUCAUACGAGGCAAAUUCUGGAAUUGUGUAUUGGAGUCAUUCAUUUCAAUUAUCCGCAGCUCAUAAUAAAGAUGACCUCUUUCUUACAAGCUGCGACAUUUGCUCGGGGCGAGCAAACCUUUUAUCUUGGGGGAGUUGAUUAGUCCAAUUUAUGUGAUAAUUUUGAUAGUUAUGUUGUGCCUACAUGUUAGGCUUUGAGGAGUUUUACCGCGUUCGUGCACUAAAUUUUCUCGGUAUUCCGCAGUGACGUCCUUUGGAGUAAAUAAAGUUUUAUGAAAGGAAUCCUAGAUAAUAGUGAACUGACCUGGACAAACAUAACCAAGGGGACAAGGGCUAGUUGCCAUGCAGCAAGAAGGUCAAGACAUAGCUGCAAAGCAAUAUGUUGCUUCAAUAAAUAUGUUGUAUAAUGAUAGAUUUACUAAGAAUUUGUUCAAUAAAUAUAUUGUUUUAACGAGUUGAAAGCUGUCGUUUUAGUAGUACUUGGAGCCCCCACCCGUAAUUAUCCCAUAAAACUCCAUCACUCAGAAAUAUGACGGGGAAAAGAAACUGAAAACAUUGAACAACAAAGAGGACAGUCGAUGCUAACCGACGUAAAACACAAUAGCUGCAGAGCAUAGGAUAAGAUGACCGACGGAGGAGAGGAGGUGGAGAAACAACAUCCGGACAUGAAGCCAGGACCGACACGAGGGGCGGCGCCGGGUGAAACAAGACAGACGGUGAUGGUGCGAGGGGGGAGGGGAGGAAGACGGAUCGGAGGAACAAAAGAAAAGAUACGUUAUAAAACCUGAAAUGUUUAAGGACUAAAGUGUAAAAGGAAAAAUAAUAAACAGAGAAAAUUUGGUUUAGGCAAAUAAAUAGAGAAAGUUUUUUUUGAGACAAAUAAACAGAGAAAGUGAAAACUUUUUUUUUGAAGCUAAGAAACUGAAAACUGGAAACAGGAAAACACGCGGCCGCUCUAUUUGGCUCUGUUCGGAAAAAAAAAGUGAAAGUGAAAAAUGCAAUUUCUAAUAUUUUAGGAAAAAAAAACAGAAAGCAAAGUCCAAGAAUAUUAGUAUAUGCUUGGCCCGCUUGUAUGCCGAGGCUUCAGCCCAGUCCAACCAACAGCGCCAACCCCCCACCACACCCGUUCCGCCGUCGCUCCGCCUCGUUUUCAAGCUGCCGCCGGAGAAGGACGCAUGCGAAGCACCGCCGCCGACCGCAUCGCCGUCGCCGUCGUCUCCAACGCACGCCUUCUCUACAAGGCAUGCUAGCUUUCCCCUUGUUUGUUUCUUGAUCCCCACUUGAUUUUUUUUCCAUUAGAAUUUGUUGCUUGCGUCAACGUUUCAUCGUCCUGAUCGAUUGAUACGCUGGCUGAACUUUGUUAUUAUUAGAGAUAGAGCCGCAGCUGUUCUCUACUUUGUAGUACAGUCCAUACGUCUUGCCACCAUUAAUUGCUGCGAGAAAGAGUUCCAGAUCGCGUUGCCACUUUGAUAGGGCCGGGCUAGAUUAGAUAUUUAGACUCCCACUUGAUUUAUUUUCUGUAUGUAAGAAAGAAUUUUGAACAUACUGCUAUGGGCCCUAGAUAUUGGAUCGAUGGUAAAUUGGGAAUCAUGGGAUCCAUUGAUCCUCUAUGACUAAGACUACCUCUAUCAGAUACAGAUAGAACUGUAUAGCUGUUCUCUUUGGUCUAUAUAUACAGAUGGAUGUGUUUUCCAUUGCCUUCAAGUAAUCAAUGGUAGCUUAGGGACAUGACAGACUGAGGCAAUGUUAUAAAUAUUUACCCCAUUUGAUUUUCGAUGUAAUUGUCAGCAGCAUAUUGUUUUUCAUGUCAGAGCGCAUAUAUGUUAUCGCUUCUCUACCUGUUGCCUUUUCAAAUGUUCACGUCAUUCUUCUAAUGUUUUUUCUUUUGAUUCAAAAUUUCUUUCAGAGAAGCUGCAGUCGCGGGUAACUCCAAGGUCUGCUGUGUUUGGGUCUGUCCCGUCUGAGGCUCUCAGCUAUGUCCACUCUUCAAGGUUGGCCAGACCUCCCGGAUGACCUGCUUCAUUCCAUUGUUCCUCGAUUGGGAUCCUUCCUUGACCUUCUUGCUUUUGCUGCCGCCUGCUCCUCUUGGCGUGCUGCCUUCUCCUCCUAUCCAUCCAAACACACACUCUUGCAAAUGUUGCCACCUCUCCUCCUCCAACCUGAUGUUCAUGAGUGCCCUCCUCGUCCUCGCCCAUUUAGCAACAGCCUCGUGCCUACACAUUCAUGCCAUGUCACUGAUUUAGCCAACCAAGGUACCUACAUGCGUUGUCAGAUUCCCCGGUUUUCUCCUUUUGGUGAGAGCAAAUCCCCACAAAGUCCUCUAGAUAGUUCUUAUUUUGGGGGUGUUUCCUAUGGUCAUCUCAUCUUGUUUAACCAAAAUCAAUCAUGUCUUGUUAUUGAUGUCUUUACUGGUGUUAGUUUCUCAACUCCGAAACUACCGGUCGAUGAAAACACUUUCCUGGACCAUGCUUCCCUCACGGCUCCUCUGACGUCACCCAACUCAUAUCUCAUGGUCACCAAAGGACGCCACUAUUUCUUUUGGCGUGUUGGUAGUAAAUCUUGGUUGAGACGUUCUCUUCACAAUGGAACGAUCGAGAAGGUCAUGGUUUUCAAAGGACAAAUAUUUGGCAUGGAUAAUGACUGCAGGCUCAUUAUCAUGAACUUGGUACCACGGAUCCGAAUACAGAAAAUAACAGUUGAUCCUGGUGAAAGCAUGCACAACAAAUGGCAUCUUCCCCACCCAUGGCUUGUUGCGUGCGGCGAUAUGCUUCUCCUGGUUGGUUGUCAUCGAUCUUUUCCAUCAACAGGGGAUACGUUUGAAGCUUUCCGCCUCGACCUAACGAGUGAACCUGCAAAGUGGAUGAAGGUGGAAAAGCUAGAAAAUUGGGCAAUCUUCAUCAGCACAGACGACAGAAGCCAGCCAUUGUGUUGCAUGAACCCAGAGAGAUGGGGAGGGAGGAGCAAUUCUAUAUACUUCUAUUUCCAUGAUUCUAAUAAUUGGAUCAAUUUUGAGCUGGACAAGCCACUGCAGGGAAAUGCCUCUACUCCAACAAUCUUUAUCUGCAGAGGCCGUGCCAGUAUGAUGCAACCUACAUGGGUUGUGCCUAGUAUGUUCUAUUCGUGACCUGCUUGAUGCAUGGUCUAUUCAUGACCUGCUUGAUGCAUGGUUAUUACUGCUCGCCGUGGUAGCUUCCCCUAUAAGAUGCCUUGACUUUUAUAUAGGUCUAGCCCAAAGAAAUUUUGAACCUUUGAUAUAGUUGUAGUAUAACCAUGUCAGAUGUAAUUGGAAUAUGGAGUUGUCGGAGCCAAUUUUUAGCCUCUUAGCUCAGCAUGCAUGAAAAUGUUGUUUCAAUUUAUUUUAAGCAAGCUCUCAGCUUGUUCCGAAAAUUUGCUCUUCGAGUAGAGAACAGAACAGUGGCUCAUUUGCAGUUAUGUAGGAGAUGGUCACGGUAGCCGGAGCACUGAGGAUUUUGCAGUUAGUUCAUCCUUGAGGGCUUACUCAAGCUUAUGCGCAUAUAAGACAUGUGUUUAGACCUUAUAAAAGAUGUGUUUAUGCUAGCAUAAGGGCUUAGGGGAUUUCUAACCGAUCCUCAAUAACCAGUUAGAGGAGUAAAAACCCGGUUUUACUUCUCUAACCGGCACCUAGCCGAUCCCCAAUCAACGCUAGUGGAGGAUAAAUUAUCCUCAGCCGCGCCACGCCUCCCUAUAUUUACUCCAUUAUACGGUGGUCGAGUAAAAAAAAUCUCACUUCGUCUCCUCUUCCUCUCCGCUUCCUCCGCUUCUUCUUCUCCCUAUAUUUACUCCAUCAUACGGUGGUCAAGUAAAAAAUGUCCUUACUCAAGCUUAUGCGCUUUCUCACCUCUCAGUUAGCCUUGCUGUUCACUACUCUAUUUUUUUUGCGGGUGCACUACUCAUUCUUUUGCUGUAACGGGCAGGUUUGAACUGCAGUUUUGAGGCAUGUUGGGAGUGGGGCUUUGUGAAUUUUGUGCGCGAGCAAGGGGUUCUUCUUCAGGUGCAUGGUUUCGUUUCAGGUUCGCGUGUCAAACUGAUGACGGAACCAUGCAUAUCGUGUUUUAUGCAAUAUAUAAACUUGAAUAAUAUCAUGCGAAAAGUCUGCCCCAGCAGUCGAUGGUUGUGUUUCCUCGGUUUUGCCACGGAAGCUGGAAUGGGUAGUGUAAUUUUUGAAACUGACGCCGCCGAUCUGAAAGAAGCGGUAAUGACCAUGAUCUUUCAGCGAAGAGGCACUAAUUUCGCCUGCAAAGUUGUAUAUGUGUUCUAAGUGACUAGAGCAUCUCUAGCAGAUCUUGUAAAUCGGGUCAUUUGAAAUAAUAACAACCAAUAUAGCGGACGAGUGCGUUUUUUUUGCCUAAAACAUAUCCAGCAAAAUCAUCCGUCCCCUAUUUUUUUUUGGAAUCCCGCAUAGUUUGGGCCAUUUCCUCUAUAUAUGCGGAAAUCAGACCUGUUUUUGUGGAUUCCUGUAUCGCACAGAAGCAGUUGGCGGGAGUGAAACUUCCGCCCUAGCUUGGCCGGCUGCGUCCACUGCAGGAGCCCGUCCUGGCCGUUGCGUCCCCGUGCUCAAGGUCCGCUGUGCCCCGAGCUCUGUCGUAGGAGCCCGUCCUGGCCGCCACGCUCCUGAGCUCCACCGCACCAACCCGUCCCAGACGCCGCGUCCCCGUGCUCGAGGUCCACCGCGCAAGCCCAUUCCGGCCUCCACGUCCCCGAGCUUCGCCGCAGGAGCCCGUCCGGGCCGCCGCGCCCCCAAGCUCCGCUGUAGGACCCCCUCCCGGCCGCCGCGCCCCCGAGCUCCCCUGCGGGAGCCCGUCCUGGCCGCCGCGUCCCAGUGCUCGAGGUCUGCCACGCCCUUGAGCUCUGCCACGUCCCCGUGCUCGAGGUCCACCACGCCCUUGAGCUCCGCCGCGUCCCUGAUCAGCGUGCUUGCAUCGAAUGGCUUGCUCACAGUGAUAAAAACACCUAUUUUCUCCAUCCAAGGGCGAGCCAGCGCUGCAGGAAAAAUCAAAUUAAGUUUCUCCAAAGACCGGAUGUCAGUGUAACUGAGGACAACACGGAGAUGGAAGAGAUGGUCACGAUUUUUUACUGCACACUCUACACCUCUGGAGGUGUGACUGAUAUUGAUCAAGUUCUAAAUACAGUUCCAGGGAAGGUUACUCCGGCGAUGAAUGAUAUUCUUAAUGCAAAGUACACUCAGGAGGAGAUUAAGGUAGCCAUGUUCCAGAUGUUCCCAACAGAAGCACCAGGUCCAGAUAGGUUCUCAGCCACUUCUUUCAGCGUCACUGGGAUGUUUGUGGGACUGUUGUCAGAACAGUGAUACUUCGAAUUAUUAAUGGAACUGAGCUAGUGAAGAGCAUUAAUGAGACUAUUUUAGUGCUAAUACCAAAGGUAAAGAACCCCACAUUAUUGUCUCAGAUCAGGCCAAUUUCUCUAUGUAAUGUUUUAUGCAAGAUUGUUUCCAAAGUCAUAUCAAACAGAUUGAAGCAAGUUCUACUUGACAUCAUGCAUGUCUGAUGAGCAGCCAACUUUUGUUCCAGGUAGACUUAUCAUGGAUAACAUAAUCAUUGCUUAUGAAUGUCUUCAUUUUAUGAAAAGAAAUAGGGCCAAGAGAAAUAGGUUUUGUGAACUCAAGUUGGAUAUGAUGAAAGCCUAUGAUAGAGUGGAGUGGGACUAUUUACAUGCAAUAAUGAUAAAGCUCGGCUUCACAAUGAGGUGGGUUAAUAUAGUCUUGAGUCUGGCGAUAUCAGUUAAGCUCUCAGUUUUAUUCAAUGGGAAGAAGCUACAAUAGUUUACACCAUCACAUGGUAUUCGACAGGGAACCCAAUUUUUCCAUAUCUAUUCUUGAUUGUAGCAGAGGGCCCUUCGUGCCUCUUAAAAUUUAUCGAUGAGUCAUCCAACCUUACUGGCAUUCGGAUGGCCCCAUUGACGCCACCGGCUAACCAUUUAUUAUAUUCACUGAUGAUAGCCUCGUGUUUUUAAAGCUAGUCUAACUGGGGCUAAUGAGGUAAACUUGUUGAAUAGGUAUUGUCGGGCUUCUGGAGAACACAUAAACAAUGAGAAAUCUUUGAUCUAUUUCAGUUUGGGCUGUCCGAAAAAGUGUGAGGUUGGAAGUUAAGAACGUACUACAAGUUCCAAAUGAGUCACUGAGUGCAAAAUAUAUAAGCCUUCUUGUUGGGAAACGUUGCAUGGAAAACAUAAAAAUUCUACGCACACACAAGAUCUAUCUAUGGAGAUGCAUAGUAACUAGAGGGAAGAGUUUUUUUACGUACCCCCGUAGACCGUAAGUGGAAGCUUUUAGUAAUGCGGUUGAUGUAGUUGAACUUGUUCGUGAUCCAACCGAUCGAGUACCGAACGUACGACACCUCCGCGUUCAGCAUACGUUCAGCUCGGUGACGUCCUCGCCUUCUUGAUCCAACAAGACGACGAAGUAGUGGAUGAGUUCCGGUAGCACGCCAGCGUGGUGAUAGAGGUGGUGAUGCUAUCUCCGCAGGGUUCGCCUAAGCAUUACGAAAAUAUGACCGAGGGACAAAACUAUGAAGAGGGACACCUCACAUAGCUAAGAGAUUGUCGUGGUUAUGUGUGGCGCCCCCUCCCACAUAUAUAUAGGUGGGGGGAAGAGGGGAGUAGCCAGGAGGCGCCCCAAGUAGUAGGGCCGAAUCCUACUUGGGCUCUUGCCUUGGCCGCCCCCCUUACCAUAUAUGCCGGAGGGGGAAAGGAAAGUGGGGAGAGGGAAGGAAGGGGGAGGCCGAAUCCCCCUCCUGCCUUUCUCCCAUAGGCCGGCUGCCAUAGGGGGGUGCACCAGCCCCUUGUGGGCUGGUGUGCUCCCCUCUAAUGGCCCAAUAGGCCCAUCAUCCUCCCGGGGGUGCCCGGAACCCCUUCCGAUGAUCCGAUGACUACCCGGUGCACUACGAAACUCUUUCGGUGUCUGAAUAUCAUCGUCUUAUAUAUCAAUAUUUACCUCCGGACCAUUCCGGAGCUCCUCGUCAUGUCUGUGAUCUCAUCUGGGACUUCGAACAAUAUUUGGUCACCAAAUCAUAUACUCCCUCCGUUCACUUUUGUAAGUCGUUUCAGACAACCCAAAAUAGGCUGUUUUGCACAUUGUCUGAAAUCUCUUCAAGGUCUUAUAAAAGUGAACAGAGGGAGUAACUCAUAUAACACCAUAUCGUCAAUGAACGUUAAGCAUGCGGAUCCUACGGGUUCGAGAACUAUGUAGACAUGACCGAGACACCUCUCCGGUUAAUAACCAACAGCGGAACCUAAACGCCCAUUUUGGCUCCUACAUAUUCCAUGAAGAGCUUUAUCGGUCGAACCUUAUGACAACAUACGUAAUUCCCUUUGUCCGUCGGUAUGUUACUUGCCCGAGAUUCGAUCGUCGGUAUCUUCAUACCUAGUUCAAUCUCGUUACCGGCAAGUCUCUUUACUUGUUCGGUAAUACAUCAUCUCGUAACUAACUCCUUAGUCACUUUGCUUGCAAGCUUCUUGUGAUGUGUAUUACCGAGUGGGCCUAGAGAUACCUCUCUGAUAUAUGGAGUGACAAAUCCUAAUCUCGAUCUAUGCCAACUCAACAAACACCUUCGGAGAUACCUGUAGAGCAUCUUUAUGAUCACCCACUUACGUUUGUGAUGUUUGAUAGCACACAAGGCAUUCCUCCGGUAUCCAGAAGUUGCAUAAUCUCAUAGUCUAAGGAAUAUGUAUUUGACAUUAAGAAAGCAAUAACAAUAAACUGAAUGAUCAAAUGCUAAGCUAACGGAUGGGUCUUGUCCAUCACAUCAUUCUCCUAAUGAUGUGAUCCUGUUACCAAGUGACAACACAUGUCUAUGGUUAGGAAACCUUAACCAUCUUUGAUCAACGAGUUAGUCUAGUAGAGGCUCACUAGGGACACGGUAUUUGUUUAUAUAUCCACACAUGUAUCUAAGUUUCCAAUCAAUACAAUUAUAGCAUAAAUAAUAAUCUUUUAUCAUGAAUAAGGAAAUAUAAAAUAACAACUUUAUUAUUACCUCUAGGGCAUAUUUCCUUCACUUCCAUCAUGUGGGGUCAUCAAAGAACGGUUCAUUUAAGUACCUGAUAUGUCUCCAAUGUAUCUAUAAUUUUUGAUUGUUUCAUGCUAUUAUAUUAUCAAUCUUGGAUGCUUUAUAUGCAAUUUUAUAUCAGUUUUAGGAACUAACCUAUUAAUUCAGUUCCCAGUGCCAGUUCCUAUCUUCUGCAUGUUUUUAGUUUUUUUAGAAAAUCAAUACCAAACAAAGUCUAGAUACGAUGAAACUUUACGGUGAUUUGUUCUGGACCAUAUGGGACCCUAGAAGCUUCGGGAGGAGGCCAGAAGAUCUACGGGAGAGCCACAAGCUCACACGACGCGCCCCGAGGGGGGGCACCAUCUGAGCUUGUGGGUCCCACGUAGCUCCGUUUGACUUAAUGACAAGGCUAUAAAUUACAUAAAUCCCAAAACCAAAAUAGAGCCGUCCGAAACAAUUUUUUCACCGCCGCAAGUUUCUGUUCUUCCGCGAUCCCAUCUGAAGGCAUUUUUUGAUACUCUGCCGGAGGGGGAAUCAUUCACGGAGGGCUUUUAUAUCAACUUUUCUGCACCACUAAUGAUGUGUGAGUAGAUACCUACGGGUGCAUAGUGAUUAGCUAGAUGGUUUCUUCUCUCUCUUUGAUUUUCAAUUACAAUGUUCUUUUUGGAGAUCGAUCCGACGUAAUCUUCUUGCGGUGUGUUUGUUGGGAUCCGAUGAAUUGUGGGUUUAUGAUUGUAAUAUUCAUUAAAAGUAAUUGAGUUUUUUCUGAACUUUAUUAUGGAUGAUUAUUAUAUCUUUAUAUUUCUCUCUGAUCUACCCAUUUGGUUUGGCCAACUAGGCUGAUUUGUCGUCGAUGGGAGAGGUGCUUUAUAGUGGGUUCAAUCUUGCGGUGUCCUCGCCAGUGAGUAGGGGUAUCGAGGCACGUAUUUGUAUUGUUGCCACUAAGGGUAAAACAAUGGAUUUAAUCAUAUUGCUUGGUUUUAUUCUAUCUACAUUAUAUCAUCUUUCUUAAAGCAUUACUCUAUUUAUUAUGAACUUAAUACAAUAGAUGCAUGCUGGACAACGGUCGAAUGGUGGAGUGAUAGUAGUAGAUGUAGAAUCGUUUCAGCCUACUUGUCAUGGACAUAAUGCCUAUAUAUAUGAUCAUUGCCAUAAAUAUCAUCAUAACUAUGACCUUUUCUAUUAAUUGCCCAAUUGUAAUUUGUCUACCCACCAUAUACUAUUUUUCUAAGAGAGAAGCCUCUAGUGUAAACUAUGGCCCCCGAGUCUACUUAAAUCAUAUUGCAAAAAAACCUAGUUUUACUCUUUUUAUUUUACUUUGCAGUUUACUUAUCUGUCGUUAUCAGAUUUGAUCCUUGCAAGUAACGAGUUCAAGGGGAUUGACAGACAACCCUCUUGCCCGCAUUGGAUGCAAGUAUUUGCUCUUGUGUGUGUAGAUAAUGUUCACUAGGAAUUUGCAUGGUUCUCCUAUUGAUUCAAUAACCCUGGUUCUCAUUGAUGGAAAUACUAUCUACUACUAUAUUGCUUCAUCUUCCUCUUCGGAGAAAAUCCCAACGCAGCUCACAAGUAGCAGUACCUUAAGGACUACCUAUGGAGUAAAGUGCAAGGGUGAAUUGAACAAACUAUGACAUUGGCAGGUGAAGUGGUCUUGGUAAAGGCGGUUGCCUUGCAGCACCUGUGUAUUCUAUGUCAUGUUUGAAGCUUCCGUGAGGUUUGUGUGAACAUCUUAAAAUGUUGAUAAGGAAGUUUUGGUGGGGAAGUAAGGAUGGAAAACAAAAACCUAAUUGGGUUUCUUGCGAAGCCAUGACCCAACCCAAGAGUAUGGGAGGAUUGGGCUUUAAAGAUUUUGGGUUGUUUAACUUGGCCUUACUAGCUAAGCAGGCAUGGAGAACUUACGAAAUCCUCAAUCUCUAAGUGCUAGAAUCUUGAAAGGGGUUUACUUUCCAAAUGGAACCAUCCUGAGUGCCGAUCCUAGGAGCCAUCCUAGCCAAAUAUGGCGAGCUAUCAUUGGAGGCUGUGACAUAUUAAAGUUGGGUCUCAUUAGGCGGAUUGGCGGCGGAGAAUCAACUAACAUAUGGGUAGAUGCUUGGAUACCUACAGAUGUUAUGACGAGGCCUUAUGGGAGGCGUGUCAACAACAAUUUUGGGAAAGUAUCCGAACUCAUAGAUCAAACUUCGACCACAUGGAAUAUGGCAAUGUUGGAGGAGGUCUGCCUCCCAAUUGAUAUACCAUGUAUCUUGAGUAUCCUACUCUGUACUUCUGAUAUGGUGGACUCUUGGGCAUGGAAUUUUAAGAAAUGGAACCUACUCGGUAAGAUCAACAUAUCAUAUGAUGGUACAAACUGAAUUAAGAAGGGGAGCCUGGACUGAUGGCAAAACAGAUUCUUCUAGUACAUAAUAUGAUGAAGAGUCUUGGAAACUUCUAUGGAACACUCCGAUUCCUAGAAAGAUUCGGAUGGUCUUAUGGCGUCUCGCUAAACACUCGCUCCCAAUAGAGGACAUUAGAGAGAUUAGGAAUAUGUCAUCAUCAAGUUUGGGUGGCCUGCGUGGAGCCGAAGACUCUUGGCGUCAUUCACUACUUGCAUGCUCAAUGGCAAGAUGUUUGUGGGCCCUGUUGGAUGGAGAACUCGCAGAACAUCUUUGCGAGACUACCGAACCGAGUGCCAAGUAAUGGAUCUUUUUGAUGAUAGACACGUUAUUGCAUGCGACAUUUGUUAAGCUAGUUGUAACACUGUGGGCAAUAUAGUGAGCCAGAAGGAAAGCAAUCCAUGAGGAGUUGUUCCAAAGCCCUCCAGCCACACACCAAUUCAUUACCAGGUUAAUCCUAGAGCUUGAACUUAUGCCAAAGAAAAUUCGCAGUGCCCGAAUCGGCAGGCAAGUCGAACUACCCGACCAAAAGCUCCUCCACCCAGUUACUCAAAGAUCCAUGUUGAUGCUUGUUGAGGAGAGGAGAAGGAAUGGGAUUCAACACACUUCGAUUAUGCUCAGAGGCUGGGUUUAAGUAUAGGUUGCUGUUCUCAGCUGAGCCAAGAUCGUGGGUAUGCCACUACCUCAGGACGUGCACCACUAGCUAUACAACUGCUGCACGAUCCGUACUAUACCGUAUGGUAAACUAUACAAGGUGCAUACGGUAUAUAACUACCUAGUCUAACACCCCUCGCAGUCGUGACGUCGGUACCAGCGACGCAAAGACUGGACCGGAAUUCAGAGAAAACUUCCGUCGACAGGCCUUUGGUCAUGAUAUCGGUGAGCUGUUGGCGAGUGGGGAUGUGGAGAACACGGAACUCGCCGAGCGCCACCCGUUCACGGACGAAGAGGAUGUCCAGCUCGAUGUGCUUCAUGCGGCGGUGAUGGACUGGAUUGGCAGACAGGUACACGACCGACACAUUGUCGCAGUAGACGAGCGUGGCCUUGUCGACGGGGCAGAAGAGCUCGCCGAGCAGCUGCCGGAGCCAGAUACAUUCAGCGAUGGCGUUGGCGACGCCGGGGUAUUCAGCCUCUGCACUGGAGCGGGAGACGACGGCCUAGCAUUUGGACGACCAGGAGACGAGCGCGUCACCGAGGUAGAUGCAGAAGCCGAAGGUAGAGCGGCGGGUGUCUGGGCAGCCCGCCCAGUCCGCGCCCGUGAACGCGCGCAGGUCCAGAGUGCGUGAGGCACGGAGAUGGAGCCCGAGCGCCGGCGUGCUGCGCACGUACCGCAACACACGCUUGAUCAACCCGAGAUGGCACUCCCGAGGAUCAUGCAUAUGCAAGCAGAUCUAUUAGACGGCGUAGGCGAGCUCGGGGCGUGUGAUCGUCAGGUACUGCAGGGCACCGGCGAUGCUGCGGUAGGCGGAGGGGUCGGCGACGCGAGGCCCAUCGGCGGUGGGCAGCUUGCUCUUCGUGUCGAUCGGCGUGGGCGAGGGCCGACAUGUGUCCAUGCCAGCGCGGUCCAGGAUAUCGGCAGCAUACUGCUGCUGACAAAGGAAGAAGCCGAUUGGCGAGCGCGUGAGGCGGAUGCCGAGGAAGAAGUGAAGAGCCCCGAGAUCCUUCAUGGCAAAUUCAUCGGUGAGCUGGGCGACAACGUGGCGAAGAGCGGCGGCAGAUGAUGCGGUGAGCACGAUGUCAUCGACGUAGAGAAGGAGGAGCGCAGUGUCGCAGCCGUGGCGACAAACGAGGAGCGAAGAGUCGGACCGCGUGGCGACGAAGCCGGUAGUCUUGAGGAAGCCAGCAAAUCGAAGAAACCAUGCGCGCGGCGCUUGCUUCAAGCCGUAGAGGGACUUGGAUAGGCGACAGACGUGGUGUGGGCGGUCGGCGUCAACGAAGCCAGCAGGCUGAAGGUAGAAGACCUCCUCAUCCAGCGUACCAUGGAGGAAUGCAUUGGAUACGUCAAGCUGAUGGACCGGCCAGACACGCGAGGCAGCCAGGGUGAGCACGGUGCGGAUGGUAGCGGGCUUGACGACCAGUGAGAAGGUCUCGCCGUAGUCGAUGCCGGCACGCUGGCGAAAACCUCGCACAACCCAGCGGGCCUUGUAACGCUCGAGGGAGCCGUCGACGUUGUACUUGUGCUUGAAGACCCAUUUGCCGGUGAUGAGGUUGGCACCGGGCGGACUGCUACGUCUUGAGCUUGCAUUGGUUUUCCCCGAAGAGGAAGGGAUGAUGCAGCAGAGUAGCGUAAGUAUUUCCCUUAGUUUUUGAGAACCAAGGUAUCAAUCUAGUAGGAGGCCACGCGCAAGUCCCUCGUACCUACACAACACAAAGAGCUCAGCGCAACCAAUGCGAUUAGGGGUUGUCAAUCCCUUCACGGUCACUUACAGAAAUGAGAUCCGAUAAAUAAUAUUUUUGGUAUUUUUGAUAUAAAGAUGCAAAGUGAAAAGUAAAAGGCAAAGUAAAAACAAAACAAGAUUAAAGUGAUGGAGAUUGAUAUGAUGAUAAUAGACCCGGGGGCCAUAGGUUUCACUAGUGGCUUCUCUCGAGAGCAUAAGUUUUCUACGGUGGGUGAACAAAUUACUGUUGAGAAAUUGACAGAAUUGAGCAUAGUUAUGAGAAUAUCUAGGCAUGAUCAUGUAUAUAGGCAUCACGUCCGUGACAAGUAGAUCGAAACAAUUCUGCAUCUACUACUAUUACUCCACUCAUCGACGCUAUCCAGCAUGCAUCUAGAGUAUUAAGUUAAAAACAGAGUAACACUUUAAGCAAGAUGACAUGAUGUAGAGAGAUAAAUUCAUGCAAUAUGAAAUAAACCCCAUCUUGUUAUCCUCGAUGGCAACGAUACAAUACGUGUCUUGCUGCCCCUUCUGUCACUGGGAAAGAACACCGCAAGAUCGAACCUAAAGCUAAGCACUUCUCCCAUGGCAGGAACUACCAAUCUAGUAGGCCAAACCAAACGGAUAAUUCGAAGAGACUUGCAAAGAUAACCAAUCAUACAUAAAAGAAUUUAGAGAAGAUUCAAAUAUUGUUCAUAGAUAGACUUGAUCAUAAACCCACAAUUCAUCGGUCUCAACAAACACACCGCAAAAGAAGAAGAUUACAUCGAAUAGAUCUCCACAAGAGAGGGGGAGAACAUUGUAUUGAGAUCCAAAAAGAGAGAAGAAGCCAUCUAGCUACUAACUAUGGACCCGAAGGUCUGAAGUAAACUACUCACACUUCAUCGGAGGGGCUAUGAUGAUGUACAAGCCCUCCAUGAUGACGACCCUCUCCGGCGGAGCUCCGGAACAGGCCCCAAGAUGGGAUCUCGUGGAUACAGAAAGUUGCAGCGGUGGAAUUAGGUUUUUGGCUCCUGUUCUGAUCGUUUGGGGGUACGUGGGUAUAUAUAGGAGGAAGGAGUACAUCGGUGGAGCACCGAGGGGCCCACGGGGCAGGGGGCACACCCUGUAGGGGGGGGGGGGGCGCCCCUACCCUCGUGACCGCCUCCGGUACUUCUUGGAGUAGGGUCCAAGUCUCCUGGGUCUUAUCCGAGAAGAAAAUCACGUUCCAAAAAGGUUUUUUCUGUUUGGACUCCGUUUGAUAUUCUGUUUCUUCAAAACACUGAAAUAGGCAAAAACAGCAAUUCUGGGCUGGGCCUCCGGUUAAUAGGUUAGUCCCAAAAAUAAUAUAAAAGUGGAAAAUAAAGCCCAAUAUAGUCCAAAACAGUAGAUAAUAUGUUGGGGAACGUAGUAAUUUCGAAAAUUUUCCUACGCACACGCAAGAUCAUGGUGAUGCAUAGCAACGAGGGGGAGAGUGUUGUCUACGUACCAACGCAGACCGACUGCGGAAGCGAUCACACAACAUAGAGGAAGUAGUCGUACAUCUUCUUCCCGAUCCAACCGAUCCAAGCACCGUUACUCCGGCACCUCCGAGUUCUUAGCACACGUUCAGCUCGAUGACGAUCCUCGUGCUCCGAUCCAGCAAAGCGUCGAGGAAGAGUUCCGUCAGCACAACGGCGUGGUGACGAUCUUGAUGUACUACCGACGCAGGGCUUCGCCUAAGCUCUACAACGAUAGGACCGAGGUGGAAUUUGGUGGCAGGGGGCACCGCACACGGCUAAGGAACGAUCAACAAUGAUCAACUUGUGUGUCUAUGGGGUGCCCCCUGCCCCUGUAUAUAAAGGAGCAGGGGGAGGGGUUCGGCCGGCUAGGGAGAGGGCGCGGGAGGAGUCCUACUCCUACCGGGAGUAGGACUCCCCCCUUAAUCCUAUUCCAACUAGGACUCCCAAGGGGAAAAGGAGAGAAAGGGGGGCCGGCCCCUUCUCCUAGUCCUACUAGGACUUGGGGAAAGGGGGGGGGGGCGCGGCCAGCUAUGGGCUGCCCCUUUUCUCUUUUCCACUAAGGCCCAAUAGGCCCAUUUGCCUCCCGGGGGGUUCCGGUAACCCUCCCGGUAUUCCGGUAAAAUCCCGAUUUCACCCGGAACACUUCCGGUGUCCAAACAUAGGCUUCCAAUAUAUAAAUCUUUACGUCUCGACCAUUUCGAGACUCCUCGUCAUGUCCGUGAUCACAUCCGGGACUCCGAACAACCUUCGGUACAUCAAAAUGCAUAAACUCAUAAUAACUGUCAUCGUAACGUUAAGCGUGCGGACCCUACGGUUCGAGAACAAUGUAGACAUGACCGAGACAUGUCUCCGGUCAAUAACCAAUAGCGGGACCUGGAUGCCCAUAUUGGCUCCUACAUAUUCUACGAAGAUCUUUAUCGGUCAGACCGCAUAACAACAUACGUUGUUCCCUUUGUCAUCGGUAUGUUACUUGCCCGAGAUUCGAUCGUCGGUAUCCAAUACCUAGUUCAAUCUCGUUACUGGCAAGUCUCUUUACUCGUUUCCGUAAUACAUCAUCUCAUAACUAACAUCUUAGUUAUUAUGCUUGCAAGGCUUAUGUGAUGUGUAUUACCGAGAGGGCCCAGAGAUACCUCUCCGACAAUCGGAGUGACAAAUUCUAAUCUCGAAAUACGCCAACCCAACAUCUACCUUUGGAGACACCUGUAGUACUCCUUUAUAAUCACCCAGUUACGUUGUGACGUUUGGUAGCACCCAAAGUGUUCGUCCGGUAAACGGGAGUUGCAUAAUCUCAUAGUCAUAGGAACAUGUAUAAGUCAUGAAGAAAGCAAUAGCAACAUACUAAACGAUCGGUGCUAAGCUAAUGAAAUGGGUCAUGUCAAUCAGAUCAUUCAACUAAUGAUGUGACCUCAUUAAUCAAAUAACAACUCUUUGUUCAUGGUUAGGAAACAUAACCAUCUUUGAUUAACGAGCUAGUCAAGUAGAGGCAUACUAGCGACACUCUGUUUGUCUAUGUACUCACACAUGUAUUAUGUUUCCGGUUAAUACAAUUCUAGCAUGAAUAAUAAACAUUUAUUAUGAUAUAAGGGAAUAAAUAAUAACUUUAUUAUUGCCUCUAGGGCAUAUUUCCUUCAGAGUCCCACUUGCACUAGAGUCAAUAAUCUAGAUCACAUCUCCAUGUGAUUAACAUCGAUAGUUCACAUCAUCAUGUGAUUAACACCCAUAGUUCACAUCGCCAUGUGACCAACACCCAAAAGGUUUACUAGAUUCGGUAAUCUAGUUCACAUCGUUAUGUGAUUAACACCCAAAGAGUACUAAGGUGUGAUCAUGUUUUGCUUGUGAGAGAAUUUUAGUCAACAAGUCUGCCACAUUCAGAUCCACAUGUAUUUUGCAAAUUUCUAUGUCAACAAUGCUCUGCAUGGAGCUACUCUAGCUAAUUGCUCCCACUUUCAAUAUGUAUCUAGACCGAGACUUAGAGUCAUCUAGAUUAAUGUCAAAACUUGCAUCGGCGUAACCCUUUACGACGAACCUUUUUAUCACGUCCAUAAUCGAGAAACAUAUCCUUAUUUCACUAAGGAUAAUUCUGACCGUUGUCCAGUGAUCUACUCCUAGAUCACUAUUGUACUCCCUUGCCAAAUCAGUGCAGGGUAUACAAUAGAUCUGGUAUACAGCAUGACAUACUUUAUAGAACCUAUGGCCAAGGCAUAGGGAAUGACUUUCAUUCUCUUUCUAUCUUCUGCCGUGGUCGGGCUUUGAGUCUUACUCAACUUCACACCUUAUAAUACAGGCAAGAACUCUUUCUUUGACUGCUCCAUUUUGAACUACUUCAAAAUCCUAUCAAGGUAUGUACUCAUUGAAAAAACUUAUCAAGCGUCUUGAUCUAUCUCUAUAGAUCUUGAAGCUCAAUAUGUAAGCAGCUUCACCGAAGUCUUUCUUUGAAAAACUCCUUUCAAACACUCCUUUAUGCUUUACAGAAUAAUUCUACAUUAUUUCCGAUCAACAAUAUGUCAUUCACAUAUACUUAUCAGAAAUGUUGUAGUGCUCCCAUUCACUUUCUUGUAAAUACAGGCUUCACCGCAAGUCUGUAUAAAACUAUAUGCUUUGAUCAACUCAUCAAAGCGUAUAUUCCAACUCCGAGAUGCUUGCACCAGUCCACAGAUGGAUCGCUGGAGCUUGCACAUUUUGUUAGCACCUUUCAGAUUGACAAAACCUUCUGUUGCAUCAUAUACAACUCUUCUUUAAUAAAUCCAUUAAGGAAUGCAUUUUUGUUUAUCCAUUUGCCAGAAUUCAUAAAAUGCGGCAAUUACUAACAUGAUUCGGACAGACUCAAGCAUAGAUACGAGUGAGAAGCUCUCAUCGUAGUCAACACCUUGAACUUGUCGAAAACCUUUUGCGACAAUUCUAGCUUUGUAGACAGUAAUAUUACCGUCAGCGUCAGUCUUUUUCUUGAAUAUCCAUUUAUUCUCAAUUGCUUGCCGAUCAUCGGGCAAGUCAACCAAAGUCCAUACUUUGUUCUCAUACAUGGAUCCCAUCUCAGAUUUCAUGGCCUCAAGCCACUUUGCGGAAUCUGGGCUCACCAUCGCUUCUUCAUAGUUCGUAGGUUCAUCAUGAUCUAGUAGCAUGACUUCCAGAAUUGGAUUACCGUACCACUCUAGUGCGGAUCUCACUCUGGUUGAUCUACAUGGUUCAGUAGUAUCUUGUCCUGAAGUUUCAUGAUCAUCAUCAUUAGCUUCCUCACUAAUUGGUAUAGGUGUCGCAGAAAUAGUUUUCUGUGAUGUACUAUUUUCCAAUAAGGGAGCAGGUACAGUUACCUCGUCAAGUUCUACUUUCCUCCCACUCACUUCUUUCGAGAGACACUCCUUCUCUAGAAAUGAUCCAUUCUUAGCAACGAAUGUCUUGCCUUCGGAUCUGUGAUAGAAGGUGUACCCAACAGUCUCCUUUGGGUAUCCUAUGAAGACACAUUUCUCCGAUUUGGGUUUGAGCUUAUCAGGAUGAAACUUUUUCUCAUAAGCAUCGCAACCCCAAACUUCAAGAAACGACAACUUUGGUUUCUUGCCAAACCACAGUUCAGAUUGUGUCGUCUCAACGGACUUAGAUGGUGCCCCUUUUUAACGUGAAUGCAGUUGUCUCUAAUGCAUAACCCCAAAAACGAUAGUGGUAAAUCGGUAAGAAACAUCAUAGAUUGCACUAUAUCCAAUAAAGUACGGUUAUGACGUUCGGACACACCAUUAUGCUGUGGUGUUCCAGGUGGCGUGAGUAGUGAAACUAUUUCACAUUGUUUUAACUGAAGACCAAACUCGUAACUCAAAUACUCUUUUCUACGAUCAGAUCAUAGAAACUUUAUUUUCUUGUUACGAUGAUUUUUCACUUCACUCUGAAAUUCUUUGAACUUUUCAAAUGUUUCAGACUUAUGUUUCAUCAAGUAGAUAUACUCAUAUCUGCUCAAAUCGUCUGUGAAGAUCAGAAAAUAAUGAUACCUGUCGCGAGCCUUAAUAUUCAUCGGACCACAUACAUCAGUAUGUAUGAUUUCCAACAAAUCUGUUUCUUGCUCCAUUGUUCCGAAGAACAGAGUUUUAGUCAUCUUACCCAAAAGGCAUGGUUCGCAAGCAUCAAGUGAUUCAUAAUCAAGUGAUUCCGAAAGCCCAUCAGCAUGGAGUUUCUUCAUGCGCUUUAUACCAAUAUGACCUAAACGGCAGUGCCACAAAUAAGUUGCACUAUCAUUAUUAACUUUGCAUCUUUUGGUUUCAAUAUUAUGAAUAUGUGUAUCACUACGAUCGAGAUCCAACGAACUUGUUUCAUUGGGUGUAUGACCAUCGAAGGUUUUAUUCAUGUAAACAGAACAACAAUUAUUCUCUUACUUAAAUGAAUAACCGUAUUACAAUAAACAUGAUCAAAUCAUAUUCAUGCUCAACGCAAACACCAAAUAACACUUAUUUAGGUUCAACACUAAUCCCGAAAGUAUAGGGAGUGUGCGAUGAUGAUCAUAUCAAUCUUGGAACCACUUCCAACACACAUCGUCACUUCACCCUUAACUAGUCUCUGUUCAUUCUGCAACUCCCGUUUCGAGUUACUACUCUUAGCAACUGAACUAGCAUCAAAUACUGAGGGGUUGCUAUAAACACUAGUAAAGUACACAUCAAUAACAUGUAUAUCAAAUAUACUUAUGUUCACUUUGCCAUCCUUCUUAUCCGCCAAUCACUUGGGGUAGUUCCGCUUCCAGUGACCAGUCCCUUUGCAGUAGAAGCACUUAGUCUCAGGCUUAGGAUCAGACUUGGGCUUCUUCACUUGAGCAGCAACUUGCUUGCCGUUCUUCUUGAAGUUCCCCUUCUUCCCUUUUGCCCCCUUUUUUUCAAACUAGUGGUCUUGUCAACCAUCAACACUUGAUGUUUUUCUUGAUUUCUACCUUCAUCGAUUUCAGCAUCACGAAGAGCUUGGGAAUCGUUUCCGUUAUCCCUUGCAUAUCAUAGUUCAUCACGAAGUUCUACUAACUUGGUGAUGGUGACUAGAGAAUUCUGUCAAUCACUAUCUUAUCUGGAAGAUUAACUCCCACUUGAUUCAAGCGAUUGUAGUACCCAGACAAUCUGAGCACAUGCUCACUAGUUGAGCGAUUCUCCUCCAUCUUUUAGCUAUAGAACUUGUUGGAGACUUCAUAUCUCUCAACUCGGGUAUUUGCUUGAAAUAUUAACUUCAACUCCUGGAACAUCUCAUAUGGUCCAUGACGUUCAAAACGUCUUUGAAGUCCCGAUUCUAAGCCAUUAAGCAUGGUGCACUAAACUAUCAAGUAGUCAUCAUAUUGAGCUAGCCAAACAUUCAUAACGUCUGCAUCUGCUCCUGCAAUAGGUCUGUCACCUAGCGGUGCAUCAAGGACAUAAUUUUUCUGUGCAGCAAUGAGGAUAAACCUCAUAUCACGGAUCCAAUCCAUAUCAUUGCUACUAACAUCUUUCAACACAAUUUUCUCUAGGAACAUAUCAAAAUAAACAUAUGAAAGCAACAACGCGAGCUAUUGAUCUUCAACAUAGAUAUGCUAAUACUACCAGGACUAAGUUCAUGAUAAAUUAAAGUUCAAUUAAUCAUAUUACUUAAGAACUCCCACUUAGAUAGACAUCCCUCUAAUCCUCUAAGUGAUCACGUGAUCCAAAUCAACUAAACCAUAACCGAUCAUCACGUGAGAUGGAGUAGUUUUCAAUGGUGAACAUCGUUAUGUUGAUCAUAUCUACUAUAUGAUUCACGCUCGACCUUUCGGUCUCUGUGUUCCGAGGCCAUAUCUGCAUAUGCUAGGCUCGUCAAGUUUAACCUGAGUAUUCUGCGUGUGCAAAACUGGCUUGCACCCGUUGUAGAUGGACGUAGAGCUUAUCACACCCGAUCAUCACGUGGUGUCUGGGCACGACGAACUUUGGCAACGGUGCAUACUCAGGGAGAACACUUCUUGAUAAUUCAGUAAGAGAUCAUCUUAUAAUGCUACCGUCAAUCAAAGCAAGAUAAGAUGCAUAAAAGAUAAACAUCACAUGCAAUCAAUAUAAGUGAUAUGAUAUGGCCAUCAUCAUCUUGUGCUUGUGAUCUCCAUCUCCAAAGUACUGUCAUGAUCUAUAUCGUCACCGGCAUGACACCAUGAUCUCCAUCAUCUUGAUCUAUAUCAAUGUGUCGUCACGUGGUCGUCUCGCCAACACUUGCUCUUGCAACUAUUGCUAUCGCAUAGCGAUAAAGUAAAGCAAUUAUUGGGCGCUUGCAUCUUAUGCAAUAGAUAGACAACCAUAAGGCUUUUGCCAGUUGCCCAUAACUUCAACAAAACAUGAUCAUCUUAUACAACAACUUAUAACUCAUCACGUUUUGACCAUAUCACAUCACAACAUGCCCUGCAAAAACAAGUUAGACGUCCUCUACUUUGUUGUUGCAAAUUUUACGUGGCUGCUACGGGCUUAGCAAGAACCAAUCUUACCUACGCAUCAAAACCACAACGAUAGUUUGUCAAAUAGACUCCGUUUUAACCUUCGCAAGGACCGGGCGUAGCCACACUCGCUUCAACUAAAGUUGGAGAAACAGUCACCCGCAAGUCACCUAUGUGCAAAGCACGUCGGGGAAACCGGUCUCGCGUAAGCGUACGCGUAAUGUCGGUCCGGGCCGCUUCAUCCAACAAUACCGCCGAACAAAAGUAUGACAUGCUGGUAGGCAGUAUGACUUAUAUCACCCACAACUCACUUGUGUUCUACUCGUGCAUAUAACAUCAAACCAUAAAACCUAGGCUCGGAUGCCACUGUUGGGGAACGUAGUAAUUUCGAAAAUUUUCCUACGCACACGCAAGAUCAUGGUGAUGCAUAGCAACGAGGGGGAGAGUGUUGUCUACGUACCAACGCAGACCGACUGCGGAAGCGAUCACACAACAUAGAGGAAGUAGUCGUACGUCUUCUUCCCGAUCCAACCGAUCCAAGCACCGUUACUCCGGCACCUCCGAGUUCUUAGCACACGUUCAGCUUGAUGACGAUCCUCGUGCUCCGAUCCAGCAAAGCGUCGAGGAAGAGUUCCGUCAGCACAACGGCGUGGUGACGAUCUUGAUGUACUACCGACGCAGGGCUUCGCCUAAGCUCUACAACGAUAUGACCGAGGUGGAAUUUGGUGGCAGGGGGCACCGCACACGGCUAAGGAACGAUCAACAAUGAUCAACUUGUGUGUCUAUGGGGUGCCCCCUGCCCCCGUAUAUAAAGGAGCAGGGGGAGGGGUUCGGCCGGCUAGGGAGAGGGCGCGGGAGGAGUCCUACUCCUACCGGGAGUAGGACUCCCCCCCUUAAUCCUAUUCCAACUAGGACUCCCAAGGGGAAAAGGAGAGAAAGGGGGGCCGGCCCCUUCUCCUAGUCCUACUAGGACUUGGGGAAAGGGGGGGGGGCGUGGCCAGCUAUGGGAUGCCCCUUUUCUCUUUUCCACUAAGGCCCAAUAGGCCCAUUUGCCUCCCGGGGGGUUCCGGUAACCCUCCCGGUAUUCCGGUAAAAUCCCGAUUUCACCCGGAACACUUCCGGUGUCCAAACAUAGGCUUCCAAUAUAUCAAUCUUUACGUCUCGACCAUUUCGAGACUCCUCGUCAUGUACGUGAUCACAUCCGGGACUCCGAACAACCUUCGGUACAUCAAAAUGCAUAAACUCAUAAUAACUGUCAUCGUAACGUUAAGCGUGCGGACCCUACGGUUUGAGAACAAUGUAGACAUGACCGAGACAUGUCUCCGGUCAAUAACCAAUAGCGGGACCUGGAUGCCCAUAUUGGCUCCUACAUAUUCUACGAAGAUCUUUAUCGGUCAGACCGCAUAACAACAUACGUUGUUCCCUUUGUCAUCGGUAUGUUACUUGCCCGAGAUUCGAUCGUCGGUAUCCAAUACCUAGUUCAAUCUCGUUACUGGCAAGUCUCUUUACUCGUUUCUGUAAUACAUCAUCUCAUAACUAACAUCUUAGUUAUUAUGCUUGCAAGGCUUAUGUGAUGUGUAUUACCGAGAGGGCCCAGAGAUACCUCUUUGACAAUCGGAGUGACAAAUUCUAAUCUCGAAAUACGCCAACCCAACAUCUACCUUUGGAGACACCUGUAGUACUCCUUUAUAAUCACCCAGUUACGUUGUGACGUUUGGUAGCACCCAAAGUGUUCCUCCGGUAAACGGGAGUUGCAUAAUCUCAUAGUCAUAGGAACAUGUAUAAGUCAUGAAGAAAGCAAUAGCAACAUACUAAACGAUCGGGUGCUAAGCUAAUGAAAUGGGUCAUGUCAAUCAGAUCAUUCAACUAAUGAUGUGACCUCGUUAAUCAAAUAACAACUCUUUGUUCAUGGUUAGGAAACAUAACCAUCUUUGAUUAACGAGCUAGUCAAGUAGAGGCAUACUAGUGACACUCUGUUUGUCUAUGUACUCACACAUGUAUUAUGUUUCCGGUUAAUACAAUUCUAGCAUGAAUAAUAAACAUUUAUCAUGAUAUAAGGAAAUAAAUAAUAACUUUAUUAUUGCCUCUAGGGCAUAUUUCCUUCAUAAUAUAGCAUGGAGCAAUAAAAAAUUAUAGAUACGUUGGAGACGUAUCAGGCAUCCCCAAGCUUAAUUCCUACUCGUCCUCGAGUAGGUAAAUGAUAAAAAGAGAAUUUUUGAUGCGGAGUGCUACUUGGCAUAAUUUCAAUGCAAAAUUUCUUAAUUGUGGUAUGGAUAUUCAGAUUAGAAAGAUUCAAGACAAAAGUUCAUAUUGACAUAAAGAAUAAUAACACUUCAAGCAUACUAAUAAAGUAAUUAUGUCUUCUCAAAAUAACAUGGCCAAAGAAAGUUAUCCCUACAAAAUCAUAUAGUCUGGCUAUGAUCUAUCUUCACCACACAAAGUAUUUAAAUCAUGCACAACCCCGAUGACAAGCCAAGCAAUUGUUUCAUACUCUAACUUUUUCAAAACUUUUUCAAUCUUCACGCAAUACAUGAUCAUGAGCCAUGGACAUAGCACUAUGUGGAAUAGAAGGGUGGUUGUGGAGAAGACAAAAAGAAGGGAAGAUAGUCUCACAUCAACUAGGCGUAUCAACGGGCUAUGGAGAGGUCCAUCAAUAGAUACCAAUGUGAGCGAGUAGGGAUUGCCAUGCAACGGAUGCACUAGAGCUAUAAGUAUAUGAAAGCUCAUCAAAAGAAACUAAGUGGGUGUGCAUCCAACUCGCUUGCUCACGAAGACCUAGGGCAAUUUGAGGAAGCCCAUCACUGGAAUAUACAAGCCAAGUUCUAUAAUGAAAAAUUCCCACUAGUAUAUGAAAUUGACAUAACGAGAGACUCUCUAUCAUGAAGAUCAUGGUGCUACUUUGAAGCACAAGUGUGGUAAAAGGAUAGUAACAUUGUCCCUUCUCUCUUUUUCUCUCUUUUUUGGGCCUUUUCUCUCUUUUUUAUGGCCUCUUUUUUUUCAUCCGGAGUCUCAUCCCGACUUAUGGGGGAAUCAUAGUCUCCAUCAUCCUUUCCUCACUUGGGACAAUGCUCUAGAAAAUGAUGAUCAUCACACUUUUAUUUCUCUUACAACUCAACAAUUACAACUCGAUACUUAGAACAAAUAUGACUCUAUAUGAAUGCCUCCGGCGGUGUACCGGGAUAUGCAAUGAAUCAAGAGUGACAUGUAUGAAAGAAUUAUGAAUGGUGGCUUUGCCACAAAUACGAUGUCAACUACAUGAUCAUGCUAGCAAUAUGACAAUGAUGGAGUGUGUCAUAAUAAACGGAAUGGUGGAAAGUUGCAUGGCAAUAUAUCUCGGAAUGGCUAUGGAAAUGCCAUGAUAGGUAGGUAUGGUGGCUGUUUUGAGGAAGGUAUAUGGUGGGUGUAUGAUACCGGCGAAAGGUGCGCGGUAUUAGAGAGGCUAGCAAUGGUGGAAGGAUGGGAAAAAGUGCAUAUAAUCCAUGGACUCAACAUUAGUCAUAAAGAACUCAUAUACUUAUUGCAAAAAUCUAGAAGUUAUCAAAGCAAAGUAUUACACGCAUGCUCCUAGGGGGAUAGAUUGGUAGGAAAAGACCAUCUCUCGUCCCCGACCGCCACUCAUAAGGAAGACAAUCAAUAAAUAAAUUAUGCUCCGACUUCAUCACAUAACGGUUCACCAUACGUGCAUGCUACGAGAAUCACAAACUUUAACACAAGUAUUCUUUAAAUUCACAACUACUAAACUAGCAUAACUCUAAUAUUAUCACCUCCAUAUCUCAAAACAAUUAUCAUGCUUCAAUCUUCUCUUAGUAUUCAACGCACUAAAUUUUUUUUUCACAUAUCUUGAACACCAAGCAUAUUUAUAUUAAGCAAAUUACCAUGCUAUUAAGACUCUCAAAAUAAUUUAAGUGAAGCAUGAGAGAUCAAUAGUUUCUUUAAAACAAACCACCACCGUGCUCUAAAAGAUUUAAGUGAAGCACAUAGAGCAAAAUUAUAACGCUCAAAAGAUAUAAGUGAAGUGCAUAGGGCAAAACUACAUAGCUCAAAAGAUUUAAGUGAAGCACAUAGAGAAUUCUAUCAAAUUUUAAUUCAUAGAUGACUCUCUCAAAAGGUGUGUAAAGCAAGGAUGAUUCUGGCACACUAACAAACAAAGACACAAAUAAUACAAGACGCUCCAAGCAAAACACGUAUCAUGUUGGUGAAUAAAAAUAUAGCUCCAAGUAAAUUACCGAUCGAAGUGGACGAAAGAGGGGAUGCCUUCCGGGGCAUCCCCAAGCUUUGACUUUUUGGUGUCCUUGGAUUAUCUUGGGGGUGCCAUGGGCAUCCCCAAGCUUAGGCUCUUGCCACUCCUUGUUCCAUAAUCCAUCAAAAGAACUCACCCAAAACUUGAAAAUUUCACAACACAAAACUCAAUAGAAAUCUCGUGAGCUCCGUUAGAGAAAGAAAACAAAAGACCACUUCAAUGUACUGUAAUGAACUCAUUCUUUAUUUAUUUUGGUGUUAAACCUAAUGUAUUCCAACUUCUCUAUGGAUUAUAAACUAUUUUACUAACCAUAGAUUCAUCAAAAUAAGCAAACAACACACGAAAAACAAAAUCUGUCAAAAACAGAACAGUUUGUAGUAAUCUGUAGCUAGCGCAAGAUAUGGAACCCCAAAAAUUCUAAAAUAAAUUUCUGGAAGUGAGGAAUUUAUCUAUUAAUCAUCUGAAAAAAGAAUUAACUAAAUAGCACUCUUAAAAUAAAAAUGACAGCAGUUCUCGUGAGCGCUAAAGUUUCUGUUUUUUACAGCAAGUUCAACAAGACUUUCCCCAAGUCUUCCCAACGGUUCUACUUGGCACAAACACUAAUUAAGCACAAAAAAACACAACCAAAACAGAGGCUAGAUAAUUUAUUUAUUAAAUAACAUCAAGGAUAAAUAUUGGGUUGACUCCCAACAAACGUUUUUCUUUAAAGCCUUAUAGCUAGGCAUAAUAUUUCAAUGAUGCUCACAUGAAAGACAAGAAUUGAAGCACAAAGAGAGCAUCAUAAAGCAUGUGAAAAACACAUCUAAGUCUAACAUACUUCCUAUGCAUAGGCAUCUUAUAGGCAAACAAAUUAUCAAGGUAAGCAAAAACUAGCAUAUGCAAGGAAGAGGAAAGAAACAAUAGCAAUCUCAACAUAACGAGAGGUAAUUUAGUAACAUGAAAAUUUCUACAACCAUAUUUUCCUCUAUCAUAGUAAUUACAUGUAGGAUCAUAAGCAAAUUCAAUAAAAUAGCUAUCACAUAAAAUAUUUUCGACAUGAUCCACAUGCAUGCAAAGUUGACACUCUUCCAAAGUAGUGGGAUUAACAUUAACUAAAGUCAUGACUUCUCCAAACCCACUUUUAUCAAGAUUUUCAUAAGAUUGAACAUUCUCCAAAUAUGUGGGAUCUAAAAUUGACACUCUUCCAAACCCACUUUCAGUAAUAUUGCAAACACUAUUAUCAAUCUCAUAUUCAUCAUGGGGCUUAAAUAAAUUUUCAAUAUCAUAAGAAGAAUCACCCCAAUCAUGAUCAUUGCAACAAGUAGAGGACAUAGCAAAACUAGCAUCUCCAAGCUUAGGGUUUUGCAUAUUAUUAGCACAAUUGACAUCAAGAGAGUUUAUAGUAAAAUCAUUGCAAUCAUGCUUUUUAUUCAAAGAUCUAUCAUGAAUCGCUUCAUAAAGUAAUUCAUCACACUUUUCAGAUUCACGAAUUUCAAGCAAAACCUCAUAAAGAUAAUCUAGUGCACAAAACUUACUAGCAACUGGUUCAUCAUAAUUAGAUCUCUUAAAAAGAUUAGCAAGCGGAUGAGGAUCCAUAGAUCUUAGGUUCUCUGUUUAGUAAUAACUAAACAACUAUUCCAACCAUACAAGCAAACAAGAAACGGGCAAAAGAGGCAAAUAGAGAGGGAGGAUAAAGAGAGGGCAAAUAAAACGGCAAGGGUGAAGUGGGGGAAAGGAAAACAAAAGGCAAAUGGCAAAUAAUGUAAUGCGAGAGAUAGGGAUUGUAAUGGGUACUUGGUAUGUUGACUUUUUGCGUAGACUCCCCGGCAACGGUGCCAGAAAUCCUUCUUGCUACGUCUUGAGCUUGCGUUGGUUUUCCCCGAAGAGGAAGGGAUGAUGUAGCAGAGUAGCGUAAGUAUUUCCCUCAGUUUUUGAGAAUAAAGGUAUCAAUCCAGUAGGAGGCCACGCGCAAGUCCCUCGUACCUACACAACACAAAGAGCUCAACGCAACCAACGCGAUUAGGGGUUGUCAAUCCCUUCAUGGUCACUUACGGAAGUGAGAUCUGAUAAAUAAUAUUUUUGGUAUUUUAUAUAUAAAGAUGCAAAGUGAAAAGUAAAAGGCAAAGUAAAAACAAAACAAGAUUAAAGUGAUGGAGAUUGAUAUGAUGAGAAUAGACCCGGGGGCCAUAGGUUUCACUAGUGGCUUCUCUCGAGAGCAUAAGUUUUCUACGGUGGGUGAACAAAUUACUGUUGAGCAAUUGACAGAAUUGAGCAUAGUUAUGAGAAUAUCUAGGCAUGAUCAUGUAUAUAGGCAUCACGUCCGUGACAAGUAGAUUGAAACGAUUCUGCAUCUACUACUAUUACUCCACUCAUCGACCGCUAUCCAGCAUGCAUCUAGAGUAUUAAGUUAAAAACAGAGUAACGCUUUAAGCAAGAUGACAUGAUGUAGAGAGAUAAAUUCAUGCAAUAUGAAAUAAAACCCAUCUUGUUAUCCUCGAUGGCAACGAUACAAUACGUGUCUUGCUGCCCCUUCUGUCACUGGGAAAGAACACCGCAAGAUCGAACCCAAAGCUAAGCACUUCUCCCAUGGCAAGAAGUACCAAUCUAGUUGGCCAAACCAAACGGAUAAUUCGAAGAGACUUGCAAAGAUAACCAAUCAUACAUAAAAGAAUUCAGAGAAGAUUCAAAUAUUGUUCAUAGAUAGACUUGAUCAUAAACCCACAAUUCAUUGGUCUCAACAAACACACCGCAAAAGAAGAAGAUUACAUCGAAUAGAUCUCCACAAGAGAGGGGGAGAACAUUGUAUUGAGAUCCAAAAAGAGAGAAGAAGCCAUCUAGCUACUAACUAUAGACCCGAAGGUCUGAAGUAAACUACUCACACUUCAUCGGAGGGGCUAUGAUGAUGUAGAAGCCCUCCGUGAUGACGGCCCUCUCCGGCGGAGCUCCGAAACAGGCCCCAAGAUGGGAUCUCGUGGAUACAGAAAGUUGCGACGGUGGAAUUAGGUUUUUGGCUCCUGUUCUGAUCGUUUAGGGGUACGUGGGUAUAUAUAGGAGGAAGGAGUACGUCGGUGGAGCACCGAGGGGCCCACAAGGCAGGGGGCACGCCCUGUAGGGGGGGGGGUGCGCCCCCUACCCUCGUGAACGCCUCCGGUACUUCUUGGAGUAGGGUCCAAGUCUCCUGGGUCUUAUCCGAGAAGAAAAUCACGUUCCAAAAAGGAUUUUUCUGUUUGGACUCCGUUUGAUAUUCUGUUUCUUCGAAACACCGAAAUAGGCAAAAAAACCCAGCAAUUCUGGGCUGGGCCUCCGGUUAAUAGGUUAGUCUCACAAAUAAUAUAAAAGUGGAAAAUAAAGCCCAAUAUAGUCCAAAACAGUAGAUACUAUAGCAUGGAGCAAUCAAAAAUUAUAGAUACGUUGGAGACGUAUCACGGACGCGGCACGAGCUCCCAAGUGCGAUUGCGCACAAGUGCUUCGAACUCGGCGCGCAUGGCGGCGAGCCAAUUGGGGUCGCGGACGGCGACGCGUAUCGAGGCAGGGACCGGCGAGAUCGCCCCGGACGUGCUUGUAGUGGCGGCGAGACCGUCGUGGUAGCGUGGAUUGGGGCGGAAGACGCCACUCUGCGCGCGCGUGGCCAUCCGUCGGGGCGCUACAGGAGGAGCAGCCGAAGGAGAAGGCGCGGGCGAGGAAGACGACGAAGAGCGCACUGUCGAGGCAGACGAAGCGCUGGUGGAGCAGGAGGUGGUAGCCGAGCCGUCGAUCGAAAGAUAAACGCCCCCAAGCGACUGCAUGGCGGGGAGGCGCGAGAUCGUGGCCGAGGCGGCGCCCGACAGGUCAGCACUCCCACGUAACUGCACGGCGAGAGGGCGGGGGCCCGCGCACAAGCCGUCUGAUGUAGAUCCAGCAGACGAGUUUGAACGCGCGGCAUGCGUGCGCGAGGCACUCGAUGAAGAGCCCGCCGGCGAUGAGCCAACGGCCAUGCGUGAAGAAGAGCAUGGCGCGCGAUCGCAGAGGCACCGCUCGCCCAUAGGGACCUGCAAAACGGGAGGAGCAAACGCAUGCGGUGGUGGAGCGGCGGGGUUAACUGUGGGCGGUGUGGCGAAGGGGAAGAUCGACUCGUGGAAGCGGACAUGGCGAGAUGUAAGCACACGACGCGUCGUGGGGUCGAAACACCUAUAACCGCGGUGGUCAGACGGGUAGCCUAGAAAGACACACACGGUGGAACAAGGAGCAAGUUUGUGUUUGGCCGUGGCAGCAAGGUUUGGAUAACACAAACACCCGAAGACGCGCAGAAGGGAGUAGUCGGGAGCGACACCUAGGAGGAGCUCAUGGGGCGUGCGUGGUGUGCUAGCAUGACACGACCGACGAUUGAGGAGAUAGGAUGCUGUGUAGAGAGCUUCGACCCAGAAACGCGCCGGCAUGGAUGCAUGAAAGAGGAGAGCACGCACACUGUGGUUGAGUGUCCGGAGGAUGCGCUCGGCCUUCCCGUUCUGCUGGCUUGUGUAAGGACACGAGAGCCGGAGAUGAGUACCGUGGCGACUAAGUAGAGAGCGGACGGCAGCACUAUCGAACUCUCGCCCGUUGUCGGUUUGGAGCGAGAAGACAGGAAGCUGAAACUGUGUUUUGACAUAAGCAUAGAAAUCAAGCAAAACAGGGAGUACUUCCGAUUUGUGUUUGAGGGGAAACGUCCACAUGUAAUGUGUGUAGUCAUCCAGCACAACCAAAUAAAACUGAUAGCCAGAGAUACUCGCAACGGGAGAUGUCCAUACAUCAAGAUGCAGUACAUGAAAGGGAAACAUGCUAGUGCUGGUAGAACUACUAAAUGGCAGGCGGACGUGCUUGCCCAAACUACAUGCAUGACACGAAUGGGGUGCGGACUUGCUGAAGCUAAGAUGAUCGGCGCCCAGACGGAGCGAAGUGUGCCCGAGCCGGUGAUGCCACAAGGUGGAGUCGACGAAACCGGUGAAAGCCGAACGCGAGGGUAGCGCCGGGCGGCCGACGGAAUAGAUAUCACCGUCGGAGUCACAUCGGAGGAUCACUGCCUUGGUUUGAAGGUCCUUGAAAAAGAAGCCAAAAGCGUCAAAUUCGACAGAAACGGGAUUAUCACGACAAAUUCGGCGUACUGAAAGCAAGUUUGUAAUGAGGGAGGGAGAGACAAGGACGUUGCGAAGUUGGACAGGGGAUGUGCCCUCGAUGAGAGCACCGUCACCGACGUGGGUGAUCGGUAGAUGAGCUCCACUGCCAACAAUUAUAUGAGAAGGGGAGUGACAUGGACGGAGGGAAUGGAGGUUACCAGGCGACGAGGACAUGUGAGAGGAGGCCCCAGAGUCGAGGUACCAGUCUGAAGCGGUGCCCGACGAAGAGGGCCCGGCCGUGGCACUGUGGAGCGCCGCCUGGAGGGACUGCAUGUCCCAUGGUUGUGGCGACAGCGCGGCGGACGACGAGCUGGCGCCCGGAGAGCCAUAGCCAUGGAAGGAGCCGCCAGGGUAGCCGUAGCCGGGAGGCGGACCGCCAGGGGCGCCGUAGUCGGGCGGCGCAGGCGCGGCGAACAUGGCCUGUUGGUGAGGUGUGCCGGGGCGCGGCCCGAGGACGCCGGCUCCCGGGGCGCGCUAGGGCAUGGGCCAGGCCUGGACGAGCCCUGUCCAGGAGUUGGCGCCAGGAGCCGGCGCGGGGUAGGUGGGUGGGCGCGGUGGCGCGCCAGUGGGCGGUGCAGGGGCGCUGCCGUUCCCUCUGCCGCGAUGGCGCGAGCGGCCACGACUACGCGUGGCGUCGGCGGGCGGCGAAGGAGGUGGUGCGGCAGGUGCGGGGGAGCCGCGCCCAGCGAAGAGAGCGUGGGCGGACUGCUGCCGAGCCGCCUGCUCAGCGCAAUGCUCCUCCAAGAGAAGGAAGGAGCGCACCUGGAGGAACGUCGGGAGCGGGUUCUCGCAGGUGAUAUGCGGGAUGACGGAGUGGUACUGGCGGUUGAGACCGCGGAGAAGAUGAAAGAUCUGUCGUGGGUCAGUUACUGGCUGGCCCAGAUCACGGAGUUGGUCGGCGAAGGUCUUGAGCUUGGUGCAGAAUUGCAUCACCGUCAUGUCGCCCUGGACGGUGGCGUGGUACUCGGCGUCGACGUACACUGCGCGGGCCAUCUGGUUGUUGCGGAAAAGCUCGUCGACGGCGAGCCACACGGUGCGGGCCGUGUCCUCCGGCUGCAUGAUCGCAUCGAGGAGCUCCGGCGAGAUGGUGGCAUACAACCAGUGGAUGACGGUGUGGUCAGCCAUCUGCUACUCGGGGUCGGCGGGGCGAGGAACCGCCUCAGCAUCGACGUGCGCAUGGAGGCCGAACAUGCCGAGCACCGUGUCGAAGUGACGCCUCCACUGAGCGUGGUUGCCGGCGAGGAGAUCGAGUACGACAGGAACAUGGCGACGGAUGUCGAUGGUCUGGAGGAUGGUAGAGGGAAAGGAGAGAGGCGGCGCGGCGGGCGUGGCAGGCGAGGGUGGGGCGACGUGUUGGAAAGGAGCGGCGUUGAGGACGCCGGCCGCACCGUCGACAGAGGAACGAGGGGAAAGGACGGGGUUGUCGUCCAUGGCGGAAGCGGAAUCGGCGACCGGAGCAAAGGGGUUCUGGUCGGGGGUAUCUGAUACCAUGUUAAGGAAAGGAGAAAGAAUGGGAUUCAACACAUUUCGAUUAUGCUCAGAGGCUGGGUUUAAGUACAGGUUGCUGUCCUCAGCCGAGCCAAGAUCGUGGGUAUGCCACUACCUCAGGACGUGCACCACUAGCUAUACAACUGCUGCACGAUCCGUAUUAUACCGUAUGGUAAACUAUACAAGGUGCAUACGGUAUAGAACUACCUAGUCUAACAAUGCUAGAUUACCAUGGGGCCAAGCCAGAGGUUCAGCAGCUACAAUGCGUAGGGAUGAUCACGGAAACUUUUUGGGCAGCUCGGCACUGGUCGUUUAUGGUAUAACGGACGUUGCUACUGGAAUCAAUUGCAUGUAGGGAGGCACCAUCUUUGGCCGAAGACUUACAGCUAAGAGACUUUAUCAACGCAGGUUAUUAACGACAUUGAUCGGGGGAGCCAUGGAAGAUAUGGAGCUAUAAUUAAAAUUGCGUGUUAUCAAUUAGAUGCCGAUAGGUGAUCCAAGUUACCGCAUUCACUUGGUCAGGGAAGACAUGUUUGGUUGUUACAGCCGCACGAUCCCUUUUGUAUUCCGCUCCAUCUGGAGUUUGAUCAAUAUAAAGCUUGGUGACACCCUAAAAAAACUAACGCGAGAAAGCCCUCCUGGCCGGAGAAAACACAAAGAAACGAACGCCACACGGCCAAACACGUACAGCAAGUCCGGUGCGCCAAACGGCUCGAGAAAUCUUUUUGCAUUGACGCGGAGCAAAUGCGCCGGAGCCGUAGAGAGGCAGGCAGCUGAGGCUAGCCUGCUUCUGUUUCUCCUCCUCUCUGGCAACCAACGUGUCCAAAUCCUAACAAAAAUCCUAAAAAUACGGUGGCUGCGUGUAGUAUAUAAUGAGCCGGCAGAAGCGCGGCAGGGCAAAGGAUUCGUCUACCGCUCUCGCGCGCCGCCGGCCGCAGGGCGCAAGGAAGAUCGAUCUGGUCGUCGUCGUCGCGUCUGCUGCCGCCGGUAUGACAUCUCCUCCGGACGGACUAUCGAUCUCUCUAUCCCUCUUCGCCUCUUCCAUACGGUGGUUCGUAGAGAAUCACCCUUGGGAAUUGUAGUGCUUUGACUUUUGACGUCGACCCAAGGAAUCCAUGAGGAUUCGUUCAUACUCUCGUAAGGUCUCCUGGAUUCGUACAAGAUCAGUCUAAUCUCUAAUGUACAUAUCAUGCAAGAUCAGUCUAAUUAAAGUUCGCUCAUGCUCUCGUAAAAUCUUGAAGAUUCAGUCCUUCAACCUUUAAUUAGGCAUCUCCAUCGUCCACCACACUAAGUAAGCCCUUGUGUUCGUGUCCUACUCGUGGUGCAGACGAACUAACAGAUCCAGCACACUAAACCCUUCCUUGUUUCAGCAUCGAGCUUGACUGGCAGGUUGUGCUGCUUGAAGACGAGACGAGAUCAAGAUCAAGAUCAUGUCGGUCGAAGCCGCCGAGGGCGCGGAGACGAUGGCGCGCCGUGACUCGCUCUACAGGAACGCGGAGAAGGUCUCCGGCGACAGGCGCCACGGCUCUGGGGUCAGCAACCAAAACUCGUCCAUCACCUUGUUGACUACUUGACUUAACCAGCUGUGCCACGGCCGAUGUUAAUUCUCGAGCAUGGUGGGCGCAUGGAUGCAUGCAUGCAGGCAAGCUGGAGGCAGACGGUGCUGCUGGCGUUCCAGAGCAUCGGCGUGGUGUACGGCGACCUCGGCACGUCGCCGCUCUACACCUACUCGGGCACCUUCCCGAACGGCAUCAGGCACCCGGACGACCUACUCGGCGUCCUCUCCCUCAUCCUCUACACUCUCAUCCUCCUGCCCCUGCUCAAGUACGUCUUCAUCGUCCUCUACGCCAACGACAACGGCGACGGUCAGUACCUACCUUAUUGUGUUUUCCCUUCUUUCUUUCUUUUUUUGAGCUCUCUUGUGUUUGUUCAUGGACAUUAACUCAUGUUGGCUGGCAUGUAGGGGGCACGUUCGCGCUCUACUCGCUCAUCUCGCGGUACGCCCAGACCAGGAUGAUCCCUAACCAGCAGGACGAGGACGCGUCCGUGUCCAACUACAGCCUCCAGGAGUCCAGCUCGCAGACCAGAAGGGCGCAGUGGGUGAAGCGGAGGCUCGAGUCCAGCAAGGCUGCCAAGAUCGCGCUCUUCACCAUUACCAUCCUCGGCACCUCCAUGGUCAUGGGUGAUGGCACCCUCACACCCGCAAUCUCUGGUACUGUACAUUACAUUGAGCAACUUCACAUACAUACUAAGUUUAUAGAUUAAUAAUCUGAUGCUUGAUGGCUGUGUUGUUGCAGUGCUCUCUGCGGUGAGCGGGAUCCGGGAGAAGGCGCCAGACUUGACGCAAUGUACGUAUGAAUGCUUUCUAAUUUGUUCACUAGCUUGUUCUACAGCCAGGGAAUUGAUGUGGUUUGUUGUGAAAACAGCGCAAGUGGUGUGGAUCUCUGUUGCCAUCUUGUUCCUGCUCUUCUCGGUGCAGCGCUUCGGCACGGACAAGGUUGGCUACUCCUUCGCGCCCAUCAUCUCGGUGUGGUUCGUUCUCAUUGCCAGCAUCGGAGUGUACAACCUCGCCGCCCACGACGCCACCGUGCUCAGGGCCCUCAACCCCAUGUACAUUGUGGACUACUUCCGAAGGAACGGCAAGGAGGCGUGGCUCUCUCUCGGCGGCGUCGUCCUCUGCACCACAGGCACGGAGGCCAUGUUUGCUGACCUUGGCCAUUUCAACAUCAGGGCCAUUCAGGUUCGCCACUAUCAGUUUUUGACUCCAUUUGUAUUCAUCUCUAGUAAGUACAUUAGUUCAGACUUCAGAGCAGGGACUGAACUUCAUUUUCCGGGCUGUUUUCAGCUGAGCUUCAGCUUCAUCAUCUUCCCCUCCGUGGCGCUAUGCUACAUGGGCCAGGCAUCCUACCUGCACAAAUUCCCGCAAGACGUCGCCGACACCUUCUACAAAUCUAUCCCAGCGGCGAUGUUCUGGCCGACGUUCAUCGUGGCCAUCUUGGCGGCCAUCAUCGCCAGCCAGGCCAUGCUGUCGGGCGCGUUCGCCAUCCUGUCCAAAGCCCUCUCCCUCGGUUGCUUCCCGAGGGUGGAGGUGGUGCACACCUCCAAGAAGUACGCCGGGCAGGUGUACAUCCCGGAGGUGAACUUCCUCAUCGGCGCCGCCAGCAUCAUCGUCACCCUCGCCUUCCAGACCACCACCAACAUCGGCAACGCCUACGGGAUAUGCGUCGUCAUGGUCUUCUCCAUCACGACCCACCUCAUGACGGUGGUGAUGCUGCUCGUGUGGAAGAAGAACAUCGCCUUCAUCGCCGCCUUCUACGUCAUCUUCGGGGCCACCGAGCUCCUCUACCUGUCCUCCAUCCUCUCCAAGUUCGCCGAGGGAGGGUACCUGCCCUUCUGCUUCUCGCUGGUGCUCAUGGCGCUCAUGGCCACCUGGCACUACGUCCACGUCUGCCGCUACUGGUACGAGCUCGACAAUGUCGUGCCGGCGGCUGACCUCACGGCGCUCCUUGGCCGGCCCGACGUGCGCCGGGUGCCCGGCGUGGGCCUGCUCUACUCGGAGCUUGUCCAGGGCAUCCCUCCGGUGUUCCCUCGCCUCGUCGACAAGAUGCCGUCGGUGCACGCCGUCUUCGUCUUCAUGUCCAUCAAGAACCUGCCCAUCCCGCGGGUGCCGGCCCCCGAGCGCUUCAUCUUCCGGAGGGUUGGCCCCGCCGAGGACAGCAUGUUCCGCUGCGUGGCGCGCUACGGCUACACCGACCAGAUCGAGGCCGCCAAGGACUUCUCCGCUUCUCUCCUCGACGGCCUCAAGCUGUUCAUCUAUGAGGAGGCCGCCUUCUCCUGCAGCCAGCACACCGAUGACGAUGACGGCAGCGCUCUGCGGGCGGCGAAGGCAGCCGCAGAGGAGGAGAAGCGGUUCAUCGACGCAGAGUUGGAACGCGGCGUGGUGUACCUGACGGGCGAGGCGGACGUGAUGGCUGCGCCGGGGUCGUCGGUGAUGAAGAGGAUCGUGGUGAACUACGUGUACGCCUUCCUGAGGAGGAACCUCAGCGAGAGCCACAAAGCGCUCGCCAUUCCCAAGGAUCAGCUGCUCAAGGUCGGGAUCACUUAUGAGAUAUGAGAUAUAGAUCAAUGUUUCUUCUGCUGAACUUGUUGGUGAUAAACCUCUGAAUUUUGCAUUACCCGGAUGAUCCUGUACACAAUAUAAGAGUAAUGCUACAUUUUUGUAGAUGGAGCAUUACUCGUGUUGUACACCACCUGUGGAGAAAGAGUCUGUCUAGGACAAAUCUAGGUAUGACAUAGUUAGUUAUGUCACAUCUAAGCUGAUGUCCAUUUUGUUUGUGAUUUUUUUGUUUUUUUUAUUUCCUAUUGCUGCAUUAUAUAUUUGUAGGAACUUAAAUGUGACAAUCUUAAAAAACAUCUAGAUAUGAAUUAGACAAACUGAUAAAGAAAUCUUAUGGAUUGCCUACAUGCUGAUGUGGCAUGAGCUAAUUAGGAAUCACUCACUCCUGCAAUGCUAUUAAGCCUCAUGUCGCAUACCCUAUAGUUUUUUUUGAAAAAACUCCACCCAUAUAUUGAUCAAAUAACAAUAGUCUUACAAUCGUUCAUUACAUAAUUAGCCACGCAGUGCGGAACAGAAUUACACAGAAUACCAUUAGACAUGGUAUCAAAACUAAAUUUUGCUAUCUCAUGCGCCGCCUUAUUAGCCUGCCUAUCAAUCUUAACAAUCUUAAGAUCAACAAUAAACUUAGAGGCGCUGAACGCUUCCAUUUUUAAAUCCACAUAAGGAGAUCUGUCAACAGUUUCUUUCGCUAGGAAAGAUGCAGCAAAGGAGCAGUCAGUUUCCAAGAUAAUUGGUUUGUGAAGAGAAAUACCAAUGUACAGCCCGGCAAGGCACGCACGAAGUUCCGCCUCCUUCGCUCCAGAACACCUUCGAAUAAAAUCCCAAGAAGACACCAGGACUUCUCCCAGAUGAUUCCUAGCGACAACCCCAACGCUAGCAGAUCUCAAGCUCUCCGCAAAACUAGCAUCAACAUUUAUCUUAAUAUACUCCCGCUCUGGAGGCUUCCAAACAACACGAUCAUUUUCUUUUUGCGGAUUAAGAAUCUCCCCAUUCCCCAUCACCCCCUUCCCUUUGGUGCUUUGGUCCACUUGCACACGAGCGUUGGAAGUAGAGAAGGUCUUCCAAUAAUUAUCCAUGAAGAUAACAGACGCAUUCACCGAUUCUUUCCCUCUUCCAAAAAUCAAAUCGUUCCUCAGAUGCCAAGCUCUCCAGAACAUAAAUAACACUUGCUCGCGUACCGGAGACCCCAAUUGGCCGAGCAGGAUGAGAAGCCAGUCUGGCCCCAUAAAUCUGAACAACUCCUCCCUCGGAAUAUUCCACACAUCCCCCACGGCGAUACGCAAAGCACGCGCCUUAGGGCAGGUCACCAGAGCAUGGAAUAUAUUUUCAUCCUGAACUCCACAUAUAGUACACAUACUGGAGACCGUUUGAUGGUGAGUCACUCUAUUCACCUGAACCGCUAAACUGUUGGUCGCAGCUCUCCAAGCAAAAAUUCUAAUUUUUUGCGGAACCUUAGCCUUCCAAAUAACGUCCCACAGUCUUCUUUCCUCAUUAACAGUAGCACUGGAUAUUCCUGUCUCACCCCUGUUGUUCUUGAGGUUUAAAGCCAGUCUGUGCGCACUUUUCACAGAGAACAUACCACUUUUCUCAUAGUGCCAAGCAACUAGAUCACCUUCUCCCACAGACUGAAUGCGUAAGUUUAGGAUUUCUUCGGCAUCAUGAUGAGAGAAUAAAUGCCUAAUCAAAUUUUCAUCCCAUCUUCUCGUCCCGCUCAUGAAUAAUUCUGACACCCACUUCAGUCUAGUUCGAUGCUUUUUAGCUGUAAUUUUUAGUCCCGAAAUUCUUGGAAGUCAGUUAUCUCUCCAAAUGUUAACAUUUUUAUCAUCAACCACUCUCCAUAUGACCCCUUGUUUUAACAGUUCCAGACCAUGCAUGAUACCUUGCCAAUUCACGGACGUGGCUUGCGGGAAAACUGUAUCCAAGAUGUGACCAUUGGGAUAAUACUUUGCCUUCAAAAUCUUAGCACACAACGACUCUGGGUACACCAAUAAACGCCAGGCCUGUUUAGCUAACAACGCUUGGUUAAAUAACCUUAGGUCACGGAACCCCAUGCCUCCCUGUCCUUUUGGUUUUGUAAGUUUGUCCCAAGCUAACCAGUGAGUUUUCCUUCUAUCCUCUUCAUCUCCCCACCAGAAAUUUCUUAUAAUCUGAGCUAACUCCUCACAUAACGAGACUGGAAAUUUAAAAAGUCCCAUGGCAUAAACUGGCAGCGCUUGCAAAACAGCCUUGAUUUGAGAUUCCUUAAUACCAGUAGAAGCAUACUUUUCAAUCCAAUCUGACGCUCUUUUUAAAGCCUUAUCUUUGGUCGAGUUGAAUCAUGUGUCCAAAAGUGACACCUGUGCGAUCACUGAUCCAUCACGCAUAAUUGAGAGAAGAGUCCCGUGUGCAAUACUGCACGCAUAGUUUGAUUGGACAAAUUGUGUGCGAUAACUCGUGACAGCGCACACGUUUCUUCGAAUGUAGGGCACACGGUUUAAAUAAAUGAAUUGUAUGCGCUGAAGGGAAACAUCACACACAUUUAUUUUGAGUGUAUCAUGUGUGAAGUGGCGCACAGUUUCGCCAAAAAAUAUCGCACAAUGGUGGAUAGCAUAAUGUGUGUACACGUCGCCGCAUUGUCUUCUCCCGCGCACCGCCACGGCUUCCCGCUUGAACGAUGGCCUCCUUGCCUACCCGCCGCACACGUGCUGCCAAUGGCCACGCGUCGCAUCCACCCUGCACCAAUGCCGAGUCGGUGCCCUCGUCCCAGUGUGCGUGCCACGAUUCCCUUCGCUAUAGUCGGGCUACCACACCACUAAAGCCCUUGACGACGCCAGCCUUCCCUCCUCGGUGCCACAUUGUUGAAAAAUGCAUGGGCAACUACUAGUGCAGAGAAAGGGUGUUUCAGGGGUAUAAAAAUAUGAUACUUUGUAAAUCUGUGCACCACCAUUAGAAUGGCGUUGUAACCAGCAGGCCUAGGCAGUCCUUCUAUGAAAUCCAUUGUUAUAUCUAGCCAGGGAUUUUAGGAAUCGUCGAGGUAAUCCUGAUUUUGAGCUUUAGAUCGUCGGAUGUCGGGGGCGAGGCAAUCGAUGCGCUCACUCAAAGCAUCAUUUGCAUCAUUCAUUGUGCAUUGAAGGCCGGAGUGGUGUAGUUCGGUGAUGUAGCCGCUCGCGUCUUAUUGGUCAUCAAAGACCGGGGAUUGCAUGUCCAUCACUAGACUUGAACACGUGUAAGUUGUAAAUGAGAAGAUAAUACCAAACUAAACUCUCCCCAAAGUUGACAAUGUAUCUUGUAUCACUCAAUGAUGUAUGCAAAGAUAGUUGAUCUUUUCACUCAGACCUACACAGUAAAGCUUAUAGACUAGCUCGGUGAGGGUUAGUGGCACAAAAUCAUGGAAUAGUUAGCCAAGAUAUUGAAAAUAUUGAAAAAGAUUCACAUAUUUGAAAUGUGAUGUCAAUAGAUCAAUACCAAGGUGUAGAACAUGGAACACACACACACAGAUAGAUAAAUGGGGAUUGCCCAACCAAGGGAACGACAAAACAAAGCAUUUGGUGCUUGCUGUCUACCCGGGGGUGGAGGAGGAAGAAUGUACUGCCAGAAGGAAGGGCAAAACAAGGAAGAAGGAAUUGCGCGCUAGGGGCCAAGGAGGGGGUGUCGGUGUCAAAACCGGCGAAUCUCGGGUAGGGGGUCCCGAACUGUGCGUCUAAGGUCAAUGGUAACAGGAGACAAGGGACACAAUGUUUUACCCAGGUUCGGGCCCUCUCUAUGGAGGUAAUACCCUACGUCCCGCUUGAUUGAUCUUGAUGAAUAUGAGUAUUACAAGAGUUGAUCUACCACGAGAUCGUAAUGGCUAAACCCUAGAGGUCUAGCUUGUAUGGCUAUGGUAAUGUAUCUAUCCUCCGGACUAAGUCCUCUGGUUUAUAUAGACACCAGGAGGAUCUAGGGUUACACAAGGUCGGUUACAAAGAAAGGAAUCUACAUAUUUGGUCGCCAAGCUUGCCUUCCACGCCAAGGAGAGUCCCAUCCGAACACGGUUGCAGUCUUCGGUCUUUGUAUCUCCACAGCCCAUCAGUCCGGCCCAUGGCUAACAGGCCGGACGCCCGAGGACCCCUUAGUCCAGGACUCCCUCAGUAGCCCCUGAACCUGGCUUCAAUGAUAACGUAUCCGACGCGUAGAUCUGUCUUCAGCAUUGCAAGGCGGGUUCCUUCCUCCGAACUCCAAGAUAGUCUUCGGACGUAUCGACGUGUCCGGACCUGUAACACACACCACACACAACCGUAGAGAGAAUAUAAGGCCAACUUCACCGCGCGACCCCAAACGGACGUCCGUUUUGUCCGGUUUUUGUCCUUUUGGGUAGGGAUUUGAGGUCGUGUCCGGCCCUGUCCUGGGAUGCGGUGGCCGUGCGCCCAGCGCGCGGAUGCAUCCCGGCCGCAUCCUGUCCGCGUAUUAUUUCUUUGCAAGUCCUUAACUUUAUUUCAUCAUUCAUUUUUGGUACAUGAAAAAUACAUCAUCACAUUUUGACUAGUAAAGCAAGACCAAAGAAAACAAGAACCACAAGAAUAUAUUUUAGAAGAUGUUGGGGAACGUAGUAAUUUCAAAAAUUUUCCUACGCACACGCAAGAUCAUGGUGAUGCAUAGCAACGAGAGGGGAGAGUGUUGUCUACGUACCCUCGUAGACCGAAGCGGAAGCGUUGACACAACAUAGAGGAAGCAGUCGUACGUCUUCCCGGUCCAACCGAUCCAAGCACCGUUACUCUGGCACCUCCGAGUUCUUGACACACGUACAGCUCGAUGACGCACCCCGGGCUCCGAUCCAGCAAUGCUUCGGGGAGGAGUUUCGUCAGCAUGACGGCGUGGUGACGAUCUUGAUGUUUAACCGUCGCAGGGCUUCGCCUAAGCACCGCUACAAUAUGAUCGAGGUGUAAUAUCGUGGAGGGGGGCACCGCACAUGGCUAAGGAACGAUCACGAAGAUCAACUUAUGUGUCUAUGGGGUGCCCCCUGCCCCCGUAUAUAAAGGAGUGGAGGAGGGGAGGGCCGGCCCUCUCUAUGGCGCGCCCUAGGGGAGUCCUACUCCCACCGGGAGUAGGAUUCCCCCUUUCCUAGUCCAACUAGGCGUCCUUCCAUGUAGUAGGAGUAGGAGACAAGGAAGGGGAAGAGGGAAGAGAAGGAAGGAGGGGGCGCAGCCCCUCCCCCUAGUCCAAUUCGGACUAGGCCUGGGGGGGGGGGGCCUGCCUCUCCCUCUCCCCCAAAGCCCAAUAAGGCCCAUAUACUUCUUCUCCCGUAUUCCCGUAACUCCCCGGUACUCCGAAAAAUACCCGAACCACUCGGAACCUUUCCGAUGUUUGAAUAUAGUCGUCCAAUAUAUCGAUCUUUAUGCCUCGACCAUUUCGAGACUCCUCGUCAUGUCCCCGAUCUCAUCCGGGACUCCGAACUCCUUCGGUACAUCAAAAAUCAUAAACUCAUAAUAUAACUGUCAUCGAAACCUUAAGCGUGCGGACCCUACGGUUCGAGAACAAUGUAGACAUGACCGAGACACGUCUCCGGUCAAUAACCAAUAGCAGGACCUGGAUGCCCAUAUUGGCUCCUACAUAUUCUACGAAGAUCUUUAUCGGUCAGACCGCAUAACAACAUACGUUGUUCCCUUUGUCAUCGGUACGUUACUUGCCCGAGAUUCGAUCGUCGGUAUCCAAUACCUAGUUCAAUCUCGUUACCGGCAAGUCUCUUUACUCGUUCCAUAAUACAUCAUCCCGCAACUAACUCAUUAGUUGCAAUGCUUAUGUGAUGUGCAUUACCGAGAGGGCCCAGAGAUACCUCUCCAACAAUCAGAGUGACAAAUCCUAAUCUCGAAAUACGCCAGCCCAACAUGUACCUUUGGAGACACCUGUAGAGCUCAUUUAUAAUCACCCAGUUACGUUGUGACGUUUGGUAGCACACAAAGUGUUCCUCCGGCAAACGGGAGUUGCAUAAUCUCAUACUCAUAGGAACAUGUAUAAGUCAUGAAAAAAGCAAUAGCAACAUACUAAACGAUCGGGUGCUAAGCUAAUGGAAUGGGUCAUGUCAAUCAGAUCAUUCAACUAAUGAUGUGAUCCCGUUAAUCAAAUAACAAUUCUUUGUCCAUGGUUAGGAAACAUAACCAUCUUUGAUUAACGAGCUAGUCAAGUAGAGGAAUACUAGUGACAAUCUGUUUGUCUAUGUAUUCACACACGUAUUAUGUUUCUGGUUAAUACAAUUCUAGCAUGAAUGAUAAACAUUUAUCAUCAUACAAGGAAAUAAAUAAUAACUUUAUUAUUGCCUCUAGGGCAUAUUUCCUCCAGUCUCCCACUUGCACUAGAGUCAACAAUGUAGUUCACAUCGCCAUGUGAUUUAACAUCAAUAGUUCACAUCACCAUGUGAUUAACACCCAUAGUUCACAUCGUCAUGUGACCAACACUCAAAGGGUUUACUAGAGUCAGUAAUCUAGUUCACAUAUCUAUGUGAUUAACACCCAAAGAGUACUAAGGUGUGAUCAUAUUUUGCUUGUGAGAUAAUUUUAGUCAACGGGUCUAUUACGUUCAGAUCCGUAAGUAUUUUGCAAGUUUUAUGUCUACAAUGCUCUACAUGGAGCUACUCUAGCUAAUUGCUCCCACUUUCAAUAUGUAUCCAGAUUGAGACUUAGAAUCAUCUGGAUCAGUGUCAAAAACUUGCAUCAACGUAACCCUUUACGACGAACCUUUUUGUCACGUCCAUAAUCGAGAAACAUAUCCUUAUUUUACUAAGGACAAUUCUGACCGCUGUCCAGUGAUCUACUCCUAGAUCAUGAUUGUACUCCCUUGCCAAAUCAAUGCAGGGUAUACAAUAGAUCUGGUACACAGCAUGACAUACUUUAUAGAACCUAUGGCCAAGGCAUAGGGAAUGACUUUCAUUCUCUUUCUAUCUUCUGCCGUGGUCGGGCUUUGAGUCUUACUCAACUUCACACCUUGUAACACAGGCAAGAAACUUUUUCUUUGACUGUUCCAUUUUGAACUACUUCAAAAUCUUGUCAAGGUAUGUACUCAUUGAAAAGACUUAUCAAACGUCUUGAUCUAUCUCUAUAGAUCUUGAUACUCAAUAUGUAAGCAGCUCACUGAGGUCUUUCUUUGAAAAACUCUUAUUCAAGUAUCCCUUCAUGCUAUCCAGAAAUUCUAUAUCAUUUCCAAUCAGUAAUAUGUCAUCCACAUACAAUAUCAGAAAUGCUACAGAGCUCCCACUCACUUUCUUGUAAAUACAGGCUUCUCCGAAAGUCUGUAUAAAACGAAAUGCUUUGAUCACACUAUCAAAGCGUUUAUUCCAACUCCGAGAGGCUUGCACCAAUCCAUAAAUGGAUCGCUGGAGCUUGCACACUUUGUUAGCUCCCUUUGGAUCGACAAAACCUUCCGGUUGCAUCAUAUACAACUCUUCUUCCAGAAAUCCAUUUAGGAAUGCAGUUUUGACAUCCAUCUGCUAAAUUUCAUAAUCAUAAAAUGCGACAAUUGCUAACAUGAUUCGGACAGACUUAAGCAUCGCUAUGGGUGAGAAGGUCUCAUCGUAGUCAACCCCUUGAACUUGUCGAAAACCUUUUGUGACAAGUCGAGCUUUGUAGACAGUAAUAUUACCGUCAACGUCAGUCUUCUUCUUGAAGAUCCAUUUAUUCUCAAUUGCUUGCCGAUCAUCGGGCAAGUCAACCAAAGUCCAUACUUUGUUCUCAUACAUGGAUCCCAUCUCAGAUUUCAUGGCUUCAAGCCAUUUUGUGGAAUCUGGGCUCACCAUCGCUUCUUCAUAGUUCGUAGGUUCAUCAUGAUCUAGUAGCAUGAUUUCCAGAACAGGAUUACCGUACCACUCUGGUGCGGAUCUUACUCUGGUUGAUCUACGAGGCUCAAUAGUAACUUGAUCUGAAAUUUCAUGAUCAUCAUCAUUAAAUUCCUCACCAAUUGGUGUAGGUGUCGCAGAAACCGAUUUAUGUGAUGAACUACUUUCCAAUAAGGGAGCAGGUACAAUUACCUCAUCAAGUUCUACUUUCCUCCCACUCACUUCUUUCGAGAGAAACUCCUUCUCUAGAAAGGAUCCAUUCUUAGCAACGAAUGUCUUGCCUUCGGAUCUAUGAUAGAAGGUGUACCCAACAGUCUCCUUUGGGUAUCCUAUGAAGACACAUUUCUCCGAUUUGGGUUCGAGAUUAUCAGGUUGAAGCUUUUUCACAUAAGCAUCGCAGCCCCAAACUUUAAGAAACGACAACUUUGGUUUCUUGCCAAACCAUAGUUCAUAAGGCGUCGUCUCAACGGAUUUUGAUGGUGCCCUAUUUAACGUGAAUGCGGCCGUCUCUAAAGCAUAACCCCAAAAUGAUAGCGGUAAAUCAGUACGAGACAUCAUGGAUCGUACCAUAUCUAGUAAAGUAUGAUUACGACGUUCGGACACACCAUUACGCUGUGGUGUUCCGGGUGGCGUGAGUUGCGAAAUUAUUCCGCAUUGCUUCAAAUGUACACCAAACUCGUAACUCAAAUAUUCUCCUCCACGAUCAGAUCGUAGAAACUUUAUUUUCUUGUUACGAUGAUUUUCAACUUCACUCUGAAAUUCUUUAAACUUUUCAAAUGUUUCAGACUUAUGUUUCAUUAAGUAGAUAUACCCAUAUCUGCUUAAGUCAUCUGUGAAGGUGAGAAAAUAACGAUAUCCGCCACGAGCCUCAAUAUUCAUCGGACCACAUACAUCUGUAUGUAUGAUUUCCAACAAAUCUGUUGCUCUCUCCAUAGUACCGGAGAACGGUGUUUUAGUCAUCUUGCCCAUGAGGCACGGUUCGCAAGUACCAAGUGAUUCAUAAUCAAGUGGUUCCAAAAGCCCAUCAGCAUGGAGUUUCUUCAUGCGCUUUACACCAAUAUGACAUAAAUGACAGUGCUACAAAUAAGUUGCACUAUCAUUAUUAACUUUGCAUCUUUUUGUUUCAAUAUUAUGAUUAUGUGUAUCACUACGAUCGAGAUCCAACGAACUAUUUUCAUUGGGUGUGUAAUCAUAUAAGGUUUUAUUCAUGUAAACAGAACAACAAUUUAUUCUCUUACUUAAAUGAAUAACCGUAUUACAAUAAACAUGAUCAAAUCAUAUUCAUGCUCAACGUAAACACCAAAUAACACUUAUUUAGGUUCAACACUAAUCCCGAAUUUAUAGGGAGUGUGCGAUGAUGAUCAUAUCAAUCUUGGAACUAUUUCCAACACACAUCGUCACUUCACCCAUAACUAGUCUCUGUUCAUUCUGCAACUCCCGAUUCAAGUUACUAAUCUUAGCAACUGAACUAGUAUCAAAUACUGAGGGUUUGCUACAAACACUAGUAAAAUACACAUCAAUAAUCUGUAUAUCAAAUAUACCUUUGUUCACUUCGCCAUCCUUCUUAUCCGCCAAAUACUUGGGGUAGUUCCGCUUCCAGUGCCCAGUCCCUUUGCAGUAGAAGCACUUAGUCUCAAGCUUAGGACCAGACUUGGGCUUCUUCACUUGAGUAGCAACUUGCUUGCUGUUCUUCUUGAAGUUCCCCUUUUUUCCUUUGCCCUUUUCUUGAAACUAGUGAUCUUGUCAACCAUCUACACUUGAUGUCUUUCUUGAUUUCUACCUUCAUCGAUUUCAUCAUCAUGAAAAUCUCGGGGGUCGUUUUCGUCAUCCCUUGCAUACUAUAGUUCAUCACGAAGUUCUACUAACUUGGUGAUGGUGACUAGAGAAUUCUGUCAAUCACUAUCUUAUCUGGAAGAUUAACUCCUACUUGAUUCAAGUGAUUGUUUGAAGGAAAUAUGCCCUAGAGGCAAUAUUAAAGUUAUUAUUUAUGCUAGAAUUGUAUUAACCGGAAACAUAAUACAUGUGUGAAUACAUAGACAAACAGAGUGUCACUAGUAUGCCUCUACUUGACUAGCUCGUUAAUCAAAGAUGGUUAUGUUUCCUAACCAUGGACAAAAGAGUUGUUAUUUGAUUAACGAGAUCACAUCAUUAGUUGAAUGAUCUGAUUGACAUGACCCAUUCCAUUAGCUUAGCACCCGAUCGUUUAGUAUGUUGCUAUUGCUUUCUUCAUGACUUAUACAUGUUCCUAUGACUAUGAGAUUAUGCAACUCCCGUUUGCCGGAGGAACACUUUGGGUGCUACCAAACGUCACAACGUAACUGGGUGAUUAUAAAGGAGUACUACAGGUGUCUCCAAAGGUACAUGUUGGGUUGGCGUAUUUCGAGAUUAGGAUUUGUCACUCUGAUUGCCGGAGAGGUAUCUCUGGGCCCUCUCGGUAAUGCACAUCACAUAAGCCUUGCAAGCAUUACAACUAAUGUGUUAGUUGUGAGAUGAUGUAUUACGGAACGAGUAAAGAGACUUGCCGGUAACGAGAUUGAACUAGGUAUUGGAUACCGACGAUCGAAUCUCGGGCAAGUAACAUACCGAUGACAAAGGGAACAACGUAUGUUGUUAUGCGGUCUGACCGAUAAAGAUCUUCGUAGAAUAUGUAGGAGCCAAUAUGGGCAUCCAGGUCCCGCUAUUGGUUAUUGACCGGAGACAUGUCUUGGUCAUGUCUACAUUGUUCUCGAACCGUAGGGUCCGCACGCUUAAGGUUUCGAUGACAGUUAUAUUAUGAGUUUAUGAGUUUUGAUGUACCGAAGGAGUUCGGAGUCCCUGAUGAGAUCGGGGACAUGACGAGGAGUCUCGAAAUGGUCGAGACGUAAAGAUCGAUAUAUUGGACGACUAUAUUCGGACUUCGGAAAGGUUCCGAGUGAUUCGGGUAUUUUUCGGAGUACCGGAGAGUUACGGGAAUUCGCCGGGGAGUAUAUGGGCCUUAUUGGGCCAUACGGGAAUAGAGGAGAGAGGCCAAAAGGAAGGAGGCCUGCGCCCCCCCUCUGGUCCGAAUUGGACAAGGGGCGCAGCCCCCUUUUCCUUAUUCCUCUCCCCCUCUUUCCCCUUCUCCUACUCCAACAAGGAAGAAGGGAGUCCUACUCCCGGUGGGAGUAGGACUCCCCUUGGCGCGCCUCCUCCUAGGCCGGCCGCCCCCUCCCCCUUGCUCCUUUAUAUACGGAGGCAGGGGGGCACCCCAUGACACACAAGUUGAUCAUUGAGAUCGUUCCUUAGCCGUGUGCGGUGCCCCCUGCCACCAUAUUCCACCUCGAUCAUAUCGUUGUAGUGCUUAGGCGAAGCCCUGCGUCGGUAGAACAUCAAGAUCUUCACCACGCCGUCGUGCUGACGAAACUCCUCCCCGAAGCUUUGCUGGAUCGGAGCCCGGGGAUCGUCAUCGAGCUGAACGUGUGCUAAGAACUCGGAGGUGCCGGAGUAACGGUGCUGGGAUCGGUCGGAUCGGGAAGAAGACGUACGACUACUUCCUCUACGUUGUGUCAACGCUUCCGUUGUGAUCUACAAGGGUACGUAGAUCACACUCUCCUCUCGUUGCUGUGCAUCACCAUGAUCUUGCGUGUGCGUAGGAAAUUUUUUGAAAUUACUGCGUUACCCAUCAGUGGCAUACGAGCCUAGGUUUUAUGGUUUGAUGUUAUUUGCACGAGUAGAACACAAGUGAGUUGUGGGCGAUACAAGUCAUACUGCCUACCAGCAUGUCAUACUUUGGUUUGGCGGUAUUGUUGGACGAGGCGACCCGGACCAACAUUACGCGUACGCUUACGCGAGACCGGUUCCCCUGACGUGCUUUGCACACAUGUGGCUUGCGGGCGACUGUCUCUCCAACUUUAGUUGAACCAAGUGUGGCUACGCCCGGUCCUUGCGAAGGUUAAAACGGAGUCUAUUUAACAAACUAUCGUUGUGGUUUUGAUGCGUAGGUGAGAUUGGUUCUUGCUUAAGCCCGUAGCAGCCACGUAAAACUUGCAACAACAAAGUAGAGGACGUCUAACUUGUUUUUGCAGGGCAUGUUGUGAUGUGAUAUGGUCAAGACAUGAUGCUAAAUUUUAUUGUAUGAGAUGAUCAUGUUUUGUAACCGAGUUAUCGGCAACUGGCAGGAGCCAUAUGGUUGUCGCUUUAUUGUAUGCAAUGCAAUCGCGAUGUAAUGCUUUACUUUAUCACUAAGCGGUAGCGAUAGUCGUGGAAGCAUAAGAUUGGCGAGACGACAAUGAUGCUACGAUGGAGAUCAAGGUGUCACGCCGGUGACGAUGGUGAUCAUGACGGUGCUUCGGAGAUGGAGAUCACAAGCACAAGAUGAUGAUGGCCAUAUCAUAUCACUUAUAUUGAUUGCAUGUGAUGUUUAUCUUUUUAUGCAUCUUAUCUUGCUUUGAUUGAUGGUAGCAUUAUAAGAUGAUCUCUCACUAAUUAUCAAGAAGUGUUCUCCCUGAGUAUGCACCAUUGCGAAAGUUCUUCGUGCUGAGACACCACGUGAUGAUCCGGUGUGAUAGGCUCUACGUUCAAAUACAACGGGUGCAAAACAGUUGCACUCGCGGAAUACUCAGGUUAUACUUGACGAGCCAAGCAUAUACAGAUAUGGCCUCGGAACACGGAGACCGAAAGGUCGAGCGUGAAUCAUAUAGUAGAUAUGAUCAACAUAGUGAUGUUCACCAAUGAAACUACUCCAUCUCACGUGAUGAUCGGACAUGGUUUAGUUGAUUUGGAUCACGUGAUCACUUAGAGGAUUAGAGGGAUGUCUAUCUAAGUGGGAGUUCUUAAGUAAUAUGAUUAAAUUGAACUUAAAUUUAUCAUGAACUUAGUCCUGGUAGUAUUUUGCAAAUUAUGUUGUAGAUCAAUAGCUCGCGUUGUUGCUUCCAUGUGUUUAUUUUGAUAUGUUCCUAGAGAAAAUUGUGUUGAAAGAUGUUAGUAGCAAUGAUGCGGAUUGGAUCCAUGAUCUGAGGUUUAUCCUCAUUGCUGCACAGAAGAAUUAUGUCCUUAAUGCACCGCUAGGUGACAGACCUAUUGCAGGAGCAGAUGCAGACGUUAUGAACGUUUGGCUAGCUCAAUAUGAUGACUACUUGAUAGUUUAGUGCACCAUGCUUAACGGCUUAGAAUCGGGACUUCAAAGAUGUUUUGAACGUCAUGGACCAUAUGAGAUGUUCCAGGAGUUGAAAUUAAUAUUUCAAACAAAUACCCGAGUUGAGAGAUAUGAAGUCUCCAACAAGUUCUAUAGCUAAAAGAUGGAGGAGAAUCGCUCAACUAGUGAGCAUGUGCUUAGAUUGUCUGGGUACUACAAUCGCUUGAAUCAAGUGGGAGUUAAUCUUCCAGAUAAGAUAGUGAUUGACAGAAUUCUCUAGUCACCAUCACCAAGUUAGUAGAACUUCGUGAUGAACUAUAAUAUGCAAGGGAUAACGGAAACAACUCUCAAGCUCUUUGUGAUGCUGAAAUCAACGAAGGUAGAAAUCAAGAAAAACAUGAAGUGUUGAUGGUUGACAAGAUCACUAGUUUCUAGAAAAGGGCAGAGGGAAAAAAGGGGAACUUCAAGAAGAACAGCAAGCAAGUUGCUGCUCAAGUGAAGAAGCCCAAGUCUAGUCCUAAGCCUGAGACUAAGUGCUUCUACUGCAAAGGGACUGGUCACUGGAAGCGGAACUACCCCAAGUGAUUGGCGGAUAAGAAGGAUGGCAAAGUGAACAUAAGUAUAUUUGAUAUACAUGUUAUUAAUGUGUACUUUACUAGUGUUUAUAGCAACCCCUCAGUAUUUGAUACUAGUUCAGUUGCUAAGAUUAGUAACUCGAAACGGGAGUUGCAGAAUGAACAGAGACUAGUUAAGGGUGAAGUGACGAUGUGUGUUGGAAGUGGUUCCAAGAUUGAUAUGAUCAUCAUCGCACACUCCCUAUACUUUUGGGAUUAGUGUUGAACCUGAAUAAGUGUUAUUUGGUGUUUGCGUUGGGCAUGAAUAUGAUUUGAUCAUGUUUAUUGUAAUACGGUUAUUCAUUUAAGAGAAUAAAUUGUUGUUCUGUUUAUAUGAAUAAAACCUUAUAUGGUUACACACCCAAUGAAAAUAGUUCAUUGGAUCUCGAUCGUAGUGAUACACAUAAUCAUAAUAUUGAAACCAAAAGAUGCAAAGUUAAUAAUGAUAGUGCAACUUAUUUGUAGCACUGCCGUUUAGGUCAUAUUGGUGUAAAGCGCAUGAAGAAACUCCAUGCUGAUGGGCUUUUGGAAUCACUUGAUUAUGAAUCAGUUGAUGCUUGCGAACCAUGCCUCAUAGGCAAGAUGACUAAGACUCUGUUCUUCGGAACAAUGGAGCGAGCAACGGAUUUGUUGGAAAUCAUACAUACUGAUGUAUGUGGUCCGAUGAAUAUUGAGGCUCGCGACAAGUAUCAUUAUUUUCUGAUCUUCACAGAUGAUUUGAGCAGAUAUGAGUAUAUCUACUUGAUGAAACAUAAGUCUGAAACAUUUGAAAAGUUCAAAGAAUUUCAGAGUGAAGUGAAAAAUCAUCGUAACAAGAAAAUAAAAUUUCUACGAUCUGAUCGUAGAGAAAAGUAUUUGAGUUACGAGUUUGGCCUUCAGUUAAAAACAAUGUGAAAUAGUUUCACUACUCAUGCCACCUGGAACACCACAAUGUAAUGGUGUGUCUGAACAUCGUAACCGUACUUUAUUAAAUAUGGUGCAAUCUAUGAUGUCUCUUGCCGAUUUACCACUAUCCUUUUGGGGUUAUGCAUUAGAGACAGCUGCAUUCACGUUAAAUAGGGCACCAUCAAAAUCCGUUGAGACGACGCCUUAUGAACUAUGGUUUGGCAAGAAACCAAAGUUGUCGUUUCUGAAAGUUUGGGGCUGCGAUGCUUAUGUGAAAAAGCUUCAACCUGAUAAGCUCGAACCCAAAUCGGAGAAAUGUGUCUUCAUAGGAUAUCCAAAGGAAACUAUUGGAUACACCUUCUAUCACAGACCCGAAGGCAAGACUUUUGUUGCUAAAUUCGGAAACUUUCUUGAGAAGGAGUUUCUCUCGAAAGAAGUGAGUGGGAGGAAAGUAGUACUUGAUGAGGUAACUGUACCUCCUCCCUUAUUGGAAAGUAGUACAUCACAGAAACCGGUUUCUGUGACACCUACACCAAUUAGUGAGGAAGCUAAUGAUGAUGAUCAUGAAACUUCAGAUCAAGUUACUACCGAAUCUCGUAGGUAAACCAGAGUGAGAUCCGCACCAGAGUGGUACGGUAAUCCUGUUCUGGAAGUCAUGUUACUAGACCAUGAUGAACUUGCGAACUAUGAGGAAGCGAUGAUGAGUCCAGAUUCCGCAAAAUGGUUUGAGGCCAUGAAAUCUGAGAUAUGAUCCAUGUAUGAGAACAAAGUAUGGACUUUGAUGGAUUUGCCUGAUGAUCGGCAAGCCAUAGAAAAUAAAUGGAUCUUCAAGAGGAAGACGGACGCCGAUAGUAGUGUUACUAUCUACGAAGCUAGAAUGGUCGCAAAAGGUUUUCGACAAGUUCAAGGUGUUGACUACGAUGAGAGUUUCUCACUCGUAUCUAUGCUUAAGUCUGUUCGAGUCAUGUUAGCAAUUGCCACAUUUUAUGAAAUCUGGCAAAUGGAUAAACAAAACUGCAUUCCCUAAUGGAUUUAUUAAAGAAGAGUUGUAUACGAUGCAACUAGAAGGUUUUGUCGAUCCUAAAGGUGUUAACAAAAUAUGCAAGCUCCAGCAAUCCAUCUAUGGACUGGUACAAGCAUCGAGUUGGAAUAUACACUUUGAUGAGUUGAUCAAAGCAUAUAGUUUUAUACAGACUUGCGGUGAAGCCUGUAUUUACAAGAAAGUGAGUGGGAGCACUACAACAUUUCUGAUAAGUAUAUGUGAAUGACAUAUUGUUGAUCGGAAAUAAUGUAGAAUUAUUCUGUAAAGCAUAAAGGAGUAUUUGAAAGGAGUUUUUUCAAAGAAAGACUUCGGUGAAGCUGCUUACAUAUUGAGCUUCAAGAUCUAUAAAGAUAGAUCAAGACGCUUGAUAAGUUUUUUCAAUGAGUACAUACCUUGACAAGAUUUUGAAGUAGUUCAAAAAUGGAGCAGUCAAAGAAAGAGUUCUUGCCUGUAUUACAAGGUGUGAAGUUGAGUAAGACUCAAAGCCCGACCACGGCAGAAGAUAGAAAGAGAAUGAAAGUCAUUCCCUAUGCCUCAGUCAUAGGUUCUAUAAAGUAUGCCAUACUGUGUACCAGAUCUAUUGUAUACCCUGCACUGAUUUGGCAAGGGAGUACAAUAGUGAUCUAGGAGUAGAUCACUGGACAGCGGUCAAAAUUAUCCUUAGUAGAAUAAGGAAAUAUUUCUCGAUUAUGGAGGUGACAAAAGGUUCGUCGUAAAAAGUUACGUCGAUGCAAGUUUUGACACGGAUCUGGAUGACUCUAAGUCUCGAUCUAGAUACAUAUUGAAAGUGGGAGCAAUUAGCUAGAGUAGCUCCGUGCAGAGCAUUGUAGACAUAGAAAAUUGCAAAAUACAUAACGGAUCUGAAUGUGAAAAACCGUUGACUAAGAUUCUCUCACAAGCAAAACAUGAUCACACCUUAGUAUUCUUUGGGUGUUAAUCACAUAGCGAUGUGAACUAGAUUACCGAAUCUAGUAAACCCUUUGGGUGUUGGUCACAUGACAAUGUGAACUAUGGGUGUUAAUCACAUGAUGAUGUGAACUAUCGAUGUUAAUCACAUGGUAAUGUGAUCUAGAUUAUUGACUCUAGUGCAAGUGGGAGACUGAAGGAAAUAUGCCCUAGAGGCAAUAAUAAAGUUAUUAUUUAUUUCCUUAUAUCAUGAUAAAUAUUUAUUAUUCAUGCUAGAAUUGUAUUAAGCGGAAACAUAAUACAUGUGUGAAUACAUAGACAAACAGAGUGUCACUAGUAUGCCUCUACUUGACUAGCUUGUUAAUCAAAAAUGGUUAUGUUUCCUAACCAUGGACAAAAGAGUUGUUAUUUGAUUAACAAGAUCACAUCAUUAUUUGAUUAACGAGUAAAUAGACUUGCCGGUAACGAGAUUGAACUAGGUAUUGGAUACCGACGAUCGAAUCUUGGGCAAGUCACAUACCGAUGACAAAGGGAACAACGUAUGUUGUUAUGCGGUCUGACCGAUAAAGAUCUUCGUAGAAUAUGUAGGAGCCAAUAUGGGCAUCCAGGUCCCGCUAUUGGUUAUUGACCGGAGACGUGUCUCGGUCAUGUCUACAUUGUUCUCGAACCGUAGGGUCCGCACGCUUAAGGUUUCGAUGACAGUUAUAUUAUGAGUUUAUGAUUUUUGAUGUACCGAAGGAGUUCGGAGUCCCGGAUGAGAUCGGGGACAUGACGAGGAGUCUCGAAAUGGUCGAGGCAUAAAGAUCGAUAUAUUGGACGACUAUAUUCAAACAUCGGAAAGGUUCCGAGUGGUUCGGGUAUUUUUCGGAGUACCGGGGAGUUACGGGAAUACGGGAGAAGAAGUAUAUGGGCCUUAUUGGGCUUUAGGGGAGAGGGAGAGGCAGGCCGCCCCCCCCCCAGGCCUAGUCCGAAUUGGACUAGGGGGAGGGGCUGCGCCCCCUCCUUCCUUCUCUUCCCUCUUCCCCUUCCUUGUCUCCUACUCCUACUACAUGGAAGGACGCCUAGUUGGACUAGGAAAGGGGGAAUCCUACUCCCGGUGGGAGUAGGACUCCCCUAGGGCGCGCCAUAGAGAGGGCCGGCCCUCCCCUCCUCCACUCCUUUAUAUACGGGGGCAGGGGGCACCCCAUAGACACACAAGUUGAUCUUCGUGAUCGUUCCUUAGCCAUGUGCGGUGCCCCCCUCCACGAUAUUACACCUCGAUCAUAUUGUAGCGGUGCUUAGGCGAAGCCCUGCGACGGUUAAACAUCAAGAUCGUCACCACGCCGUCAUGCUGACGAAACUCCUCCCCGAAGCAUUGCUGGAUCGGAGCCCGGGGUGCGUCAUCGAGCUGUACGUGUGUCAAGAACUCGGAGGUGCCAGAGUAACGGUAGGAGCCAAUAUGUAGGAGCUGUACGUGUGUCAAGAUCUUCGUAGAAUAUGUAGGAGCCAAUAUGGGCAUCCAGGUCCCGCUAUUGGUUAUUGACCGGAGACGUGUCUCGGUCAUGUCUACAUUGUUCUCGAACCGUAGGGUCCGCACGCUUAAGGUUUCGAUGACAGUUAUAUUAUGAGUUUAUGAUUUUUGAUGUACCGAAGGAGUUCGGAGUCCCGGAUGAGAUCGGGGACAUGACGAGGAGUCUCGAAAUGGUCGAGACGUAAAGAUCGAUAUAUUGGACGACUAUAUUCGGACUUCGGAAAGGUUCCGAGUGAUUCAGGUAUUUUUCGGAGUACCGGAGAGUUACGGGAAUUCGCCGGGGAGUAUAUGGGCCUUAUUGGGCCAUACAGGAAUAGAGGAGAGAGGCCAAAAGGAAGGAGGCCUGCGCCCCCCCUCUGGUCCGAAUUGGACAAGGGGCGCAACCCCCUUUUCCUUAUUCCUCUCUCCCUCUUUCCCCUUCUCCUACUCCAACAAGGAAGGAGGGAGUCCUACUCCCGGUGGGAGUAGGACUCCCCUUGGCGCGCCUCCUCCUAGGCCGGCCGCCCCCUCCCCCUUGCUCCUUUAUAUACGGAGGCAGGGGGCACCCUAUGACACACAAGUUGAUCAUUGAGAUCGUUCCUUAGCCAUGUGCGGUGCCCCCUGCCACCAUAUUCCACCUCGAUCAUAUCGUUGUAGUGCUUAGGCGAAGCCCUGCGUCGGUAGAACAUCAAGAUCGUCACCACGCCGUCGUGCUGACGGAACUCCUCCCCGAAGCUUUGCUGGAUCGGAGCCCGGGGAUCGUCAUCGAGCUGUACGUGUGCUAAGAACUCGGAGGUGCCGGAGUAACGGUGCUGGGAUCGGUCGGAUCGGGAAGAAGACAUACGACUACUUCCUCUACGUUGUGUCAACGCUUCCGUUGCGAUCUACAAGGGUACAUAGAUCACACUCUCCUCUCGUUGCUGUGCAUCACCAUGAUCUUGCGUGUGCGUAGGAAUUUUUGUGAAAUUACUGCGUUACCCAUCAUUGUUGUACCCAGACAAUCUGAGCACAUGCUCACUAGUUGAGCGAUUCUCCUCCAUCUUUUUGCUAUAGAACUUGUUGGAGACUUCAUAUCUCUCAACUCGGGUAUUUGCUUGAAAUAUUAACUUCAACUCCUGGAACAUCUCAUAUGUGAAGGAAAUAUGCCCUAGAGGCAAUAAUAAAGUUAUUAUUUAUUUCCUUAUAUCAUGAUAAAUGUUUAUUAUUCAUGCUAGAAUUGUAUUAACCGGAAACAUAAUACAUGUGUGAAUACAUAGACAAACAGAGUGUCACUAGUAUGCCUCUACUUGACUAGCUCGUUAAUCAAAGAUGGUUAUGUUUCCUAACCAUGAACAAAGAGUUGUUAUUUGAUUAACGAGGUCACAUCAUUAGUUGAAUGAUCUGAUUGACAUGACCCAUUCCAUUAGCUUAGCACCCGAUCGUUUAGUAUGUUGCUAUUGCUUUCUUCAUGACUUAUACAUGUUCCUAUAACUAUGAGAUUAUGCAACUCCCGUUUACCGGAGGAACACUUUGGGUACUACCAAACGUCACAACGUAACUGGGUGAUUAUAAAGAAGUACUGGUGUCUCCAAUGGUAGAUGUUGGGUUGGCGUAUUUCGAGAUUAGGGUUUGUCACUCCGAGUGUCGGAGAGGUAUCUCUGGGCCCUCUCGGUAAUACACAUCACAUAAGCCUUGCAAGCAUAAUAACUAAGAUGUUAGUUAUGAGAUGAUGUAUUACGGAACGAGUAAAGAGACUUGCCAGUAACGAGAUUGAACUAGGUAUUGGAUACCGACGAUCGAAUCUCGGGCAAGUAACAUACCGAUGACAAAGGGAACAACGUAUGUUGUUAUGCGGUCUGACCGAUAAAGAUCUUCGUAGAAUAUGUAGGAGCCAAUAUGGGCAUCCAAGUCCCGCUAUUGGUUAUUGACCGGAGACGUGUCUCGGUCAUGUCUACAUUGUUCUCGAACCAUAGGGUCCGCACGCUUAACGUUACGAUGACAGUUAUUAUGAGUUUAUGCAUUUUGAUGUACCGAAGGAGUUCGGAGUCCCGGAUGAGAUCACGGACAUGACGAGGAGUCUCGAAAUGGUCGAGACGUAAAGAUUGAUAUAUUGGAAGCCUAUGUUUGGACAUCGGAAGUGUUCCGAGUGAAAUCGGGAUUUUACCGGAUUACCGGGAGGGUUACCGGAACCCCCCGGGAGCCAAAUGGGCCAACAUGGGCCUUAGUGGAAAGGUGAGAGGGCAGCCCACAUAGGGCUGCGCCUCCCCCCUCUCCCUAGUCCUAUUAGGACUAGGAGAGGGGCCGGCCACCUCUCUCUCUCUCUCUCCCCUUUGAAGGAUUCCUAGUUGGACUAGGAUUGGAGGGGGGAGUCCUACUCCCGGUAGGAGUAGGACUCCUCCUGCGCCUCCCUCUCUAUGGCCGGCCAGCCUCCCUCCCUCCAACCUUUAUAUACGGGGGCAGGGGACACCCCAAGACACACAAGUUGAUCCUUGAGAUCGUUCCUUAGCCGUGUGCGGUGCCCCCUGCCACCAAAUUCCACCUCGAUCAUACCGUUGUAGUGCUUAGGCGAAGCCCUGCGUCGGUAGUACAUCAAGAUCGUCACCACGCCGUCGUGCUGACGGAACUCUUCCUCGACGCUUUGCUGGAUCGGAGCCCGAGGAUCGUCAUCGAGCUGAACGUGUGCUAAGAACUUGGAGGUGCCGGAGUAACGGUGCUUGGAUCGGUCGGAUCGGGAAGAAGACGUACGACUACUUCCUCUACGUUGUGUGAUCGCUUCCGCAGUCGGUCUGCGUUGGUACGUAGACAACACUCUCCCCUCUCGUUGCUGUGCAUCACCAUGAUCUUGCGUGUGCGUAGGAAAUUUUUCGAAAUUACUACGUUCCCCAACAGUGGCAUCCGAGCCUAGGUUUUAUGGUUUGAUGUUAUUUGCACGAGUAGAACACAAGUGAGUUGUGGGCGAUACAAGUCAUACUGCCUACCAGCAUGUCAUACUUUGGUUCGGCGGUAUUGUUGGACGAGACGAUCCGGACCAACCUUACGCGUACUCUUACGCGAGACCGGUUCCCUCGACGUGCUUUGCACAUAGAUGGCUUGCGGAAGACUGUCUCUCCAACUUUAGUUGAACCAAGUGUGGCUACGCCCGGUCCUUGAGAAGGUUAAAACGGAGUCUAUUUGACGAACUAUCGUUGUGGUUUUGAUGCGUAGGUGAGAUGAGUUCUUACUUAAGCCCGUAGCAGCCACGUAAAACUUGCAACAACAAAGUAGAGGACGUCUAACUUGUUUUUGCAGGGCAUGUUGUGAUGUGAUAUGGUCAAGGCAUGAUGCUGAUUUUAUUGUAUGAGAUGAUCAUGUUUUGUAACCAAGUUAUCGGCAACUGGCAGGAGCCAUAUGGUUGUCGCUUUAUUGUAUGCAAUGCAAUCGCGAUGUAAUGCUUUACUUUAUUACUAAGCGGUAGUGAUAGUCGUGGAAGCAUAAGAUUGGCGAGACGACAACGAUGCUACGAUGGAGAUCAAGGUGUCGCGCCGGUGACGAUGGAGAUCAUGACGGUGCUUCGGAGAUGGAGAUCACAAGCACAAGAUGAUGAUGGCCAUAUCAUAUCACUUAUAUUGAUUGCAUGUGAUGUUUAUCCUUUUAUGCAUCUUAUCUUGCUUUGAUUGACGGUAGCAUUAUAAGAUGAUCUCUCACUAAAUUAUCAAGAAGUGUUCUCCCUGAGUAUGCACCGUUGCCAAAGUUCUUCGUGGCCAGACACCACGUGAUGAUCGGGUGUGAUAAGCUCUACGUUCAAAUACAACGGGUGCAAAACAGUUGCACACGCAGAAUACUCAGGUUAUACUUGACGAGCCAAGCAUAUACAGAUAUGGCCUCGGAACACGGAGACCGAAAGGUUGAGCGUGAAUCAUAUAGUAGAUAUGAUCAACAUAACGAUGUUCACCAUUGAAAACUACUCCAUCUCACGUGAUGAUCGGUUAUGGUUUAGUUGAUUUGGAUCACGUGAUCACUUAGAGGAUUAGAGGGAUGUCUAUCUAAGUGGGAGUUCUUAAGUAAUAUGAUUAAAUUGAACUUAAAUUUAUCAUGAACUUAGUCCUGGUAGUAUUUUGCAAAUCAUGUUGUAGAUCAAUAGCUCGCGUUGUUGCUUCCCUGUGUUUAUUUUGAUAUGUUCCUAGAGAAAAUUGUGUUGAAAGAUGUUAGUAGCAAUGAUGCGGAUUGGAUCCGUGAUCUAAGGUUUAUCCUCAUUGCUGCACAGAAGAAUUAUGUCCUUGAUGCACUGCUAGGUGACAGACCUAUUGCAGGAGCAGAUGCGGAUGUUAUGAACGUUUGGCUAGCUCAAUAUGAUGACUACUUGAUAGUUUAGUGCACCAUGCUUAAUGGCUUAGAAUCGGGACUUCAAAGACGUUUUGAACGUCAUGGAUCAUAUGAGAUGUUCCAGGAGUUGAAGUUAAUAUUUCAAGCAAAUACCCGAGUUGAGAGAUAUGAAGUCUCCAACAAGUUCUAUAGCUAAAAGAUGGAGGAGAAUCGCUCAACUAGUGAGCAUAUGCUCAGAUUGUCUGGGUACUACAAUCGCUUGAAUCAAGUGGGAGUUAAUCUUCCAGAUAAGAUAGUGAUUGACAGAAUUCUCUAGUCACCAUCACCAAGUUAGUAGAACUUCGUGAUGAACUAUGAUAUGCGAGGGAUAACAGAAACAACUCCCAAGCUCUUCGUGAUGCUGAAAUCAACGAAGGUAGAAAUCAAGAAAAACAUCAAGUGUUGAUAGUUGACAAGAUCACUAGUUUCAAGAAAAGGGCAAAGGGAAGAAGGGGAACUUCAAAAGAACGGCAAGCAAGUUGCUACUCAUGUGAAGAAGCCCAAGUCUGGACCUAAGCCUGAGACUAAGUGCUUCUACUGCAAAGGGACUGGUCACUGGAAGCGGAACUACCCCACGUGAUUGGCGGAUAAGAAGGAUGGCAAAGUGAACAUAAGUAUAUUUGAUAUACAUGUUAUUGAUGUGUACUUUACUAGUGCUUAUAGCAACCCCUUAGUAUUUGAUGCUAGUUCAGUUGCUAAGAGUAGUAACUCGAAACGGGAGUUGCAGAAUAAACAGAGACUAGUUAAGGGUGAAGUGACGAUGUGUGUUGGAAGUGGUUCCAAGAUUGAUAUGAUCAUCAUCGCACACUCCCUAUAAUUUCGGGAUUAGUGUUGAACCUAAAUAAGUGUUAUUUGGUGUUUGCGUUGAACAUGAAUAUGAUUUGAUCAUGUUUAUUGUAAUACGGUUAUUCAUUUAAGUAAGAGAAUAAAUCGUUGUUCUGUUUACAUGAAUAAAACCAAAUAUGGUUUCACACCCAAUGAAAAUAGUUCAUUGGAUCUCGAUCUUAAUAAUACACAUAAUCAUAAUAUUGAAACCAAAAGAUGCAAAGUUAAUAAUGAUAGUGCAACUUAUUUGUAGCACUGCCGUUUAGGUCAUAUUGGUGUAAAGCGCAUGAAGAAACUCCAUGCUGAUGGGAUUUUGGAAUCACUUGAUUAUGAAUCACUUGAUGCUUGCGAACCGUGCCUUUUUGGCAAGAUGACUAAAACGCCGUUCUUCGGAACAAUGGAGCGAGCAACAGAUUUGUUGGAAAUCAUACAUACUGAUGUAUGUGGUCCGAUGAAUAUUGAGGCUCGCGACAGGUAUCAUUAUUUUCUGAUCUUCACAGAUGAUUUGAGCAGAUAUGAGUAUAUCUACUUGAUGAAACAUAAGUCUGAAACAUUUGAAAAGUUCAAAGAAUUUCAGAGUGAAGUGGAAAAUCAUCGUGACAAGAAAAUAAAAGUUUCUACGAUAUGAUCGCAGAGGUAAAAUAUUUAAGUUACGAGUUUGGUCUUCAAUUGAAACAAUGUGGAAUAGUUUCACAAAAUCAUGCCAUAUGGAACACCACAACAUAAUGGUGUGUCCUAAUGUCAUAUCCGUACUUUACUGGAUAUGGUGCAAUCUAUGAUGUAUCUUACCGAUCUACCACUAUCGUUUUGGGGUUAUGCAUUAGAGACAGCUGCAUUCAUGUUAAAUAGGGCACCAUCAAAAUCCGUUGAGACGACACCUUAUGAACUAUGGUUUGGCAAGAAACCAAAGUUGUCAUUUCUUAAAGUUUGGGGUUGCGAUGCUUAUAUGAAAAAGUUUCAUCCUGAGAAGCUCAAAACUCAAAUCGGAGAAGUGCAUCUUCAUAGGAUAUCCAAAGGAAACUGUUGGAUACACCUUCUACCACAGAUCCGAAGGCAAGACUUUUGUUGCUAAAUUCGGAAACUUUCUGGAGAAGGAGUUUCUCUCGAAAGAAGUAAGUGGGAGGAAAGUAGAACUUGACGAGGUAACUAUACCUGCUCCCUGUUGGAAAGUAGCACAUCACAGAAAACUGUUUCUGUGACACCUACACCAGUUAGUGAGGAAGCUAAUGAUGAUGAUCAUGAAACUUCAGAACAAGAUACUACUGAACCUCGUAGAUCAACCAGAGUAAGAUCCGCGCCAGAGUGGUACGGUAAUCCUUUUCUGGAAGUCAUGCUACUAGAUCAUGAUGAACCUACGAACUAUGAAGAAGCGAUGGUGAGCCCAGAUUCCGCAAAGUGGCUUGAAGCCAUGAAUUCUGAGAUAUGAUCCAUGUAUGAGAACAAAGUAUGGACUUUGGUUGACUUGCCUGAUGAUCGGCAAGCAAUUGAGAAUAAAUGGAUCUUCAAGAGGAAGACGGACGUUGAUAGUAGUGUUACUAUCUACAAAGCUAGAAUUGUCGCAAAAGGUUUUCGACAAGUUCAAGGUGUUGACUACGAUGAGAGCUUCUCACUCGUAUCUAUGCUCGAGUCUGUCCAAAUCAUGUUAGCAAUUGCCGCAUUUUAUGAAAUCUGGCAAAUGGAUAAACAAAACUGCAUUCCUUAAUGGAUUUGCUAAAGAAGAGUUGUAUACGAUGCAACUAGAAGGUUUUGUCGAUCCUAAAGGUGUUAACUAAAUAUGCAAGCUCCAGCGAUCUAUCUGUGGACUGGUGCAAGCAUCUCGGAGUUGGAAUAUACGCUUUGAUGAGUUGAUCAAAGCAUAUAGUUUUAUACAGACUUGCGGUGAAGCCUGUAUUUACAAGAAAGUGAGUGGGAGCACUACAGCAUUUCUGAUAAGUAUAUGUGAAUGACAUAUUGUUGAUCGGAAAGAAUGGAGAAUUAUUCUGUAAAGCAUAAAGGAAUGUUUGAAAGGAGUUUUUCAAAGAAAGACUUCGGUGAAGCUGCUUACAUAUUGAGCUUCAAGAUCUAUAGAGAUAGAUCAAGACGCUUGAUAAGUUUUUCAAUAAGUACAUACCUUGACAAGAUUUUGAAGUAGUUCAAAAUGGAACAGUCAAAGGAAAAGUUUCUUGCCUGUGUUACAAGGUGUGAAGUUGAGUAAGACUCAAAGCCCGACUACGGCAGAAGAUAGAAAGAGAAUGAAAGUCAUUCCCUAUGCCUUGGCCAUAGGUUCUAUAAAGUAUGUCAUGCUGUAUACCAGAUCUAUUGUAUACCCUGCACUGAUUUGGCAAGGGAGUACAAUAGUGAUCUAGGAGUAGAUCACUGGACAUCGGUCAGAAUUAUCCUUAGUGAAAUAAGGAUAUGUUUCUCGAUUAUGGACGUGACAAAAGGUUCGUCGUAAAGGGUUACGCCGAUGCAAGUUUUGACACUAAUCUAGAUGACUCUAAGUCUCAGUCUAGAUACAUAUUGAAAGUGGGAGCAAUUAGCUAGAGUAGCUCCAUGAAGAGCAUAGUUGACAUAGAAAUUUGCAAAAUACAUGUGGAUCUGAAUAUGGCAGACCCGUUGACUAAGAUUCUCUCACAAGCAAAACAUGAUCACACCUUAGUACUCUUUGGGUGUUAAUCACAUAGAGAUGUGAACUAGAUUACUGACUCUAGUAAACCCUUUGAGUGUUGGUCACAUGACGAUGUGAACUAUGGGUGUUAAUCACAUGGUGAUGUGAACUAUUGCUGUUAAAUCACAUGGCGAUGUGAAACUAGAUUAUUGACUCUAGUGCAAGUGGGAGACUGAAGGAAAUAUGCCCUAGAGGCAAUAAUAAAGUUAUUAUUUAUUUCCUUAUAUCAUGAUAAAUGUUUAUUAUUCAUGCUAGAAUUGUAUUAACCGGAAACAUAAUACAUGUGUGAAUACAUAGACAAACAGAGUGUCACUAGUAUGCCUCUACUUGACUAGCUCGUUAAUCAAAGAUGGUUAUGUUUCCUAACCAUGAACAAAGAGUUGUUAUUUGAUUAACGAGGUCACAUCAUUAGUUGAAUGAUCUGAUUGACAUGACCCAUUCCAUUAGCUUAGCACCCGAUCGUUUAGUAUGUUGCUAUUGCUUUCUUCAUGACUUAUACAUGUUCCUAUAACUAUGAGAUUAUGAAACUCCCGUUUACCGGAGGAACACUUUGGGUACUACCAAACGUCACAACGUAACUGGGUGAUUAUAAAGGAGUACUACAGGUGUCUCCAAUGGUAGAUGUUGGGUUGGCGUAUUUCGAGAUUAGGGUUUGUCACUCCGAGUGUCGGAGAGGUAUCUCUGGGCCCUCUCGGUAAUACACAUCACAUAAGCCUUGCAAGCAUAAUAACUAAGAUGUUAGUUAUGAGAUGAUGUAUUACGGAACGAGUAAAGAGACUUGCCAGUAACGAGAUUGAACUAGGUAUUGGAUACCGACGAUCGAAUCUCGGGCAAGUAACAUACCGAUGACAAAGGGAACAACGUAUGUUGUUAUGCGGUCUGACCGAUAAAGAUCUUGGUAGAAUAUGUAGGAGCCAAUAUGGGCAUCCACGUCCCGCUAUUGGUUAUUGACCGGAGACGUGUCUCGGUCAUGUCUACAUUGUUCUCGAACCGUAGGGUCCGCACGCUUAACGUUACGAUGACAGUUAUUAUGAGUUUAUGCAUUUUGAUGUACCAAAGGUUGUUCGGAGUCCCGGAUGAGAUCACGGACAUGACGAGGAGUCUCGAAAUGGUCGAGACGUAAAGAUUGAUAUAUUGGAAGCCUAUGUUUGGACAUCGGAAGUGUUCCGAGUGAAAUCGGGAUUUUACCGGAUUACCGGGAGGGUUACCGGAACCCCCCGGGAGCCAAAUGGGCCAACAUGGGCCUUAGUGGAAAGGUGAGAGGGCAGCCCACAUAGGGCUGCGCCUCCCCCCUCUCCCUAGUCCUAUUAGGACUAGGAGAGGGGCCGGCCACCUCUCUCUCUCUCCCCUUUGAAGGAUUCCUAGUUGGACUAGGAUUGGAGGGGGGAGUCCUACUCCCGGUAGGAGUAGGACUCCUCCUGCGCCUCCCUCUCUAUGGCCGGCCAGCCUCCCUCCCUCCAACCUUUAUAUACGGGGGCAGGGGACACCCCAAGACACACAAGUUGAUCCUUGAGAUCGUUCCUUAGCCGUGUGCGGUGCCCCCUGCCACCAAAUUCCACCUCGAUCAUACCGUUGUAGUGCUUAGGCGAAGCCCUGCGUCGGUAGUACAUUAAGAUCGUCACCAUGCCGUCGUGCUGACGGAACUCUUCCUCGACGCUUUGCUGGAUCGGAGCCCGAGGAUCGUCAUCGAGCUGAACGUGUGCUAAGAACUCGGAGGUGCCGGAGUAACGGUGCUUGGAUCGGUCGGAUCGGGAAGAAGACGUACGACUACUUCCUCUACGUUGUGUGAUCGCUUCCGCAGUCGGUCUGCGUUGGCACGUAGACAACACUCUCCCCUCUCGUUGCUGUGCAUCACCAUGAUCUUGCGUGUGCGUAGGAAAAUUUUCGAAAUUACUACGUUCCCCAACAAUAUGUUCCAUGACGUUCAAAACGUCUUUGAAGUCCCGAUUCUAAGCCAUUAAGCAUGGUGCACUAAACUAUCAAGUAGUCAUCAUAUUGAGCUAGCCAAACGUUCAUAACGUCUGCAUCUGCUCCUGCAAUAGGUCUGUCACCUAGCGGUGCAUCAAGGACAUAAUUUUUUCUGUGCAACAAUGAGGAUAAACCUCAUAUCACGGAUCCAAUCCGCAUCAUUGCUACUAACAUCUUUCAACAUAGUUUUUCUCUAGGAACAUAUCAAAACAAACAUAGCGAAGCAACAACGCGAGCUAUUGAUCUACAACAUAGAUAUGCUAAUACUACCAGGACUAAGUUCAUGAUAAAUUUAAGUUCAAUUAACCAUAUUACUUAAGAACUCCCACUUAGAUAGACAUCCCUCUAAUCCUCUAAGUGAUCACGUGAUCCAAAUCAACUAAACCAUAACCGAUCAUCACGUGAAAUGGAGUAGCUUUCAAUGGUGAACAUCACUAUGUUGAUCAUAUCUACUCUAUGAUUCACGCUCGACCUUUCGGUCUCAGUGUUCCAAGGCCAUAUCUGCAUAUGCUAGGCUCGUCAAGUUUAACCUGAGUAUUCUGCGUGUGCAAAACUGACUUGCACCCGUUGUAGAUGGACGUAGAGCUUAUCACACCCGAUCAUCACGUGGUGUCUGGGCACGACGAACUUUGGCAACGGUGCAUACUCAGGGAGAACACUUCUUGAUAAUUUAGUGAGAGAUCAUCUUAUAAUGCUACCGUCAAUCAAAGCAAGAUAAGAUGCAUAAAAGAUAAACAUCACAUGCAAUCAAUAUAAGUGAUAUGAUAUGACCAUCAUCAUCUUGUGCUUGUGAUCUCCAUCUCUGAAGCACCGUCAUGAUCACCAUCGUCACCAGCGCGACACCUUGAUGUCCAUCGUAGCAUCGUUGUCGUCUCGCCAAUCUUAUGCUUCUACGACUAUCGCUACCGCUUAGUGAUAAAGUAAAGCAUUACAGGGCGAUUGCAUUGCAUACAAUAAAGCGACAACCAUAUGGCUCCUGCCAGUUGCCGAUAACUCAGUUACAAAACAUGAUCAUCUCAUACAAUAAAAUUUAGCAUCAUGUCUUGACCAUAUCACAUCACAACAUGCCCUGAAAAAACAAGUUAGACGUCCUCUACUUUGUUUGUUGCAAGUUUUACGUGGCUGCUACGGGCUUGAGCAAGAACCAAUCUUACCUACGCAUCAAAACCACAACGAUAGUUUGUCAAGUUGAUGCCGUUUUAACCUUCGCAAGGACCGGGCGUAGCCACACUCGGUUCAACUAAAGUUGGAGAAACUGACACCCGCCAGCCACCUGUGUGCAAAGCACGGCGGUAGAACCAGUCUUGCGUAAGCGUACGCGUAAUGUCGGUCCAGCCCGCUUCAUCCAACAAUAUCGCCGAACCAAAGUAUAACAUGUUGGUAGGCAGUAUGACUUAUAUCGCCUACAACUCACUUGUGUUCUACUCGUGCAUAUAACAUCAAAACAUAAAACCUAGAGUCGGAUGCCACUGUUGGGGAACGUAGUAAUUUCCAAAUUUUUCCUAUGCACACGCAAGAUCAUGGUGAUGCAUAGCAACGAGAGGGGAGAGUGUUGUCUACGUACCCUCGUAGACCGAAGCGGAAGCGUUGACACAACAUAGAGGAAGUAGUCGUACGUCUUCCCGGUCCAACCGAUCCAAGCACCGUUACUCCGGCACCUCCGAGUUCUUGACACACGUACAGCUUGAUGACGCACCCCGGGCUCCGAUCCAGCAAAGCUUCGGGGAGGAGUUUCGUCUGCACGACGGCAUGGUGACGAUCUUGAUGUUUAACCGUCGCAGGGCUUCGCCUAAGCACCGCUACAAUAUGAUCGAUGUGUAAUAUAGUGGAGGGGGGCACCGCACAUGGUUAAGGAAUGAUCACGAAGAUCAACUUGUGUGUCUAUGGGGUGCCCCCUACCCCCGUAUAUAAAGGAGUGGAGGAGGGGAGGGCCGGCCCUCUCUAUGGCGCGCCCUAGGGGAGUCCUACUCCCACCGGGAGUAGGAUUCCCCCUUUCCUAGUCCAACUAGGAGUCCUUCCAUGUAGUAGGAGUAGGAGACAAGGAAGGGGAAGAGGGAAGAGAAGGAAGGAGGGGGCGCAGCCCCUCCCCCUAGUCCAAUUCGGACUAGGCCUUGGGGGGGGGGGGGCUGCCUCUCCCUCUCCCCUAAAGCCCAAUAAGGCCCAUAUACUUCUUCUCCCGUAUUCCCGUAACUCCCCGGUACUCCGAAAAAUACCCGAACCACUCGGAACCUUUCCGAUGUCCGAAUAUAGUCGUCCAAUAUAUCGAUCUUUACGUCUCGACCAUUUCGAGACUCCUCGUCUUGUACCCGAUCUCAUCCGGGACUCCGAACUCCUUCGGUACAUCAAAACUCAUAAACUCAUAAUAUAACUGUCAUCAAAACUAAGCGUGUGGACCCUACGGUUCGAGAACAAUGUAGACAUGACCGAGACACGUCUCCGGUCAAUAACCAAUAGCAAGACCUGGAUGCCCAUAUUGGCUCCUACAUAUUCUACGAAGAUCUUUAUCGGUCAGACCGCAUAACAACAUACGUUGUUCCCUUUGUCAUCGGUACGUUACUUGCCCGAGAUUCGAUCGUCGGUAUCCAAUACCUAGUUCAAUCUCGUUACCGGCAAGUCUCUUUACUCGUUCCGUAAUACAUCAUCCCGCAACUAACUCAUUAGUUGCAAUGCUUGCAAGGCUUAUGUGAUGUGCAUUACCGAGAGGGCCCAGAGAUACCUCUCCGACAAUCGGAGUGACAAAUCCUAAUCUCGAAAUACGCCAACCCAACAUGUACCUUUGGAGACACCUGUAGAGCUCCUUUAUAAUCACCCAGUUACGUUGUGACGUUUGGUAGCACACAAAGUGUUCCUCCGGCAAACGGGAGUUGCAUAAUCUCAUAGUCAUAGGAACAUGUAUAAGUCAUGAAAAAAGCAAUAGCAACAUACUAAACGAUCGGGUGCUAAGCUAAUGGAAUGGGUCAUGUCAAUCAGAUCAUUGAACUAAUGAUGUGAUCCUGGUAAUCAAAUAACAAUUCUUUGUCCAUGGUUAGUAAACAUAACCAUCUUUGAUUAACGAGCUAGUCAAGUAGAGGCAUACUAGUGACACUCUGUUUGUCUAUGUAUUCACACAUGUAUUAUGUUUCCGGUUAAUACAAUUCUAGCAUGAAUAAUAAAAAUUUAUCAUGAUAUAAGGAAAUAAAUAAUAACUUUAUUAUUGCCUCUAGGGCAUAUUUCCUUCAGAAGAUACCCAACUUCCAUAACUGCUCCCUUGAGUUGGGUUAGGGCCUUCUCGAUGCACUCAUUGUUGAUCUGUGGAGUAGGAGGCUUGAUCUGGCAUCCUCCUUUCUUCUUCAAGCCAGAAGUCGAUGUUGCUUCCUCCUCAUACCUAGUCUCAUGUCUAGCCUCUAAUCUAGCAACAAGUGCACUUGUCUCAUUUAUAGCCUCUAUGCUAGCUAAAAGUGCACGGACAUGUACUAAAUUUCUCUCUAUCAAUAUAUUGAUGUACUCUUCUUCCCAAUACCAAAACUUGCAUCCAUUCUACACAACAAAAUUUGAAGUUAGCACAACUAGUUAAAUCUAGAGCACAAACCGACGCUAAAAAAAGCGCAUACCCCAUCGUUUAAGCACUUGAUGAACACCCAUCCGGGAUGUUCCGGCGUUGUAGACACGCGGUGCACAACCAUCCUUGGGCAGUGGUCACACUUAAUGAGUGGCAACGGUGCGCCGGCGAGCUUUUGGGCAAGCACCGAGCCCGGCCAGCCGCCAUUCGUGUAUCUGCCGGCAGACCACCGACGGUGCAGAUCCGAGCGGCUAGAGGAGGAGCCACUGCCUGCAUGUGGCCUUGCAGCCCUGCCAGGGCCUUCCGGCGAGGUGCCCGGCCAGUCCAUGGCGCGGCCCGGCCUCCCACAGCCGGCCGAGCUCAAGACCGACCGGAUCCGCCCCAAAACCGGCCGGCGGGUGCGCAAACCAGGUGGCCAUGGUCGCGUCCGAGCCCGGCGCCGAGGGGAAGGGGUUGGGCUGAAGGAAAUAUGCCCUAGAGGCAAUAAUAAAGUUAUUAUUUAUUUCCUUAUAUCAUGAUAAAUGUUUAUUAUUCAUGCUAGAAUUGUAUUAACCGGAAACAUAAUACAUGUGUGAAUACAUAGACAAACAGAGUGUCACUAGUAUGCCUCUACUAGACUAGCUCGUUAAUCAAAGAUGGUUAUGUUUCCUAACCAUGAACAAAGAGUUGUUAUUUGAUUAACGAGGUCACAUCAUUAGUUGAAUGAUCUGAUUGACAUGACCCAUUCCAUUAGCUUAGCACCCGAUCGUUUAGUAUGUUGCUAUUGCUUUCUUCAUGACUUAUACAUGUUCCUAUAACUAUGAGAUUAUGCAACUCCCGUUUACCGGAGGAACACUUUGGGUACUACCAAACGUCACAACGUAACUGGGUGAUUAUAAAGGAGUACUACAGGUGUCUCCAAUGGUAGAUGUUGGGUUGGCGUAUUUCGAGAUUAGGGUUUGUCACUCCGAUUGUCGGAGAGGUAUCUCUGGGCCCUCUCGGUAAUACACAUCACAUAAGCCUUGCAAGCACUGCAACUAAAAUGUUAGUUGUGAGAUGAUGUAUUACGGAACGAGUAAAGAGACUUGCCGGUAACGAGAUUGAACUAGGUAUUGGAUACCGACGAUCGAAUCUCGGGCAAGUAACAUACCGAUGACAAAGGGAACAACAUAUGUUGUUAUGUGGUCUGACCGAUAAAGAUCUUCGUAGAAUAUGUAGGAGCCAAUAUGGGCAUCCAGGUCCCGCUAUUGGUUAUUGACCAGAGACGUGUCUCGGUCAUGUCUACAUUGUUCUCGAACCGUAGGGUCCGCACGCUUAACGUUACGAUGACAGUUAUUAUGAGUUUAUGCAUUUUGAUGUACCGAAGGUUGUUCGGAGUCCCGGAUGAGAUCACGGACAUGAAGAGGAGUCUCGAAAUGGUCGAGACGUAAAGAUUGAUAUAUUGGAAGCCUAUGUUUGGACAUAGGAAGUGUUCCGGGUGAAAUCAGGAUUUUAUCGGAAUACCGGGAGGGUUACCGGAACCCCCCGGGAGCCAAAUGGGCCAACAUGGGCCUUAGUGGAAAGGUGAGAGGGCAGCCCACAUAGGGCUGCGCCUCCCCCCUCUCCAUAGUCCUAUUAGGACUAGGAGAGGGGCCGGCCACCUCUCUCUCUCUCCCCUUUGAAGGAUUCCUAGUUGGACUAGGAUUGGAGGGGGGAGUCCUACUCCCGGUAGGAGUAGGACUCCUCCUGCGCCUCCCUCUCUCUGUCCGGCCAGCCCCCCUCCCUCCAACCUUUAUAUACGGGGGCAGGGGACACCCCAAUACACACAAGUUGAUCCUUGAGAUCGUUCCUUAGCCGUGUGCGGUGCCCCCUGCCACCAAAUUCCACCUCGAUCAUACCGUUGUAGUGCUUAGGCGAAGCCCUGCGUCGGUAGUACAUCAAGAUCGUCACCACGCCGUUGUGCUGACGGAACUCUUCCUCGACGCUUUGCUGGAUCGGAGCCCGAGGAUCGUCAUCGAGCUGAACGUGUGCCAAGAACUCGGAGGUGCCGGAGUAAUGGUGCUUGGAUCGGUCGGAUCGGGAAGAAGACGUACGACUACUUCCUCUACGUUGCGUGAUCGCUUCCGCAGUCGGUUUGCGUUGGUACGUAGACAACACUCUCCCCUCUCGUUGCUGUGCAUCACCAUGAUCUUGCGUGUGCGUAGGAAAAUUUUCGAAAUUACUGCGUUCCCCAACAGUGGCAUCCGAGCCUAGGUUUUAUGGUUUGAUGUUAUAUGCACGAGUAGAACACAAGUGAGUUGUGGGCGAUAUAAGUCAUACUGCCUACCAGCAUGUCAUACUUUGGUUCGGCGGUAUUGUUGGAUGAAGCGGCCCGGACCGACAUUACACGUACACUUACGCGAGACCGGUUUCCCCGACGUGCUUUGCACAUAGGUGACUUGCGGGUGACUGUUUCUCCAACUUUAGUUGAACCGAGUGUGGCUACGCCCGGUCCUUGCGAAGGUUAAAACGGAGUCUAUUUGACAAACUAUCGUUGUGGUUUUGAUGCGUAGGUGAGAUUGGUUCUUGCUUAAGCCCGUAGCAGCCACGUAAAACUUGCAACAACAAAGUAGAGGACGUCUAACUUGUUUUUGCAGGGCAUGUUGUGAUAUGAUAUGGUCAAGACAUGAUGAGAUAUAAGUUGUUGUAUGAGAUGAUCAUGUUUUGUUGAAGUUAUCGGCAACUGGCAAAAGCCUUAUGGUUGUCUCUUUAUUGCAUAAGAUGCAAGCGCCAAAUAAUUGCUUUACUUUAUCGCUAUGCGAUAGCAAUAGUUGCAAGAGCAAUAGUUGGUGAGACGACCGUGUGACGACACAUUGAUAUAGAUCAAGAUGAUGGAGAUCAUGGUGUCAUGCCGGUGAUGACAGAGAUCAUGACAGUACUUUGGAGAUGGAGAUCAAAGAAGCAAUAUGAUGAUGACCAUAUCAUGUCACAUAUUUUGAUUGCAUAUGAUGUUUAUCUUUUAUACAUCUUAUUUUUGCUUUGAUUGACGGUAGCAUUAUAAGAUGAUCUCUCACUAAAUUAUCAAGAAGUGUUCUCCCUGAGUAUGCACCGUUGCCAAAGUUCUUCGUGCCCAGACACCACGUGAUGAUCGGGUGUGAUAAGCUCUAUGUUCAAAUACAACGAGUGCAAAACAGUUGCACACGCAGAAUACUCAGGUUAUACUUGACGAGCCAAGCAUAUACAGAUAUGGCCUCGGAACACGGAGACCGAAAGGUCGAGCGUGAAUCAUAUAGUAGAUAUGAUCAACAUAACGAUGUUCACCAUUGAAAACUACUCCAUCUCACGUGGUGAUCGGUUAUGGUUUAGUUGAUUUGGAUCACGUGAUCACUUAGAGGAUUAGAGGGAUGUCUAUCUAAGUGGGAGUUCUUAAGUAAUAUGAUUAAAUUGAACUUAAAUUUAUCAUGAACUUAGUCCUGGUAGUAUUUUGCAAAUCAUGUUGUAGAUCAAUAGCUCGCGUUGUUGCUUCCCUGUGUUUAUUUUGAUAUGUUCCUAGAGAAAAUUGUGUUGAAAGAUGUUAGUAGCAAUGAUGCGGAUGGAUCCGUGAUCUGAGGUGUAUGCUCAUUGCUGCACAGAAGAAUUAUGUCCUUGAUGCACCGCUAGGUGACAGACCUAUUGCAGGAGCAGAUGCGGACGUUAUGAACGUUUGGCUAGCUCAAUAUGAUGACUACUUGAUAGUUUAGUGCACCAUGCUUAAUGGCUUAGAAUCGGGACUUCAAAGACGUUUUGAACGUCAUGGACCAUAUGAGAUGUUCCAGGAGUUGAAGUUAAUAUUUCAAGCAAAUACCCGAGUUGAGAGAUAUGAAGUCUCCAACAAGUUCUAUAGCUAAAAGAUGGAGGAGAAUCGCUCAACUAGUGAGCAUAUGCUCAGAUUGUCUGGGUACUACAAUCGCUUGAAUCAAGUGAGAGUUAAUCUUCCAGAUAAGAUAGUGAUUGACAGAAUUCUCUAGUCACCAUCACCAAGUUAGUAGAACUUCGUGAUGAACUAUCAUAUGCGAGGGAUAACGGAAACAACUCCCAAGCUCUUCGUGAUGCUGAAAUCAACGAAGGUAGAAAUCAAGAAAAACAUCAAGUGUUGAUGGUUGACAAGACCACUAGUUUCAAGAAAAGGGCAAAGGGAAGAAGGGGAACUUCAAGAAGAACGGCAAGCAAGUUGCUGCUCAAGUGAAGAAGCCCAAGUCUGAUCCUAAGCCUGAGACUAAGUGCUUCUACUGCAAAGGGACUGGUCACUAGAAGCGGAACUACCCCAAGUGAUUGGCGGAUAAGAAGGAUGGCAAAGUGAACAUAAGUAUAUUUGAUAUACAUGUUAUUGAUGUGUACUUUACUAGUGUUUAUAGCAAACCCUCAGUAUUUGAUACUAGUUCAGUUGCUAAGAUUAGUAACUCGAAACGGGAGUUGCAGAAUAAACAGAGACUAGUUAAGGGUGAAGUGACGAUGUGUGUUGGAAGUGGUUCCAAGAUUGAUAUGAUCAUCAUCGCAUACUCCCCUAUACUUUCGGGAUUAGUGUUGAACUUAAACAAGUGUUAUUUGGUUUUUGCGUUGAGCAUGAAUAUGAUUUGAUCAUGUUUAUUGCAAAACGGUUAUUCAUUAAAGUAAGAGAAUAAAUUGUUGUUCUGUUUACAUGAAUAAAACCUUAUAUGGUUACACACCCAAUGAAAAUAGUUCGUUGGAUCUCGAUCAUGGUGAUACACAUAAUCAUAAUAUUGAAACCAAAAGAUGCAAAGUUAAUAAUGAUAGUGCAACUUAUUUGUAGCACUGCCGUUUAGGUCAUAGUGGUGUAAAGCACAUGAAGAAACUCCAUGCUGAUGGGAUUUUGGAAUCACUUGAUUAUGAAUCACUUGAUGCUUGCGAACCGUGCCUUUUGGGCAAGAUGACUAAAACGCCGUUCUUCGGAACAAUGGAGCGAGCAACAGAUUUGUUGGAAAUCAUACAUACUGAUGUAUGUGGUCCAAUGAAUAUUGAGGCUCGCGACAGAUAUCAUUAUUUUCUGAUCUUCACAGAUGAUUUGAGCAGAUAUGAGUAUAUCUACUUGAUGAAACAUAAGUCUGAAACAUUUGAAAAGUUCAAAGAAUUUCAGAGUGAAGUGGAAAAUCAUCGUGACAAGAAAAUAAAAGUUUCUACGAUAUGAUCGCAGAGGUAAAAUAUUUGAGUUACGAGUUUGGUCUUCAAUUGAAACAAUGUGGAAUAGUUUCACAAAAUCAUGCCAUAUGGAACACCACAGCAUAAUGGUGUGUCCUAACGUCAUAACCGUACUUUAUUGGAUAUAGUGCAAUCUAUGAUGUAUCUUACCGAUCUACCACUAUCGUUUUGGGGUUAUGCAUUAGAGACAGCUGCAUUCACGUUAAAUAGGGCACCAUCUAAAUCCAUUGAGAUGACACCGUGUGAACGAUGGUUUGGCAAGAAACCUAAGCUGUUGUUUCUUAAAGUUUGGGGUUGUGAUGCUUAUAUGAAAAGGUUUCAUCCUAGUAAGCUCAAACCCAAAUCGGAGAAAUAUGUCUUCAUAGGAUACCCAAAGGAGACUAUUGGGUACACCUUCUAUCACAAAUCCGAAGGCAAGACUUUUGUUGCUAAAUUCGGAGUUUUUCUAGAGAAGGAGUUUCUCUCGAAAGAAGUGAGUGGGAGGAAAGUAGAACUUGACAAGGUAACUGUACCUACUCCUUUAUUGGAAAGUAGUACAUCACAGAAAACUGUUUCUGCGACACCUACACUAAUAAGUGAGGAAGCUAAUGAUGAUGAUCAUGUAACUUCAGAUCAAGUUACUACCGAAUCUCGUAGGUAAACCAGAGUGAGAUCCGCACCAGAGUGGUACGGUAAUCCUGUUCUGGAGGUCAUGUUACUAGACCAUGACGAACCUACGAACUAUGAGGAAGCGAUGAUGAGCCCAGAUUCCACGAAAUGGUUUGAGGCCAUGAAAUCUGAGAUAUGAUCCAUGUAUGAGAACAAAGUUUGGACUUUGGUUGACUUGCCCGAUGAUCGGCAAGCAAUUGAGAAUAAAUGGAUCUUCAAGAGGAAGACGGACGCUGAUAGUAGUGUUACUAUCUACAAACCUAGAAUUGUCGAAAAAGGUUUUCGACAAGUUCAAGGUGUUGACUACGAUGAGAGCUUCUCACUCGUAUCUAUGCUUGAGUCUGUCCGAAUCAUGUUAGUAAUUGCCGCAUUUUAUGAAAUCUGGCAAAUGGAUAAACAAAACUGCAUUCCUUGAUGGAUUUAUUAAAGAAGAGUUGUAUAUGAUGCAACAGAAGGUUUUGUCAAUCCGAAAGGUGCUAACAAAAUGUGCAAGCUCCAGCGAUCCAUCUGUGGACUGGUGCAAGCAUCUCGGAGUUGGAAUAUACGCUUUGAUGAGUUGAUCAAAGCAUAUAGUUUUAUACAGACUUGCGGUGAAGCCUGUAUUUACAAGAAAGUGAGUGGGAGCACUACAGCAUUUCUGAUAAGUAUAUGUCAAUGACAUAUUGUUGAUCAGAAAUAAUGUAGAAUUAUUCUGUAAAGCAUAAUGGGGUGUUUGAAAGGAGUUUUUCAAAGAAAGACUUCGGUGAAGCUGCUUACAUAUUGAGCUUCAAGAUCUAUAGAGAUAGAUCAAGACGCUUGAUAAGUUCUUUCAAUGAGUACAUACCUUGACAAACAUUUUGAAGUAGUUCAAAAUGGAGCAGUCAAAGAAAGAGUUCUUGCCUGUAUUAUAAGGUGUGAAGUUGAGUAAGACUCAAAGCCCGACCACGGUAGAAGAUAGAAAGAGAAUGAAAGUCAUUCCCUAUGCCUUGGCCAUAGGUUCUAUAAGUAUGUCAUGCUGUAUACUAGAUCUAUUGUAUACCCUGCACUGAUUUGGCAAGGGAGUACAAUAGUGAUCUAGGAGUAGAUCACUGGACAGCGGUCAGAAUUAUCCUUAGUGAAAUAAGGAUAUGUUUCUCGAUUAUGGACGUGAUAAAAAGGUUCGUCGUAAAGGGUUACGCCGAUGCAAGUUUUGACACUGAUCCAGAUGAAUCUAUAAGUCUCAAUCUGGAUAUAUAUUGAAAGUGGGAGCAAUUAGCUAGAGUAGCUCCUUGCAGAGCAUUAUAGACAAAGAAUUUUGCAAAAUACUCACGGAUCUGAAUGUGAUAGACCCGUUGACUAAAAUUAUCUCACAAGCAAAACAUGAUCACACCUUAGUACUUUUUGGGUAUUAACCACAUAGAGAUGUGAACUAGAUUACUGACUCUAGUAAACCCUUUGAGUGUUGGUCACAUAAUGAUGUGAACUAUGGGUGUUAAUCACAUGGUGAUGUGAACUAUUGUUGCUAAAUCACAUGGCGAUGUGAAACUAGAUUAUUGACUCUAGUGCAAGUGGGAGACUGAAGGAAAUAUGCCCUAGAGGCAAUAAUAAAGUUAUUAUUUAUUUCCUUAUAUCAUGAUAAAUGUUUAUUAUUCAUGCUAGAAUUGUAUUAACCGGAAACAUAAUACAUGUGUGAAUACAUAGACAAACAGAGUGUCACUAGUAUGCCUCUACUAGACUAGCUCGUUAAUCAAAGAUGGUUAUGUUUCCUAACCAUGAACAAAGAGUUGUUAUUUGAUUAACGAGGUCACAUCAUUAGUUGAAUGAUCUGAUUGACAUGACCCAUUCCAUUAGCUUAGCACCCGAUCGUUUAGUAUGUUGCUAUUGCUUUCUUCAUGACUUAUACAUGUUCCUAUAACUAUGAGAUUAUGCAACUCCCGUUUACCGGAGGAACACUUUGGGUACUACCAAACGUCACAACAUAACUGGGUGAUUAUAAAGGAGUACUACAGGUGUCUCCAAUGGUAGAUGUUGGGUUGGCGUAUUUCGAGAUUAGGGUUUGUCACUCCGAUUGUCGGAGAGGUAUCUCUGGGCCCUCUCGGUAAUACACAUCACAUAAGCCUUGCAAGCACUGCAACUAAAAUGUUAGUUGUGAGAUGAUGUAUUACGGAACGAGUAAAGAGACUUGCCGGUAACGAGAUUGAACUAGGUAUUGGAUACCGACGAUCGAAUCUCGGGCAAGUAACAUACCGAUGACAAAGGGAACAACGUAUGUUGUUAUGCGGUCUGACCGAUAAAGAUCUUCGUAGAAUAUGUAGGAGCCAAUAUGGGCAUCCAGGUCCCGCUAUUGGUUAUUGACCAGAGACGUGUCUCGGUCAUGUCUACAUUGUUCUCGAACCGUAGGGUCCGCACGCUUAACGUUACGAUGACAGUUAUUAUGAGUUUAUGCAUUUUGAUGUACCGAAGGUUGUUCGGAGUCCCGGAUGAGAUCACGGACAUGACGAGGAGUCUCGAAAUGGUCGAGACGUAAAGAUUGAUAUAUUGGAAGCCUAUGUUUGGACAUAGGAAGUGUUCCGGGUGAAAUCGGGAUUUUACCGGAAUACCGGGAGGGUUACCGGAACCCCCCGGGAGCCAAAUGGGCCAACAUGGGCCUUAGUGGAAAGGUGAGAGGGCAGCCCACAUUGGGCUGCGCCUCCCCCCUCUCCAUAGUCCUAUUAGGACUAGGAGAGGGGCCGGCCACCUCUCUCUCUCUCCCCUUUGAAGGAUUCCUAGUUGGACUAGGAUUGGAGGGGGGAGUCCUACUCCCGGUAGGAGUAGGACUCCUCCUGCGCCUCCCUCUCUGUGGCCGGCCAGCCCCCCUCCCUCCAACCUUUAUAUACGGGGGCAGGGGACACCCCAAUACACACAAGUUGAUCCUUGAGAUCGUUCCUUAGCCGUGUGCGGUGCCCCCUGCCACCAAAUUCCACCUCGAUCAUACCGUUGUAGUGCUUAGGCGAAGCCCUGCGUCGGUAGUACAUCAAGAUCGUCACCACGCCGUUGUGCUGACGGAACUCUUCUCGACGCUUUGCUGGAUCGGAGCCCGAGGAUCGUCAUCGAGCUGAACGUGUGCCAAGAACUCGGAGGUGCCGGAGUAACGGUGCUUGGAUCGGUCGGAUCGGGAAGAAGACGUACGACUACUUCCUCUAUGUUGUGUGAUCGCUUCCGCAGUCGGUCUGCGUUGGUACGUAGACAACACUCUCCCCUCUCGUUGCUGUGCAUCACCGUGAUCUUGCGUGUGCGUAGGAAAAUUUUCGAAAUUACUGCGUUCCCCAACAUGGGCGAGCUCGCGUCCGAACUUGACGGCUGCAAUGGAAGCGGCGGUGGUGGCAGCGACGGGAAGAGUGGGGAAGAGUGGAGGGGGUGCGGCCGGAGGGAGGGAGGGGGGCGGAUAGAAAAAGGCCUGUCUUGUGCCACCAACGGGCGGGCCAGGGGAGGACACACGCAGACGACCCGCGUGUUCGCGUGGUGUCCAUUUCACCCCAAAAGCGGCGCAAGUUUGGGCCGGGAAUGGGUCGAAAGCGGACACAAAGCAGACAAAAGUCCGUUUGCUCCCGCGCGCUGGGCCGCCUUUUUGUCCCUUUUACCCCAAACGGACGGGGCCGGACAGGAUAGGGUCGCGCGGUGGAGUUGGCCUAAUAUUCCACGAGUCCAAUCUGCUGACAACUUUUUUACAACAUGACAUCACGUCUUCCCAGUCACUAUAUCAAACCGUUUUGUCUGCCAUCUUGUGUUUCGAGAUGCGAUUUCCAUUGGCACGUCUUGUCAAAGCAGAGAUCAUGUCCCCUUAUUGCGGGAUCCUCAUCAGUAUGGGCGUGGGUAACCCAACUGUGCUGUUUAUACGACCCUUGGGAGUAGGAGAAUUCCAAGGCGAGUGGGGAGGCCUUCAAUAUUCACUGCCUUUAUAAGGAGAUAAGAAUCCCUUUUUCUUCACCCACACCUUCUCUCUUCCUCCGCCCUUCCACUCUUGAGCUCCAGCUCCCAAGUUCUCAUCUGUUUCCCACUCGAGCAAGCACCCAACCAUGUCCGGAUCCGGCGGUCAAGGCAAGUGGAUGGCCUCCUCCAUCAAGGAGGAGGAUGUCGCCGAGCAUCGGGCGACCAGGUAUCUGGCGAAGGGAAUCGCCCACCGCCUUCUAGCCCAGGGACAAAUCGUUCCCACGCCGAAGCCCAACGAGAGGCUAGUAUUCAUCCCUCAUUUCCUCUGCGGGUUAGGGUUUCCACUCCACCCCUUCAUCCGCGAGCUAAUGUUCUACUACGGGAUAGACUUCCACGACCUAUCCCCGAACUCCUUUCUCAAUAUCUCGGCGUUCAUCAUCGUGUGUGAAGCCUUCCUCCGCAUCCAACCCCACUUCGGGCUGUGGCUCAAAACCUUCAAUGUGAAGCCGAAGGUGGUGGAUGUACAACACGCGGAGUGCGGAGGCACCAUGGUGAGCAAGCUGGCCAACGUCUCCUGGCCAAAAGGCACUUUCGUGGAGUCUGUCAAGGAAUGGCAAAAACAAUGGUUCUACAUUACGGAACCCCGCAAUGCCACCUGGGCCGCAGUAGCCGAAUUCAACUCCGGAGCUCCCAUGCGACUCACCUCCUGGGUUGAGAAGAGCCCGAACUAGUGUUCGUCAAACAAGCUAACAGCGCUGCAAACGCGCAUUCAAAGCAUGGUGGACAAGGAUGUCAAACUUGUCGAUGUAAUCCAGGUGAUGCUAGUUCGCCGAAUUUCCCCCUGCCAAAGCCGAAGUCACUCUCUAUGGGAGUUUAAUCUGAAGAAGCACCAAACCCUAGAGAGGCUCUUCGAAACAACCCAUGAAGACGCCUAGAAGUUGCUCUUCAAGGGCAACGAGACACCGCCGGCCACAACCUCGGACCAUGGGUACAAUGUUAAUCGCUCCGCCAACAAGGUAAAUCUUUACCGCAUCCUUUACUUGCUUAUUUCAAGGACGAUAUCUAAGAUUUUAUUAUCAUGGCUUCUUUAGGAGUGGAUGGAGAAGGCGAAGCGGAUCCAAUGUCCGGCUCCGCUGCCUAAAGAACCGGUCAUCCCGCGUUUAGCAAAGAUGCUGGUGUCGGCGUCCUAUAAGGCGCCGGAGAAGAAGGCCACAGGGAAGGCCAAGGGGGUCUAGAGUGGCCCCCGCCGCAAGGGCGCUUCGGACGUGACGUCCGAAGACAAGACCCGCUCCUCCGCCGAAGAAGACGCGACAAUGAGGAGGAGAAGGAGGAGAACAACCCUCCCCCUGAUGAGGGAAGGAAGAAGAGGGCGGCUUCCACAAAUCUGGAGGCGGAGACAUCCAAGAAAGGGAAGAGCUCCCUUGCGGAUAACUCCGCGUGGGAUGUCAACAAUAGUCCGGAGAGACGCCCCCGCACUAAGCCUCGGGCCGCAUCGUAAGUGCUAAAACUCAUAUCCUCCCAUGAACCAAUUCUUUCCUCUUCGUUGUAUUGAUAUAUUUAGUUAUGCUAUUACAGUCCAGCCAACGACAGCUCCCAGCGAUCCUCAUCACGAGGUUCGCUGGACUCAAAGGCGAUGGCCCACUCACUCCCCCAAGGCCAAGGACGAUGUAGAGGUGCUGUCCCGAAGGACUGUUCUAGGUGGGGGAGAGGCUCAGGAGGCGCCAGAAGGCGAAACCCCCGUCACCGGAAACCAGGGGGAAUCAAUCCCCAUGGAGACUGGUGGGGAGCGCCGUAUUCAGUUCGGCCCUCAGCCGGACUCAAUUCCGGAGACCGAUGCGGCUCCGGAAUCCGGCACGCAACCUUCUUCAAAAGAAGGGGGGAUGCCUAUUCCGCCGGUGACCCCUGUCCAACCAGGGGCGCCGGAUAAUCAGCUGGAAGCGCUGCAAGGCACUUCCAGUGUGGAUGAGCAUCGUGUCCUUAUGGGCACGGUAAUUGAAAGGGUUCGGUCCGCCAAGAGCGGACUAAUCGAAGCCUGCAGCAGCUUGCUGACAGGUUUUGAGGUAAGCGACACAAAAAAAGAGAAAAUCCCAAUGUAGACAGUAGCCUCUGAGACACUGUCCGGUGUUCGGAAAGAAAAAGCUGGACAGAGGAUCAAUCUCCUAUUGCAGGAAACUAACUAAAAUUUUCUGAAAUGUAAACACACGCGUCGCUGUUGGCUGCAGCCUCACAUACUGCCGAAGUCUCUGGACUAAAGCAGAAACUAGUGGAGGCCGAGGAGGAGCUGGGCCAGGUGAAGAGGCAGCUCCAGGAAAAACAAGGUAAGUAAUAAUCUGUUAUGUAUUCAAAAAAGGUAAAAUGAUAUGCAGUGACCGAAAUGCCAUGAUGUGUACAGAGGCGACGACCGAGGCCAAGGCCCUGAAAAAGGCCCUGGCUGAAGCCGAAGGGAAGGCUGUCAAGGAGCAGGCCGCUCGGAAGAAGCUCAAGGCCCGGGUCAAUGAGGUCCAACAGGAGCUCGAGGACAUGGUGAAGAAGUGCGAGGCCUUGGAGCGCGAUGCGUCGGUUCAAGAGACCGAACUCGCCAAGGCUCGUCAGAGUGCGGAGGCAGCCCGGAAUGAGGCCCAGGGCGUCCUCCAGGAGAUCCAGGAGGCCAGGAAGAUCGCGGCGGGUAAGGCAUUCAAUAUGCAAAGCAAGAAUGUGAAGAUGAAAUAUCGUUUACUAACCCAGAUUCGGAGUUCUCUAGGGGCUUUUACUGAUCUGCCACGCAGUGUGGCUGACACCGCAGAGUUCUUCCGAGCCGAAGAAGGGAGCUCCAUGGAGAAGCUGUUCUGGUCGCAAUAUCUUGCGCCAGAACAUCCGGUGCCCUUCGGCGAUCAGCUAAAACAGCUGUUCGAGCUGCAUAGGGUGGCCAAACUGGCCAUGAAGGAUUUAAUAAUCCGGUUGUGGCCAGCCGAAGCUAUACCCGACAGUUACUUCGGCCUCGUGAAGCGACUGGUGGGUGCAUGUCCUCGGCUGGACGUCGUCAAGCGGUCCGUCUGCAUCAAGGGCGCAUGUCUGGCCUUCUCCUAUCGCAAGGUCUGGUGGGCGAAGCUGGACACUGUCAAAUUAGCAACCGAGGGGCCGCCGGAGGGCAAGGAGCACCGCACACCCGAGCGAUACUUCGGCGAUGUCUUGGAGGGGUCCUGCAUUGUUGUGGAUCAUUGUGCGAAAGAAACUAUAUUUGAAUGAAUGUAUUCGAGCUCCCUCUACCUUGUAUGAUAAAACACAGUGAUUGUGCAAUAUAAUGCUUGUUAUGUUUUUAAAUUUUUACUUCCUGUGCGGCCGUAUUGUAUGAAAUCUGAGGGUUAACCAGUCAUCUACUUUUGCCCCCACGUAGGUAGUACGGGGGUGUUCAUGAUGGAAUCUAAACAAUCUUGAUCCAAUUAGAUGGUCCUUGAAGGAGUUGUUUAGGGCAACGAACCAGACAACCAGACUAUGCGGCUGUAACGCGCUCACUUAGCCAUAGGAGUUCGACAAUAAAAACAUGGGCGCAGCCCCUAGUAUCCGAAUUAGAGUGCUAUAAGUGUCUGAUCGGGAAGUACCAAUCCUUCACGUAAUGCGGAAUAAAUGUCCAAUGAUUUGUAACCUCCGAACAGCUGACUGGCUCUCGCCGCAUCAUGACAAUCAGUUUUCAGCUUUCUCUACUGAGGUGCUCCUUUGGAUAAACCAAGGCACAAUCGCAGUAGUUCUCCUUUUACUACCUUAGCUGAUAUAGCGGAACGUAAGGUAGCAAGCACAGGAGCCGGACAACCCAACUAUUGACCAAAGACAUGAUUCGGAGCCAAUGCAUAUAAUGCUAAAUUCAGGGUGCCAAACUAUACUUAUAAAAAGUGUUCGGACUUUUGUUGCCGUAAUGUGGGGUGCUAUGAAGCCCCUGGCAGACAUCAAAUGUACCAAAGUGUACGGGUGCUACCUAAUAGGGUCAUCCACAGGGGAGCUGAGAGAAAAAAGAGAAAGAAAACAGAAAAGGUGCAAAGGUAAAAAGCUGGGGUCCUAAAGCUCCAGCCGCAAACUGUUCUCAUUGUAAUUUAAUUAGUACGUCAAGGCGCAUUGAUACAGGUAGUGCGAUAAGCAACAGGCUAUUUGACAUGCCGAAACCAAGGGAGAGCUGCAUGUCGGUCCUGAAAAACAGGUAGUUAUCGUUAACGGAAUCACCUAGAAAGUCCACCAUAUGUCUGUGUUUCUUGCCGUCUUGGUGUGUUUAUCCUUCAAGAGGACCGAUGACAAAACCGCCAGAUGAGGCCUGUGGGAUUGAGACCUGAAAAGGAAACAAGUUGAAAGUGCGUUAUAUCGACUAGAGGGGGGGUGAAUAGGCGAUUUUUAUGAAAGUCUUCAAAACGUGGAAGUUAUGAAGACAAACAGAGUGGAUAAGCCUAUCACUCUGCAGCGGAAGUUAGAUUACACAACGCAAGCCAUAGUCAAGUAUACAAUAUAGUGAAAGCACAGUGACAAACAGCUUCAGUGUAAUGAGGAUCAGGUAGGAAGAAGUUAUGAAGCCAAACAGAUCAUACAGUCAAGUUGUGAAGACAGAAGAUAAAACAAGCAUGCAAUGGCUUCACAAUGCGUAUUGGUAAGUAAAGGGAGGUGAAGAUGAAACCAGUGACACGUUGAAGAAAAUGAUAUGUUGGACCAGUUCCAGUUGCUGUGACAACUGUACGUCUGGUUGGAGCGGCUAGGUAUUUAAACCAAAGGACACACAGUCCCGGACACCCAGUCCUGAACACGCAGCUCAGGACACCCAGUCCUCACCGUUUUCUCCUUGAGCUAAGGUCACACAGACCUCGCCCAAUCACUCUGGUAAGUCUUCAAGGUAGACUCCCAAACCUUCACAGACUUCGUUCACCGGCAAUCCACAAUUUCUCUUGGAUGCUCAGAACGCGACGCCUAACCGUCUGGAGGAUGCACAGUCCUCAAGUGUAAUAAGUCUUCAGAUCACUCAGACAAGAAGACUUAAGUGAUGCCCAAUUACUCUGGCUCUGGGUGGUUAGGGCUUUUCUCCUCGCUAGGGAUUUUCUCUCAAAGGCUUCGAGGUGGGUUGCUCUCAAACGACAAAAGCCGUGAACUGAAAUCUGAGCAGCCAACCGUUUAUGGUUGUAGGGGUGGACUAUUUAUAGCCACUUGGCAACCCGACCUGAUUUGUCCGAAAUGACCCUGGGUCACUAAGGAACUGACACGUGUACUAACAGUCAGAUUUCAAACUCACACGACAACUUUACUUGGGCUACAAGUAAAGCUGACUUGUCUGACUCUGGACAAGAUUUUCUCUCAUUGUCUUCACUUGAAGACAUAGGAUUUGAAUUAGGCAUCACUUCAGUCAUCCAGACUGGUUCUCUUGGACCCCACUUAACAGUACGGUGGUUCCUAUGACACAACAUGAAUGAAGUAAAACUACGAAGGAUCUAAGUCUUCGAGUUCGAUAGGCUUCAUGGGGAGUCUUCACAUGUCAUUGUCUUCGACAUGAAUGUCUUCAUAAACCACCAUUGUCUUCAAUGUCUUCGUACAUUUUUAGGGGUCAUCUCUGGUAGCUAAACCGAAUCAAUGAGGGACUUCUACCUGUGUUAUCCUGCAAUUCUCACAAACACAUUAGUCCCUCAACCAGGUUUGUCGUCAAUACUCCAAAACCAACUAGGGGUGGCACUAGAUGCACUUACAAUCUCCCCCUUUUUGGUGAUUGAUGACAAACUAGUUGAAGUUUUCAACGGGGAAUAUAAUUUGUGAAAUUGUAAAGGAAUUGUCUUCAUAAGCUGCAAGGGCUCCCCCUGAAGAUGUGCAUAUAAGUGAUUUGCUUCUGGAACGCACAUGCACAUAGCAGGUUGUACUUGUGGGAAUCCACUUCAACUUAUGACGACAAUCCACCAUGCAUGUAAAGGUAUAUGAAGAGAAUGACAUGCAUAAUGAAAAAUGGACGUCUGCGAAAUGAGAUAAGAGCGGAAUUUAUCGUCGUACAUGCGGAAUUUAUCUUCGCAAAAACAUAGUGGCAAACAAGUAGCAGACGACCAUCAAGUUUAAGUGUUACAACUCAAAGAACCAAUGUAUCAAAACGAGAGUUGUAAGCACGAAGCAAAAUGCAAAAUAUAAAGCACCCGCCCAUAUUAUUGACCCGCUUGAAGACUAUAAACAUCAUAUGCUUCUCCCCCUUUUGUCAGUGAUGACCAAAAAGGUUUGAAGACAUAGAGUUUUCUACGCGUUCCCAGGCGCAGCAGGGUCGGUGGAGGCGUUUGGUGGUGCGGAAGAUCUUGGUGCAGGGUCGACGCGCGCUGACGAAGGUGGUGGCGAUGUAGCGUCGUCUUCUUCCUCAAUGAUUUUUCCAGUCACUGUGGCAGCAGAGGAAGAGAACUUUGAUUCUUCAAGCAACGGAGUUCCGCGCAGCACAGCUCUUCUGGGGGGUGUGGAGUCAAACUUGAAUCUUUCUUUGAAGCCAUCCUCUUGAAGUUCAGCUUCAGUGCACAUCAUGGUGAGGCCUUUCCAAGUGCGGCGACAGGUUUCAUGUGCGACAAAGGCAUUCUUGGUGGCCAGAUUUCUGAUGUGAUUGACGUCUUGCAUGAUACUGCGCAUCUGCCUUUUGAGCCAGUCGUGAUGCCUAUCUUGUUUUUGGUGCAGAGCCAUAAGAAGUUCACGGUCAGUGAGUGUACGAGCGCGCUUCUUGGGUCUCUGUGCAGCUGUGCUGUCAGUGGCUUCAGUUGAUGCAGGGGCACGUGUGGUGCCAGCCAUGGGAUACACUCUGGAGAUGGCUUCAACACCUUCAUCAUUCUGAGUGAAGCUCUGGUGUUCUGCAUUCUGAAGACUUAAUGGCUGCUUGGCAGGCUCAGGAUAUAUUGCUUCAGCAGAGGUGUCCACAUCGGGUAAGAAGAUUCUAUGGUUGCGGGCAGAGGGCUGAUAGGAGACAGCAGAGUGGAGCUUGAUUAGCCUCAUAACCCAUGGAGCAUAAAUCUUCAAACCAAAGAGAUCUGAGCCAGACGCUGCAAGUUGGCGUAUAAAGAGAUCCUGAGCAUUGAAGCAUUUGCCAUGCAGGAUACAGAAGAUGAGAGUCUUCAUGGCACCUUCAACCUUGGCAUAUCGAGAGUGCCCCUUAAUGGGCCAUAGAGUCCGCCUGACGAUGUGAUAUAUAGUUCUGGGCAGGUACUCUAAGUCUUCAACAAAGAACUCAGUUGGGUAAGGUGCAUCAGGAAGCAAUGGCUUCAUCAUUGAGAGCAUCUGACUCAUAUUUGGCUCAGGUCGCUGAAAUAUGCUCUCAAUUGCUUCAGCAUGGAGUUGGCAGCCUUCUUCGAAGAGUUCGCCAGGAGUGGGUAGGACGGUAAGCUCAAUGAUAUCGAAUGCAUUGGCUUCAUGAUGGACAUUGCCGGUCAUCCACUCCAGGACCCAAGUCUUCGGAUCUCUGUUGUAGCCUUUGAUGUGCAGUGUGGCAUAGAACUGGAGCAGAAGCUCUUCAUUCCAGUGCUCUUCAUCUGUGAUAAACGGCAGCAGGCCAACUUGCUUGAAGCAGUCCAGUGCUUCUUCCAGACCAGGCAGACCAGCAACAGCUUCAACCUCAAGGCGCUGGUGAGGAAAGAUACGGCCUUGGUUGUAUAGGACGCAGGAGUAGUAGCUGCGCUGUGGGUAGCUCCAGAACCUAUCUGAUACAAUCCGUUCCCUUGAAUAAGGGUUCUUGGAGCGGUUGAAGAAGGUGUUAUCUGUCCUGAAGCUAUUGACAUUAAAGGAGCCAGGAGCUGAUGCAGGACCUGGGAACCUUGGCAGUCGUGGGAUUGGCUUCUGGACUUGGGGCCUGUGCGCAACAUGAUAGUUGAACUGUGGACCGGCAGCAGACUCAGGCACAGAAGGUUCAGAGGCAGUAGCUUCAGUGUCUCUUGAAGCUGUUGGUUGGUCGGGCUCCACACUUGCUUCAGUGUUGGUUGUGGCAGCCGCAAUGGUUUCAGCCUCAACACGUGUAGUGAGAGGGACGGAGUCAGGUACGUUCUCCUUGAGAACUUCUUCUUGUUGGUGCGGGGGAGAUGGAGCUUGAGGUUCUUCUUCAUGCUCUUAUUCAUGUUCUUCGGCUGAUGCAGCCGGAAUGUCGUCAGCAGCCUGAGCCCUUGGCCCUUUGCGAAGCCUACGGAAUGCAGGCGACGCUGGUGGAGUUGCAGUGGGCUGGGGCUCAUUCUCUUCCUCCUGCGGGCGAUCUGCCCACGAUGCAUCUUGGGUGAUUGGCGUCAAGGGACGACCAAUGCUGAUCAUUUCGCUUGUUUCCAGCUGAGGAAGGACUGCAUCACCUUGCACAUUGUCUUGGAGACCAAUGUCUUCAGCAGUGUUGGGGUCGGCUACUGGAAUGUCUUCAGCGUGCGGAGCCUCUGUGGAAGCAGGCUCAUGCACGGUCAGCUGACGAUCUUCGUUAGGAAAGCGGACGGAGAGGGGUUCGACUAUCAAGGGCUCUGUGGGAGCAGCCCGAGAUUUCUUGGUCUUGCGCUUCUUGAGGGUAGGGUCAGAAGGAGAGGCUUCAGGGUGUUUCCUCUUCCUUGCUUCAGCUUCGGCUGUCCUUGUCUUCUUAAGCACUGAAGCAGUUGAGCGGUGCUUUGGCUUCGAGCCAGUCUUGGCAGUGGGAAGACAAUCGGAACAGCUUCUUGCCUUGGCGCCUCUUGUUCAGCCACAGUGGGCUUCUUCUUUUUCUUCGCGGCCAUCCUGGGGUCGAUGCCGGGACGCCCAAGUGCCUUGCGCUUCUCGGCCUCAUUGUAGGCCUGCACACAGAGGUCAGCCAAAGUCUUCAUGCGCUCACGCGAACCCUGAGCUUCUGCACGUUUCUUCAUAAAAUUUUCCUUCAACUCGUGCAGCAUGACCUUGAAGUCCUUGACUUCUUGGACGCUGAGCUGGGCCAUAUUCUGCUUGAACUGAGCCUUUUCAAAAUCUAUCUUCUGCUUCAGUUCAACUAUGCGCUGGGCAAUUGCGAGUUCUGAAGCGAUAGCGCCUUGGAAGGCUACGCUGAGGCCAAUGGGCAGCUGCAGAUCAUCGAAGCUGAUGUUGGGUGUAUCAAACCACUCAUCAAUGAAGUUGUGGAUGAUUACUGCAUCAAACAGAGGCAGAUUGUUGAAGAUUUCAGCCUCCUCCUUGCUCUUGAUGAGCUGCUCAAGAGCGUCAUCGGCAAGAUCUUCGUCACUUGACAGAUCAAUGGCCUCGCAGCGCAGAAUGGCAGCGGCAGUGAGCUCUUUGCCAGUGUGUGGCUGAGGCUUCUUGGCUUCUUGGGGCUUGGAGACUCGUGAUAAGUCUUCAGACUGCACACUUGCUUCAGGAGGUGCAGUGGCCAAUGGCUUCGCUCUGGAGAUUUUGGGAGAAGCGGCUGGCUUUGAAGCUUUUGGCUUCUUCUUCGUCUGCUUCGGCUCUGGUGCAGCAGGAGCGUCAUCAGACUCAGUGUCUGCUGGAGGGUCGUUCACGGCAGUCCCUUGGACUAGAAUGCGAGUGAUGAGGCCUUCGAGAUUGGCAUACGGCCCGAUGACAUUGGGAUUUGCGUCGCGUGUGCCAUCCACCCUUGGCUUAGAAGGACCAGGGUUGAAGUCCAGCCCAAACUCCUUCUUGUUUUGCUUCGCAGAGUUCUGAGCAAAUUGGAAGUUGCGCUUGAACAGAGUGUCAUCGCGACACCAGAGAAGUGAUGACGGAUGUGCGUCAGCUGGCUGUGGUCCACUGACCAUGCAUGGAAAGAAGCCUUGAGCAAUGGCUUCGUCUCUGGACCGGGGUACGAGAUUUUUGUACAAGACAUCGCCCCAUGGUCUCUUGAUGGCGCACUUCUCUGCAUAUUCCUUGGAGACGAAGCGGUAUUGGAACCACUGCUCUGCCCAAUAUCUUCGAAUCCAUUGGAUUCGAGUCUUGCACUGACCAUAGCUCUCUUCAGGACCAGUUUGGUACAUUUCUGCCAAGUCUUCAGGCAGAUCCUUAGACGUUUCACCACGUCUCUGUCUGCCUCCCUUCCUUGCUGGUUUUUCUGCUGCCAUGAAGCUUAACUUGGAAGGCUUCAAGAGAUUCAAAGUCUUCAAAGGCUUCCUUUUGCUUGACCAACAGGAACUUGCUUCGGGAGAAUUGAUGUGACACUGUAAGAACUCUGCAAAUGAAUGCAGACUAUGAGGACCAAAAGAUUCUCCCACGGACAUGUACCUGUGACAGCAUUAAGGUGCGAGGGAAGGGGAAGAGGUCAUAUGCAUUCUCAGAAGAUUUUGAAGAUAAAUCUGUUUAGAAGAUAUUGACCUCAUCAUGCAAAGACAUUCACUUUAUAGAAAAAGAAGUUGGUUCCAGAUUUGUACGAACCCAUAGAUCAGUACAAGUGAGGAAUCUAACUAUUUCAUGAAGAACAAGUGAAUAUACUAGGCAAGAUAUGAGAUGCAGAUGAGAGAGAUGAAACUUGUGUGAAUAGAAACCUUUUAUGGCAGAAAGUGACUGAGCUAUAGGAUCAAAAGAGGCUGUAAAAAGAGGUUUUAUUUACUACACUUGGAACUGCUAGACGAGGUGAGAGUUGAGGCCGAGCAGUUCGAUCUUCCGUGCCCUAACUUGGCGACGGAAGACACCUACGGCGACGGCGGAGAGACCGAUGUCCGCAGUCGGCGUGAGAACGGCGUCAGAGAGGUUGCGGCAGUGACACACUUCAUCGCCGGCGUCGUUGAGAGUUAGCGGUGGCGCUAGGGUUCGUGCGAGGGUGGAAGAAGAGAUAAUGACCGCAGUGAAUCGUGUAUUUAUAGGGAUAUGUGCGGCACUGCGCUAUUACUCAGGUGCCCCUGGCGAUUCGCAUCUGAUCAGUACGUGGCCAGCAUGCGGAAUUGUGGGGGCAGUUUCACCCCACGCACGCCUUGUUUGUCGGGAGCCGUUCCUACUUCUCCAGAUUUCUUGUUGAUGGAAUAACAUUGAAAGCGGUUUUAAAGUUUGUCUCUAUGUCUUCAUCUGACACGGAUGCAGUGAAGACAUUCGACAGUUUCAAUAGAAUGCAUAUGACUUGGAGAGAUAGAGUUUGAGGUAGGAAGCAUGGAGAGGUUAGGGUCCGAUCACAUUCACUUAGUUCAAAAGAUUCAAACAAGAAGACAUAGCUAUAAGUGAAUGCUGUAGAGGACAGAACACCAGUACAUAUAUAAUCAACAUAGUGAAGAUAAUCAUGAAGACAAAUUGAGAUUGAAGCCAAACCAAAUGUGAAGACAUAGCAAAUGUAACGCCAUGAGUAAAACACUUCAAGCAGAAAAUUUGGUGGUGGCGUUACCCACCGUAUAGGAAGCAUUAGACCCAGACACGGCGCACAAUUAUCGUGGCGCUCCGAAGUCAAAUUCCACGUUAAUGUAUUCACACUUAGAAUGUAUGUCUUCAUUGAUUGAAGAUAUACGUUACUUCGUGUGUUGCACAUCUAAGUCAUCAACAUGCAUAAGUGUUAGGAUGUGUGCCUGAUCACAGGACAUUUGAGGAUUCCAAGAUAUUUAGCUCACACCGUAACUUGCAAAAUCUCUUCUCAUCCAAGGGCUUGGUGAAGAUAUCUGCCAAUUGCUCUUCAGUGUUGACGUGUAUGAUAUCAAUGUCUUCCUUGGCAACAUGAUCUCUGAGAAAAUGAUGACGAAUUUCAAUGUGCUUUGUCUUCGAGUGCUGAACUGGGUUGUUGGCGAUCUUGAUGGCGCUUUCGUUGUCACAGUAGAGUGGCACUUGCUUCAGAUGAAUGCCAUAAUCCUUGAGGGUUUGCUUCAUCCAUAGAAGCUGAGCGCAGCAGGAUCCAGCAACAAUGUAUUCAGAUUCAGCAGUGGAGAGAGAUACACAGUUCUGCUUCUUUGAAGACCAACAUACAAGUGAUCGGCCCAGAAAGUGACAUGUGCCUGAUGUGGACUUCCGAUCAACCUUGUCACCAGCGUAGUCAGCAUCCGAAAAUCCAACCAGAUCAAACUCUGAGCCCUUUGGAUACCAUAACCCUAGAGUUGGGGUGUGAGCCAAAUAUCGAAGAAUUUGCUUCACGGCUAAGUGAUGCGACUCCUUUGGUGCCGCUUGGAAUCGAGCACACAUGCAAACACUAAGCAUAAUAUCUGGCCUAGAUGCACAUAAAUAAAGCAAAGAACCAAUCAUGGAGCGGUAUACCUUUUGAUCGAACUCUUUACCAUUGUCGUCAGGACCCAGAUGAUGUUUGGCUGGCAUUGGUGUUGUGAAGCCUUUGCAGUCUUGCAUACCGAACUUCUUCAGGCAAUCUUUGAGAUACUUCUCUUGAGAUAUGAAGAUGCCAUUGCAUUGUUGCCGUAUCUGAAGACCGAGGAAGAAUUUCAGCUCCCCCAUCAUAGACAUCUGAUAUUGCUCUUGCAUCAUAUAUCCGAACUCCUCACUGUACUUCUGAUUGGUGCAGCCGAAGAUAAUGUCAUCCACAUAUAUUUGGCAUACAAACAGUUCACCAUCAUAUGUCUUCAUGAAGAGAGUGGGAUCUAGGGAACCAGGUAUGAAGCCUUUGCUCUUCAGGAAGUAUUUGAGUGUAUCAUACCAGGCCCGAGGGGCUUGUUUGAGGCCAUAUAGUGCCUUAUUGAGCUUGUAAACCAUGUCAGGAUGUUUUGGAUCUUCAAACCCCGGUGGUUGUGCAACAUACACUUCUUCUUCAAUUUUGCCAUUGAGAAAGGCACUCUUCACAUCCAUUUGAUACAGAAUUAUGUUGUGAUGAUUUGCAUAGGCCAGCAGUAUACGGAUGGCUUCAAGUCUGGCAACAGGAGCAAAUGUUUCAUCAAAGUCAAUGCCUUCCACUUGAGUAUAUCCUUGAGCAACAAGACGAGCCUUGUUUCUGAUGAUUUGACCAUGCUCAUCUUGCUUGUUGCGGUAUAUCCAUUUGGUGCCUAUUAUGUUAUGCUUCCGUGGAUCAGGACGCUUAACCAACUCCCAUACAUUGUUCAGCUCAAACUGUUGAAGCUCUUCUUGCAUAGCUUGAAUCCAUUCAGGUUCCAUAAAAGCUUCAUCAACUUUCUUGAGUUCUAUGAUUGAAACGAAUGCGAAGUGUCCGCAGAAAUUUGCCAGUUGAGUUGCCCUUGAACGAGUCAGUGGACCAGGUGCAUUGAUGCUAUCAAUUAUUCUGUCAAUCUGCACUUCAUUUGCAACACGAGGAUGUAUGGGUCGAAGACUUUGCUCUUAUUGAUCUAUGUUGUCAUGGGGAGGAAUGUCUUCAGACUGAGCAUUGUCUUCGUGUGGAUCAGGUGCUGAGAUGAUAAGUUCUUCUUCAGGAUGAGCUUCAGAAGGUAUAAUUUCUCUAGUUCCCAUUAGCUUGAUUGAUUCACUGGCUGGAACUUCAUCUAGCACAUCUGGCAGUUGCUCUCUUUGUGACCCAUUGGUCUCAUCGAACCGCACAUCCACUGUUUCAACCACUUUGUAGUGGAAGAGAUUGAAGACCCUGUAGGAGUGCGAAUCCUUUCCAUAUCCAAGCAUAAAGCCCUCAUGUGCUUUUGGAGCAAAUUUUGAGGUGUGGUGAGGGUCCUUGAUCCAGCAUCUUGAUCCAAAUACUCUGAAGUAACUGACAUUUGGCUUCUUGCCAGUUAGAAGUUCAUAAGAUAUCUUGUUCAGAAGCUUGUGAAGAUAUGCACGGUUGAUAGUAUGGCAUGCAGUGUCAAUGGCUUCAGUCCAGAAUUUUCUUGGAGUCUUGUACUCAUCUAGCAUUGUUCUGGCCAUCUCAAUUAGUGUUCUGUUCUUGCAUUCGACGAUGCCAUUCUGCUGUGGCGUGUACGGAGCUGAGAAUUCAUGAGUGAUGCCCAAUGUAUCAAGAUAUGUGUCAAGGCCAGUGUUCUUGAAUUCAGUGCCAUUGUCACUUCUGAUGUGCUUUAUCUUGGCGCCAUAAUUGUUCAUAGCCCGAUUUGCGAAGCGUCUGAAGACAUCCUGCACUUCAGUCUUGUAAAGGAUUAUGUGCACCCAAGUAUAUCUAGAGUAAUCAUCAACAAUGAUGAAGCCAUAGAGGCAAGCAGUAGUGGAAAAAGUUGAGUAGUGAGUGGGACCAAAGAGAUCCAUGUGAAGUAGUUCGAAGGGUUGAGUAGUGGUCAUGAUUGUCUUCGAAGGAUGUUUUGCCCUUGUCAUCUUCCCUGCUUCACAGGCACCGCAUAAGUGAUCUUUCUUGAACUUGACGCCCUCGAUGCCUAUGACAUGCUUCUUCUUUGCAAGGGUGUGGAGGUUCCUCAUGCCAGCAUGCCCAAGCCUUCGAUGCCAAAGCCAGCAUUCUGAAGCCUUUGUGAGAAGACAUACUGCAAGCUGUGGCCCUGCUGAGAAAUCUACCACGUACAAAUCAUCUUUCCGAUACCCUUCAAACACUAGAGACUUGUCAGAUGCCAUUAGUACCAGGCAACGAUAUUUUCCAAAGAUUACAAUCAUGUUCAAAUCGCAAAGCAUUGAGACAGACAUUAAGUUGAAGCCAAGGGAUUCAACAAACAUGACUUUAUCCAUGUGUUGAUCCUUUGAGAUUGCAACUCUACCUAGACCCAGUACCUUACUUUUACCAGUGUCAGCGAAUGUGAUGUGGCUCUUGUCUGAUGGACGUAAGGUUGAGUCCAUAAAGAGACUUCUUUUGCCAGUCAUGUGAUUUGUACACCCACUGUCAAUAAUCCAUUCUGAAGACUCUGAAGUCACUGGUGUCGUACCCUACAGUGCAGUUAGGGGGAUAGGCUUCACAAAGAGUGUUGUGAAGCAAAAACAUUUGACGAACCAGUGGAUUAUGAAAACUUAGAUCCAAGUUAGGACAAGUAGGGAGAGUAGCAUGCGAUUCAGGUAUGAAAUACAUAGUGAUGCCAUUCGGGAAUUUGAUCUUGCGCCCCACAAGAUUUUUAAGGUCCCCAACAAUAGCGUCAGAAGAUUUUGGUUUUCUGCUGGAGACCUUUCCCUGCAAAAGAGAGUUAAGCUUUCUUAACCACCCACAUCUUCAAGGGUGGCUUAGAAGCAAUAAGUCUAAGUGCAGCAUCUGAGAAUUUUGGCUUUGGAGCCCUAGCAAACAGUCUAGCAGGUGGGCAAUAGUACUCAUAAGAAUAGGCAGAAUAGUUCUUGGUCAUAUGAGCAUGACGGUUUGAAGAACCGCUCUCAUAUGCCUGAGCAUGGUUUCCCUGCAAAACAUUUGCGUUAGUGCGACUCAGGUGAGUCCUCUGCCUGUAUGAAGCCUUUGGACCAUAUGAAGCCUUUGGUCUGAGGUUUGUCUUCUUCAUGUGAGGUGUCAUGAGGACAUUCACAGGAAGCUUCUCAAGACACGUUUUUGGAACCCAGAUCUUCUUCAUAGGCGGUCCAUUCCUGCAGUUAGUACCAAUGUACGUGGCAAAUACUUCACCAUUCUGAUUCUUAAAUAGUUUAUAGUUUGCAUCAAAGGAUUCAUCAAUGAUAAUAGGAUUAGCACAAGUGAAGCCAGAUAGAUUGGAUGGAUCUGCUGAGGAUUCCUUUGCAGCAACCCAUGUGGUUUUGGGGUACUGCUCAGGUUUCCAGUAAGAGCCAUCUGCAUUAAUUUUCCUCACGAACCCAACACCCUCUUUCCUAGGGUUUCGGUUCAGAAUCUGCUUCUUGAGGACAUCACAUAAUGUCUGAUGUCCUUUGAGACUUUUGUACAUCCCUGUUUCAAGCAAUGUCUUCAACCUAGCAUUCUCAUCAGCAAUAGCAGUGGUAUCCUCAGCAACAGAAGUAGCAUUAUCACGCUCAAUGCAUUUAAGGCAUGGUGGUUCAAAUCCUUCCUGAGCGGAACUGAUCUGUUCGGCUCGAAGUGACUCGUUUUCCUUUUGAAGAUCUUCAUGAUCCGCUCUCAACUUCUCAAGAUCUUGCUUCUUUUGAAGAUAAUCAUAGGAAAGCUUUUCAUGAGUAGUUGAGAGAGUCUCAAGACGAUCUUCAAGUUCCUGAUACUUAACAUGAAGAUUUUUUAUGUCUUCAAUUAAGGAUUCAGAACGAGUCAUUUCAGCACCCAACAGAUCAUCGCUUCUGUCUAACAGUUUUUGAAUGUGUUCCAUGGCCUUUUGUUGUUCAGUUGCAAUUUUAGCAAGUGUUUUGUAGCUGGGUUUUGAAUCACAAUCAGAGUCAUCGUCACUUGAUGUUUGAUAGUGAGUAGUGCGUGUGUUUACCUUGGCACCACGUGCCAUGAAGCAGUAGGUAGGAGUAGAGUCGUCCUUGUCAUUUGCAUCGGUGUUGGUGAUGAAGUCAUUGUCUUAAGUGUUGAAGAUGGACUUGGCGACGUAGGCUGUAGCCAGACUCGCAAUGCCUGAAUCAGACUCCUCCUCAGACUCCACCUCUGCCUCCUCAGAAGCGGACUCCUCCUCUGAAUCCAUUUCCUUGCCAACAAACGCACGAGCCUUGCCAGAUGAACUCUUCUUGUGUGUUGAAGACUUUGAGGAAGACUUGGAAGAAGACUUUGAGUAUUUCUUCUUCUUCUUAUCGUCAGAGUCAUAUUCCUUGCUCUUCUUCUUCUUUCUGCUCUCAUUGUCCCAUUGUGGACACUCAGAGAUGAAGUGUCCAGUUUUCUUGCACUUGUGACAUGUUUUCUUCUUGUAGUCAUGAGCAGAAGCUUCAUCAUUCCUUGAGCUUGAUCGUGAAGACUUUCUGAAGCCUUUCUUCUUGGUGAAUUUCUGGAACUUCUUCACUAGCAUUGCAAGUUCCCUUCCAAUGUCUUCAGGAUCAUCAGAACUGCUGUCAGAUUCUUCUUCAGCUGAGGACACGGCUUUUGCCUUCAAGGCACGAGUUCGCCCAUAGUUUGGACCGUAGAUAUCUCUUUUCUCAGAAAGCUGAAACUCAUGUGUGUUGAGCCUCUCAGGUAUGUCAGACGGAUCGAGUGUCUUGAAGUCUGGACGUUCUUGAAUCAUCAGGGCUAGGAUGUCAAACAAACUGUCAAGUGAUCUCAGCAGCGUCUUGACGAUUUCAUGUUUGGUGAUCUCAGUGGCGCCGAGGGCUUGAAGCUCAUUUGUGAUGUCAGUGAGCCGGUCAAAUGUGUGCUGGACAUUCUCAUUGUCAUUUCGCUUGAAGCGGUUGAAGAGGUUGCGAAGAACACUGAUUCUCUGAUCUCUCUGGGUUGAUAUGCCUUCAUUGACCUUGGAGAGCCAGUCCCAAACCAGCUUGGAUGUCUUCAAGGCACUCACACGGCCGUACUGUCCCUUGGUCAGAUGACCACAGAUAAUAUUCUUGGCAGUAGAGUCCAGUUGAGUGAACUUCUUGACAUCAGCAGUAGUGACACCUUCUCCAGCCUUGGGAACGCCGUUUUCGACGACAUACCAUAGGUCGACAUCAAUGGCUUCAAGAUGCAUGCACAUCUUAUUCUUCCAGUAGGGAUAUUCAGUUCCAUCAAAGACGGGGCACGCAACGGAGACUUUAAUUAUCCCUGCAGUCGACAUAGCUAAAACUCCAGGUGGUUAAACCGAAUCACACAGAACAAGGGAGCACCUUGCUCUGAUACCAAUUGAAAGUGUGUUAUAUCGACUAGAGGGGGGGGGGUGAAUAGGCGAUUUUUAUGAAAGUCUUCAAAAUGUGGAAGUUACGAAGACAAACAGAGUGGAUAAGCCUAUCACUAUGCAGCGGAAGUUAGAUUACACAACGCAAGCCAUAGUCAAGUAUACAAUAUAGUGAAAGCACAGUGACAAACAGCUUCAGUGUAAUGAGGAUCGGGUAGGAAGAAGUUAUGAAGCCAAACAGAUCAUACAGUCAAGUUGUGAAGACAGAAGAUAAAACAAGCAUGCAAUGGCUUCACAAUGCGUACUGGUAAGUAAAGGGAGGUGAAGAUGAAACCAGUGACAUGUUGAAGACAAUGAUAUGUUGGACCAGUUCCAGUUGCUGUGACAACUGUACAUCUGGUUGGAGCGGCUAGGUAUUUAAACCAAAGGACACACAGUCCCGGACACCCAGUCCUGAACACGCAGCUCAGGACACCCAGUCCUCACCGUUUUCUCCUUGAGCUAAGGUCACACAGACCUCGCCCAAUCACUCUGGUAAGUCUUCAAGGUAGACUCCCAAACCUUCACAGACUUCGUUCACCGGCAAUCCACAAUUUCUCUUGGAUGCUCAGAACGCGACGCCUAACCGUCUGGAGGAUGCACAAUCCUCAAGUGUAAUAAGUCUUCAGAUCACUCAGACAAGAAGACUUAAGUGAUGCCCAAUUACUCUGGCUCUGGGUGGUUAGGGCUCUUCUCCUCGCUAGGGAUUUUCUCUCAAAGGCUUCGAGGUGGGUUGCUCUCAAACGACAAAAGCCGUGCACUGAAAUCUGAGCAGCCAACCGUUUAUGGUUGUAGGGGUGGACUAUUUAUAGCCACUUCGGCAACCCGACCUGAUUUGUCCGAAAUGACCCUGGGUCACUAAGGAACUGACACGUGUACUAACGGUCGGAUUUCGAACUCACACGGCAACUUUACUUGGGCUACAAGUAAAGCUGACUUGUCUGACUCUGGACAAGAUUUUCUCUCAUUGUCUUCACUUGAAGACAUAGGAUUUGAAUUAGGCAUCACUUCAGUCAUCCAGACUGGUUCUCUUGGACCCCACUUAACAGUACGGUGGUUCCUAUGACACAACAUGAAUGAAGUAAAACUACGAAGGAUCUAAGUCUUCGAGUUCCAUAGGCUUCAUGGGGAGUCUUCACAUGUCAUUGUCUUCGACAUGAAUGUCUUCAUAAAUCACCAUUGUCUUCAAUGUCUUCAUACAUUUUUAGGGGUCAUCUCUGGUAGCUAAACCAAAUCAAUGAGGGACUUCUACCUGUGUUAUCCUGCAAUUCUCACAAACACAUUAGUCCCUCAACCAGGUUUGUCGUCAAUACUCCAAAACCAACUAGGGGUGGCACUAGAUGCACUUACACAAGUAAAAGUGAAAGUAUGUGUGUAUCCGAUGUCGGUUGAGUCAUACUAUGGACCACAAGCUAGCUAUGCCUCCGUCGAUGCCCAUGGGAUUUUGAGUGUGUAGUUAUGUACACACGGCACGAAUGCCACCACUUGAUCGGGAUUGAGACGGAGGCCGGAUUGCUAGUCGAGCUCCUGACGAGCCGAGCUCUCCUGUUGUAGAGUAGUUUGGACCCUCUUAACGGUGUUCGUGGACUCGGAAGCCGAAUUAAGGUUCUGCUUGAGAAGCCCGCUUUGUACUUCUGCUGCUAAGGCAGCUGUGUGCUCUUCUGUACGGAGGGAGCGUUCCGUAUUUCCAUUGACCAUUAUGACGGCGCGUGGACCGGGCAUAUUGAGCUUUGAUACGUCUCUGUCGUAUCUAUAAUUUUUGAUUGUUCCAUGCCAAUAUUCUACAACCUUCAUAUACUUUUGGCAACUUUUUAUACUAUUUUUGGGACUAACAUAUUGAUUCAGUGCCCAGUGCCAGUUCCUGUUUGUUGCAUGUUUUUUGUUUCGCAGAAAAUCAAUAUCAAACGGAGUCCAAACGGGAUAAAAACGGACAGAGAUUUUUUUUUGAAUAUAUGUGAUUUUUGGGAAGUGAAAUCAAUGCGAGACGAUGCUCGAGGGGCCCAUGAGGCAGGGGGCGCGCCCCAGGGGGGCAGGCACGCCCCUAACCCUCGUGGCCACCCCGUAAGGCGGUUAGUGCCCUUCUAUUGCCGCAAGGAAGCUAAUAUCUGGAUAGAGAUCGUGUUAAAAGUUCAGCCUAAUCGGAGUUACGAAUCUUCAGGAAUAUAAGAAACGGUGAAAGGGUAGAAUCUGAGCACGCAGAAACAGAGAGAGAGAGACAGAUCCAAUCUCGGAGGGCUCCCACCCCUCCUACGCCAUGGAGGACAAGGACUGGAGGGGAAACCCUUCUCCCAUCUAGGGAGGAGGUCAAGGAAGAAGAAUACGAAGGGCCCCCUCUCCCCUUCUCUCCCGGUGGCGCCGGAACGCUGCCGUGGCCAUCAUCAUCACCGCAAUCUUCACCAACAACUUCACCGCCAUCAUCACCAACUCUUUCCCCCUCUAUGAAGCGGUGUAACCUCUCUCUUACCUGCUGUAAUCUCUAAUUAAACAUGUGAAAGGACAUGCGGUGCCCCCAUGUGUGGUUUUGGUAAUUGAUGACAAUCUCUAUGGACUAACGGUUGCCUUGAGUUAUAUUUGAAGGAUUUGUCCAUAGGAUUGUCUUGAAGUCCAUGUGUUGGUUUCAAGGAGUUUAUGAGAUGGCCAAAGUGCUUUUCAAGGAAUUAUCCAAAGAUUGGUCAUGUGUGAGUUGAGAUGGCCAAAGUUCUUUUCAAGGUUAUCCAAAGAUUGGUCAUGCAUGUGUGAGUUGAGCUUAUUGCAAGCAUGUCUUGAACAACAAGAUUGUGUGAUCAUUCAUGUUUACCUUCAAGACAUCAUCCAAAUGAAGAGAGUUGGAAUGAUUCAAUGUUGAUCAAGACUAAGUCAAGAGUGAAUCAAGUUGAUCAACUCACAAAGCGUAGAAGAAGUACCGAGAGGGAUCAAGUGAUCCUAUGGUAUGGUAAGCAUUGUCCAUUACGCUUUGUGUACUAACCCAUGGUCUACAUUAGAGUUCUUUGUGGGGUUAGGUAUGUUUCCAUGGUCUUGCGUCAAGAGGAAGAUCUCAUACAACCCAUGGAGGAUGACAUCAAGUGGUGAUCGUCAUCAAGUUUGCAGUGUGCAAGUUCAAGUGGAGCAACUCGAAGAGUGGCUCACCCAUAAUGGAGUAUGGGGGAGCAAUCAAGCUUGAAGCUUUCUGUCCAUUGUGGUGUCAAUGGAAUUGUGAAGAUGUGACAAAGAGUGGCUCACCCAUAGUGGAGUAUGGGGGAGCAAUCAACUAGUCUUCAUCGAGCCAACACAAUCAAGAAAGGUGGUCCAACUUGAGGAAGUCAAGAUCGUCAUCAUCUAGCUCAAGUGGACUAUGUGCAAGGCAAAGGUUUGCCCUUGAUAGGUUUUCUAUUUUACCGGUCUCAUAGUGGUAGUUUGGAGACCGGGUUGUAGGAUCGAUUGUCGUACUAUCAAGGGGGGCUCUCUAGGGAGUAGCUUGAUCGUAUCAUUAGUUGAGAGCUCAAACCAUUGCAUCCUUGCAUCAUCUUUCUUGGUUCUUGUUUGGUUCCAUUUGUGAGUCUUCGAGCUUAUGAUCAUCUUGAUGACAAGCUUGAGUUCAUCGAAAACGGAGUUCGCAUGCAUCUUCUAUGAUGUUUUCGGUGUUGGAGGUUUUACCGGUCUUUUCCGAGGAAGGGUUCUCACCAUUUUAUUAUGGUCCUUUUAUCAUUUGCUUCUUAUUGAUAUUUCUCUUAAGAUUGUGUUAGCCCUUGUCGUUAGCUUUCCAACAAACUUGGUUUCGUUGAAUUCGGAGCUCGUAUGCGAAAGUUGUGGCUGUUUUGAUAUUGCCUAUUUUACACAGAGAGGUUGUACCGCCCCAUGGAGAGGUUGUACCGCUUGACCGGUACAACCGGUGUUUGGAGAAUUGGUCUGGAGGUUGUACCGGUCAUGUACUGCUCUACCACCGGACUGGUCUCUGUUGUGGUGCGGUUGUUGGGCGGUUGUGGGCCGGUUGUACUGCUUAUUGCCUGUUACCGGUUGUACCGGUGCUCAUAGAGGUUGUACCGCUCCUAUGUUAUUCUGUACAUAACGGGCAGAUUCGUGGGGACCUAUUUAAGGGGGUCUUCUUCCCCAAUGGUUCCCUAUCUCUUGAGCUCGUUAUUGCCCCCAUUGUUGACCUUCUUUGAGCUUGCUAACUCUCAAUCCCUCCAUGGAUUCUUGCUAGUUUUUGAGGGGAAAGAGAGAGGAGAUCUAGAUCCACAUUUCCACCAAUCACUUUCUCCUCUAUGUGAGGGGAACCCCUUGGAUCUAGAUCUUGGAGUUCUUGGUGUUCUCCAUCUUGUUCUUCCUCUCAUUUUCCUCCCUAGCAUUAGUUGCUCCGGUGGGAUUUGAGAGAGAAGGACUUGGGCAUUCCGUGUGCCCUUGCCAUUUCAUUUGGUGCAUCGGUUUGAGUUCUCCACGGUGAUACGUGGAAGUGAAGUUUGAGAAGCUUAUUACUCUUGGGUGUUUGGGCACCCUAGAGCUUGUUCCUCUUGGGUGCCUUGGCGCCUUAGACGGUUGGUGUUGUUCGGAGCUCAAUCAUUGUGGUGUAAAGCUCCGGGCAAGCGUCGGGGUCUCCAAUUAGGUUGUGGAGAUCGCCCCGAGCAAUUUGACGGGUACCGGUGACCGCCCCCAAGGGUUGCCAAAGUGUACGGGUUCGGUGACCGCCCCCAAGGGUUGCCAUUUGUACGGGUUCGGUGACCGCCCUCAAGGGUCCCUUAGUGGAAUCACGGCAUCUUGCAUUGUGCGAGGGCGUGAGGAGAUUACGGUGGCCCUAGUGGCUUCUUGGGGAGCAUUGUGCCUCCACACCGCUCCAAACGGAGAUUAGCAUCCGCAAGGGUCUGAACUUCGGGAUACAUCAUCGUCUCCGCGUGCCUUGGUUAUCUCUUACCCGAGCUCUUUACUUAUGCACUUUAAUUUGUGAUAGCCAUAUUGUUCUUUGUCAUAUAUCUUGCUAUCACAUAAUUGCUUAUCUUGCUUAGCAUAAGUUGUUGGUGCACAUAGGUGAGCCUAGUUGUUUUAGGUUUUGUGCUUGACAAAUUAAUGGCUAGGUUUAUUCCGCAUUUGUUCAAUUCUAAAUCGUAAUUUUUUUAAAACGCCUAUUCACCCCCCCUCUAGGCGACAUCCACGAUCUUUCAACAUGGUGCUCAACGCUAUAUAUCAUUUCCCAAUGAUGUAUGGCUAUCCUAUGAUGUUUGAGUAGAUCCGUUUUGUCCUAUGGGCUAUUUGAUGAUCAAGAUUGGUUUGAUUUGCAUGUUUUAUUAUUGGUGCUGUCCUAUGGUGCUCUCCGUGUCGCGCAAGCGUGAGGGAUUCCCGCUAUAGGGUGUUGUAAUACGUUUAUGAUUCGCUUAUAGUGGGUUGCGAGAGUGACUGAAACACAAACCCGAGUAAGGGGUUUGUUGCGUAUGGGAUAAAGAGGACUUGAUGCUUUAAUGCUAUGGUUGGGUUUUACCUUAAUGAUCUUUAGUAGUUGCGGAUGCUUGCUAGAGUUCCAAUCAUAAGUGCAUAUGAUCCAAGUAGAGAAAGUAUGUUAUCUUAUGCCUCUCCCUCAUAUAAAAUUGCAAUAAUGAUUACCGGUCUAGUUAUCGAUUGCCCAGGGACAAAUAACUUUCUCGUAACAAAAAGCUAUUUACUAAAACUAACUUAGUUGUGUCUUUACCUAAACAGCCCCUACUUUUUAUUUACAUGCUCUUUAUUAUCUUGCAAACCUAUCCGACAACACCUACAAAGUACUUCUAGUUUCAUACAUCUUCUAGGUAAAGCAAACGUCAAGCGUGCGUAGAGUUGUAUCAGUGGUCGAUAGAACUUGAGGGAAUAUUUGUUCUUCCUUUAGCUCCUCGUUGGGUUCGACACUCUUACUUAUCGAAAACUGUUGCGAUCCCCUAUACUUGUGGGUUAUCAAGACCUUUUUCUGGCGCCGUUGCAGGGGAGUUAUAGCGUGGGGUGAAUAUUCUCGUGUGUUCUUGUUUGUUUUACCACUAAGUAAUUUUUAUUUGCUUUUCUUAGUUGUUCUUUAUCUUUAGUUAUGGAUACGGAACACGAAAUACCAAAAAAAUAGGUGUACUUUCUGCUCAUGGAUAUGGGGAACCUCCUAAAACCCUCGAUGCUGGUUAUGUGAAAGAUAUUAUGUACUACUUUAAUAAUCCCGAGAAAACCCCAUUCAAUUAUGUAAUGGGAGUAACGUUGGAUCAACGUGAAUACUUUAGGGAUUACCGCUUCACACAAAAAUGGAAACUAUUAUGGGAUCAAAUUCAUAUAUUGAAUUGGUAUGCUAAGCAACUAUGCUUGAGAUAUGAUUAUACUUGUUGCUCUAGGAUGAAGGCUCCACACCUUCCCUUUUUAUGCGAAUUUAAUGAUAAUAAAACCUUAGCUUCUUAUGCUAAUGGUAUAUAUGAUUACUAUGAUGUGGAACAAAUAGAAGAAUUUGUUGCUUUUAUGGGUGCUUAUGAAAUUGAAUCUAUGUUUAAAGAGUUUGAAGAUUUUGAUGAUUCGGUUUAUAGACCUGAAAAUUUAGCUAUCCUUAAAUAUUGCUAUGAGAAUUAUGAAUGCAAUUCUGAUAUUAAUGCACUUAUUGAGAAAGUCUCCGCUGUCCAAGAAGAGACUAAUAAUUUGCAGGAAUCUAUGGAAGAAGAAGUUGAUGAAACUGUGAGCUCAUUGGAUGAAAAAGAUGAGGAGGAGAGCGAAGAACAAAAGGAGGAAGAGCGGAUUGAUCACCCGUGCGCACCUUCUAAUGAGAGUAACUCUUCAACUCAUACAUUGUUUAAUUCCCCUUCGUGCUUACCGAAGGAUGAAUGCUACGAUAAUUGCUAUGAUCCCGUUGAUUCUUUUGAAAUAUCUCUUUUUGAUGAUGCUUGAUAUGCUUGUGUCCAAGAUGCCAAUAUGAAUUAUGCUUAUGGAGAUGAACUUGCUAUAGUUCCUUAUGUUAAACAUGAAAUUGUUGCUAUUGCACCCACGCAUGAUAGUCCUAUUAUCUUUUUGAAUUCUCCCAACUACACUAUAUCGGAGAAGUUUGUGCUUAUUAAGGAUUAUAUUGAUGGGUUGCGUUUUAUUAUUACACAUGAUGAUUUUGAUAGAUAUAAUAUGCAUGUGCUUGCUUCUCCUACUUGCAAUUAUUAUGAGAGAGGAACUACAUCUCCGCCUCUUUAUGUUUCCAAUACAACAAAAUUGCAAGAAACUGUUUAUACUAUGCAUUGGCCUUUACUAUGUGUCCAUGAAUUGUUCUUUUAUGACAUGCCGAUGCAUAGGAAGAGAGUUAGACUUCGUUGUUGCCUGAUAUAUGUUACUUUUUGCUCACUACUAAAUUAUAAAUCAUUGUUAAUUAAAAUUGGCUUUGAUAUACCUUGGGAUCCGGGUGGAUCCAUUACUUGAGCACUAUAUGGCUAGCUUAAUGGCUUUAAAGAAAGCGCUGCCAGGGAGACGACCCAGAAGUUUUAGAGAGUCAUUUAUUUCUGUUGAGUGCUUUCAUAUAGUUUAAAAACAACAAAAGUAAAGAGGGGAACCCAAAACUUUUUCAAAAAGGAAGGUGAAAGUGAGAGAGACAAGCAUUGUUGAAGUGGGAGAGCUCCUUGAACUUUGUUCAUGCUCACGGCAACUUUGUGAAUCUUGAUUAUAGAAACUUUUCAAUAAAAAUAAUUAUCCCCUUGUACAAUUCCAUUGUAUUAUAAAAUAAUGUGCCAAGGUUUUCCUUUAAGAUGUUUACAUUUGUUUGAUGGUUUGUACGGUGCAGGAUAGAAACUUUGGCUGUAGUGCGUGAUUUUACUUUUUUAGCUGGAACGUCAAAUGGUUCUGGUUCUUUUUGAACUGUCUUUCUAUUCAAAUUUUUUAUUUUCCUAAUUUUGGUAGAAUUUUUCAAGUAUCAGAAGUAUGGUGAAUGUUCAGAUUUCUACAGACUGUUCUGUUUUUGACAGAUUCUGUUUUUGAUGCAUAGUUUGCUUGUCUUGAUGAAACUAUCGAUUCAUAUCAGUGGAUUAAGCCAUGGAAAAGUUAUAUUACAGUAGACACAAUUCAAAAACAAAAUAUGAAUUGGUUUGCAACAAUACUUAGAGUAGUGAUUUGCUUUAUUAUACUAAUAGAUCUUACCGAGUUUUCUGUUGAAGUUUUGUGUGGAUGAAGUGUUCGAUGAUCGAGAAGGUCUCGAUGUGAGAAGAAGGAAGAGAGGCAAGAGCUCAAGCUUGGGGAUUCCCGAGGAACCCCAAGUAAAUAUUCAAGGAGACUCAAGCGUCUAAGCUGGGGGAUGCCCCGGAAGGCAUCCCCUCUUUCUUCAACAAGUAUCGGUAUGUUUUCGGAUUCGUUUCGUUCAUGUGAUAUGUGCAAUCUUGGAGCGUCUUUUGCAUUUAGUUUUCAUUUUUCUUUUAUGAACCAUGCUGGUAUGAGAUAGUCCUUCGUUGAUUUAUAGAAUUCUCUAUGCACUUCACUUAUAUCUUUUGAGUACGGCUUUAUAGAAUGCUUCAUGUGCUUCACUUAUAUCAUUUGAAGCUUGGAUUGCCUGUUUCUCUUUACAUAUAUAACCGCCAUUUGUAGAAUGCUCUUUUGCUUCACUUAUAUUUGUUAGAGCAUGGGCAUAUCUUUUGUAGAAAGAAUUGAACUCCCUUGCUUCACUUAUAUCUAUUUAGAGAGAUGACAUGAAUUGGUCAUUCACAUGGUUAGUCAUAAAAUCCUACAUAAAACUUGUAGAUCACUAAAUAUGAUAUGUUUGAUUCCUUGAAAUGGUUUUGCGAUAUAAAGAUGGUGAUAUUAGAGUCAUGCUAGUGAGUACUUGUGGAUUGUAGAAAUACUUGUGUUGAGGUUUGUGAUUCCCGUAGCAUGCACGUAUGGUGAACCGUUAUGUAACGAAGUCGGAGCAUGAUUUAUUUAUUGAUUGUCUUCCUUAUGAGUGGCGGUCGGGGACGAGUGAUGGUCUUCUCCUACCAAUCUAUCCCCCUAGGAGCAUGCGCAUAGUAUUUUGUUUCGAUAGCUAAUAGACUUUUGCAAUAAGUAUGUGAGUUCUUUAUGACUAAUGUUGAGUCCAUGGAUUAUACACACUCUCACCCUUCCACCAUUGCUAGCCUCUCUAGUACCGUGCAACUUUCGCCGGUACCAUAAACCCACCAUAUACCUUCCUCAAAAUAGCCACCAUACGUACCUAUCAUGGCAUUUACAUAGCCAUUUCGAGAUAUAUUGCCAUGCAACUUCCAUCAUCAUCAUAUACAUGACUUGAGCAUUCAUUGUCAUAAUGCUUUGCAUGAUCGUAAGAUAGCUAGCAUGAUGUUUCCAUGGAUUGUCCAUUUUUUGAUGUCAUUGCUACGCUAGAUCAUUGCACAUCCCGGUACACCGCCGGAGGCAUUCAUAUAGAGUCAUAUCUUUGUUCUAGAUAUCGAGUUGUAAUAUUGAGUUGUAAGUAAAUAAAAGUGUGAUGAUCAUCACUAUUAGAGCAUUGCCCCAGUGAGGAAAGGAUGAUGGAGACUAUGAUUCCCUCACAAGUCGGGAUGAGACUCCGGACUUAAAAAAAAUAAAAGAGGCCAAAGAAGCCCAAAUAAAAAAAAGGCCAAAGAAGCCCACAAAAAACAAAAAAAAUGAGAGAAAAAGAGAGAAGGGGCAAUGUUACUAUCCUUUUACCACACUUGUGCUUCAAAGUAGCACCAUGUUCCUAAUAUAGAGAGACUCCUGAGUUAUCACUUUCAUAUACUAGUGGGAAUUUCAUUAUAGAACUUGGCUUGUAUAUUCUGAUGAUGGGCUUCCUCAAAUGCCCGAGGUCUUCAUGAGCAAGCAAGUUGGAUGCACACCCACUUAGUUUUCAGUCUGAGCUUUCAUACACUUAUAGCUCUUAGUGCAUCCGGUGCAUGGCAAUCCCUACUCACUCACAUUGAUAUCUAUUGAUGGGCAUCUCCAUAGCCCGUUGAUACGCCUAGUUGAUGUGAGACUAUCUUCCCCUUUUUGUCUUCUCCACAACCACCAUUCUAUUCCACCUAUAGUGCUAUGUCCAUGGCUCACGCUCAUGUAUUGCGUGAAAGUUGAAAAGGUUUGAGAACGUCAAAAGUAUGAAACAAUUGCUUGGCUUGUCAUCGGGGUUGUGCAUGAUUUGAAUAUUUUGUGUGGUGAAGAUGGAGCAUAGCCAGACUAUAUGAUUUUGUAGGGAUAACUUUCUUUGGCCAUGUUAUUUUGAAAAGACAUGAUUGCUUUAUUAGUAGGCUUGAAGUAUUAUUGUUUUUAUGUCAAAAGAUAGACUAUUGCUUUGAAUCACUCGUGUCUUAAUAUUCAUGCCAUGAUUAGACAUAUGAUCAAGAUUAUGCUAGGUAGCAUUCCACAUAAAAAUUAUAUUUUUUGAUCAUUUACCUACUCGAGGACGAGCAAGAAUUAAGCUUGGGGAUGCUGAUACGCCUCUGUCAUAUCUAUAAUUUUUGAUUGUUCCAUGCCAAUAUUCUACAACUUUCAUAUACUUUUGGCAACUUUUUAUACUAUUUUUGCGACUAACAUAUUGAUCCAGUGCCAAGUGCCAGUUCCUGUUUGUUGCAUGUUUUUUGUUUCGCAGAAAAUCCAUAUCAAAUGGAGUCCAAAUGGGAUAAAAAUGAGCGGAUAUUUUUUUUGGAAUAUAUGUGAUUUUUUGGAAGUGAAAUCAACGCGAGACGAUGCUCGAGGGGCCCACGAGGUAGGGGGCGCACCCCAGGGGGCAGUCGCGCCCCUGACCCUCGUGGCCACCCCGUAAGGCAGUUGGUGCCCUUCUUUCGCCACAAGAAAGCUAAUAUCCAGAUAGAGAUCAUGUUAAAAUUUCAGCCCAACCGGAGUUACAGAUCUCCGGGAAUAUAAGAAACGGUGAAAGGGUAGAAUCUGAGCACGCAGAAACGGAGAGAGACAGAGAGACAGAUCCAAUCUCGGAGGAGCUCUCGCCCCUCCCACGCCAUGGAGGCCAAGGACCAGAGGGGAAACCCUUCUCCCACUUAGGGAGGAGGUCAAGGAAGAAGAAGACGAAGGGGCCCCCUCUCCCCUUCUCUUCCGGUGGCGCCGGAAUGCUGCCGUGGCCAUCAUCAUCACCGCAAUCUUCACCAACAACUUCACCGCCAUCAUCACCAACUCUUUCCCCCUCUAUGCAGCAGUGUAACCUCUCUCUUACCCGCUGUAAUCUCUACUUAAACAUGGUGCUCAGUGAAGGAAAUAUGCCCUAGAGGCAAUAAUAAAGUUAUUAUUUAUUUCCUUAUAUCAUGAUAAAUGUUUAUUAUUCAUGCUAGAAUUGUAUUAACCGGAAACAUAAUACAUGUGUGAAUACAUAGACCAACAGAGUGUCACUAGUAUGCCUCUACUUGACUAGCUCGUUAAUCAAAGAUGGUUAUGUUUCCUAACCAUGAACAAAGAGUUGUUAUUUGAUUAACGAGGUCACAUCAUUAGUUGAAUGAUCUGAUUGACAUGACCCAUUCCAUUAGCUUAGCACCCGAUCGUUUAGUAUGUUGCUAUUGCUUUCUUCAUGACUUAUACAUGUUCCUAUAACUAUGAGAUUAUGCAACUCCCGUUUAUCGGAGGAACACUUUGGGUACUACCAAACGUCACAACGUAACUGGGUGAUUAUAAAGGAGUACUACAGGUGUCUCCAAUGGUAUAUGUUGGGUUGGCGUAUUUCGAGAUUAGGGUUUGUCACUCCGAUUGUCGGAGAGGUAUCUCUGGGCCCUCUCGGUAAUGCACAUCACAUAAGCCUUGCAAGCACUGCAACUAAUAUGUUAGUUGUGAGAUGAUGUAUUACGGAACGAGUAAAGAGACUUGCCAGUAACGAGAUUGAACUAGGUAUUGGAUACCGACGAUCGAAUCUCGGGCAAGUAACAUACCGAUGACAAAGGGAACAACGUAUGUUGUUAUGCGGUCUGACCGAUAAAGAUCUUCGUAGAAUAUGUAGGAGCCAAUAUGGGCAUCCAGGUCCCUCUAUUGGUUAUUGACCGGAGAUGUGUCUCGGUCAUGUCUACAUUGUUCUCGAACCGUAGGGUCCGCACGCUUAACGUUACGAUGACAGUUAUUAUGAGUUUAUGCAUUUUGAUGUACCGAAGGUUGUUCGGAGUCCCGGAUGAGAUCACGGACAUGACAAGGAGUCUCGAAAUGGUCGAGACGUAAAGAUUGAUAUAUUGGAAGCCUAUGUUUGGACAUAGGAAGUGUUCCGGGUGAAAUCGGGAUUUUACCGGAAUACCGGGAGGGUUACCGGAACCCCCCGAGAGACUAAUGGGCCUAUUGGGCCUUAGUGGAAAAAGAGAAAAGGGGCAGCCCAUAAGCUGGCCGGCGCCCCCCCUUUCCCCAAGUCCUAGUAGGACUAGGAGAAGGGGCCGCCCCCCCUCUUUCUCCUUUCCCCCCGAGAGUCCUAAUUGGAAUAGGAUUGGAGGGAGGAGUCCUACUCCCGGUGGGAGUAGGACUCCCCUGCGCCUCCCUCUCCCUGGCCGGCCUGCCCCCCUUCCUCCAACCUUUAUAUACGGGGGCAGGGGACACCCCAAGACACACAAGUUGAUCCUUGAGAUCGUUCCUUAGCCGUGUGCGGUGCCCCCUGCCACCAAAUUCCACCUCGAUCGUACCGUUACAGUGCUUAGGCGAAGCCCUGCGUCGGUAGUACAUCAAGAUCGUCACCACGCCGUCGUGCUGACGGAACUCUUCCUCGACGCUUUGCUGGAUCGGAGCACGAGGAACGUCAUCGAGCUGAACGUGUGCUAAGAACUCGGAGGUGCCGGAGUAACGGUGCUUGGAUCGGUCGGAUCGGGAAGAAGACGUACGACUACUUCCUCUACGUUGUGUGAUCGCUUCCGCAGUCGGUCUGCGUUGGUACGUAGACAACACUCUCCCCUCUCGUUGCUAUGCAUCACCAUGAUCUUGCGUGUGCGUAGGAAAAUUUUCGAAAUUACUGCGUUCCCCAACAGUGGUAUCAGAGCCUAGGUUUUAUGGUUUGAUGUUAUUUGCACGAGUAGAACACAAGUGAGUUGUGGGCGAUACAAGUCAUACUGCCUACCAGCAUGUCAUACUUUGGUUCGGCGGUAUUGUUGGGUGAGACGAUCCGGACCAACCUUACGCGUACUCUUACGCGAGACCGGUUCCCUCGACGUGCUUUGCACACAGAUGGCUUGCGGAAGACUGUCUCUCCAACUUUAGUUGAACCAAGUGUGACUACGCCCGGUCCUUGAGAAGGUUAAAACGGAGUCUAUUUGACGAACUAUCGUUGUGGUUUUGAUGCGUAGGUGAGAUGAGUUCUUACUUAAGCCCGUAGCAGCCACGUAAAACUUGCAACAACAAAGUAGAGGAUGUCUAACUUGUUUUUGCAGGGUAUGUUGUGAUGUGAUAUGGUCAAGGCAUGAUGCUGAUUUUAUUGUAUGAGAUGAUCAUGUUUUGUAACCGAGUUAUCGGCAACUGGCAUGAGCCAUAUGGUUGUCGCUUUAUUGUAUGCAAUGCAAUCGCGAUGUAAUGCUUUACUUUAUUACUAAACGGUAGUGAUAGUCGUGGAAGCAUAAGAUUGGCGAGACGACAACGAUGCUACGAUGGAGAUCAAGGUGUCGCGCCGGUGACGAUGGUGAUCAUGACGGUGCUUCGGAGAUGGAGAUCACAAGCACAAGAUGAUGAUGGCCAUAUCAUAUCACUUAUAUUGAUUGCAUGUGAUGUUUAUCCUUUUAUGCAUCUUAUCUUGCUUUGAUUGACGGUAGCAUUAUAAGAUGAUCUCUCACUAAAUUAUCAAGAAGUGUUCUCCCUGAGUAUGCACCGUUGCCAAAGUUCGUCGUGCCCAGACACCACGUGAUGAUCGGGUGUGAUAAGCUCUACGUCCAAAUACAACGGGUGCAAAACAGUUGCACACGCAGAAUACUCAGGUUAUACUUGACGAGCCAAGCAUAUACAGAUAUGGCCUCGGAACACGGAGACCGAAAGGUCGAGCGUGAAUCAUAUAGUAGAUAUGAUCAACAUAACGAUGUUCACCAUUGAAAACUACUCCAUCUCACGUGAUGAUCGGUUAUGGUUUAGUUGAUUUGGAUCACGUGAUCACUUAGAAGAUUAGAGGGAUGUCUAUCUAAGUGGGAGUUCCUAAGUAAUUUGAUUAACUGAACUUAAACUUAUCAUGAACUUAGUACCUGAUAGUAUCUUGCUUGUUUAUGUUGAUUGUAGAUAGAUGGCUCGUGCUAUUGUUCCGUUGAAUUUUAAUGCGUUCCUUGAGAAAGCAAAGUUGAAAGAUGAUGGUAGCAAUUACACGGACUGGGUCCGUAACCUGAGGAUUAUCCUCAUUGCUGCACAGAAGAAUUACGUCCUGGAAGCACCGCUGGGUGACAGGCCUGCUGCUGGAGCAACGCCAGAUGUUGUGAACGUCUGGCAGAGCAAAGCUGAUGACUACUCGAUAGUUCAGUGUGCCAUGCUUUACGGCUUAGAAUCGGGACUUCAACGACGUUUUGAACGUCAUGGAGCAUAUGAGAUGUUCCAGGAGUUGAAGUUAAUAUUUCAAGCAAAUGCCCGAAUUGAGAGAUAUGAAGUCUCCAAUAAGUUCUAUAGCUGCAAGAUGGAGGAGAACAGUUCUGUCAGUGAGCAUAUACUCAAAAUGUCUGGGUAUAAUAAUCACUUGAUUCAGAUGGGAGUUAAUCUUCCAGAUGACUGCGUCAUUGACAGAAUUCUCCAAUCACUGCCACCAAGCUACAAGAGCUUCGUGAUGAACUAUAAUAUGCAAGGGAUGAACAAGACUAUUCCCGAGCUCUUCGCAAUGCUGAAAGCUGCGGAGGUAGAAAUCAAGAAGGAGCAUCAAGUGUUGAUGGUUAGAAAAACCACUAGUUUCAAGAAAAAGGGCAAAGGGAAGAAGAAGGGAAACUUCAAGAAGAACAGCAAACAAGUUGCUGCUCAGGAGAAGAAACCCAAGUCUGGACCUAAGCCUGAAACUGAGUGCUUCUACUGCAAGCAGACUGGUCACUGGAAGCGGAACUGCCCCAAGUAUUUGGCGGAUAAGAAGGAUGGCAAAGUGAGCAAAGGUAUAUGUGAUAUACAUGUUAUUGAUGUGUACCUUACUAGAGCUCGCAGUAGCACCUGGGUAUUUGAUACUGGUUCUGUUGCUAAUAUUUGCAACUCGAAACAGGGACUACGGAAUAAGCGGACACUAGCAAAGGACGAGGUGACGAUGCGCGUGGGAAACAGUUCCAAAGUCGAUGUGAUCGCGGUCGGCACGCUACCUCUACAUCUACCUUCGGGAUUAAUAUUAGACCUAAAUAAUUGUUAUUUGGUGCCAGCGUUGAGCUUGAACAUUAUAUCUGGAUCUUGUUUAAUGCGAGACGGUUAUUCAUUUAAAUCAGAGAAUAAUGGUUGUUCUAUUUAUAUGAAUAAUAUCUUUUAUGGUCAUGCACCUUUGAAGAGUGGUCUAUUCUUGUUGAAUCUCGAAGAUAGUGAUACACAUAUUCAUAAUGUAGAAGCCAAAAGAUGCAAAGUUAAUAAUGAUAGUGCAACUUAUUUGUGGCACUGCCGUUUAGGUCAUAUCGGUGUAAAGCGCAUGAAGAAACUCCAUACUGAUGGACUUUUGGAACCACUUGAUUAUGAAUCACUUGGUACUUGCGAACCGUGCCUCAUAGGCAAGAUGACUAAAACACCGUUCUCCGGUACUAUGGAGAGAGCAACAGAUUUAUUGGAAAUCAUACAUACCGAUGUAUGUGGUCCGAUGAAUAUUGAGGCUCGUGGCGGAUAUCGUUAUUUUCUCACCUUCACAGAUGAUUUAAGCAGAUAUGGGUAUAUCUACUUAAUGAAACAUAAGUCUGAAACAUUUGAAAAGUUCAAAGAAUUUCAAAGUGAGGUUGAAAAUCAUCGUAACAAGAAAAUAAAGUUUCUACGAUCUGAUCGUGGAGGAGAAUAUUUGAGUUACGAGUUUGGUGUACAUUUGAAAAAUUGUGGAAUAGUUUCGCAACUCACGCCACCCGGAACACCACAACGUAAUGGUGUGUCCGAACGUCGUAAUCGUACUUUACUAGAUAUGGUGCGAUCUGUGAUGUCUCUUACUGAUUUACCGCUAUCGUUUUGGGGUUAUGCUUUAGAGACGGCCGCAUUCACGUUAAACAGGGCACCAUCAAAAUCCGUUGAGACGACACCUUAUGAACUAUGGUUUGGCAAGAAACCAAAGUUGUCGUUUCUUAAAGUUUGGGGCUGCGAUGCUUAUGUGAAAAAGCUUCAACCUGAUAAGCUCGAACCCAAAUCGGAGAAAUGUGUCUUCAUAGGAUAUCCAAAGGAAACUAUUGGAUACACCUUCUAUCACAGAUCCGAAGGCAAGACUUUUGUUGCUAAAUCCAGAAACUUUCUAGAGAAGGAGUUUCUCUCGAAAGAAGUGAGUGGGAGGAAAGUAGAACUUGACGAGGUAACUGUACCUGCUCCCUUAUUGGAAAAUAGUACAUCACAGAAAACUGUUUCUGCAACACCUAUACCAAUCAGUGAGGAAGCUAAUGAUGAUGAUCAUGAAGCUUCAGAACAAGAUACUACUGAACCACGUAGAUCAACCAGAGUGAGAUCCGCACCAGAGUGGUACGGUAAUCCAGUUCUGGAAAUCAUGAUGCUAGAUCAUGAUGAACCUACGAACUAUGAAGAAGCGAUGGUGAGCCCAGAUUCCGCAAAGUGGCUUGAGGCCAUGAAAUCUGAGAUGGGAUCCAUGUAUGAAAACAAAGUAUGGACUUUGGUUGACUUGCCCGAUGAUUGGCAAGCAAUUGAGAAUAAAUGGAUCUUCAAGAAAAAGACUGACGCUGACGGUAAUAUUACUGUCUAUAAAGCUCGACUUGUCGCGAAAGGUUUUCGACAAGUUCAAGGAGUUGACUACGAUGAGACCUUCUCACCCGUAGCGAUGCUUAAGUCCGCCAGAAUUAUGUUAGCAAUUGCCGCAUUUUAUGAUUAUGAAAUAUGGCAGAUGGAUGUCAAAACUGCAUUCCUGAAUGGAUUUCUGGAAGAAGAGUUGUAUAUGAUACAACCAGAAGGUUUUUGUGACGCCCCCGAUUCAAUCGUACACUAAUCAUGCACGCAAAUGUGUACGAUCAAGAUCAGGGACUCACGGGAAGAUAUCACAACACAACUCUACAAAUAAAAUAAGUCAUACAAGCAUCAUAUUACAAGCCAGGGGCCUCGAGGGCUCGAAUACAAGAGCUCGAUCAUAGACGAGUCAGCGGAAGCAACAAUAUCUGAGUACAGACAUAAGUUAAACAAGUUGCCUUAAGAAGGCUAGCACAAACUGGGAUACAGAUCGAAAGAGGCGCAGGCCUCCUGCCUGGGAUCCUCCUAACUACUCCUGGUCGUCGUCAGCGGGCAUCACGUAGUAGUAGGCACCUCCGGUGUAGGGGUCGUCGUCGACGGUGGCGUCUGGCUCCUGGGCCCCAACAUCUGGUUGCGACAACCAGAAAGAAAGGAAAGGGGGGGAAAAGGGGGAGAAAGCAACCGUGAGUACUCAUCCAAAGUACUCGCAAGCAAGGAGCUACACUACAUAUGCAUGGGUAUCAAAUGGAGUAAGGGUAUCAUAUGUGGACUGAACUGCAGAAAGCCAGAAUAAGAGGGGGAUAACUAAUCCUUUCGAAGACUACGCUUCUGGCAGCCUCCGUCUUGCAACAUGUAGAAGAGAGUAGACUGAAGUCCUCCAAGUAGCAUCGCAUAGCAUAAACCUAACCGAUGAUCCUCCCCUCGUCGCCCUGUGAGAGAGCGAUCACCGGUUGUAUCUGGCACUUGGAAGGGUGUGUUUUAUUAAGUAUCCGGUUCUAGUUGUCAUAAGGUCAAGGUACAACUCCGGGUCGUCCUUUUACCGAGGGACACGGCUAUUCGAAUAGAUAAACUUCCCUGCAGGGGUGCACCACAUACCCCAACACGCUCGAUCCCAUUUGGCCGGACACACUUUUCUGGGUCAUGCCCGGCCUCGGAAGAUCAACACGUCGUAGCCCCACCUAGACCAACAGAGAGGUCAGCACGCCGGUCUAAACCUAAGCGCCCAGGGGUCUGGGCCCAUCGCCCUUAGCACACCUGCACGUUGCGAGGGCGGCCGGAAGCAGACCUAGCCUAGUGGCGUUCCAGUCCAAUCCAGCGCGCGCCGCUCCGUCGCUGACGUCAAGAAGGCUUCGGCUGAUACCACGACGCCGGGAUACCCAUAACUACUCCCACGUAGAUGGUUAGUGCGUAUAGACCAAAUGGCCAGACUCAGAUCAAAUACCCAGAUCUCGUUAAGCGUGUUAAGUAUCCGCGAACGCCGACCAGGGCCAGGCCCACCCCUCUCCUAGGUGGUCUCAACCUGCCCUGUCGCUCCGCCUCAAGUAACAGUCGGGGGCCGUCGGGAACCCAGGCCCACCUCUACCGGGAUGGAGCCACCUGCCCCUUCAGCCCCCAUCUCCGAACAGUACCACAUGUAAAGUAACAGUGUAAAGUAUAUAGUCUAUGCCUGUGAUCACCUUCCGAAGUGAUCACGGCCCAGUAGUAUAGCAUGGCGGACGGACAAGAAUGUAGGGCCACUGGUGAUAAACUAGCAUCCUAUACUAAGCAUUAGGAUUGCAGGUAAAGGUAACAACAGUAGUAGCAAGGACAGGCUAUGCAUCAAGAUAGGAUGAACGGAAAACAGUAACAUGCUACACUACUCUAAUGCAAGCAGUAUAGAGGAGAGUAGGCGAUAUCUGGUGAUCAAAGGGGGGGGCUUGCCUGGUUGCUCUGGCAAGAGAGAGUGGUCGUCAACACCGUAGUCGAUCACAGGGGUACCGGCAGCGGUCUCGGGGUCUACCGGAAAAGUAACGGAGGGGGAACAUAAUAAAUAACAGAGCAAUCAAAGCAACACAAAGUAUAACAUGAUGAUACGCCGUGCUAGGGGUGACCUAACGCAGUAGGAGGUGAUACCGGCGAAGGGGGGAAACAUCCGGGAAAGUAUCCCUGGUGUUUUGCGUUUUCGGGCAGAGGACCGGAGGGGGAAAGUUGCGGGUUCGAUAGGUUAGGGGUGUGUGGCGGACGAACGGACUGCGUAUCCGGAUUCGUCUCGUCGUUCUGAGCAACUUUCAUGUACAAAGUUUUUUGAUCCGAGCUACGGUUUAUUUUAUAUUAAUUUUUAAAAGAUUUAAAUCAAUUUUGGAUUUAUUUAAUUAAUUUAAUCAACAUUAUCCAGAAUAGUGUCUGCUGACGUCAUCAUGACGUCAGCAUGACAUCAGCAGUUGACUUGGUCAACUGACAUGUGGGUCCCGUUCCUCAUUGACUGAUUAGGCUAAUUAGCAGUUAAUUAAGUUAACUACUGUUUAAUUAAACUAAUUAGUGUUUAAUUAAACUAAUUAGUUAAUUAGGUUAAUCUAAUUAUGAUUAAUUAACUUAAUUAAUUCCUUAAUUAAUUAAUUAAUUAUUUUUAUUAUUAUUAAUUUUAAUUCUUUUUUUUAAUAAAGCGUUCUGGGGCGUGGGCCCCCAUGUCAAUGGCUCAGUGAGAGCCUUAGCGGGCGUUCGGGUAACGGGCACCGGCGUCGCUCGUGCGAAGACCGAGCCCGGCCGGGGUGGGGGCAAGGCAAGGCGAGGCCGUGGCCUCGCGAGGGCGCCGGCGCACUGCAGUAGAAGCCGGUGCGGGUGCGGCGGUGGCUGGGACAGGCGCGGUGGCGCGGCCACGGGACAGAGGGAGAGACGGGGGAGGGCGAGGCCAUGGNNNNNNNNNNNNNNNNNNNNNNNNNNNNNNNNNNNNNNNNNNNNNNNNNNNNNNNNNNNNNNNNNNNNNNNNNNNNNNNNNNNNNNNNNNNNNNNNNNNNNNNNNNNNNNNNNNNNNNNNNNNNNNNNNNNNNNNNNNNNNNNNNNNNNNNNNNNNNNNNNNNNNNNNNNNNNNNNNNNNNNNNNNNNNNNNNNNNNNNNNNNNNNNNNNNNNNNNNNNNNNNNNNNNNNNNNNNNNNNNNNNNNNNNNNNNNNNNNNNNNNNNNNNNNNNNNNNNNNNNNNNNNNNNNNNNNNNNNNNNNNNNNNNNNNNNNNNNNNNNNNNNNNNNNNNNNNNNNNNNNNNNNNNNNNNNNNNNNNNNNNNNNNNNNNNNNNNNNNNNNNNNNNNNNNNNNNNNNNNNNNNNNNNNNNNNNNNNNNNNNNNNNNNNNNNNNNNNNNNNNNNNNNNNNNNNNNNNNNNNNNNNNNNNNNNNNNNNNNNNNNNNNNNNNNNNNNNNNNNNNNNNNNNNNNNNNNNNNNNNNNNNNNNNNNNNNNNNNNNNNNNNNNNNNNNNNNNNNNNNNNNNNNNNNNNNNNNNNNNNNNNNNNNNNNNNNNNNNNNNNNNNNNNNNNNNNNNNNNNNNNNNNNNNNNNNNNNNNNNNNNNNNNNNNNNNNNNNNNNNNNNNNNNNNNNNNNNNNNNNNNNNNNNNNNNNNNNNNNNNNNNNNNNNNNNNNNNNNNNNNNNNNNNNNNNNNNNNNNNNNNNNNNNNNNNNNNNNNNNNNNNNNNNNNNNNNNNNNNNNNNNNNNNNNNNNNNNNNNNNNNNNNNNNNNNNNNNNNNNNNNNNNNNNNNNNNNNNNNNNNNNNNNNNNNNNNNNNNNNNNNNNNNNNNNNNNNNNNNNNNNNNNNNNNNNNNNNNNNNNNNNNNNNNNNNNNNNNNNGGGCCGGCUGGGCCGUGGGGUGGGCCGGUCGGCUGGCCUGGUGGCCUGCUGGGCCGGAGCCCAGUGGGUUGCCCCUCUUUUCUUUUAUUUAUUUUCUCUUUUGUUUUUAAUUCAUUCUAAAAUACUUAGGCAGUUUUUAAAAUGUGUUGAUUACACUAUAAUUACCAGUGCAAUAUUCUGCAACCCCCGAACAUUUUUGUUUUAAUUUUUGAAAACUUUUAUUGCUAAUUGUAAUUUGAAUUUGAAUUUGAACGGUUUCGGAUUGUUGCGAGGUUAGCAACAGUAAAUCGGGAUGACGUGCCAUGAUUAGCGUGGGAUUACUGUAGCAACAUUAUCCGGGCGUUACAAAUCUCCUCCACUACAAGAAAUCUCGUCCCGAGAUUUAGGAGGUAGAAGGAAACAGUGCGGGGUAUUCAUCGCGCAGGCGAUCCUCGCGUUCCCAGGUAGCUUCGUCCUCAGAGUGAUUCGACCACUGGACCUUGAGGAACUUGAUCGCCUUCUGGCGUGUGCGGCGUUCAGCUUGGUCAAGAAUGCGGACCGGAUGCUCUUUAUAGGAGAGGUCCUGCUGCAAUUCGAGUACUUCAUGAUCCACUGCUCGGAUUGGGUCCUUGAAGCAGCGUCGGAGUUGUGACACGUGGAACACAUCGUGAACCUGAGAAAGGUUCGACGGAAGCUCCAGUUGAUAUGCCACUUUUCCACGCCUUUCCAGAAUAGUGAAUGGGCCAAUAUAGCGGGGAGCUAGCUUCCCUUUGAUCCCGAAGCGGUGAGCACCCUUCAUUGGUGUAACUCGAAGAUAAGCCUUUUCGCCAGGUUGAUAGACCAUGUCUUGGUGAUGACGGUCAUACUGACUUUUCUGACGUGACUGAGCAGUCUUGAGAUGCUCGCGAAUAAUGCGAACUUGUUCUUCGGCCUGUUGGAUAAUAUCCGGACCGAAGAGUGGGCGUUCCCCAGUUUCUGACCAGUUUAGAGGGGUUCGACACUUCCGUCCAUAAAGCACUUCGAAGGGGGACAUCUUCAGACUAGCUUGAUAGCUAUUAUUAUAAGAGAACUCGGCAUAUGGAAGAGAUUCCUCCCAUUUCUUGCCGAAUGAGAUUACACAAGCUCGAAGCAUGUCUUCGAGAACUUGGUUGACACGUUCAACUUGCCCUUGUGACUGAGGAUGGAACGCAGUACUGAACGACAGAUGAGUCCCCAUAGCUUCUUGGAAACUUGCCCAAAACCUUGAAGUGAAUAAGCUGCCACGGUCUGAACUGAUAACCAGUGGGAUACCGUGAAGUGAAACAAUUCUGGCCAUGUAGAGAGUAGCAAGCUGACUAGCCGUGAUUGUCUCUUUGACCGCCAGAAAAUGGGCAACUUUGGAAAGCCGGUCAAUGACGACAAGAAUAGCAUCAUUACCUUUCUGCGAUUUGGGAAAACCAGUGACGAAGUCCAUCUCAACAUGGUCCCAUUUCCAUUCAGGAAUAGGGAUAGGUUGCAGAGUUCCAGCAGGCCUUUGAUGCUCUGCUUUGAUUCGGCGACAAACGUCACAUUCAGCAACAUAACGAGCAAUGUCCUGCUUCAUAUUAGACCACCAGAAUCUUUGACGAAUAUCCUGGUACAUCUUUGUACUACCAGGAUGGAUGGACAGAGGCGUAUCGUGGGCUUCUUGCAUAACCCUUUUAGUCUUAUCCAGGUUUUUCUUCGAACAUGGUACCACUAAGCGGCCUUUGAAAUACAAGGCGCCAUCGUCGGCGAUCGUGAAGAAUGAGGGCUUUCCCCUUUUGAGGUCGCGCUUAAUCUUGAGGACUUCAUCGUCACACUUCUGUAUCCACCUGAUGGUGUCCACAAGAUCUGGUUUCGCAACCAGGGUAUUGAGAGAACCCUUGGAAACAACAUGGAGGUUCUGUUUGGGGAAACCUUUGGGAGGGGGAGCGAGUGAUCCCGGAGGAACAAUAUGGAGGUUCAGCCUUCUAAAUUCUUCGGUAAGCGAGGGCUGAACUUUAUGAACCUGGAGGUGGUUGCAGUAAGACUUGCGGCUCAAGGCAUCAGCCAUCACAUUAGCCUUGCCGGGGGUAUAUGAUAUAUCCACGUCAAAGUCUGCAACAGUCUCCAUCCAUCUUUGCUGGCGUAGGUUCAAAUCUGGCUGAGUAAAGAGAUACUUCAGACUUUGAUGGUCGGUGAAGAUCUCGCAACGAUUACCGAGAAGGUAAUGUCGCCACUGCUUCAGUGCAUGAAUGACAGCAGCAAGCUCGAGGUCGUGAACUGGGUAGUUUUCUUCGUGAGGGCGCAAUUGACGAGAGGCAUAAGCAAUCACUCUGCGCUCUUGCAUUAGGACACAGCCUAAUCCUUGACGGGAAGCGUCGCAGUAAAUGACGAAGUCCUUCUUAGUAUCAGGUGGUGCAAGCACGGGGGCAGAAGUCAAUUUGUCUUUGAGCGCCUGGAAACUUUCCUGACACUUGUCUGUCCAGUCGAACUUGACACCCUUAUGCAAUAAACUAGUCAGAGGCCUGGCAAUCUUGGAGAAGUUCUCGACGAAUCGACGGCAAUAGCUGGCGAGACCGAGAAAACUUCGGACUUGCUUCACAUUCUUCGGAGGAGUCCAAUCGAGAAUAGCCUGAACUCGUUCAGGGUUGACGGCAAUACCAUCUUUGGAGAUGACAUGCCCAAGAUAGGUUACUUCGGGAAGCCAGAAUUCACACUUGGAAUACUUAGCAUACAGCUGAUGUUCUCGAAGCUUCUCUAGCACAAGACGAAGAUGUUCAGCAUGCUCCUCCUUGUUCUUGGAAAAUACAAGGAUAUCGUCCAAAUAAACCACGACGAACUUGUCGAGGUAAUCCAUGAAUAUAUAAUUCAUCAGACGAGAGAAGGUGGCUGGAGCAUUCGUUAAACCGAAUGACAUGACGGUGUACUCAUAUGAUCCAUACCGAGUAACGAAGGCGGUUUUUGGAAUGUCCUCUUCACGAACACGGAUCUGGUGGUAACCCAACCUCAAGUCGAGUUUAGAGAACACUGAUGAGCCAGCCAGCUGAUCAUAAAGAUCAUUGAUUCGAGGAAGCGGGUAUUUAUUCUGAAUGGUAGCUUGGUUUAUAGGACGGUAGUCUUGGACUAAUCGGUUUGUCCCAUCCUUCUUCCUAACAAAGAGAGAAGGUGCUCCCCAAGGAGAGCAACUUGGGCGAAUGAAACCUUUGACAAGAGAUUUGUCGAUUUCCUCCUUAAGCUCAAUGAGUUCAUGCGGCGGCAUCUUAUAGGGUCGUUUAGCUAUAGGGAUGGUGCCGGGUUUCAAGUCGAUGAUGAAUUCGACAGCCCUAGCAGGGGGAAUCCCUGGAAGUUCUUCUGGGAAGACAUCUUGGAAUUCACGAACGACGAGAAUGUUUUCAAUGCCCUCGAGUGGUGCAGCGUUCAACGCAUUCAAGGCAUAAAGCCGUGCCUCGGCGUUCUGAACUAGAUGAGCUUGAUAAGCUAUUAUUUCAUCAGAAGGGUGUAGCAAAUGGACGACCUUAGUGGCGCAAACUAUAGAAGCAGUAUGCGCUUUUAACCAAUUCAUCCCCAGAAUGAGAUCAAUGCUACAGGACUUCAGUACGAUGGGGGAGACAAGGAAUUCCAGUCCUUCGAUUUCUACAGGGACGUCAUUGCAAAUCAUGGAGGUUCGGCAUUGGCCCGCAGGGGUGUGUACUAAUAGUGAAGCAUCCAUGUUCUCACAUUUAAUGUCGUGCAAGCAUGCAAAACCUUCUGACAUGAAUGAAUGAGAUGCACCUGUAUCAAAUAAAACGGAUGCUGGUACUGAAUUUACGAGGAGGGUACCCAUCACAGUAGCAGGCUGGUCUUGAGCUUCGCUCAGAUCAACGUGGUUGGCAUGAACACGACCAUAAGGCUUGGCAUUGUUGCUGCGGGGCUGGUUGCUUCCACGGCCAGUUGCUGGAAGGGCCAGUUGAUUCGGGUUCUGGUUGCAUUCCCUAGCACGAUGCCCUGGUUGUCCACACCUGAAGCACAAUCCAUUAUUGGGAGUGGGAACAGGAGCUUGUGGUGGUGGAGCUGGGAGUCUUGGCCGCCUAGCCGGAGGAGUAGGCAGACGUGGUGCAGCAUAGGUCUGCCUUGGGGUAGGUGCAUCCGGCUGGUACAAGCUAUUGGGAAUCCAUAUCUUGCGCUUCUGCGAGGACGGGCCCGAAGAUGAGCCCGUGUCACGGUUGCGCCUGUGAGAGCUCUGGUAUUCCUGCAGACCAGUUUCGACGUUGAUGGCCUUGUUCACCAAGGUGGCGAAAUCAGUAAAGUCAUGCACUAGAAGUGCGAGCUUGAUGUCAGCUUGAAGGCCAUCACGGAACUUCUCCUGUCUGCGUGCAUCAGUUGCAAUGUCUUCUUCAGCAUAGCGGGACAAGUCCAGAAACUCCCGCUGAUAAGCUUCCACAGUUUUGUUGCCUUGGGUGAGGUUGCGGAACUCACGCUUCUUCCGGUCCAUAACUCCCUGAGGAAUGAAGCGAGCACGGAAGGCAGCUUGGAAGUCUGGCCAGGUGAUGAUUGUUCCAGCUGGCAGUGUACGCCUGUGGCUGUCCCACCAUUGAGCUGCGGGUCCCUUCAGGAAGAAGGAAGCAAAGGUGACAUAGCUGGCAGGGGCUACAUCAGCAGACUCCAUCUCAUAGGUGAUGUCACGGAGCCAGUCAUCAGCAUCCAGAGGCUGGGUUGAGCUGCGGUACACUGUUGGGUUCAGGCGCAUGAAAUCCUGCAGAGUUACUGGGGUUGGCUGCUGGUUCAUAUUGGGGCGAGGAAACUGAGCCAUCAUAUUCUCCAUGAACUGACGAUUCAGCUCAAACUGUUGGAUCAUACCAGCCAUGUACUCAGGCGGUGGUGGGGCGUUGCCACCACGACCACGACCACCUGGUCUAACCAUCCUGCCAAUGUUUAACAGGGGUAGUUCAGCAUUGAGGAAUUGUAAAAACAAGCAUCAUUCAUGAUGAAACAUGCACAACGAAAGCAGCACGAUAGAUACCACAUAGUAGUCGGCAUAUCUUACAAAAGAGAUCAUGCAUAGAGUUCGUUACACAGUGUUCAAUACAUAGACUAAGACAUCAUAGGCGGCACACAGGCUCGCGGCGAAUGCAUCUAACUCUAAUAAGCAAGUCUACGUCAGUCCCAUGCGGUACUGCGGAGGUAGGUGUAGCCCGACAGCUGGUAGUGACGCGAAGGGAAGACCUCCACGCGAGUAGCCUGGGGUCCGCGGAUACUCUGGUGCGGAACCCGAUGCGCAGGUGGCAGGAGAGGACCAAGGGCAGGAGAGUAGCCUCCCACAUCUGGCCAGCCGACGCCCUGGGGCAUCACGGUCCUGGCGGGGUAGAUCGCAGAACGCGUCAGAUCACCAGAUCGGACAAAGGGGUGCAACAGUGUCAGAGCACGAUACAGGUGCUGACGGGUGGUGUACAACUCGUGUCGAAGAGCUCGGAUAGCUCUAUCCAGCCCAUCAGCAUGCAGAACCAGGUUCUGAUGGUAGUAGGGCUCGCGGGUGACAGUGGAGUAGGCAGCAGUGUAGUAACCCUCCGCACCAACAUCGGAUGCGAUAGCAAUGUGCCUGAAGGGGGAGGUGUCCAACUCCUGAUACUCACCACGAAGACGUGUCAGAGCAGCAUAAGCAGCAUCGUGGACCGCCAUAUCGAUAGUCACUCCAACACCAUGAGCAGUGUGCAGCACAGUAGUGGAGUCAUACUCCCGAGAGUAGAGGUGGACGACGGCACGGUACUGCUCCUGGUUGAAAUCCUGAUACUCCUCAUAGACGGUGUACUCAGGGUGCCAGCGAUAACCCAGAUAGGUCAUCAUCUCAACCAACACAGCAGGUGAUCCUGAGGCACCAAUGGCCGUCGUGUGGCGCACGACCUGCCUCGUGGGUUCCAUCUGAAAACAAAGAUGUUUUCACAGGAGUCAAAUGACAAGGUGGACAAUGUUCAAAUACUAAUCUAAAGAAUAACUAGGGCUUAUCCAACUUUGGGGUGAAUGCCGUAACGGGAUCCUAGUGUCAGAGUUAGUAAAUUCGUUUAACCCGAGUAGAAGAGAGAUCAGAGUCCCAGAGUAAGGAUCGAGGAGUAAAAGAUCCUAAUAUCACCCGAUGGCGACGUGGGCCCGUAAGGCACACAGCCAGGUUAGUAAAAGUUUUUGCAAUGUCUAGACUCGACUUCGGCCAAGGAGUGGGGAAGGGGGGGUUCCUACAGGCAGUCGGCUCUGAUACCAACUUGUGACGCCCCCGAUUCAAUCGUACACUAAUCAUGCACGCAAAUGUGUACGAUCAAGAUCAGGGACUCACGGGAAGAUAUCACAACACAACUCUACAAAUAAAAUAAGUCAUACAAGCAUCAUAUUACAAGCCAGGGGCCUCGAGGGCUCGAAUACAAGAGCUCGAUCAUAGACGAGUCAGCGGAAGCAACAAUAUCUGAGUACAGACAUAAGUUAAACAAGUUGCCUUAAGAAGGCUAGCACAAACUGGGAUACAGAUCGAAAGAGGCGCAGGCCUCCUGCCUGGGAUCCUCCUAACUACUCCUGGUCGUCGUCAGCGGGCAUCACGUAGUAGUAGGCACCUCCGGUGUAGGGGUCGUCGUCGACGGUGGCGUCUGGCUCCUGGGCCCCAACAUCUGGUUGCGACAACCAGAAAGAAAGGAAAGGGGGGGAAAAGGGGGAGAAAGCAACCGUGAGUACUCAUCCAAAGUACUCGCAAGCAAGGAGCUACACUACAUAUGCAUGGGUAUCAAAUGGAGUAAGGGUAUCAUAUGUGGACUGAACUGCAGAAAGCCAGAAUAAGAGGGGGAUAACUAAUCCUUUCGAAGACUACGCUUCUGGCAGCCUCCGUCUUGCAACAUGUAGAAGAGAGUAGACUGAAGUCCUCCAAGUAGCAUCGCAUAGCAUAAACCUAACCGAUGAUCCUCCCCUCGUCGCCCUGUGAGAGAGCGAUCACCGGUUGUAUCUGGCACUUGGAAGGGUGUGUUUUAUUAAGUAUCCGGUUCUAGUUGUCAUAAGGUCAAGGUACAACUCCGGGUCGUCCUUUUACCGAGGGACACGGCUAUUCGAAUAGAUAAACUUCCCUGCAGGGGUGCACCACAUACCCCAACACGCUCGAUCCCAUUUGGCCGGACACACUUUUCUGGGUCAUGCCCGGCCUCGGAAGAUCAACACGUCGUAGCCCCACCUAGACCAACAGAGAGGUCAGCACGCCGGUCUAAACCUAAGCGCCCAGGGGUCUGGGCCCAUCGCCCUUAGCACACCUGCACGUUGCGAGGGCGGCCGGAAGCAGACCUAGCCUAGUGGCGUUCCAGUCCAAUCCAGCGCGCGCCGCUCCGUCGCUGACGUCAAGAAGGCUUCGGCUGAUACCACGACGCCGGGAUACCCAUAACUACUCCCACGUAGAUGGUUAGUGCGUAUAGACCAAAUGGCCAGACUCAGAUCAAAUACCCAGAUCUCGUUAAGCGUGUUAAGUAUCCGCGAACGCCGACCAGGGCCAGGCCCACCCCUCUCCUAGGUGGUCUCAACCUGCCCUGUCGCUCCGCCUCAAGUAACAGUCGGGGGCCGUCGGGAACCCAGGCCCACCUCUACCGGGAUGGAGCCACCUGCCCCUUCAGCCCCCAUCUCCGAACAGUACCACAUGUAAAGUAACAGUGUAAAGUAUAUAGUCUAUGCCCGUGAUCACCUUCCGAAGUGAUCACGGCCCAGUAGUAUAGCAUGGCGGACGGACAAGAAUGUAGGGCCACUGGUGAUAAACUAGCAUCCUAUACUAAGCAUUAGGAUUGCAGGUAAAGGUAACAACAGUAGUAGCAAGGACAGGCUAUGCAUCAAGAUAGGAUGAACGGAAAACAGUAACAUGCUACACUACUCUAAUGCAAGCAGUAUAGAGGAGAGUAGGCGAUAUCUGGUGAUCAAAGGGGGGGGCUUGCCUGGUUGCUCUGGCAAGAGAGAGUGGUCGUCAACACCGUAGUCGAUCACAGGGGUACCGGCAGCGGUCUCGGGGUCUACCGGAAAAGUAACGGAGGGGGAACAUAAUAAAUAACAGAGCAAUCAAAGCAACACAAAGUAUAACAUGAUGAUACGCCGUGCUAGGGGUGACCUAACGCAGUAGGAGGUGAUACCGGCGAAGGGGGGAAACAUCCGGGAAAGUAUCCCCGGUGUUUUGCGUUUUCGGGCAGAGGACCGGAGGGGGAAAGUUGCGGGUUCGAUAGGUUAGGGGUGUGUGGCGGACGAACGGACUGCGUAUCCGGAUUCGUCUCGUCGUUCUGAGCAACUUUCAUGUACAAAGUUUUUCGAUCCGAGCUACGGUUUAUUUUAUAUUAAUUUUUAAAAGAUUUAAAUCAAUUUUGGAUUUAUUUAAUUAAUUUAAUCAACAUUAUCCAGAAUAGUGUCUGCUGACGUCAUCAUGACGUCAGCAUGACAUCAGCAGUUGACUUGGUCAACUGACAUGUGGGUCCCGUUCGUCAUUGAAUGAUUAGGCUAAUUAGCAGUUAAUUAAGUUAACUACUGUUUAAUUAAACUAAUUAGUGUUUAAUUAAACUAAUUAGUUAAUUAGGUUAAUCUAAUUAUGAUUAAUUAACUUAAUUAAUUCCUUAAUUAAUUAAUUAAUUAAUUAUUUUUAUUAUUAUUAAUUUUAAUUCUUUUUUUUUAGUAAAGCGUUCUGGGGCGUGGGCCCCCAUGUCAAUGGCUCAGUGAGAGCCUUAGCGGGCGUUCGGGUAACGGGCACCGGCGUCGCUCGUGCGAAGACCGAGCCCGGCCGGGGUGGGGGCAAGGCAAGUCGAGGCCGUGGCCUCGCGAGGGCGCCGGCGCACUGCAGUAGAGGCCGGUGCGGGUGCGGCGGUGGCUGGGACAGGCGCGGUGGCGCGGCCACGNNNNNNNNNNNNNNNNNNNNNNNNNNNNNNNNNNNNNNNNNNNNNNNNNNNNNNNNNNNNNNNNNNNNNNNNNNNNNNNNNNNNNNNNNNNNNNNNNNNNNNNNNNNNNNNNNNNNNNNNNNNNNNNNNNNNNNNNNNNNNNNNNNNNNNNNNNNNNNNNNNNNNNNNNNNNNNNNNNNNNNNNNNNNNNNNNNNNNNNNNNNNNNNNNNNNNNNNNNNNNNNNNNNNNNNNNNNNNNNNNNNNNNNNNNNNNNNNNNNNNNNNNNNNNNNNNNNNNNNNNNNNNNNNNNNNNNNNNNNNNNNNNNNNNNNNNNNNNNNNNNNNNNNNNNNNNNNNNNNNNNNNNNNNNNNNNNNNNNNNNNNNNNNNNNNNNNNNNNNNNNNNNNNNNNNNNNNNNNNNNNNNNNNNNNNNNNNNNNNNNNNNNNNNNNNNNNNNNNNNNNNNNNNNNNNNNNNNNNNNNNNNNNNNNNNNNNNNNNNNNNNNNNNNNNNNNNNNNNNNNNNNNNNNNNNNNNNNNNNNNNNNNNNNNNNNNNNNNNNNNNNNNNNNNNNNNNNNNNNNNNNNNNNNNNNNNNNNNNNNNNNNNNNNNNNNNNNNNNNNNNNNNNNNNNNNNNNNNNNNNNNNNNNNNNNNNNNNNNNNNNNNNNNNNNNNNNNNNNNNNNNNNNNNNNNNNNNNNNNNNNNNNNNNNNNNNNNNNNNNNNNNNNNNNNNNNNNNNNNNNNNNNNNNNNNNNNNNNNNNNNNNNNNNNNNNNNNNNNNNNNNNNNNNNNNNNNNNNNNNNNNNNNNNNNNNNNNNNNNNNNNNNNNNNNNNNNNNNNNNNNNNNNNNNNNNNNNNNNNNNNNNNNNNNNNNNNNNNNNNNNNNNNNNNNNNNNNNNNNNNNNNNNNNNNNNNNNNNNNNNNNNNNNNNNNNNNNNNNNNNNNNNNNNNNNNNNNNNNNNNNNNNNNNNNNNNNNNNNNNNNNNNNNNNNNNNNNNNNNNNNNNNNNNNNNNNNNNNNNNNNNNNNNNNNNNNNNNNNNNNNNNNNNNNNNNNNNNNNNNNNNNNNNNNNNNNNNNNNNNNNNNNNNNNNNNNNNNNNNNNNNNNNNNNNNNNNNNNNNNNNNNNNNNNNNNNNNNNNNNNNNNNNNNNNNNNNNNNNNNNNNNNNNNNNNNNNNNNNNNNNNNNNNNNNNNNNNNNNNNNNNNNNNNNNNNNNNNNNNNNNNNNNNNNNNNNNNNNNNNNNNNNNNNNNNNNNNNNNNNNNNNNNNNNNNNNNNNNNNNNNNNNNNNNNNNNNNNNNNNNNNNNNNNNNNNNNNNNNNNNNNNNNNNNNNNNNNNNNNNNNNNNNNNNNNNNNNNNNNNNNNNNNNNNNNNNNNNNNNNNNNNNNNNNNNNNNNNNNNNNNNNNNNNNNNNNNNNNNNNNNNNNNNNNNNNNNNNNNNNNNNNNNNNNNNNNNNNNNNNNNNNNNNNNNNNNNNNNNNNNNNNNNNNNNNNNNNNNNNNNNNNNNNNNNNNNNNNNNNNNNNNNNNNNNNNNNNNNNNNGGGCCGGCUGGGCCGUGGGGUGGGCCGGUCGGCUGGCCUGGUGGCCUGCUGGGCCGGAGCCCAGUGGGUUGCCCCUCUUUUCUUUUAUUUAUUUUCUCUUUUGUUUUUAAUUCAUUCUAAAAUACUUAGGCAGUUUUUAAAAUGUGUUGAUUACACUAUAAUUACCAGUGCAAUAUUCUGCAACCCCCGAACAUUUUUGUUUUAAUUUUUGAAAACUUUUAUUGCUAAUUGUAAUUUGAAUUUGAAUUUGAACGGUUUCAGAUUGUUGCGAGGUUAGCAACAGUAAAUCGGGAUGACGUGCCAUGAUUAGCGUGGGAUUACUGUAGCAACAUUAUCCGGGCGUUACAGUUUUGUCGAUCCAAAGGGAGCUAACAAAGUAUGCAAACUCCAGCGAUCCAUUUAUGGACUGGUGCAAGCAUCUCGGAGUUGGAAUAAACGCUUUGAUAGUGUGAUCAAAGCAUUUGGCUUUAUACAGACUUUUGGAGAAGCCUGUAUUUACAAGAAAGUGAGUGGGAGCUCUGUAGCAUUUCUAAUAUUAUAUGUGGAUGACAUAUUGCUGAUUGGAAAUGAUAUAGAAUUUCUGGAUAGCAUAAAGGGAUACUUGAAUAAAAGUUUUUCGAUGAAAGACCUCGGGGAAGCUGCUUACAUAUUAGGCAUAAAGAUCUAUAGAGAUAGAUCAAAACGCUUAAUUGGGCUUUCACAAAGCACAUACCUUGACAAGAUUUUGAAGAAGUUCAAAAUGGAUCAAGCAAAGAAAGGGUUCUUGCCUGUGUUACAAGGUAUGAAGUUGAGUCAGACUCAAUGCCCGACCACUGCAGAAGAUAGAGAGAAAAUGAAAGAUGUUCCCUAUGCUUCAGCCAUAGGCUCUAUCAUGUAUGCAAUGCUGUGUACCAGACCUGAUGUGUGCCUUGCUAUAAGUUUAGCAGGGAGGUACCAAAGUAAUCUAGGAAUGGAUCACUGGACAGCGGUCAAGAACAUCCUGAAAUACCUGAAAAGGACUAAGGAUAUGUUUCUCGUAUAUGGAGGUGACAAAGAGCUCACCGUAAGAGGUUACGUUGAUGCAAGCUUUGACACUGAUCCGGACGAUUCUAAAUCGCAAACCGGAUACGUGUUUACUUUAAACGGUGGAGCUGUCAGUUGGUGCAGUUCUAAACAAAGCGUCGUAGCGGGAUCUACAUGUGAAGCGGAGUACAUAGCUGCUUCGGAAGCAGCAAACGAAGGAGUCUGGAUGAAGGAGUUCAUAUCCGAUCUAGGUGUCAUACCUAGUGCAUCGGGUCCAAUGAAAAUCUUCUGUGACAAUACUGGUGCAAUUGCCUUGGCAAAGGAAUCCAGAUUUCACAAGAGGACCAAACACAUCAAGAGACACUUCAACUCCAUCCGGGAUUUAGUCCAGGUGGGAGACAUAGAGAUUUGCAAGAUACAUACGGAUCUGAAUGUUGCAGACCCGUUGACUAAGCCUCUUCCACGAGCAAAACAUGAUCAGCACCAAGGCUCCAUGGGUGUUAGAAUCAUUAUAGUGUAAUCUAGAUUAUUGACUCUAGUGCAAGUGGGAGACUAAAGGAAAUAUGCCCUAGAGGCAAUAAUAAAGUUAUUAUUUAUUUCCUUAUAUCAUGAUAAAUGUUUAUUAUUCAUGCUAGAAUUGUAUUAACCAGAAACAUAAUACAUGUGUGAAUACAUAGACCAACAGAGUGUCACUAGUAUGCCUCUACUUGACUAGCUCGUUAAUCAAAGAUGGUUAUGUUUCCUAACCAUGAACAAGGAGUUGUUAUUUGAUUAACGAGGUCACAUCAUUAGUUGAAUGAUCUGAUUGACAUGACCCAUUCCAUUAGCUUAGCACCCGAUCGUUUAGUAUGUUGCUAUUGCUUUCUUCAUGACUUAUACAUGUUCCUAUAACUAUGAGAUUAUGCAACUCCCGUUUACCGGAGGAACACUUUGGGUACUACCAAACAUCACAACGUAACUGGGUGAUUAUAAAGGAGUACUACAGGUGUCUCCAAUGGUAUAUGUUGGGUUGGGGUAUUUCGAGAUUAGGGUUUGUCACUCCGAUUGUCGGAGAGGUAUCUCUGGGCCCUCUCGGUAAUGCACAUCACAUAAGCCUUGCAAGCACUGCAACUAAUAUGUUAGUUGUGAGAUGAUGUAUUACGGAACGAGUAAAGAGACUUGCCAGUAACGAGAUUGAACUAGGUAUUGGAUACCGACGAUCGAAUCUCGGGCAAGUAACAUACCGAUGACAAAGGGAACAACGUAUGUUGUUAUGCGGUCUGACCGAUAAAGAUCUUCGUAGAAUAUGUAGGAGCCAAUAUGGGCAUCCAGGUCCCACUAUUGGUUAUUGACCGGAGACGUGUCUCGGUCAUGUCUACAUUGUUCUCGAACCGUAGGGUCCGCACGCUUAACGUUACGAUGACAGUUAUUAUGAGUUUAUGCAUUUUGAUGUACCGAAGGUUGUUCGGAGUCCUGGAUGAGAUCACGGACCUGACGAGGAGUCUCGAAAUGGUCGAGACGUAAAGAUUGAUAUAUUGGAAGCCUAUGUUUGGACAUAGGAAGUGUUCUGGGUGAAAUCGGGAUUUUACCGGAAUACCGGGAGGGUUACCGGAACCCCCCGGGAGACUAAUGGGCCUAUUGGGCCUUAGUGGAAAAAGAGAAAAGGGGCAGCCCAUAAGCUGGCCGGCGCCCCCCCUUUCCCCAAGUCCUAGUAGGACUAGGAGAAGGGGCCGCCCCCCCUCUUUCUCCUUUCCCCCCGAGAGUCCUAAUUGGAAUAGGAUUGGAGGGAGGAGUCCUACUCCCGGUGGGAGUAGGACUCCCCUGCGCCUCCCUCUCCCUGGCCGGCCGGCCCCCCUUCCUCCAACCUUUAUAUACGGGGGCAGGGGACACCCCAAGACACACAAGUUGAUCCUUGAGAUCGUUCCUUAGCCGUGUGCGGUGCCCCCUGCCACCAAAUUCCACCUCGAUCGUACCGUUACAGUGCUUAGGCGAAGCCCUGCGUCGGUAGUACAUCAAGAUCGUCACCACGCCGUCGUGCUGACGGAACUCUUCCUCGACGCUUUGCUGGAUCGGAGCACGAGGAACGUCAUCGAGCUGAACGUGUGCUAAGAACUCGGAGGUGCCGGAGUAACGGUGCUUGGAUCGGUCGGAUCGGGAAGAAGACGUACGACUACUUCCUCUACGUUGUGUGAUCGCUUCCGCAGUCGGUCUGCGUUGGUACGUAGACAACACUCUCCCCUCUCGUUGCUAUGCAUCACCAUGAUCUUGCGUGUGCGUAGGAAAAUUUUCGAAAUUACUGCGUUCCCCAACACUCAGCGCUAUAUAUUAUUUCCCAAUGAUGUAUGGCUAUCUUAUGAUGUUUGAGUAGAUCCGUUUUGUCCUAUGGGCUAUUUGAUGAUCAAGAUUGGUUUGAGUUGCAUGUUUUAUUAUUGGUGUUGUCCUAUGGUGCUCUCCUGUCGCGCAAGCGUGAGGGAUUCCCGCUGUAGGGUGUUGCAAUACGUUUAUGAUUCUCUUAUAGUGGGUUGCGUGAGUGACUGAAACACAAACCCGAGUAAGGGGGUUGUUGCGUAUGUGAUAAAGAGGACUUGAUGCUUUAAUGCUAUGGUUGGGUUUUACCUUAAUGAUCUUUAGUAGUUGCGGAUUCUUGCUAGAGUUCCAAUCAUAAGUGCAUAUGAUCCAAGUAGAGAAAGUAUGUUAGCUUAUGCCUCUCCGUCAUAUAAAAUUGCAAUAAUGAUUACCGGUCUAGUUAUCGAUUGCCUAGGGACAAAUAACUUUCUCGUAACAAAAAGCUCUUUACUAAAACUAACUUAGUUGUGUCUUUACCUAAACAGCCCCUACUUUUUAUUUACAUGCUCUUUAUUAUCUUGCAAACCUACCCGACAACACAUACAAAGUAUUUCUAGUUUCAUACUUGUUCUAGGUAAAGCGAACGUCAAGCGUGCGUAGAGUUGUAUCGGUGGUCGAUAGAACUUGAGGGAAUAUUUGUUCUGCCUUUAGCUACUCGUUGGGUUCAACACUCUUACUUAUUGAAAACUAUUGCGAACCCCUAUACUUGUGGGUUAUCAAGCUUGAGAUAAGCAUAGUGUGGUACUGCGUUGAAUCGAGCAAACGCAGUUCGUCCGAGCAGUGCGUGAUAGCCGCUGCGGAAGGGGACGAUAUCGAAGAUUAACUCCUCGCUUCAGAAGUUGUUCGGAGAUCCGAAGACAACCUCUAGUGUGAUUGAGCCCAUACAUCGGGCCUCUACACCUGGUAUGACUCCUUUGAAGGUAGUCCUGGUGGGCUUGAUCCGUGAUGGGUUAAUGCCCAUUUUUCACGAUGUAUCCUGAUAGAGCAGAUUGAGGCUGCUACCUCCGUCCAUAAGGACGCGAGUCAGGUGCAACCCAUCUAUUAUUGGGUCUAGGACUAGUGCGGCUGAGCCACCAUGACAGAUACUAGACGGAUGAUCCCGGCGAUCAAAAGUGAUCGGGCAUGAUGACCAUGGAUUAAAUUUUGGGGUGACUGGCUCUAUCCCAUAGACGUCCCUGAGCGCACGCUUGCGCUCCCUCUUAGGGAUGUGGGUAGCGUAUAUCAUGUUAACCGCUUUGACCUGAGGGGGAAACUUCUUCUGUCCCCCCUAUGUUCGGUUGCCGGGGCUCUUCGUCAUCGUCCUCGCUUUGCGAUCCCUUUUCCUUGUUCUCAACGUUUAAUUCGCCGGCCUAUUUAAAAAACCCAGCAAUCUCUAUUUGUAUGAUUGGGUGGUUUGUCCGGUGUCGGUGUCAAAACCGGCGGAUCUCGGGUCGGGGGUCCCGAACUGUGUGUCUAAGGUGGAUGGUAACAGGAGGCGGGGGACACGAUGUUUACCCAGGUUAUGGCCCUCUCAAUGGAGGUAAUUCCCUACUUCCUUCUUGAUUGAUCUUGAUGAUAUGAGUAUUACAAGAGUUGAUCUACCACGAGAUUGUAGAGGCUAAACCCCAGAAGCUAGCCUAUGAUUAUGCUUGUUUGUAUAUCUAUCGACUAGCUUGGCCCUGGUUUAUAUAAUGCACCAGAGGCCUAGGAUAACAAGAGUCCUAGCCGAAUACGCCGGCGGGGGAGGAGUCCUCUUCUUGACCAGCAAGUCUUGUGGAAUCUUCCUUGUAUGCGGCAGCUGUCUGAACUGGCCCAUGAGUAUACGGCCAUGGGGGUCCUCGGCCCAAUCUAACUGACCAGGUGACAGCGUGGUGAGUACCCCCUAGUCCAGGACACCGUGAAUAGCCCCCUGAAAUGGUCUUCAAGUUGGGGACACUCCUCGGUUCUUCCGAACUGUUCUUCAUCUUCGGUUGUCGGUCUUGAAAACUGGUUCAACAAAUCUUCCCAUCUUCUAUCUUGAGGAUUGCCGAGCUAAAUCUGAAGAUCUCACACGUUAGGUAUCCGAGGAGCCCUUUAAGUCUUCGGCCUUUAUCAAUGCCUUGUUAUUUUUAUGCCACACCUCGGGUUUAAAGUUGUUCCCCGGCGGCAGCAUCCUCUUGUGUCCGAGCUCCAAUGACGGACUGCAUUCGAGGUAUCUUUUACAGCCGAGCACCAACGCCAGACGGCUUCCAAGUUCCAACGCCGGAAUGUAUUCGACCUCCAACGCCGGACUAUAUUCGAGGUGUCAUAAAUCACCUUGGUUCAAAAAAGUUGAAGGAGUUUAGCCGAGCUUAAUGCCGGGAAUGCCCUCUAUGGAGCCGGCCACUAGCGCCCGAGCUUUAUGUCGGACUGCUUCCGAGGUGGUGCACCACCCUGACUGUGGGCCGAUUUUUUGUCAAUAUUUUUUAUUGGUGCAAUUUAUUCUCUGCCGAGAUAUAUAGCCAGUAGCCCUCAAGGUGUGUAUCGGUCUAAAACCCGAGAUGCACCUGAAGGAUGACAUAAGACCGCUGAUCCCAGUAGCCACUGAGACUCAGGUUGAUUUGCAAAAUCGGUCUGAGGAUCAACUCCUAGCUCGGCAGAAUACUUCGGGACACAAAAAGAGGUGUGCAGAGUCUUCGAGACCCAGGUUGGGUGCGGCGGACCAACCUGAGGAUCAUAAUCUCCUUGAAAACUAUAUUGUACUUAAAUUUUCUGCACUCGAUUGCCAAUGCAGUAGCCCCCGAGACACUGGUUGGGUGGCAACACCAGAUCAUGGGAUCGAUACGCCCCUUUAAUAUUAGUAAAUGAUAAGCCCGAAGCCCAGUAGCCCCCAAGCCUUAACGCGGGCACGAGUGGCCGAAUUAAGGAUCGAUAUCCAAAGUAAAAAUCACCAAUUAUGUGUAAUGAUUCUAUGUAUCCAAGUACUUUACAUCAUUAAUGCUCGGAUCCGCAUUGUACAAAACUUUGUUGACCGACCGUCGGUUUCCACCUCCUCGGCCAGUAGCCGAGGAGUGUUUGUCCUACUUUAUAAAGCCUUUAUGAGGACAAAGUUUUACGAUAAAUAAGGCAAUCUAGCCAUACGGUUUUAUAAACAAAGGUACACAGAGAGAUAUGUUAUAUUAUUGUUUAACAUAAGAAAUGUCUUCCAAAGAAAAUAGUCCCGCUAUCGGUUCCUUUCUUUGGGUUGUCAUGCUAAGCAUGAUCAUGAAACGUCAGCUCUAAUGUAAGAGAAAAAUAUUGAGGAUUUUGUUUGGGAGGCCAGUUACUAGCCCCCGGUAGUGUUCGGCGACAGUCGAGUUCAAGCCGUAAACACUUUGGCCAAUGUUAUGAAUGGCCCGUCAUUUAACACGGUCAUUGGAUCGCUGACCAGUUUACGCUUAUUGUUACAAGCCAGUUUUCGGCUUUCUCCACUGAGGUGCUUGACGAUGUGAGCUGGAAGCACAAUCGCAGUGGUUCUCCCUUUCCACACCUAGCCGAACAAAGCAGAACGUAGGAGGCAAGCGCAGGAGCCGGGCAACCCAACUAUUGACCGAAGACACAAUUCGAAACCGAUGCAUAUAUAGAAAUAUCCGAGAAUGUUUUUGCCGAAUCUCUAAAGGUGUCCGGCAUUGCACUGCGAGACUUGUGCUAAAAACACACAAAUAGUCUGAAAGUGCCAAAAUCUUGGAAAACCAAAAAACGUCAGUAAAAACUUGACGUCCGAACAAGAUCAAGUGUCCGGUGCCAAUCUGAAAGUGGAAAAAAAUUGUGCUUCUGUCGUGCUUUAACAUGACACAUCCAAUCUCAAGACUUCAUGCGGGUUAGCCUACAGCUUCAAGCUCUUUAUCCCAAAGGCGGAGUACUUCUCCGAGGUCAGUUUAGCAAACUAAACUCAAGCGGCUUUCAGAGAGAAGACAUGCUAUCCGGCUAUUGACCAUAAACUCGAGUCGAAAAAGGAGCGGUAGAAAAAGACUUCGCAAUGACCAAGAAGAAAACAAAUUUACUAUAAAAUAGCUCAUAUAAAUUUUAAGAGCCCCCAAGUGACUUGGGUAAAAGAGUUUUAUGUAUAAUGAUUGUAUGUACCGAAGUACUUAUAUCAUAUCUAUGUUCACCCGAACUUUAAACGCGUCCUAACCGACCGUCGGCUUCUCCCUCUUCGGCCAAGGGCCGAAAAGUGUCAUGUACUCCACCUGUCGAGAGUAUCGACGGUGUUUCCGAUGACCAGGCAAUCAGGCCAUAAGGUUGUAACAGACAAAGCACACUCAGGGAACUUAUGCUAUAUUACUGACGAAGUGUAAGAAGCAUCUUCGAAGAAAAUAGUACCCCCACCGAUACCUUUCUUCGGUGCUCAUUAUUACUAUGAGACUUGUGCAAUAGAUUUUUUGCACUCAUGAGUUCCGUUGUGUGCCGACCAUGAUUGAAAACAAUAAGAGCGCUAGCUUUCGGCUUCGCCCAGUCUGAGGUCAGAGCUCGGAUGACCCGGUCAUGACAAUCGCAGAGGUGCUCCCUUUACUCCCUAGCCGAACAAUCGGGAACGUAGGGGUAAACACAGGAGCGAGGCAACCCAGCUUGCAAAUUGCUUAGGUCAAUAUGGUGCAUAUUGUGGCGUAAUACACGAACAAGGAACGAAGCCGUACAAGUAUAAACAUAUGCAAGAGGGAAAACUCCAUCAAGGGAGCCCCCAAAUAAACGGGGUAUUUGAAUAUGCGGGUCACAAACAAAGUUUUGACAAGGAACUUUGUCACAAACAACUUUGUGCUAAAAGUAUAAUGCUUGGUCGAACCGAACAAAAUUUAAAACUGAAAGUUUUUGAGCAUGAAAGCAACUUAGCUGGUUAAUGUGCUCGGUGUUGAUGACGCGAUUCGGGCUUGUGGCAGGACGAAGACGCCCAUUGAUCCAUGACAGAUCCGACAAGAUUCACAGUCCUCGGCAUGGCCGAGGUCCCAGCCCCCAGGCCUAAGGUGUCUGAGCAAGGAGUUCGGCACUCCAGAGUAGUGACCACCUAACGCAGUCAAAAUUGAUUACCUGCACACAUAAAACAGCACGGUCUAGAAAUAACAGUAAUAUAUAUAUAUAUAUAUAUAUAAUCCUUGCAUAAUUGCUUUACGCAAAAAUAAUUUAUUUAAAGAAAUGUGGCAUGGCGCCGAAGCCAAUGUCGAUGAAGGGCGUCAGCGUGACGCAGUGAAGGCGUGACAAAGCCUGAAUUUGCAGGGCGGUUCGGGCUCCGGAUGCGGCGUUCGCCGAACUAUGUAUGGAAACUGAUCGAACCACCACAUGACCGUUUUCAAUGUGGCCGCCGUUUGAUAGACCUGUGUACAGAUAAUGGAACAAACUAGAGUAAUAAUUCCUUAAGAAAAAUAAACCUAACAAGCAAAAAUUUUGUUAGGAUUAAUAGCACCUGGUUUAUUUGUUGUAGCAUUCCGAAGAAAAGCGACUCCCAAAAUCGGGAAUCGAUCCACACACCCAUUGUCUGAUGGACGAUAAAGCGAUGGCCUGGUGAUGCUGGCAAAGAUUGGCUUGCCGAGGCGAAGCCCUCGGUCCAGCUAACGUGACGAAGCUGGUUGGCUGGUGACGCCGAAGUCACCGGAGUAUGUUGAUGAAGAAAUAGCCAAGUCCCCGGUCUAGCCGAGGUGACGAAGCAGGCCGGUGAGGAGUUGUUGUAGCUGCCAUGUCAGCCGAGGUGUUGAAGUAAUUCGGUGUGAUGGACAUUGGCUCGAAGAAGCAACAGUGCGGCCCUGCCGACCCAGAUCGUAACUUGUGACGCGGCCAAUGCUGGCUUGAUGAAGUGACCAUGCGGCGAUGCCGGUGUGCCUGCUCCAUGUAAUCCGUGGGGCGGCGAUGUUGGUGAUGAUUUAUCCUUGGCGAUUCCGAACUCUUAUUCGGCUCGCCGAGGUGAGGAUCCGAAGAAGUUGAGCUCAGCUUAAAAAGCGACAACAUGUCUAGCGCAGGUCGGCAGUUGUGAAGCUAUAUUGGCAGACUGGUUUGACACCAGCGUGAUGGCAAAGAUUACCUCAGAGGAAAAUUAAAAUUUUAUGGGCGCGUGUUAAAAACAACGCACAAGAACUUAGAAAAAAGUUCAUUUUAAAAAGGUUGUCAAAUAUCACGUUCAUAAAGAAACAUGAAUUCAGGCUGGAACCGUAUUCGCGCAGGAAACAAAUCUGAAAAGUGAUGCACUAAUCGGAAGGUUCCCGGAGUUUAGACGGUCGGAUCGAGCUGAAAUUUUGAGGAGUGGUAGAUAUGGGAGUUACGCAGCAGAUGAACGGUUGGAUCUUCCAAAGGACUUCCGAGCUAGGCUCUGGAGACCACGCCCUAAACUCGUCCGGAUUCCCGUCUGGAUUUGACACGGCUCCGGUAUAUCGUAGAUUGUCAGAGAUCCCUCCAUCGGAACUUGACGAAAUUUUCUAGGGUUGUUGUAGACUCAAUUCCGCACAAUUGCACCGAAGCGAUCGUUAAAACAACACUCAAGAAGGCGGUGGCAGCGGGUACGCGUUCGCUGUCCAGAAAAACAGGACGGUCGCCCAAGGGCAAUGUUGACGUUGAGCCCCCGGGCUCCGUGGACGAUUCCUCCGUGAUCUUGAUAGAGAUCGGAGUUGGUGUUGAUGAAGGCCCUCGUCCGAACAUGACGAUCGGAGGCAGGGCACAGUCCUCAGUUAAGCCAAGGUGACCAGUCGAGCCGGUGACGAAGAUGUCGAUGUCGCAGUUAAUCUGCAGACGAGCCAUCGAUCCUUUUGCCGACCACACAUCGGAACUCUCAAUGAAAGCACCAAUGUCGGUGUCAAAACUGACGGAUCUUGGUUAGGCGGUCCCGAACUGUGCGUCUAAGGCGGAUGGUAACAGGAGGCGGGGGACACGAUGUUUACCCAGGUUUGAGCCCUCUCGAUGGAGGUAAUACCCUACCUCCUGCUUGAUUGAUCUUGAUGAUAUGAGUAUUACAAGAGUUGAUCUACCACGAGAUCAUAGAGGCUAAACCCUAGAAGCUAGCGUAUGAUUAUGAUUGUUUGUAUAUCUAUCGACCAGCUUGGCCCUGGUUUAUAUAAUGCACCAGAGGCCUAGAAUAACAAGAGUCCUAGCCGAAUACGCCGGCGGGGGAUGAGUCCUUGUCUUGACCACCAAGUCUUGUGGAAUCUUCCUUGUAUGCGGCAGCUGUCCGAACUGGCCCAUGAGUAUACGGCCAUGGGGGUCCUCAGCCCAAUCUAACUGACCGGGAGAUGGCGUGGUGAGUACCCCCUAGUCCAGGACACCGUCAUCUGGGGUGCCAUGAAUCUGGCGCGGACGAUCAAGUAUGCGGUCCAAGCUAGAUGGCCUGAAUUGUUCUUUUGGAAUGGCUUCUUCCGCUGACCGGACUUAGAGCCACUGAAUCCGGCAUUAACUGCCGUAUCCUCGGUGUUGUCUCUAUUGUUUCGACGCUUGUAUCUGUUGCAUCGAGACUGGUCUUUGUUAUUUUUAACUUCAGGGGUACCGGCGUCGCUUGCAUUGUUUUUGCUACGGGCCAACCAACUGUCCUCGCCCACACAAAAGCGGGUCAUGAGUGACGUGAAGGCCGCCAUGGAUUUUGGCUUUUCUUGGCCGAGGUGGCGAGCGAGCCAUUCGUCGUGGAUGCUGUGUUUGAAGGCUGCUAGGGCAUCGACAUCCGGACAAUCGACGAUUUGGUUCUUUUUAGUUAAGAACCUAGUCCAGAAUUUCCCGGCGGACUCUCCGGGCUGUUGAACUAUAUGGCUUAAGUCAUCAGUGUCCGGAGGUCAAACAUAUGUACCUUGGAAGUUAUCAAGGAAGGCCUCUUCCAAGUCCUCCCAGCUGCCAAUAGAAUUUUCAGACAGACUGUUAAACCAAUGCCGAGCUGGCCCCUUGAGUUUUAAAGGGAGGUAUUUGAUGGCGUGGAGGUCAUCGCCGCGGGCCAUAUGAAUGUGGAGAAUGAAGUCUUCGAUCCACAGCGCGGGGUCCGUGGUUCCAUCGUAUGAUUCUAUAUUCACGGGUUUGAACCCUUCUAGGAAUUCAUGAUCCAUGACCUCAUCAGUGAAGCAAUGAGGGUGUGCGGCGCCUCUAUAUCGGGACGUAUCGUGACGUAGCUCUGAUGGAGUCCAUCUGGGGUUUUCAGCCCGCGCAUGACUAAGUUUUUCAUGUCCGAAUAGGUGGUCAUUGUCGCGUGUCGAGGCACGUCCUCGCGAUCCGUAGAUUGAUAUGGUAUGUCCUGCUUUAUUGUUCAGGUUUUGCUGGAGGUCAUAUGUAUAGCCGUGGGCUAAUAUACCUCUACCUGUGCGAUGAGGCGGGGUGGGCUGGUGUUCGGCGUGAGUUGCCGUUUUGUCCCGACCAUGUGGUGGUCGGUCAGCAGCAUUGUAUGAUGGUGGUAUGUAUUCCGGCGCCUCCUCGUCGAACUGAGGUAGAAAUUUGCGCUUUGGGUAGGUUUUGGUUGGGCGCUUGAGGCCGUAUUCUUCAGUUGCUAGGACAUCGGUCCAUUUAUCAUUGAGCAUAUCUUGGUCAGCUUGAAGCUGCUGCUGCUUCUUUUUCAGGCUCCUUGUAGUGGCUAUUAGCUGGCUCUUGAAGUGCUCCUGCUCAAGAGGUUCCUCAGGCACGAUGAAAUCGUCGGUGCCGAGGCUCACCUCAUCCUCAGAGAGCGGAAGAUAACUUCCGUUCUCUGAGUCUUCGUGCGUGGCCUGUUUACCAGGGCUAACCUGCCCAUCUUCCCGUUCAUCUUGUUCAUUAGCUGUUUCAACGGGGUCUUCGUUGUCUUCAGCACCUUCUAGAGUGUUAUCUUCUACUGUGCCGGUGUUGCUGUCUUUACUGCGGCAUGACUUAGAGCAGCGCCGCUGACGCCGGCGCUUGGAUUGUAUUUUGGAAGGUUUAUCCUCAGCUGGACCUUCCUUGUCAUCGCCGUUGUUCUCCUUUGGUGCAUCCACCAUGUAUACAUCAUACGAGAAAGUGGCCAUCCAGCGUCCGGUGAAUGGCAGGUUCUGGGCCUCUUCUUCUCCGGCAUCGUCGUCCAUACCGUCGAUGUCCUCGGAGUCGUAAUCAAGUGUGUCGGUCAAGUCCUCGACCGUGGAUAUGAAGUGGGUGGCAGGUGGGAAGCAAAAUUCUCCACCGUCAGCCCCUAGUUCGGACCGGAUAGAGUUCGGUUGUGAGUCCAUCGUCAAGGACAGGUUUUUAAUGAGUUUAGCAUGUUGCCCAAAGGCGUGUGCUGGAAGAUGUCUGCGGCGCUAAAUUCGAAGAUCGAUAAACGAUCAAGUUCGACGUCCGUGGGCUCACAUGGUUUGGAACUUACGGCCAGAGACGAGUCCGGAGUUCCAGUGACACAGGUAUUGUGUGACAUCAAGUCUUUGUGCGGCUCCAACACCGUGGAAUAUGUGGCCUCCGUGGUGGGGUUGAGCUUCCCGUCCUUGGAUGGCGCAGUCUGCUCUGGAUCUAAGGCUAGAGCGGUUACGGGAGCUGUCUCCUAGGUGCAGUCCGAUGACAGAUUUAGGCCAUGUCUCUCAGGGUGACUAGGAGUGGUAGCCGUGGUCUUGAAUCCGGCGAAGAUCAAGUCUCCACGGAUGUCCGCAAUGUAGUUCAAGCUCCCAAAUCUGACCUGAUGGCCAGGGGUGUAGCUUUCGAUCUGCUCUAGAUGGCCAAACAAAUUGGCCCGCAGUGCGAAGCUGCCGAACACAAAGAUUUGUCCAGGGAGGAAAGUUUCUCCUUGGACAGGGUCAUUAUUGAGGAUUGAAGGGGCCAUCAAACCUUUUGGCGACAGCACAGUGGAACUCUCAAUGAAAGCACCAAUGUCGGUGUCAAAACCGGCAGAUCUCGGGUAGGGGGUCCCGAACUGUGCGUCUAAGGUCGAUGAUAACAGGAGACAGGGGACACAAUGUUUUACCCAGGUUCGGGCCCUCUCUAUGGAGGUAAUACCAUACGUCCUGCCUGAUUGAUCUUGAUGAAUAUGAGUAUUACAAGAGUUGAUCUACCACGAUAUCAUAAUGGCUAAACCCUAGAGGUCUAGCUUAUAUGGCUAUGGUAAUGUAUCUAUCCUCCGGACUAAGUCCUCCGGUUUAUAUAGACACCGGGAGGGUCUAGGGUUACACAAGGUCGGUUACAAAGAAAGGAAUCUACAUAUUUGGUCGCCAAGCUUGCCUUCCACGCGAAGGAGAGUCCCACCCAGACACGGGUGCAGUCUUCGGUCUUCGUAUCUUCACAGCCCAUCAGUCCGGUCCAUGGCUAACAGGUCGGACGCCCGAGGACCCCUUAGUCCAGGACUCCCUCAGGGGGCACAAAGAAAGGAAAAAAAAUAUUGGCCAGGGGAGGAAAACGAGGAAAAAGGAGUUGUGUCAAGGGAGGAGGAGGGGUCAGGAAGAAGAAAAAAUAUAUUCAGUUGGCGCGUGUUAAAAGGAUCAUACUAGGCCUAACCCAGAGCAAACGUUCUUUGCCAGGGAAUGAGUUCGCUCGUUUCCGCCUCGUGGGAGGAAUGAUCAUUUGCUCUGGCCACCAUCUAGGGACGACAAUAGAAAACGGCCUAAGGAUCAAGUACUUGCUCGGCAUCAUACUUUUGGGAACGGAAAUGCGGUGUGCAACAGCUUCCAAGACUCAGGUUGGGUGCGGUCGACCAACCUGAGGGUCAUAAUCUCCUCAAAAACUGUCUUGCACUUUAAAUUUUCUGCAUUGAAUCGUCGAUGCAGUAGCUCCGGAGACUUGGGCUAGGCGACAUGGCUGACCCUAGUAUCGUAUCUCCCUGGGAACUAGUUCAGUCAUUGUGUGUGUGUUUUACCAAUGCCAAGGUGCAGCUCGGCAGGGAAAAUGCUGAACUACGGGUCGGAAAAGAUUUUCUGAGCAGAACCAUCACGCAGGACACCUUGAUUAAGGGGAUGUUCUGCCACUUGAAAGAAAAACAAAAAAUAGGUUAAAGGCGUCAUAAGUUCAAAAAACCAAAAAACUUUGGUAAAAACUUUACUUCUGAAUUAAACCAAGUUUCUUGGCUCCAACCCAAAAUUGGUCUUAAAAUUAAUUUGUGCUUCUAUCAUGCUUUAACAUGAGACAUCUGAUCUCCAGACUAAAUACGCCACCCUUUGAGUUCAACCUCGUUUUUCGAAGGGGGAUUGCUUCUCAGACCAGUUUAGCAAACUAUACUCGAGCGGCUUUAGAUAGAAACUAGGCUAUCCGGCUAUUUGACCAUACACUUGAGAAGGAAUGGUAGAAAAGACUUUGCAACGACUUAGAAGAAAAUACCUAAAAAUGACACAUAUAAGUUUAUGAGCCCCAGUUAACUUGGGUAAAGGAAAUUGUUUUUAACAAACAACUUUUUUGUUUAACAAAAAUAUAACGCUUGGUUGAACCAAACAAAAAUUCAAAAUUCAAAAAAUUGAGCAUGAAAGCGACUUAGUUGGUUAAUGUAGUUGGUGUUGAUGACGUGGUAUGGGCUUGCGGCGGGAUGAAGACGUCCAUCAAACUUUGACAGACCUAACAUGGUGCAUAGUCCUCAGUCUACCCGAGGUCCCAGCCCCCAAGCCCAUCUGAAUGAGGAGCUCGGCUCGAUGAUGUGGCAAGGCGAAGCCCCCAGUCUAGCCGAGGUGACGAAGGAGGUCGUCGGAGUAACGCCAAACUCUCCGAAGUAGGUUCAUGAAGCGAUGGCGAAGCCCCUGGUCCAACCGAGGUGACGGAGUAGGUUGACAGGGAGACGCCGGAGCCCCCAUGUCAGCCGACGUGUCGAAGCAGGUCGGCGUGGUGGACAUCAGCUUGAAGAAACAACGGUGCGGCGAUGCGACGCGGAUCAUAAUUUAUGUCACGACCAAUGCUAGCUUGAUGAAAUGACCGCGCAGCGUGUUAGGAAACUUAGCAUGCAACUUCAAAAAAAUUCCUACGCUCACGCAAGAUCUAUCUAGGAGAUGCAUAGCAACAAGAGGGGUAGAGUGUGUCCACGUACCCUCGUAGACCGAAAGCGAAAGCUUUUGACAACGCGGUUGAUGUAGUCAAACUUCUUCUCGUUCCGACCGAUCAAGCACCGAACGUACGACACCUCCGAGUUCUUCACACCUUCAGCUAGAUGACUGAUACGUCUCCAACGUAUCUAUAAUUUUUGAUUGUUCCAUGCUAUUAUAUUAUCUGUUUCGGAUGUUUAAUGGGCUUUAAUAUGCACUUUUAUAUUAUUUUGGGACUAACCUAUUAACCGGACGCCCAACGCCAGUUUCUGUUUUUUUGCCUAUUUCAGUGUUUCAUAGAAAAGGAAUAUCAAACGGAAUCCAAAUGGAAUGAAACCUUUGCGAGGAUCUUUCUUGGAACAAACACAAUCCAGGAGACUUGGAGUGGAAGUCAGAGACGCAACGAGGCGGCCACGAGGUAGGAGGGCACGCCCAAGGCGGUAGGCACGCCCCCACCCUCAUGGGCCCCUCGUAGCUCCAUCGACGUACUUCUUUCGCCUAUAUAUACUCUUAUACCCUGAAAACAUCCGGGAGAGCCACGAAACCACUUUUCCCCUGCCGCAACCUUCUAUACCCGUGCGAUCCCUUUUUCGGCGAUCUGCCGGAGGGGGAUUCGAUCGCGGAGCGCUUCUACAUCAACACCAUAGCCUCUCCGAUGAUGUGUGAGUAGUUUACCACAGACCUUUGGGUCCAUACUUAUUAGCUAGAUGGCUUCUUCUCUCGCUUUGGUUCUCAAUAAAAAGUUCUGCUCGAUGUUCUUGGAGAUCUAUUCGAUGUAAUACCUUUUGCGGUGUGUUUGUCGAGAUCCGAUGAAUUUUGGAUUUAUGAUCAAGUUUAUCUAUGAACAAUAUUUGGUUCUUCUCUGAAUUCUUAUGCAUGGUUUGAUAUUUCUUGCAAUGGGAGAAUUGCUUAGCUUUGGGUUCAAUCUUGCGGUGUCCUUUCCCAGUGACAAUAGGGGCAACAAGGAAUGUAUUGUAUUGUUGCCAUCGAGGAUAAAAAUACGGGGUUUAUAUCAUAUUGCUUGAGUUUAUCCCUCUUGUCGGGACCCCGAUCCUAGGUCACACCGAUCUAGCAUGUAACACAUCAUAUCACUUUGUGGCCUCACGCACGGUAUCUCCACGGGUGCCACCUUACCUGGCCCGGGACCGUUUGCGCCUUUUGGCUCACGUAUAUGAUAGUGUCGCUAGCAUCCAUAUGACAAAGAACCCGGGCCGACAUGGCAAGUCGUGAACCCAAAGUGGCACAGACCUAUGGAGACAGGCAUACAUGAAUCACAUCGAACAUGUCGGUCAUCAACGAGUGAUUCCGGGCUGUAGCACUGGGCUAACAGGACUCCGGGGAUCCCGGGCUGUAGCAGGCUAGGCAGGACUCCAGAAAUCACCGCGUGACAUUUCCCCGAAGGGACAGACAUAGGGACGAAGUGAAACACAUGCCGGCCAGUCAAGUGUCCUGAACAGUAGUGCUGGGCUAGCAGGACUCCGGUGAACCGGGCUGUAGCGGACUACUAUAGCUCGAGGAACACUAGACUACAUUUCCCCAUAAGAAAGGCUGCGAAGGAUAAACAACUAGGUUGUCGGAUCCUACACAUACCAAGCAUUUUAAUCAUACACACAAUAUGCUCGAUAUGUGUGAAUACAACAUGGCAUCACAACAUAACUCUACAACUCAAUUAUUAAUUCAUUAGGCUCCGAGGAGCGAGAUAUUACAAGCAUGGGUCUCAUGACCCAACAAUCAUAGCAUACAAGUCAAAGCACAUGCGGAAGCUUAACUUGUCUGAGUACAGACAACUACAAAUGAAAAGGCUGAGAAGCCUGACUAUCUACCAGAUCCUGCCGAGGGCACAAGAUCGUAGCUGAGGUAUCAAGCUAAACGUCGAAGUCCACGCGGAACUACUAGCGAGACUGAAGUCUCUCUGCAAAACAUAAAUUAAGCAAACGUGAGUACAAAGGUACUCAGCAAGACUUACAUCAGAACUAGCUACAUAUGCAUCGGUAUCAACAAAAGGGGUGGUGGUGGAGUUUAACUGCAGCAAGCCAGCUUUGACUCGGUGGCUAUUCUGAACUACGACUGCAAGCAACUCUUUUGAGGUGGCGCACACGAGUCCACAUAUUCACCAAUCAAUACACCACUAUGGAUCCUCUCUCAUCUCCCUACGAGAAGGCCAUCCAUAGCACUCACACUUAUCUUGCGAGUUUUAAAGUAUCCACUUUCACUUGUCUAUGAACUGUUAUAGGCAACCCAGAAGUCCUUUACCGCGGACACGGCUAUUCGAAUAGAUCAUUUAUAACCCUGCAGGGGUGUACUUCGUCACACAUGUUUCCACCACUUAGCGUCUGCACACGACAUGUGCUCGGCAGACUUCAAGCGAAAGCCAACGUGGGUGUAGACCACGACCUGACUAACCACACAAGUCUCUAGUCCAGGUUUAUCGCCUAUUCGAGUUCCAUCCGCGAGGAGAUCCGGCCGGAGUUUCACUCACAGCCCCAAACGAUGUGUGCAGGGUUCCCGAGACACCAAACGGGCGCCCGGUACACCCGGCCACGGUGUAUCUACCGCAACAUAGCCCACCCCUAGGGUCAGCGCUACGCACGGCCGCCAACACAUAUCCUACAAACACCAGAAACUAAUUGCAACUCCUGGACAGAGGACGAGAGGGGUCAGUAAGUCGAGCGAGGUCAUAUUUCAGGGCCCAACGUGUGGUAGUAGCUGUUUCAUGGAUCACAAACACAGAACUCAGUUCCUGAGGACGGUUUCAGUGAGAUAACCCACCAUGUACUCCUACAUGGCCUCUCACCGCUACCUUUACCAAAUCGUGCUCACACACUUAGCUCACACACAGUAGGACAUGUUCACAACUUUCCAAUUCAUCCCCGAUGAAUCAGACCUGACACAACUCUAAGCAAUAGCAGGCAUGACAAGUGAAAAUGAAUGAGUAGGCACAUCAGGGCUCAAACAACUCCUACUCAUGCUAGUGGGUUUCAUCUAUUUACUGUGGAAAUGACAGGUCAUGCAGAGGAUAAGGGGUUCAACUAUCGCAACAAGUAACAGAUGAAUCGUUGUUGUCCUAAUGUAGUAAAAGAGAGCAGGAGUGAGAGAGUGGGCUUGUAUCGGCAUGAACAAGGGGGUUGUGCUUGCCUGGCACUUCUGAAGAUAUCAUUGGGUCUUCAUCAGUGCCAACGAUCACAUCGUCGGUACAACGUCUAUCGAGAGGGAACAAAUACCGGCAACAGAGAAAGAAACACAAUCAAUGCAAUGCACAAUAUGAUGCAUGAUCAUGACAUGUCAAUAUGCUGUGGUUUGAGCUAAUGCAACUAGCUAUGAUUUAAAUGAAGUUGGUUUGAGUACAAGAUUCAAAUUCCAACCCCAUAUAUGAUUAUUUAAAUGCCCUUUAUUUGUUUUGUCCAAAACAGAGGACAAACAUUGUUCAAACAUGCAUGAAAAUGGUACAGAUGGAUUCCUUGAAUUUUUCUGAUAAUUUUUCAUAUAUAAAUUAUUUCAUUUGGAGCUACAGUUGAAUUUCUAUGAUUUUUAGAAGUUUUGGGUAUUUUCUGGAAUUUCCUGAAUUAUUUAAAAUCCAGAAAAUCAUUUACUGCGUCAGCAUUGCGUCAUGCUGACCUCAGCAAGUCAACUAUGGCUGACCAGGUCAAACCUGACCAGUGGGGUCCACUGGUCAGUCACACAGUGCUGGCUCGAGUCAAUGACAGGUGGGGCCUGGUCAACCUGUGACGUGGCCAGGUCAAACUGACCGGUGGGGCCCGUGGGGGUUAAUUUAAUCUAAACGUAAAUAAAACCCGGUUAGUUAGGGCGUGGGGCCUAGCGGUCAGUGGGUCAGGGGGAUUGGUUAGCGCAUCAUUAGCCUAAACUAAUCUGCCACGUCGGCUAAACGGCGGUUAGCCGCCGGUGCUAAGCAAAACGCGGCGGCGCUCCUUGUUCGGCCAUCUCCGGCAACGAGAGCUCGCGCGGCUGGGCUCUACGGAUGCAGCGCAUCGAGGCGCAUCGGAUGGUGGCCGUGGGGGAUGGCGGGGUGGCCGGAAUCUUCACCGGCGUCGACCGUGGCGGCUGCCGGAGCUCGGGUGAGCUCGGGGCCGAGGCUACAACGGCCAUGGCGCUGCGGGGUUGGCACCUACGGCUUGUACGCGGUGCGGCGAGUACGUAGAACGCAUGCCCGGGACCAAAUGGUCACCGGAGUGUCGCCGGCGUCGAGCUUGUGCGGCGGUGAGUGCUCGGCUUUGGCGGAACAGCGGCUAGAGGACGGGAAGGACGCAGGAAAGAGAGGGGAAAUGCGGCGGAGCUCACUGGGGGGUCAUUGAGCAGCUCAGCGUGCUUGGGGACUGCUCGGAGGCGACGAACCCACGACGGCGAUCUCGGGUGCCCGAGGAGGAAGACGAGGCGAAGGCGGCUCCACAGGGCGCCCGGGCUCGCUUGGCUCGUCGGAGACAAGGAUGAAGACGCUGCGGAGCCUCUGGACAUGGCGGAAGGGUGAGGGGGUGGCUCUAGGCACGGCGGCAGCGAACGGCGGUGGCGAUCGCUUUCGGAUGCGUGCGGGAGAGAGAGCAGAGGAGGGGGAGGAGCUCGAGAGAGUGAGCGGGAGGGUCCAGGGGGUCGCGGGCGUCUCCAGGCGUGGAUAGACUCGAAGAGGAGGCCGCCAGCACGAAGCAGGAGGUGGAAUCCUCCUGUGUGCGCUGCUGCUGGCACGCAGCUGCUUCGGGGCGAGGGGAGGAAGACGACGGGCGAGGUGCUGGUGGGCUGGGCCAUUGAGCUGGGCCGGCUCUGCUACAGGUGAGCCAGGUAAGGCCCUUUCCCUUGUCUGUUUUAUUCUAAUUUAUUCUGUUUUCUAUAUUCUGCUUUAUGUUUGCAAAUAAAAUACCAACCAAAACACUUUGGUUAUUUCUGUAAAUUUUUGCGAGGGAUAUUUGAAUUAUUUCCAAACCACACAAUAAAUUUCAGAAUAUUUGGAGCAACCAAUAUUUAAUGGUAACUUUUAAACUCCAACUCAAAAACCAUAAUGAUUUAAUUCAAUGACCAAAAUGUCCUGAAAAAUAUGCAUCAUCUCUGGUAGAGGCUUUCACCCUUUUCCAUAUAUCAUGAACAUUUUAAAAGGAUAUUUGAGGUCACUGAAAAUAUUUUGGUUGAACCUAUUUAAUUUCUGUUUUCUAAUAUUUCAAUUCUGUUUUGAUUUGAUUCACAGACCAAAUCAUUUAGUAGCUCCUGAAAAUAUUUAUGUGGCUUGAUGCAAUAUAUUCAAAGCCACUCACAGGUUUUCAGGAUUUUUGGACCUGCAAUUCUUUUAUAUAAGAAUUAAAUCCAAAUCAAAUAUUUAUUGAUUUAAAUCCAAAUGGCCAAAAUAAUUCCUCAAAAAUGUUCCAUAUUUUUGGUUUGGAUCAAAACCCUUGCCAUAAAUAUUAAACAUCAUUGGGGAGCAUUUUGGAAACAUUGGAUGCAUUUCCAGGGUUAUUUGCCCUUCUUUUAAAUAAAAUUUUGAGGCUUUCAAAUUUCCUCAAUUCAAGUUUCAGAAAUUUAGACAUGAUGCAACACCAGAUGCUAGCACUAGGCAUUAAUAGAACUAGGGAUGUGACAACUCACCCCCACUAACAAAAAUCUCGUCCCGAGAUUCAAGACGUGAGGUAAGAAGACAGAGGGGCACAACUAACACGGCCUUCACGAUCCGAUUGCCCUUCUCGAAGGUGUUGAUUCAUUGCAUCAUGUCGAUCUUAACAUCCUCGCUUUUGAGAUCUUCAUCCACGCGAUGACGACGGAAAGAAACUCAACUAGGAUUGAGCUUCUCGAAGAUCGAGCUAAACAAUAUCAACUCGCGGAAUGAGAUGCUGAAACAUCUUGAGUUGAGACACAGGACACAUCGAGAGGGAUGGAAGAACAACGACGGGGUUUGAUUUGUGGGCAGCAAUUCCACGCUUAAGUAGGAUGAUCCAUGGUUUCAAAGUAGCGAGGAGAUAAUUGCCAUGAUACCAAAACGGGGCACCUUGGGGAAGGUGACUCGAAGAACUAUUCCCUUAAGUGGCAAAAAGAAUUACUUUUGAUCCAUAAAUCGUUGAAGCUCUUCAUACCAGCUUAAGGCAAUUUACAAUUGAUCAUUUGAGAUAGCUUGAAGAGAUGGCAUACUUGGACUAGAAUGGAUGAUAUGGACUACCUUGUUGAAGACAACACAAUGGAUGAUUUUUGCUUAUCAUCGGAAAUGGAUGGGACCUAUGGUAAGUCUACUUUUGAAGAUGACCAUGAACAACAACUACUGAGGUGCAAGCUGGGAACAAAAUGCAAAUGUUGGGAAUGAUUCUAGUAACUGGGGAGAAGGUUCACCGGCAAAGGUGAUUCCACCAAUUGGAUGGCUAUCAACAACUGCGAGGACGGAGGCACAUUCCAGUUAAUGACAAUGUCAGAACCUAGUGCCUGAGCGUGCUCUCAAGAACUUGAGCAUUUCCAUACUCAUCAAGGUUCUGCCAAUAUCCGUGUCAAGGAUCCUGGCAACACAACAUGCUACCAUGAUGAAUAAUGGUGGAAGAUGCAGAUGCAAAGAAAGAUAACACUUUCUCAGAUUUCACCUUAGCGAAGCCAAGGAAACAAAAUCUGGAUGAUCGACUGAGAGACAUUUAGCACUCCGCUUCUAAUGUUCUCCUUGAUGUACUGGUUACCACGGUCAUGCUUUAAGCAUCGGCAUAGCCACCAAGUAGUGGUCGGACUUCGGAAUACAAUAGAUCCAUAAGGAACAACUUCUGGAGUAAAACCUAUGAAAUCAUCAUGGGAAUGUGGCCAACUUUCUUCAAUCGAGAUACUACAAUAAUAGGUCUUCCAGCUGGAUGUGUUGGCCACGACAUCCACUUUACCGGUUAUCGAGAGACCAAUAUUAUAUAUCUUGGAAAAUGCUCCAACCAUCAUAUCUGCCUGAGAUUCAGAUCUGGUUGGUGACAGGAUAUUCCAGACUCAUCGAGUCUAGAAAGGAAAAUGAAGGUUUGCAGUACAAAUCGACGAGAUGACAUUGCGAAAUUCUCGGGGGAAUGAACUAUGGUAGUAAGCUCCAAAACAUGAGCCGGUUCUGCUACAAGCAUGUGAACACGUUGUCCUAGACAAGCAUGGUCACCUGGUAGUCUUAAAAUGAAACACUACCGAGUUCAGGGGGAACCAUCAACGAGGAUAUCGAAGUCCUUGCAUAGGUCUAACCCUUAAGAAGAAACUUCUUCUCCUUGAACAAAUCAAUCAGUGGCUUGGUGUGCUAGGGAUACGUAUAGAAUGUAGAUGAUUAGUCUAUCAGACCAUAGAAUACUUUGCACAUGCAUGACUGACUUGGGAUGAUACCAGAGGAAGCAAAAACAAACUUUCUCGAAUUCACGACGGCAACUUACAUCAGAUGCACAUGAAUUAGAGGAAGUCACAUCUUUCAACCGGACAUAUGCUUCAUGGUCGGGACAUGAGGGCAAUGCUUAUAAAGUUUCCAACACUAGCUGGAUGUUCAACACAAUCAUGGAGGAGACAAAAUGCCGCUGAUGGGCUCAACAGCAACUCAUCGGAAUUUCCAUAUCACUGGACUUCCACCACUAUGUGAACAAUGUGAUAGUAUUGGUCAGACCAAAGAUAUAAUGGUGUAUGCUCGAGGGACAACCGCAAGUAAGACAACAUUACGAACAUCGUUGGUUCUGAUUUGAUUUGACGAUAGCCCACACUCAAAUCAAAGUUUGGACAAGAUAAUAGAUACAACAACUGAUCACGAGGACCAAUUGGUGAAGAUAUCAUCUUUCUUCAACACACACACACACACACACAAGGAUAUCCCUUAGGGAUGAGCUAAGUCGGACAAGUUUUCAUCUUCCAACUCUCCAAGUUGUUGUUAAGCUUAACCAACUAGCUCAGGGGUAUCCAACACAGAUUCUUGGGGAAACGUGGUUUAUUGAAAAACCAUCUUGAUCACGAACUCAACAUAACGGUCAGGUGACAACCUGGUAACACUUCCGAGAAGAUAUUCGGAAAAUCACAAACCACCGGUAUGUUACUAAGCUCGAGAACAACCUUGCUUUUGAGGGCAAGAUGAUAUGAUCAAAGAGUGAGGGAUUGGCACAAUCCUAACCCAUUGAUCGAAGUGUGCACCAGAAAUAUGGACUAGGUAGCACGAUCAGUCUUAGAAUGAUAAUUCAAUAACCAACACGCUAAGGAUGAGAAUAUUGUCCAUUAACUACCAAGCAACGGAGUUGCUAGGAGUAUUGAUUUCACACACCAUGAUUCACUUGUCGACAUUCCGGUUGCAACAACACUGAAACCGAGAAAUGAAUAAUGAUGGAGAGAGUAUCACUGCGUCAAGAAUUCAUAGGAGAAGGUGCAAUUCUCACGACGCUCUUGACAUAAAGUGGGUAAUACUCCGAGGUAGAACAGAACAAAAGCUGGAUUGGCAUUUUGAUCUGCGGAAUACAACCACUUUGACCCGAUCCCAGAAAUGGAUGAGGUACUAGAGUUUGUUUCUCCUAGUCAUUCCGAAUAGAAUGGCUUGACGGACCACAGAAGUAAAAGGCACUGAUGAACAUGAAUGCACGACUACUUCUGACUAUCAAGUGAUAGACGAAGGUCGGAAUAUAACUGAAGGGGGGGAACAACUCAAGGAACAUAUAACUUUCUGAGUGGUGGAUGCAUAGGUUAGUAUGUCGAACGAGUUCAAUACAUUUCUUCCGGAUAACCCAUGCAGAAAGGUAGAACUGGCAGAGCCACAAUAUAGAAUGGAGAACUCAUCAAGAGCACUCUGGUUGUGAUCCUUUGGUUCAAGAACUUCUGCCAUAAGUGGUUCAUAGUAUUUGGAAGAAGGAAAUACCACGGACCUCGAGGUCUAUCACAAGGUUUACUAAUGUCCUAAGGAACUAGCAAACAUUAUCAACAUGAAGCAGGUAGGGUGAGUCUCGGGUUCAAAACCCAGGAAUAGAAUGCCUACUAACUAAAUGGCAUCACGGGAUGCUUUCGAGAAUGAUGGCCAGAAUCAUCACACUGGGAACACGAAACAUGGUUCGAUUACUAGGUGAUCCUCUAAGACACCUAGGGUCAUAAUAAUAGUUCCAACAUAAAUGCCGAGGCAACGGAGUACCUCAACUCACCGAUUAGUGUGAUUAACCUGGCCUAAAUGGACAUCAGGAACAGGGGAAAAGGUUUGCAAAUGCAUCAGACUAUUUAGAAACCUGGGAUGACUUGGGCAGCAUAACGGCUGUAAAUGCUCAAAAAGAUUUGAGACAUCCUGCAAAAAUGGUGGCAUAACCACUCAGAAGCACAAUAUCAAGGUUCUGAGGCCAGUUAUGAAUAUAUGGAAGUAGUAGGAACUGAACUGAGGCUUGAACUCAACAAUCCUAGGCAACUACGGUUUAGUGACACGUCAUACUGAUAGAUAGAUGAGAAGGCCUAGUUCUUAAUCCCCGUAGAAAAGAAGAGGUUGACUCAGAUCAGAAGGCCAUGAGGUAUAAGGAGUAAAAAGAGCCUUACGUUCCCUUCCACAAUCAAUUCCCUUAUAUAACUAAAGCAUUCCUAGACACGACUUCGACCAGUUUGGCUUGGUAAUCCUACAGGCAGUUAGGCUCUGAUACCAACGCUGUCGGGACCCCGAUCCUAGGUCACACCGGUCUAGCAUGUAACACAUCAUAUCACUUUGUGGCCUCACGCACGGUAUCUCCACGGGUGCCACCUUACCUGGCCCGGGACCGUUUGCGCCUUUUGGCUCACGUAUAUGAUAGUGUCGCUAGCAUCCAUAUGACAAAGAACCCGGGCCGACAUGGCUAGUCGUGAACCCAAAGCGGCACAGACCUAUGGAGACAGGCAUACAUGAAUCACAUCGAACAUGUCGGUCAUCAACGAGUGAUUCCGGGCUGUAGCACUGGGCUAACAGGACUCCGGGGAUCCCGGGCUGUAGCAGGCUAGGCAGGACUCUGGAAAUCACGCGUGACAUUUCCCCGAAGGGACAGACAUAGGGACGAAGUGAAACACAUGCCGACCAGUCAAGUGUCCUGAACAGUAGUGCUGGGCUAGCAGGACUCCGGUGAACCGGGCUGUAGCGGACUACUAUAGCUCGAGGAACACUAGACUACAUUUCCCCAUAAGAAAGGCUGCGAACGAUAAACAACUAGGUUGUCGGAUCCUACACAUACCAAGCAUUUUAAUCAUACACACAAUAUGCUCGAUAUGUGUGAAUACAACAUGGCAUCACAACAUAACUCUACAACUCAAGUAUUAAUUCAUUAGGCUCCGAGGAGCGAGAUAUUACAAGCAUGGGUCUCAUGACCCAACAAUCAUAGCAUACAAGUCAAAGCACAUGCGGAAGCUUAACUUGUCUGAGUACAGACAACUACAAAUGAAAAGGCUGAGAAGCCUGACUAUCUACCAGAUCCUGCCGAGGGCACAAGAUCGUAGCUGAGGUAUCAAGCUAAACGUCGAAGUCCACGCGAAACUACUAGCGAGACUGAAGUCUCUCUGCAAAACAUAAAUUAAGCAAACGUGAGUACAAAGGUACUCAGCAAGACUUACAUCAGAACUAGCUACAUAUGCAUCGGUAUCAACAAAAGGGGUGGUGGUGGAGUUUAACUGCAGCAAGCCAGCUUUGACUCGUUGGCUAUUCUGAACUACGACUGCAAGCAACUCUUUUGAGGUGGCAUACACGAGUCCACAUAUUCACCAAUCAAUACACCACUAUGGAUCCUCUCUCAUCUCCCUACGAGAAGGCCAUCCAUAGCACUCACACUUAUCUUGCGAGUUUUAAAGUAUCCACUUUCACUUGUCUAUGAACUGUUAUAGGCAACCCAGAAGUCCUUUACCGCGGACACGGCUAUUCGAAUAGAUCAUUUAUAACCCUACAGGGGUGUACUUCGUCACACAUGUUUCCACCACUUAGCGUCUGCACACGACAUGUGCUCGGCAGACUUCAAGCGAAAGCCGACGUGGGUGUAGACCACGACCUGACUAACCACACAAGUCUCUAGUCCAGGUUUAUCGCCUAUUCGAGUUCCAUCCGCGAGGAGAUCCGGCCGGAGUUUCGCUCACAGCCCCAAACGAUGUGUGCAGGGUUCCAGAGACACCAAACGGGCGCUCGGUACACCCGGCCACGGUGUAUCUACCGCAACAUAGCCCACCCCUAGGGUCAGCGCUAUGCACGGCCGCCAACACAUAUCCUACAAACACCAGAAACUAAUUGCAACUCCUGGACAGAGGACGAGAGGGGUCAGUAAGUCGAGCGGGGUCAUAUUUCAGGGCCCAACGUGUGGUAGUAGCUGUUUCAUGGAUCACAAACACAGAACUCAGUUCCUGAGGACGGUUUCAAUGAGACAACCCACCAUGUACUCCUACAUGGCCUCUCACCGCUACCUUUACCAAAUCGUGUUCACACACUUAGCUCACACACAGUAGGACAUGUUCACAACUUUCCAAUUCAUCCCCGAUGAAUCAGACCUGACACAACUCUAAGCAAUAGCAGGCAUGACAAGCAAAAAUGAAUGAGUAGGCACAUCAGGGCUCAAACAACUCCUACUCAUGCUAGUGGGUUUCAUCUAUUUACUGUGGAAAUGACAGGUCAUGCAGAGGAUAAGGGGUUCAACUACCGCAACAAGUAACAGAUGAAUUGUUGUUGUCCUAAUGCAGUAAAAGAGAGCAGGAGCGAGAGAGUGGGCUUGUAUCGGCAUGAACAAGGGGGUUGUGCUUGCCUGGCACUUCUGAAGAUAUCAUUGGGUCUUCAUCAGUGCCAACGAUCACAUCGUCGGUACAACGUCUAUCGAGAGGGAACAAAUACCGGCAACAGAGAAAGAAACACAAUCAAUGCAAUGCACAAUAUGAUGCAUGAUCAUGACAUGUCAAUAUGCUGUGGUUUGAGCUAAUGCAACUAGCUAUGAUUUAAAUGAAGUUGGUUUGAGUACAAGAUUCAAAUUCCAACCCCAUAUAUGAUUAUUUAAAUGCCCUUUAUUUGUUUUGUCCAAAACAGAGGACAAACAUUGUUCAAACAUGCAUGAAAAUGGUACAGAUGGAUUCCUUGAAUUUUUCUGAUAAUUUUUCAUAUAUAAAUUAUUUCAUUUAGAGCUACGGUUGAAUUUCUAUGAUUUUUAGAAGUUUUGGAUAUUUUCUGGAAUUUCCUGAAUUAUUUAAAAUCCAGAAAAUCAUUUACUGCGUCAGCAUUGCGUCAUGCUGACCUCAGCAAGUCAACGGUGGCUGACCAGGUCAAACCUGACCAGUGGGGUCCACUGGUCAGUCACACAGUGCUGGCUCGAGUCAAUGACAGGUGGGGCCUGGUCAACCUGUGACGUGGCCAGGUCAAACUGACCGGUGGGGCCCGUGGGGGUUAAUUUAAUCUAAACAUAAAUAAAACCCGGUUAGUUAGGGCAUGGGGCCCAGUGGUCAGUGGGUCAGGGGGAUUGGUUAGCGCGUCAUUAGCCUAAACUAAUCUGCCACGUCGGCUAAACGGCGGUUAGCCGCCGGUGCUAAGCAAAACACGGCGGCGCUCCUUGUCCGGCCAUCUCCGGCGACGAGAGCUCACGCGGCUGGGCUCUAUGGAUGUAGUGCAUCGAGGCGCAUCGGAUGGUGGCCGUGGGGGAUGGCGGGGUGGCCGGAAUCUUCACCGGCGUCGACUGUGGCGGCUGCCGGAGCUCGGGUGAGCUCGGGGCCGAGGCUACAACGGCCGUGGCGCUGCGGGGUUGGCACCUACGACUUCUACACGGUGCGGCGAGUACGUAGAACGCAUGCCCGGGACCAAAUGGUCACCGGAGUGUCGUCGGCAUCGAGCUCGUGCGGCGGUGAGUGCUCGGCUUUGGCGGAACGGAGGCUAGAGGACGGGAAGGACGCGGGAAAGAGAGGGGAAAUGCGGCGGAGCUCACUGGGGGGUCGUUGAGCAGCUCAGCGUGCUUGGGGACGGCUCGGAGGCGACGAACCCACGAUGGCGAUCUCGGGUGCCCGAGGAGGAAGACGAGGCGAAGGCGGCUCCACAGGGCGCCCGGGCUCGCUUGGCUCGUCAGAGACAAGGAUGAAGAUGCCGCGGAGCUUCUGGACAUGGCGGAAGGGUGAGGGGGUGGCUCUAGGCACGGCGGCAGCGAACGGCGGUGGCGAUCGCUUUCGGAUGCGUGCGGGAGAGAGAGCAGAGGAGGGGGAGGAGCUCGAGAGAGUGAGCGGGAGGGUCCAGGGGGUCGCGGGCGUCUCCAGGCGUGGAUAGACACGAAGAGGAGGCCGCCAGCACGAAGCAGGAGGUGGAAUCCUCCUGUGUGCACUGCUGCUGGCACGCAGCUGCUUCGGGGCGAGGGGAGGAAGACGACGGGCGAGGUGCUGGUGGGCUGGGCCAUUGAGCUGGGCCGGCUCUGCUACAGGUGAGCCAGGUAAGGCCCUUUCCCUUGUCUGUUUUAUUCUAAUUUAUUCUGUUUUCUAUAUUCUGCUUUAUGUUUGCAAAUAAAAUACCAACCAAAACACUUUGGUUAUUUCUGUAAAUUUUUGCGAGGGAUAUUUGAAUUAUUUCCAAACCACACAAUAAAUUUCAGAAUAUUUGGAGCAACCAAUAUUUAAUGGUAACUUUUAAACUCCAACUCAAAAACCAUAAUGAUUUAAUUCAAUGACCAAAAUGUCCUGAAAAAAUAUGCAUCAUCUCUGGUAGAGGCUUUCACCCUUUUCCAUAUAUCAUGAACAUUUUAAAAGGAUAUUUGAGGUCAUUGAAAAUAUUUUGGUUGAACCUAUUUAAUUUCUGUUUUCUAAUAUUUCAAUUCUAUUUUGAUUUGAUUCACAGACCAAAUCAUUUAGUAGCUCCUGAAAAUAUUUAUGUGGCUUGAUGCAAUAUAUUCAAAGCCACUCACAGGUUUUCAGGAUUUUUGGACCUGCAAUUCUUUUAUAUAAGAAUUAAAUCCAACUCAAAUAUUUAUUGAUUUAAAUCCAAAUGGCCAAAAUAAUUCCUCAAAAAUGUUCCAUAUUUUUGGUUUGGAUCAAAACCCUUGCCAUAAAUAUUAAACAUCAUUGGGGAGCAUUUUGGAAACAUUGGAUGCAUUUCCAGGGUUAUUUGGCCUUCUUUUAAAUAAAAUUUUGAGGCUUUCAAAUUUCCUCAAUUCAAGUUUCAGAAAUUUAGACAUGAUGCAACACCAGAUGCUAGCACUACGCAUUAAUAGAACUAGGGAUGUGACACCUCUACAUCAUGUCAUCUUGUCUAAAGCAUUACUCUAUUCUUAUGAACUUAAUACUCUAGAUGCAUGCUGGAUAACAGUUGAUGUGUGGAGUAAUAGUAGUAGAUGCAUAAUCAUUUCGGUCUACUUAACACGGACGUGAUGACUAUAUUUCAUAAUCAUUGCCUAGAUAUUCUCAUAAGUAAGUGCUCUUCUAUCAAUUGCUCGGCAGUAAUUUGUUAACCCACCGUAAUACUAGCUAUCAUGAGAGAAGCCACUAGUGAAUCCUAUGGCCCCUAGGUCUCUUCCUUAUUAUAUUGCAUCCCUUUUUAUUAUCGCAUCUCGUUUACUAUUUUGCAAUCUUUACUUUCCAAUCUAUACAACAAAAAUACCAUGUCGGGGGUGCUGAUCCCACGGACACCUAUGGGACCACGGCGGACCGAGGCCCCUUCCGGUUCAGCAGGGGGGCGGAGAGUGCAUGAAGAGCAGAUCGAGGCGAAGCGCACGAGCAACGCGAUCAGUUUACCCAGGUUCGGGCCGCACGGAUGCGUAAAACCCUACUCCUGCUUUGUGGUUGUAUUGAUUUCUUGCUCGGGAGUGAUGAGUGCUACAGUACACUCGAGCAACUAGCGAGACCGAGCGUGAGAAUGAUCGUCCCCCCUCUACAUUGCGCAUGGGCCUCCUUUUAUAUGUCAAAGGGGUCACCGACAGGUGGCAACAUAGACGAGGGUAAAAAAGGAAAAGACGUGGUGGUUAGCACCGCCGCCUACUACAGUGUAUCAUACCUAACCUAAACGGCAGGGGACAAAGGCAUUUAAUGCCUGUCUACGUCGCCUAGGCGGUGCAGAAAGGGACCGCCAGGGAUGCCACUGCAUACCACGAUGGCUAUCUUGUCAGUGCCGCUCGCCACCGUGUACCUCUGGCUGCACAGCCUUCCGCCACGUACGCCUGGAAGGGUCCCAGAGCGACACGUUGGUGGAUGUGCUGGAGCGCAGGUACAGGAUGGAAGCUUGCCGCGGCAAGCGCCUUGCCGCGGUUAUUAUCUUGUCACGUCCAGGAGCUUGUCGCUCACUGGGUCUCGCCGGGACACAUGGUGCGCUGCGGCAAGUUCCUUGAGAUGCCUUGGUUGGCCUCCCCGGAAAGCUCCUCUUGCCGGGGUCUCGUCUCCUUCCCGGCAAGCUCCUCUUGCCGGGGCCUUGUCUCCUUGGUUUGGAUACUUUCUUCUUGAAUGGCUCCAAAGGAACCACGGAGGAUCUUGGCGGUCGCCCGGCAAGCCUUGCCGCGGGACGCUGCGACUGCCCGUGCACAAGUUCGGGAUACUACGGUACCCCUACUUUAGUACACCGACAGGAGCCCCCGGGCCUGGGCCAUACACGGUGCCGAGCGCUGUUGGGCCAGGCCCAAAACAGGGCACGGGCAUGCGCGGCCUAGGUUACGCUGUAUCUCACUCCGCAUCCACCGUGCCCUCCCCGCACGGCACGCGUCGAACGCGGCAUCGUGGGAGAGAUCGUGGGUGGUUGCUUUAUUUGGAAAGGCGGAACGUCCGCCCACUCCCCCUUUUAUAAGCAAGGGGAAGCAGGGGUAGUGCGCCCACUCGCCCCUUUCCAUUCCAAUCUUGAAAACCUCCGCCCCGCCUCCGUCUUCCCAAAGCAAACAGAGCGUAGCGCCCUGCCCCCCACAUUGCCACCAGCACCACCAACGCCUCGAGCUCCUCCACCGCUUCCGCCAUGGCUCCGAAAGCUGACAAGGGGAAAGCCGUGAAGUCGUCCGAGGCGCAGCGGCUUACGGCACUGCGGAAGGAGCGAGCCAUCUCCCCCCCCCCCCAAGCUCGCCGCGAAGGAGCUGAGGGAGUACUACUACCUUUGCUGGUCGACGGAGACGCGAGCUCACCCGAGCACCAAGGUACUCCCAGUUGCUGCUCACAAGACUGCUCCGGAUGGAUAUCCCUUCUUUGCCGUAUUCUUCUACUGCGGGCUCUGCCCCCCCCCCCUUUUCCGAAUUCUUCUGUGAUAUCAUGAAUACCUAUGGCCUCUGCCUCCUUGACUUCACUCCCAAUGCCGUCCUCACCAUGGCAGUUUUCGCACACCUUUGCAAAAACUUUGUCGGAGUCCACCCAAACGUAGCCCUUUUCCGCCAUUUCUUCAUUCCCCGGGUAGAGAGAGGAGAGCCCUUGUCCGGCGGAAUCGCCUGGGUCUCUAGGACCGGCAAGAAGGAUUCUUAUUUGGAGGGCGAGUUCCGCGGCAAGUGGGAGGAGUGGAUGGCAGAUUGGUGCUGGAUUGUCGAGGAGAGCCCGCAGCCGUUCACCGCCCGGCGCCAAGCAGCAGCAGUACGCGGCAGCGACUGGAGUGACGUGGCCCCGGAAGACAGCAGGCUGAGGAUUGCCGUCACCAGGAUCCAACGCCUCAGGCUUGCCGGACUCACUGUAGGUGCCGUUGGCGCAGACUUCCUUCGCCGCCGCAUCGCCCCCCUGCAAGAACGGAGGAGGCCUGCUUGGGAGUUUAAGAACGCGGCAGACAUCAUGAGGCUGCGCCCGGGGCUCAACUAUAAUUUCACUAUCUUGGAGCUCAACGCAAUGCUACAGGAGCUCUUCAAGUAUGAUCCUGACCACCCGAAAGUCUUCAGGUUGCCGCAGGGCGUCGUCCUGCUAUGCAACAAUUCUGCGCUCGACCGCAUCAGGGCAAUGACGCCGCUGUGCGAUUCGCACGGAAUCGUGCCAACUUGGCAGGAGCCUGAAGACGACGUCGUGCAGCAGUUCUUCGACAACUUGGUGGAAGUGCCAAUCCGCGCCGACGAGAAGGACGGCCUCACCCGCGACACCACCGAGGCGGAGUUGAAGCGCAUCGCCACCAGGUUGGAAGAGGCGGCGGCAGCCGGUGCGGCGGGUGAGUUUGGAUUUACCUUGGAGGAGGUAGCGGCAGCAGAGGCGGCAAACCGUGCCGAGCGAGAAGAUCUUGCCGGCAAGAAAGAGCUUGCCGGCAAGAAGGAGGUUGCCGGGCGUGAUGCCGAACCGAGCGAGCCCGCCGAGGAUGCGAGGGGCUCGUUGGAGAUCGGCUCCUCUUCCACUUCGUCCUCAGACAGCACGCCGCCAGCAGCGCCUCCGUCUCCACCAAGAAGGCGUUUCCGCAAGGCCGAGGAUGUAGCGAGGUGGCAGGCGAGCCGACAGUCACCGCGCCGUGCGACACGCUCCACCGCGGCAAGCACUGUUGCCGCGGGAGCGCCCCAUGCUGCCGCAACAACUUGAGCGGGGUCUUCUCGGACUGCUGCCUCUGCUCCCGCCAAGCGGCCAAGGGAGCCUACUCCUCCACCUUCCCAUGCCGGACGCGGGCUGGACUUUGACUUCUCCGCGUUCAGCUCCGACGAGGAAGAAGAAGAAGAGUAAGUUUCUCUUAUUGUACUUGCAGUUCUUCGAUUUUUGCUGUUUUUGUCUUGUCUUGUUUCUCACUUGCCUUUCUCUGAAUCUGUUCCUUUUCAGAACUCUGGCUCAGAGGGCAGCGAAGAGAGCCAAGGCCCCGGUGAUUGUCAUUGAGGACGAGCCCACCGCAUCGGCAGGGGACGCGCCCGAGACAACACCGCCGGACCCGGCAAUUGCUCUCCAGAGCAGCCCCCAGCGUAAGUAUCUUCUCUUGCUUUCCACUGUCGGGCGCGCAUGGAAAUUCUUUGCUUAGCUGAUAUCCAACUGUUGACUUGUGCUGGAGCGGAGCAGCCUCAACAGGAGCGCCUGGAGGCCGCCCCCGAAGCGCCAAGGGAGGGUCCUCCGGCAAGGGAGAGGUCUCCGGCAAGGGAGAGCUCUCCGGCGAGGGAGGAGACUCCGGCAAGGGAGGAGCCCCGGGCAAGGGAGGAGACUCCGGCAAGGGAGGAGCCCCCGGCAAGGGAGGGAUCUCCGGCAAGGGACUGCGUCAGCGAUCCCCCGGCGACAGAGACCACAGCUGCAGACCCUAGCACAGGUAACUUCCUUGCUUCAAAACUCCCCUUGGCUUCUUCAUCUUCUUGAUCUUCUUUUUGGAUUUUGCUCGAAUUUCGCUUGAAUCUUCUCCCCUCUUCCGGCUGUCAGAUCCAUCUGCUGCAGAGCCGAUGGAGACUGAAGUCGCCGCCGACAACGCCGUUGUCGCCGAGGAAGCAGCCGGCGCCGGCGAGCCCGCCGGUGAGGAGGCCGCUAGGGCUGCCGCCGCGGAAGCGGGCGGGGAGUCUGGCGGUCGUACUGACGACCCGGAGGCCGCAGGAGCGCCAGGCGCUGCUCCGACCAUCGACUCCUCCGCCGCUGCCACCGCGCCAGGCUCCGAAGAGCCCCAGCCUGGCGUCUACCUGAAGGCCGGUGACGACAUCUUCAUCAACCUCCCCUGGGGGUCAAGCGCCAGGGCGCCGGUCGAGGGAGAGAUGCUUGACGGAGAGGUGCUUGCCUCCGCCGGGCUGAAGCUGGUCGACGCGCCAAGCAGCAGCAGUGAACCCGAAGAGGAGCGUCUGCUGCGGAAGCUAGUGGCGCUCUACCGCGCCCGGCAAGCCAAGCUGGAGUCCCGCGAAGCACUCGUUGCGAAGGCCGGGGCUGAUAUCGAGAAGCGCGCGGAGGAGCUCCGGGGUGCCAAUCAGGAAGCUCUCCGCUCCCUGGCAAAGUAGCGGGAGCAACUUGCCGAAGCGCAGCAGGCCUUCCUCCUCGAGAAGGCCGACGUCGAAGAGUGCCAACGGCUUGCCGCGGAGAAGUUGUCUUCGCAGGAGGGUGACUUUGCGCAGCGGAAGGUCAACCUCGAUAGCCACGAGGAGGAGCUUGCCGCGCGCGAGCGGGCAGUUGGCGGAGCCCUCAAACAAGCCGAAGACGUUGCCGCAGCUGCCGAGGCCGCCAAGAAUGAGCUGGAGCUGAAGGUGGUGCAGCUGGAGGCGGAUCUCAAAGCGAGCAGCAACGAGCUUGCCGCGCUCAAGCUUGAGCGGGAGAAGGACGCCAACAGCUACUCGGAGCUGCAGGCCCAUCUCGCCGAGAAGGACAAGGAACUUGACGCCGCCAAUAAUUCCAAUGCUGAUCUCGAAGUGAAGCUGGUGGCUCUGACGAAAUCUCUGGACGGCGCCAAGGAGCAGGAGACGGCCUUGAAGGAGGAAUUCGAGGCCGGCAAGGUGCUACUGGCGAGUGCUGCUGCCACCCAGAAGACCUUGUCGGAGAACGUGGAGCACUGGACGGAGGGUCUGGUGAACAUCGCCGCAGACAUCGACAAGGAGCUGGCGCAAUUGGGGAUGGUGGAUCUCGGGUACUCCUCCGACGAGAACCUCCAACCCAGCGCCAAGCUUACUCUGUUCUUCAAAGGCGUGGCGACGGCGCUUCAGCGACUCCGGGAGCAGAUCCCAAAGCAGCUUGCCAACGAGUCGCGCAAGAUUUGCGCGGGAGCUCUCCAGAAGGUGCUGAUGAAGGUGGCCUUCCGCAACCCGCGCCUCCGCCUCACCAACGUCCUCCGAAGCUUGCUGCCAGAUGCUGAUCUGGAGGAGCUCAAGGCCCUUGUCGCACCUAUUGUGGACAGGGUGAGCGGAAUCAAGAGGGUCGAUGGUGACCGCGUAGACUAGGCCAUCCGUCUUCUUCUUUCCUUGUCGCUGUUAAUCAAGUUAUGAAAAACAGUCUGUUAGAGCCGCGACAAGUUAUUUUGUAAUAUACUCUAUCCUGGGUAGCAAUGACUAUGUUAUUUCCUUUACUUGAUUCCUUCAUUUGUAUGUUUUUACGCUACGCUUUUAGGGAACUUGCCGCCGCAGGCACCUUUGCCGCGAGCGCUGAGUGCGGAACGUCAGCAGCCUGCUGGCGGUGCCGCAGCCGACAAGAAACCUUGUCGCGGCUAGUCGCAGCUCACUUAAGUUGUUGAGCAGACUCGAAACAAUAGUAAGGGCGCAACUAGCUACGAGUUGGUUCCUCCGCGCACAGGUUUUCCAUACAAAGCAUGGUCGUUCAAGGAAAAUAACUUAAAUUUUUUUAAAGGGAAUCUGAUUGCUCAAACUUUGGCAACUUAUCUUUUUUGUUACUUGCUUCCCGGCAAGGCGAAACCUUCUUGAACGACGCCUGGUCCAUACCGUAUCUUCUCCCUUCCCCCCGGCAAACUUGUGCGUGAGGGAACCUUCUUUUCCUUGCGAAAAAGAAAGAGGACGAAAUAACAAUAUGGAGCCUUAUGGCUUGUUGCUGCUUACCGGGGGUAAGUGCUGCACAAAAUGUCAGAUAACACAUGCAAAAUUUAAAAAGCAUGAAAUCAACAAGGUGUGCUGAGCACAUGAUAUUUAUGCACGGGAUCUGCGCCCGGCUUUGUACAAAGGAUUACAUGCAAUAGCGGCAAGACUUGUACAAAAGGUGGUUUGCCGGAACGGGUUCCGGCAACCGCGCCCUACGGGUAAAACUUGCGAAGAUGCUCAAUAUUCCAGGAGUUGCUCACUGGGGUGCCAUCUUCGGUCUCCAGGCGGACAGCGCCAGGCCUAGUGACUCGUUUCACCCGGUAAGGGCCUUCCCACUUCGGCGUCAACUUGUUUGAAUUCUUGGCGGAUUGAACGCGCCGAAGAACAAGGUCGCCUUCCUCGAGACUUCAGGCAUUAACUUUGCGGCUAUGGUAGCGGCGCAAAGCUUGCUGGUAGCGAGCAGCUCGCACCGCAGCCUGAAGACGGUCUUCCUCGAGGAGCAGCGCGUCAUCUUGCCGCAGCUGGUCUUGCUCAAGCUCAUCGUAAGCGAGCACUUGAGGCGAACCGUAUACGUGUUCCGUGGGGAGAACUGCCUCCGCUCCAUAGACUAGAGCGAAAGGUGUCUGGCCAGUGGCUCGAUUUGGCGUCGUCCUGAUCGACCAAAGAACCACCGGCAGCUCCUCGAUCCAGUUUCUUCCGCACUUGUGCAGCCUGUCGAAAGUUCUGGUCUUGAGCCCGCGCAACACUUCAGCAUUUGCCCUCUCCGCUUGACCGUUGCUUCUUGGGUGAGCAGCAGAAGCGAAGCAGACCUUGGUGCCAAGAUCUUGGACGUACUGCAUGAAGGUGCGGCUCGUAAAUUGCGUACCGUUGUCGGUGAUUAUCCUGUUAGGGAUUCUGAAACGGCAAACAAUCGACCUGAAGAACUUGACUGCUGACUGUGCUGUCACCUUCCUCACUUGUUCUACUUCUGGCCACUUUGUGAACUUGUCGAUUGCAACGUACAAGUACUCAAAGCCCCCGACUGCUCGGGGAAAGGGGUCGAGGAUAUCGAGCCCCCAGACCGAAAAUGGCCAGGAUAAAGGGAUCGUCUAGAGAGCUUGAGCUAGCUGGUGUAUCUGCUUGGAAUGGAACUGGCACGCUUCACACUUGGUUACUUGUGCAGUUGCAUCCUGGAGGGCUGUUGGCCAGAAGAAGCCUUGUCGGAAUUCUUUGCCGACAGGUGCUCUUGCGCCAAUGUGGUGACCACAUAUGCCUCCAUGUAUCUCUGCUAACAGCUUUUGCCCAUCUUCCUGGGGAAUACACUUCAAUUUCACACCGUUGAGUCUUCUUCUGCACAGUGUGUUAUCGACAAACUGGUACAUACUAGACUGCCGGGCUACUCUUUCCGCUUCUUCUUGAUCUUCAGGAAGUUCUCCUGUCUGAAGGAAACGGACAAUCUGCUGCGCCCAUGUUGGAGCCUGUGGCUCGACAAUAAGGACUAAAGGCACACCUGCUGCUGCGGGAACAUCCGCUUCUACGGGAAGAGCCUGCGGCUCUGCCGGAGCUUGACGUUCCCCGGCAAGCUUGCCGGAGCAAAACUUGUCGGGAGCGUAUGCUUCGACGGAACAAGCCCUAGGGCUUGCCGGAGCAGAUUGCUCCUCACCAAUCUUGGUGUUGAUCUUGGCGACCUUCUUGGCGGCGGCUUCGGGAAGCUCUGCCGGAAAAUAGUUGCCAGGAAUCAACUUCCUCUUCUUGUUCUGUCCAGUUGACGGUGUUACGGACGGUUGAGUCAGCUUGAGCACAAAAAUCCCUGGUUCCACAGGUAACUUAAGUGCGGCGCACUUUGACAGGCCAUCGGCGAUGUCGUUCUGAGCUCUUGGAACAUGCUCCAUUUGCAGGCCGUCAAAGUACUCUUCUAACUUUCUCACUUCGUCAACGUAAGCUUCCAUUAACGGACUCUGAUAAUUCUUGUUAACUUGGCGGACGACAAGCUGUGAGUCACCCCUGAAAAUGAGCUUCUUAAUCCCAAGGUCUGCCGCGACCCUGAGACCGGCAAGCAAGCCUUCAUACUCUGCAGUAUUGUUUGUCGCUUGCUCCUUGGGAAAGUGCAUCUGGACUAUGUACUUGAGGUGCUCUCCGGUGGGUGCGUCAAGCAGCACACCAGCACCGACGCCUUGCAGGGAGAAGGCACCGUCAAAGUACAUGAGCCACUCUUUGUUUGUUUCCUUGGUGGGGAUGCUCGUCUCCGGAAUUUCUUCGUCUGGUGUGGGCGUCCACUCUGCUAUGAAUUCUGCCAAUGCUCUGCUUUGGAUAGUUGAAGUACUCUCAAACUUGAGGCCAAAGCUUGACAGUUCCAAUGCCCACUCGACAAUCCUGCCUGUCGCUUCUGGAUUCUGCAGUAUCCUUUUCAGCGGAAAGCGAGUGACAACUGUGAUCUCAUGUGCCUAGAAGUAAUGGCGCAGCUUUCUCGAGGCCAUAAGAAGGCCGAAAAGCAGCUUCUGCACACCAGAGUACCUUGACCUAGCCCCCUGCAGAAUGGAACUGACAAAGUAGACUGGGCGCUGCACCAUUCUCUUUUGUACCUCUUCGCAUGCCUGUGCAGAUCCAUCCUUGUCGGGACCAGAGCUUGUCGGGGAAGCCCCCUGCUUGUCGCUGGAUGCGCUUGCCGCGGUUGCUGGCUCGUCAUCUGCCUCCCUCUCUGCCACUAACGCAGCACUAACCACUUGAUUGGUUGCCGCUAUAUACAACAGCAACUUCUCUUGCGGUUUAGGUUCGACAAGUGUUGGAGUGGAGGACAGGUAUCUCUUCAAGUCCUGCAGCGCAGCCUCCGCUUCCGGAGUCCAUUUCAUUGGACCUGCCUUUUUCAAAAUUUUGAAAAAUGGCAGGGCGCGCUCAGCAGACCGAGAGAUAAACCUUCUGAGAGCAGCCAUGCAGCCGGCAAGUCUUCGUACAUCCUUGACGCGCUUUGGUGCUUCGAUCUGCUCGAUGGCCUUGAUCUUGUCGGGAUUAGCUUCAAUUCCCCGCUGAGACACAAAGAACCCGAGAAGCUUGCCGGAAGGGACUCCAAACACACACUUCUCGGGGUUGAGCUUGAGGUUGAUCUUGCGCAGAUUUGCAAAAGUCUCUUCUAAAUCUGGAAUCAGAGUUGCCUUGUCCUUGCUUUUGACCACUAUAUCAUCCAUGUGGGCUUCUACAUUUCUGUGUAUUUGCGGUUUCAGAGCGACAUGGACUACUCUUGCAAAUCUUGAACCAGCAUUCUUUAAUCUGAAAGGCAUCCAUAUGAAACAGUACGUGCCACAUGGAGUAAUGAAUGCGGUCUUUUCCUCAUCUUCUUCUGCCAUGAAGAACUGAUGGUAUCUUGAAUACGCGUCAAGAAAUGAAAGCAAAUCACACCCGGCCGUGGAGUCAACAAUCUGGUCAAUGCGCGGCAAAGGAAAUGGGUCUUUUGGACAAGCUUUAUUAACAUCAGUAAAGUCAAUACAAAGCCUCCAUUUUCCAUUUGCCUUGCGCACGACUACAGGAUUGGCCAACCACGUGGGAUGGAGCACUCCUCUGACAAGGCCUGCUGCUUCCAACUUCUUGAUUUCUUCUACUAUGAAUUCUUGGCGCUCCACUGCUUGUUUCCUGACCUUCUGCUUGACGGGCCGCGCAUGAGGAAAAACGGAAAGGUGGUGCUCAAUUACUUUCCUGGGAACACCGGGGAUGUCAGACGGCUGCCAUGCAAACACGUCGACAUUCGCCCGCAGGAAAGCAACGAGCGCGCUUUCCUAUUUAGGGUCAAGCGUGGCACUGAUGGUGAAGGUACCACCAGUGCCAUCCUCCUUGGUGGACACCUUCUUGGUAUGUGGUGGAGCUGCCAUUGCCUUCUUACACUUGCCGGUGGAGCUCGAUGGUGCUUCCUCGACGGCAGCGCAGCACUCCGAGGAGGUGCGCUUGCCGGAGUGGGCAUCAGAGCUCUUGCCGGACUUGGUCUUCUUCUUCCCCCCGGGAGCUUCAGCGGCAAGUGUCUUGCGAUCUGUUGCAGCUGCUGCUUCCCGGUAGAUCUUGUCGGCGCAGAUAAGAGCGUCUUUCUUGUCGCCAGGGAAAGAGAUGACACUUAUCGGGCCUGGCAUCUUGAGCAUGUUGUAUGCAUAGUGAGAGGCUGCCAUGAACUUGGCAAGUGCUGGACGGCCGAGUAUCCCAUUGUAAGGUAACGGAAAAUCAGCAACAUCAAAAGUGACCCUCUCAGUCCUGAAAUUCAGCUCGCUGCCAAAUGUUACCGGCAACGUGACCUUCCCCUUUGGCUUGCUCCUUCCCGGGUUGAUUCCUUGGAAUGUGCCGGUUUCUUCGAGCUCGCUGUCAGGGAUCUGGAGUUUCUGGAGUACAGCAGAGGAGAUCAGAUUCAAGCCGGACCCGCCGUCAACUAACAUCUUGGUGACCUUGAGGUUGCGUAUAGUUGGUGAGACCGACAACGGCAAGCACUCGACCGCAGUUGUGCGAUCAGGGUGGUCCUCAAUGUCAACGAUGAUAGGCGUGCUGGACCAUUUCAGAAGUUUGCGUGAUUCGACAGGUGGUUCUGCCGCAUUGACUUCCCGCGCCCACUGUUUGAGUUGGCGGUGAGAAGUAUGUAGAGAAGCGCCACCGUCAACACAAAAGAUUUCUGUGGCUUUCUGGAACUCCUGCUCGCUGUUCUCGAUAUCUUCCAUGUCUUCGUUGUCGUCUUUGUCAUCAUCCUUGUCGCAGCCGCGGGGAGGUCUGUCUCCUUGCCGCUGCUUGGCCUUUCCGCGGCGUCCUCCCCGGCCAGCGUGCUUCUUGCCGGCUUCUCCACCGCCUCCUUGGGCCCUCUCCUUGUCGCGGCGCUCAUAAUCAGCUUUUUGCUGCUGGACAAGCUGCUCGACUUUCUUGCAGCUCUGGAGGUCAUGGCCUUUGGUGCGGUGGAUCUUGCAAUACUGCUUGUCGGUGCCGUCCUGCUUGUCGGCAGCUGCCACAGCCUGGCAGUUGGUGCACGCGGCAACCUCCUUGCCGGAGCUACCAACUUUGGCUUUCUUGGCGCCACCAUCGUUGCCGGACUGCUCAACGACUAGCACAUCUUUGCCUUUCUUCUUCCUGUUGCGCCACCGGUUUUUCUUUGCCGGGGCAGCAUCCUUGCUGUCAGAUCCUCCUGCUCCUGUAGUCUCUCCGGGGAGUUUCCUCCCUUCCUUAGCGCGUGCACACUUGUCGGCCAGGGCAUAUAGCUCACUGACGUCUCUGAUCCUGCUCAUCGCCAUCUCCUCCCGCAUCCUGCGGUUACGCACAUUCUGAUGGAACGCGCUGAUAACCACGGCAGGGUGGAUGUCUGGGAUGUUGCGCUGCACACGGCUGAACCUCUGAAUAUACUUGCGCAGGGGCUCUCCUUCCUUCUGGGCAAGCAGGUGAAGAUCACUUUCCUGGCCAUGAGGUUUGUGGCCGCCUAUAAAGGCACCGACAAACUGAUGGCAAAGGUCUGCCCAAGAGGAUAUGGAGUUGUCCGGCAAGUGCAUGAGCUAGGACCUGACUUCGGGCUUGAGCACCAGCGGGAAGUAGUUGGCAAGGACCUUGUCGUCUCGCCCCCCGGCAGCUUGCACCGCAAUGGUGUAGAUGCUGAGGAACUCUGACGGGUGCGACUUGCCGUCGUACUUCUCCGGUACGUCUAGCUUGAAGUUCUUCUGGUUGGGCCACUGGACUUGCCGCAGCUCGCGGGUAAACGCAGGGCAACCUACCACGUACGGCAAGUCGCCUGGUUCCCCUGGCGCAUGCAUAUCGAUAGAGGGCCCAGCGCGCAGGUCUGAUUGACGCCGCGCUUCUCUUCGGCGCUCGAUGCGUGUUCGAGCGUCUUCUUGCUGUCGUUCAUGAAGAACUUGGCGCUGAUCACGACGAACUCGCGGAUCUGAUGACGCGGUGGAGUCGCUGUCGUGGUGGAUCCGACGAGUCGGGGAUCUUGGCCUUCGAGGCAGAGAGUGCACAGUGGUUGCACCCUCCCUGGUCUUGUCGCCACCGGCUCGCGCCUGACUGACUUGCCGCGGCUGCGAUGCGCUCGGCUGCCGUGGGUUGUCGCCGUUGGCGAAGCCGAUGAGGCUCUGGAUAGUGGCCCUCCAGUCAUCGAUCUUCUCUGGUGCUGGAGGGUAAUCUAGGAGCAGUUGAGCUCGUGCCAAAGCUUCUGCCGGAGUGGCGGGCGGCGGCGGCGAACGGCGCGAUGAACGGGAUAUGCUCGGACUUCUAACUACGUUAGAAGGAGCAGUAUCUCGUCCAGGCGACCGUGCCCCGCUCGCGCCAGCACGUUGGCGUGCAUGCUGGUCUUGAGCACUCCGGGAUCCGCCAGCUUGAUCUUGGCCCAGCAAACGUAUGGUACCAUGAGUACCAUGACGCUGCUGGUCCCGCGCCUCCUGAGAUGGGCGCGGUGCGUGUACGGACGCCGAGGUCUUGGAGUGCGCUUGGUCGUUGUGGGAGCCUACUGCGCCGCCGAUGUGCACCGUAGUCUUGUCCUUGGACCUGGCAGCACCAUGAGCCCCCUCGUCGGUGCCCGUUCUCCCGCCGGCGUCUACUCCACCAGCCGUUCGCUCUUGCGGUGGUGGGCUCGGCGUGGACGGAGCAGCUGCCUCCGAAGCCUUCUUCUUCGGCAGCAUGUUGAUGAAGAUGAUGAAGAUUCGGCUCGUGCGAACGCCGGAUCAGGUUCGCACAACCUCGACGCACCCCCUACCUGGCGCGCCAAAGAUGUCGGGGGUGCUGAUCCCACGGACACCUAUGGGACCACGACGGACCGAGGCCCCUUCCGGUUCGGCAGGGGGGCGGAGAGUGCAAGAAGAGCAGAUUGAGGCAAAGCGCACGAGCAACGCGAUCAGUUUACCCAGGUUCGGGCCGCAUGGAUGCGUAAAACCCUACUCUUGCUUUGUGCUUGUAUUGAUUUCUUGCUCGGGAGCGAUGAGUGCUACAGUACACUCGAGCAACUAGCGAGACCGAGCGUGAGAAUGAUCGUCCCCCCUCUACGUUGCGCAUGGGCCUCCUUUUAUAUGUCAAAGGGGUCACCGACAGGUGGCAACAUAGACGAGGGUAAAAAAGGAAAAGACGUGGUGGUUAGCACCGCCGCCUACUAUAGUGUAUCAUACCUAACCUAAACGGCAGGGGACAAAGGCAUUUAAUGCCUGUCUGCAUCGCCUAGGCGGUGCAAAAAGGGACCGCCAGGGAUGCCACUGCUUGCCAUGAUGGCUAUCUUGUCAGCGCCACUCACCAUCGUGUACCUCUGGCUGCACAGCCUUCCGCCAUGUAUGCCUGGAAGGGUCCCAGAGCGACACGUUGGUGGAUGUGCUGGAGCGCAGGUACAGGAUGGAAGCUUGCCGCGGCAAGCGCCUUGCUGUGGUUAUUAUCUUGUCGCGUCCAGGAGCUUGUCACUCACUGGGUCUCGCUGGGACACAUGGUGCGCUGCGGCAAGUUCCUUGAGAUGCCUUGGUUGGCCUCCCCGGCAAGAUCCUCUUGCCGGGGUCUUGUCUCCUUCCCGGCAAGCUCCUCUUGCCGGGGCCUUGUCUCCUUGGUUUGGAUACUUUAUUCUUGAAUGGCUCCAAAGGAACCACGGAGGAUCUUGGCGGUCGCCCGGCAAGCCUUGCCGCGGGACGCUGCGAUUGCCCGUGCACAAGUUCGGGAUACUAAGGUACCCCUACUUUAGUACACCGACAUACCAAAAAUGUAUCUUAUUAUCUUUAUCAGAUCUCACUUUCGUAAGUGACCGUGAAGGGAUUGACAACCCCUUUAUCGCGUUGUUUGCGAGGUUCUUGAUUGUUUGUGCAGGUACUAGGUGACUUGCGUGUUAUCUCCUACUGGAUUGAUACCUUGGUUCUCAAAAACUGAGGGAAAUACUUACGCUACUUUGUUGCAUCACCCUUUCCUCUUCAAGGGAAAACCAACGCAUGCUCAUGAGGUAUCAAGAAGGAUUUCUGGCGUCGUUGCCGGGGAGAUCUACGCUCAAGUCAAGACAUACCAAGUACCCAUCAUAAACUCUUCUCCCUCGCAUUACAUUAUUUUCCAUUUGCCUCUCGUUUUCCUCUCCCCCACUUCACAUUUGCCUUUUCGUCGCCUCUUUUCCGUUCGCCUCUUUUUGCUUGCCUCUUGUGCAUCCGUGUGUUAGAUCGUUUAUUUGCCCUCAUGGCUAGUUCCCCUAUCAUUGUUAACACUCCCGAUAAUGAAGUUCUUAAUUUUAAACAAAGGGAGGGAGAAAAUCUAAAAGAAGCUUGGUAUAGAACUUGCAAUUCUCAAAAUAGAUCUACUAAAAAGCAAUCUACUUUCGUUCUUCUUCGCAAUUUUUACGUAGGCAUCACUCCUUGUUAUAGAUAUGUUCUUGACACCAUUACCAGGGGGGAUUUCUUGGGAAGCCAUACUUUUUAUUCUUGUAAUGCUAUGAUAGAUUUGUUAGGCCCACCACCUCUUUUGGUCAAUGGAACUAUUUUAACUUUGGAACAUGUGAUGCAAAGGCUUGAUAUUAUUGAAAAUAAAAUUGCCACUGUAGAGUUAAUAGAAAAUUUGGAAAAAAAUAUCCACAACCAAAUUACUCAAUAUGGAUCUAAGGUAGGAGUUACUCUAAAAAAUAUUAAGGAAAAGGAACCUGUAGUCAAUGAGAAGAUAGAUCAAGAUUUCCACUAGAAUUGAUAAACUUAAAGAUCUUAUUACCAACCCGGGGUCCGCUUUCUCCGUCGUUAAAAAUACCUCAAAUCCUCCUCCUACCAAAGUUGCCAAGUUUAUCUAUGUUCUGAAAAUAAGGGUGAAUUUUCUAGUAAGAAAAAUGAAGACCUCAAAUCAAUAAGUGUUUACCCCAACUUUUUAGAUAUCAUUAAGGAACCUUUUGCUACAAAUGAAUUUAUUGAUUUCCUACCUAGGAGUUUGAUCAUUAGUAAAAACAAAGAACCUCCUAAGGAUUAUAAGUGUUCAAUUGAAGAAUUGCAUACCAAAGAUGACAAUACUUAGAUCUAUUCUUGCUUUUAUGCCUAGCUAGGGGCGUUAAACGAUAACGCUUGUUGGGAGGCAACCCAAUUUUAUUUUUGUUCCUUAGUUUUUGUUCCUGUUUAGUAAUAAAUAAAUCAUCUAUCCUCUGUUAUGAUUGUGUUUUUAUGUUGUGUUUGUGCCAAGUAAAGCCUUUAGGAUCUUCUUGGGUGAUUGUUGUUUGAUUAUGUUGAUAAAAAGAGAAAGUAUGCACUCACGAAAAUAAUUUUCAUUUUUUAUCAGAGAGCGAUAAAAUACCAAUUCCAGCUGCAGUAGAUCAAUAUACAAAUUAUUUAGGUCGUCCUAAUUUUUCAGAAUUUUUGGAGUUAUAUACGUAUUUGAACUAUGCAGAUUGCUACAGACUGUUCUGUUUUUGAUAGAUUAUGUUAUUCGUGUGUUGUUUGCUUAUUUUGAUGAAUCUAUGGCUAGUAUCGGGGGUGUGAACCAUAGAGAAGUUGGAAUACAGUAGAUUUGACACCAAUAUAAAUAAAUAAUGAGUUCAUUACACUACAUUAAAGUGGUGGUUUGUUCUCUUAUACUAACGGAGCUCAUGAGAUUUUCUGUUAAGUUUUGUGUUGUGAAGUUUUCAAGUUUUUGGGUAAAGAUUUGAUGGAUUUUGGAACAAGGAGUGGCAAGAGCCUAAUCUUGGGGAUUCCCAAGGUACCCCAAGGUAAAAUUCAAGGACAACCAAAAGCCUAAGCUUGGGGAUUCCCCGGAAGGCAUCCCCUCUUUCGUCUUCGUCUACCGGUAAUUUUACUUGAGGCUAUAUUUUUAUUCACCACAUGUUAUGUGUUUUGCUUGGAGCGUCUUGUAUGAUUUGAGUCUUUUCUUUUUAGUUUACCACAAUCAUCCUUUUUGUACACACCUUUUGGGAGAGACACACAUGAAUUGGAAUUUAUUAGAAUACUCUAUGUGCUUCACUUAGAUCUUUUGAGCUAGAUCAUUUUGCUCUAGUGCUUCACUUAUAUCUUUUUAGAGCACGGUGGUGGUUUUAUUUUAUAGAAAUUAUUGAUCUCUCAUGCUUCACUUAUAUUAUUUUGAGAGUCUUUUAGAACAGCAUGGUAAUUUUCUUUGGCUAUAAAAUUAGUCCUAAUAUGAUAGGCAUCCAAGAUAGGUAUAAUAAAAACUUUCAUAUAGAUUGCAUUGAAUACUAUGAGAAGUUCGAUACUUGAUGAUUGUUUUGAGAUAUGAAGAUCGUGAUAUUAAAGUCAUGCUAGUUGAGUAUUUGUGAAUUUGAGAAAUACUUGUGUUGAGGUUUUGCAAGUCCCGUAGCAUGCACGUAUGGUAACCGUUGUGUAACAAAUUUGAAGCAUGAUGUGUUUCUUUGAUUGUCCUCCUUAUGAGUGGCAGUCGGGGACGAGCGAUGGUCUUUUCCUACCAAUAUAUCCCACUAGGAGAAUGCGCGUAGUGCUUGGUUUUGAUGACUUGUAGAUUUUUUGCAAUAAGUAUGUGAGUUCUUUAUGACUAAUGUUGAGUCCAUGGAUUAUACGCACUCUCACCCUUCCAUCAUUGCUAGCCUCUUCAGUACCGUGCAUUACCCUUUCUCACCUCGAGAGUUGGUGCAAACUUCGCUGGUGCAUCCAAACCCCAUGAUAUGAUACACUCUAUCACACAUAAUCCUCCUUAUAUCUUCCUUAAAACAACCACCAUUCCUACCUACUAUGGCAUUUCCAUAGCCAUUCCAAGAUAUAUUGCCAUGCAACUUUCCACCCUUCUGUUUAUUAUGACACGCUUGAUCAUUGUCAUAUUGCCUUUCAUGAUCAUGUGGUUGACAUCGUAUUCGUGGCAAAGCCACCGCUCAUAAUUUUUUAUAGAUGUCACUCUUGAAUCAUCGCACAUCCCGGUACACCGCCGGAGGCAUUCAUAUAGAGUCAUAUUUGUUCUAGUAUCGAGUUGUAAUUUUUGAGUUGUAAAUAAAUAGAAGUGUGAUGAUCAUCAUUAUUAGAGCAUUGUCCCAUGUGAGGAAAUAAAAAAAAGACAAAGGCCAAAUAAAAAAAGAAGGCCCAAAAAAGAGAGAAAAAGAGAGAAGGGACAAUGUUACUAUCCUUUUUCCACACUUGUGCUUCAAAGUAGCACCAUGGUCUUCAUGAUAGAGAGUAUCUUAUUUUGUCACUUUCAUAUACUAGUGGGAAUUUUCAUUAUAGAACUUGGCUUGUAUAUUCCAACAAUGGGCUUCCUCAAAAUGCCCUAGGUCUUCGUGAGCAAGCAAGUUGGAUGCACACCCACUUAGUUUUUUUUGAACUUUCAUACAAUUAUAGCACUAAUGCAUCCGUUGCAUGGCAAUCCCUACUCCUCGCAUUGACAUCAAUUGAUGGGCAUCUGCAUAGCCCGUUGAUUAGCCGUGUCGAUGUGAGACUUUCUCCUUUUUUUUGUCUUCUCCACACAACAUCCAUCAUCAUAUUCUGUUCCACUUAUAGUGUUAUGUCCAUGGCUCGCGCUCAUGUAUUGCGUGAAAGUUGAAAAAGUUUGAGAAUACUAAAGUAUGAAACAAUUGCUUGGCUUGUCAUUGGGGUUGUGCAUGAUGGGAGCGUUUUGUGUGACAAAAAUAAAGCAUGGCCAAACUAUAUGAUUUUGUAGGGAUGAGCUUUCUUUGGCUAUGUUAUUUUGAGAAGACAUAAUUGCUUGGUUAAUAUGCUUGAAGCAUUAUUAUUUUUAUGUCAAUAUUAAACUUUUGUCUUGAAUCUUUCGGAUCUGAAUAUUCAUGCCACAAUAAAGAAAAUUACAUUGAAAAUUAUGUUAGGAAUCAUUCCACAUCAAAAUAUCUGUUUUUAUCAUUUACCUACUCGAGGACGAGCAGGAAUUAAGCUUGGGGAUGCUGAUACGUCUCCAACGUAUCUGUAAUUUUUGAUUGUUCCAUGCUAUUAUAUUAUCUGUUUGGGAUGUUUAAUGGGCUUUAAUAUGCACUUUUAUAUUAUUUUUGGGACUUACCUAUUAACCGGAGGCCCAGUUCCAGUUUCUAUUUUUUUGCCUAUUUCAGUGUUUCGCAGAAAAGGAAUAUCAAACGGAAUCCAAACGGAUCGGAACCUUCGCGAGGAUCUUUCUUGAAACAAACACAAUCCAGGAGACUUGAAGUGGAAGUCAGAGACGCAACGAGGCGGCCACGAGGCAGAAGGGUGCGCCCAGGGGGUAGUUGCGCCCCCACCCUCGCAGGCCCCUCGUAGCUCCACCGAUGUACUUCUUUCGCCUAUAUAUACUCUUAUACCCUAAAACACCUGGGAGAGCCACGGAACCACUUUUCCACCACCGCAACCUUCUGUACCCGUGAGAUCCCAUCUGGGGCCUUUUCCGGCGAUCUGCCGGAGGGGGUUUCGAUCAUGGAGGGCUUCUACAUCAACACCAUAGCCUCUCCGAUGAUGUGUGAGUAGUUUGCCACAGACCUUGUCCAUAGUUAUUAGCUAGAUGGCUUCUUCUCUCUCUUUGGUUCUCAAUACAAAGUUUUCCUCGAUGUUCUUGGAGAUCUAUUCGAUGUAAUAAUUUUUGCGGUGUGUUUGCCGAGAUCCAAUGAAUUGUGGAUUUAUGAUCAAGUUUAUCUAUGAACAAUAUUUGGUUCUUCUCUGAAUUCUUAUAUGCAUGAUUUCAUAUCUUUGCAAGUAUCUUCAAAUUAUCGGUUUAGUUUGGCCUACUAGAUUGAUCUUUCUUGCUAUGGGAGAAGUGCUUAGCUUUGGGUUCAAUCUUGCGGUGUCCUUUCCCAGUGAGAGUAGGGGCAGCAAGGCACAUAUUGUAUUGUUGCCAUCGAGGAUAAAAAGAUGGGGUUUAUAUCAUAUUGCUUGAGUUUAUCCCUCUACAUCAUGUCAUCUUGCCUAAAGCAUUACUCUGUUCUUAUGAACUUAAUACUCUAGAUGCAUGCUGGAUAGCGGUCGAUGUGUGGAGUAAUAGUAGUAGAUGCAGAAUCGUUUCGGUCUACUUAACACGGACAUGAUGCCUAUAUUUCAUAAUCAUUGCCUAGAUAUUCUCAUAACUAUGCGCCUUUCUAUCAAUUGCUCAGCAGUAAUUUGUUCACCCACCGUAAUACUUGCUAUCAUGAGAGAAGCCACUAGUGAAACCUAUGGCCCCUGGGUCUCUUCCUUAUUAUAUUGCAUCUCUUUUUAUUAUCGCAUCUCAUUUACAUUUUGCAAUCUUUACUUUCCAAUCUAUACAACAAAAAUACAAAAAUAUUUAUCUUAUUACCUUUAUCAGAUCUCACUUUCGUAAGUGACCAUGAAGGGAUUGACAACCCCUUUAUCGCGUUGGUUGGGAGGUUCUUGAUUGUUUGUGCCUACUGGAUUGAUACUUUGGUUCUCAAAAACUGAGGGAAAUACUUACGCUACUUUGUUGCAUCACCCUUUCCUCUUCAAGGGAAAACCAACGCAUGCUCAAGAGGUAGCAAUGACAUCCCUCGAACUCUUGAUCUAGCAAAGUGUCGAGGGAUAGUUCCGUCAGCACGAUGGCGUGUGACGGUGAUGGCGAACUGAUCUACGCAGGGCUUCGCCUAUGCACUAUGAAGAUAUGACAGGAGGUGUAAUCUCUGGAGGGAGGCGCCGCACACAGCUAACAGAUGUUGUUGUGUGUUCUAGGCACCUCCCCCCUCAUAUAUAUAGGUGGGAGGGAUAGGGGGCGCCCAAGGGGCGCCCAAGUAGGUGGAAUCCUACUUGGGGCCCUAAUCCUAUUCGCCCCUCCCCCCUUACCCCCUCAGGUCCUUUUUACCCUGCAUAUAAGGAUUGUCUGAAGUAAAACUUCGUAAAGUUUGACCAUAUUUAUAUGAAAAAAUAUUAACAUCUACAAUGGUAAUUUAUACAAUAUGAAAGUAAGGUCAUGACGCAUCUAAUGUUGUUGAUUUCACAUUCUAAAUGUUUGUAUUUUUUUCUACAAACUUGGUCAAAGUUUAUGAGGUUUGACUUCAGACAAAUCUUAUAUGCGAACUAAAAAGGACCGAAGGGAGUACCAUAAUUCCUGGAGGGGAAAGGAAGGAGGAGGGAGGAGAGAAGGAAGGGGAGGCCGAAUCCCUCCCCUUCCUUUCUCUCUUCUCCUCUUUGCUCUCCCCUCUAUUUCGGCCUACAUGGGGCGCACCAGCCCCAUACGGGCUGGUCUAUGAUACGUCUCCAAUGUAUCUACUUUUCCAAACACUUUUGCCCUUGUUUUGGACUCUAACUUGCAUGAUUUGAAUAGAACUAACCCGGACUGACGCUGUUUUCAGCAGAAUUGCCAGGGUGUUAUUUUUGUGUAGAAAUAAAAGUUCUCAGAAUGACCUGAAAAUCCACGUAGACACGUUUUGGAAUUAAUAAAAAAUAUUGGCGAAAGAAUCAGCAUCAGGGGGCCCACACCCUGUCCACGAGGGUGCAGGGCGCCCCCCCUGGGGCGCGCCCCCUGCCUCGUGGCCCCCCUGAGACUCCACCAACGUCAACUCCAACUCUAUAUAUUCACGUUCUGGGAGAAGAAAAUAAGAGAGAAGGAUUCAUCGCGUUUUACGAUACGGAGCCGCCGCCAAGCCCUAAUCUUCAUCACAAGGGAAGAUCUGGAGUCCGUUCAGGGCUCCGGAGAGGGGAAUCCGUCGCCAUCGUCAUCCUCAACCCUCCUCCAUCACCAAUUUCAUGAUGCUCUCCGCCGUGCGUGAGUAGUCCCAUCGUUGGCUUGCUGGACGGUGAUGGGUUGGAUGAGAUUUACCAUGUAAUCGAGUUAGUUUUGUUAGGGUUUGAUCCCUAGUAUCCAUUAUGUUCUAAGAUUGAUGUUGCUAUGACUUUGCUAUGCUUAAUGCUUGUCACUAAGGCCAGAGUGCCAUGAUUUCAGAUCUGAACCUAUUAUGUUUUCAUGAAUAUAUGUGAGUUCUUGAUCCUAUCUUGCAAGUCUAUAGUCACCUAUUAUGUGUUAUGAUCCGUUAACCCUGAAGUGACAAUAAUCGGGAUACUUACCGGUGAUGACCAUAGUUUGAGGAUUUCAUGUAUUCACUAAGUGUUAAUGCUUUGGUCCGGUACUCUAUUAAAAGGAGGCCUUAAUAUCCCAUAGUUUCCAAUAGGACCCCGCUGCCACGGGAGGGUAGGACAAAAGAUGUCAUGCAAGUUCUUUUCCAUAAGCACGUAUGACUAUAUUCGGAAUACAUGCCUACAUUACAUUGAUGAACUGGAGCUAGUUCUGUGUCACCCUAUGUUAUAACUGUUGCAUGAGGAAUCGCAUCCGACAUAAUUAUCCAUCAUUGAUCCAUUUCCUAUGAGCUUUUCACAUAUUGAUUUUUGCUUAGGUACUUUUCCGUUGCCACUGUUACGAUUGCUACAAAAAACUACUACCAUUACUUUUGCCACCGUUACCGUUACUUCCAUACUACUUUGUUACUAAAUACUUUGCUACAGAUAUUAAGUCUUUCAUGUGUGGUUGAAUUGACAACUCAACUGCUAAUACUUGAGAAUAUUAUAUGGCUCCCCUUUUGUCGAAUCAAUAAAUUUGGGUUGAAUACUCUACCCUCGAAAACUGUUGCGAUCCCCUAUUCUUGUGGGUUAUCAAGACCAUUUUUUGGCGCCAUUGUCGGGGAGCAUAGCUCUAUUCUUUGAGUCACUUCGGAUUUAUAUUUGUUGAUCACUAUGAGGAACUUGAAAGAUGAAAGAACCAAGCUUUUUCCCUCAACUACGAGGGGAGGUAAGGAACUGCCAUCUAGCUCUGCACUUGAUUCUCCUUCUGUUUUGAGUAAACUUGUGACACCUACUCCUGCUAUUAAUUCUGAUAUGUCGCAUAUUAUUGAUGAUGCCACUUCUGCUAUGCAUGAUACUUAUGAUGAAACUACUUCUAUGCUUGAUAAUACUGUGCCAUUAGGUGAAUUUCUUGAUGAACAACUUGCUACGGUUAGAGAGAAUGAAAUUAUUGAAACAGAUAAUAUUGAUGAAAGUGAUGAUGAAGAUUCUCUCCCUAGAUAUGAAUUGCCUGAUGUGCCUGAGGGUUAUGUUAUGGAUGAAGAAACUGCUAGAGAUCUUUUUGCUUGCAAGGAUAGAUAUGAUCUUAAGAAAUUGUUAGCUAAGCUGAAAGAAAAGUCUUUGAAUGCUAGAAUGAAAUAUGACCCUGCUUUUGCUACUUCACCUAUCUGUAUUUCUGAUAAGUAUUAUGAUUUCUCUAUCGUCGAUCCUGAUUUAAUUACUUUGGUUGAAUCUGAUCCUUUUUAUGGCUAUGAAUCUGAAACAAUUGUGGCACAUCUAAUUAAAUUUGAUGAUAUAGCCACCCUAUUCACUCAUGAGGAAAAAAUUUGUUACUACUAUAUCCUUAAGUUAUUUCCGUUCUCAUUAAAGGGUGAUGCUAAAACAUGGUUUAAUUCUCUUGCUCCUGGUUGUGUGUGUAGUCCCCAGGAUACGAUUUAUUACUUCUCUGCUAAAUAUUUCCCAACUCAUAAGAAACAAGUUGCCUUAAGGGAAAUAUAUAAUUUUGUGCAAAUUGAAGAAGAGAGUCUCCCACAAGCUCGGGGGAGGCUUCUCCAAUUACUUAAUGCUUUGCCUGAUCAUCCUCUCAAGAAAAAUGAAAUACUUGAUAUCUUUUAUAAUUGACUAACCGAUGCUUCUAGAGACCACCUGGAUAGUUCUGUUGGUUGUGUUUUCAGGGAAAGAACUAUUGAGCAAGCUGAAUUGCUAUUGAAUAAUAUAUUGAGUAAUGAUAAUGAUUGGACACUUCCUGGACUAACUCCUAAGCCAACUCCGAAGAAAAGGGGCAUUCUAUUUCUCAGUCCUGAAGAUAUGCAAGAGGCAAAGGAAUCUAUGAAAGGAAAGGGUAUUAAAGCUAAAGAUGUUAAGAUUUACCACCUAUUGAAGAAAUACAUGGUCUUAAUAACCCAACACAGGUAGUAAAGGUAAGUUCUCUCUAUAGAUUUGAUGAAAAUGACAUUCCUCGUAAUAAGUCUGCUAGCCAAUGCUUGGAUGAGUUUGAUAAUUUUAUGGUUAAACAAGAAGACUUCAAUGCUUAUGGUGGUAGAAAAUUGAAACAUAUGGUUGAACACUUGAGUGAUUAUAUGUCUAGAGUUAAAGGUGAGCUUAAACUUAUUAGAAAACAUGCUUCUAUGGUUACCACUCAAGUAGAACAAGUGCUUAAAGCACAAGAUGAUUUGCUCAAUAAAUUAAAUAAUAAGAAAAAUGAUAAUGUUGUUAGAGUUGUGACUAGAGGGGGGAAAAUGACUCAUGAACCUUUGUAUCCUGAGGGCCACCCUAAGAGAGUUGAGCAAGAUUCUUAGAGAACUAAUGUUGAUGCACCUAGUCCUUCUAAGAAGAAGAAAAAGAAAAAUGAUAGGACUGUGCAUGCUUCUAGUGAACCUGUUAUUGAUACACCUGAGAAUCCCAAUGAUGUUUCUAUUUCUAACACUGAAACACAAUCUGGUAAUGAACAUGAACCUAGUGAUAAUGUUAAUGAUGAUGUUCAUAUUGAUGCUCAACCUAGCAAUAACAAUGAUGUAGAGAUUGAACCUGUUGUUGAUCUUGAUAACCCACAAUCAAAGAAUCAACAUUAUGAUAAGAGAGACCUCAUUGAUAGGAAGCACGGUAAAGAAAGAGAACCAUGGGUUCAGAAACCCAUGCCUUUUCCUCCUAAACCAUCCAAGAAAAAAGAUGGUGAGGAUUUUGAGCGCUUUGCUGAAAUGAUUAGACCUAUCUUUUUGCGUAUGCGUUUGACUGAUAUGCUUAAAAUGAAUCCUUAUGAUAAGUAUAUGAAAGAUAUUGUUACAAAUAAAAGAAAGAUACCGGAAGCUAAAAUUUCCACCAUGCUUGCCAAUUAUACUUUUAAAGGUGGAAUACCUAAGAAACAAGGAGAUCCCGGAGUACCAACUAUACCAUGCUCCAUUAAAAGAAACUAUGUUAAAACUGCUUUAUGUGAUCUUAGCCGGUGUUAGUGUCAUGCCUCUCUCUUUAUAUCGUACACUUGAUUUAAAUAAAUUGACACCUACUGAAAUAUCUUUGCAAAUGGUCGAUAAAUCAACUACUAUACCUAUCGGUAUUUGUGAGGAUGUGCCUGUUGUGGUUGCAAACGUCACUAUUUUAACAAACUUUGUUAUUCUUGAUAUUCUCAAGGACAAUAGUAUGUCUAUUAUCCUUGGUAGACCAUUUUUGAAUACUGCAUGGGCUGAUAUUGAUUGCAACAAAGGCAAAGUCACUUUUCAUAUUAAUGGUAAUGAGCAUACGGUAAACUUUCUGAGGAAACAACCUCAAGUCCACAAUAUCAAUUCUAUUGGAAAAAUUUCAACGAUUACUAUUGGAGGAUUUGAAUUCCCUCUUCCUACUAUCAAGAAGAAAUAUGAUAUUCUUAUUGUGGGGGACAUGCAUAUCCCAGUUGAGGUAACCUAGUGUCAUUUGAAAAUUCUCUGGUUUCAUGUUAUUCGGAAAGGGUUUGUUAACAAGACUUGAUCAACCUUGUUAGUGGAUUCCUUGUGAUGAGCAUGAGAUGGACGAAGUUAGAAAGCACAACUCUGUGUACCCUCCUUUUACUUUCUGUAAUUUAGAUUAAGUAAAGAAAAAAUAAUAAUUUCUAUCUGUUUUCUGAAUUAUCCUUGCAAUAAAAAUACCCCCAAAAAUAAACGUUCUCCAAAUGUCCUGAAAAUGAUAUAUGAUUUUUUUGUAGAAUAUUUAGGAAUUACUGGCACUGAGAACACACCAGGGGCCCACCAUCUGGCCACGAGGGUGUGAUAACCCACAAGUAUAAUGGAUCGCAACAGUUUUCGAGGGUAGAGUAUUCAACCCAAAUUUAUUGAAUCGACACAAGGGGAGCCAAAUUUAUUGAUUCGACACAAGGGGAGCCAAAGAAAAUUCAUCCACACCUGAAAGACUUAAUAUCUGCAGCAAAGUAUUUGGUAGUAAAGCAAUAUGAUAGUAGCGGUAACGGUAACAAAAGUAACAGUAGCAGUUUUGUAGUAAUUGUAAUAGUGGCAACGGAAAAGUAACUAAGCUCGUAGGAAGUGGAUCAGUGAUGGAUAAUUAUGUCGGAUGCGAUUCAUCAUGCAACAAUUAUAACAUAGGGUGAGGGAGUCCUGGAUUAGGGGGUCUCCGGACAGCCGGACUAUAUCCUUGGCCGGACUGUUGGACUAUGAAGAUACAAGGUUGAAGACUUCGUCCCGUGUCCGGAUAGGACUCUACUUGGCGUGGAAGGCAAGCUAGGCAGUACGGAUAUGGAUAUCUCCUCCUUUGUAACCGACCUUGUGUAACCCUAGCCCCCUCCGGUGUCUAUAUAAACCGGAGGGUUUUAGUCCGUAGGAGAACAGACAAUCAUACUAUAGGCUAGCUUCUAGGGUUUAGCUUCUCCGAUCUCGUGGUAGAUCAACUCUUAUAAUACUCAUGUCAGCAAGAAUAAAUCAAGCAGGACAUAGGGUUUUACCUCCAUCAAGAGGGCCCGAACCUGGGUAAAACAUCGUGUCCCCUGCCUCCUGUUACCAUCCGCCUUAGACGCACAGUUCAGGACCCCCUACCUGAGAUCCGCCAGUUUUGACACCGACAUUGGUGCUUUCAUUGAGAGUUCCUUUGUGUCGUCACCGUUAGGCUUGAUGGCUCCUACGAUCAUCGAUACCGAUGCAGUCCAGGGUGAGACUUUUCUCCCCGGACAGAUCUUUGUGUUCGGCGGCUUCGCACUGUGGGCCAACUCGCUUGGCCAUCUGGAGCAGAUCGAAAGUUACGCCCCUGGCCACCAGGUCGGGUUUGGAAGCUUAAACUACACAGUUGAUAUCCGCGGAGACUUGAUCUUCGACGGAUUCGAGCCCCUGCCUUGUGCGCCACGAGGUCACGAUGAGUAUGAUUUAGCUCUACCAUCGGACAGUGUUCAAGAAAUCACACCGGCAGCUGCUCCGACCCUCAAUUCGGAGCCAGUUGCGCCAUCCAUGGAUGGGUGGAUAGACCCCACCACAGAGGCCGUAUCCUCUGUGGCGAUCGAGCCAAAUAUCGACCUUACCCUUCACGAGAGCCCUGUUGCCAAACUGCCGGAUCCUUCUCCGGCCACGAACUCCAAACCGCCUGCGCCCGUUCCUAUCGAAUCCGAUUGGGCGCCGAUCAUGGGGUUUACCUCCGCGGAUAUUUUUCAGCACUCGCCCUUUGGCGACAUACUGAACUCAUUAAGGUCUCUCUCCUUGUCAGGAGAGUCCUGACCAAACUACGUCCGGCAGGAUUGGGAUGCGGAUGAUGAAGAAAUUCGCCACCCACCCACCACCCACUUAGUAGCCACUGUCGAUGACUUAACCGACAUGCUCGACUUCGACUCCGAAGGCAUCGACGGUAUGGACGAUGAUGCGGGAGGCGAAGAGGAACCACUGCCCACAGGGCACUGGACAACCACCUCAUCAUAUGCCAUAUACAUGGUGGACACACCCAACGAAGGCAAUGGCGACGGGAUGGCGGAGGAUGACCCCUCCAAGAAGCAACCCAAGCGCCGGCGUCAGCGGCGCCACUCUAAGUCCUGCCAAGGCAAAAGCGGUGAUACCGGCACCGGAGAUAAUAGCACUCCGGACAGUGCCGAAGGCAACAACAAUCCCCUCCAGCAAGAUUUAGAGCAGGAGGAUGGAGAAGCCAGCCCUCCUGAGAGAGCGGCAGAUGGAGAGGCGGAGGAUGAUAAUUACAUGCCUCCCUCCGAAGACGAGGCAAGCCUCGAUGAUGAUGAAUUCGUCGUGCCAGAGGAUCCCGUCGAACAAGAGCACUUCAAGAACCGGCUUAUAGCCACGGCAAAUAGCCUUAAGAAAAAGCAGCAGCAGCUUGAAGCUGAUCAAGAUUUGCUAGCUGACAGAUGGAUUGAAGUCCUGGCGGCCGAGGAACAUAAACUCGAACUCCCCUCCAAGAGUUACCCAAAGUGCAGGUUGCUACCCCCACUGGAGGAGGAAGCAUCGAAACCUACAUCCCCGGCAUAUGACGCGGUUGAUCGGCCACCUCGUGGUCGCGAUAGAGAGGCAUUCCAGCCAAAAGCUUAGCCCGCACCCCGACCCCAUUCAAAUAAGAAGGCAUGGGGAAAUAUGCCAGACCUACGAGACGUAUUGGAGGACAAAGCAAAACACGCAAGAUCGAUCUACAGAUCACGAGGACGCGUCACUAUGCGAGACGAUAAUCGUCACGCCGGAUACAGUAAAAGUAAGUCCGACCGGGCCGAACACAGCGGGCAAGACUCAUUUGAGCUGUGUCGCGAUAUAGCCCAGUACAGAGGCGCCGCACACCCCUAUGCUUCACAGACGAAGUAAUAGAUCACCAAAUCCCAGAGGGUUUCAAACCCGUAAAUAUAGAAUCAUACGACGGCACAACAGAUCCAGCGGUAUGGAUCGAGGAUUUCCUCCUGCACAUCCACAUGGCCCACGAUGAUGACCUACACGCCAUCAAAUACCUCCCACUCAACCUCAAAGGACCAGCUCGGCAUUGGCUCAACAACUUGCCAGCAGAGUCCAUUGGCUGUUGGGAUGAUCUGGAAGCCGCAUUCCUCGACAACUUCCAGGGCACUUAUGUGCGACCACCAGAUGCCGAUGACUUGAGCCACAUAAUUCAGCAGCCAGAGGAAUUGGCCAGGAAAUUCUGGACACGGUUCCUAACAAAGAAAAAUCAAAUCGUCGACUGUCCGGAUGUAGAGGCCCUAGCAGCUUUCAAGCACAACAUCCGCGACGAAUGGCUCGCCUGGCACCUUGGCCAGGAAAAGCCGAAAUCUAUGGCAGCCCUCACGACACUCAUGACCCGCUUCUGUGCGGGAGAGGACAGCUGGUUGACUCGCAGCAAUAACAUAUCAAAGAACCAUGGUACUUCAGAUACCAUGGACAGCAACGGCAGGUCACGUUGCAACAAACAUAAGCGCCACAUUAACAGCGACAAUAGCGAGGAUACGGCAGUCAAUGCUAGAUUCAAAGGCUCUAAACCCGGUCAGCGGAAAAAGCCAUUCAAAAGAAGCACUCCGGGCCCAUCCAGUUUGGACCGUAUACUCGAUCGCUCGUGUCAAAUACAUGGCACCCCCGACAAGCCAGCCAACCACACCAACAGGGAUUGUUGGGUGUUCAAUCAGGCCAGCAAGUUAAAUGCCGAAAACAAAGAUAAGGGGUCACAUCGCGAUGAUGAGGAGGAGCCCCGGCAGCUGAACACCGGAGGACAGAAGAGGUUCCCCCCACAAGUGCGGACGCUGAACAUGAUAUACGCAACCCACAUCCCCAAGAGGGAGCGGAAGCGUGCGCUCAGGCACGUAUAUGCAUUGGAGCCAGUCACCCCAAAGUUCAACCCAUGGUCCUCCUGUCCGAUCACCUUCGAUCGCAGGGACCACCCCACUAGUAUCCGUCAUGGCGGAUUCGCCGCACUGGCCCUAGACCCAAUCAUUGACGGAUUUCACCUCACUCGAGUCCUUAUGGAUGGCGGCAGCAACCUGAACCUGCAUUAUCAGGACACAGUGCGCAAAACGGGUAUAGACCCCUCAAGGAUCAAACCCACAAAAACGACCUUUAAAGGUGUCAUACCAAGUGUAGAGGCCCAUUGCACAGGCUCAGUCACACUAGAAGUGGUCUUCGGAUCCCAGGAUAACUUCCGAAGCGAAGAUUUAAUCUUCGACAUAGUCCCGUUCUGCAGUGGCUACCAUGCACUGCUCGGGCGAACCGCAUUUGCGAGAUUUAAUGUGGUACCACAUUAAGCAUAUCUCAAGCUCAAGAUGCCAGGACCUCUGGGGGUCAUCACAGUCAACGGAAACACAGAGCGCUCUCUUCGCACGGAGGAGCACACUGCAGCCCCCGCAGCAGAAGCGCAAAGUAGCCUCUUAAGGCAAUCCACUAGUUCGGCGAUUAAGGACCCGGACACCUUCAAGCGUGCCCAGAGUAACCGGCAACUGGACCGCCUGGCAUGUUUCGACCUCGCAUAGCAAUGCGGCCCCCACCCCGGUCCCAGCCAAAUGGCGAAAUCCAUGCCACGCGUACAUAAUUACACAUUAAAAAUACCAUGGGCACAUGUGGGGAGGGGGGCACGACUACGGCAAGCUCCAAGAUGCGGCUUAAACCGCACUUGGGGCUUCCAGCUUUGUUAUUUUUCUCUUUCAGAACUUUAAUCUCUGGAAACCCUGUCCGGCAGCAUGAUUACCGAACACAUGAUGCAGCAACCAAGGAGGCAAAAAGCUACGUCACACCACAGAACUCCCAGGUGGAUUACGAUAACGAGUGAAAUAUUUGCUUUAAUACAAUUCCUCAGCUUGCCCUUGGAGGGGACAUGUCAAAUAGUCCUACUUUUUGCUUAUUGCACUACUUGUAUCAUUCUGCUUUAACGCACCUUUUUGAACAAACAAGGCAUAGCAUUAAGACUAUUAUUGCAUUCUUCCUUUAUAUAUAUAUAUAUAUAUAUAUAUAUGUGUGUGUGUGUGUGUGUGUGUGUGUGUGUGUGUGUGUUCAUUCAUGACAUCUAGCACCCGUACAUUCUGGUACGUCCAAUACACUAGGGGCUUAGGCAUAUCCCAUAAUACGGCGUGAGAAGUCCGAACACUUUCGACAGUGCGGCACCCCGAACUUAUAGCAUUAUAUGCAUCAGCUCCGACUCAUGUCUUGGGUCAAUAGUUGGGUUUGCCCGGCUCCCAUGUUUUGGUACCUUACGUUCCGCUAUAUCGGCUAAGGUAGCACUGGGAGAACUACUGCGAUUGUGCCCCGGUUCUGCUGGGCUAAGCACCUUAGUAGAGAAAGCUAAAACUGAAUGUCAUGAUAAGGCGAGAGACUGGUCGCUGUUCGAGAGGUUUCAAGUCCCUAAAGACUUAUGCCGCUUAGAGCGAGGAGUCGGCCCUGUCCGGCUUAAGGAGUGUAUAGUGCCCCGAAAUCGGCCUUUCGGAUACUAGGGGCUUCACCGAAAUUUAAAAUUAUAGAAUUCUAUGGCUAAGUGAGAGUGACAACGCAUUAUAGUCCGAUUGCCUUGUUCGUUGUGCUGAGCACCUCCCUCGAAGGACCCAAAAAUGGGAACAAGAGUGCUCAGGUUUAUCCCGAACACCCCAGCACUCGUGGCGUGGGGGUAGAAGCCGACGACUAGCCAUCUCUCAGAUUUGAGAAAUAGCCGAAUUGAAGGCAAUAUUUGAAAUUCAAACAAGCGUUGCAUAGCGCAUAUGAACAAGUUUUCAUAAUACAGGAUUACACGAGAAAGUUUAUUCAAAUAUUACAUCUUUCGCACACUCGUCCGCUACAAGAUGGGCACCCUUCAGGACACCCUCAUAGUACAUCUCGGGGUGGCGAUGCUCCUUGCCCUGCGGCGGCCCUUCCUUCACCAGCUUCACGGCGUCCAUCUUGGCCCAGUGCACCUUCGCACGGGCGAAAGCCCGGUGUGCACCUUCGAUGCAGAUGGACCGCAUGAUGACUUCCAGCCGUGGGCAGACAUCCACAAGCCGACUCACCGGGCCGAAGUAGCUGUUGGGAAGGGCGUCGCCAGGCCACAUCCAGACUAUAAAGCCCUUCAUGGCCUGUUCGGCCGCCUUGUGCAGCUCGACCAGUUGCUUCAGCUGGUCGCUCAGAGGCAUCGGGUGUUCAGUCCUAGUAUACUAAGACCAGAACAGCUUCUCCAUUGAACUUCCCUCCUCGGCUUGGUAAAACUGUGCGGCAUCCGACACGCUGCGGGGAAAAUCUGGGAAUGCUCCUGGAGAGCUCCGGAUUCGGGUAAGUAACAAGUAAUUUACUUUCACAUGCUUGCUUUGCAUAUAGAAUGCCUUACCCGCCCCUAUCUUCUUCAUCGCAUCAAUCUCCUGGAGGGCCUUUUGGGCUUCGGCCUUGGCACUCUUUGCACUCUCAAGGGUCGCGACAAGCUCGGACUCCCGCAUCUUCAAGUCAAGCUCCAACGCCUCGUGCUUCGUCAUGAGAGCGUGGAGCUCUUGCUGCACCUCGCCCACCCGUGCCUCUUGUUUUUCCCACUCGGUGUGCUCCUGGGCCGCUUUUUUUUCGGCCUCGGAUAGCACUUGCUUCAGGGUUGCCACUUCGGUCAGGGCCCCUGGAAAAUUAAAGAUGAUCCUGUCAUUUUGCAAUCGCAUCCCUUAUAUAUAUAUACAUAUCUAUAGACUAGGUAUUUACUUACCUUUGUUCUCCUCGAGCUGCCACUUGGGAAGGCCGAGCUCUUUCUUGGACCCUUCAAGGUCCUGCUUCAAUACGGCGACCUCCGCAGUCAGUGCGGCAGAGGUCAGCAACGAAGCCUGCAUACGCAUAUAGACAUACUUAUAUUAGACUCCUGCAGAUAUUAGUUGAUCCUCUAUUUGGCUUUUCUUUUUGAACACCAAACAGAGCAUCAGGGGCUACUGUCUAUGCUGUAAUAUUUUCCCUAUAUUUCAAAUACUUACCUCAAAGCCUGUUAGAAGGCUGUCACAGGCUUCAGUUAGUCCGCUCUUGGCGGACUGAACCUUCUGGAUCACGGCACUCAUCAUAGUGCAGUGCUCUUCGUCGAUGGAAGCGCUGCGAAGCACUCCCAAUAGAUUGUCCCGUGCCUCUAGAUGGACAGAGGUCACCGGCACGAGUGUCUUGCCCCUUUUGGAAGGAGGCAGCCUGCACGAGUCCGGUACCACUGGAGGUUCCAGCGCGGUGUUCGGCUGAAGGCCGAACUCGGAGCCCUCGGGAGCCUUACCCCCUCUGCUCCCGGAGUCUGGAAGGUCGCCUUGAGGCACCUCCGGGACUGUCUCCCUCGACCCGGUGCCUCUUGAGACAGUACCUCGGCAUUGUCCAUAGGGCAAGGGGAGGUGGCGGUCGGAAGUGGAUCGCUAUCCAUAUCCGACGAGUCCAAGGAGCCGCCCGACGAAGAUAUGUCGAUACGGGCUUGGGGCGGUCUGCAUAAUCAUAUUUGGCAUUAGGAGAAGUAGUGCGACAAAGGUAUGCUAUGAGUUACUCUGGUAUCCGAAUAAUUAUGACUUCGCUAGGGGCUUGGCCCUGAGCAGCCACUCGUCUUCGUCUUCGGCGGCGGUGGUGGAGCAGUCCGGAAGAAGAGUCCUUCCCUUCUUGGACCCUUCGCCCCCCCGGUUGGGGCGGCCUUCCUUUUCUUGUCUCCCCCGGCUGGAGGGGGAGCAUCUUCAUCUUCCUCCUCGUCUUCGUGGGAGGAGUGCAUCGCAGAGUCAUCAGACGAUGAGUCCGAUACCACCUGGCGUCGGGAACUCUUUCGGGUUCCCUUGGCCUUCUUCUUGGUCUUCUCCGGCACCUUGUAAGGAGCCGGAGUUAGCAUCUCCGUCAGGAGAGCGUCUGCAGUGUCUUCGGGUAGAGGGGCCGGACAGUUGAUCUUCUCCGAUGCCCCCACCCAGUCCUGUCAAAGGCAUGGGAGCUUAGACCCCGCACGUGGUUAAGCUAUGGGAAGUAAACAUCCUACCAGAUGUACAAAACUUACCGGAUUCACAGGGCGCUUCGCGCUUAGCCCGCGGUCCUCGGUGAGAGAGGGAAGGACCUCGGCACCCUUGAACAGCACCCUCCAGACGUCCUUGUGCGUCAUGUCGAAGAGCUCGCUCAGAGUCUGGUGCUGGGCCGGGUCGAACUCCCACAAGUUGAAAUCCCGUUGUUGACACGGGAGGAUCCGACGAAAGAGCAUGACCUAGACUAUGUUGACAAGCUUGAGCUUCUUGCUUGCCAUAUUCCAGAUACAUUUCUGGAGUCCGUCUAGCUCCACCGAUGAACCCUAGGAUAGGCCCUUCUCUUUCCAGGAGGUGAGCCGCGUGGGGAUCCCGGAUCGAAACUCAGAGGCCACCACCCAGUUGGUGUCGCGCGGCUCGGUGAUGUAGAACCACGCUGAUUGCCACCCCUUUAUGGUCUCCAUGAAGGAGCCGUCAAGCCAUAUAACAUUGGGCAUCUUGCCCACCAUGGCUCCACCGCAUUCUGCUUGUCGGCCUCCCACCACCUUCGGCUUGAUAUUGAAGGUCUUCAGCCACAGGCCGAAGUGGGGAGGAUGUGGAGGAAAGCCUCACACAUGACGAUGAAUGCCGAAAUGUUGAGGAUGAAGUUCGGGGCCAGAUCAUGAAAGUCCAGCCCAUAGUUGAACAUAAGACCGCGAACGAAUGGAUGGAGGGGAAACCCCAGUCCGUGGAGGAGAUGGUGGAGGAAGACUACCCUCUUGUGAGGUUCCGGGGUAGGGACGAUCUGCCCUACAGCGGGCAACCGAUGCGUGAUAUUCGCAGCUAAGUAUCCGGCUCCACGUAGCUUUUUGAUGUGUCCCUCCAUGACGGAGGAAGCCAUCCACUUGCCUCCGGCUCCGGACAUGUUUGGAGAAGGUUGAUGAGAAGGAUGUCGACUUGGGCAUUGGAGCUCGAGUGCGCAAGAAUGGAUGAGCAAGGAGGAAGAAGGCGUGGGUAGAAAAAGGUUAAACCUUAUUCCUUUAUAAGGGCGGCCGAAACUAUGCGCCCCCACUUACCUGGUAAAACUCGCUUAUCCCUCAAGAGCCAUAAUUAAUGGCACAGUUGGGUUACCCAUGCCCGUAUUGAUGAGAAUCCCGUAAUAAGGGGGACACGAUCUCUGCUUUGACAAGACAUGUUAAGAAACUGCCUCGCGUUAUGUGCGGGGCUAGUUAAAGAAAAAUGGUUCGACUAAUCACCGACCCAUGGCAUGAUGUCAUGAUGCCAAAACAUGUCAGCAGAUCAGAUUUGUGGAAAUAUUAUUCUCUCUACGGUGGUAUGUGGAACAUAUUUUGCAGGGUCGGACACUAUCCUUUUAUUCAAACUCUUCUGUGGUGUAUCCGAAGGAGUAACCCGCCUUGCAAUGCCGAAGACAACACUGCGCGCUGGACUCAUCGUCAUUGAAGCCUGGUUCAGGGGCUACUGAGGGAGUCCUAGAUUAGGGGGUCUCCGGACAGUCGGACUAUAUCCUUUGGCCGGACUGUUGGACUAUGAAGAUACAAGAUUGAAGACUUCGUCCCGUGUUCGGCUAGGACUCUACCUGGCGUGGAAGGCAAGCUAGGCAGUACGGAUAUGGAUAUCUCCUCCUUUGUAACCGACCUUGUGUAACCCUAGCCCCCUCCGGUGUCUAUAUAAACUGGAGGGUUUUAGUCUGUAGGCCAAUAGACAAUCAUACCAUAGGCUAGCUUUUAGGGUUUAGCCUCUCCGAUCUCGUGGUAGAUCAACCUUGUAAUACUCAUAUCAUCAAGAAUAAAUCAAGCAGGACAUAGGGUUUUACCUCCAUCAAGAGGGCCCGAACCUGGGUAAAACAUCGUGUCCCCCGCCUCCUGUUACCAUCCGCCUUAGACGCAUAGUUCGGGACCCCCUACCCGAGAUCCGCCGGUUUUGACACCGACAGGGGGCACCCCAUAGACACACAAGUUGAUUGUUUAGCCGUGUGCGGUGCCCCCCUCCACAGAUUUCCACCUCAGUCAUAUUGUUGUAGUGCUUAGGCGAAGCCCUGCGUUGGUAACUUCAUCAUGACCGUCAUCACACCGUCGUGCUGACGAAACUCUCCCUCGACCUCAGCUGGAUCUAGAGUUCGUGGGACGUCACCGAGCUGAACGUGUGCAGAUCGUGGAGGUGCCGUACCUUAGGUGCUAGGAUCGGUCGGAUCAUGAAGACGUACGACUACAUCAACCGCGUUGUCAUAAUGCUUCCGCUUACGGUCUAUGAGGGUAUGUAGACAACACUCUCCCCUCUCAUUGGUAUGUAUCACCUAGAUGGAUCUUGCGUGUGCGUAGGAUUUUUUUUUUGAAAUUACUGCGUUCCCCAACAGUGGCAUCCGAGGCAGGUCUAUGCGUAGAUGUUAUAUGCAUGAGUAGAACACAAAGGAGUUGUGGGCGUGGGUAUAUACAUAUUGCUUUCCAUCACUAGUUGAUUCUUGUUUCAACGGUAUUGUUGGAUGAAGCAGCUCAGACCGACAUUACACGUACACUUACGUGAGACUGGUUCUACCGACGUGCUUCGCACACAGGUGGCUAGUGUGUGUCAGUUUCUCCAACUUUAGUUCAAUCGGAUUCAAUGAACACGGUUCUUUCUGAAGAUCAAAAAGCAAUCACUAUACCGCGUUGUGGUUUUUGAUACGUAGGUAAGAACGGUUUUUGCUAGAAGCCCAUAGCAGCCACGUAAAACUUGCAACAACAAAGUAGAGGACGUCUAACUUGUUUUUGCAGGGCAUGUUAUGAUGUGAUAUGGUCAAGACAUGAUGCUAAAUUUUAUUGUAUGAGAUGAUCAUGUUUUGUAACAGAGUUAUCGGCAACUGGCAGGAGCCAUAUGGUUGUCGCUUUAUUGUAUGAAAUGCAAUCGCCAUGUAAUUGCUUUACUUUAUCACUAAGCGGUAGCGAUAGUUGUAGAAGCAAUAGUUGGCGAGACGACAACGACGCUUUGAUGGAGAUCAAGGUGUCAAGCCGAUGACGAUGGUGAUCAUGACGGUUCUUUGGAGAUGGAGAUCAAAGGCACAAGAUGAUGAUGGCCAUAUCAUAUCACUUAUAUUGAUUGCAUGUGAUGUUUAUCCUUUAUGCAUCUUAUUUUGCUUAGUUCGACGGUAGCAUUAUAAGAUAAUCUCUCACUAAAUUUCAAGGUAUAAGUGUUCUACCUGAGUAUGCACCGUCGCUAUAGUUCGUCGUGCCGAGACACCACGUGAUGAUCGGGUGUGAUAAGCUCUAUGUUCACAUACAACGGCUGCAAGCCAGUUUUCCACAUGCAGAAUACUCAGGUUAAACUUGACGAGCCUAGCAUAUGCAGAUAUGGCCUCGGAACACUGAGACCGAAAGGUCGAGCGUGAAUCAUAUAGUAGAUAUGAUCAACAUAGUGAUGUUCACCAUUGAAAACUACUCCAUCUGAUGUGAUGAUCGGACAUGGUUUAGUUGAUAUGGAUCACGUGAUCACUUAGAUGAUUAGAGGGAUGUCUAUCUAAGUGGGAGUUCUUAAGUAAUUUGAUUAAUUGAACUGUAAUUUAUCAUGAACUUAGUACCUGAUAGUACUUUGCAUGUCUAUGUUGUUGUAGAUAGAUGGCUCGUGCUGUUGUUCUGUUGAAUUUUAAUGCGUUCCUAGAGAAAGCUAAGUUGAAAGAUGAUGGUAGCAAUUACACGGACUAGGUCCCUAACUUGAGGAUUAUCCUCAUUAGUGCACAGAAGAAUUACGUCCUGGAAGCACCGCUAGGUGACAAACCCAUUGCAGGAGCAACGCCAGAUGUUGUGAACACCUGGCAGAGCAAAGCUGAUGACUACUUGAUAGUUCAGUGUGCCAUGCUUUACGGCUUAGAACUGGGACUUCAACAAUGUUUUGAACGUCAUGGUGCAUAUGAGAUGUUCCAGGAGUUGAAGUUAAUAUUUCAAGCAAAUGCCCGGAGUGAGAGAUAUGAAGUCUCCAAUAAGUUCUACAGCUGCAAAAUGGAGGAGAAUAGUUCUGUCAAUGAACAUAUACUCAGAAUGUCUAGGUACCACAACCACUUGACUCAGCUGAGAGUUAAUCUUCCUGAUGAUAGUGUCAUUGAUAGAGUUCUUCAAUCACUGCCACCAAGCUACAAGAGCUUCGUGAUGAACUAUAAUAUGCAACGGAUGGAUAAGACGAUUCCCGAGCUCUUCGCAAUGCUAAAGGCUGCGGAGGUGGAAAUCAAGAAGGAGCAUCAAGUGUUGAUGGUGAACAAGACCACCAGUUUCAUGAAAAAGGGUAAAGGCAAGAAGGGGAACUUCAAGAAGAACAACAAGCAAGUUGCUGCUCGAGUGAAGAAGCCCAAGUCUGGACCUAAGCCUGAGUCUGAGUGCUUCUACUACAAAGGGAUUGGUCACUGGAAGCGGAACUGCCCCAAGUAUUUGGCAGAGAAGAAGGAUGGCAAAGUGAAAGGUAUAUUUGAUAUACAUGUUAUUGAUGUGUACCUUACUAAUGCUAGUGGUAGCGCCUGGGUAUUUGAUACUGGUUCGGUUGCUAAUAUUUACAACUCGAAACAGGGGCUACGAAUUAAGCGAAGAUUGGCUAAGGAUGAGGUGAUGAUGCGUGUGGAAAAUGGUUCCAAAGUCGAUUAGUUUUAGACCUAAAUAAUUGCUAUUUGGUGCCAGUGUUGAGCAUGAACAUUAUAUCUGGAACACGAUCUCUGCUUUGACAAGACAUGACAAGAAACCCGUAAUUAGGGGAACACGAUCUCUGCUUUGACAAGAUGUGUCAAGAAACCGCCUCGCGUUAUGUGUGGAGCUGGUUGAAGAAAAACGGUUCGAAUAAUCACCGGGCCAUGACAUAACGUCAUGUUGCCGAAACGUGUCAGCAGAGUAGAUUUGUGGAAAUAUUAUUCUCUUUACGGUGGUAUGUGGAACGUAUUUUGCAGGGUCGGACACUAUCCUUUUAUUCAAACUCUUCUGUGGUGUAUCCGGAGGAGGAACCCGCCUUGCAAUGCCAAAGACAACACUGCGCGCCAAACUCAUCGUCAUUGAAGCCUGGUUCAGGGGCUACUGAGGGAGUCCUAGAUUAGGGGGUCUCCGGACAGCCGGACUAUAUCCUUGGCUGGACUGUUGGACUAUGAAGAUACAAGAUUGAAGACUUCGUCCCGUGUCCGGAUAGGACUCUACUUAGCGUGGAAGGCAAGCUAGGCAGUACGGAUAUGGAUAUCUCCUCCUUUGUAACCGACCUUGUGUAACCCUAGCCCCUUCCGGUGUCUAUAUAAACCGGAGGGUUUUAGUUUGUAGGACAACAGACAUCAUACUAUAGGCUAGCUUCUAGGGUUUAGCCUCUCUGAUCUCGUGGUAGAUCAACUCUUGUAAUACUCAUAUCAUCAAGAAUAAAUCAAGCAGGACGUAGGGUUUUACCUCCAUCAAGAGGGCCUGAACCUGGGUAAAACAUCGUGUCCCCUGCCUCCUGUUACCAUCCGCCUUAGACGCACAGUUUGGGACCCCCUAGCCAAGAUCCGCCAGUUUUGACACCGACAUUGGGUGUCACGGAACUAGCUCUAGUUCAUCAAUGUAAUGUAGGCAUGUAUUCCGAAUAUAGUCAUACGUGCUUAUGGAAAAGAACUUGCAUGACAUCUUUUGUCCUACCUUCCCGUGGCAGCGGGGUCCUAUUGGAAACUAAGGGAUAUUAAGGCCUCCUUUUAAUAGAGUACUAGACCAAAGCAUUAGCACUUAGUGAAUACAUGAACUCCUCAAACUACGGUCAUCACCAGUAAGUAUCCCGAUUAUUGUCACUUCGGGGUUAACGGAUCAUAACACAUAAUAGGUGACUAUAGAAUUACAAGAUAGGAUCGAGAACUCACAUAUAUUCAUGAAAACAUAAUAGGUUCAGAUCUGAAAUCAUGGCACUCGGGCCCUAGUGACAAGCAUUAAGCAUAGUAUUGGGGAUAUAACUAUUAGGUAUGACCCACCCAGGAGGGGCCGGGUCAUCCCUAUAACGAUCCAUCUCAAUGUAGCCCAAGAGCAUGUGGCGGUUCAUAGAUAGGCUUGGUAGAGGACCCAGACCCGAAGGCAGUAUAAGGCCCAUGAUUAUAAACCGCCAUGUAUGUAAACUUGUAUUGUAAGGUAUAUGAGAAAGGUCACCGAGCCAGAUAUGUUGUAUAAACCGGCCGGGACUUUGAGGGCCGCAGGGCGUCAACCCGUGUAUAUAAGGGGAUGACCUAGCGGCGGUUUAGGACAAUAAAUAACAGAUCAAGAGCCGAGUCAAGCAUAUUCGCUCCCUGCUCAUCAAAACCCUAGCAAUACCAACUCCGAACUGGACUAGGCUUUUACCUUCAUCUUAAGGGGCCGAACCAGUAUAAACUCCUCGUGUCCUUUGUCCUGAUUAACCCCUUUAAGCUAACCUCAACGCGAUGGCUCCACGACUAAGUCCUCACACUAGGACAUCUGCCGUGACAAUUCCAUGACAGUUGGCACCCACCGUGGGGCUAUCGCACGAUGGUUUCGAGUUCUUAAAGGGCAACUUCGAAGGGUUCAAGGGAGCUGUGGUCCGGAUAACCAAGAGUCGUCGCAGCAAGCUCUACAUCGACGAUGCGGGCUGGGGCCCCGAGGCCGGCUCAAUUGAGUACGGGUACUGGGUCCCCUUCGACGGAAUCCACAUCUUCAUCAGCAAGAUCCGCGAACCGGGCCCUAUGCCAGACAUCUGCACCGACAUCAUCAAGAUGGCUCAGCGUACAAGACCUGCCCGGGUUUGGCCUGCCAUGAAUCGUGCCUUAAUGGGAUUUAUCCAUGGAGUGGAAUCUGAGGACAAACCAACAUUUGGUGAUGAGACCAUUGUUUACUCUGAUGGCGAGUCAUCCACCGGUGAGACAGAGUCAUUGUAUCAACUGCCAGACAGCCGGCUUGGGGCUGUUCCGAUGGAGAUAGUAUUCCGGACCCCUAUGAGCCGCCGAAUCGGGUUGCAAUCUUCAUGACCAGUACACAGCCCAUGCAGCAUUCAUCAAUGGCAGUAGAGUUGAUUUCUGGGUCAGCAGCGGCAGCUGUCGUGAUUUUGUCAUGGCAGAUAUCCUCGUGGAAGGACUUUGUCGUGGAGCCACCGCGACGGGUUAGCUUAAAGGGGUUUAAGCAGACAAGGGAAGCAAGAGUUAUACUGGUUCGGCCCCUUUCGAUGAAGGUAAAAGCCUACGUCCAGUUGUGAUGGAAUUGCUUGGGUUUCGAUGACUAGGGAGUGAAUCCGCUUUGCUUGACUCUCGAGUUAUUGUCUGUUGUCCCUAAACCGCCACCGGGUUGCCCCUUUAUAUACAUAGGUCGACGCCCAUCGGUUUACAGAGUCCCAAGGCCGGAUCAUAAACAAGUCCGGCUCGGUCUCUACUCCUAUCUUACAAUACAAGUUAUAUAUCAAUGUCGGUUUAUCUCUACAGGCCUUCACCCGCCUUUGGGCCUUGGGCCUUCAUGAAGCGCCACCACCUUUGUCUUCAUGGGCUUCAAAUAAAGUAAUCAUCAUGGGGAUAACCCGGCCUCUCCUGGCCGGUUUAUGUCCAGUAGUAAUAUCCCCAACAUUAGGCCGCAGAUUGAUUUGAACUUGUUCAUGUCAAUCUUCAACACUUAGAAAAAUUCCUCCCUUUGCACCUUCGCAUAAAUCUUGUAAACUGCCGUGACGUCAUCCUCCAGAUCUGUAGUAAACCGCCGUGACAUCACCUGUUCAUUAAAACGAAAGAUACCCUUUAUUAAUGAGCAUCCGACAAUCAAGGUGACAACCUCGUUAUAUAUCCAUUUUUGGGCUCCUUGAUUCCCGCGCUUGUCACUUAUCUCUUUGCCCUUAUAAAUAGGGCUGAGGAUCCAUUUCCUUUUCCUCUCGUUGCCUCUUCGUCUCUUCUUCCUCCUCGCGACGCCUCUACACCCGAGCACCGCCGCCAUCGUCAAGCUUCGCCUCUGCCUCACCGUCGGCCACUGCAUCAACCUGUUCGCACCAGAGAAACGCGGCGCACCUCCGCUGCUUCAACAACUGCAGUAAGUCUUUCCCUCUUUCCUCUGUAGAUCCACUUUAGGGUUCCUACGGGUUCAUGGCGUUCUUCUCUUGUUCUUCGUCAGUCCAGAGACAGCAGACCUCAAGCUUGACGCGUUGCGUGCGAUAGCUCUAGUAGUCCUUAUCUCGGUUAUCAAACCAAGCCUUUAUACGCAUAAAAACUUGAUCUGGACCUUUGUGAACUGCUCCAGGACCAACUUUUUUAAGUCUAAAUCUUUUUUCCUUUCCUAACUUGUGGUAGAUCCAAAAUUCCAAUGCGAUCUUGUGAAACCUGUUUUUCCUCACUUAGCCAUUUUUUGCCUCAGAUCUGUACCUUCCUUAUCUGCAUAGGCGGUUUAUCCUUGUAGAAAUAAUCUGUCAUAUGCCGUUAGUCCCCUUGUAAACCGCUCGUCGCUUUACCAUUUAUAACUGCAUGAACCUACGGUUUGACAAUUUGUCAUGCUUGAAUUCCUUUUUCUUAACCUGUUGUGCUUUAUGCUUUGUCAAUCAUGAAUCGUAAACCGGCAGUAAUCUUUUCCAGCUCUUCACUUGCAAUGGCCAAACAAUUAUAUGCCUAUAACUGGGUCCCUUCCCGGGUUACUGAGAAGCAACUAGAUGGAUGUGUCAAAAUUGGCACCUUACCGAAACAGAGUGAAAUCCAGUGGCAAGUUCCCGGUCCAGAAAACCCUCCUACCCCCAGAGAUGGCGAAGUGGUAGCUAGUGUUUGUUGGUCACAUGGGUUGCGGCUUUAAACCGCCCGGGUCCAAAUUCUUCCGUGAUGUGCUUACCAACUUCCAGAUCCAUCCUCAAGACAUGGGACCAAACUCUGUAUCCAAUGUUUGCAACUUUCAAGUAUUUUGUGAAGCAUACCUGCAAGAGGAGCCAAUUGUUGAGCUAUUCCGGGACUUUUUCUAUUUGAACCACCGGACUGAGUUUGUAGACGGGCCCAAUACCGAGCUAGGCGGCGUUUCAAUUCAGAAGAGGAAAGAUGUCAAUUUCCCUCGUGCCAAACUCCACAGUCAUCCUAACGACUGGAACCAGGCCUGGUUUUAUUGUAAAGAUACCUCCCCUGAUGAUGAGAAUCCUCUGCUGGGUUACCGUCCUCACCGGCUUACAAACACACAUCCAUUUCCUCAACGGUUAACUACCCAAGAGCGGGCUACAUAUGCUCCACAGCUCUCUAAGCUCAGGGCCUUUAUGGCCAAUGGUCUAACAUGAGUUGAUUUUGUCCGAUGCUGGAUUUCAUGGAGUAUAUUGCCUUUAAGCCACCGCUCCGGUUUAAUGUGCGAGUAUACUAGUGACUCAAAAGACUCUCAACAUCAUAUUGAUAUUCAGCUGACAGAAGCUGAAGUUACUGAAGUUGUGAAGAAGAUACUGAAUGAAUUGGAGGUUGUCUAUAGCAGGACCGGAUUCAGUCCAUUCUACACCUUGAAUAGGCCGCCAGCUGUAAGCAUUGCCUCAUUCCUACUUGUAUUCCAUAUCUUUAACUGUGUAAUCUCUUAUAACUUUUGUCAAUUCUCUUUAAUAGGGUGAUGACCGUUUUGGAAGAAGAAGCCUUAAAAUAAACCCGCGAAAACCCCUCGACCUAAGACGAAGGUGGUCAAGAGGCCUGCUAAGAAGAAGCCAACUGAACCCAUCAGUUUAGAGCUUGAUGACGACCCUGAUGAACCGGACGUAGAGGUAGAACUUGACUCUCUUGGUUCACUUUUCAUACACCUCAUUGACAAUGAUUAUUAUCAGGAUGACGCUGAGGGCAGCCAGGCUGACGACGCAGAGGUAAUUACUCUUCCCUCCGGUUCAGGCACUCCGUCAACACAGAAAAUCCGUCAAACAAUCCGAAAAAUAAAAUUUUCUCACCCUCUUGCUCACUUGGAUCCAAAAUUUCUUUUGAAGAAGCAGCAGCACGAGGCUCACCGCACAACCCGGCACAGCGGCCAAGUAGUCACUUCGGCCGGUUUACCGAACACUCCGGUUCGAAAACGUCGACCUGAGGUCUCACCCACUUCAGAUACCUCUUAUCCCAAGGCAGGUUAUUUCCGACAACCUCUUAAUCCGUCCGAUUCAAAUUAUCAGGGAACACCUCAUUCAUCAUCCGGCGAGUUGACAGCCACACAACUCCCUCCUCUUAAGAAAGUUGCUAGGUAAGUAUUUCAACUCAAUCUCUUGUCGCUUUAUACUUGCAUGUUAUACUAACCCUUGCAUCUUUUUCCUUUCAGAGCCAAGGCAAGACCCAGCAAGAAGGAUCAGGCGAAUAAACCGUCUGACGACCAUGUGGUUAUUAAACCGGAGCCAACUACUGAACCGGAAGGUCCAAAUGCUGACGCCAUGUUUGAUGAACCGCCCCCUCAAGAUCAUGACUAUGAUGAACAAGUAGAAGUUGAAACAGCAUACCAUACUACUAAACCGACGAGCCCGGUCCGUACUGAAGAUGGUCCGGCUAGUCCGGUUAAGGCUGCUGAUAUCCCGUCAACUCCAAUGAAGGCUACCGGUGACAAGGAAGAUGAUGUUAUCAUCACUGCCAUUGGCCACACCUCCCCUAGUAACCCUGUUACACUAUCAAAACAUAGCACCAAGGAGGAACGUUUUGCUAUGGAAAAAGGCAAAUGGAGCACCAAUUUAUCAAGCUAUGCUCACCUCAACGCCCAGGAACUCCAUUCUGGUUUUUUAAAUCGUCUGCACGCAAACCGUGACUACGAAGCCGGUUAGUGAACUUGAUGAAGGAACGUUAUGAGGUAAUUACAUAACCUUUUCUCUCUUAAGUCUGAUUGUAAGUACCAAUUCCAGGAGCCCCCAAGGGCCGAUUUAUGAUGGCAAUCGAAAACCGGGACUUCGUAAUAUCGCAACUUUGCAUACUUAUCCUCCAAGGGUCGGUUGAUCCUUUAAAAAUGAACUGGUACUUUAGCAUUGUAAUCCUGUAACUUUCGCUUGUUUAGUCCCCAAGGGCCGGUUUAUCUUUCCAAGGUGAACCGGGACUUGAACCACUGUUACUUAGAGCAAAUGUACAUUAGCCCCCAUGUGCCAAGAAUAAUGCUUUCAUUACACUUGGGACUUGAAACAAUUUUCUAUAACGAAGCGAAUAGGCAUUAGCCCCCAAGUGCAAAGUGCAUAACUUGUUAUGUACUUGGUACUUCAAAUAUAUACAGCCCACUGAUGAUAUGUCUUUCCUUUAUAGGCUGAGCUAAGCAAAAAGGACACCCAAACCACUGAUCUUGAAGAGAACAUUAAAUCUCAGCAAGCUGAGGCUUCUAAAGCCAAGGAGGAACUGACCAAUGUCUUAGCAGCCAUGGAGAAGCUGAAGGAGACCUUUAAAAAGGAACAGGCGGAUUGGGACACAGAGAAAGCCGCUUUAGCAAAGAGAGCCGAAGACGCAGAAGUAGCCCUUAAACCGGUAGUUGAAGAACUGACCGGUUUGAAGUGGCAAAUAAACGCUAUGAACUCUGCGGUAUUAGGUAAAUAUCCUCAUCUGAUGUUUUUCAAGUCAUUUUAUCUCAUAAUUUACCGGUUUACUGAUGCUUGCCAUGUCACAGGGACCCGCAUUACCCAUCUGGGCUCUGACAUGUGGAUGAAGCUAAAGGCUGCCUAUACCUUGAUAGAGCAGUUAUAUUCCGAAUCCCAACGGGCUAUUUGCACCGCUGCUUAUAACAGGCCUCCUCCAACGUUAAUAAAAGAAACUAUCGAGAAGUUGUCAAUGUUGCCUGCCCGGUUGGAUGAACUUAAAAAAUCAGCUGCCAAGGUCAGGCGCAUUAACUGCGCUAAUCCGGUCCAAGGCAUGGAUUCCAUAUUUUGAACCGACAGAUAUUGUCCAAGGCUAUCCCGGUGUGAAGGAAGAUGGUUCAGAAUUUAACAAUGAUGAUCUCCGACGGCUGACAAGGGAAAUGCAACCCAUAGCAAGCAAAUUGGCGGAAGAAACAGAUUUGUCUCAUUAUCAGCCGGUUUACGAUGCUGAUCAGACAAGAUAUCCUGCCCCAACACAUGAUGUAGAAGAUCUUGUUCCGCCAAUUCGUAAGCACACUUAUGCCCCUGACAUUGAUCCUUCCACCCAUAUAAGUGAAGAAGCCGUGUUCCAAGCUUUAACUGGAAUCGGUUGGGCAAAGAUUGAUUUCCAGCCACUGGGUAGGGAGGAAGAGGAUGCGCCGACUCAAGAUGACCCUCAAUCUUCAAGUUGUCCUGGUGAUGAAUCCUGAACCGGUGGCCAGUUUAGUCUGUCGCAGCCUACCAUUCUUACUGAAACAAUUAUCCUAUGUGGGCAUUAAAGCGCCUUGUAAUAGUCUAGUUCAAACACUUGUCUGUUAUGCCAUCGAGCAUACUUAUUUUGCUUGAUAUUGAUAACUCGCCUUGCUUUUGGGAUCUUAUUAUAUGCAUAAUCCGCAGUGGCUGUAUUUUAACUUGUUUCUGCAUACAAGAGAUUGAAAGUGUCCUGGCGGUUUACCGUUUGACGGGUCAUGAUGCCCAAAUAUAUAGCCUAGGUGUAGAGCCAAGGCUGUUUUCAAACAACCAGAUAUAAAGUAGAUAAUACCUAUUACCUCGUUGUUUGACCCAUGGUUGUUAUAAAAGAGUGAUAACACCAAUCUGGAGUAUUGAUGACUCCUUCCAGGUUUGCCGGUUUACGAUAAAACCAUACCAGGUUAUGAUAAACACCGGUUUUAGCCAUAUAAUACUGGUGACUUGUAGUCAAAACCAUACCGGAGCAUCAAACAUCGGAUUAUAGCUGACCAUGUACUGACAACUUAGCAUUGUAAGCCACGCCGGGUUGUAAUAAACGCCGGUUUAUCAGAAAAUAUGGAUGAAUCUUAUCAAAAGAGAAAAAACUUUGCAAAAAACACAAGAAGAAUAUGCAAGGCUUUUCAUGGGCUGCCAGGCCCUAAAUCGAGGCUUUUCAUGGGCUGCCAAGCCACUGAGUUAAACCAUUUUUCAAAGCCUUUUAAGGUGGACCUCAAUCUUUAACCAAUCAUUGUUUUAACUUUGACAAGUUCAGGGUCUAUGAAUUGACUUGUCAAACGUUCGACGGGUCAUACCAGGUUUACCUGGAUGGAGUUGCUUACUUAAAGAGGUAGGAUAACCCGGGGUUUUAGGUGAAUACACCUGGCUUGAUAGACUAUUGCGAGGGUGCAGACUCUUUGUUCUUUGAGAAGCAAAGAGCCCCCAAGCAACACUUGAGCUGUGCUCGGUGGGUGCCUAUGUUUGAGUUGUGCUAGUGCAACAUUCUCUUUGGCCCCACAUAAUUUCCUUUUGGCCUUAAGCCUAUCAAGAGGUGUAGCUAUGGUGCGAAUACAACCAAGCCCCCUAGUGAUUUCCCUUUGGCUUUAAGCCGAUCAAGAGGUGUAGCUAAGGUUCGGAUACGACCAAGCCCCCUAGUGAUUUCCUUUUAUAUGUGUGGCUUUAUAAGCCGGAUCAGCAGAACUCCGCUUUAUGAAUAGAAACCCCUAUGUAAACACACAUGAUGUAAAAACAACACAGACCCCGCUUUAGCUGAGGCUCAGGUUUAUUAUAUUGAUCAUAAUAUAUACAUUGUCAUAAUUAUGUACAUAAAAAAGAGCCUAUGGCUCAAGUAAAGUAAGGCCGAAGAUGAGCUAUAUUCCACGGCCGCUGGGUCUCCUCCUCCGAUUUAUGUGAGUCUUUGUGCUCUCGAACAUCGAUAAGGUAGUAUGAUCCAUUGUGAAAAAAUUUGCUGACCACAAAAGGCCCUUCCCGAGGUGGGGAUAACUUGUGCAUAUCAGUAUGAUCCUGGAUGAGCCGGAGCACCAGAUCGCCUUCUUGAAAAGUUAUGGUUUUAAAUCGGCGGCUGUGAUAAUGUCGCAGAUCUUGUUGAUAAAUCGCCGAAUGUGCCACCGCAAGAUCACGCUCCUCAUCUAACAGGUCCAGUUAGUCCUUACGUGCUUUUUCAUUAUCAGCUUCAACAUAAGCCGCCAAACAGGGCGAGUUAUGAUGGAUGUCACUAGGGAGAACUGCCUCUGCUCCGUAAACCAUGAAGAAAGGCGUAUAAUCCGUAGAUCUAUUCGAUGUAGUGUUGAUACUCCAUAACACGGAAGGUAACUCUUCCACCCAACAACCCGGCGUCCGCUUUAAAGGAACCAUAAGUCGGGGUUUGAUACCUCUCAAAAUUUCUUGAUUGGCCCUUUCUGCUUGACCAUUUGAUUGGGGGUGAGCCAUUGAUGACAGGUCAAGCCCGAUGUGCUCACGUUGACAAAAUUCUUCCAUAGCACCCUUUGAUAGAUUAGUACCAUUAUCAGUUAUAAUGCUGUGUGGAAAACCAAACCGGAAUAUCACCUUUUUGAUGAAUUGAACCGCCAUCGCCGCAUCACACUUACUGACUGGCUCUGCCUCUACCCACUUGGUAAACUUAUCAACCGCCACAAGCAGGUGGGUCUUCUUGUCCUUGGACCUCUUAAAAGGUCCAACCAUAUCUAGCCCCCAAGUUGCAAACGGCCAAGUGAUUGGAAUCAUUCUUAAUUCUUAAGCCGGAACAUGAGCGCGGCGUGCAAACUUCUGACAACCGUCACACCUCUUUACCAAAUCCUCAGCAUCAGCAUGAGCCGUCAACCAAUAGAAGCCGUGACGAAAGGCCUUAGCCACCAAGGAUUUUGAACUGACAUGGUGACCACAAUCUCCUUCGUGGAUCUCACGCAAAAUCUCACAACCUUCUUGAGGAGAGACACAACGCUGAAACGCUCCUGUGAGGCUGCAGUGAUGUAGCUCCCCAUUGAUAAUGGUCAUUGACUUGGAUCGCCGGAUUAUCUGCCGGGCCAAGGUUUCAUCGUCUGGUAACUCGCCCCGGUUCAUGUAUGCCAGGUAUGGGACCGUCCAAUCCGGAAUAACAUGAAGAGCCGCAACCAAUUGAGCCUCCGGGUCGUGCACAGCCAAAUCCUCCUCCGUAGGUAUCUUGACUGAAGGAUUAUGCAACACAUCUAGAAAGGUAUUGGGUGGCACCGGUUUAUGUUGAGAGCCUAAGCGACUUAAAGCAUCGGUCACUUCAUUCUUUCACCGGUCUAUAUGGUUGACCUGAUAACCCUUGAAAUGACCAUCCACUGUAUCCACCUCUCGUCUAUAUGCCGCCAUGAGUGGAUCCUUGGAAUCCCAAGUGCCAGAUACCUGUUGAGCCACCAGGUUCGAGUCAUUAAAGCACUUAACCCGGCUUAGAUUCAUUUCCUUAUCCAUCCAAAGACCAUGGAGCAAGGCUUCAUAUUUAGCUGCAUUGUUAGUACAAGGGAACAUUAAACGGAGAACAUAACAAAACUUAUCACCUUGUGGGGAAGUUAAUGUGACUCCAGCCCCCGAGCCCUCCAAUUGCCUGGACCCAUCAAAAUGAAUAGUCCAAUAAGUGCUGUCUGGCUUUUCCUCCGGUGCUUGCAACUCUGUCCAAUCAUUGAUGAAGUCCACAAGUGCUUGGGAUUUGAUUGAUGUGCGAGGCAUAUACUUUAACCCGUGAGGUCCAAGCUCAAUAGCCCAUUUAGCAAUCCGGCAUGUUUCUUGUCUGUUUUGGAUGAUAUCUCCCAAGGGGGCUGAACUGACCACUGUGAUAGGAUGACCCUAAAAAUAAUGCUUGAGCUUCCGACUUGCCAUGAAAACCCCAUACACCAGCUUCUGCCAAUGUGGGUAUCUCUGUUUGGACUCAAUAAGCACCUCGCUGAUAUAAUAAACCAGCCGUUGAACCGGAUACUCUUUUCCAGCCUCCUUGCGCUCCACAACAGUAGCCACACUAACAGCCCGGGCAUUAGCAGCCACAUAUAGUAGUAAGGGCCCUUUAUCGACUGGAGCCGCUAGUACAGGUGGCUUGGCUAACUGUCUCUUUAAGUCCUCGAACGCUUUAUCCGCAGCAUCACUCCAAACGAAGUCAUCCGUCUUCUUUAACAUAUGAUACAAAGGGAUAGCCUUCUCCCCAAGGCGACUGAUAAAUUGGCUUUGGGCUGCAAUCCGUCCCGCCAAACACUGGACAUCAUUGAUACACGCCAGUUUAGCCAGGGAUGUGAUAGUUGUGAUCUUCUUUGGAUUAGCUUCAAUGCCCCUGUUAGACACCAGAAAACCCAAGAGCUUGCCCGCUGGUACACCAAAGACACAUUUGGCCGGAUUAAGCAUCAUCUUAUAAACUCGGAGGUUAUCAAAAGUUUCCUUCAAGUCACCUAUCAAUGUUUCCUCCUUUCUAAACUUCACCACAAUAUCAUCCACAUAUGCAUGAACAUUGCGCCCGAUCUGUUUAUGUAGGCAAUUAUGGAUGCAGCGCUGAUAAGUCGCCUGGGCACUCUUGAGUCCAAAAGGCAUAGAUACAUAGCAGAAGGCUCCAAAGGGAGUUAUGAAAGCGGUCUUCUCCUGGUCCUUAACUGCCAUUUUGAUCUGAUGAUAACCAGAAUAAGCAUCCAGAAAACUCAAACGGUCAGAACAUGCCGUAGCAUCAAUGAUUUGAUCGAUACGAAGAAGAGCAAAGGGGUCAGCUGGACAGGCUUUGUUUAAGUCUGUGUAAUCGACACACAUAUGCCAAGUGACAUUUUUUUAAGUACUAGCACUGGAUUAGCUAGCCACUCAGGGUGAAAAACCUCCACAUUAAACCCUGCUACCAAAAGCCGGGCUACCUCCUAACCAAUAGCUUUACGCCUCUCCUUGUUGAAGCGGCGGAGAAACUGCCUGACCGGUUUAAACUUAGGAUCUAUAUUAAGGGUGUGCUCAGCGAGUUCCCUCGAUGCACCUGGCAUGUCAGAAGGCUUCCAUGCAAAGAUGUCCCGGUUCUCACGGAUGAACUCGAUGAGCGUGCUUUCCUAUUUCGGAUCCAGGUUAGCGCUGAUGCUGAACUGCUUGGAUGAAUCGCCAGGAACAAAGUCAACCAGCUUAGUCUCCUUAGCGGAUUUAAAUUUCAGCGUCGGAUCAUGUUUGAUAGUUGGCUUUUUCAGGGAAGUCAUAUCUGCCAGAUCAAGAUUGUCCUUAUAAAAAUUCAGCUCCUCUAUGGCACAAACCGACUCAGCAUAAGCCGCAUCACCUUCUUCACAUUCCAAAGCAAUCUUUCGACUCCCAUGUACUGUGAUGGUCCCCUUAUGACCCGGCAUCUUGAGCUACAGAUAAACAUAACAGGGCCUUGCCAUGAACUUAGCAUAAGCCGACCAUCCGAACAGGGAAUGAUACGGACUCUUGAUUUUCACAACUUCAAAAGUCAAUACCUCUGAUCUUGAAUCAUGAUCAUCUCCAAAAGCAACUUCCAGAGCUAUCUUGCCGACUGGGUAUGCCGAUUUACCAGUCACCACACCGUGAAACACGGUGUUCGAUGGUUUAAGAUUCUUAUCUGUCAACCCCAUGCGACGAAAGGUUUCAUAGUAAAGGAUAUUGAUACUGCUUCCUCCAUCCAUAAGCACCUUGGUAAACUUAUACCCCCCCCCCCAACCUGAGGUGCCACCACCAAGGCCAGAUGACCUGGGUUGUCAACCCGGGGUGGAUGAUCCUCUCGACUCCACAGGAUGGGCUGUUCAGACCAGCACAGAUAACGAGGUACCGCCGGUUCAACGGAGUUCACGGCUCUUUUAUGAAGCUUAUGAUCGCGCUUACAUAAGCUAGUGGUGAAGACAUGGUAUUGCCCACUAUUCAAUUGCUUCGGAUUGCUCUGAUAACCCGAUUGCUGCUGCUGUUGAUUCCCCUGAUGGUUGUAACCUCCCCGAUUGCCCUGACUACCUUGAUUGCCAUGUCUGGUUUGGUUUCCUUGGAAUCCUGAACCAGAGCUAACACCUCCAUAACCCGGCCCAUGGAAACCGCCUCCUGAACCGUCAGGCAGUCCAUUGUCGUAUUGGAAAAGAUUUGAAUUUUUGAACUCCCGCAUAAUGAAGCAAUCCUUCCAAAGAUGCAUAGCUGGCCUCUCCUUUGAUCUGUGUUUUGGGCAAGGCUGAUUUAACAGGCGCUCUAGAUUGGGGCCUGACGCUCCACCCCGCUGGGGCGGUUUACCCUUACGUCGCUGACCGUUAUCCUGGGUGUUGGUGUUAGCCAUAAAGUCCAAGCUAUUAUCCGCCUUGUGUUUACCAUUGUUCACAUGACCUGCCGGGUAAUGCUGAUGCCCUUUGGUGCUGCCGCUUUUCUUUCCCUCCCCUGUCUUGUCAUCAUCAGACUCAGGGUCCUUGGUACUAUUAGAGUCGGCAUACUUCACCAAAGCCGCCAUAAGUGUUCCCAUGUCAUUACAAUGGCGUUUGAGCCAUCCCAACUUCAGCUUCAAAGGUGCAAACCGGCAAUUGCCUUCCAAUGUUAAAAUGGCUGUGUCAGUGUUGAUGCGGUCUGAUGAAUGCAAAAUCUCUGAAACUCGAUGCACCCAGUGGGUUGUUGAUUCUCCUUCCUCCUGGACACAGGCAGCUAAAUCCACGAUUGACAUGGGCUGCUUGCAUGUAUCCUUGAAGUUCUGGAUAAACCAGGCCCUUAACUCGGCCCACGAUCCAAUAGAGUUGGCCGACAGAUUUUUCCACCAUGUGCGAGCCGUUCCCUCCAACAUCAUGGUAAAGUAUUUGGCACACGCCGCUUCGUCCACAUCCAGCAUCUCCAUUGCCAUCUCAUAGCUUUCCACCCAUGACUCGGGGGAUAAAUCGACGGUGUAAUUCGGCACCUUGCGCAGGCCUUUGAAAUCGUUGGGCAGCCGUACAUUAUGCAAUGCUGGGACGAGACAUGGUACACCCAAAGAACUAGAGGUAACCCCUGGUUUCACCGACGUUGUUGGACGAACCGGAGUGAGUUGACGAACCGGAGUGUCGUGCUGCACGGGUAACUCGGCUUCUUGAUGUGCUCUAGCACGAUCCACCGCAUCUUGAGCAUUGCCACUGCCACCCGUCGGGUUAUGGCCACGGGGCGGAUUACGAUUCCACGCACUGCUUGAUACGGCCGGUUCAUCGAUAUGCCUAUUGUAGCUCCGGUUCGGGCGGGGAGUAGAAUGAAUCCUUUCGCAACUAUAUGAAUAAGCCUGCUGCUGAGUCAAGGCUAUCUGAAGGAGCUCCCUAGCCCAUCGUGUCUCAACUGCCAGUGGGGACUCGCCAUCAAUCGGGAGAGCCGCCAACCGUGAAGCGGCAGCAACGAUGUUAUCCAACGGGUUAGAGUAGUGACCCGGAGGCGUUGAGACGCGUCAUGAUGGGACAUCAUUCUGACGAGGCUGAGGCGACAGAUCCAUCACGCGCGGCUGAACCGGUGCCCCGGUCCCAGGUGCCUCCACCCAGUUUACCACGGGUUGGUUGCUGGUGCCUGCUCCUGGCGUGUUAAAGAGAUUCCUUGCUUCAAAGACUGGCGGAAGGUUGAUAACCCACAAGUAUAGGGGAUCACAAUAGUUUUCGAGGGUAGAGUAUUCAACCCAAAUUUAUUGAUUCGACACAAGGGGAGCCAAAGAAUAUUCUCAAGUAUUAGCAGCUGAGUUGUCAAUUCAACCACACCUGGAAACUUAAUAUCUGCAGCAAAGUGUUUAGUAGCAAAGUAAUAUGAUAGUGUUGAUGACGGUAGCAAAAGGCAACAGUAGUAAAAGUAAUGUUUUUGGUAUUUUGUAGUGAUGAUAGCAAUAGCAACGGAAAAGUAAAUAAGCGAAGAACAAUAUAUGGAAAGCUCGUAGGCAAUGGAUCGGUGAUGGAGAAUUAUGUCGGAUGCAGUUCAUCAUGUAAUAGUCAUAACCUAGGGUGACAUAGAACUAGCUCCAGUUCAUUGAUAUAAUGUAGGCAUCUAUUCCGAACAUAGUCAUAUGUGCUUAUGGAAAAGAACUUGCAUGACAUCUUUUGUCCUACCCUCCCGUGGCAGCGGGGUCCUUACGGGAACUAAGGGAUAUUAAGGUCUCCUUUUAAUAGAGAACCGGAACAAAGCAUUAACACAUAGUGAAUACAUGAACUCCUCAAACUACAGUCAUCACCGGUAAGUAUCCCGAUUAUUGUCACUUCGGGGUUAACGGAUCAUAACACAUAAUAGGUGACUAUAGACUUGCAAGAUAGGAUCAAGAACACUCAUAUAUUGAUGAAAACAUAAUAGGUUCAGAUCUGAAAUCAUGGCACUCGGGCCCUAGUGACAAGCAUUAAGCAUAGCAAAGUCAUAGCAACAUCAAUCUCAGAACAUAGUGGACACUAGGGAUCAAACCCUAACAAAAUUAACUCGAUUACAUGAUAGAUCCCAUCCAACCCAUCACCGUCCAGCAAGCCUACGAUGGAAUUACUCACGCAUGGCGGUGAGCAUCAUGAAAUUGGUGAUGGAGGAUGGUUGAUGACGACAAUGGCGACGGAUUCCCCUCUCCGGAGCCCCGAACGGACUCCAGAUCAGCCCUCCCGAGAGGUUUUAGGGCUUGGCGGCGGCUCCGUAUCGUAAAACGCGAUGAUUUCUUCUCUCUGAUUUUUUCUCAUCAAAACUCAAUAUAUGGAGGUGGAGUUGGAGUCGGAGAUGUAACAGGGGACCACGAGGUAGGGGGCGUGCCCUAGGGGGGCAAGCGCGCCCCCCACCCUCGUGGCAAGGUGGUGGCCCCCCUGGCCUUCAACUUUGGCAGGUAUUUUUCUUAUUUUCUGAAAAGUGUCUCUGUGAAGUUUCAGGUCAUUCCGAGAACGUUUGCUCCUGCACAUAAAUAACACCAUGGUAAUUCUAUUGAAAACAACGUCAGUCCGGGUUAGUUCCAUUCAAAUCAUGCAAGUUAGAGUCCAAAACAAGGGCAAACGUGUUUGGAAAAGUAGAUACGUUGGAGACGUAUCAACUCCCCCAAGCUUAAUCCUUUGCUUGUCCUCAAGCAAUUCAGUUGACAAACUGAAAGUGAUAAAGAAAAACUUUUACAAACUCUGUUUGCUCUUGUUGUUGUAAAUAUGUAAAGCUAGCAUUCAAGUUUUCAGCAAAGAUUAUAACUAACCACAUUUGCAAUAAUGCAUAGGUCUCAAGUUUACUCAUAUCAAUAGCAUAAUCAACUAGCGAGCCAUAAUAAUAAAACUCGGAUGACAACACUUUCUCAAAACAAUCAUAAUAUGAUAUAACAGGAUGGUAUCUUGCUAGCUCUUUCUGAGACCACAAAACAUAAAUGUAGAGCACCUUUAAAGACCAAGGGCUGACUAGACAUUGUAAUUCAUGGUAAAAGAGAUCCAGUCAAGUCAUACUCAAUGUAAACUAAUAGUAAUGAAUGCAAAUGACAGCGGUGCUCUCCAACUAGUGCUUUUUAAUAAGAAGAUGAUGACUCAGCAUAAAAGUAAAUAGAUAGGCCCUUCACAGAGGGAAGCAGGGAUUUGUAGAGGUGCCAGAGCUCGGUUUUAAAACAGAGGUGAAUAAUAUUUUGAGCGGUAUACUUUCAUUGUCAACAUAACAACCAAGAGAUGGCGAUAUCUUCCAUGCUACACACAUUAUAGGCGGUUCCCAAAUAGAACGGUAAAGUUUAUACUCCCCCUUCCACCACAAGCAUCAAUCCAUGGCUUGCUCCAAACAACGAGUGCCUCCAACUAACAAGAGUCCCAGGGGGAGUUUUGUUUGUAAUUAUUUUGAUUUAGUUUGCAUAAAGCAUGGGACUGGGCAUCCCGGUGACCAACCAUUUAUCUCGUGAGUGAGGAGCAGAGUCCACUCCUCUUGAGAAUAACCCGCCUAACAUGGAAGAUACAGACAGCCCUAGUUGAUACAUGAGCUAUUCGAGCAUACAAAACAGGAUAUUUAUUUGAAGGUUUAGAGUUUGGCACAUACAAAUUUACUUGGAACGGCAGGUAUAUACUGUAUAUAGGUAGGUAUAGUGGACUCAUGUGGAAUAACAUUGGGGUUUAAGGGAUUGGAUGCACAAGCAGUAUUCCCGCUUAGUACAGGUGAAGCCUAGCAAAAGAAUGGGAAGCGACCAGCUAGAGAGCGACAACAGUCAUGAACAUGCAUUAAAAUUAAUCAACACCGAAUGCAAGCAUGAGUAGGAUAUAAUCCACCAUGAACAUAAAUAUCGUGAAGGCUAUGUUGAUUUUGUUUCAACUACAUGCGUGAACAUGUGCCAAGUCAAGUCACUUAAAUCAUUCAGAGGAGGAUACCACCCUGUCACUACAAAAAAAGACACAUCCGUGACAUUUUGGGCCGAAGGAAAAAAAUUCUGUCAUACAUAUGACACUUCUAUGACGAUAAUUGUGACAAACCCGGUAUCAUCAUAGAUGUGGUGGGCUCCUACUUCUAUGACAAAAAAUCAUGACAGAAAAUGGGUUUUUCGUCCUGGGCGGGCCGGAGACACAGCUGCAUGACAUUCUUUGGGCCGUCAAUAAUGGAAAAAACCGUGGUAGAAGCGAGGGGGAGGAAAAUUUCGGGGAGUUCCCGGUUACAGUGGCAGGUUGGGGGCCGAGCGAUGCGCGUUUCUCUCGUACAAGUAUGCGUGUGUGUGCGAGGCGUUGGCUCUAACUGAACCCGAGCGAGGCGUUGGGCUCUAACUGAACCCGAGCGAUUGCACUGCAGGCUACACGUUACUGAACCCGAGCAAUCGAUCGAUGGCUGUUAACUGAACCCAAUCGAGCGAUUCCUUCGCUACUACUGCUAACUGAAGCCGAUCGAUGCUGCCUUUGGAUNNNNNNNNNNNNNNNNNNNNNNNNNNNNNNNNNNNNNNNNNNNNNNNNNNNNNNNNNNNNNNNNNNNNNNNNNNNNNNNNNNNNNNNNNNNNNNNNNNNNNNNNNNNNNNNNNNNNNNNNNNNNNNNNNNNNNNNNNNNNNNNNNNNNNNNNNNNNNNNNNNNNNNNNNNNNNNNNNNNNNNNNNNNNNNNNNNNNNNNNNNNNNNNNNNNNNNNNNNNNNNNNNNNNNNNNNNNNNNNNNNNNNNNNNNNNNNNNNNNNNNNNNNNNNNNNNNNNNNNNNNNNNNNGAGCCGGUUGGGGUUGGAUGAACAGGACCCUGUGGAGGGCUGGAUGAACAGGACCACCCCGUGGAGGGCAGGAUGAACAGUAGACGAUGGAGGGAAGGAUGAACAGUAGCCCGUGGAGGGGUGGUUGAACAGGAGCCCAUGGAGAGGGCUGGUUGAACAGUAGCCGGUGGAGUAGCGCGCGGUGGAGGCUGGAUGAACAGGAGCCCGUGGCUGAACAGUCGCAGGUGGAGGCUGGAGGAGGUCGAUGGUGUAUGAACAGUAGCUCGUGGAGGCUGGAGGGGGUCGACGGUGGAGAUGAACAGUAUCCAGUGGAGUCCCAUUUUGCGGUACGCCACACCCCUCCCGAUGAACAGGACCCCCGUUUCGAUCGUAGCGCUCCAACACAAGUCUGUUUCAUCCGUUUUGCGGUACGCCACACCCCUCCUGAUCAACAGGACCCCCGUUUUGACCGUAGGAGGUCCGUUUCUUCCGUUUUGCGGUACGCCAGACCCCUCCCGAUUAACAUGAUCCCGUUUCGAACGUGGCCAGUUGAACACAAGGCCGUUUCCUCCGUUUUGCGGUACGCUAGGCCUCGUUUCCAUCGCCUGUUCCUUCCAAGCCCUCCCGAUGAACAUGACGCAUUACGUUGCCUCCCCAUGAACACAACGACGACGUUGUUUCUCCGUUCCGACCCAGCAAUGUACACGAGCCCUGGCCGUACGUAUGCGUGAGUAGGCGUUCGAGACCCCGCCUGUAUGUACACAUACGUAGCCGUAUUAUCUUUCUUGCACCCUGGCCGCUGUACGUACAUGUACAUGCUAUGUGCGCGCCUCUACUACAACACGUGCACGCCUCUACUACGACACGUGCACGCCUCUACAUCGACCAGUAUGUACGUACACGUUAGCGACCAGAAUGACAAUGCUACGUACGCUUCGACCAGGUGGGUCCCGACUAUCAGGCACUUCCUUGCUUGCGAAGAUGUAGCUGGUGGGUCCCAACAGUCAGGGGGCGAAUCAUUUUUUUUGCUCGGACGCACUUCCUUGCGUGCGAAGAUGUAGCUGGUGGGUCCCAGCAGUCAGGGGGAAACGUUUUUUUCACGAAAUACAGUGGCCUGUCCGGUGGGUCCCAGCUGUCAGGUGGAGGAAUCAUUAUUUUCUGCGUAAUAAGGAGGCACUUCCUUGUUGCGGCCGUGGACCCAGCUCUCAGCCUCUCCACGUACAGUCCACGUCCGAUGGAAGUCGUUCCUUGACCACGUUGACCACGCCGCGCCGAGAGCACCAGGGCGGUGGACGAUGGCGAGGCCUAGGAAGGGGACGACACGGAGGCAGGGAAAACUCGGCGGUUGUUUCCCAUGCGGAGGGGAGUACGACUGUAUGAGGGUUUACUGGUCCGUUUGCCAUCGCCGGAGAAUAACAUCAGGUGUGGGUGAGUAGAGGGAUGGCUAGGCCAGCGGUGGGAGUACGGUCGGGCGGUGAGGCCUGUGCGGCAGCACAGCCGGCCGCGAGGAGGAGGGAGCAGGCAGUCCCGCCGGUGCUUGUUUGAGCGGCUGGAGCAGGAAGAGCAGAGAUUGAAGAAGCACGAUGGCCAUUGGAUGGACAUCCAACAGUCAGUGCUUGUGUGUCAACCUUUUUUAGGAAAGCCUCAAAUCUGUGGAAAACAACAUACAACCCAUCUGCCAUUAUUUCUAAUAAUUUACAGCCCAUUUGCUAAUUCUUAAGGUUUUUUUGGAGCCCAUAUUCUUUUUGUUAGCAUUGGAGCCCAUACUGUGGCAACGGUUAAAAAUUAUAUGAAAUUUUGCACAUUUCGGUGCGGUCCGAACUGUUUUUAAUCCCGAAAUUUUGACUCACAUUCAAACUGAUUUUAAAAAUAAAUGUAUAUCAAUAUAAAAUCCAACAAAUUCUCCAUGCAUAAAAAUUAAUGUAAUUUAAAAUCUUGAAAUGAAAAAAAAGAUAUUUGAAACUUAUUGCCGGUUUGAUGUGUUUUAAAAAUGUACAACCAUUUCUCAUUACUGAUGGGCCAUUUUCUCGGCCAGCCGAAUGAAAGCUAUCCUCGUCUUGAAAGUUUGCAGCCCAACAGGCCUGACAAAGCGACUUACUUGGCAAAUCACAAAAAAACUGGGUUGUGGCCGUGGACCCAGCUGUCAGCCUCUCCACGUACAGUACUCUUCCGAUGGAAGUCGUUCCUUGACCAUGUUGACCACGCCGCGCGGAGAGCACCACGGCGGUGGACGACGGCGAGGCCUAGGAAGGGGACAAUGCGGCAGUGGAAGCCCGCGCGGAGAGGACUACGAGGGUUCACUGGUUCGGCUGUGGUGUGAGGCUGCCGUCGCCGCAGGGCCUGGCCAGCGGUGGGAAUAGUAGGGGGCGGUGAGGCCUCUGCGGUAGCACAGCCGGCCACGGGAGGCAGGAACAUGCGGCACAACCGGCACUGCUUUGGGCGGCUGGAGCAAGAAGACCAGAGGUUGAAGAAGCACUACGGCCGUUUGAUGGACAUCGUACGGUCACUAGAGCUAGAAUCGUUCAUAUUGACUAAGUUGACAAAGCCCUUCGUCCCCGUCAACUUAGUAGGCCCACAAGUCAGCCUCCCAGCAAGGUGGGUCCCAGCUAGCCGGGGGAGUAUUCAUUUUUUGUGCACAANNNNNNNNNNNNNNNNNNNNNNNNNNNNNNNNNNNNNNNNNNNNNNNNNNNNNNNNNNNNNNNNNNNNNNNNNNNNNNNNNNNNNNNNNNNNNNNNNNNNNNNNNNNNNNNNNNNNNNNNNNNNNNNNNNNNNNNNNNNNNNNNNNNNNNNNNNNNNNNNNNNNNNNNNNNNNNNNNNNNNNNNNNNNNNNNNNNNNNNNNNNNNNNNNNNNNNNNNNNNNNNNNNNNNNNNNNNNNNNNNNNNNNNNNNNNNNNNNNNNNNNNNNNNNNNNNNNNNNNNNNNNNNNNNNNNNNNNNNNNNNNNNNNNNNNNNGGUGGGUCCCAGCAGUCAGGGGAAAAGAUUUUUUUCGCAAAAUAUUGGUGGCCCGUCCAGUGGGUCCCUGCUGUCAGGUGGAGGAAUAAUUAUUUUGCACGUAAUAAGGAGGCACUUCCGUGCUGCGGCCGUGGACCCAGCUGUCAGCCUCUCCACGUACAGUCCACGUCCGAUGGAAGCCAUUCCUUAACCAUGUUGACCACGCCGCGCCGAGAGCACCAGGGCGGUGGACGACGGCGAGGCCUAGGAAGGGGACGACACGAAGCCGGGGAAGAUGCGGCAGUGGAUGCCCACGCGUAGAGGAGUACGAGGGUUCACUGGUUCGCUGCGGUGUGAGGCUGCCGUCGCCGCAGAAUAACAUGGGGUGUGGGUGAGUAGAGGGAUGGCCUGGCCAGCGGUGGGAGUAGUAUGGGGCGGUGAGGCCUCCACUGCAUCGCAGCCGGCCACGGGAGGUAGGAGCACGAGGCACGACCGGCGCUGGUUUGGGCGGCUGGAGCAAGAAGACCAGAGAUUGAAGAAGCACUACGGCCGUUGGAUGGACAUCGUACGGUCACUGGAGCUAGAAUCGUGCAUAUUGACUAAGUUGACAAAGCCCUCCGUCCCCGUCAACUUAGUAGGCCCACAAGUCAGCCUGCCAGUAAGGUGGGUCCCAGCUAGUAGGGAGUAUUCAUUUUUUUGUGCGUAAUAAGGAGGCACUUCCCGUGGGUCCGUGCUGACAGCAGGGGAACGUUUUUUUUGAGAAAUACGGUGGCCCGUCGGGUGGGACCCAGCAGUCAGGGGCAAAUGUUUUUUCGCGAUAUAUUGGUGGGCGUCCGGUUGGUCCCUGCUGGGAGAUGGAGGAAUAAUUAUUUUCCGCGUAAUAAGGAGGCACUUCCUUGCGGCUGCCGUGGACCCAACUGUCAGCCUCUCCAUGUACAGUAUUCUUCCGAUGGAAUUCGGUCAUUGACCACAUUGACCACGCCGCGCUGAUAGCACCACGGUGGUGGACGACGGCGAGGCCUAGGAAGGGGACGACGCGGAGCCGGGGAAGACGCGGUAGUGGAUGCCCACGCGAAGAGGAGUACGAGGGUUCACUGAUUCGGCUGCGCUGCCGUCGCCGCAGAAUAACAGGGGGUGUGGGUGAGUGGAGUGGAGGGAUUGCCUGGCCAGUGGUGGGAGUAGUAUGGGGGCGGUGAGGCCUCCGCGACAGCACAGCCGGCCACGGGAGGCAGGAGCAGGCGGCACGACCGGCGCUGCUUUAGGCGGCUGGAGCAAGAAGACCAGAGGUUGAAGAAGCACUACGGUCGUUGGAUGGACACCGUACGGUCAGUCGAGCUAGAAUCGUGCAUAUUGACUAAGUUGACAAAGCCCUUCGUCCCCGUCAACUUAGUAGGCACACUAUACUGGGUCCCAGCUAGCAGGGGGAGUAUUCAUUUUUUUGUGCCUAAUAAGGAGGCACUUCCUUGCGUGCGAAGAUAUAGCUGGUGGGUCCGAGCUGUCAGCGGCGGUAACGUUUUUUCGCGAAAUACAGAGGCCGUUUCGGUGGGUCCCAGAUGUCAGGUGGAGGAAAUCAUUAUUUUGCGCGUAAUAAGGAGGCAUUUCCUUGCAUGCGGCUGUGGACCCAGCUCGCAGCCUCUCCACGUACAGUCCACUUCAGAUGCAUGUCGGUCGUUGACCAUGCUGACCACGCCACGCCGAGAGCACCAGGGCGGUGGACGACUGCGAGGCCUAGGAAGGGAAUGACACAGAGGCAGGGAAGACUCGACCGUUGUUUUUGUUUCCCACGCGGAGGGCAGUAUGACUGUACGAGGGUUUACUGGUUCGUCUACCGUCGCCGGAGAAUAACAUCAGGUCUGGGUGAGUAGAGGGAUGGCUAGGCCAGCGAUGGGAGUAUGGUGGGGCGGUGAGGCCUGCGCGGUAGCACAACCGGCUGCGGGGAGGAGGGAGCAAGCAGUCCCGCUGGUGCUUGUUUGAGCGGUAGGAGCAGGAAGAGCAGAGAUUGAAGAAGCACGACGGCCGUUGGAUGGACAUCCAACAGUAUACAGGCCAUCUGUGAAAAGCCUCAAAUCUGCGGAAAAUAGCAUACAACCCAUCUGCCAUUAUUUCAAAUAAUUUACAGCCCAUUUACUAAUUCUUACGGGUUUUUUGGAGCCCAUAUUCUUUAUGUUAGCAUUACAGCCCAUAUUGUGGCCAUGGUUAAAAAAUUAUAUGAAAUUUUGCAUAUGUCGGUGCGGUCUGAACUGUUUUUAAUCCCAAAAUUUCGAGUCACAUUCAGACUGAUUUUAAAAAUAAAUGUAUAUCAAUAUAAAAUCCAAUAAAUUGUCCACGCAUAAAAAUCAAUGCAAUUUAAAAUCUCGAAAUGAAAAAAAGAUAUUUGAAAAUAAUUGCUGGUUUGAUGUGUUUUAAAAAUGUACAACCCAUUUCUCAUUACUGAUAGGCCAUUUUCUCGGCCAGCCGAAUGAAGCUCUCAUCGUCUUGAAAGAUUUGCAGCCUAGCAGGCCUAAUAAAGCGACUUACUUGACAAAUCACAAAAGAACUAGGCUAGCCAUUUACAUAAAGAAAAAAAACUACUUGGCUGGUCUAUGGUAAACAUAAAAGAAAAGGCCGUAUAGACAGGCCAAAGUGUCCCGCACAGCCCAGAUGACACCCUGCUUCCGUCUCAAAAACAAAUUAGAUAAAUGCCACUCCAAUUAUGGUGAUUCAUAAAAAUGCCACUGCAAUUUCCAAACUUUGAAAAAUGCCACUGCACAUUUUGCAAACUUUGAAAAAUGCCACUGCAGUUUGCAAACUUUGAAAAACGCCACUCCAGACUUUGAAAAAUGCCACUAGAAAUGGCAUGAAAUAGCAUUUUUCAAAGUUUGGAAAUUGCUGUGGCAUUUCUCGGAUACACCAGAUUUGGAGUGGCAUUUAUCAAAUUAACCCAAAACAAAAAUAACUGGGCGAGCUGCUGGGUCCCUUGUGUCAGCCGCUCGUUGUGCAAUUCUCUCGUUUAUUGACUAUGUUGACAAUGGCGUGGGACCCAGAUGUCAGAAAUCCACUAGGAGGAGCCAUUUUUUUAUUGGCUUGAAAUAAGGAGGCACUUGCUUGCGUACUGCCAUGACCUUGGCGGGUCCCUGCUGUCAUCCUCUCCACGUACAGUACCAGUUAGUCAUGCUUCAAAACUGAUCGGCACGCCAUUAAAAAAAUAAAGGUCGAUAACUAAUACGGCACCUCGGGCCAACGCGGCCAGAUGAAUUUUGCACAAGAAAUUACAAACCAUGUUUCGUUGACAUGUGGUCCCAUUCCAACAUAUCAGUGAGACGAUGGCGAGUAGUAGGAGUAUUUCGGAACGGACGUGUAUGUCGGGGCGCCUCUUCGUGAACCGUGGCAAGCUCGCAACCGUCCACCGACUCUUCGCCUUUCCCUCUCGAUUUGGAACUGCUGUCGCACGCUCUUCCUCUCCCUCCUCCAUUUUCCUUCAGCCCUUCACCCUUUCUUCUGCCAUUGUUCGAUCGUCUUCUCCAUGGAGGGAAUAGGCUGGAAACGACCCCGUUAUUCUUGCCCCAAUCUGAAAGAUGACGUGGUAGAGGAACUCAUUGAUCGGUGUGACGUCAUCACCUUGGCUAGCAUGGCAGGUUCGUUCAAGCCCAUUCUCAACUCAACUAAUAACAUCAUUACAAAGAACCCAAGAGUCAAGGAGUGGUUUGAUCUCCCCUAUCUUCUUCGCCAUGACCCUGAUGACUGGCGCCGGCACGACGGAGGCCUCGCCCUGUGCCACUUGAUGCCACUCGAUAAUGAUACGUAUGAUGUUAAGAUGUCAUCGCUUGAGGGCAAGGAUUGGGCGGGCGCAAAUGGAGAUUGGGUUGUUUACAUUGAGUCCAACUGCGAGUGGGAACUUGUGAAUGUGUACACUCAUCACUGGGUUCCACUUCCAAAAAUCUCAGCACACUGCCCAGAGGUUGAGCACACCGAUAAUGUACGCACAUUCAAAUACGAUCAUGGUGACUGUCUUCUACGGAAGAUAGCAAUUUGUCGAGUUCCCAACCGCUCUUGGAAUUACAACAACUAUGAAGUUGUUGCUAUCUUCGACAAGCUUGUUUCCAUCCUUAGUGGUUUACUCGAUGGACAUUGCUCAAAAUUCAGUUUCUGUGCAUGAAUGAGUACUGUGAUGCAAUUCAAUACGAGGGCCUUGUGUUUGCUGCCACCACUCAUGGCACUCUUUUUGCAUGGUAUCCUCGUAGUUUCGGUACGUUUGUCUUCCACCGUAAUUAUAAUUGUUUCAUCCACAUGCAUGCGGGUUAGCAAGUUUCCCUUUACUAAUUAACCUUCUUCUUGUGUUUCCAAGGUCAUGUGAACAUCCCACCACCUAUACUUGAAAAAUUUUAUAACCAAGGGGGAGAUGCCGAUGGUGAUGAUCACGAGCAGCACCCAUAUACUCUGUGGUGCCUGGCAACUAAUUCCAAUGGAUCACCUCUUCUUGUGUGUAUACAGCCCACUGAUGAUGUUACUGGUAAGGAAGCAGGUGUCUCCCAUGGUCGCACUCUCUGGACCUCUUCCAACACCCGUUGCAUGGUAUUCGGGAUGGAUACUAGUGUGCUAGCGCCAACUCCUUCUCCCUGGCACAGAAUAGACAGUCUUCGAGAAAACUUGCUCUUCCUUGGACAAAACUAUCCGAUGAUGGUGAAAGGCGAUCCAACUCCUGUUGACACAUUUAUGAGAAGCAACUGUGUCUAUACCUCAGACAUUUGGGUGGUUCCCUACCCUGGUACUGAUAUAGUAGGCCGCUUCAGCCUGGAUGAUCAGUCCUGCGUUGGUCUCCAGAUCGACAACAGAUGGCCCAUCCCAGAGAAUCACUUGUGGUUCAAAGCAAGUGUUUCCAACGUCGCGGAAUGGUUGAGUUGAAGUUCAUUUCAUGGCUUGUUAUUUGUUGUGUGGUGAAAACUUUAGUAUUUAUAAUGUAUCCUCGUUGUCGAUGUGGGUUGAUGACCUGUUGUAUGUAAUAAAAUGAUAUGCCUGUGAUAAACUUACUAAAUUUAUGAAUGGCUUUCGAGUCGCUUUUCUAAAUUUUUACUAGCUUCACAUGCUUCGUGCGUCGGGCGGGUGUUUUUACUGUAGCCGUAUGUCAAUGUGUUCGUUGUACAUAACCAGCACCUCGAAUCCUCGAUACUAGUAUACUAUAUACUAGUCGGAGUAAGUAGUAGGAGUAGUAGGGUGGCAUGGGCCAGAACAAGCAUUCACGUCCAGGAGUACGGCACGCGCCACCACCACGACAUCCAUCUGACACCAUAUUAUUUCUUGGAGUCCAUGCUAGAGCAAUCUCUUCAACCUCGUCGUUUCUCUAACUUCAGCCAUCGCGCGGCGGGCGAGGUAGGGGUGUGCUAAUAGUCGGUUUCCUUAACUUCGGUCCCACUUGUAAGGCCAACUCGAACGCACGACCCCAAAUGCACCUCCGUUUUGCACGAACUCCAACGAUAAUUUUGACUAGAAAAGCAAGACCAAAGAAAACAAGAACCACAAGAAUACAUUUUACUACUCCUGUAAGUUGGAUUAGUGCCUUCUCGAUGCAUUCAUUGUUGAUCUGCGGAGGCUCGAUCUUGCGUGCUUCUUUCUUCUUCGAGUGUAAAGAAGUAGACAUUGCUUCCUCGCAUCUAGUCUCAUAUCUAGCCUCUAUUCUAGUAGGAGUAUCAACAAGUGCACUAAUCUCAUCCGAGAGUAGAACUGAAGAUUUGGUCGGGUUCUUCCUCCUUUUGCCGACACGUGGGACAUCCAGCAUCCAGGUCGUGUCAUGAAAGAAAAUAGAGUGGUAGUUAAAGCCACGAGAUGUGCAUCUUGGGUUAAACUGUAAAUAGAAUCUUACUACUCUUGAGUAACUCCAAAAGCGGCCACCGAAGAUCUUUAUUGGAUUUGUUUUUCAUCACCAGCACGUCGAGGUGAAAGAUGUGCAGGUUUAGUGGGUCCUCUUGCAUUUUCACUGACAUGUGGGGUCGCAUGUGAGCAAACAGACGAUGGGCUCCGCGCGUCCGCUGGCUGGCUGAGAAGAGAGAUGGAGGAGGGCUGAGCACGGACUGCAGGAAAUUUGUUCUACAUACCUCGAUAUAGGCUCGAUAUAGUGGGGUGGCAUGGGCCAUAACUAGAAUUCACGUCUAGCAGUACGGCACACGCCACCCACACGAGUCCCAUCCGACACCAAUUUUCUUGGAGUCCGUGCUACAGCCAUCUCUUCUCCCUCCUGUUUUCUCAGCCAUCGCACGGUGGGCGGGGUGGGGGUUUGCCGAUAGUCGGUUUGCUCAACUGUGGUCCCACUUGUAAGUGAAAAUGCAACACCGCACGCAUUCCCGCUUGAGCGGCAUGCCGGACCAACCGUGUGGGGGUGCGACGCAAACACGACAGGCUUUUCCUUUUGAACUCGUAACUUGUAAAAUUUGGUUCUGCUCCAUGGCACGACCGAUAGAUAGAAAAUAACGAUUUUGCCUAGAGUAAUGAGAAGUUUGGUUCUGGCACCGUUCAUGCAUGGAGUACGUACGAAAAUUAUGAAGUUGAUGCGAAAGGUAAGAUAAUUACUGUAGUAUCAUAUACUGCUACAUGGAUUUGACGGAAAGAUAAAAAUACAUACGAAUCCAUCAAUGUUCAACGACAUCCUCACGCCCUAGUGCGCUGGGUCACCAACCGAUGUGUAAGGAGCAGCGGCGUUGGCGGCAAGCUCAACGUGCUUCUGAAUAGUGCCGUCCAAGGUUGCCCUGCGCUCCAAGAAGGCCAGCAUCCUAUCGUCCUCCUCUUGCAUGUAGUAGUCCUUGUGGACGAUUUGCGCGUAGACGUGGGUGAUUAUGUCGAUGGUGUCUUCCUGCGCCAGGCGCUGUGCGGCGAGCGCGACCUCGAGGUGGACAUUCUCCGGCGCGACGGCGGGCAGUUGCAGGGCCUGGGCGCGUCGGCUGGAGGCUUCGUCAAAGUCAUCCGCAAGCUUCUUGACGAUGGUGAACUUGUCAAGGAAACCGACGAGGACCUCAUCGAACAAGGAGACGAAGCUGUCGUCCAAGCGGCCCCUCGCCCUGGCGGCCUCAAGCAAUACUACCUGGAGACGUUCCUCGGUGCCGGGCCGCAGGCCGGUGUCGUGGACCAUCUGGCACAGACGGCUGAUGCUCGCGCUCAUCGCCUCCAUGGGUCUAGCGUAGCUUCUAGUCAACUGAUCUUGCGAUUCGAGGGAUCACUCAGCCCUUGGUUAGCGUGCGUAGGUGCGUAGGAUUUCGUACUACUCCUCGGCCCUCUACUGCACCUGCCUUUGGCUGUAUGAUAGGUGGGCCAGCCACCCCCUGGGGCCAUGUGUCAUUCACCCAAAGGCAGUUGUCGUAAGUCAACAAAGCUGCGUCCCCCUUCGUGCCGGUGCAGUAUAGUCAUCUCACCGGACCUCUAGUUGGGGCCAAACGAGAGAAGUUUGAUGUUUACUAGUUUAUUGGUCCCCUUUGCAUUUUGCGCCAAGUUUUGACCUUUGAUUUAACUAUUAAAUGUUAAUGCAUGUAAACAAAAAUGUUGUGUAAGUCACCUUAUGAAAACCAAAUAAUCCCAAAAUACUUAGGCACGGUGCAUUAACUCCCUCCUUGUUUCUUAUUUCGUGACAUAUCAACCAAUGAGAGAUGUGGGCCGUGCAUGCUUUCAAUGACUUGAGACUACCAAACAUGACAUGCAGUGUUUAGUUCAUUGCAUGUAAUCCUAUUAGUACUCUAGUUAGGAGUAGCAAAAAAACAUCAAGUUCUCUCGCCGAUAGGAAUAAAACACCAUGUAUUUAUUUACAGAGGGAGUAGUACAUUUUUGGUGACAUGCAUUACUAGAUAUUGCUAGUCAAAUACUAAAAUCCAGAUGGACGUGGUAGUACUCCUAAAUCCAGACGGUGGUGCUACUAGUACUAGUAGUAGUACUACCAAUGUAGUAGUAGGAGUACUAGCACUGUACUAUCCGUUGGUCAAAUUAUUACGUGUUGCUACUCACAGUGAAGUGACAAGACCCUGCGCCGGAGAUGACACCUGAGUAUAGGCGCCGUGUUCGGCAUACCAUAGUUAGCCUCACCGUCUGUAGUCACUAUCAUCAUGGCUGUAGAGCUAGCCUGCUUACAACUAGCCUUGUUCGACAUAAUUUCCCGUGCGUAGAUGCCCGUGCAUUGCAUGGAACACCAAGAUUGGGGGUGGACGGCUCCGGCAGCGGCCAUCGCGCCAGAUUUUUCCACGGCCUUCUACUCCUAGAUGUGGUGGGGAGGAGAUGAGGCUGAUUGUGAGAGACAAGGAGUUGUUUGUAAAUAGGGAACAAGUGCGGGCAUCUUUUUGCAAAAAUUGAGAAGCUUCGUUUGUAUGCGUCAUAUCUAGAUCCGACGGCUAUUGGUGAAAGAUGGGAGGCACAACAUCAUCACCAACUCAGGACCUGUUUGAUACACAGGAUUUUGAAAACGCAGGAAUAGGACACGGCAAUAUUACAAGUUUCAAACUGAUAUUACAAAUGUUAGGAGUAAUGUUGCACCUAUGAAGAGGGAAUUACUAGGAAGUUUACGUAAGAACUUUCGUUACUUUAGGUGGAUGCAGCAUUAUCGUACAAACUAAAAUCCACCACCCUGACAAGUCACUAAUGGGCAAAAAAGUUUUCGAGUCUCUGGCCACUUGAUGUUUCAAAAACAAAUUCAGCUUCUGCGGAGAAAUGAGCUCCACCGUGUACCCGCGCGGGUGUGGCAGGGCACCAAGCGUGAGUACGUGCAUGGUUCACCUAUUCUCUUCUUGUAUACGUACAGCACCUACGUGGGGUUGUGUGAGAGAGAUACAAACCUAGAGAGAUAUAGUGUGUGGGUUCUUGAGAGUUUUUGGGGGGGUCAAUCAAAAAAAUUAACAUAUGCAAUGUGUGUGAAAUAGAGUCCUAGAUAUAACAUAUAUAUAGAGGGCGCGAUCCAUGAGAAGAGAGUGGAGGUAUCAUCGGCUUGAGGUGUCCCAUAGAAUCAAAGAGAGGGAUGAUGUGUGUGUGUGUGUGUGCGUGCGCGCGAUCGAUAAAGAGUGUCAUCGAAUUUGUGUGUGCCCACGUCAAAGAUAUAGAGUGGCUGGCCUACUGGAACGUGAGAUGGGACAUGUGCAGUUUGUCUCUGUGGCAUGGAUACCUACUUGCAGUGCUCGACUAUCAGUGUGUGGUGGGGGAAGAGGGAGGCCCAAUUAACUAUAGAGGUACAAUGGCUGGUAUAUGUGUGGAGGAGGAGAGAGCCUACCUCAUGUAUUAAGGAGAUCGAUCUGCCUCAUGUAUUAAGGGAGAUCGAUCGGCAUCCAUGCAUAUGUGCAGGAGAUGAAUAAGGUUGGGAGAGAGACAGAGCUAGAGUGUUGGAGGGGGUGGUAGUGGAGUUGCUUCUAACAAAUAGUGGGAUAGGCUUGCUAGACAAACGGAGGGCACGCCCGCAAUAUCAAUAAGAGAGUAGAUGGCUGCUUGUUGUCUGUGCACGUGCGUGUGAGAGACGGGUCAGGAGGCAUGCACGAAUGAUGAGGGGGGCAAUGUGGCUGUGGUAAGCAGACGUAACUACAUAGGAAGAUCAAUCGCCCUUUGUAAGAUAAACGAGAGACAUAACUUGUGAGGUACGUCUAUCGAUGGGGGGGUAGUUAAAGUCGAUCUAGGUAUAUGUUGGGAGACCGAUCGGUAUACAUGCAUGUGUGUGUUAGAAGCAAAUGAGGCACGAGGAGAAGGAUAGAGAGAGAGGGAUGCAUGUAGGAGGUGGUACGAGAGGCAUACUAUAUCGAGGGGGAGGAGUGUGCGAGUACGAGAACGAUGAAAAGAGUGGUGGGAGUGAGGCAUGGACGGUGACAAGAGAAGAGGGGAAGCUUGUGUUUGUGCUAGGCACACCUAGCUAGAGAGGCAUAUCGAUCGAUGUGUGCCGUAAAGAAGGAGCUGGGGGGCCUACACACACCGUGGGUGACCGACCUAAAGUGAAAAGACGAAUUUGCAUGAUGGAGCUAGAGAAUGCUGAGGGAGGGUGAGAGGGAUGCGGGCGUGUGCAUGCACAAGAGAAAGUUAGCGCUAGCUACAAAGAUAAGAGGGUUGUGUGGGUGUAAAAGACGAAUAGAGAUCAUAUAUACUUCAUUAUAAAAAGCGAAUUCGGAUAUUUGAAGAAUUUAUCAUAGUGUUUCAAACCGACGGAUGUGUGAAUAUAUAUAACGGUGAUACACAUGGUGUGGUUAUGAACAUGGUAUACUACAUUUAAUAUGUUUUAUCUCUACUCUUAUAAAAAACGGAAUUGUUGAUGAUGGUGUGCCUGCCAUCCUGCAUUAUAGGCCGUCUGAUUUAUAUCUGGCGGAUAGCAAGGAAACUAUGAUGGUUGAAGUUGGCAACAAUCAUGAUUGUAGAUUCUUAUUGAAAUAGAGAAACGAAUUCAAAUUUAGUUCGAAUUGCAGCGGUAGUAUAGACAUUUGGAAUGCACUGAAAUGUUGGUAUGAGUAGGUUACAUGCAUUAUACAGCAAGCGAAAAAAUUUAAUCGGACAUAACAUGGAUUCAUACUCCCUCCUUCCAUCUAUAUAGGGCGUAAUGAGAUUUUUAAGACCGCCUUUGACUAUUGACAAGAUUAAUAGUACAUGACAUGCACAAUGUGAAAAUUAUAUCAUUGAAAGAACCUUUCACAGUCGAAUUUAACGGUGUGCUUUGUGUAAGUUGCAUGUCACAUAUCAUUGCUCUAAUAUUUGGUCAAAGUUAGCAUCGAAAAACGCAUUAGGCCCUAUAUAGAUGGAAGGAGGGAGUAGCUUUGAAAAGCAUUUGUAUAGUAAAACGGGGCAAGACUCUCUCUUUGUGUGGUGUGAAUAGUUUUAUUUUUUCGUUUUCUUUUUGGUUGAGGGAAGUGCGAAUUGAUUUGGUACGUAUAAGUACAAUAUUACUACACGUUAGGCUUGUCCCUAAAAUUCAACCCGCGUCUUGUUAUAUCCCGAAAAUUCAGAUAUCGUGCUCCCAAAACUGGCGCCUUCACAACCCGCGCCUUGCUAUCCCGAAAUUACAAUGCGAACGAAAACUCCCUCCAGCUGCCAAAUCCCGACACGCGAAAUCCUCCUUCUAACCCUGAGCUGAAAGGGCCGCUAGUUCAAAUCGGUGGGGGGUACUUUUGUAACACACCCUACAUUUUGGACAAGCGCGUUCCUAAGUCAUGCUUCACCCCCUCCCAUCGCCCCCUUUUCGCCAUUCGAAAUCACAGGCCGCCAUAACCUCUCUACUCCGGCCGCGAAACCCCACCCUCCUCCGUCCGCCACGUCACCGCUGCCUAGCCGGAGCCUCUUCCCCGACGACGUUGUCCGGCGCAAUAGCUCGACAUCCCUCGUCCACCUCCCGGGAUGAGGAUCCGUCGUCCAUCUCGCUGUCCAGCCGGUUCAGCCGCUCCGUCCUCCACCUCCAAGGAGCUGCUCCGAUGAUCGCCUCGUCUAUCGCGGCUGCUCCAUCCCCACAGCGCCGCCUUAACCUGCUCCACCGGAACCGCAGCAUCCUCACCAACUCCUUGGACGAAGCCGAGGCCUACUCGGCGCCACCAAAGAGGUUGUACACUCAUCGCAUCGCACCUUCUCCUUAACUCGACCUCCCGGCGCCGACGGUGCUCCAUCCCGCACCCCCAUGGAGCGGCUACCUUGAAGCCGGCGCCGCAGGCGACAUGUCCACGGCGGCUCUCCCCCAGUGUGAGGCCCCUACGGCGGCGGCGUCCAUACCAGCCAAAUCUGCUGCGGCUCUCGCUCGAUCGCUCGCUCGCCCAGCUGCUGCUGCUGCUCUCCCCCUCGCUCGUGAUGUUGCUCUGCUACGAUUAAGCCACACUUUAGUCGACUGAAUCGACUUUUGGGUCAGUCGAUUUUCAGGGGUUGGGGGGGCUCACCGGAGUUAAGGAAGAACCACCCGCAGCGGGGACGGGGGCUCGUCGGAGAGGUACCCCACUAUCUAUCUUAGGGUUCAGGGUGGGGGCGGGGGGCCUAGAGGGCUGGGCGGGGCGGCGGUGGUGAGUUGUUUCAGGGCGGCGAGGCGGUGCUAGGGUCGGCGGUUCGGCCGGUGGUGGCUGGCGGCUCAGGGGGGUGCAGGUUGAAGAUGAACUGCAUGCCCUCCCGAAACUACAUGUCAAGUGCCUCUCUGCUACCAUUGCGUUCAGUUUCGACAGUAGCAUUCAGAUUCCACGGUAAAUUUCAGUUUCGACAGUUAAGUUUAGAGUCAACAGUUUUUACCUCAUCUGUUGUAGUCAGGUGGUUUUUGGUGAUGUUAAUUUUACAUCCAUUUUACAUCAUCUAUUGGAGAUGCUAUUAGAAUCCCACUUGAGAUUGACAAUGUCUGUCUUGUGCUGCUUCAGCCUUGACGUCUUACGGCUCACCGGAGCUGCUCCAACGACAGAACGAUCUGUCACAACAGAGCAGUGCCCUGGACACCGUCUACAGAUUCCUCAGAUCUUCCUCCACACCUCCGACAGCCACCUCUGCCUCAACUACUUCAGCGACCAACCCAAUGAUGCUGAGGUCGACACGGCUACGGCAAAGAGGUUGUACACUUGUUGCAUCACUUAUAACUAUACAUUCACGUCGAUCCAUUAGGGCUAUUUUCGUUCAAUAGAAAAACAUCGAUCCACUGGUUGUUACCAUCACUCUAAAUUUCUGCAUGCUCUCCUUACAUAAUCUCACCAUAAUUUUUUCGUAUGCAUGUCAGAUAUUGUACACAGUCAUGUUGAACAUGUAGAGAAAAAGAGAGGAGUUUUGCGCGGCAAUACAAUGUCAUGCAGACAUCGCUCCAUGGUGGGUUCAAUGGCAAACCCUCCCCACCCCUCUCCAGAUUGUAAUCCAGAGGAAGAUAUCUGUUCUGAGGCGGAUUCGGACGCCGCUGACCACUCCUAUAUAACCCCCCCCCAAGGUGUUUGCUCUACCUUGGCAUGAUGAUGUUAGUCAUAUCAUGCAUAUGUUGCCUUGCAGUGCCUACUUUUGACAUCAUAUAUGUCAUCUGCUUAGUUUAGACAUGUUCUGUAAUGCCAGCUGUUUAGUUUCUAUAUCAUAUAUGGGAAUUAUGCAGUCUCAUGUCUUUUAGCCAGCCAUAAUAUAUGUGAAAUGUGCAAUGCCAUCCUGUUUAACCAGGCAUCAUAUAUUUGAAUGAUAUCUUGCCCAUCCUUUUCUUCAUUACAUUUCCAUUUGUCAACAAUGUUUGUACAUUAAACUACUCUUCCUGUGAAUCAGCCAUUUGGGUGGGAGAUGGAAAAAUGUGGAGUGAAAACAAGGCCUUCAGAGCAGACAGUGCUACCUGUCGAAGCAGAUCUCUUGUUGGGUCCCGAUAGCUCCUCAGAGAUGGAUUCAGAGACAGAUGACCAGUCCUAUUCCCCCACUAAGGUGUAUGCUCUAACUUGGCAUGGUUAUACUGCUCAUAUCAAGCAUACGGUGUCUUGCAUUGCAUAGUUUAGACAUCAUAUACACAAUAUUCAACACCAUGUUCUUAGUUCAGACAUCAUAUCGAAUGCCCUUUGUUUAGCAUAUAAAUCACAUAUGUGAAUUAAAUGAUGCGAUCCUGAUUACUUAGAUAACAUGUAGGUGAAUUAUGUCAUGCGAUCCUAUUUAGUUAUUCAUCAUAUCUUUGAAUUAUGUUAUGAUAUGCUAUCUAGUUUAGAUAGACAUCAUAUAUGUGAAAUUAUGCCAUGCUAUCCGUUUUAGUUAAACAAUAUACAUGUCAACUAUUUCUGUAGGACCUUGAAGUAGAUGUGUCUAGAGGGGGGUGAUUAGACACUUAAUACUAAAGUUGCAAUUUUUAAGCCUUUUUGGUUUAAGUGGAGUUUAGGCAUAAUUUCAACAUUCACAAUACAUAUCAAGCAAGUAUGCAAAGAGUAAAUAGGCAGUGGAAAGUAAAGCAUGCAACUUGCAAGAAUGUAAAGGGAAGGGUUUGGAGAAUUCAAACGCAAUUGGAGACACGGAUGUUUUUCCCGUGGUUCGGAUAGGUGGUGCUAUCCUACAUCCACGUUGAUGGAGACUUCAACCCACGAAGGGUAUAGGUUGCGCGAGUCCACGGAGGGCUCCACCCAUGAAGGGUCCACGAAGAAGCAACCUUGUCUAUCCCACCAUGGCCAUCGCCCAUGAAGGACUUUCCUCACUAGCGGUAGAUCUUCACGAAGUAGGCGAUCUCCUUGUCCUUACAAACUCCUUGGUUCAACUCCACAAUCUUGUCGGAGGCUCCCAAGUGACACCUAGCCAAUCUAGGAGACACCACUCUCCAAGAAGUGACACCUAUGCUUGUUACAUGUCCUUCCAAAGCUUUACUUGCUGUUCUUUAUACCUUUAUCUAAAGCUUUGAUGUAUGCUGCCAUCAACUACCAAAAAGGGGGAGAUUGAAAGCACAAGUGCUUCCUAGGUGGUUUUGGUAAUUAAUGACAACAUAUCUCUUGUUGGACUAACGUUUCUAUCUAGUAUGUUUCAGAUAAGUUCAACAAUGGAGUGGCAUGGACUAAAGGUUGUGGGAAGUUCUCCAAGAUGCUAAGGACAAAGGAUUGGCUAAAGCUUAAAGCUCAAGACUCUUCAUUUUACAUUUUAGUGAUCCAAGAUCACAUUGAGUCCAUAGGAAAAGCCAAUACUAUCAAGGAGGGAUGAGGUGUUGCUUAAUGAGCCUCUUGCUCAAGUGCUUAAUGAUAUGCUCCAAAAUCCUCAGCUACUUUCCCACUUCCACAUAUGACCUAAACCCAAAGCCAAACUCGGACCUACUGUCACACCCUAGCUAGGUUAUGCAUUAGAGUGUGCAUCAUGUUUACUUUCAUCAGAAAUGGAAAUGGGGAAAGCAGAACCCCCAGCACCCCCCCCCCCUGAAAUCAACUAGGGUUUACUAAAAAUAAAUUCAAUGAACCUGAAAUGCCCUUCAAAAAUGUUCACCCUCUUUGCCUUGGGUUAGAACCCUUGGGAAAAAUGGUGCAUAUAAUUUUAGGUCAACAAAAGGGGCAUUGAUUUAAUUCAUAAAUAUUUGAAUUUGGGCAUUUAAAUACUAUUAAAUAAUUCAAAUGCUCAAAUAAUGUUGGAACUAUUUUUUGGGCCACUGAAAUAUUUCAGUAAGUGUCCAUAAAUAUUUUCAGGAUUUUAUAAAAUGAUUUAGUAUUUAAACUAAAUCAAAACAGAAUAACAGAAAUAGAAAAACACAAAAAAAUAAAGAGGGAAAGGCCAUGGGCCACUUACCUGGCCCAUCUCCAGCUGGCGGCCCAGCCCACCCCGCUGCCUCCUGUCGUUCCCCUCCUCGGACAGAAGGACGCGGGCGUGUGCCCGGCGCUCGCCGGCACGCGCGCGCGCCACCUCCCCCCCUGCGCGCCACCUCCUGCUUCCGGGCUCCCUCCCAAUGCCACGGAGACGGCCACGCACCCCCUGGCCCUCUCAUUCCCCUCCCCCAUGCUCAUCCCCUCCUCUGUCUCUCCCCCUCUCUUCCACAGAACGCGGCCGUCGCCGCCGACGAGAACCACCACGGCCACAGCCACCCCAUCGCCCCUCGGUUGUGCCCAAGAGCUCCGCCACAUUGCCGGCUACCUCUCCGUCAAGUCACGCGCCUCGGGAAGCCCUACGGCGUCGCCUUCGAGCUCUUCCUCAACCUGCGGCCGCCGGCGACUUCAUCGUUGAUUCGCCGAACCCCGUGCCUUCCCUGCCUCGCCAGUAGCACCAGAAGAACCACGGUGAGCCAUUGACCCGGUUCCCCCUUGCCCCGUCGUCCCUCGCGUCCUCUAGCGCUAGAACCACCGCGCCUGCGAGCUCCUCGCCGCCGGCCAUGGCGCCACCAUGGCCAGGGGCCGAGCCAGCCGCACCCGCACACGUCGUCGUGUUCCUGGUGACGCCAGGAGCCCGUAGAACCUAUCCGCAUGCCUCCCCGUGCCUUAUAGCCUCGAACCCGAGCUCGCCCGAGCUCCGGCCGCCACCUCGAGCCUGAUUCCGGCGAGCUCUGGCCGCCCCGCAGCCUCCCGUGUGUCCCACUGGAUUCGCGCGAGUCUGGGCAUCGUGUAGAUGAGCUCCACCGCCCGAAUGGUCGCCGGAGCGGCGAUCCCGAGCCCCUCCGCCGUGUCUGGCUCGCCGGCGUCAAGCCGCCGACGGGUGUUGACCCCGCUGACCAGGAGGUUUGACCUCCCGUGGGUCGCUGACAUGUGGGGCCCGGCCCUAUUAAUCUUUAGUUAGGAUUAGUUUAACAACUAAUUUAACCCUUCUAAUUAAAUGGGUCACUGACGCGUGGGCCCAACCCCAUUAACCAAGCCAGUUUAGUUUUAAUUUAAUUAGGAUUAGCUACAGACACUGACGUGUGGACCCCACACGUCAGGUUUGACUGGGUCAGCCGCCUUUGACCUGCUGACGCAAUGCUGUUGUCAUGCUGACGCAAUAUAUCUUUUCUGGAAUUAAAAUAACUCAGGAAAUUCCAGAAAAUACCCAAAACUUUGAAAAAUCAUAGAAAUUCAACCAUAGCUCCAAAUGAGAUAAAUUAUAUAUGUAAAAUUAUCAGAAAAAUUCAAGGAAUCCAUCUGUACCAUUUUCAUGCAUGUUUGAACAAUGUUUGUCCCCUGUUUUGGACAAAACAAAUAAAGGGCAUUUAAAUAAUCAUAUAUGGGGUUGGAAUUUGAAUCUUGUACUCAAACCAACUCCAUUUAAAUUAUAGCUAGUUGCAUUAGCUCAAGACACAUCCAUAUUGCCAUGUCAUAGCAUGCAUCAUAUUGUUGCAUAUCGUCAUGUGUUGAUUGUGCUCGGUUGUGUUCUUCGUGGUAGGUUCUGCCUCCGAGGAUAUUCACGAGUAUCCAACUGAAGGGCAGUAUCCCGUUACCACUCCAUCAGGCAAGCAACCAUUGAUCAUUCUGAUACAACCCAUGUUCUCGCUCCUGCUCUUGUUUACUGCAUUAAGACAACACGAUUCAAACUGCUGUGUGCUACGGUAGUUGAACCCUUAUCCUCUGCAUGACCUGUCAUUGCCACAGUAACUAGAUGAAACCCUCUAGCAUGUGCAGGAGUUGAUUGAGCCAUCUUUUGUGAUUCCUACCUUGCUAUGCCUGCUAUGCUUAGAGUUGUGUCAGGUCUGGUUCAUCUGGGUGAUGGGCUAGAGUGAAAUGCUUGUGCCAGUAAUAUGUGGGAUGUGUUGAACAUGUUUUGGUAAAGGUAUCGAUGAGAGGCCAUGUAGGAGUACAUGGUGGGUUGUUUCAUUGAAGCCGUCCCUAAGAACUGAGUUCUGUAUGCGUGAAUUAAGAUUCAGCUACUACCACACAUUGGGCCCUGAAAUAUGACCCCGCUCGACUUACUGACCCCUCUCGCCUCAGUCCAGGAGUUGCAACUAGUUUCUGGUGUUUGUAGGAUAUGUGUUGGCGGCCGUGCGUAGCGCUGACCCUAGGGGUGGGCUAUGUUGCGGUAGAUACACCGUGGCACGGUGUACCGAGUCACCCGUUUGGUGUCUCGGGAACCCUGUUCACAUCGUUCGAGGCCGUUGAGGACACCCCGGCCGGAUUUCCUUGCGGAUGGAACCUGAAUAGGCGAUGACCCUGGACUAGAGACUUGUGAGGUUAGUCAGGUCGUGGUCUACACCCACGUCGGUUUUCGCUUGAAGUCUGCCGAGCACAUUUUGUGUGCAGACGCUAAGUGGUGGAAACAUGUGUGACGAAGUACACCCCUGCAGGGUAUAAAACUAUUCGAAUAGCCGCGUCUGCGGUAAAGGACUACUUGAUUGCAUAUACAGUUCAUAGACAAGUUAAUGGAUACUACUAAAAGACUCAAGAUAAGUGUGAGUACCGAGGAUGGCCCCCUCGCAGGAUACGAGGAAGGAUCCACGGUGGAGUAUUGUGAUGGUGAGUAGUGGACUCGUGUGCGAAAACUAUUUUGCUAAAAGAUUCCGUAGGAUAGCUUAGCCAAGAGUCAAAGCUGGCUUGCUGCAUAAACCCCACCACCUUCUUGAGAAUGAGCAUGUACAGUAGGUUCUGAUGUAAGACUUGCUGAGUACCUUUGUACUCAUGUUUGCUUAAUUAUUGUUUUCAGACGACAACACUGCCCCCUCCGAUGGGUUUUAUGUAGACCUUGACGUCGACGAGUGACUAGCCACCCAGGUGGUGAUCCAGGCCAUGGAGGGCCCUAUGUAGAUAGACAGGCUUCGAGAAGCCUUCUUUCUUUCUAGAGUCUGUACUCAGACUAGUUGCUUCCGCAUGUGCUUGUAUGACUGUAUGACUUGAGUGUCGGGUCAUGUGACCCCUACCUGUAUGGAUAUGUUAUGUAUGGCUCCCUGGAGCCUUUAAAUAAAGUACUUGAGUUGUAGAGUUUUGUUGUGAUGCCAUGUUGUAUGUACUCAUAUCGAGCAUAUUGUAUGUAUGAUUGAAAUGCUUGGUAUGAGUGGGAUCCGACAAUCUAGUUGUUUGCCCUUCGCAGCCUUUCUUAUGGGGAAAUGUAGUCUAGUGCUCCUCGAGCCAUAGUAGUCCGCUACAGCCCGGUUCACCGGAGUCCUGCUAGCCCAGCACUACUAUUCAGGACACCUGACUGGCCGGCAUGUGUUUCACUUCGUCCCUAUGUCUGUCCCUUCGGGGAAAUGUCACGCGGUGAUCCACGGAGUCCUGUCUAACCUGCUACAGCCCGGGAUCCCCCCGAGUCCUGUUAGCCCAGUGCUACAGCCCGGAAUCACUUGUUGAUGACCGACAUGUUCGUUGUGAUUCAUGUAUGCCUGUCUCCAUAGGUCUGUGCCGCUUUGGGUUCACGACUAGCCAUGUCGGCCCGGGUUCUCGGUCAUAUGGAUGCUAGCGACAUUGCCAUAUACGCGAGCCAAAAGGCGCAAACGGUCCCGGGCCAUGGUAAGGCGACACCCGUGGGAUACCGUGCGUGAGGCCGCAAAGUGAUAUGAGGUGUUACCGGCUAGAUCGAUGUGGCUUAGAAUCGGGGUCCUGACAGCGUUGGCAUCAGAGCCGGACUGCCUGUAGGUUCGUUCAGCCAAACUGGUCGAUGUCGAGUCUAGAAAUGCUUUAGUUAUAUGUAAGGGAAUUGAUUGUGGGAGGGAACGUAAGGUUCUUUUACUCCUUUACCCUAUGCUUCUGAUCUGAGUCAUUCUCUUCUCAUUCAACGUGGGUUAAGGACUAGGCUCUCUUCUUCUAUCAGGUUCACGUGUUACUAAUCCGUAGUAGCUCAUAGGAUUAUUGUUACGGGUUCCAGUCCAGUUUCUACUAUUUUAGUACGUUUCUAUUUGAAUCAGAACCUUGAUAUGAUGCUGUUGAGCGGUAUUGUGAACUGUUGUGGAUGUCUCAAAUCUUUUUCUGAGCAUUUACAGCCGUUAUGCUGCCCAAUUUUCCCUAGGAAUUCUGAUGUCUUUGUCUUGUGGCUGUGCUUUCAGAUGGCCAAUCAGUCUCAAAAUCAAGUGGUUCGCCUGACCAGGUGCCUCGACGUGCCCGGUCAUACUGCUAUGUUGGUCCGGGUCAUGAUCGAGACAGGAUACCGUUGGUAUCCCGAAUACACUGUUGAAGAGCAGUUCCGUGACUUUAAUCAAAGCCAGUAUUUAUGCACCGUCGGGAUAUUUCCUUCCUAUCCUGGAUCUACCGAGCCCCUUCACUGUUCCUAUGGACUCGGAGUUACCAUUGAGAUGGCUGUGCAGGAUGCUGCCUAUUCCAUGAUGACCAUCUUGCGAGUCCGGACUGGCCUGCUUCGGAACACUGACUUCCGUUACAUGCCAGCUUCACUUCCAGGAGCGCAGGGGUAUCUUCAGGCUAUCUAUGCUGACUCCACUCAGGAGGACUCAUUAACUCGUACCACCGCUGAGAUGCUCGAAGAUAAGGACCGAGAGAAUUGGGCCUUGAGUCUGGAGCUCUUUAAUACCCGUGCUGAUCAUUGGGCCACAUUGACUCGGUUUGCACCUGCGGUGCAAGCUGGAUGUAUGGAUACCAGGGAUCUGUAUCCUGUGAGAGCAGCUCUGCCAGACAUGGUGGAUUGGCGUGAUGUGGGAGGCAUCACCCCACCCCUUGGUCCCCGCAGGCCACCGUUUGUUGGUCCAAGACCUUAUCCUAGCCCCUAUGGUCCACAGGCUCCUCAGGACCGUCUGUUUCCGGAUGAUCACGUUGAACUUCCAGGCUAUGGAGGUGACUUCUAUGAGGACUACUACGGAGCUAUCUGAGUUAGUAGUAGUACCACUAGUAUUGUAGUAGUUGUAUCUCCACUGUCCUGUGUGACUUGCGGAAUACGACUUGGUGUGUAAUCGAUUCCGGAGGUGUAGACAAAUAAUGUAUAGGGACUCGGACUGCCUCCGAUGAGAUGUAACGUCUACCUUCAUAGUUGUACUGUAGCAUGGGCUUGUACUAAACUAUGUAUGACGAGUAUGACCGUUGGUGUAUAUAUGGCAGUUUUAUAUUACCAUGGCAUACGAAUGAGCAUCUCUGCAUUCCGCGUUAUCCUUUACAUUCUGCACUUCCCUGUUAAGUUUGAGCCAUCCUUGUCUAAACCGUUGUCUUGUUUCCUUCUAGGAUGGUCAACACCCGCGGAAACCCUGCUGCCCCGGAGCAGGGGGAAGCCAAUGCAGCUAGAGGUGAAAAUUUGCCUCACCCGCCUUCCCUGGCCGAAGUGAUGCUGGAGGCGGAAAGGAACAAGCGUGAGACCAACCGCCUGCUGGAGCGGAUUGAGCAGAACACUGCACGCCACCCACGAAAUGAUUUGGUGUCAAUCAACGACUUUAUCAAGCUGUACCCCCCAAAGUUUAACCAUUCCGUCGAGCCCCUCGACACGGAUGAUUGGCUUCGCAGCAUCACCCACAAGCUACGUUCUGCCAACGUAGCUGAAGCCGACAAGGUUACCUAUGCCGCUUAUCAUCUUGAGGGCCCCGCUAGCCAUUGGUGGGAAAACUACGAAGCUAUGCGCCCGGUCGGCCAAAUUACUACCUGGGCUGAGUUCAGCGAGGCUUUCCGUGAGCAUCACAUUCCGGAAGGUCUCAUGGAUCGCAAGAGGGAGGAGUUCUGCAACUUCACCCAAGGAACGCUGACUGUGGAUGCAUAUAGCUGAGAAUUUGGGAACCUGGCACGCUAUGCUCCUGAAGAGGUUUCUACUGACGCCAAGAAGCAGGCAAGGUUCCGAAAGGGACUUAGCCCUGAGCUUCGCCGCGAUCUCCGUCUGCACAAGUGCACAUCCUUCCAGAAGCUGGUCAAUAAAGCUAUUAGUGCUGAGACAGGCCAGACUGAUUAUGACGCUUCACGCAAGCAUUCUCGUGAUUUUGGGUCUUCAUCCGGCUCUGGAGCUCAGAAGCGCCGGGUGUGGAUUCCAAGCACCGCACUGCCACCCAGAUUCACCCCGAGGCCAUCCUUUGAGGCGCCUCGUCCCAACCAGCAAAUUGCACCAUCCAAGCCCUAUGGUGGCCCCGCUGCUAAUGUUGCUCCACGCCCCACUGUGGUAACAUGCUUCAAGUGCGGAGAACCGGGUCACUAUAGUCGAGAGUGUCCCCAGAACAACCCCAAUCAAGCUGGAAAGUCCGUUGGCCGUGGUAAGCCCGCGGGAAAGACUUUCUACGCCAAGCCGGCCACUACUGCACGUGGCCAUGUCAACUAUGUUUCAGCCGAAGAGGCUCAUGAGGAUCCCAACGUCAUCCUUGCUACGCUCCUUGUUAACUGCCAUCCGGCAUCUGUUCUUUUCGAUACUGGAGCAUCUCAUUCAUUCAUAUCCGAGAAUUAUGCUCGGUUGCAUAACACGACAUUCUGUGACAUGCCCACUUCCAUGGUAAUUCAAACUCCGGGUUCCAAAUGGCAAACUUCUAGGGUAAGCCAUGGGAACGAAAUUCUUGUCGAUAGGCUUGUCUUCCUUGCAUCUUUAAUAGCUCUCAAGUCCUCCGACAUAAACAUCAUCUUGGGUAUGGACUGGAUGUCGGCUCAUUACGCCAAGAUCUAUUGUGCCACUAGAACCGUUCAACUUACUCAUCCCUCGGGCAAGACAGUUAAUGUCUUAACUCGAGUGGCCAAGCGCCAACUUUACUCUCUCAAUGCCAACCCUCUUCCAGACCUUGAGGACGUUCCGGUAGUCCGAGACUUCCCGGAUGUGUUUCCGGAAGAACUGCCAGGUGUUCCACCUGACCGGGAUGUCGAGUUUGUGAUAGACCUUGUUCCAGGAACCGUUCCAAUUGCUAGAAGACCCUACAAGAUGGCACCCUUAGAACUAGCCGAGCUUAAGAACCAACUUGAUGAGUCCUUGAACAAAGGGUUCAUCCAUCCUAGCUCCUCUCCUUGGGCUUGCCCCGUCCUCUUCGUCAAGAAGAAGGAUGGAACGGAUCGAAUGGUUGUGGAUUACCGACCUGUCAAUCUGGUCACCAUCAAGAACAAAUACCCGCUUCCCAGGAUCAACGACCUGUAUGAUCAGCUUGCUGGAUCCUCAGUCUUCUCCAAGAUGGAUUUGAGGUUGGGCUACCACCAAAUCAAAAUCAGAAACGGGGACAUUCCCAAAACGGCUUUUGUCACUCGUUAUGGCCAAUACGAGUACACCGUCAUGUCCUUCGGUUUAACCAAUGCCCCGGCCACUUUCUCCCGGUUAAUGAACUCGGUUUUCAUGGAGUACUUGGACAAAUUCGUCGUAGUAUACCUCGAUGACAUACUCAUCUACUCCAAGAAUGAAGAGGAACAUGCUGAACAUCUAAGGCUGGUAUUGAUGAAACUUCGAGAGCAUCGCCUUUAUGCCAAAUUCUCCAAGUGUGAAUUUUGGUUGUCAGAAGUGACCUAUCUAGGCCAUGUAAUCUCUGGUAAGGGUAUUGCUAUCAAUCCCGAGCGAGUUCAAGCCGUCCUUGAUUGGACUCCACCUGAAACGGUCAAGCAAGUUCGGAGUUUCCUUGGCCUAGCGAGCUAUAGCCGCCGCUUCGUCGAGAAUUUCUCCAAGGUUGCUAAACCUCUAACUGAACUCCUCAAGAAAGAUAAAAAGUUCGAGUGGACUCCACAGUGCGAGUUCAGUUUUCAGGAACUGAAAAGACGCCUGACAUCUGCUCCCGUACUGGUACCACCAGAUUUCUCCAAGGACUUUAUUAUCUAUUGCGACGCCUCGCGACAAGGACUAGGUUGCAUACUCAUGCAAGAUCGUCAGGUAAUUGCCUAUGCUUCACGGCAAUUACACCCACAUGAGGAAAAUUAUCCCACACAUGAUCUAGAGCUUGCAGCUGUAGUCCAUGCACUCAAAACCUGGCGACAUUACCUUCUCGGUAAUCGUUGCGAGAUCUUCACCGAUCACCAAAGCUUGAAAUAUAUCUUCACCCAACCAGAUUUGAAUCUCAGGCAAAGAUGUUGGGUCGAGUUGAUCUCGGAUUACGACUUAGGAAUAACUUACACCCCUGGCAAAGCCAAUGUCAUGGCUGAUGCACUAAGUCGUAAGUCCUACUGUAACAACCUGAUGUUACAACAAAGUCAACCACUUCUCCAUGAGGAAUUUCGUAAGCUUAAUCUUCACAUUGUUCCUCAAGGAUUCCUAUCCACCCUGGUGGCGAAACCUACCCUUAUGGAUCAAAUCAUAGCUGCCCAAAAGCGUGAUAAGGGCAUAUCCCGGAUUAAGGAAAACAUUGCUAGCGGAGUAGCUAAAUGUUUUUCCAUGGAUGAGCAAGGUGCUGUCUUCUUUGAGAACCGCCUGGUGGUUCCCAAGAACCAACAUCUACGCCAGAUGAUCCUUAAGGAAGCUCAUGAAUCCCCUCUCACCAUUCAUCCCGGUAGUACUAAAAUGUAUGAAGACCUACGCCAGAGGUUUUGGUGGACUAGGAUGAAGAGAGAAAUUGCUCAAUACAUUGCUAAUUGCGACGUUUGUCGUCGUGUUAAAGCAGAGCAUCAACGGCCUGCUGGCACCCUUCAACCUUUCGCUAUUCCUGAAUGGAAAUGGGACAAAAUCAGUAUGGAUUUCAUCACUGGGUUUCCCAGGACCAAGAGGGGGAAUAAUGCCAUCUUCGUCGUGAUCGACCGUCUUUCCAAAGUAGCCCAUUUUCUACCUGUUCGUGAGAGUAUCACCGCUAGCCAGCUAGCUGACCUAUACAUCUCCCGAAUAGUGUCUCUUCAUGGUGUCCCGUUGGAAAUUAACUCAGACCGUGGAAGUCUCUUCACCUCUCGAUUUUGGGAAAGUUUCCAAAAUGCUAUGGGAACUCAUCUCUCCUUUAGUACCGCUUUCCACCCUCAAUCAAGUGGUCAAGUAGAGCGAGUAAAUCAAAUUCUGGAAGACAUGCUCCGAGCUUCUGUUAUCUCGUUCGGAAUGAGUUGGGAGAAAUGCCUUCCAUUCGCGGAGUUUGCCUACAACAAUAGCUAUCAAGCUAGUUUGGGCAAGGCUCCCUUCGAAGUUCUCUAUGGACGAAAAUGUCGAACGCCUCUUAACUGGUCAGAAACCGGGGAAAGACAACUCUUUGGCCCGGAUAUGAUUCAGGAAGCAGAAGAGCAGGUUCGCGUUAUUCGUGAGAAAUUGAAAACAGCCCAAUCUCGCCAAAAGAGUCAAUAUGAUCGUAAGCAUAAGCCUAUGACAUUUGAAAUUGACGAGAAAGCUUACCUUCGGGUUACCCCGUUAAAGGGAACCCAUCGCUUCGGUAUCAAAGGCAAAUUGGCUCCUCGUUACAUUGGACCCUUUCGCAUUCUUGCCAAACGAGGAGAAGUUGCCUACCAAUUGGAACUACCUCCGCAUCUUUCCAGAGUUCACGAUGUCUUCCAUGUUUCGCAACUCAGGCGUUGCUUCGCGGAUCCUAUCCGUGGAGUGGACCACGAGACGCUUGAUUUACAAGAUAACCUCUCUUAUCGGGAAUACCCCGUUCGUAUCCUUGAUCAAGCCGAGCGUACCACUCGACGUCAUAAUAUCAAGUUUCUCAAGGUUCAAUGGUCACACCAUUCCGAGGAAGAAGCCACUUGGGAAAGGGAGGAUCGUCUUCGACUCGAGUACCCCGCCUUCUUCCCAGAUGAUCCUAAAUCUCGGGACGAGAUUCUAUUGAGUGGGGGUGAGUUGUCACACCCUAGCUAGGUUAUGCAUUAGAGUGUGCAUCAUGUUUACUUUCAUCAGAAAUGGAAAUGGGGAAAGCAGAACCCCCAGCACCCCCCCCCUGAAAUCAACUAGGGUUUACUAAAAAUAAAUUCAAUGAACCUGAAAUGCCCUUCAAAAAUGUUCAUCCUCUUUGCCUUGGGUUAGAACCCUUGGGAAAAAUGGUGCAUAUAAUUUUAGGUCAACAAAAGGGGCAUCGAUUUAAUUCAUAAAUAUUUGAAUUUGGGCAUUUAAAUACUAUUAAAUAAUUCAAAUGCUCAAAUAAUGUUGGAACUAUUUUUUGGGCCACUGAAAUAUUUCAGUAAGUGUCCAUAAAUAUUUUCAGGAUUUUAUAAAAUGAUUUAGUAUUUAAACUAAAUCAAAACAGAAUAACAGAAAUAGAAAAACACAAAAAAAGAGGGAAAGGCCAUGGGCCACUUACCUGGCCCAUCUCCAGCUGGCGGCCCAGCCCACCCCGCUGCCUCCUGUCGUCCCCCUCCUCGGACAGAAGGACGCGGGCGUGUGCCCGGCGCUCGCCGGCACGCGCGCGCGCCACCUCCCCCCCUGCGCGCCACCUCCUGCUUCCGGGCUCCCUCCCAAUGCCACGGAGNNNNNNNNNNCCCCCCCCCUGAAAUCAACUAGGGUUUACUAAAAAUAAAUUCAAUGAACCUGAAAUGCCCUUCAAAAAUGUUCACCCUCUUUGCCUUGGGUUAGAACCCUUGGGAAAAAUGGUGCAUAUAAUUUUAGGUCAACAAAAGGGGCAUUGAUUUAAUUCAUAAAUAUUUGAAUUUGGGCAUUUAAAUACUAUUAAAUAAUUCAAAUGCUCAAAUAAUGUUGGAACUAUUUUUUGGGCCACUGAAAUAUUUCAGUAAGUGUCCAUAAAUAUUUUCAGGAUUUUAUAAAAUGAUUUAGUAUUUAAACUAAAUCAAAACAGAAUAACAGAAAUAGAAAAACACAAAAAAAUAAAGAGGGAAAGGCCAUGGGCCACUUACCUGGCCCAUCUCCAGCUGGCGGCCCAGCCCACCCCGCUGCCUCCUGUCGUUCCCCUCCUCGGACAGAAGGACGCGGGCGUGUGCCCGGCGCUCGCCGGCACGCGCGCGCGCCACCUCCCCCCCUGCGCGCCACCUCCUGCUUCCGGGCUCCCUCCCAAUGCCACGGAGACGGCCACGCACCCCCUGGCCCUCUCAUUCCCCUCCCCCAUGCUCAUCCCCUCCUCUGUCUCUCCCCCUCUCUUCCACAGAACGCGGCCGUCGCCGCCGACGAGAACCACCACGGCCACAGCCACCCCAUCGCCCCUCGGUUGUGCCCAAGAGCUCCGCCACAUUGCCGGNNNNNNNNNNUCCACAGAACGCGGCCGUCGCCGCCGACGAGAACCACCACGGCCACAGCCACCCCCUCGCCCCUCGGUUGUGCCCAAGAGCUCCGCCACAUUGCCGGCUACCUCUCCGUCAAGUCACGCGCCUCGGGAAGCCCUACGGCGUCGCCUUCGAGCUCUUCCUCAACCUGCGGCCGCCGGCGACUUCAUCGUCGAUUCGCCGAACCCCGUGCCUCCCCUGCCUCGCCAGUAGCACCAGAAGAACCACGGUGAGCCAUUGACCCGGUUCCCCCUUGCCCCGUCGUCCCUCGCGUCCUCUAGCGCUAGCACCACCGCGCCCGCGAGCUCCUCGCCGCCGGCCAUGGCGCCACCAUGGCCAGGGGCCGAGCCAUCCGCACCCGCACACAUCGUCGUGUUCCUGGUGACGCCAGGAGCCCGUAGAACCUAUCCGCAUGCCUCCCCGUGCCUUAUAGCCUCGAACCCGAGCUCGCCCGAGCUCCGGCCGCCGCCUCGAGCCUGAUUCCGGCGAGCUCCGGCCGCCCCGCAGCCUCCCGUGUGUCCCACUGGAUUCGCGCGAGUCUGGGCAUCGUGUAGAUGAGCUCCACCGCCCGAAUGGUCGCCGGAGCGGCGAUCCCGAGCCCCUCCGCCGUGUCUGGCUCGCCGGCGUCAAGCCGCCGACGGGUGUUGACCCCGCUGACCAGGAGGUUUGACCUCCCGUGGGUCGCUGACAUGUGGGGCCCGGCCCUAUUAAUCUUUAGUUAGGAUUAGUUUAACAACUAAUUUAACCCUUCUAAUUAAAUGGGUCACUGACGCGUGGGCCCAACCCCAUUAACCAAGCCAGUUUAGUUUUAAUUUAAUUAGGAUUAGCUACAGACACUGACAUGUGGACCCCACACGUCAGGUUUGACGGGGUCAGCCGCCUUUGACCUGCUGACGCAAUGCUAUUGUCAUGCUGACGCAAUAUAUCUUUUCUGGAAUUAAAAUAACUCAGGAAAUUCCAGAAAAUACCCAAAACUUUGAAAAAUCAUAGAAAUUCAACCAUAGCUCCAAAUGAGAUAAAUUAUAUAUGUAAAAUUAUCAGAAAAAUUCAAGGAAUCCAUCUGUACCAUUUUCAUGCAUGUUUGAACAAUGUUUGUCCCCUGUUUUGGACAAAACAAAUAAAGGGCAUUUAAAUAAUCAUAUAUGGGGUUGGAAUUUGAAUCUUGUACUCAAACCAACUCCAUUUAAAUUAUAGCUAGUUGCAUUAGCUCAAGACACAUCCAUAUUGCCAUGUCAUAGCAUGCAUCAUAUUGUUGCAUAUCGUCAUGUGUUGAUUGUGCUCGAUUGUGUUCUUCGUGGUAGGUUCUGCCUCCGAGGAUAUUCACGAGUAUCCAACUGAAGGGCAGUAUCCCGUUACCACUCCAUCAGGCAAGCAACCAUUGAUCAUUCCGAUACAACCCAUGUUCUCGCUCCUGCUCUUGUUUAGUGCAUUAAGACAACACGAUUCAAACUGCUGUGUGCUACGGUAGUUGAACCCUUAUCCUCUGCAUGACCUGUCAUUGCCACAGUAACUAGAUGAAACCCUCUAGCAUGUGCAGGAGUUGAUUGAGCCAUGUUUUGUGAUUCCUACCUUGCUAUGCCUGCUAUGCUUAGAGUUGUGUCAGGUCUGGUUCAUCUGGGUGAUGGGCUAGAGUGAAAUGCUUGUGCCAGUAAUAUGUGGGAUGUGUUGAACAUGUUUUGGUAAAGGUAUCGAUGAGAGGCCAUGUAGGAGUACAUGGUGGGUUGUUUCAUUGAAGCCGUCCCUAAGAACUGAGUUCUGUAUGCGUGAAUUAAGAUUCAGCUACUACCACACAUUGGGCCCUGAAAUAUGACCCCGCUCGACUUACUGACCCCUCUCGCCUCAGUCCAGGAGUUGCAACUAGUUUCUGGUGUUUGUAGGAUAUGUGUUGGCCGCCGUGCGUAGCGCUGACCCUAGGGGUGGGCUAUGUUGCGGUAGAUACACCGUGGCACGAUGUACCGAGUCACCCGUUUGGUGUCUCGGGAACCCUGUUCACAUCGUUCGGGGCCGUUGAGGACACCCCGGCCGGAUUUCCUUGCGGAUGGAACCUGAAUAGGCGAUGACCCUGGACUAGAGACUUGUGAGGUUAGUCAGGUCGUGGUCGACACCCACGUCGGUUUUCGCUUGAAGUCUGCCGAGCACAUUUCGUGUGCAGACGCUAAGUGGUGGAAACAUGUGUGACGAAGUACACCCCUGCAGGGUAUAAAACUAUUCGAAUAGCCGCGUCCGCGGUAAAGGACUACUUGAUUGCAUAUACAGUUCAUAGACAAGUUAAUGGAUACUACUAAAAGACUCAAGAUAAGUGUGAGUACCGAGGAUGGCCCCCUCGCAGGAUACGAGGAAGGAUCCACGGUGGAGUAUUGUGAUGGUGAGUAGUGGACUCGUGUGCGAAAACUAUUUUGCUAAAAGAUUCCGUAGGAUAGCUUAGCCAAGAGUCAAAGCUGGCUUGCUGCAUAAACCCCACCACCUUCUUGAGAAUGAGCAUGUACAGUAGGUUCUGAUGUAAGACUUGCUGAGUACCUUUGUACUCAUGUUUGCUUAAUUAUUGUUUUCAGACGACAACACUGCCCCCUCCGAUGGGUUUUAUGUAGACCUUGACGUCGACGAGUGACUAGCCACCCAGGUGGUGAUCCAGGCCAUGGAGGGCCCUAUGUAGAUAGACAGGCUUCGAGAAGCCUUCUUUCUUUCUAGAGUCUGUACUCAGACUAGUUGCUUCCGCAUGUGCUUGUAUGACUGUAUGACUUGAGUGUCGGGUCAUGUGACCCCUACCUGUAUGGAUAUGUUAUGUAUGGCUCCCUGGAGCCUUUAAAUAAAGUACUUGAGUUGUAGAGUUUUGUUGUGAUGCCAUGUUGUAUGUACUCAUAUCGAGCAUAUUGUAUGUAUGAUUGAAAUGCUUGGUAUGAGUGGGAUCCGACAAUCUAGUUGUUUGCCCUUCGCAGCCUUUCUUAUGGGGAAAUGUAGUCUAGUGCUCCUCGAGCCAUAGUAGUCCGCUACAGCCCGGUUCACCGGAGUCCUGCUAGCCCAGCACUACUGUUCAGGACACCUGACUGGCCAGCAUGUGUUUCACUUCGUCCCUAUGUCUGUCCCUUCGGGGAAAUGUCACGCGGUGAUCCACGGAGUCCUGUCUAGCCUGCUACAGCCCGAGAUCCCCCGGAGUCCUGUUAGCCCAGUGCUACAGCCCGGAAUCACUCGUUGAUGACCGACAUGUUCGUUGUGAUUCAUGUAUGCCUGUCUCCAUAGGUCUGUGCCGCUUUGGGGUCACGACUAGCCAUGUCGGCCCGGGUUCUCGGUCAUAUGGAUGCUAGCAACAUUGCCAUAUACGCGAGCCAAAAGGCGCAAACGGUCCCGGGCCAUGGUAAGGCGACACCCGUGGGAUACCGUGCGUGAGGCCGCAAAGUGAUAUGAGGUGUUACCGGCUAGAUCGAUGUGGCUUAGAAUCGGGGUCCUGACACCUACCGAUUAUUUCUAUCCGGUGCCACCGAUUUUCACUUGUCAUAGCCACUGCCAGAAACCCUAAUCUGUUCGGUCUCACCAAUGGGAUCUCGGUCUCACCGAGAUGGGCCUGCAAACUCUCUGUUACCUAUUGCAAUACUUUCGGUCCCACCGAGAUAUGCAAUCGGCCCCACCGAGUUUGCUUGGUCAACUCUCUGUUUUACUUAUUACCCAAAUUGGUCCCACCGAGUUUGAGUAAUCGGUCAAACCGAGUUUUGAAUUUACCCUAACCCUAGCACAUCGGUCCCACCGAGUUGAUCCAGUCGGUCCCACCGAAAAUCUCUAACGGUCACUAGGUUUACCUUUUCGGUCAGACCGAGUUUGUUGAUUCGGUCCCACCGAGAUUGGAAAACUGUGUGUAACGGUUGGAUUUUGUGUGGAGGCUAUAUAUACCCCUCCACCUCCUCUUCAUUCGAGGAGAGAGCCAUCAGAACACACCUACACUUCCAACUCAUAUGUUCUGAGAAAGAACUACCUACUCAUGUGUUGAAACCAAGAUAUUCCAUUCCUACCAUAUGAAUCUUGAUCUCUAGCCUUCCCCAAGUUGCUUUCCACUCAAAUCUUCUUUCCACCAAAUCCAAAUCCUAUGAGAGAGAGUUGAGUGUUGGGGAGACUAUCAUUUGAAGAACAAGAGCAAGGAGUUCAUCAUCAACACCUCAUCCACGAUAAGAGAACGACAACGUCAACAAUGAAGAAGGCCAAGAAGAAGAACAAGAUGAAGAAGAUGUUCAACGAAGACCCAAGCAAAAGCUCUGACGAGUUCGAGCAAGAAUUGCCAAAGAUCAUCCCGUCGAGCAAAUCUUCAAUGAUAUAUAAACCGGGAGAAUCACUCGCUCAAAGACUCGUUUAGCUAACUUUUGUGAAAACUAUUCAUUCAUCUCUAGCAUUGAACCUAUGAAGGUUGAAGAAGCAUUGGAAGAUUCGGAUUGGAUAAACGCUAUGCAUGAAGAGCUACACAACUUUGAGAGAAACCAAGUUUGGACAUUGGUCGAGAAGCCCGACAACAACCACAACAUCAUUGGUACCAAAUGGGUGUUUCGCAACAAGCAAGAUGAAGAUGGACAAGUGGUUCGCAACAAAGCGUGUCUCGUCGCCCAAGGGUACACACAAGUCGAAGGUAUGGACUAUGGUGAGACAUAUGCUCCCGUUGCUAGACUUGAGUCCAUUCGCAUCUUACUUGCCUAUGCUAAUCACCAUAAUAUCACCUUGUACCAAAUGGACAUUAAAAGUGCUUUUCUAAAUGGUGAAAUAGAGGAGGAAGUUUAUGUCAAACAACCUCCCGGCUUUAUCAAUCCUAAGAAACCAAAUCAUAUUUACAAACUUCACAAAGCUCUUUAUGGUCUUAAACAAGCUCCUAGAGCAUGGUAUAAAUGCUUGACCAAGUUCCUUAUUGCAAGUGGUUUUGAAAUUGGUAAAAUUGAAUCUACUCUUUUUACUAAAAGGGUUAAUGGAGAACUAUUUGUAUGCCAAAUUUAUGUUGAUGAUAUCAUAUUUGGUUCAACUAACCCUCUCUUUAGUGAAAAGUUUGGAAAGCUAAUGUCAGAGAAGUUUGAGAUGUCCAUGAUGAGUGAACUCAAAUUCUUUCUCGGGUUGCAAAUCAAGCAAACUAAGGAAGGUACAUUUGUCUCUCAAACAAAGUACACCAAGGACUUAUUCAAGAAGUUCAAUAUGCAAGAAAGCAAAGGUAUGCCCACACCCAUGCCUACUAGUGGACAUCUUGAUUUGACCAAAGAUGGUGAACCGGUUGAUCAAACGGUUUAUCACUCUAUGAUUGGUUCUUUGUUAUACCUAUGUGCUUCACGUCCCGACAUUAUGCUAAGUGUGUGCAUGUGUGCACGUUAUCAAGCUGCUCCUAAAGAAUGUCAUCUUAAGGCCGUGAAAAGGAUAGUGAGAUACUUAAUUCAUACACCAAACUUUGGGAUUUGGUAUCCUAAGAGGUCUUCUUUUGAUCUUGUUGGCUAUUCCGACUCGGAUUAUGCCGGAGACAAGGUUGAUAGAAAGUCCACUUCGGGUACUUGUCAAUUUCUUGGUAGAUCUCUUGUGUCUUGGUCUUCCAAGAAACAAAACUCGGUAUCCUUAUCCACUGCCGAAGCGGAAUACAUUGCCGCUGGUUCAUGUUGUGCUCAAUUACUUUGGAUGACCCAAACUCGUAAAGAUUAUGGGAUCUAUGUGAAACAUGUUCCACUGCUUUGUGACAAUGAAAGUGCUAUCAAAAUUGGUCAUAAUCCUGUACAACAUUCUCGAACUAAGCAUAUUGAAGUUCGUCAUCAUUUCAUUCGAGACCAUGUUGCUAAGGGUGACAUUGAUCUUAAGCAUGUUCAUACCGAUAAGCAAUUAGCGGAUAUAUUUACUAAACCUCUUGAUGAGAAAGUAUUUUGUAGGUUGAGAGGUGAAUUGAACAUUAUUGAUGCUUCAAACUUGGAGUAGGAACUCCAUUGGAUACAUGCAAGACAUGAGCUUAUGACUAAUCCAUGAUAUAUCUCUUAUAAUGACUAUCUUAUGUCUUGGAUAUAUUUGUACCUUGCAUGUUGUCUAACCCAUGUAGAUGCUUGGUUGAAUCUAAUUCCAUGAGAUUGCGACUCACUCACAGCUUGAGCAAUCUCUACAUCACCAAGUCUCUACACAAUGGUGGUUGAAGACAAGGAAGCACAAAACCAUUCAAACAUAUCCUUUGACAAAUUCUAUGUUGAGCUUCAUGAUUGUCAUUUUUGGAUACACAAGUGCUCUUCCUUGCAAGAACUAACCCAUGUAGGUAGAUGAACUCAAACUCCAAGUGGUGCUCCCAACUCUUGAUGAGCUACAUCAAUCUUGAGCACCCACACAAGCUCAACUACAUGAGCAAGAACCACACCACCACCCAAGGUAUGUUAUUUCAUCUUAGAGAAGCUUUACUCCAAGACAUGAGUCAAAGAAACUCAACAAGAUGUGAAUGCAUCAAGAUGCUUAAACGAAAAAUGGUAACCCCAUUUUGAGCUUAAACGAUGAGUAUGACCUAUGAUCAAGUGUUCUCACUUGACUCCUAAGUCAAUAUACUCUAACAUAGGUGACUAUGUCACCGCCCAACUCUAGAUGAAGUUCUCUUGUGUUCUUUUCUAUGUUAUUGCAUUUGUCUCAUGCAUGUUUAUUUCCUUUCUCUUUUUCAACUUCAUCUAGAUCCUUCAGUUUCUUCUCCUUUCUUUUUGUUUUCGUUCUGCAUUUUCUGCAUUCAAUUCCUUGCAAAUCCUUCGGGAAAUUCAUUGCAAAUCCUUGUGAGAUUCUACAUGUCUAGUGAGCUGAGGUGACAAGUGUUUUUCUAUGUGUGAACUCGGUUUCACCGACUUGUAAUUUUCGGUCCAACCGAAUCUUUUCGGUACCACUGAAACUUGCCACUCGGUGCCACCGACUUCGCAACAGGAAAAACAGUUUGCCACUUGUUCUAUAUUUCUUCUGAUCCAGCUCUACUCAAUGAAUCUUGUCCUCUACAAGCAUCACAGUUUUAUCCAUUGCUUUGUGCUGAGUCUCAAGGACCAAACCUAUACGACAGAUUCCAGAAAGCCCUUCUUGGAAAUUGAUGUCAAAGGGGGAGAGAGAGAUCACAUCAAAGCUCAAGGGGGAAAGAAAGUCUCAAGGACCAAACCUACAAGAGAGAAAGGGGGAGAAAGAGACUUCCAGGGGGAGAGAAUACUCAAGGGUCCCAUAUGCUUGAUGUUCAAGAGGAGAGAUGUCACAUGUCUUUUUGGGGGAAAGACAUGCUCAUAUGUGCUUAUUUGCAUUAAGUUCUAUCCAUUUGUAUCUUUCAGCUCUGAUUUUCUGUUCCCUAUCUUCUCCCAAUAUCCCAUGUAAGAUUCAGGGGGAGCAAGACACCUAAGGGAAAGAAAUCAGUCAAAUUCAUUGCAUAUCUUUACUCUUGGGGACAUGUUGAAUCCAUUGUGGUACCUUGUACUCACUCUCUACAUGUCAUCCCAGUCUUGGUUCUCUUGUGGCUUCUUUGGUUUGCUCUGGCUAGUGGAGGUAUCUGUGUAAUCUAACCUUGUUUGUGCAGGUUCAUUCCAUCCUAAGCCAGCUAAAGACUACAAGGUAAGUGUAUGCAUCAAAAUCAUGAGUAUGAGGAAUUCUUGCUUGUGUACAUACUGUUUGCAAGAAGGACUCAUGAGCAUGAAGGUAUUUUCCUUGAUAAUCUUUUGCUCUGAUGCAUAUGGCCAAGAUACAUGUAACACAUUGCCUACUCUGUCAUGGUUAUGCUCUCACAUGCUUCUACAUUUCACAUUUACAUGAGUGCAUACAUGUAGGGGGGGGCUAUGCUUGUUACAUGUCCUUCCAAAGCUUUACUUGUUGUUCUUUAUACCUUUAUCUAAAGCUUUGAUGUAUGUUGCCAUCAAUUACCAAAAAGGGGGAGAUUGAAAGCACAUGUGCUCCCUAGGUGGUUUUGGUAAUUAAUGACAACAUAUCUCUUGUUGGACUAACGUUUCUAUCUAGUAUGUUUCAGAUAAGUUCAACAAUGGAGUGACAUGGACUAAAGGUUGUGGGAAGUUCUCCAAGAUGCUAAGGACAAAGGAUUGGCUAAAGCUUAAAGCUCAAGACUCUUCAUUUUACAUUUUAGUGAUCCAAGAUCACAUUGAGUCCAUAGGAAAAGCCAAUACUAUCAAGGAGGGAUGAGGUGUUGCUUAAUGAGCCUCUUGCUCAAGUGCUUAAUGAUAUGCUCCAAAAUCCUCAGCUACUUUCCCACUUCCACAUAUGACCUAAACCCAAAGCCAAACUCAAACCUACUGAUUAUUUCUAUCCGGCGCCACCAAGUUUCACUUGUCAUAGCCACUGCCAGAAACCCUAAUCAGUUCGGUCUCACUGAUGGGAUCUCGGUCUCACUGAGAUGGUCCUGCAAACUCUCUAUUACCUAUUGCAAUACUUUCGGUCCCACCGAGAUAUGCAAUCGGCCCCACCGAGUUUGCUUGGUCAACUCUCUGUUUUACUUAUUACCCAAAUCGGUCCCACCGAGUUUGAGUAAUCGGUCAAACCGAGUUUUGAAUUUACCCUAACCCUAGCACAUCGGUCCCACCGAGUUGAUCCAGUCGGUCCCACCAAAAAUCUCUAACGGUCACUAGGUUUACCUUUUCGGUCAGACCGAGUUUGUUGAUUCGGUCCCACCGAGAUUGGAAAACUAUGUGUAAUGGUUGGAUUUUGUGUGGAGGCUAUAUAUACCCCUCCACCUCCUCUUCAUUCGAGGAGAGAGCCAUCAGAACACACCUACACUUCCAACUCAUAUGUUCUAAGAAAGAAGUACCUACUCAUGUGUUGAGACCAAGAUAUUCCAUUCCUACCAUAUGAAUCUUGAUCUCUAGCCUUCCCCAAGUUGCUUUCCACUCAAAUCUUCUUUCCACCAAAUCCAAAUCCUAUGAGAGAGAGUUGAGUGUUGGGGAGACUAUCAUUUGAAGCACAAGAGCAAGGAGUUCAUCAUCAACACCUCAUCCCUCCUUGAUAGUAUUGGCUUUUCCUAUGGACUCAAUGUGAUCUUGGAUCACUAAAAUGUAAUAUGAAGAGUCUUGAGCUUUAAGCUUUAGCCAAUCCUUUGUCCUUAGCAUCUUGGAGAACUUCCCACAACCUUUAGUCCAUGCCACUCCAUUGUUGAACUUAUCUGAAACAUACUAGAUAGAAACGUUAGUCCAACAAGAGAUAUGUUGUCAUUAAUUACCAAAACCACCUAGGGAGCACUUGUGCUUUCAAUUUCAUGCCCUCUUUUUUCCACACUAUCUAUUUCAUCUGUCUCUCAUACAAUGUUUGUACAUUCAACUUUGUUUCUUGUUUAUCAGCCAUUUGAAUUGGAGCGGGUGAUGCCAGUAUCUAGCGGACUAAAAACACGAUGUUCAAAUAAAACAGUGCUACCUCUUGGAGGAGAUAGCACCCCGGUUGUACAUGCACAAGAACCAGCCCUACCACACAUAACCCAAAUUCCCGCAGAUUGUACCCCUACUACGAUGGACAGAGAACCAGCUUCACCCAAUCUAACCCCAACCCCAGCCGAUAGUAACCCAGUUCCUGUUGACACAACACCAUCUCCACCACAGAGCUCCCAAACAAGAGCAGUUAGUAAGGCAACUCCAGUGCCCAAAGGGCCAGUACUAUCACGGCGAACCCCAACUCCACCAGUUAGUACGCUUAUUCCUGUGGAGGAAGCACAACCAGCUAGUCGUAGUUUAGCAUCUAUCGCAUUUGAUGUAGUUAAAUCGUAUGUGCAUAUCCUCCCAUCUUGGAAAUAUUAUACUGAAGAUGAAGGAAAAUGCCAGUUGCAGGUGUUUGUCCAGGAGUUAUGUGUAAGUAAUGUUAUUCAUGGCAAUUACUUUGCUUCGUCUCACACAUCCUACCUCCAUGAUGGUUAUAAUACAGCAAAUUUUCGCAUUUUUCUCUAUAGAGAAGGACCGAUUUGGAAACUCAGGAUGAGGUAACCUGUGCUAAUACCUCUGCUAUCUUCAAGAAUGCUUGGUGGCAGUAUCGGAAUUACCUAAAGAAAACGUACUUCACCGGCAAAGAAACUCAUCAAAUUCCCUUACAUUCUCCUGAGACACAUUUACUGGACGAUGACUGGGAACGCCUUGUUCUGUACUAGUCCCAAACCAAGAAUGUGGUAAGGUCUAUGAGCUCAUUUUCUAUUUUUAAGUAUUAUAUUCUUGCGUCUUACUGUACUCUGUUCAGGUAGAACAAGUGCCUAAACCUGAAGAACAACUGUUCUAAUUUAAGAUUCCAUUGCUACCAUAGGACAUAGAUAUAUGUUUGUUUGAUGCUUUUAUUAUGUACUAGUACUUGGCAAUAGAAGACUUGGUAGUUUAAUCCUGUCCACCUUACUAAUGAACUAGUUCACCGAAAUGAGUUUCAUAUACUAGUACAUGCUAAACUUGUUAUGUGUCUGCUUGUUUCUUCUUUUAGAAUGCUGACAGAAUAUUGGGGAAGAGUGCCUUAUUAAGCAACGAUAAAGGAAGUAAUGCAGAUAAGGUUCAGGAUAGUGACACAUCCUGUCUUGGUUUAGUGUUGGAGUUACUGGCCACUACCGCUUGCACAAGCUAUUCAAACUCACUAUCUGAAUCAGUUCGGUUUCUUGAGUCUCAACUACAAGCUCAAAGACAUCGAUCAGCUCUACUGCGACAAAGAAGCGGAAGGACUGAGGAAGUCCCUGGAGCAUUCAGAUGCAUACUUUAUGGUGCCGCGGCAAGCGUUGGAGGAUUUUAGCACCAAACAGGACAAAGUUAAUCAGCUUCCUAAGCUUAUUGCCAGCAUGGUGGAUACCCAGGAUAACGAUUCUUGAGCUCUUCUGAAGUUGUUUUAGUUAUGCUCUUGUUUUGCUGCCGCGUUUAUUUGCACUGGUGGCCAAUUUUGACGGCCAAUGUAUAUGAUAUGCUACUUUUUCCCUAUAUUUGCACUGGUGGCGAACUUUGAUGCCCAGUGGAUGUAAUAUGUGUAAUACCCGUGAGAGCCUAGCAUUAGUUGCUUGCUUAUUUAUUUCCUUGUUGUCUUGUUUAUUUGUUUGCUUGUAGUCAUUGUAGUUCUUUUUCCACGGUUAACUAGUGGCUGCAAUAACCUAUUUUUUAAAACUAGGCCACAAUAACCAUGGGCUAAUAUUUACUGUAGUGACAUUGGGCCUCCUACGGGCCGUAGAAACAGUGGGCCUUCUACGGGCCGUAGAAACAGUAGGCCUUCUAAGGGCCGUAGAAACAAUGGGCCUUCUACGGGUCGUAUCAUCAAUGGGCCUUAUACGGGCCGUAUGAUCGAUUGGCCAAACAUGGGUCAAUAACAGGCCGCAUUAUGGCCGUAAACGGGCUAGAGUUGGAAUCGUCCGUUCAUGGGUCGACCGUAACGGGCCAUCGUUAAUAGGCCAUAUUUGAUGACGCUAUGAAAACGGCCCAACGUAUUAACGGACCACAAACGGGCCGAUUGUAACCACGAGCUGUAUUUGGCCCACAAGCAGAAAAUGACAGUUACGGGCCGUAAGUAAACGAAUGCUGGAAAUGAGCCCAAGAAUAAAUGGGCUCUGAGAAGGCCGAAAGAUAACAUGGGCUGGAAACGGCCCAACGGAAUAACGGGCCGUUAAUGGGUAUAAAGUGAUACACUGUUCAUUACGGGCCAGUUUCACCACGGGCCGUUAAUGGGUGUAAAGUGAUACACUGUUCAUUACGGGCCAGUUUCACCACGGGCCGUUAAUAGGCCAAGAGUUACAUAGGGCCUCAUAUGGGCCGAAAGACGUCAUGGGCCAUACAUGGGCCAGAAGUCAAAAUGGGCUGGAAUCAUAUUGGAUGGCCUAGAUGACGCUACUGGGCCUAAUUCAGAUAGGGCGUAACGGGCCUUGGGUUAGCGGGUUGUAAAUGGGCUAUAUGCAAAUAGGCCAUUAACAGGCUUUCCAUGGGCCGGGCCGCCACCUUUUGACCAAGUCAAACGAGCCAGCCUUUUCACAGGAAUGGGCCUCUGUUGGGUCGUGCCACGUGUCGACGUAUCAUAGGUGCCUAUCUGACCCACUGACGAGCUGACACGUGUUUCGUCCGGCCAAUAAGAAUUUUACACGUGCAAAUUUCCCAUUGAUCGGGGCUGUUAACGGGUUAUCGGAUCCAAAACCCGACCCGAUAGCUUAACGGCGUUCCGUUAUGGUGGAUGCCACGUGUCGGUCACCCUUGACAAAAGCACUUCUGUGAUGCACGAUUUAUCGUCAUGGAAGUGGACACUUCCGUGAUGAUAAUUUUGGUAAUGUCAUGGAACACUUCUACGACAGCACAGGUAUGACUAUCUUGAUUCUGUCAUAAAUUUGUCAUGGAUGUACAUGCAUGACAAAAAAAGUGACCUACUGUGACAAACAGGUAUCAUCACGGAAGUGUAUUUUUUGUAGUGUAUCAUACCACAUCAUAACCAUUUCAAUAGCAUGUUGGCACGCAAGGUAAACCAUUAUAACUCAUAGCUAAUCAAGCAUGGCACAAGAAACUAUGAUCUCUAGUUGUCAUUGCAAACAUGUUUAUUCAUAAUAGGCUGAAUCAGGAACGAUGAACUAAUCAUAUUUACAAAAACAAAAGAGGUCGAGUUCAUACCAACUUUUCUCAUCUCAGUCAGUUCAUCAUAUAUCGUCAUAAUUGCCUUUCACUUGCACAACCGAAUAGUGUGAAUAAUAAUAAUAGUGCACGUGCAUUGGACUAAGCUAGAAUCUGCAGGCAUUCAAUAAACAGGAGAAGACAAGGCAAUAUGGGCUCUUUUGUCAGAUCAACAAUAAUGCAUAUAGGAGCCUCUUCAACAAUUUAAUUAUGGUCUUCUCCUAUCAACCCCCAAAGAAAAGAAAAGAAAUAAAACUAUUUACACGGGAAAGCUCCCAACAAGCAAAAGAAGAACAGGAAAUCUUUUGGGGUUUUCUUUUUAAUUACUACUACAAGCAUGGAAAGUAAACUAAUUAAAAGCUACAACUAAUUUUUUUGGUUUUCUUAAGGUUUAUUAAACACACAAGAAGAAAGCAUAAAAAAGGAAAUAAACUAGCAUGGAUGAUACAAUGAAAAAGUAUGAGCACCGACAUCUAGCAAUGAGUGUGUGAGCAUAAAUGUAAUGUCGGUGAGAAAUACGUACUCCCCCAAGCUUACGCUUUUGGCCUAAGUUGGUCUAUGGCCAUGGCUAGCCUGGCUGGUAUCCAUAGUAAUAGUUGGGGUCGUACUGUGAUGCAGAAGAGGAAGACUCCAAUUGCCACUAGCUGACAAUCAUCUCCGGAUCCCACUGAUAAUUAGACUGUCGUGAAGGAUCAAAUUGUGGUUCCGGCUCUGGCUCCUCGACUGGUGCAGGGUUUCGGUAGGCGUGAAUAGUCAUCAACGGAACAAGGUACGUGCCUACAGUCAAAUCAAACAAAGAAGGAGCUAGCAAGGUAAUUGUCUCAGGAUGAUGUUUAUUAAAGAACAAUUGAUAUUUAAGCUCUCCUUCCCUAUUCUUAAUAAUAAAAUCAUGCGCCACCAUACUUUUCUAAUCUAAAUAAACACGAGGCAGCACCUUUUCUUCCUUCUCAUAAUGCCUAAUAGGUAUGUUAAAAUGUGCAGCUAGGCGUGUAGCAUAGAUGCCUGCAAAGAUGGGGCCCUUGGUACGGUUCAGACUUAACCGUUUGGCAAUAAUGCCGCCCAUACUAAAAGAGUUAUCACCGUAUAAACCGUGGUGCAAAAUAAUAAUAUCAGGGAUACUCAGGUUUCCACAGUUUCCGCGACCAAUCAAGCAACGACUAGCAAAUAAUGCAAAAUAACGUAAAAUAGGAAAGUGUAUGCUAGUGAUUCAUGCAUCGGAAACCUUCCUUGUUUCCCCUACAGUGAUAGUAUCGAUAAAUCCCUCCACAUCAUCACAAUGUGGUUCUUCUGUCUUGCCCUCAAAAGGGACUAAACAAAUCUGACAUAAAUCAUAAAGUGACAUCUCCUUAUGCUCGUCAUAUAAAUAAAACUCCACCGUAGGUGGUGAGCUCCUAGAAUGGAAAUGAAAGUUUUGCACAAAGAUAUUUGUGAGCAAGAGAUACUGAUCGCAUUGGUCGUGGAGGAAUGCGGUAAGGCCUGCAGUCUGAGCCAAUUCGUGAAAAUCUUCAUAAAUCCCGGCUGCUCUCAAGAAAUCCUCGGAAGGCCAUUCACACGCCCGAACCUCCGCGAUGUGAGGCAGAAUAUAUUUAGGCUUUGGUGCCUUUUCCUUUGAACUUUGGCUCGAUGAGCCCCUCAAAAGUCUCCUCAUCAUUUUCUGAAAAAUUCUGAAAUUUUUAGUAACUUCAAAAUAAAAGUAAACCAAACUUAAUAAUAUUGAUAGUAACUACUCCUACAAGUGCCUAGGGCCUAUAUCAUGCAUCAACACUACUUGGAACCAUAUAAAAUUGACAUGCAAGCUCAAGAACAGGGUCACCUAAGCAGCAAAAAUUUGCAAUGAAUAAAAUACUAGAACAAAAACUAAUUGGACCAAUGGAGGAGUCACAUACCAAGGAACAAUCUCCCCAAGCAGUUUUGUGAGGGGUGCUUCGAGCAAGGAGAUCGAAAAUGGCAGCAAAAUGAGCUUGGACUCGGGUUUGAGCUGGUUAUUCGUGUUUGGGGGAGGAAUAAGGAGUGUAUGGGUGAAAGGAUAAGUGGAGGAGGGCCACCGUGGGCCCACGAGGCAGGGGUGCGCCCUAGAGGGGUGGGUGCGCCCUCCACCCUUGUGGGCAGGUGGUUGGCCCCCCUGGUGUGUUCUCAGUUCCAUAGAUCCUCAAAUAUUCUAGAAAAAAUCAUAUUUAAUUUUCAGGGCAUUUGGAGAACUUUUAUUUUUGAGGUAUUUUUAUAUUGCACGGAUAAUCAGAUAACAGACAGACAAAUAUUUAUUUUUAUUUUAUUUAAUAUAAAUAACAGAAAGUAAAGUGGGGUACAGAAGGUUGUGCCUUCUAGUUUCAUCCAUCUCAUGGUCAUCAAAAGGAAUCCACUAACAAGGUUGAUCAAGUCUUGUUAAUGAACUCAUUCCGAAUAACAUGGAACCGGAGAAAUUUCGAAUAACACUAUGUUACCUCAACGGGGAUAUGCACAUCCCCAAUAAUAAGAAUAUCAUAUUUCUUCUUGACAGUAGGAAGAGGAAAUUCAAAACCUUCAAAUAUAAUCAAUGGAAUUUUUCCAAUAGAGUUGAUACUAUGAACUUGAGGUUGUUUCCUCGGAAAGUGUACCGUGUGCUCAUUACCAUUAACAUGAAAAGUGACAUUGACUUCAGUGCAAUCAAUAACAGCCCCUGCAGUAUUCACAAAGGGUCUUCCAAGAAUAAUAGACAUACUAUCGUCCUCGGGAAUAUCAAGAAUAACAAAGUCCGUUAAAAUAGUAACAUUUGCAACUACAACAGGCACAUCCUCACAAAUAUCGACAGGUAUAGCAGUUGAUUUAUCAGCCAUUUGCAAAGAUAUUUCAGUAGGUAUCAACUUAUUCAAAUCAAGUCUACGAUAUAAAGAGAGAGGCAUAACACUAACACCAGCUCUAAGAUCACAUAAAGCAGUUUUAACAUAGUUUCUUUUAAUAGAGCAUGGUAUAGUGGGUACUCCUGGAUCUCCAAGUUUCUUUGGUAUUCCACCCUUAAAAGUGUAAUUAGCAAGCAUGGUGGAAAUUUCAGCUUCCGGUAUCUUUCUUUUAUUUGUAAUAAUAUCUUUCAUAUACUUAGCAUAAGGAUUGGUUUUGAGCAUAUCAGUUAAUCGCAUACGCAAAAAAUAGGUCUAAUCAUUUCAGCAAAGUGCUCAAAAUCCUCAUCAUCCUUUUUCUUGGAUGGUUUGGGAGGAAAGGGCAUGGGUUUCUGAACCCAAGGCUCUCUUUCUUUACCAUGUUUCCUAGCAACGAAGUCUUUCUUAUCAUAACAUUGAUUCUUUGAUUGUGGGUUAUCAAGAUCAAUAGCAGGUUCAAUUUCUAUAUCAUUAUCAUUACUAGGUGGAGCAUCAUCAUGAACAUUAUUAUUAACAUUGUCACUUGUUUCAGUUUCAUUACCAGGUUGUGUUUCAGCAUCAGAAAUAGAAAUAUCAUUUGGAUUCUCAGGUGUUUCAACAAUAGGAUCACUAGAAGCAUGAAAAGUCCUAUCAUUUUUCUUUUUAUUCUUUUUAGAAGAACUAGGUGCAUCUAGAUUAUUUCUCUCAGAAUCUUGCUCAAUUCUCUUAGGAUGGCCUUCAGGAUACAAAGGUUCCUGAGUCAUUAUACCACCUCUAGUCAUAACUCUAACAGCAUUAUCAUUAUUCUUAUUAUUCAAUUCAUUGAUCAAAUCAUUUUGAGCUUUAAGUACUUGUUCUACUUGAGUGGUAACCAUAGAAACAUGUUUACUAAUAAGUUUAAGUUCACCUUUGACAUUAGCCAUAUAAUCACCCAAGUGUCCAAGCAUAUUUGAAUUGUAUUUUAAUUGUCUGCCAAAAUAAGAAUUAAAAUCUUCUUGCUUAGCCAUAAAUUUAUCAAACUCAUCUAAGCAUGGGCUAGCAAAUUUAGUAAAUGGGAUUACAGCUUUAUCAUAUCUAUAGAGAGAAUUUACCUUUACUACAUGUGUCGGGUUAUCAACACCAUGAGUUUCUUCAAUAGGUAAAGGAUUUGGAUUAUAUGUUUCUUCAACAGGCGGUAAAUUAAGACCAUGUAUUUCUUCAAUAGGAGGUAAAUUCUUAACAUCUUCAGCUUUAAUACCCUUUUCUUUCAUAGAUUUAUUUGCCUCUUGCAUAUCCUCAGGACUGAGAAAUAGAAUACCCCUCUUCUUCAGAGUUGGUUUGGGAAUAGGCUCAGGAAUUGGCUCCGGAGGUGUCCAAUUAUUUUCAUUUGUCAACAUAUUAUUCAAUAGAAUUUCAGCUUCAUCUGGUGUUCUUUCCCUGAAAACAGAACCAGGACAAUUAUCCAGGUAAUCUAUGGAGGCAUCGGUUAGUCCAUUAUAAAAGAUAUCAAGUAUUUCACUUUUCUUAAGAGGAUGAUCAGGCAAAGCAUUAACUAAUUGGAGAAGCCUCCCCCAAGCUUGUGGGAGACUCUCUUCUUCAAUUUGCACAAAAUUAUAUAUAUAUCCCUUAAAUCAGCUUGUUUCUUAUGAGCAAGGAAAUAUUUAGCAGAGAAGUAAUAAAUCAUAUCCUGGGGACUACGCACACAACCAGGUGUUGGGGAACGUAGUAAUUUCAAAAAAUUUAUACGCACACGCAAGAUCAUGGUGAUGCAUAGCAAUGAGAGAGGAGAGUGUUGUCUACGUACCCUCAUAGACCGAAAGCGGAAGCGUUAGCACAACGCGGUUGAUGUAGUUGUACGUCUUCACGGCCCGACCGAUCAAGCACCAAAACUACGGCACCUCCGAGUUCUAGCACACGUUCAGCUCGAUGACGAUCCCCGGACUCCGAACCAGCAGAAUGUCGGGGAAGAGUUCCGUCAGCAUGAUGGCGUGGUGACGAUCUUGAUAUUCUACUGUCGCAGGGCUUCGCCUAAGCACCGCUACAAUAUUAUCGAGGAUUAUGGUGGAAGGGGGCACCGCACACGGCUAAGAGAUAAAUCAUCAAUUGUUGUGUCUUUGGGGUGCCCCCUGCACCCGUAUAUAAAGGAGCAAGGGAGGAGGAGGCCGGCCCUAGGAGGGGGCGCGCCAAGUGUGGAGUCCUACUAGGACUCCCUAGUCCUAGUAGGAUUCCACCUCCCAUAUGGAAUAGGAAAAAAGGAAGGGAAAAGGAGAAGGAAGGAAGGGGGCGCCCCCUUCCCUAGUCCAAUUCAGACCAGACCAAGGGGAGGGGUGCGGCCACCCUUGAGGCCCUUUUCCUUCUUUCCCAUAUGGCCCAAUCAGGCCCAAUACGUAUUCCCGUAACUCUCCGGUACUCCGAAAAAUACCCGAAUCAUUCGGAACCUUUCUGAUGUCCGAAUAUAGUCUUCCAAUAUAUCGAUCUUUACGUCUCGACCAUUUCAAGACUCCUCGCCAUGUCCCCGAUCUCAUCCGGGACUCCGAACUCCUUCGGUACAUGAAAACUCAUAAACUCAUAAUAUAACUGUCAUCGAAACCUUAAGCGUGCGGACCCUACGGGUUCGAGAACAAUGUAGACAUGACCGAGACACGUCUCCGGUCAAUAACCAAUAGCGGAACCUGGAUGCUCAUAUUGGCUCCCACAUAUUCUACGAAGAUCUUUAUCGGUCAGACCGCAUAACAACAUACGUUGUUCCCUUUGUCAUCGGUAUGUUACUUGCCCGAGAUUCGAUCGUCGGUAUCUCAAUACCUAGUUCGAUCUCGUUACCGGCAAGUCUCUUUACUCGUUCCGUAAUACAUCAUCCUGCAACUAACUCAUUAGUUGCAAUGCUUGCAAGGCUUAAGUGAUGUGCAUUACCGAGAGGGCCCAAAGAUACCUCUCCGACAAUCGGAGUGACAAAUCCUAAUCUCGAAAUACGCCAACCCAACAAGUACCUUCAGAGACACCUGUAGAGCACCUUUAUAAUCACCCAGUUAUGUUGUGACGUUUGGUGGCACACAAAGUGUUCCUCCGGUAAACGGGAGUUGCAUAAUCUCAUAGUCAUAGGAACAUGUAUAAGUCAUGAAGAAAGCAAUAGCAACAAACUAAACGAUCAAGUGCUAUGCUAACGGAAUGGGUCAAGUCAAUCACAUCAUUCUCCUAAUGAUGUGAUCCCGUUAAUCAAAUGACAACUCAUGUCUAUGGUUAGGAAACAUAACCAUCUUUGAUCAACGAGCUAGUCAAGUAGAGGCAUACUAGUGACACUCUGUUUGUCUAUGUAUUCACACAUGUAUUAUGUUUCCAGUUAAUACAAUUCUAGCAUGAAUAAUAAACAUUUAUCAUGAUAUAAGGAAAUAAAUAAUAGCUUUAUUAUUGCCUCUAGGGCAUAUUUCCUUCAGUCUCCCACUUGCACUAGAGUCAAUAAUCUAGUUCACAUCGCCAUGUGAUUUAACAUCAAUAGUUCACAUCACCAUGUGAUUAACACCCAUAGUUCACAUCGACAUGUGACCAACACCCAAAGGGUUUACUAGAGUCAAUAAUCUAGUUCACGUCGCUAUGUGAUUAACACCCAAAGAGUACUGAGGUGUGAUCAUGUUUUGCUUGUGAGAGAAGUUUAGUCAACGGGUCUGCCACAUUCAGGUCCGUAAGUAUUUUACAACUUUCUAUGUCAACAAUGCUCUGCAUGGAGCUAUUCUAGCUAAUUGCUCCCACUUUCAAUAUGUAUCCAGAUUGAGACUUAGAGUCAUCUGGAUCAGUGUCAAAAGUUGCAUCGACGUAACCCUUUACGACGAACCUUUUGUCACCUCCAUAAUCGAGAAACAUAUCCUUAUUCCACUAAGGAUAAUUUUGACCAAUGUCCAGUGAUCUACUCCUAGAUCACUAUUGUACUCCCUUGCCAAACUCAGGGCAGGGUAUACAAUAGGUCUGGUACACACCAUGGCAUACUUUAUAGAACCUACGGCUAAGGCAUAGGGAAUGACUUUCAUUCUCUCUCUAUCUUCUGCCGUGGUCGGGUUUUGAGUCUUACUCAACUUCACACCUUGUAACACAGGCAAGAACUUCUUCUUUGAUUGUUCCAUUUUGAACUAUUUCAAAAUCUUGUCAAGGUAUGUACUCAUUGAAAAACUUAUCAAGCAUCUUGAUCUAUCUCUAUAGAUCUUGAUGCUCAAUAUGUAAGCAGCUUCACCGAGGUCUUUCUUUGAAAAACUCCUUUCAAAUAUUCCUUUAUGCUUUGCAGAAUAAUUCUACAUUAUCUCCGAUCAACAAUAUGUCUUUCACAUAUACUUAUCAGAAAUGUUGUAGUGCUCCCACUCACUUUCUUGUAAAUACAGGCUUCACCGCAAGUCUGUAUAAAACUAUAUGCUUUGAUCAACUUAUCAAAGCGUAUAUUCCAACUCUGAGAUGCUUGCACCAGUCCAUAGAUGGAUCGCUGGAGCUUGCAUAUUUUGUUAGUACCUUUAGGAUUGACAAAACCUUCCGGUUGCAUCAUAUACAACUCUUCUUUAAUAAAUCCAUUAAGGAAUGCAGUUUUGUUUAUCCAUUUGCAAGAUUUCAUAAAAUGCGGCAAUUGCUAACAUGAUUCGGACAAACUUAAGCAUAAAUACGAGUGAGAAACUCUCAUCAUAGUCAACACCUUGAACUUGUCGAAAAACUUUUUACGACAAUUCUAGCUUUGUAGAUAGUAACACUACUAUCAGCGUCCAUCUUCCUCUUGAAGAUCCAUUUAAUCUCAAUGGCUCACCAAUCAUUGGGCAAGUCAAUCAAAGUCCAUACUUUGUUCUCAUACAUGGAUCUCAUCUCAGAUUUCAUGGCCUAAAGCCAUUUCGCGGAAUCUGGGCUCAUCAUCGUUUCCUCAUAGUUCGUAGGCUCGUCAUGGUCAAGUAACAUGACCUCCAGAACAGGAUUACCGUACCACUCUGGUGUGGAUCUCACUCUGGUUUACCUACGAGGUUUGGUAGUAACUUGAUCUGAAGUUACAUGAUCAUCAUCAUUAGCUUCCUCACUAAUCGGUGUAGUAGUCAUAGGAACAGAUUUCUGUGAUGAAGUACUUUCCAAUAAGGGAGCAGGUACAGUUACCUCAUCAAGUUCUACUUUCCUCCCACUCACUUCUUUCGAGAGAAACUCCUUCUCUAGAAAGGAUCCAUUCUCAGCAAUGAAUAACUUGCCUUCGUAUCUGUGAUAGAAGGUGUACCCAACAUUUCCUUUUGGGUAUCCUAUGAAGAUUUACUUCUCCGAUUUGGGUUCGAGCUUAUCAUGUUGAAACUUUUUCACAUAAGCAUUGUAGUCCCAAACUUUAAGAAACGACAGCUUAGGUUUCUCGCCAAACCACAGUUCAUAUGGUGUCGUCUCAACGGAUUUAUAUGGUGCCCUUUUUAAUGUGAAUGUAGCUGUCUCUAAUGUAUAACCCCAAAACGAUAGUGGUAGAUCGGUAAGAGACAUCAUAGAUCGCACUAUAUCUAAUAAAGUACGGUUAUGACGUUCGGACACACCAUUACACUGUGGUGUUCCAGGUGGUGUGAGUAGUGAAACCAUUUCACAUUGUUUUAACUGAAGGCCAAACUCGUAACUCAAAUAUUUUACUUCUGCGAUCAUAUCGUAGAAACUUUUUAUUUUUGUUACGAUGAUUCUCCACAUCACUCUGAAAUUCUUUGAACUUUUCAAAUAUUUUAGACUUGUGUUUCAUCAAGUAGAUAUACUCAUAUCUGCUCAAAUCAUCUGUGAAGAUCAGAAAAUAAUGAUACCUGCCACGAGCCUCAAUAUUCAUCGGACCACAUACAUCAAUAUGUAUGAUUUCCAACAAAUCUGUUGCUCGCUCCAUUGUUCCGGAGAACGGAGUCUUAGUCAUCUUGCCCAUGAGGCAUGGUGCGCAAGCAUCAACUGAUUCAUAAUCAAGUGAUUCCAAAAACCCAUCAGCAUGGAUUUUCUUCAUGCGCUUUACACCAAUAUGACCUAAACGGCAGUGCCACAAAUAAGUUGCACUAUCAUUAUUAACUUUGCAUCUUUUGGCUUCAAUAUUAUGAAUAUGUGUAUCACCACGAUCAAAAUCCAACAAACCAUUUUCAUUGGGUGUAUGACCAUAGAAGGUUUUAUUCAUGUAAACAGAACAACAAUUAUUCUCUAACUUACAUGAAUAACCAUAUUGCAAUAAACAUGAUCCAAUCAUAUUUAUGCUCAACGCAAACACCAAAUAACACUUAUUUAGGUUCAACACUAAUCCCAAAAGUAUAGGGAGUGUGCGAUGAUCAUAUCAAUCUUGGAACCACUUCCAACACACAUUGUCACUACACCCUUAACUAGUCUCUGUUCAUUCUGCAACUCCCGUUUCGAGUUACUACUCUUAGCAACUAAACUAGUAUCAAAUACUGAGGGGUUGCUAUAGACACUAGUAAAGUACACAUCAAUAACAUGUAUAUCAAAUAUACCUAUGUUCACUUUGCCAUCCUUCUUAUCCGCCAAUUACUUGGGGUAGUUCCGCUUCCAGUGACCAGUCCCUUUGCAGUAGAAGCACUCAGUUUCAGGCUUAGGUCCAGACUUGGGUUUUUCACUUGAGCAGCAACUUGCUUUCCGUUCUUCUUGAAGUUCCCCUUUCUUCCCUUUGUCCCUUUACUUGAAACUAGUGUUUUUGUUUACCAUCAACACUUGAUGCUUUUCUUGAUUUCUACCUUCGUUGAUUCCAGCAUCACGAAGAGCUUGGAAUCGUUUCUGUUAUCCCUUGCAUAUUAUAGUUCACCGUGAAGUUCUACUAACUUGGUGAUGGUGACUAGAGAAUUAUGUCAAUCACUAUUUUAUCUGGAAGAUUAACUCCCACUUGAUUCAAGCGAUUGUAGUACCCAGACAAUCUGAGCACAUGCUCACUGCUUGAGCUAUUCUCCUCCAUCUUUUGGCUAUAGAACUUGUUGGAGAUUUCAUAUCUCUCAACUCGGGUAUUUGCUUGAAAUAUUAACUUCAACUCUUGGAACAUCUCAUAUGGUCCAUGACAUUCAAAACGUCUUUGAAGUCCCGAUUCUAAGCCGUUUAAGCAUGGUGCACUAAACUAUCAAGUAGUCAUCAUAUUGAGCUAGCCAAAUGUUCAUAACAUCUGCAUCUGCUCCUGUAAUAGGUUUGUCACCUAGCGGUGCAUCAAAGACAUAAUUCUUCUGUGCAGCAAUGAGGAUAAACCUCAUACCACGGAUCCAAUCCGCAUCAUUGCUACUAACAUCUUUCAACAUAUUUUCUCUAGGAACAUAUCAAAAAUAAAAACAGGGGAGCUAAACGCGAGCUAUUGAUCUACAACAUAGAUAUGCUAAUACUACCAGGACUAAGUUCAUGAUAAAUUAAAGUUCAAUUAAUCAUAUUACUUAAGAACUCCCACUUAGAUAGACAUCCCUCUAAUCCUCUAAGUGAUCACGUGAUCCAAAUCAACUAAACCAUGUCCGAUCAUCACGUGAGAUGGAGUAGUUUCAAUGGUGAACAUCACUAUGUUGAUCAUAUCUACUAUAUGAUUCACGCUCGACCUUUCAGUCUCCGUGUUCCGAGGCCAUAUCUGUUAUAUGCUAGGCUCGUCAAGUUUAACCUGAGUAUUCCGCGUGUGCAACUGUUUUGCACCCGUUGUAUUUGAACGUAGAGCCUAUCACACCCGAUCAUCAUGUGGUGUCUCAGCACGAAGAACUUUCGCAACGGUACAUACUCAGGGAGAACACUUAUACUUUGAUAAUUUUAGUGAGGGAUCAUCUUAUAAUGCUAUUGUCAAUCAAAGCAAGAUAAGAUGCAUAAAAGAUAAACAUCACAUGCAAUCAAUAUAAGUGAUAUGAUAUGGCCAUCAUCAUCUUGUACUUGUGAUCUCCAUCUCCGAAGUACCAUCAUGAUUACCAUCGUCACCAGCAAGGUUGUCAGAAUCGCGAUCCUGUUAUACAAUUCUAUGACUUUACGAUCCAAACUAACCCCUAUGAUUCUACGAUUUUAGUUCAUAGAAUCUACGUUUUUACGAUCCUGAUAGUGAAGAUUCUACGAUUUGCGAUCCUACCAUCGGAGCUCCGAUCCGAUUCAAAAUCAUGAUUCUGACAACCUUGGUCACCGGCGUGACACCUUGAUCUCCAUCGUAGCAUCGUUGUCGUCUUGCCAAUCUUCUGCUUCCACGACUAUCGCUAACGCUUAGUGAUAAAGUAAGGCAUUACAACGUGAUUGCAUUGCAUACAAUAAAGCGACAACCAUAUGACUCCUGCCAGUUGCCGAUAACUCGGUUACAAAACAUGAUCAUCUCAUACAAUAAAAUUUAGCAUCAUGUCUCGACCAUAUCACAUCACAACAUGCCCUGCAAAAACAAGUUAGACGUCCUCUACUUUGUUGUUGCAAGUUUUACGUGGCUGCUACGGGCUUAGCAAGAACCGUUCUUACCUACGCAUCAAAACCACAACGAUAGUUUGUCAAGUUGGUGUUGUUUCAACCUUCGCAAGGACCGGGCGUAGCCACACUCGGUUCAAUUAAAGUUGAAGAAACUGACACCCACCAGCCACCUGUGUGCAAAGCACGUCGGUAGAACCAGUCUCGCGUUAGUGUACGCGUAAUGUCGGUCCGGGCCGCUUCAUCCAACAAUACCGCCGAACCAAAGUAUGACAUGUUGGUAAGCAGUAUGACUUAUAUCGCAAACAACUCACUUGUGUUCUACUCGUGCAUAACAUCAACGCAUAAAACCUAGGCUCGGAUGCCACUAUUGGGGAACGUAGUAAUUUCAAAAUUUUCCUACGCACACGCAAGAUCAUGGUGAUGCAUAGCAACGAGAGAGGAGAGUGUUGUCUACGUACCCUCGUAGACCGAAAGCGGAAGCGUUAGCAUAACGCGGUUGAUGUAGUCGUACAUCUUCAUGGCCCGGCCGAUCAAGCACCGAAACUACGGCACGUCCGAGUUCUAGCACACGUUCAGCUCGAUGAUGAUCCCCGGACUCCGAUCCAGCAGAAUGUCGGGGAAGAGUUCCGUCAGCACGACGGUGUGGUGACGAUCUUGAUAUUCUACUGUCACGGGGCUUCGCCUAAGCACCGCUACAAUAUUAUCGAGGAUUAUGGUGGAAGGGGGCACUGCACACGGCUAAGAGAUCAAUGUUCAAUUGUUGUGUCUUUGGGGUGCCCCCCUGCACCCGUAUAUAAAGGAGCAAGGGAGGAGGAGGCCGGCCCUAGGAGGGGGCGCGCCAAGUGUGGAGUCCUACUAGGACUCCCUAGUCCUAGUAGGAUUCCACCUCCCAUAUGAAAUAGGAAAAAUGGAAGGGAAAAGGAGAAGGAAGGAAGGGGGCGCCCCCCUUCCCUAGUCCAAUUCAGACCAGACCAAGGGGAGGGGUGCAGCCACCCUUGAGGCCCUUUUCCUUCUUUCCCAUAUGGCCCAAUAAGGCCCAAUACGUAUUCCCGUAACUCUUCCAGUACUCCGAAAAAUACCCGAAUCAUUCGGAACCUUUCCGAUGUCCGAAUAUAGUCGUCCAAUAUAUCGAUCUUUACGUCUCGACCAUUUCGAGACUCCUCGUCAUGUCCCUGAUCUCAUCUGGGACUCCGAACUCCUUCGGUACAUGAAAACUCAUAAACUCAUAAUAUAACUGUCAUCGAAACCUUAAGCGUGCGGACCCUACGGGUUCGAGAACAAUGUAGACAUGACCGAGACACGUCUCCGGUCAAUAACCAAUAGCGGAACCUGGAUGCUCAUAUUGGCUCCCACAUAUUCUAUGAAGAUCUUUAUCGGUCAGAACGCAUAACAACAAACGUUUUUCCCUUUGUCAUCGGUAUGUUACUUGCCCGAGAUUUGAUCGUCUGUAUCUCAAUACCUAGUUCAAUCUCGUUACCGGCAAGUCUCUUUACUCGUUCCGUAAUACAUCAUCCUGCAACUAACUCAUUAGUUGCAAUGCUUGCAAGGCUUAAGUGGUGUGCAUUACCGAGAGGGCCCAGAGAUACCUCUCCAACAAUCGGAGUGACAAAUCCUAAUCUCGAAAUACGCCAACCCAACAAGUACCUUCGGAGACACCCGUAGAGCACCAUUCUAAUCACCCAGUUACGUUGUGACGUUUGGUGGCACACAAAGUGUUCCUCCAGUAAAUGGGAGUUGCAUAAUCUCAUAGUCAUAGGAACAUGUAUAAGUCAUGAAGAAAGCAAUAGCAACAAACUAAACGAUCAAGUGCUAUGCUAACGGAAUGGGUCAAGUCAAUCACAUCAUUCUCCUAAUGAUGUGAUCCCGUUAAUCAAAUGACAACGCAUGUCUAUGGUUAGGAAACAUAACCAUCUUUGAUCAAUGAGCUAGUCAAGUAGAGGCAUACUAGUGACACUCUGUUUGUCUAUGUAUUCACACAUGUAUUAUGUUUCCGGUUAAUACAAUUCUAGCAUGAAUAAUAAACAUUUAUCAUGAUAUAAGGAAAUAAAUAAUAGCUUUAUUAUUGCCUCUAGGGCAUAUUUUCUUCACCAGGAUCAAGAGAAUUAAACCAUAUCCUAGCAUCACCCUUUAAUGAGAACGGAAAUAUUUUAAGGAUAUAAAAGUAGCGAGUUUUCUCAUCUUUAGUGAAUAGGGUAGCUAUAUCAUUCAGUUUAGUAAGAUGUGCCACACAGUUUCAGAUUCAUAACCAUGAAAAUGAUCAAAUUCAACCAAAGUAAUUAUAUCAGGAUCAACAGAGAAUUCAUAAUCCUUAUCAGUAACAAAGAUAGGUGAAGUAGCAAAAGCAGGGUCAGGUUUCAUUCUAGCAUUUAGAGAUUGCUUACUCCAUUUAGCUAAUAAUCUUUUAAGUUCAGUUCUAUUUCUGCAAGCUAAAAUAGCUAAAGAAGCAUCUUGAUCAAAAACAUAACCCUUAGGAAUGGCAAGUGGUUGUUCAUCAUCACUUUCAUCAGUAUCAUCAGAUUCAAUAUUUUCAAUUUCUCUAGCCCUAGCAAGUUGUUCAUCAAGAAAAGCACUAAGUGGCAUAGUAGUAUCAGGCAGAGAGGUAGUUUCCUCAUAAGUAUCAUGCAUAGCAGAAGUGGCAUCAUCAAUAACAUGUAACAUAUCAGAACGAAUAGCAGAAGCAGGUGUAGGUGUCGCAAGCUUACUCAAAACAGAAGGUGAAUCAAGUGCAGAGCUAGAUGGCAGUUCCUUACCUCCCCUCGUAGUUGAGGGAUAGAUCUUGGUUUUUGGAUCUCUCAAGUUCUUCAUAAUGAUAAGCAAAUAUAUAUCCCAAGUGACUCAAAGAAUAGAGCUAUGAUCCCCGGCAACGGUGCCAGAAAAUAGUCUUGAGAACCCACAAGUAUAGGGGAUCGCAACAGUUUUCGCGGGUAGAGUAUUCAACCCAAAUUUAUUGAUUCGACACAAGGGGAGCCAAAGAAUAUUCUCAAGUAUUAGCAGCUGAGUUGUCAAUUCAAGCACACCUGGAAACUUAAUAUCUGCAGCAAAGUGUUUAGUAGCAAAGUAAUAUGAUAGUGGUGAUAACGGUGGCAAAAGGUAACAGUAGUAAAAGUAAUGUUUUUGGUAUUCUGUAGUGAUGAUAGUAAUAGCAACGGAAAAGUAAAUAAGCGAAGAACAAUAUAUGGAAAGCUCGUAGGCAAUGGAUCGGUGAUGGAGAAUUAUGCCGGAUGCGGUUCAUCAUGUAAUAGUCAUAACCUAGGGUGACACAGAACUAGCUCCAGUUCAUUGAUAUAAUGUAGGCAUGUAUUCCGAACAUAGUCAUAUGUGCUUAUGGAAAAGAACUUGCAUGACAUCUUUUGUCCUACCCUCGCGUGGCAGCGGGGUCCUUACAGAAACUAAGGGAUAUUAAGGUCUCCUUUUAAUAGAGAACCGGAACAAAGCAUUAACACAUAGUGAAUACAUGAACUCCUCAAACUACGGUCAUCACCGGUAAGUAUCCCAAUUAUUGUCACUUCGGGGUUAAAGGAUCAUAACACAUAAUAGGUGACUAUAGACUUGCAAGAUAGGAUCAAGAACACUCAUAUAUUGAUGAAAACAUAAUAGGUUCAGAUCUGAAAUCAUGGCACUCGGGCCCUAGUGACAAGCAUUAAGCAUAGUAAAGUCAUAGCAACAUCAAUCUCAGAACAUAUUGGACACUAGGGAUCAAACCCUAACAAAACUAACUCGAUUACAUGAUAGAUCCCAUCCAACCCAUCACCGUCCAGCAAGCCUACGAUGGAAUUACUCACGCACGGCGGUGAGCAUCAUGAAAUAGGUGAUGGAGGAUGGUUGAUGACGACGAUGGCGACGGAUUCCCCUCUCCGGAGCCCCGAACAGACUCUAGAUCAGCCCUCCCGAGAGGUUUUAGGUCUUGGCGGUGGCUCCGUGUCGUAAAACACGAUGAUUUCUUCUCUCUGAUUUUUUUUCUCGUCGGAACUCAAUAUAUGGAGGUGGAGUUGGAGUCGGAGACGCAAUAGGGGGCCCACGAGGUAGGGGGCGUGCCCUAGGGGAGUAGGCGCGCCCCCACCCUCGUGUCAAGGUGGUGGCCCCCUGGCCUUCAUCUUUGGCAGGUAUUUUUCUUAUUUUCUGAAAAGUGUCUCCGUGAUGUUUCAGGUCAUUCCGAGAACGUUUGCUCCUGCACAUAAAUAACACCAUGGUAAUUCUGCUGAAAACAGCGUCCGUCCGGGUUAGUUCCAUUCAAAUCAUGCAAGUUAGAGUCCAAAACAAGGGUAAAAGUGUUUGGAAAAGUAGAUACGUUGGAGACGUAUCAAAGGUGCGACCGGUAUCUUCUCCUCAUGAUGUCAUCUGACGCACUCUGAUCUAGCAUGAGCCGAUAAGCCUGAGCCUCUAACUCGGCCCGCUCUAUAGCCAUCCUGGUGUUCUCCGCUGCCAGGUCCGUUUUAGCCUGAGUUAUCUGAUCCUUCACCUUUGCAAUCUCCGCGUUGUGCUGAUCCCGGUUUGCUGCGUCCACCUCUGCUGCCAGCAACGUUGCCAAAUCGUCGAAUAAAUCGGACAAAACUUGAGCCGGAGGUGGCGUAGAGCCCCCUGUUCCUGCUGGUGUUGCUGCUGCUGAACUGGAAAUCAUUGCUACGGCUGUAGAAGAAUGCUGCCCUGACUGUGUACCGGCCCUGAAGACCGCGACCCAACUCGGCGGAUCAAGGGGGUCCGGAAUACUGUCGCCAUCAGAACCAUCCCUAAUCCGGCCAUCCUACAGCUGAUACAGUGACUCGGUCUCUCCGGUUGAAGACUCGUCAUCAGAGUAGACAAUGGUUUCGCCACCAGAUGCCGAUCCGUCCUCAUAUUCCGCUCCAUGGAUGACACCUACGAAGGCGCGCUUUACGGCGGGCUGAACCCAGGCAGAUCUUACACACUGAGCCGUCUCGAUGAUGUCGGUGCAGAUGUCCGGCUCAGGGCCCAGUUCGCCGAUCUUGCUGAUGAAGACGUGAAUUCCGCCAAAGGGGACCCGGUAUCCGUACUCAAUUGAGCCGGCCUCGGGGCUCCAUCCCGCAUCGUCGAUGUAGAGCUUGCCGCGACAACUUUUAGUCAUCCGGCCCAUAGCGUAUCCCUUGAGUCCUUCGAAGCUGCCCUUCAAGAACUCGAAACCAUCAUGCGAUAGCCCCGCCGUGGGCGCCAACUGUCAUGAUUUUGUCACGGCAGAUGUCCUCGUGGAAGGACUUAGUCGUGGAGCCAUCGCGACAGGUUAGCUUAAAGGGGUUAAAGCGGACAAGGGACGCAAGAGUUAUACUGGUUCGGCCCCUUUCGAUGAAGGUAAAAGCCUACAUCCAGUUGUGAUGGAAUUACUUGGGUUUCGAUGACCAGCGAGCGAAUCCGCUUUGCCUGACUCUUGAGUUAUUGUCGGUUGUCCCUAAACCGCCACCGGGUCGCCCCUUUAUAUACAUAGGUCGACACCCGUCGGUUUACAGAGUCCCGAGGCCGGAUCAUAAACGUGUCCGGCUCGGUCUCUACUCCUAUCUUACAAUACAAGUUAUAUAUCAAUGUAGGUUUAUGUCUACAGGACUUAACCCGCCUUUGGGCCUUGGGCCUUCAUGAAGCGCCACCACCUUUGUCUUCAUGGGCUUCAAAUAAAGUAAUCAUCAUGGGGAUAACCCGGCCUCUCCUGGCCGGUUUAUGUCCAGUAGUAAUAUCCCCAACAGCAGCGGCUGCCGGGGCAGGAGGCCCUGAGCGCCCGCCGGCUCAGGUCUUAACAGACUUACUAGACAAGCUGACUGCACUGUUAACGGCGGUGGUUAACCCGGCGGAUCAAGAUCAGCAUAAUGCGGCAAUCACAAAGCUGCAUGAUGAGAUAGUGCAGGCCAAGGAGGAGCUAAACACGGAAAACGCCGGGAUGGCCGAGGAACCGACCGCUUUGGAUGCUCAACCACAAUGGAUUUAGUCACAAUCUUACCAGCUCAUGCUAGAUCAGAACGCUUCCAACGAAGUCAUGAGGAGGAGGUAUCAGACUCGUCUGCCUUCGGUUUAUGAGACAAGGAGUCUCUUUAAUACACCAGGGGCGGGAACCAGUAACCCGGCAGUAGCAAAACGGGUCGAAGCGCCUGGGACGGGUACGUCGGUUCAGCCGUGCACGAUGGACCCGCCUCGUCAGAAUAAUAACCCGGCGCAGCAUGUGCCGAUGCCACUAGGUCAUUACUCUAACCCUUUGGAUAACAUGAUUGCUGCGGCAUCACGAUUGGCGGCUAUCCCGGUUGAAGGUGAGUCACCAACGGCGGUUGAAACACAGAGGGCUUGAGAUCUCCUUCAGACAGCGCUAGUUCAGCCAGCAGGCUUAUUCAUACAGCCGUGAUAGGGUUCAGUCCACCCCUCGCCCAAGCCGGAGUUACGGCAGGCAUAUUGAUGAGCCGGCUGUAUCAAGAAGUGGGCGGAACCUUAACCCGCCCCAUGGACAUGACCCGGCGGGCGGCGGUGCUAAUGCUCAGAACAUAGUGGAUCAAUGUAGAGCGCAUCGAGAGGCCAAGCUGGAGGCUCAGUAUGUGGCUGGUCAACCAACUCCGGUUCGUCCAACCACCUCUGUGGAGCCAGGUGUAACCUUUAGAAAUUUGGGUGUGCCAUGCUUAGUGCCGGAUCUGCGUAAUGAGUGCCUACCCAAGGAUUUCAAAGGUCCUCGUAUGGUGCCUAACUAUACCGCUGAUUUAAGUCCCGAGGCGUGGAUCGAGAGAUAUGAGAUGGCUAUGGAGUUACUGGAUGUUAGCGAGGCUGCAUGUGCUAAAUAUUUCCCUCUGGUGUUGGAAGGAAUGACCCGUACUUGGUUGAAGGGGCUCCCUGCUAAUUCCAUCGGGUCAUGGGCCGAGUUAAAGGCCCGAUUCAUCCAGAACUUCAAAGACACAUGUAAACAGCCCAUGUCAAUUGUGGAUCUAGCUUCCUGCAUUCAAGAAGAAGGUGAGUCAACAACCCAUUGGGUGCGCCGGGUCUCAACAAUCUUGCAUUCGUCGGAUCGCAUCAAUGCCGACUCGGCAGUGUUGAUGUUGGAGAACAAUUGUCGUUUCAUGCCCUUAAAGCAGAAGCUAGGGCGGCUCAAAUGUCAUUGCAAUGACAUGGGGACACUCAUGGCGGCUCUCGUUAAGUAUGCUGACUCUGAUAGUACCAAGGACCACGAGUAUGAUGAUGAAAAGCCGGAGAGGGGAAGAAAGAACAGCAAUGCUAAGGGGCAGCAGUAUAACCAGGGAGGCAACGGUAAGCACGAGGCUGAUAAUAGUUUUGACUUUGUGGCUAACACCAUUGCACAGAAUAAUGGUCAGCGUCAUAAGGGUAAACUGCCCCCACGGGCCGGAGGAUCCGGUAUCAAUCUUGAACAUAUGUUAAAUCAGCCCUGCCCAAAACAUGGUACGAAAGAAAGACCAUCCGGGCACCUUUGCAAAGAUUGUCACAUUAUGAAAGAAUACAAGAAUUCUAAUCUUUUCCAAGACAGUCAUGGGCCAGGUGGCGGUUUUGGAUCCGGCUUUCAUGGUACGGGUUAUGGCGGUGGCGGUUCUAACUCUGGAUUCCAGGGAAAUCAAAGUAAUCACGGCAAUCAGGGUGGUUACAACCAGUAGAGUAAUCAGGGGGUCAACAACAGCAACACUCUGGUUAUCGUAGCAACCCGAAGCAGUUGAACAGUGGGCAGUAUCAUGUUUUUACCACUAGCUAUUGUAAACAUGAUCAGAAGCUUCAUAGGAGGUCAGUCAAUGUUGUUGAGCUGGCGGUUCCUCGUUACCCGCGUUGGUCUGAGCAGCCCAUCGUGUGGAGUAGGGAAGAUCACUCGCCCCGGGUUGAUAAUCCGGGUCAUUUGGCUUUGGUGGUCGCACCUCAGGUUCGAGGGUAUAAGUUUACCAAAGUACUCAUGGACGGAGGGAGCAGCAUCAAUAUCCUUUAUUAUGAAACUUUCCGUCGCAUGGGGUUGACUGAUAAAAAUCUUAAGCCAUCAAACACGGUUUUCCAUGGUGUGGUGCAUGGUAAGUCGGCAUAUCCAAUCGGUAAGAUAGCUUUGGAAUUCGUUUUUGGGGAUGAUCGUGACUCUAGGUCAGAGACAUUGACCUUUGAAGUGGUCAAGAUCCACAGCCCAUAUCAUGGUUUGUUUGGAUGGCCGGCUUAUGCCAAGUUCAUGGCGCGGCCGUGUUAAGUGUAUCUGCAGCUCAAGAUGUCGGGUCACAAAGGAACCAUUAUAGUGCAUGGGAACCGUAAGAUAGCUCUGGAAUGUGAAGAAGGGGAUGCAGCUUAUGUUGAGUAGGUUUGUGCGAUGGAGGAGCUAAAAUUUUACAAGGACAAUGUUGACCCGACAGAUAUGACAUCUUUGAAAAAGCCAACCACAGAGCAUGAUCCGGUUUUAAAGUUUAAAUCGGCAGACGAUACCAAGAUGGUUGAUUUUUUCCCUGGCGACUCAUCCAAGUAGUUCAGCAUCAGUGCUAAUAGGAAAGCACACUCAUCGAGUUCAUCCAUGAGAACCGGGACAUAUUUGCAUGGGAGCCUUCAGACAUGCCGGGUGUACCGAGAGAACUCGUUGAGCACACUCUUAAUAUUGAUCCAAAAUUUAAGCCGGUUAAACAGUUUCUUUGCCAGUUUAAUGAGGAGAGGCGGAAGGCCAUUGGAGAGGAAGUAGCCCGGCUCUUGGCAGCUGGUUUUAUCUCGAAGUUUUUCAUCCUGAAUGGUUAGCUAACUCGGUGCUAGUACUUAAGAAGAACGGCACUUGGCGCAUGUGUGUGGAUUACAUAGAUUUAAACAAAGCUUGUCCGGCUGAUCCUUUUGCUCUCCCUCGUAUUGAUCAGAUUAUUGAUGGUACGGCAGGUUGUGAGCGUUUGAGUUUUUGGAUGCGUAUUCUGGUUAUCAUCACAUCAAGAUGGCAGUUAAGGACCAGGAGAAGACAGCUUUCAUAACUCCCUUUGGAGCCUUCUACUAUGUGUCUAUGCCUUUUGGGCUCAAGAGUGCCCAGGCGACUUACCAGAGAUGUGUGCAAAAUUGCCUUCAUAACCAAAUUGGGUGUAAUGUUCAUGCUUACGUGGAUGAUAUUGUGGUAAAGUCCAGAGAGAAAGAGACAUUGAUAGAUGACCUCAAGGAAACCUUUGAUAAUCUCCGGGUUUAUAAGAUGAUGCUUAACCCAUCCAAAUGUGUUUUUGGUGUGCCAGCAGGCAAACUCUUGGGUUUUUUGGUGUCUAAGAGAGGUAUUGAAGCUAACCCGAAGAAGAUUAAAGCCAUCACUUCACUGGAUAAACCGGCGUGUAUCAAUGAUGUGCAACGUCUGGCGGGUCGUAUUGCGGCAUUGAGCCGGUUGAUCAGCCGGUUGGGAGAGAAGGCUAUCCCUCUGUAUCAGAUGAUGAAAAAGACGAAUAAUUUUGUCUGGAGUGAUGCUGCUAAUACAGCUUUUGAGGAGCUGAAGAAGUAACUGGCUGAGCCACCCGUGCUUGCCGACCCUAUUGAUAAAGAGCCUUUGUUGUUAUAUGUGGCUGCUAAUAGCCGGGCUGUCAGUGUAGCUAUUGUGGUGGAAAGGAAGGAAGCGGGCAAGGAGUAUCCUGUUCAAAGGCUGGUUUAUUAUAUCAGUGAGGUGCUUAUUGAGUCCAAGCAGAGAUAUCUGCACUGGAAGAAGCUUGUAUAUGGGGUGUUCUUGGCCAGCCGGAAGCUUAAACAGUAUUUUCUGGGUCAUCCCAUCACUGUGGUUAGCUCUGCUCCUUUGGGAGAUAUCAGCCAGAACAGGGAGGCAACUGGCCGGGUUGCUAAGUGGGCUAUUGAGCUUGGACCUCAUGGGUUAAAAUAUGUGCCUCGCACGGCCAUCAAGUCUCAGGCGCUGGUGGAUUUCAUCAAUGAUUGGGCAGAGCUGCAGAUGCCUGAGGAAAAGCCAUAUAACACGUAUUGGACUAUUCACUUUGAUGGGUCCAGGCAAUUGGAAGGCUCGGGGCUGGAGUUAUUCUUGCUUCCCCUCGAGGUAAUAAGUUUUGUUAUGUUCUCCGUUUGAUGUUUCCUUGUACUAACAAUGCAGCUAAGUAUGAGGCCUUACUCCCCGGUCUUCGGAUGGCUAAGGAAAUGAAUUUAAGCCGGGUUAGGUGCUUUGGCGACUUAGACUUGGUGGCUCAGCAAGUCUCUGGUACUUGGGAUUCUAAGGAUCCACUCAUGGCGGCUUAUCAACAAGAGGUGGACGUUAUUGUUGGUCAUUUCAAGGGCUAUCAGGUUGAGCACGUUCAUCGGAGGAAAAAUGAAGCGGCGGACGCUUUAAGCCGGUUGGGUGCUCAACAUAAACCAAUGUCGCCUAAUGUCUUUCUUGACGUUUUGCAUAACCCGUCGGUCAAGUUACCUACAGAGGAGGAGUUGGCUAUUCCUGACCCGGAAGCUCGAUUGGUGGCGGCUCUUCAUGUAAUCUCGGAUUGGACGGUACCUUACUUGGCUUAUAUGACCCGGGGCGAGUUACCUGAGGAUGAAACCUUAGCUAGGCAAAUAACCUGGCGGUCUAAGUCAAUGACAAUUGUUAAUGGAGAGUUACAUCAUCGCGGUAUCACAGGGGCGUUUCAACGUUGUGUUUCUCCAGAAGAGGGUUGUGAGAUCUUACGAGAGAUUCAUGAAGGAGAUUGUGGUCGUCAUGCCGGUUCAAAAUUCCUCGUGGCCAAAGCUUUCCGUCAUGGGUUUUAUUGGUUAACAGCUCAUGCUGAUGCAGAGGACCUCGUCAGCAGGUGUGAUGGAUGUCAAAAAUUUGCACGACGAGCCCAUGUGUCGGCUCAAGAAUUGAGGAUGAUUCCAAUUAAUUGGCUGUUCGCAGUCUGGGGGCUUGAUAUGGUUGGAACUUUCAAAAGAUCCAAGGACAAGAAGACCCACCUUUUGGUGGCGGUUGAUAAGUUCACUAAGUGGGUAGAGGCAGAGCCAGUCAGUAAGUGUGAUGCAGCAACGGCGGUUCAAUUCAUGAAAAGGUGAUCUUCCGUUUUGGCUUUCCACACAGCAUUAUAACAGACAAUGGCACUAAUCUCUCUAAGGGUGCUAUGGAAGAAUUUUGUCAACGUGAGCAUAUUCGGCUCGAUGUAUCGUCAGUGGCUCACUCCCAAUCCAAUGGUCAAGCUGAGAGAGCAAACCAAGAGAUCUUGAAAGGCAUCAAACCCCGGCUUAUGGUUCGCCUGCAGAGGACGCCAGGUUGUUGGGUGGAGGAGUUACCUUCCAUGUUGUGGAGCAUCAACACCACCCCCAAACAGAUCAGUGGGAUAUACACCUUUCUUCAUGGUUUACGGAGCAGAGGCAGUUCUCCCUAGUGACAUCCGUCAUGACUCACCUCGUGUGGCGGCUUAUGUUGAAGCUGACGAUGAAAGAGCACAUCAAGAAGCACUUGACCUGUUGGAUGAGGAGCGUGACAUCGCAGCGGCUCGUUCGGCAAUUUACCAGCAAGAUCUAUGCCGUUAUCACAGCCGCCGGGUCAAAACCAGAACUUUCCAAGAAGGCGAUCUGGUGCUCCGGCUUAUCCAGGAUCAGACUGAUAUGCACAAGUUAUCCCCACCUUGGGAAGGACCCUUUGUGGUUAGCAAUAAUCUAAACAACGGGUCAUAUUACCUUAUCGAUGUCCUAGACCACAAGGACUCACGCACGUCAGAGGAAGAGACCCGCCGGCCCUGGAAUAUUGCUCACCUUAGGCCUUACUAUACUUGAGCCACCGGCUCUUCCAAUGUACAUAUUUUGACAGUGUAUAUAUUAUGGUCGAUAUAAUAAAGCCGGCAUCCUUGCUAAAGCAGGGCCUCUGUCGUUUUCUCCUCUUUAAAUAAUGAGGUUUUGGUCACAUGGGGGCUUCUGCUUUAUACAUCAAAGUUAUGAUUAUCCUUUGAUCCGGCUUAUAGGCCACAUAAAAAAACUUGGGGGCUUAUUACCCAGGUUAAAGGGGCCAAAGAGAGUUUGUUGCAAAAGCACAACUGAAACAUAGGUACCCCUUGAGCACAGCUCAAAAUAUUGCUUGGGGGCUCUUUUGUUCUAAAGAACAAAGAGUUCAUAACCUUGUGAUAGGCUAUAAAAGCUACACUUGGAAGCCAGGUGUAUUCACCUAAAACCCUGGGUUAUCCUGCCUGUAUGCCAGAUGCUUCUCCAUCAGGUAAUCCUGAUUGACCCGCCGAACUCUUAACAGUCAAUCUUUUAAACAAGACCCUAAACUCGUUAAGGUUAAAACGCCGGUUUGUCAUAAGAGGGCACGGUUUGCGGAAAGCAAGGAGAAGCUCAGGUUGAUAAAGCCGCCUUCCUUGAAACUUGGAUAAAUCAGCCUGUUAUGCACGGUGCUACUCUGACCCCGCGUACUCCUGAUAAGUCUAUCUUUAAAUAAGAAUUGAACUUAUCUGGGUUAAAAUGUCGAUUGGGUAAUAUGAGUGCCGACUCACAGAAAGUGCGUACCUUCCAGUGGCUAAUGCUAGUUUCAUUGAAGAAGAUAUUUUGGCUUGGCGGCCUAUGAAAGCCUUGGAUUUUCUGUUGUUUGUUGCUUUGAACGUCUUUUUGAGAUUUUUCAUUUGUGACAUAGUAAUAUAUGACAUUAACCGGUGUUUAUUGAACCGGCCUGGUUUUGACUAUAAGUCGCCAGUAUGAAAUUAAGAUAAUAUCCGGUGUUUAUUGACCCGGUCCGACUUUGUUCAUAAGCCGGCAAUCUCUAAUAAUUACCAGUGCUCGGAGCUUUGGGCUAUCACCCUUACUGCACUGGCUUGAUAAACCAACAAGUGUGAUCAAAUAUCACAGGUAUCAUAUAUUUUUAAUCAUAUAUGAUUAUUAUUUCGACCAGCCUUGGUUAUAAAUCAUGAUAAGUUCAUGUUGGGGUAGUAUAACCCGUCCAGCGGUAAACCGCCAGGACACUUUUCAUCUGUUGUAUGCAGGAAUGGAUUUCAAGAUUGAUAAUAUCAUCAGGCAUAUAUAGCAUAUCUUCGCAUGAUGGAUAAAGAAGUAUCAUAAACAGUGCAAUAUGCACGUUGGCAUAGAAGAACAAGAAGUUUAAAGCUAGCCUAUUACAAGGUGUUUGGAGCCCAAAAGGAUAACUGUUUUUCAGUCUCACAUACAGCAGAUGAUAAACUGGCCCCAGUUCAUGAAUCUUGACCCGGCUGACUUGAAGGUUGUGAUUUGUCCUUUGCCGGUUCGUCCUCCUCCAUCGUCUGGAAGUUGGGUUUGGACCAGUCAAAGCCACGUAGGGCGACAAAUUCAGCCUCGUCAUCAAUCAGGUCAGACGGAUCAAUAUCAGGGGCGAAAGUGUGCUUACAAAUCGGCGGGAUUAAGUCCAUCACUUUAUAUGAAGGAGUCGCCGUCUUCUGAUUAUCUGCGUCAUAACCCGGCUGAUACUUGGUGAGGUUGGUCUCUUCGGCAAUGAUUGUGGCAUGAGGGCGAAUCUCUUUGACACAAGCAGCAAAGUCUUGUUGGUGAAAAAGAGUUCCAUCUUCCUUGAGACUGGGAUAUCCACUGGCUAUGUCUGCUGGGUCUAAUUCCGGUACCCGGGCUUUUGCACGGCUCGAGGCUGUCACCACUCCGGCUCUAGCACAAGACCGCUUGAUUUCUUGGAACCUGGUGGGCAAUAUGGAUAGCUUCUUCAAGACAUCACUUAACAGAUAUGGUCCUUGAUUCGCUGGGGAGAUAGUGGCAAGAGUCCGCUGAGCUCAAGUGUAUAAUUGCUCAACAAGCAUGUAAACUGCCUUGAGCUUGACCAACGUGUCUCGACUCAGAUUGCUACUCCUGGGACCUGCAAAGUUUACACAAUUAGUUAAGUGGUGGCUCAUAUUAUGAUGACAAAUAUAUACUUUGGGUAAACAACAAGGCGACUUACCAAAGAUUGCAGAAACCAUCUGAGACACACGAUUCUUUAAACCGGUGAGUUUAGUAGUAACUCCUUCCAGAGCCGCCUUGGCUUUCUCAGCCUGCUGCAUCAAGGCAGUCUUCUCAUUUUCCCAAGCCUCUUUCUCCGCAGUAAAGCUGGUUUUCAAUUUCUCUGCUUCAGACACACUCAAAUGGAAUUUGGAUUCAGCCUUCUUUGUCUCAGUCUCCUGAGCCGCCAGUCGGGUCUUUGCCUCGGACAAUUGAGCUUCCAGUUCAGUGGUCGCAGCCUGCUUACAGUAUAAGUUCGUUAAGUUUCAUGGCAGGUUAUAAAAAACAAGUCCCCAAUUGCUUUGCAAGCAACAAUACUUGGCACUUGGGGGCUAAUGUCUGUCAGCGAAAUUCUUCAAAGGAAUUGGCUCUUUCUAAAAAGUCCCAAGUGCUUUGCAAGCAAUAACACUUGGCACUUGGGGCUAAUGCAUAUUGCUUGUUUUCUUGUUAAAGAUGAGCCGGGUGUGCUAUUGACAAACCCAGCCAACUCAUGAGGGAUAUCUAGUCAAGUUUUGGUCCCUUGCAUAAUGACUAAUAGGACCGGCUCACCCAUACUGAUUAAGACGGCCCUUGGGGACUACAGAUGCAAAGUUGUGCUAUCAUCAAAAACCGGUUUAAAAGUUUGUUAACCGUACUUGAAGGAAGUCUAGAAUAAGAAGUUUAUAAACAUUUCAAGUCUACAGAUCAUUCACAUUUAUCAUAAUCAGAAGACUUGGGGGCUGGCAGGGUAUAGAUAUAAGCCGGAUGAUGUACCUCAUACUUUUGGUGCAUUUGCUUCACCAUUUCAAUCUCUAAAUCACGGCCGAAAUGCACUUGACUGACAUAUCCAGAUAAAACUUCAAUAAUACUCAGGUGAGCAUAGUGGGAGACGUCAAACCUCACUUUCUGCCUUUUCAUAACUUCUUGUUUGGCGGAGUGUCUUACUAGAACAGUUGGAUUCCCCGGUUCAACGAAUCUGGUACCAGUGAUUAAAAUGCCAUCACCCUGACUCUCCGGCGGGUUAGCUGAGCUUGACGGUUCAAUCUUUGACGGGUUAAUAGCAGUUUCAUCAGCAGACAGCUCGGGUAAAUCCGGUUGAACAUUGAGAGUAGGGUCAUCUGGCUGUUCAGGGUGUUCUGGCACAAAGGUUGACUGAUCCGGUUCAACAGUUUUCAGAUCCUCGGUCGGCUUUGUCACCUUUGCUUUUUUGGGCUUUGCUUGACUGCUAAGAAGGAUUUGGAUAAGUUAGUACAAUGAUAAAGGUAUAAAGGUACAGAAGAAAGACAUUUCUUAUUACCCACGGGCAGUCUUGAAAGCCGGCAGUUGAGUUUGUGAUGAAUCGCCAGAGAAGGAAUGGGAAAUCUCCUACACGGAUGGAAUCAAAAUUGAGUGAUUAAUUAAAGUAGCUCGUUGGUAAAUACAAGGGUUAAGAUUAAAAAGAACCUCAUUUUGGCAUUUCCGAGGAGUGUUCGGUAAGCCGGAGGAUAAAUCGUCAUCACCACCAGUCUGGAUCUGGCGGUGGCUCUCAUGUUGCUGUCGUUUCAAAAGAAAAUGAGGAUUCAAAUAAGCCAAGGGGUGUGAAAACCUUACUUUCCGGGUUACCCGCCGAAGUUUCUGCCUUGGUAAAGGUUCUGAGUCGGAGGAAAUAAUAGUUACCUCUUCUUCGACUGCCUGGCUGGCCCCCGUGUCAUCCCGGCAAUAGUCAGUGUCAAUAAGGUUGUUAAAAAUAGGCCAAGAGAGUCAAGGGCUACCUCCGACUCAGAGGUAUCAUCCAGCUUAAGUAAUUUAGAGGGACUGGGUUUCUUCUUAGACUUCAUGACGGUCUUUUUGGUGGCUCUCGUAGUAGCCUUAGCCUUUUGGCAGCCUCAUGGUCAUAUUUGGCCUUCCAGAAUUCAGAUUUAGCCUGUGGAAGGAUAGCAUGUUGAAGUUCAUGCAAUAAUUAACUGCUGAGGAAAAAGAAGUCAAAAGAUUUACCUCUGGCACCGGGUUAAGCUUGCAGAAAGGGUUCAAACCCACUAGGCUGCAGUCUUCAUAUUUGCUAUUGACAAGUGUGGUUGCCAUCUCAACAAUGGCCUCUUCAGUCAAACGCAGAGAGCUAUGACAUAAAGGAUCAUCAGUUCCUCCGGUGUAUGAGCACAUCAAGCCGGGUCGGCGGCUUAAAGGUAUGAUCCGCCAUGUGACCCAACAGCGGAUUAAGUCAACUCCAGUCAAACCAUUUCCUAGCAAGGCUUGAACUCUUCUGAUUGUGGGGACAAGUUUCUUGCGUUCGGCAGGUGUAAGUUUAUCAGGAAGUUGGUACUUUGCGUUGAGACGAUCAGCACGAUAACCCGGCAUCGGAUUUUCAUCAGACGAUGAGAUAUCUUUGCAGUAGAACCAUUUUUGAUCCCAGUCCUUGGGAUGGCUUGGCACGACUACUUGAGGGAAAAUGGCAUCUCGUCUAUGUUGAAUUGAAAUCCCGCUAAGUUCCAAACUGGGACCAUUGGUGUACUCAUUUUGGCGGUUCAGGUAGAAGUAUUCUCUGAAAAGCUCGACGCUAGGUUCUUCUUGAAGGUAUACUUCACAGAAAACUUGGAAGUUACAGAUGUUCGAUACGGAAUUGGGUCCAAUAUCUUGCGGAUGGAGUUUGAAAAAGUGCAAGACAUCCCUAAAAAUAUUUGACCCGGGCAGUGAGAAGCCCCGGUUCAUAUGGUCAGUAAAGACAAUGAUUUCACCAUCUUUUGGCUGAGGUCUCUCUUCAGCCGGGUCAGGAGCACGAUAAUGCAUGAAACUUUUCUCUGGUAAGUAUCCAAUAAUGACAGAAUCCUUCAAAGUGCUCUCGGUGACUGUGGAAGGAACCCAGUUGCAAGUUGUCAUCAUUUUCGGCGGCAUGGUGAAAGGACAAUCUAAAAGGAAAUAAUUUGCCGGCUCAAAUCAGUUGGUGGGAUUGCAAGUUAACAAUUACAAUGCAUGUUUAUAAUGGCGGCUUAAGCAAGGGCUAAUGAUAUAUGAAGUAAAGAUAAGCCGGCAGAGUAAGCCACCAUGACUAAGGUAUUCAAGAGUUGCCGAAAGCAAAAUUUGCUAAGUAUUGGGACAAACAGAUUACGCAGAUUGAGGUUAGAAAUUUGGAUCUACCGCUGUUCAGAAAAAAGGAAAUAAAUUCAUGACAGUGGAAAAGCAGAGGUGCCCUAGAGGAGAUCUGUUGCAGUGGGGGUAUAUAUUGUAGUAUUAAAACAAGUGCUAAAACUACUACCGCGCAAGUUUCCUAUGGUUUUUGGAUCUAACCUAUGGAUCUAAAUAAAGAAAAGGAAGGACAAUGACGAACACCGACGAACACCGACGAACACCGACAAACCCUAAUUACGGAUCCAUGACGAGGGAUAGAAGGCUUACUGAUGCUGUUAGGACAGCGGAGUGGCGCUGCAGUUUUCUGGUCUACUCAGGGCGGUGCAGCCGCCGGAGUUGAGGUCGAGGACGGAGGUCGACGACGGCGAGGUUCGUACAGGACGACGUGUUGCAAGGAAGAAGAAAGGAGAAGGAGAAGAGUGGAAGGUGGCUCUAUGGUCCUAUUUGUAAGGAGGCAGGGAAACAGGCAGGCGCGAAAGAUGAGGAGGCCAAAUGAUGGUUAUCCAGCUAAUUGGAUGCCUCGAUUUUCGGGAAGACAUUAAGAUAAGGAUCCGUUAAAGAUGACAUCAUGGCAGGUUUCCGAAAUUUCUGGAGAUGACGUCAUGGUGGGUCACAAGGUUUUCGCAGCAAAUGUGGAAGAAUUUUUCUAAGUCUUGAUGAUUGACAUGAACAAGUUCAAAUCAACCUGGGGCAUAAUGUUGGGGAUAUAACUAUUAGGUAUGACCCGCCCAGGAGGGGCCGGGUCAUCCCUAUAACGACCCAUCUUAAUGAAGCCCAAGAGCAUGUGGUGGUUCAUAGAUAGGCUUGGUAGAGGGCCCAGACCCCGAAGGUAGUUUAAGGCCCAUGAUUAUAAACCGCCAUGUAUGUAAACUUGUAUUGUAAGGUAUAUGAGAAAGGUCACAGAGCCGGAUACAUUGUAUAAAUCGGUCGGGACUCUAAGGGCCACAGGGCGUCAACCCGUGUAUAUAUGGGGACGACCUAGCGGCGGUUUAGGACAAGAAACAACAGAUCGAGAGUCGGGCCAAGCAUAUUCGCUCCCUGCUCAUCGAAACCCUAGCAAUACCAACUACGAACUGGACUAGGCUUUUACCUUCAUCGUAAGGGGCCGAACCAGUAUAAACUCCUCCUGUCCUUUGUCCUGAUUAACCCCUUUAAGCUAACCUCAACGCGAUGGCUCCACGACUAAGUCCUCACACUAGGACAUCUGCCGUGACAAUUCCACGACACAUAGCAAAGUCAUAGUAACAUCAAUCUCAGAACAUAAUGGAUACUAGGGAUCAAACCCUAACAAAACUAACUCGAUUAUAUGAUAAAUCUCAUCCAACCCAUCACCGUCCAGCAAGCCUACGAUGGAAUUACUCACGCACGGCGGUGAGCAUCAUGAAAUUGGUGAUGGAGGAAGGUUGAUGAUGACGAUGGCGACAGAGUCCCCUCUCCGGAGCCCCGAACAGACUCCAAAUCAGCCCUCCCGAGAGAGAUUAGGGCUUGGCGGCGGCUCCGUAUCGUAAAACGCGAUGAAUCCUUAUCUAUAAUUUUUUUCUCCCUAAACAUGAAUAUAUAUAUAGAGAGAGAGAGAGAGUUGGAGUUGAGGUCGGUGGAGCACCAGGGGGUCCACGAGGCAGGGGGCGCGCCCCCCACCCUCGUGGACAAGGUGUGGGCCCCCUGGCCUUGAUUCUUUCGCCUGUAUUUUUUAUAUAUUCCAAAAAUAUUCACCGUUGAUUUUCAGGUCAUUCCGAGAACUUUUAUUUCUGCGCAAAAAUAACACCAUGGCAAUUCUGCUGAAAACAGCGUCAGUCCGGAUUAGUUCCAUUCAAACCAUGCAAGUUAGAGUCCAAAACAAGGGCAAAAGUGUUUGGAAAAGUAGAUAGGUUGGAGACGUAUCAACUCCCCCAAGCUUAAACCUUUGCUUGUCCUCAAGUAAUUUAGUUAACAAACUCAAAGUGAUAAAGAAAAACUUUUACAAACUCUGUUUGAUCUUGUUGUUGCAAAUAUGUAAAGCCGACAUUCGAGUUUCCAGCAAAGAUUAUGAACUAACCAUAUUCACAAUAACAUUUACGUCUCAUGUUUACUCAUAUCAAUGGCAUAAUCAACUAGCGAGCAAUAAUAAUAAAUCUCGGAUGACAACACUUUCUCAAAACAAUCAUAACAUGAUAUAACAAGAUGGUAUCUCGCUAGCACUUUCUGAGACCGCAAAACAUAAACGCAGAGCACCCCUGAAGAUCAAGGACUGAAUCGACAUUGUAAUUCAUGGUAAAAGAGAUCCGGUCACAACCAUACUCAAUGUAAAUUAAUAGCAAUGCAUGCGAAUGACAGUGGUGCUCUCCAACUGGUGCUUUUUAAUAAGAGGAUGAUGAUUCAACAUAAAAGUAAAUAGAUAGGCCCUUCACAGAGGGAAGCGGGGAUUUGUAGAGGUGCGAGAGCUCGAUUUUGAAAUAGAGAUGAAUAAUAUUUUGAGCGGCAUACUUUCAUUGUCAACACAACAACCGAGAUAUCUCGAUAUCUUCCAUGCUACACACAUUAUAGGCGGUUCCCAAGGAGAAUGGUAAAUUUUAUACUCCCCCACCACCAACAAACAUCAAUCCAUGCCUUGUCCGAAACAACGGGUGCCUCCAACUAACAACAAUCCUGGGGGAGUUUUGUUUGCAAUUAUUUUGAUUUGAUUUGAGCAUGGGACUGGGCAUCUCGGUGACCAGCCAUUUUCUCGUGAGUGAGGAGCGGUGUCGGUGUCAAAACCGGCGGAUCUCGGGUAGGGGGUCCCGAACUGUGUGUCAAGGCCGGAUGGUAACAGGAGACAAGGGACACGAUGUUUUUACCCAGGUUCGGGCCCUCUCGAUGGAGGUAAUACCCUACUCCUGCUUGAUUAAUAUUGAUGAUAUGGGUAGUACAAGAGUAGAUCUACCACGGGAUCAAGGAGGCUAAACCCUAGAAGCUAGCCUAUGGUAUGAUUGUUGUAUAUGGAGUUGAUGUCCUACGGACUACAACCCUCCGGUUUAUAUAGACACCGGAUAGGGUUAGGGUUACACAGAGUCGGUUACAAUGGUAGGAGAUCUUGAAUAUCCGCAUCGCCAAGCUUGCCUUCCACGCCAAGGAAAGUCCCAUCCGGACACGGCACGAAGUCUUCAAUCUUGUAUCUUCAUAGUCCUGGAGUCCGGCUGAAGGUAAAGUUCGGCUACCCGAACACCCCCUAAUCCAGGACUCCCUCAGUAGCCCCUAAACCAGGCUUCAAUGACGACGAGUCCGGCACGCAGAUUGUCUUCGGCAUUGCAAGGCGGGUUCCUCCUCCAAGUCCUUCAUAGAAGGUUGUAAACACCAAGAGUAGUGACCGGUUCUGCAAAAUAAGUUUCCACAUAUUGCCAUAGAGAGAAUAAUAUUAACAUAAAUCAAAUCUGCUGACGUAUUCCGCAGUGCGCCAUCACACUACGGCCAAGUCCUUUACUCAAAUCGUUUUUACUUUUCCACCUCAGCACGUUUUGCGAGGCGGUUUCCUUGGCACGUCUUGUCUAAGCAGAGAUCGUGUACCCCCUUUUACGGGAUUCUCAUCAAUACGGACAUGGGUAACCCAACCGCGCCAUUUAUCAUGGCGCUUGAGAGGCAAGCGAGUUUUACCAGGCUAGUGGGGACGCACAACCGCAUCUGCCCAUAUAAGGGGAUAGGGAUCCACCUUUUUUACCUACGCCUUCUUCCUCCUUUGCCUACCCAUCUCCUGCGCACUCAAGCUCCAGCGCCCAAGCCCGCACUUCCCACCUCAACCUUCUCCAGCAAUGUCCGGAGCGGGAGGCAAGUGGAUGGUCUCCUCCGCCAUGGAGGGCCAAGUCAAGAAGCUAAGGAAGGCCGGAUACCUGUCUAAGGACAUCGCGCACCAGCUUCCCGAAAAGGGGCAGCUUCUCCCGACCCCAAGUCCCCAUGAGAGGGUAGUAUUUCUUCCCCACUUCCUCCGCGGACUGGGUUUUCCACUCCACCCAUUUGUCCGGGGGCUCAUGUUCUACUACGGCCUGGAUUUCCACGAUCUGGCCCCGAACUUCAUCCUCAACAUCUCGGCGUUUAUCGUCGUGUGCGAGGCUUUCCUCCGCGUCCGCCCUCAUUUCGGCCUCUGGCUCAAGACCUUCAACGUCAAGCCCAAGGUGGUGCGCGGCAGCCAGGCGGAGUGCGGAGGCGCCAUGGCGGGCAAGAUGGCCAACGUCCUAUGGUUCGAGGGCUCCUUUGUGGAGACCCUAAAGGGGUGGCAAUCCGAGUGGUUUUACAUCACCGAGCCACGCGAUCCGAAAUGGACCGCAGCCCCCGAGUUUCGAUCCGGACCCCCCACGCGGCUUAUGUCCUGGAAAGAGACAGGCCUGUCGUGGGGUGACGAAAAAGAGGUGACCAGAUUGCAAACAUGCAUCCAGUCCCUGGUAAACAAGCCAAUCCAACUUGUUAAUGUAAUCCAGGUUAUGCUCGUCCGCCGGAUCCUCCCGUGCCAACAACGGGAUUUUAAUCUGUGCGAGUUUGACCCGGCACAGCACCAAACCCUUAGCAGGCUCUUCGACACGACGUACAAAGAUGCCUAGAAGGUGCUAUUCAAGGGCGCCGAGGCUCCCGCAUCCGCUUCCGAGGACCACGGAUACAGCUCGCAGCAUCAUGCUAGCGAGGUAAGCUAUCUUCACCUUUUACAGGAUGUUAAGCUUUUUUCAUAGUUUGACUCUAUGCGGGAUCUAAACUCCCUUACCUUUGACAGGCUUGGCGGGCGAUAUCCGGACCGAUUAACUGUCCGACUCCGCUGCUCGAAGACCCAGCCCCAGCUCUACUAGUGAAGCUGCUGGUUCCGGCGCCUUAUGUGGUGCCGGAGAAGAAGGCCAAGAAGAAGAAGACCACGGGGACUCGAAAGAGUGCCCGUAAUGUGGUGGUGUCGGACUCGUCAUCCGACGAGUCCGAGACGCCCUCUUCCUGUGAAAACAAGGAGGAGGAAGAAGAGAACUCUCCCCCCAGCGGAGGAAGGAGGGGAGAGGAAGGUCGCCCCAACGGGGGAGGCCGAGGGGUCUAGGAAAAGGAAGACCCCUCCGCCGGACUACUCUCCUGACGCCGAAGAGAGCGAAGAGGAGUGGCCAAACAGGGCCAAGCGUCCGGCGAAAUCGUAAGUUCGGAUAUCAGAGUAACUCAUGAUGUUCCUUUGUUGCACAGCUUUCCCUAAUGUCGAACGUAAUUAUGCAGCCCGCCCCGGGCCGAUUUCAACGAAUCGUCGGGCGGUUCCCUGGACUCAUCGGACGUGAACUCAGUUCCGCCCGCUGUCUCCCCCCGCACUACAGACGACGCUAAAGUGGCGUCGCGACAAGUUCCGGGGCAGGAGGAGGUGGUCCCGGAGGAGCCGCAAGGCAACCUCCCGGACUCCAGGAGUGAAGGGGAUAAGGCCCCCCAAGGCUCCAAAUCCGGCUUUGUGCCGGACACCGCGCCGGAAUCUUCCACAGUUCCGGACCGCGGUAGGCGAACUCCUUCCAAGAGGAGCAAGCCUUCUGAGCCGGCGGCCUCUGUCCAACCGGAGGUGCCGGACAAUCUGCUGGAGGUGCUUGACGGCGCCUCCAUCGACGAGGGGCACCGUACUAUUAUGAGUAUGGUGAUCCAGAAGGUUCGCUCUGCCAAGAGCAGACUGACUGAAGCUUGCGCUAGCCUUCUAACAGGUUUCGAGGUAAGUAAAAAUAUGUAAAAAUAUUACCGCAUAGACAGUAGCCCCUGAUGCUCUGUUUGGCGUUCGGAAAGAAAAGCCGAAUAGAGGAUCUAUUAAAUAUCACAGGAGUCUAACAAAAAAGAGUCAAUAUGCGUAUGCGGGCUUCCCUGCUAUCCAGCGCCGCACUGACUGCGGAGGUGGGUGUCCUGAAGCAAGACCUUGAGCGGACCGAGCAAGAGCUCGGCCUUGCCAAGCGGCGGCUCGAGGAGAAAGAAGGUAAGCAAUACCUUACAGGAAGAGUGCCUAUAAAAAGGCGUGAUUGCAAAAAAAUAACAGGAUUGUACUGCUUAUUGUAGGGGCCACGACUGAGGUGGCGACCCUUAAGCAAGCGAUGUCUGAGGCCAAAAAGAAAACAGCCGCGGAGCGCACCGAGCGAGACAGACUUGGGACUCAGGUCGGCGAGGUGCAGCAAGAGCUUCAGGCUCUCAUGAAAAAACAUGAGAGUUUGGAGCUUGAGUCAAAGGCGCAAGCAUCCGAGCUCGCGACGGCCCUUGAGACUGCCAAGUCUGCCAAGGCCAAAGCCCAAAAGGCCCUCCAAGAGUUGGAGGAGAUGAGGAAGAUAGCAGGGGGGUAAGGCAUUCUUUAUGCAAAGCAGAAAUAUAAAAGUAAACUACUUGUUACUUACCCGAAUCCGGAGCUCUCCAGGGGCAUUCGCAAAUCUUCCCCGCAGCGUAUCCGACGCCCCCGCAUUCUACCGAGCUGAAGAUGGCAGCUCGACGGAGAAGGUGUUCUGGUCCCAGUAUUCUGAGGCUGGACACCCUGUGCCCUUGAGCGACCAGCUGAAACAGCUGGUCGAGCUCCACAAGGCGGCCGAACAAGCCAUGAAGGGCUUCAUAGUUCGGCUGUGGCCCGGAGAGGCCCUGCCUGGGAGCUAUUUCGGGCUAGUGCGGCGGCUAGUGGAGGCCUGUCCGAUGCUCGAUGUCAUCAAGCGCUCCGUCUGCAUCGAAGGUGCCCGUCGGGCCCUUGCCCGUGCAAAGGUGCACUGGGGUAAGCUGAACGGUGAGAAGCUUGUGAAGGACGGGCCGCCGCUGGGGAAGGAGCAUCGCAAGCCCGAGAACUACUACAACGAUGUUCUUGCAGGUGCCCGCCUUGUGGCGGAUGAAUGUACCAAGGAUGUGAUUUUUGAAUGAACUCGCUCGUGUUUAUCCUGUGCGCUGAAAACUUGUUCAUAUGCGCUAAGCAAUGCUUAUUGAAUUUAAAAUAUUACUUUCUGUGCGGCCGUUUAUCAAACAAUUGAGAGAUGGCCAGUCGUCGGCUUCUGCCCCCAUGCCACUAGUGCUGGGGUGUUCGGGGUAAACCUGAGCGCUCUUUUUCCCAUAGUUGGGUCCUUCAAGGGAGGCGCUCAGCACAACGAACCAGGCAAUCGGACUAUAAUGCUUGAACACUCUCACUUAGCCAUAGAACUCUAUAAUUUUAAAUUUCGGUGAAGCCCCUAGUUUGGAAGACCGAGUUCGGGGCGCUAUCCACGCCUUGGCCGGACAAAGCCAACUCCUCGCUUGAAGUGGCAUAAGUCUUUAGGGACUCGAAAAACCUCUCGAACAGCGACCGGUCUCUCGCCUCAUCAUGACAGUCAGUUUUAGCUUUCUCCACUAAGGUGCUUAACCCAUCUGAACCGGGGCACAAUCACAGUGGUUCUCCUAGUGCUACCUUAGCCGAUAUAGCGGAACGUAAGGCACCAAAACAUAGGAGCCGGGCAAUGUUGGGGAACGUAGUAAUUUCAAAAAAAUUCCUACGCACAUGCAAGAUCAUGGUGAUGCAUAUCAACGAGAGGGGAGAGUGUUGUCUACGUACCAACGCAGACCGACUGCGGAAGCGAUCACACAAUGUAGAGGAAGUAGUCGUACGUCUUCCCGAUCCGACCGAUCCAAGCACCGUUACUCCGGCACCUCCGAGUUCUUAGCACACGUUCAGCUCGAUGACGAUCCUCGGGCUCCGAUCCAGCAAAGCGACGAGGAAGAGUUUCGUCAGCACGACGGCGUGGUGACGAUCUUGAUGUACUACUGACGCAGGGCUUCGCCUAAGCACUACAACGGUAUGAUCGAGGUGGAAUUUGGUGGCAGGGGGCACCGCACACGGCUAAGGAACGAUCUCAAGGAUCAACUUGUGUGUCAUGGGGUGUCCCCUGCCCCCGUAUAUAAAGGAUGAGAGGGGGAGGGCUGGCCGGCCAAGCUAGGAGGCGCAGGAGGAGUCCUACUCCUACCGGGAGUAGGACUCCUCCCCCAAUCCUAUUCCUAAUAGGAUUCCCCAAAGGGGGAGAGAGAGAGAGGGUGGCCGGCCCCUUCUCCUAGUCCUAAUAGGACUAGGGGGAGGGGGGAGGCGCACAGCCCUUGUGGGCUGCCCUUUCACCUUUCCACUAAAGCCCACGUAGGCCCAUUUGGCUCCCGGGGGGUUCCGGUAACCCUCCCGGUAAUCCGGUAAAAUCCCGAUUUUACCCGGAACACUUCCGAUGUCCAAACAUAGGCUUCCAAUAUAUCAAUCUUUAUGUCUCAACCAUUUCGAGACUCCUCGUCAUGUCCGUGAUCACAUCCGGGACUCCGAACAACCUUCGGUACAUCAAAAUGCAUAAACUCAUAAUAACUGUCAUCGUAACGUUAAGCGUGCGGACCCUACGGUUCGAGAACAAUGUAGACAUGACCGAGACACGUCUCCGGUAAAUAACCAAUAGUGGGACCUGGAUGCCCAUAUUGGCUCCUACAUAUUCUACGAAGAUCUUUAUCGGUCAGACCGCAUAACAACAUACGUUGUUCCCUUUGUCAUCGGUAUGUUACUUGCCCGAGAUUCGAUCGUCGGUAUCUCAAUACCUAGUUCAAUCUCGUUACCGGCAAGUCUCUUUACUCGUUCCGUAAUACAUCAUCUCACAACUAACAUAUUAGUUGCAGUGCUUGCAAGGCUUAUGUGAUGAGCAUUACCGAGAGGGCCCAGAGAUACCUCUCCGACAAUCGGAGCGACAAAUCCUAUUCUCGAAAUACGCCAACCCAACAUCUACCUUUGGAGACACCUGUAGUACUCCUUUAUAAUCACCCAGUUAUGUUGUGACGUUUGGUAGUACCCAAAGUGUUCCUCCGGUAAACGGGAGUUGCAUAAUCUCAUAGUCAUAGGAACAUGUAUAAGUCAUGAAGAAAGCAAUAGCAACAUACUAAACGAUCGGGUGCUAAGCUAAUGGAAUGGGUCAUGUCAAUCAGAUCAUUCAACUAAUGAUGUGACCUCGUUAAUCAAAUAACAACUCUUUUGUCCAUGGUUAGGAAACAUAACCAUCUUUGAUUAACGAGCUAGUCAAGUAGAGGCAUACUAGUGACACUCUGUUUGUCUAUGUAUUCACACAUGUAUUAUGUUUCCGGUUAAUACAAUUCUAGCAUGAAUAAUAAACAUUUAUCAUGAUAUAAGGAAAUAAAUAAUAACUUUAUUAUUGCCUCUAGGGCAUAUUUCCUUCAGGCAAACCCAACUAUUGAUCCAAAUCAUGAUUCGAAGCCGAUGCAUAUAGUGCUAUAAGUUCGGGGUGCCGCGCUUGUGAAAGUGUACGGACUUCUUCACACCAUAAUGAGGGGUACUGAAGCCCCUGGCGUGUUUGCCGUACCAUGGUGUACGGGUGCAAUCAUGUUGUUUAAUAAACAUAUAUGUGAAAAGAGGAUGAUGCAAAAAAUAGACAAAAAGCUAUGCAUUGUUGAUAGAGAGGCUAUUUAUCAAAGCCGAACGAUACAAAUAGUGCGAUAAGCAAAAGGAUAUUGGACUAUUUAACAUGUCCUGACCAGGGGCAGGCCGCGGAAUUGUAUUCAAAACAGGUAUACUGCUCAUACCAGAGACCACCUGGGAGUUCCAUAAUGCGGCAUGGCUUGUCUGCCUCCCUGGAUCUUGCAUCGUUUGUGCGGCAGUCGAAUUGCCGAACAGGUCGUCCGAAGUAUGGAGUCCUGAAAGUAAGAAAAAAUUAAAAAAGAAUCCGGCAGCCCCUAGUAUGUUUUAAGCCGUAUUUUGGGCGUGCCGUUAUUGUGCCCCUUCCCCUGUGCCCAUGGUAUUUCAAGGGCGUAGUUAUGUACGCGACGCACUGGUUUUGCUAUGUCGCGAGAGCUAGGGUUGGGGCCGCAUUGCUACGCUUGCUCAGAGCGUGCCAGGCGGUCCUGCUGUGGGUUACUCCGGGCGCGCUUGGCAGUGUCUGGCUUUUUAACGGCCGGACUGGAGAAUUGCCUAAGAAGGCUACUAUGUACUUCCGCUGUGAGAGCCGUCGUGUGCUCCUCCGUACGGAGGGAGCGUUCGGUGUUUCCGUUGACCGUGAUUACUCCUCGAGGGCCUGGCAUCUUGAGCUUGAGAUAUGCGUAGUGUGGCACCGCAUUGAACUUUGUGAAUGCGGUUCAUCCGAGCAGGGCGUGAUAGCCACUGCGAAACGGGACUAUAUCGAAGAUUAACUCUUCGCUUCAGAAAUUGUCCGGGGAUCCGAAGACCACGUCAAGUGUUACUGAGCCUGUACAAUUGGCUUCUACACCUGGUAUAACGCCUUUAAAGGUCGUUUUUGUGGGCUUAAUCCUUGAGGGAUCUAUGCCCAUUUUCCGCACUGUAUCCUGGUAAAGCAGGUUCAGGCUACUGCCGCCGUCCAUGAGGACUCUUGUGAGAUGAAAUCCGUCGAUGAUCGGGUCGAGAACCAAUGCAGCGAAGCCGCCAUGACGGAUGCUAGUGGGAUGGUCCCUUCGAUCAAAAGUGAUCGGGCAGGAGGACCAUGGGUUGAACUUUGGGGCGACUGGCUCCAUCGCGUAUACGUCCCGUAUCGCAUGCUUCUGCUCCCUCUUGGGAAUGUGGGUUGCGUAUAUCAUGUUCACCGUCCGCACUUGUGGGGGAAAGCCCUUCUGUCCAUUGUUGUUCGGCCGCCUGGGCUCCUCCUCAUCGUCGCUGUGCAGCCCCUUGUCUUUGUUUUCGGCUCUUAACUUGCCUGCCUGCUUGAACACCCAACAAUCCCUAUUAGUGUGAUUGGCUGGCCUUUCGGGGGUGCCAUGUAUCUGGCACAAGCGGUCGAGUAUUCGGUCCAAACUGGACGGGCCCUGAGUAUUCUUUUUGAAUGGCUUUUUCCACUGACCGGAUUUAUAGCCUUUGAAUCCGGCAUUGACUGCCAUGUCUUCAUUGUUGUCGCUGCUAACGCAGCGUUUUUGCUUAUUCCGACGUGUCCUGCCACUUUUGUCCUUGGUAUCCGAAUUACCAGGGUUCUUUGAUAAGUUGUUACUGCGAGCUAGCCAGCUGUCUUCUCCCGCGCAAAAGCGGGUCAUGAGUGUCGUGAGGGCUGCCAUAGAUUUCGGCUUUUCCUGUCCCAGGUGCCGGGCAAGCCACUCGUCGCGGAUGUUAUGCUUGAAGGCUGCUAGGGCCUCUGCGUCCGGACAGUCGACUAUCUGGUUUUUCUUUGUUAGGAACCGUGUCCAGAAUUGCCUGGCCGAUUCCUCUGGCUGCUGAAUUAUGUGGCUUAAGUCGUCGGCAUCCAGUGGUCGCACGUAAGUGCCCUGGAAGUUGUCGAGGAAUGCGGCUUCCAGGUCCUCCCAAGAACCUAUUGAGUCUGCUGGCAAGCUGUUAAGCCAAUGCCGGGCCGGUCCUUUAAGUUUGAGCGGGAGGUAUUUGAUGGCGUGUAGAUCAUCGCCGCGUGCCAUGUGGAUGUGAACGAGAUAAUCCUUGAUCCAUACCGCCGGAUCUGUUGUGCCAUCAUAUGAUUCGAUGUUUACGGGUUUGAAACCCUCUGGGAUUUUAUGAUCCAUUACUUCAUCCAUGAAGCAUAGCGGGUGUGCGGCACCUCUGUACUGGGCUAUAUCAUGACGCAGCUCGGAAGAGCUAUGUCUGUUGUGUUCGGCCUGGCCGGAUUUGUUGUAUCCGGAGUGAAGAUCAUCGUCACGUGCCGUAGGGUGCCUGCGCGAUCCGUAGAUUGAUCUUGUUUGUCUUGCCUUAUCCUCCAGUACGUCUCGCAGGUCUGGCGCAUUUUCCCAUGCCUUAGUUGAGCAGCGUCGGGGCAUGGCUUGGGUGGAGGGCCGAGAGGCCUCUCUGUCACGGCCGCGAGGUGGCCGGUCUCCCAUGUCAGACGCUGGUGAUGUAGGUGCUUCCUCCUCUGAUCGGGGUAGCGGCCUGCGCUUUGGGUAAAUCUUGGAGGGGCGUUCGAGUUCAUACUCUUCGGCCGCAAGGACUUCAAUCCAUCUGUCAGCUAGCAAAUCUUGGUCAGCUCUAAGCUGUUGCUGCUUUUUCUCGAGGCUGCUUGCCGUGGCUAAAAGCCUGCGCUUGAAACGCUCUUGUUCGGCGGGGUCUGAUGGUACGACGAAUUCGUCGUCAUCGAGGCUUGCCUCGUCUUCGGAGGGAGGCAUAUAGUUAUCAUCCUCGACCUCUCGGCCUGCCGCUCUCUCAUGAGGGCUGGCUUCUCCAUCUUCCUGUGCCGAAUCUUGCUGGGGUGGGUGUUCUUCGGUGCUAUUCGGGGUAGUAUUAUCUCCCGUGCCGGAAUCACCGUUUUUGCUUUGGCAGGAUUUAGAGCGGCGCCACUGACGCCGGUGCUUUGGCUGUUUCUUGGAGGUGUCAUCCCCCGCUGUUCCAUCGCCAUCUCCAUCUUUUGGAGUAUCCACCAUAUAUAUAUCAUAUGACGAGGUGGCCUUCCAGCGCCCUACAGGUGAUGGUUCCUGUUCGUCUCCUACAUCGUCGUCCAUACCGUCGAUGUCUUCGGAGCCGAAGUCAAGCAUGUCGGUUAAAUCGUCGAUAGUGGCUACAAAGUGGGUGGUGGGUGGGCUUUGAACUUCUUCAUCGUCCGUAUCCCAUCCCCACUGACCGUAAUCCGGCCAAGGCUCUCCUGAUAAAGAGAGAGAGACUUGAGAGAAUUCAGGAUGUCGCCAAAAGGUGAGUGCUGAAAGAUGUCCGUGGCGGUGAACUCCAUUAUCGGCGCCCAAUCGGAUUCGAUUGGCAGGGGCGCGGGGGGUUCGGAGUCCGGGAAGGAGUCCGGAUCCUUGGAGUCAUAGGUCAUGUAGAGUGCAGGGCUGGCGUUCGGCUCGAUUGCCUUUGAGAUCGCAGCCCCCGAGGUGACGUCCAACCGCUCAUCCUCGAUUGGCGCAAUAGGCUCCGAGUUAGGGGUCGGAACCGGUGCGUGUGCGGCCUCCAGGACACUCUCCGGAGGCAGAGCUAGAUCAUGCCCCUCGAGAUAGUGCGGCGCGCUUGGCCGUGGCUCGAACCCGUCGAAGAUCAAGUCUCCGCAGAUGUCAGCCGUGUAGUUUAAGCUUCCAAACCUGACUUGAUGGCCAGGGGUGUAGCUUUCGAUCUGCUCCAGGUGGCCAAGCAAAUUGGCCCGCAGUGCGAACCGCCGAAGAUGAAGAUCUGUCCGAGGAGAAAAGUCUCACCCUGGACCUCAUCGUUGUUGAUGAUCAAGGGAGCCAUCGGGCCUAAAGGCGACGACACAGAGGAACUCUCAAUGAAAGCACCAAUGUCGGUGUCAAAACUGGCGGAUCUCGGGUAGGGGGUCCCGAACUAUGCGUCAAGGCCGGAUGGUAACAGGAGACAAGGGACACGAUGUUUUUACCUAGGUUCGGGCCCUCUCGAUGGAGGUAAUACCCUACUCCUGCUUGAUUAAUAUUGAUGAUAUGGGUAGUACAAGAGUAGAUCUACCACGAGAUCAAGGAGGCUAAACCCUAGAACCUAGCCUAUGGUAUGAUUGUUGUAUAUGGAUUUGAUGUCCUACGGACUACAACCCUCUGGUUUAUAUAGACACUGGAUAGGGUUAGGGUUACACAGAGUCGGUUACAAUGGUAGGAGAUCUUGAAUAUCCGCAUCGCCAAGCUUGCCUUCCACGCCAAGGAAAGUCCCAUCCGGACACGGGACGAAGUCUUCAAUCUUGUAUCUUCAUAGUCCUGGAGUCCGGCUGAAGGUAAAGUACGGCUACCCGAACACCCCCUAAUCCAGGACUCCCUCAAGCGGAGUCCACUCCUCUUGAGAAUAACCCGCCUAGCAUGGAAGAUACAGACAGCCCUAGUUGAUACAUGAGCUAUUCGAGCAUACAAAAUAGAAUUUCAUUUGAAGGUUUCGAGUUUGGCACAUACACAUUUACUUGGAACGGCAUGUAGAUACCGCAUAUAGGAAGGUAUGGUGGACUCAUAUGGAAUAACUUUUGGGGUUUAUGGAGUUGGAUGCACAAGUAGUAUUCCCGCUUUGUACAAGUGAAGGCUAGAACGAGACUGGGAAGCGACCAGCUAGAGAGCGACAAUAGUCGUGAACAUGCAUUAAAAUUAAUCAACACUGAAUGCAAGCAUGAGUAGGAUAUAAAUCACCAUGAACAUAAAUAUCAGGGAGGUUAUGUUGAUUUUUUUUCAACUACAUGCAUGAACAUGUGCCAAGUCAAGCCACUCGAAUCGUUCAAAGGAGGAUACCACUCUAUCAUACCACAUCACAACCAUUUUAAUAGCAUGUUGGCACGCAAGGUAAACCAUUAUAAACUCCUAGCAAAUUAAGCAUGGCAUGAGCAACUAUAAUCUCUAAUUGUCAUUGCAAACAUGUUUCAUUCAUAAUAGGUUGAAUCAGGAACGAUGAACUAGUCAUAUUUACAAAAACAAGAGAGGUCGAGUUCAUAACAGCUUCUCUCAUCUCAAUCAGGCCAUCAUAUAUCGUCAUUAUUGCCUUUCACUUGCACAACCGAACGGUGUGGAUAAUAAUAAUAGUGCACGUGCAUUGGACUAAGCUGGAAUCUGCAAGCAUUCAAUUCAAGGGAGAAGACAAGGUAAUGUGGGCUCUUUGUUAGAUCAACAAUGAUGCAUAUGAGAGCCACUCAACAUUUUCAUUAUGGUCUACUCCUCUCGACCCCCAAAGAAAAUAAAAGAAACAAAACUAUUUACACGGGAAAGCUCCCAACAAGCAAAACAAGAACGAGAAAUCUGUUGGGGUUUUAUUUUAAUUAUUACUACUACAGGCAUGGAAAGUAAACUAGCUAAAAGCUACAACUGAAUUUUUUUGGGUUUUCUUAAGGUUUUUCAAACACACAAGAAGAAAGCUCAAAAACAAAUUAAACUAGCAUUGAUGAUACAAUGAAAAAGUAUGAGCACCGACAACUGGCAUGAGUGUGUGAACAUGAAUGUAAUGUCGGUGAGAGAUACGUACUCCCCCAAGCUUAGGCUUUUGGCCUAAGUUGGUCUAUGGCCAUGGCUGGCCUGGUGGAUAUCCGAAGUUGAAGCUAGGGUCAUACUGAGAUGCAGCAGCUACUGCCUGAAGAGCUGCAGCCUGGAGGCGAGCUGCCUCCGUCCUCCUCCCGUACUCGUUCGCCUCCUCCCUGGUUAUAACAUAUCUCCCUUUUGUCUGAAAGUCAAAGAAAGCAGGAGUAGGGAGAGCAACAUGGACAGUGCGACGUCUGUCAAAGAUUACUCGGUACUGUAGAGCUUGUUCAUUCCUCUCAAUAAACUGAUGGUGAACCAUAGCAUUAAAAUCUAGAUAAGCAGGAGGCAACUCCAUAUCAUUUUCAUGUAUGGGUAUCUCAAGAAAAUUAGCUAAACAGGUUGCAUAAAUUCCACCAAACAAAUCUCCACUUAAACUAUUAAGAUGCAGCCUACAUGCAACAAUAGCCCCCAAGUUGUAUUGUUUAUCUCCUAAUACAGCACUCUUGAGGACACUAAGAUCUGGAACACACAUGUGGCAAGCCUCAUUUUUACUGUUAAUGCAUCUAGCCACGAAGAGAGCAAAAUAAUAUAUGGCAGGAAAAUGAAUGCUCCCUAUGGUAGCUUGUGUUAUUUCUCUAGAUUCCCCCAUAGUGAUACUAGAAAGAAAUUCUUUAAAUUCAUAUUUGCGAGGUUCACUAACACUACCCCACUGCGGGAGUUUAGAAGCAGUAUUAAAAUCUUCUAAGUCGAUGGUAUAAGAUUUAUCAUAGAGAUCAAAUAGGAUAGUGUGAGAAUUGCGUGAUGAUGUAAAUCUAAACCUUCUCACAAAGGAAUCAGUUAGGUGAUAAUAUUGGGGGCACUUAUCUGACACGAAGCCCUCAAGUUCGGCAUUACGCACAUACACGUCAAAUUCCUCCUUAAUUCAUGCUUGGACCAUAAAAUCUUCUGACGGCCAUUCACAAGGUCGCACUUGAGCUUCUCUUGGUAGUUCAUAGUCCAGCUCGCGUAUCGCGGGCUUGGGUCCUUACUUCCUUGAGGAACCACCUUGGUACAUUUUCCUAAACAUAUUUCUUCCUCUGAAAAAUUUCUGAAAUUUUUAGUAACUCAAAAAUAAAAGUGAGCCAAACUCAACAAAAUUGAUAGCAACUACUCCUACAAAUGCCUAGAGGCUAUAUCAUGCAUUAAAACUACUUUUGAUCACAUAAAUUUGACAUGCAAGCUCAAGAAAAAGGUCACCUAAGCAGCAAAAAAAUGCAAUAAAUAAAGCGCUGGAACAAAAACUAAUUGGACCAUUGGAGGAGCGACAUACCGAAGAACAAUCCCCCAAAGCAGUUUUGUGAAUGGAGCUUUGAGCAAGGAGAUCAAAAAUGGCAGCAAGAUGAGCUAGAACUCGGGUUUGAGCUGGUGGAUAUUUUUUCUGGAGGAAGACAAAGUGUGUGGGUGCAAGAAUAAGUGGAGGGGACCCACGUGGGGUCCACGAGGCAGGGGGCGCGCCCAGGGGGUAUGUCGGGGGUUGCUGAUCCCACGUACACCUAUGGGGAUCGGCGGACUGAGCCCCUUUCGGUUCGGCAGGGGGCGGUGGAUGGGCAAAGAGCAGAUCGAGGCGAACACACGAGCGAGACGAUCGAUUUACCCAGGUUCGGGCCGCACGGAUGCGUAAAACCCUACUCCUGCUUUGGUGGUUGUAUUGAGUUCUUGCUCGGGAGCGAUGAGUGCUACAGUAUACUCAAGCAGCUGGCGAGACCGAGCGUGAGAAUGCCCGUUCCCCCCUUUCUGUUGUGCAUGGGCCUCCUUUUAUAUGUCUAAGGGGUCACCGACAGGUGGCAACAGAAGUGGGGGUAAAAAUGUAAAAGGGGUGGUAGUUGGCUCCACCACCUACAACGGUCGUAUCAUACCUAACCCUGACGGCAGGGGACAAGGGCAUUAAAUGCGUGUCUGUGUCACCUAGACGGCACAGAGAGGGACCGCUAGGAACGCCACCGUUUGCCACGAUGGCUAUCUUGUCAGCGCUUGCUUGCCACCGCAUGCCCCCGGCUGCACAGCCUCCCGCCACGUGCGCCACGAGCGGUCCCAGAGCGACAUGUUGGUGGGUGAGCUGGAGCGCGGGCUGCGGAGUAGUAGCUUGCCGUGGCAAGCGCCUUGCCGCGGAUGUCGCCUUGUCGCGUCCGGGAGCUUGUCGCUCACCGGGUCUUGUCGGGACGCGUGGUGCGCCACAGCGAGCUUCUUGAGAUGCUUUGGUUGUCUCCCCGGCAAGCUCCUCUUGCCGGGGUCUCGUCUCCUUCCCGGCUAGCUCCUCUUGCCGGGGCCUCGUUUCCUUCCCGGCAAGCUCCUCUUGCCGGGGUCUUGUUUUGCUCUUGGAUACUUUGUUCUUGAAUGGCCCCAAAGGAACCACGGAGGGUCUUGGCCCCGGCAAGCCUUGCCGCGGGUCGCUGCGACUGCCCAUGCACAAGUUCGGGAUACUAAGGUACCCCUACUUUAGUACACCGACAGGAGCCCCCGGGCCUGGGCCAUACACGGUGCCGAGCGCUGUUGGGCCAGGCCCAAAUCAGUGCACGGGCACGCGCGGCCUGGGUCACGCCAUAUCUGACUCCGCACCCACCGCGCCGUCCCCAAACGGCACGCGUCGAGCGCGGCGCCGUGCGUGACGUGGGCGGUGUGCGCGGGGCUGCGCCCUGCGCGCAUGCGUCACGUCGUGGUAAAAGGGGACGGUUGGCGCCCCCCUCCCCCCCCCCCCCGUAAACGGAGGGAGGCGUGGAGGCGUGGUGGGCGGAAUCGUGGGUAGUUGUUUAUUCGUGACGGCAAAACGUCUGCCCCUUCCCCCUCCCCUCCCUCUUUAUAAGCAGAGGAAACAGGGGUACGGCGCCAUCUGCCCGUUGUUGCUUCCAAUCUCAAAACCUUCGCCCCUCCCCGUCUUCUCAGAGCAAUCAAGAGAGCAGCGCCCUGCUCCCCCCAUUACCACCAGCACCACCACCACCGUCAGCCUCCUCCACCACCUUCGCCAUGGCUCCGAAGGGCGACAAGGGGAAGGCAGUGAAGUCGACCGAGGCGCAGCGGCUCGCGGCGAUGCGGAAGGAGUGAGCCAUCUUCCCCCCCAAGCUCGGCGCGAAGGCGUUGCGGGAGCGGUAUUACCUGUUCUGGUCGGUGGAGACGCGAGCUCACCCGCGGACCAGGGUGCUCCCGGCUGCAGCCCACGCGAAGGCUCCGGACGGGUACCCUUUCUUCGCUGUGUUCUUCUACUGCGGGCUCUGCCCGCCCUUUUCCGAGUUCUUCUGUAAUAUUAUGAACACAUAUGGCUUCUACCUCCUUGACUUCACCCCCAACGCCGUCCUCACCAUGGCAGUUUUCUCACACCUUUGCGAAAACUUUGUCGGAGUCCACCCUAGUGUAGCUCUCUUCCGCCAUUUCUUUAUCCCUCGGGUAGAGAGAGGAGAGACUCUGUCCGGCGGAAUCGCCUGGGUCUCAAGAGCCGGCAAGAAGGAAUCUUAUCUAGAGGGGGAGUUCCACGGCAAGUGGGAGGAGUGGAGAGCAGAUUGGUGCUGGAUUAUCAAGGAGAGCCCGCAGCCAUUCACCGCCCGGCGCCAAGCAGCAGCAGUGCGCGGCAGUGACUGGAGCGACUUGGCCUCGGAAGACAGCAGGCUGACGAUUGCCGUCACCAGGAUCCAGCACCUUAGGCUUGCCGGACUCACCGUAGGCGCUGUUGGCGCGGACUUUCUUCGCUGCCGCAUUGCCCCUCUGCAGGAACGGGGAAGGCCUGCCUGGGAGUUCAAGAACGCGGCGGACAUUAUGAGGCUGCGCCCAGGCCUCAACUAUAAUUUCACUGUCCUCGAGCACAAUGGCAUGCUGCAGGAGCUCUUCAAAUACGAUUCGGAUCACCCCGAAGUAUUCAGGGUGCCGCAGGGCGUCGUCCCUUUGUGCAACAACUCUGCGCUCGACCGCAUCCGGGUGAUGAUGCCGUUGUGCGACUCGCACGGAAUCGAGCCAACUUGGCAAGAGCCCGAAGACAAGGUCGUGCAGUAGUUCUUCGACGACCUGGUGGAAGUGCCAAUCCGCGCCGAUGAGAAGGACGGCCUCAUCCGCGACACCACCGAGGCGGAGCUGGCGUACAUAGCCACUAGGUUGGAGGAGGCAGCGGCAGCCGCCGCGGCAGGCGAAUUUGGGUUUACUCUGGAGGAAGCGGCGGCAGAAGAGGCAAAAACCCGUGCCGAGCGAGACGAGUUCCUCGGCAAGAAAGAGCUCGCCCGGCAAGAGGAACUUGCCGGCAAGGAAGAUCUUGCCGGGAGUGGCGCCGAGCCGAGCAAGCCUGUCGGGGAUGCGAGCGACUCGCUGGAGAUCGGCUCUUCCUCCACUUCGUCUUCCGACAGCCCGCCGCCGGCCGCGCCUCCGUCUCCACCAAGAAGGCGCCUCCGCAAGGCCGGGGAUGUAGCGAGGCGGCAGGCGGGCCAGCAGUCUCCGCGCCGCACGACGCGCUCCACCGCGGCAAGCACUGUUGCCGCGGGAGCACCCCAUGCCGCUGCUUCAACAGGAGCGGGGUCUUCCCGGACUGCCGCUUCUGUUCCCGCCAAGCGACCAAGGGAGCCUACCCCUCCUCCUUCCCGUGCCAGACGCGGGCCGGAUUUUGACUUCUCCGCGUUUAGCUUCGACGAGGAAGAGGAAGAGGAGUAAGUUCUUCUUAUUGUACUUGCAAUUCUUUGUGCUUUGCUGUUUUUUUGUCUUGUCUUGUUUCUCACUUGCCUUCCUCUGUAUCUGUUCCUUUUUAGGACUCUGGCGCAGAGAGCGGCAAAGAGAGCCAAGGUGCCGGUGAUCGUCAUCGAGGACGAACCCACUGCAUCAAUAGGGGACGUGCCUGAGACGAACCCGUCGGACCCGGCGGCUGAUCUUCAGAGCAGCCCCCAGCGUAAGCGUCUUGUUUACUUCCCGCUGUUAGGCGCGCACGAAGAUCCUUACUGUGCUGAUACUUGUUUGUUGACUUGUGCAGGAGCAGAGCAGCCUCACCAGGGGAGCCUGGAGCCCGCUCCCGAAGCGCCAAGGGAGAGUCCUCCGGCAGGGGAGAGGUCUCCGGCAAGGGAGGAGCCCCCGGCGAGGGAGGAGACUCCGGCAAGGGAGGAGCCCCCGGCGAGGGAGGAAACUCCGGCAAGGGAGGAGCCCCCGGCGAGGGAGGAGACUCCGGCAAGGGAGGAGCCCCCGGCAUAGCAAGGAUCUCCGGCAAGGGACUGAUGAAGCCAUGUACCUACGAUAGGGGCACGGACCCGUCCUAAAGAGCCCUACCGUAGGACAUCCCUAGAAGAAGUCACCUUUCAAUCAACUUGAAGGUAUCCCACUUGACGGGUUGAAGACACUCGACCAAGAAGCUAUCACUCGACCAUGAAGUCAACCACUCGACCGACCAAAAGACCUGAAGUCACUCCGCAGGCAAACGGUCGGCUAUUAAAUAGUCUUUAUGGUUAUUAUGACACUUUAUUAGGGACGUUAUCAGUAACGCCCCACCUUAAAUGUACCUUAAACCCUGCAUUACUGAGGGCAGGAGAGGGCUGGCGAACUCUAUAUAAGCCAUCCACCUCCUUAGUAUCAAGGGUUCGCACCCCUGUCAUUUACACACGCAUAAUUCAAUCGACCACCUCCGGGCACCGAGACGUAGGGCUGUUACUUCCUCCGAGAAGGGCCUGAACUCGUAAACCUUGCAUGCUUACAACUUCCCAAUAGCUAAGGUCUAGCCUCCUCAUACACACCCCCCUACCUCACUGUCAGACUUAGAACCACGACAGUUGGCGCCCACCGUGGGGCAUUAGUCUUAGCGCCCAAUUGGAGAAGUUGCGAUUUUUUCGAUCCACUUGAUCAUGUUUUCCUGCGGAGCUUUGGCAGAGGGCCGCGAGAUCCGUCUCGGUGCACUCACUUUCAUCGCCGACGACUCCGCCUGGCUCCAGGAGGCGCCGCUCGAUGUUGACGCGUUCCCCAUCCGCGGUGCGAUGCACUUCCACGCGUGCGUCCGUGGCGUCCUCCUACGGCAGUCGUUGACCCCAUAUCGGUCGACUCCCGUGUCAUCUCCCCGCCCUGUCUCCCGCCAGCGCAAGCGCUCAGGUCGGUCGAGACUCCAGCGGUGGGUGAAGCACGCCGCGGCCCGCCAGUCGGCGGUCCCACAAGUCGCGGCAAUCGAGCCCGACGAAUCCCUCUGCGGCAUGUUCGAUCUGUCGACUGGCUCCGCGGAGACCGCAUCCGAGUGCGAUAGCAGCAACCCUUUGGCGGAGGUUCUGGCGGUCGAGGGGACACGCAGUCCUCCUGGAUUCCAUCGCGCUGAUAGUGGUGCAGAUAGAGGCGAUCCAUCGCAUUCCCACGACGAAUACCUCCCCGAACCUCUUACGUCAUUACAGCGAGAGGAGCUUCGUCGCCGGAACAUGGACGCGCUCCACACUCCUAUUGUUGGAGAAACCCCCGAGGCCCAGGACUUGGAGGACGCGCGCUUGGCUAAUCUGGCCGAGCACACUCGACUGGAGAAUCUACAGCGAGCACUCGACGAGCGAGCGCGUCAGCGGGCUCCCGAGUCCAGUCGACGAUAGCAAGCUCCCGAAUCCAGUCGACGUCAGCUCUUCCCACCACCGCAGGUAUACUGAACUCCAGUUCAGAAUUUGGCUGCCGCGGCCCGCAUAGCAGAGUCAAUCCAGCCCUCUCAGUCAGAGGCUGGCAGAGGAUUGUUGCAGAUCGGAGCAUUGCUCCGAGCGGUGGGAAAUCAGAAUUCCGCCGUCUCUCAGUCGCGGGACAGGAUCCAUAGUCGAUCCGUUGCAACGGAAACAGUCCAGUCGGCUCACAGCCCGAGAUCGCCCCCGAGGCAUGAGGGACGUGGAGACCGGCACGAUCAGUACAGGAGGAAUGAACAGUAUGAUCACCGACCCGACCGUGAUGAUAGAUGUCGAGUGCUAUCCCCUCCCCCGAGGAGUGGAUCGUAUGCACCCCGACAUCGAGAUGACAGGCGCCCCCAUAAUGUUGGGCAGAGGAUCCCAGUCGACCCCAGAGACCCAGGCUUUGACGCGAGAUCCAUCCUCGUUCAAGGUUUGGUGGACAGGAACAGGGCUCAUCGAGAGGGCCACAACAGAGAUACGCCCACCGGCAGCAGAGCACAUACUUCGGGGCCUGAAUGUUUCAGCCGAGCCAUCAGGGCCGCGGUGAUCCCUCCCAACUUCAGGCUGGCGACUGGAGUCAGCAAGUUCACCGGCGAAUCCAAGCCCGACACAUGGCUCGAAGAUUACAGAGUGGCUGUGCAGAUUGGCGGUGGCAAUGAUGAGGUGGCCAUGAAGCAUUUGCCUCUUAUGUUGGAAGGCUCAGCCAGGGCGUGGCUGAAUCAGUUGGCACCCAGCAGCAUUUACACUUGGGAGGACCUCGCCCGAGUGUUUAUCACAACCUUCGAAGGAACGUGCAAGCGCCCUGCAGGCCUUACAGAGUUGCGGUCUUGCGUGCAGAAGCCGAAUGAAACACUGAGAGAAUACAUCCAGAGGUGGAUCACACUGCACCACUCGGUCGAGAACGUGCCAGACCAUCAAGCAGUUUGCGCUUUCAAGGAAGGCAUCAAAUACAGGAAGUUGAAUCUGAAGUUUGGUCGAACUGGAGAGAUGUCCCUGAAUCGGAUGAUGGAGAUUGCCACCAAGUACGCUAAUGAUGAAGACGAGGACUGACUCCGAAGUGGCAAACUCAAAUCAGUCGCCCAAGAAACCGAAGGAAACUCCAGUCGGAAGCAGAAGCGGAAGGCCGAGCCAGCCGCCCCUGGGGAGGCCCUGGCUGUGGCCCAGGGAAACUUCAAGGGAAAACCCAAGGGCACAUGGAAGCCCAAGAAGGUUAAGGAUCAGGAUGGGAAUGAUGUUUUGGACCUGCCAUGUCACAUCCACACCAAGAAAGAUGAAGAGGGAAAUUUUAUUUUCCUGAAGCAUACCACUCGACAGUGCCGGCUCCUGAUUCAGCAGUUCCAGGGCAAGCAGCCCAAGGAUAAGGAAAAAGAACCAGACAGAGUUGAGGACAAGGAGGAUAGUGACGAUGGAUACCCCCAAGUCAAUUCCACCUUGAUGAUUUUUGCUGAUGUCGAAAGCAAAAGUCGACUGAAAGUCAUUAACCGUGAGGUGAACAUGGUUGCUCCGGCGACACCUAGUUACCUCAAAUGGUCUCAGACCGCCAUCACAUUCGACCAAUCUGAUCACCCGACACACAUUGCCACCCCAGGGAGGCAAGAUUUGGUGGUCGACCCGGUCGUCGAAGGUACUCGACUGACCAAAGUCCUGAUGGAUGGCGGCAGUGGCCUGAACAUACUGUAUGCUGAAACUUUAAAGGAAUGGGCAUUCCGAUGUCCAGACUCAGCGCCAGCAACAUGAGCUUCCAUGGAGUCAUUCCUAGGAAGAAAGCCGAGUCACUCGGCCAGAUUGCUCUCGAUGUGGUUUUUGGUGAUUCAAAGAAUUACCGCAAGGAAAAGUUGACAUUUGAAGUUGUGGACUUCCAGAGUGCUUAUCACGCCAUUUUGGGCAGGCCAGCUUACGCACGCUUCAUGGCUCGACCAUGUUACGUGUAUCUUAAAUUAAAGAUGCCUGGCCCCAAAGGUGUGAUCACUGUUACGGGCAACUGGAAGAAAGCAGAAGAAUGUUUUCAGAGGGGAUCAAAGAUCGCCGAUGCUCAGAUGGCAGUGGUCGAGCUGAAAGAGUACCAAAAGACUGCCGACCCGAGUGAAUUGCUGCGGGCUAAGAAGCCUGCCUCCGAGUCAGCUUUUCAGUUGGUUGGCGAAACAAAGAUAGUCCACAUUCACCCGACCGAUCCCGACGCUGCUCCGACUCACAUCUCGACGACGCUCGACUCCAAAUAGGAAGAAGCGCUCAUCCAGCUCCUCCGUGAGAACUGGGACAUCUUCGCAUGGAAACCCUCUGACAUGCCUGGAGUUCCCAGGGGGCUGGCUGAGCACCGUCUGCGAGUCGACCCAAAGUUCAAGCCCGUGAAGGAACAUCUUCGACGGUCCGCCGUCAACAAGAAACAAGCCAUUGGCGAAGAAGUGGCUCGGCUCUUAGCAGCCGAGUUCAUCCAAGAGAUUUACCACUCCGAGUGGCUCGCCAAUGUUGUCAUGGUCCCCAAGAAGGACAAGUCACUCUGUAUGUGCAUUGAUUUCAAACAUAUUAAUCAGGCCUGCCUGAAAGAUCAUUUUCCUCUCCCUCACAUCGACCAAAUUGUCGACUCAUCUGCGGGAUGCGAGAGAUUGUCUUUUCUAGAUGCCUAUUCCGGGUACCAUCAGAUCCGUCUGUAUGGGCCCGACGAAAUCAAAACAGCUUUCAUCACUCCAUUCGGAUGCUUCUGUUACGUCACCAUGCCAUUUGGCCUCAAGAACGCCGGAGCCACAUUCAUGAGAAUGAUCCAGAAGUGUUUACUCACUCAAAUCAGUCGGAAUGUGGAGGCGUACAUGGAUGAUAUCGUGGUCAAGUCCCGGAAAGGUUCUGACCUGCGGGCUAACCUUGCUGAAACCUUUGCCAACCUCAGGAGGUACGAUAUCAAGCUCAAUCCGUCAAAGUGCACUUUCGGGGUUCCAGGUGGAAAGCUACUCGGUUUUCUCGUUUCCGAACGGGGAAUCGACGCCAAUCCUGAAAAAAAUUGGCACCAUACUCCGGAUGAAGCGUCCUGUACGUGUGCAUGAUGUCCAAAAGCUUACAGGCUGCUUGGCCGCCUUAAGUCGAUUCAUUUCUCGACUCGGUGAAAAAGCGUUGCCUCUUUACCGACUGAUGAAGAAGUCUGACAAGUUCGAGUGGACUCCAGAAGCUGAUGCAGCGUUUGCAGAGCUCAAAGCUCUGCUCUCCACCCAGCCGGUGCUAGCUGCCCCAAUCAGCAAAGAGCCUCUGCUGCUUUACAUUGCAGCCACAGGACAAGUUGUCAGUACAGUACUUACGGUCGAGCGGGAAGAGGAAGGGAAGGCCUUCAAAGUUCAACGCCAUGUAUAUUAUGUGUCUGAAGUUUUGACCCCUUCAAAACAAAAAUACCCCCACUACCAGAAGCUUGUAUAUGGGAUUUAUAUGACCACGAAGAAAGUUGCACAUUAUUUCUCUGAACACUCCAUUACAGUCGUCAGCGACGCCCCGUUAUCAGAGAUCCUGCAUAACAGGGACGCAACUGGUCGAGUGGCCAAGUGGGCGAUUGAACUCCUUCCUUUAGAUAUCAAGUUUGAAGCAAAGAAGGCUAUCAAGUCCCAAGCAAUUGCGGAUUUCAUCGCUAAGUGGAUUGAACAGCAACUUCCGACUCACGUUCACUCGGAGCACUGGACCAUGUUCUUCGAGUGAACGUGAGUCGGAAGUUGCUGUUCAAUCCACUCAGCGAUGAAAUCCGUGAUUGCUUGGGACUUGAUAGCCUUGUUUGCUUCAAACUUGAUAUCUAAAGGAAGGAGUUCAAUCACCCACUUGGCCACUCGACCAGUUGCGUCCCUGUUAUGCAGGAUCUCUGAUAACGGGGCGUCGCUGACGACUGUAAUGGAGUGGUCAGAGAAAUAAUGUGCAACUUUCUUCGUGGUCAUAUAAAUCCCAUAUACAAGCUUAUGGUAGUGGGGGUAUCUUUGUUUUGAAGGGGUCAAAACUUCAGACACAUAAUAUACAGGGCGUUGAACUUUGAAGGCCUUCCCUUCCUCUUCCCGCUCGACCGUAAGUACUGUACUGACAACUUGUCAUGUGGCUGCAAUGUAAAGCAGCAGAGGCUCUUUGCUGAUUGGGGCAGCUAGCACCCACGAUGGAUCCAAGAUGCUGAAUAGAUCGGGCGCGGGAGUAGUCUUGGUCUCCCCCCGAGGGGAUAAGCUCAGAUAUGUUCUCCAAAUUCACUUCGAUUCCUCCAAUAACGAAGCAGAGUAUGAGGCACUUUUGUAUGGGUUGCGCAUGGCCAUUUCACUCGGCGUCCGUCGCCUCAUGGUCUAUGGCGACUCAGAUUUGGUGGUUAAUCAAGUGAUGAAGGAGUGGGCCGUCAGGAGUCCGGCAAUGACUGGGUAUUGCAAUGCAGUGCGAAAGCUGGAAAAGAAGUUCGAGGGGUUAGAGCUCCACCACAUCCCCCGACUGAAAAAUCAGGCAGCUGACGACUUGGCAAAGAUAGGCUCCAAGAGAGAAGCCAUUCCAAGCAACGUGUUCUUGGAACACAUUCACUCACCGUCAGUCCAAGAGGAUCCUUUCACAGAAGAAGCCCCGCAGCCGAAAAGUGCCACAGAUCCGACUGAAGUCGAAGUGCCUGCAGUGGUCGACCUAAUCAUGGAAGUCUUGGCAAUCACCCCUGACUGGACAAUACCAUACAUCGCAUAUAUCCUAAGGAAAGAACUCCCGGAGGAGGAGGAGGAGGCUCGACAGAUCGUCUGCCGAUCCAAGGCCUUCACUGUCAUAAGGGGACAGCUGUACAGAGAGAGCGCGACCGGAGUCGGCCAGAAAUGCAUAACACCAAAAGAGGGUCAGAUAAUCCUUAAUGAUAUCCACUCGGGAACCUGCGGUCACCAUGCGUCCUCUCGGACUAUUGUGGCUAAAGCAUACCGAGCUGGAUUUUACUGGCCAAGGGCAAAUGAGAUGGAAAAAGAGAUAGUCGACAAGUGUGAAGGGUGCCAGUUAUACUCCAACAUGUCGCACAAGCCCGCAUCAGCCCUGAAGACCAUUCCGCUCGUCUGGCCCUUUGCCGUCUGGGUAUUGGACAUGGUUGGUCCCCUAAGAACGGGCAGGAGUGGAUUCACUCAUGUACUUGUGGCAGUCGACAAAUUUACCAAAUGGAUCGAAGCUAAGCCCAUCAAGAACCUCGAUGCUGGCACUGCUAUCAGUUUCGUCAGAGGGUUAACAUUCAGAUAUGGAGUCCCGCAUAGCAUCAUCACUGAUAACGGGUCAAACUUUGAUUCGGACGAGUUCAGAGCAUUUUGCGCUUCUCAAGGCACACGAGUCGACUACGCUUCGGUCGCUCAUCCCCAGUCGAAUGGACAGGCUGAGAGAGCAAAUGGUCUAAUUCUCAAAGGGCUAAAGCCUCGACUGAUGCGCGAUCUCAAGCACGCGGUAGGCGCUUGGGUCGACGAGCUUCCGUCAGUUCUGUGGGGAUUAAGGACCACCCCUAACCGGUCGACUGGAAGGACUCCAUUCUUUCUAGUUUAUGGAGCCGAAGCAGUCCUGCCGAGUGAUCUUCUUCAUAAUGCACCCCGAGUCGAACUUUACACCGAAGACGAAGCAGAGCAGGCCCGGCAAGACGCAGUCGACCUCUUAGAAGAAGAAAGGGAGAUGGCCAUGAUCAGAUCGACCAUUUAUCAGCAAGACUUGCGCCGUUUUCACGCCCGGAAUGUGAAAAGUCGAGCCUUCCAAGAAGGGGAUCUGGUCCUCCGAGUGGAUCAACAGAAGCCACACAAACUUGCUCCUACUUGGGAAGGCCCCUUCAUAGUCACCAGAGUCCUCCACAAUGGAGCAUACCACCUCUACAAUGUCGAUCGCUAGAUCGACGAGCCACGAGCUUGGAACGCGGAACUGCUCCGCCCCUUUUACACCUGAGUUCUCCUUUAGAUGAGAUGUAAUAAGAAAAAUAAUUUCUACAGUUCAUUUUUAUCAAAGACAAGAGUGUUCCAAUAAUGGUUGUCACUUUGUUUGCAUACGAAACCCCCAGCGGCUGACUUGGCUGCGAAUCCGUUUCGCCUAAGUUUGAAAAAAAUCCUACCGAGUGGAGAGCAAUCCUCCCACUCGGGGGCUUAGCUGCAGUCCAGUACUCGCCUAAGUUCUCCCACUCGGAAACUUAGCUGUAGUCAAGCACUCGCCUAAGUUUGAAAAAACCCUACCGAGUGGAGAGCAAUCCUCCCACUCGGGGGCUUAGCUACAGUCCAGUACUCGCCUAAGUUCUCCCACUCGGAAACUUAGCUGCAGUCAAGCACUCGCCUAAGUUUGAAAAAACCCUACCGAGUGGAGAGCAAUCCUCCCACUCGGGGGCUUAGCUGCAGUCCAGUACUCGCCUAAGUUCUCCCACUCGGAAACUUAGUUGCAGUCNNNNNNNNNNNNNNNNNNNNNNNNNNNNNNNNNNNNNNNNNNNNNNNNNNNNNNNNNNNNNNNNNNNNNNNNNNNNNNNNNNNNNNNNNNNNNNNNNNNNNNNNNNNNNNNNNNNNNNNNNNNNNNNNNNNNNNNNNNNNNNNNNNNNNNNNNNNNNNNNNNNNNNNNNNNNNNNNNNNNNNNNNNNNNNNNNNNNNNNNNNNNNNNNNNNNNNNNNNNNNNNNNNNNNNNNNNNNNNNNNNNNNNNNNNNNNNNNNNNNNNNNNNNNNNNNNNNNNNNNNNNNNNNNNNNNNNNNNNNNNNNNNNNNNNNNNNNNNNNNNNNNNNNNNNNNNNNNNNNNNNNNNNNNNNNNNNNNNNNNNNNNNNNNNNNNNNNNNNNNNNNNNNNNNNNNNNNNNNNNNNNNNNNNNNNNNNNNUGGAGAGCAAUCCUCCCACUCGGGGGCUUAGCUGCAGUCCAGUACUCGCCUAAGUUCUCCCACUCCAAAACUUAGCUGCAGUCAAGCACUCGCCUAAGUUUGAAAAAAUCCAACCGAGUGGAGAGCAAUCCUCCCACUCGGGGACUUAGCCGCAGUCCAGCACUCGUCUGAAUAAAAGACCAAAGUCCUACACAACAGAUCAAAACCACGAAGAUAUUCAGCAAGAAAUUAAGUUCGGAUAAAGCUUAAAAGGCCCCAGGCCCCGAAUCAAAGUACUCGAGCCCUCGGCUCGGUAGAGUUUAAACGGUUACAAAUCCACUCGGCAUUCCGAGGCAAAUUUAAGGAAAGGCAUAAAAGUUUUUUUUCAUUCCUCAGGUGGAGGACUGGCAGGGGCGACGAACUCAUCUAGGUCGAUUCCGUCCGCAAUACGAGUGGCAGCAGCAAUGAAGGUCUCCAUGAAGUCUUGAAAGUUGUGCCUCUUGGUAUUGGCGACUUGGAUGGCGGCCAACUUCUCUUCUCGCGCCUCCUUGCAAUGGACGCGGACUAAAGAUAGAGCCACAUCAGCGCCGCACCGGGCAGAAGACUUCUUCCACUCCUGCACUCGAUCGGGGAUUCUGUCAAGUCGAGUCAUCAGAGACUCGAGAUCAUUCUGGAGCGUAGACUCUGGCCAAAGUGUUGGGUCGAUCCGCGACAUGGCAACCUUCAGCCGAGCCAAGUAAUCCACGGCGCCAUCGAUACGGGAUUCCAGUCGGAGCAGAUUCAUGGCGGCAUCAUCAUUCACCGGAGAAUUGAUUGGGUACAAACGUGUUUCAAUUCGCCCGGUCUCCUCUUCAAAGUUCUGACAAAACUCUGCAUACAAGACCCAAGGGUAAGCCAACGAUCGCAAGCUGAGUCGACACAAAAGAAAACCAGUUGGAAUUGAAUACGCACCUUCGAGCUUGGUGUACAACGUCUUGGCGAGACUCCUCAAGUAGCUCUCCAGGUCGUCCCUCCUGCGAGCGACGCCUUCCAUCUGCUCGCUCAGGGUGAGGUGCUUCUUCUUCCAAUGCGAGCACUCCUUGUUGGCUUCAUUAAGAGCGGUCUUCAGCUUGGUAUUCUCGUCUUCUAUCUGGCUGACCGAAGCCAGCUUCUGUUCAGCCAGAGCAAUCUUGUCACCAGCCUCCUUGUGGGCAGCAGCCAAGUCCCGAUCCUUCUUCGCCAGAGCCUCGCUCAGUUCUCCUGCAAAAGAAACGAUGAUUGGUUCAGAAACAGCAGAAGAGUACUCAAGCCUAAAAACAAAACCAAUCGACAGGAUCGUCUUACCAGCAACGCCAUCUCUGACCUUCUGCAGCUCCGUUCUGGCCAGCUCCAGAUCAAGGGUCAGUUGAAUACGCUGCUUCUCCAACUCAGUAUAGCGAGACGCAAGCUCACAAGAUUUCUGCAAAAGGAAAAAUCAGUCGACAGACAUCUAAAAUAAGUCCCUUCCAAGUAACUAAGGAAAAAAGGUGACGUUUCUAAGACCACAGCCGAAUCAAAACAUUCGACAGUAGUCUCGGGGACUACACCUAGUGGGUGCACUCAGCGUGCCCCCACUGGUUUUUUAAAAAAAAAGUCAAGUGUCCGCAGUCGACCGGAUAUAGAUCCAUUCGACAUGACUCGACCAGACCAAGAAAGGAAUACAGAUUCAGAAACACAAUGUAAAGACUACAGUCGACUGCCAGCAGUCCACCGUAGUCUCGGGGACUACACCCAGUGGGUGCACUCAGCGUGCCCCCACUAGUCCAAGAAGGGGAAAACACACCCACUGGGUGUACAGAUACAAAGAUCUUCAAAGAAAAAGAGAGGGAGAAAGACUCUUCAAAUAAUCAAGUAUCAAGUCGACUGACCUGGACAUUGCUCUGAAGCGCCGAACUUGCGUCAUAAGCUGCCUGGCUGGCCUCCCGAGCCUUCUUCACAUGUUCCAUCAUGACCCCCGCCUGGCGUAUAGCCUCCUUCGCAGCAGCCACUUCAUCCUCAGGGGCAGGGUAUGCGACAAAAAGCGAAGUUGGAUUUGCAGUCGACGCUGAAGGCUGCGCACUCGACAGGGGAUUGGCAAAGGUCACAGAAGCCCGAGGGGCAUCGCCACCAUCCCGAGCCACGGUCUCAGGCGCCGGAGUAGGCUAGGGAGUCCUGUCAGCCGACGACCUUUUAGUCCUCCUCAUCCUCAGCGGUUCGUUGUCGUCGUCAUCCGGGAGAUCGAUAACAUGAGGAGGGGCUGCAAGGAGGACUUUCAAUCGACCAGAAUUGCAAGAAACGAUCAGUCGACUCAAAAACAAAACGUCAAUAAUCGUACCAGGGUUGGAGGUAACAGCGUCCCCCAUCUCUUGGUCGUCGUCUUUGGCAGAGACCUCGGAGGUAGCAGCACUGCAAAUUUCGAAAAAUCAGCCAAUUAGCUUAACGAGUCGACCAAGGAUCCGUCCUCCAUCGACGAAGGAAAACAAGCUUUAUUACCCGGAAAUAACAAGGACAGUUAUCUUCAUCUUGGGCAGAGUCUUGGGCGGCUUGGAUAGCGUCGUGCGUGGUUGCUUGGGGACCUUCCCAGUCGGUGUUGGAGAAGAAGUCCGAGGGCGUUUUGACGACGGCCCAACCGAGGCAGUCGCCUGGCCACGUUCCUGCGCCGGGUCGUGUGCGAGCUUGGAUUGCCUUUCUGGGCGGGGGGGGUUCGGCCUCCUCCUCCUCCUCUUCGCUGGAGAAGAUGUCAUCGCCUCCAUCUCCUUCACCAUCCGACUCGCACUCGCCCUGGUCAUCCCCGCUCUCGCCUCCGCUCCCUUCUCCUUCCUCAGUCGACCCCUGUGCCCCAUUGGGCGUCGAAUACAUCUUAGUGGUCACCUGAAAGACAGCAGACAAAACAAAAGUCAAUCGACCUACUCAAAAGAAGACCAACGCAGAAAACGAAGAUCUCAGUCGGGAGCAUAAAAAUGCACCUGGUCGACCUCAUACGAACUGUCGAGUGGAAUGACCCUCCUGGCUCCUCGGGGGUUGUCGUUGUUCCCCGUGAUGCUUGACAGCCACCCCUCCAACAUCUCGUCGGUGACCUCCUCCGGGUGGAUCCGAGUGGUGUCCUCGAGGCCAGAGUACAGCCACAUCGGGUGGUCCCGAGCCUGGAGUGGUUGGAUUCGCCUCUUGAGGAAGACUUCCAGCAGAUCCAUCCCCGUCACGCCCUCACGGACAAGUUCAACCACUCGACCCGCCAGUACCUUGACCUGGGCCUUUUCUUCAGGCGUCACCUUCAGAGAAGCAGGCUUUUCGGCUCGGUCGAGGGAGAAAGCUGGGAGCCCAGUCGACUGCCCUGGAGUCACCUGAUCCUGGCAGUAGAACCAAGUCGCCUGCCAGCCUCGGACUGACUCCGGGAAAGUAAUGGAUGGGAAAUAGCUCUUCCCCCUCGUUUGGAUCGCCAAGCCCCCACACAGCUGGAUCACUUGUGUCUUCUCAUCACUCGACUUGGCCUUCUUGACCGACUGAGAGCGACAGGUGAAGAUGUGCUUGAAAAGCCCCCAAUGUGGGCGGCAACCCAGGAACGCCUCACACAUAGAAAUGAAAGCGGCAAGAUAGACUAUGGAGUUUGGGGUAAAGUGAUGGAGCCGCGCUCCAAAGAAGUUCAAGAAGUUGCGGAAGAAAGAAUGGGGCGGCAGAGAAAACCCUCGGUCGAUGUGAGUGGCCAGGAGCACGCACUCACCGUCGUGAGGUUGGGGUUCGAUCUCUCCCCCCGGAAGACGCGCAGCCUUGUGAGGAAUGGCUCCCCCCUCAACCAGGUCAUCAAGAUCCUCCUGCCGGAGCACCGAUGGCAUCCAUUCGCCCUGGAUCCAACCUUUGGGCAGGGCCGUCCGAGAGGAAGAUCCGCCGCGUGCAGACUUCUUCCCCUUCCCCGCCGCCGCCGCCUUCUUCGCGCGCUCCAGAGCGGUCGUCUUGCCCUUCACCAUCGUCGCCGGCGAGAUCUCGAGCUGGUUUGCGAUGGCUGGGCGAGAGCAGAGGAAGCGGGGGAGGUUGCGAAGAAAGAGAGGAAGAAGGAGAAGAGAAGAGCAUGCGCACUGUUGGGGGACUCCGAGCCGGCAACUUAUAAGGGGCCGCUUCUGAGUGGCUGACCAGUAGGCCCAAGCUAUCCAGUCAAAUCCCGUGACAGGCGCGCGCGCAGUACGUGGCAAAAAGGCGGCGCGGAGAUCGAGGAGCCUUCGCAUUGUCACUUCCGAUUACUGCGGCCGCCCCCGUUCCGCGCGCUUCUCAAAAAUCCGAAUCCCGCGAUAUCCGCUGGCUGCAGAACAACUUGUCAAAACAGAAAUCCCGCACGCACCGGCGCUCGAUGCCUCACAGGUAAAGAAAUCCAUUCGACGAAAGACCUAGAACGGAUCAAGGCGACUGAAAGAGGUUAAUGACGUCAUCCGUGACAGUCGACCCAGAACGAAGCACUCAUAUAACCUGAAGAGUCAGUCGGAAAGGUCCCUAACCCCUUUUCUCACUCUAGCCUCGAUCCAUUCGGGGGCUAAUGAUGAAGCCAUGUACCUACGGUAGGGGCACGGACCCGUCCUAAAGAGCCCUACCAUAGGACAUCCCUAGAAAAAGUCACCUUUCAAUCAACUUGAAGGUAUCCCACUCGACGGGUUGAAGACACUCGACCAAGAAGCUAUCACUCGACCAUGAAGUCAAGCACUCGACCGACCAAAAGACCUGAAGUCACUCCGCAGGCAAACGGUCGGCUAUUAAAUAGUCUUUAUGGUUAUUAUGACACUUUAUUAGGGACGUUAUCAGUAACGCCCCACCUUAAAUGUACCUUAAACCCUGCAUUACUGAGGGCACGAGAGGGCUGGCGAACUCUAUAUAAGCCAUCCCCCUCCUCAGUAUCAAGGGUUCGCACCCCUGUCAUUUACACACGCAUAAUUCAAUCGACCGCCUCCGGGCACCGAGACGUAGGGCUGUUACUUCCUCCGAGAAGGGCCUAAACUCGUAAACCUUGCAUGCUUACAACUUCCCAAUAGCUAAGGUCUAGCCUCCUCAUACACACCCCCCUACCUCACUGUCAGACUUAGAACCACGACAGGGACCGCGCCAGCGAUCCCUCGGCGACGGAGACCACAGCGGCAGGCCCUGGCAUAGGUAACUUCCUAGCUUCCAAACUCCCCUCGGCUUCUUGAUCUUCCUCUUGGAUUUUGCUCGAAUUUUGCUUGAAUCUUCUCCCCUCUUCCGGCCAUCAGAUCCAUCUGCUGCAGAGCCGAUGGAGACGGAGGCCGCCACCGAGGAAGCAGCCGGCGCCGGCGAGGAGGCCGCCAGGGCUGCCACCGCGGAGGCGGAUGGGGAGUUUGGCGGUCGUACUGACGACCCGGAGGCCACAGGAGCGCCAGGCACUGCUCCGACCACUGACUCCUCCGCUGCUGCCGCUGCGGCAGGCUCCGAAGAGCCCCAGCCUGGCAUCUACCUGAAGGCCGGUGAGAACAUCUUCAUCAGCCUCCCCUGGGCAUCAAGCUCCAGGGCGCCGACCGAGGGGAGAUGCUGGACGGAGAGGUGCUUGCCUCUGCUGGGCUGAAGCUGGUUGACGCGCCAAGCAGCAGCGGCGAUCCUGAAGAGGAGCGCCUGCUGCGAAAGUUAGUGGCGCUCUACCGCACCCGGCAGGCCAAGCUGGAGUCCCGCGAAGCACUCGUGGCGAAGGCUGGCGCUGAUAUAGAGAAGCGCAUAGAAGAGCUCCGAGGCGCCAAUCAGGAAGCUCUCCGCUCCCUGGCAAAGGAGCUGGAGCAACUCGCCGAAGCGCAGCAGGCCUUCCUCCUCGAGAAGGCCGACGUCGAAGAGCGCCAACGGCUUGCCGCGGAGAAGUUGUCUUCGCAGGAGGGUGACUUGAUGCAGCGGAAGGUCAACCUCGACAGCCACGAGGAGGAACUUGUCGCGCGCGAGCGGGCAGUUGGCGGAGCCGUCAAGCAGGCCGAAGACGCCGCCGCGGCCGCCGAGGCCGCCAAGGCUGAGCUGGAGCUGAAGGUGAAGCAGCUGGAGGCGGACCUCAAGGCAAGCGGCGACGAGCUUGCCGCGCUCAAGCUCGAGCGUGAGAGGGACGCCAACAGCUAUUCGGAGCUGCAGGCCCUUUUCGCCGAAAGGGCAAGGAACUGGACGCCGCCAAGAACUCCAACGCCGAUCUCGAAGUGAAGCUGGCGGCCCUGACCAAAUCUCUGGACGGCGCCAAGGAGCAGGAGACGGCCCUGAAGGAGGAGGUCAAGGCCGGCAAGGUGCUGCUGGCGAAGGCCGCCGCCGCCCGGAAGGCUUUGUCAAAGAAUGUGGAGCACUGGACGGAAGGUCUGGUGAACGUCGCCGCGGACGUCGACAAGGAGCUGGCGCAGUUGGGGAUGGUGGAUCUCGAGUACUCCUCCGACGAGAACCUCCAACCCAGCGCCAAGUUGACCCUGUUCUUCAAGGGUGUGGCGACGGCGCUCCAGCGACUCCGGGAGCAGUUCCCAAAACAGCUUGCCGAUGAGUCGCGCAAGAUCUGCGCGGGAGCUCUCCAGAAGGUGCUGAUGAAGGUGGCCUUCCGCAACCCAGGCCUCCGCCUCAACAACGUCCUCCGAAGCCUGCCGCUAGAUGAUGAUAUGGAGGAGCUCAAGGCCCUUGUCGCACCUAUCGUGGACACGGUGAGCGGAAUUAGGAGGGUCAAAGGCGACCGUGUAGACUAGGCCAUUUAUCUUCUUCUUUCCUUGUCGCUGUCAAUCAUGUUAUGAAAAACAGUAUGUUAGAGCUGCGACAAGUUAUUCUGUAAUAUACUUCUAUCUUGGGUAGUAAUUGCUAUGUUAUUUCCUUUACUUGACUCUUUCCCUUGUAUGCUUUUACCCUACGCUUUUAGGGAACUUGUCAGCGUAGGCUCCUCUACCGCGAGCGCUGAGUGCGGAACGUCAGCAGCCCACUGGCAGUGCCACAGCCGGCAAGAACCUCGUCGCAGAGCUAGUCGCGGCUCGCUUAAGUUGUUGAGCGGACUCGAAACAACAAUAAGGGCGCAACUUAGCUACGAGUUGGUUGGUGCCCGCGUCGACAAGAAACCUUGUCGCAGCUAGCCGCGGCUCGCUUAAGUUGUUGAGCAGGCUCGAAACAACAGUAAGGGCGCGGCUAACCACGAGUCGGUUCCUCCGCGCACAGGUUUUCCAUACAAGGCGGAGUCGUUCAAGGAAAAUAACUUAAAAACUUAAAGGAAAUCUGAUUGCUCAAACAUUGGCACUUAUCUNNNNNNNNNNNNNNNNNNNNNNNNNNNNNNNNNNNNNNNNNNNNNNNNNNNNNNNNNNNNNNNNNNNNNNNNNNNNNNNNNNNNNNNNNNNNNNNNNNNNNNNNNNNNNNNNNNNNNNNNNNNNNNNNNNNNNNNNNNNNNNNNNNNNNNNNNNNNNNNNNNNNNNNNNNNNNNNNNNNNNNNNNNNNNNNNNNNNNNNNNNNNNNNNNNNNNNNNNNNNNNNNNNNNNNNNNNNNNNNNNNNNNNNNNNNNNNNNNNNNNNNNNNUAUGGGGCCUUGUGGCUCUUUUUUUUUUGCUUACCGGGGGUAUGUGCUGAGCACAUAAUCUUUAUGCACGGGGUCUGCACCCGGCUUUGUAUGAAGGAUUACAUGCAACAGCGGCAAGACUUGUACAAAUGGGUGGUUGCCGGACAGGGUCCGACAACCGCGCCUCACGGGCAAAGCUUGCGAAGAUGCUCAAUAUUCCAGGAGUUGCUCACUAGUACGCCAUCUUCAGUCCCAAGGCGGACAGCGCCAAGCCUAGUGACUCGCUUCACCCGGUAAGGGCCUUCCCACUUCGGCGUCAACUUGUUGGAAAUCUUGGCGGACUGAUCACGCCAAAGAAACAAGGUCGCCUUCCUCGAAACUUCUGGCAUUAACUUUGCGGCUAUGGUAGCGGCGCAAAGCUUGCUGGUAGCGAGCGGCUCGCACAGUAGCCUGAAGACGAUCUUCCUCAAGGAGCAGCGUGUCAUCUUGUCGCAGCUGCUCUUGCUCAAGCUCAUCACAAGCGAGCACUCGAGGUGACCCGUAUACGAGUUCCGUGGGGAUAACUGCUUCUGCUCCACAGAUUAGAGCAAAAGGUGUCUGGCUGGUGGCUCGAUUUGGCGUCACUCUGAUCGACCAAAGAACCACCGGCAGCUCCGCGCCAAAGCCUCUGCCGGAGAGGCGGACGGCGGCGGCGAACGGUGCGAGGAGCGAGAUAUGCUCGGACUUCUAACUGCGUUAGAAGGAGCAACAUCUCGUCCAAGCGGCCGCGCCACGCUCGCGCCAGCAUGUUGGCGCGCAUGCUGAUCUCGAGCACUCCCGGACGUAUGGUACCGUGGGUACCAUGACGCCGCUGGUCCUGCGCCUCCUAGGACGGGCGCGGUGUGUGUACGGACGCCGAGGUCUUGGAGUGCGCACGGUCGUUGUGGGAGGCGACCGCGCCGCCGACGUGCGGCGCAGCCUGGUCCUUGGACCUGGCAGCGCCAUGGGUCUCCCCGUCAGCGCCCGUUCUUCCGCUGGCGCCUACUCCUCCAGCCGUUCGCUCUGGCGACGGUGGGCUCGGCGCAGACGGAGCAGCUGCCUCCGAAAUCUUCUUCUUCGGCGGCAUGUUGAUGAAGACGAUGAAGAUUUGGCUCGUGCGAACGCCGGAUCAGGUUCGCACAACCUCGACGCGCCCCCUACCUGGCGCGCCAAAGAUGUCGGGGGUUGCUGAUCCCACGUACACCUAUGGGGAUCGGCGGACCGAGCCCCUUUUGGUCCGGCAGGGGGCGGUGGAUGCACAAAGAGCAGAUCGAGGCGAACGCACGAGUGAGACGAUCGAUUUACCCAGGUUCGGGCCGCACGGAUGCGUAAAACCCUACUCCUGCUUUGGUGGUUGUAUUGAGUUCUUGCUCGGGAGCGAUGAGUGCUACAGUACACUCAAGCAGCUGGUGAGACCGAGCGUGAGAAUGGUCGUCCCCCCCUUUCUAUUGCGCAUGGGCCUCCUUUUAUAUGUCUAAGGGGUCACCGACAGGUGGCAAUAGAAGUGGGGGUAAAAAUGUAAAAGGGGUGGUAGUUGGCUCCACCGCCUACAACGGUCGUAUCAUACCUAACCCUGACGGCAGGGGACAAGGGCAUUAAAUGCCUGUCUGUGUCACCUAGACGGCACAGAGAGGGACCGCUAGGAACGCCACCGUUUGCCACGAUGGCUAUCUUGUCAGCGCUUGCUUGCCACCGCAUGCCCCCAGCUGCACAGCCUCCCGCCACGUGCGCCAGGAGCGGUUCCAGAGCGACACGUUGGUGGGUGAGCUAGAGCGCGGGCUGCGGAGUAGUAGCUUGCCGCGGAUGUCGCCUUGUCGCGUCCGGGAGCUUGUCGCUCACCGGGUCUUGUCGGGACGCGUGGUGCGCCACAGCGAGCUUCUUGAGAUGCUUUGGUUGUCUCCCCGGCAAGCUCCUCUUGCCGGGGUCUCGUCUCCUUCCCGGCAAGCUCCUCUUGCCGGGGCCUCGUUUCCUUCCCGGCAAGCUCCUCUUGCCGGGGUCUUGUUUUGCUCUUGGAUACUUUGUUCUUGAAUGGCCCCAAAGGAACCACGGAGGGUCUUGGCCCCGGCAAGCCUUGCCGCGGGUCGCUGCGACUACCCAUGCACAAGUUCGGGAUACUAAGGUACCCCUACUUUAGUACACCGACAGGGUAGGGCGCGCCCUCCACCCUUGUGGGGACAUGGUGGUUCCCCCUGGUGUGUUCUCAGUGCCAAUAAUUCUUAAAUAUUCUGGAAAAAAUAUAUUUCAUUUUCGAGACAUUUGGAGAACUUUUAUUUUCGGAGUAUUUUUUAUUGCAAGGAUAAUUUAGAAAACAGACAAAAAAUACUAUUUUUACUUUAUUUAAUCUAAAUAAUAGAAAAUAAAAGGAGGGUACAGAGAUUUGUGCUUUCUAACUUCAUCCAUGUCAUGCUCAUCAAAAGGAAUCCACUAACAAGGUUGAUCAAGUCUUGUUAACAAACUCAUUCUGAAUCGCAUGAAACUGGAGAAUUUUCGAGUAACACUAGGUUACCUCAACGGGGAUAUGCACAUCCCCAACAAUAAGCAUAUCAUAUUUCUUCUUGACAGUAGGAAGAGGAAAUUCAAAACCUCCAAUAAUAAUCGUUAAAAAAUUUCCAAUAGAAUUGAUACUAUGGACUUGAGGUUGUUUCCUCAGAAAGUGUACCAUAUGCUCAUUACCAUUAACAUGAAAAGUGGCAUUACCUUUGUUGCAAUUAAUAACAGCCCCUGCAGUAUUCAGGAAGGGUCUACCAAGAAUAAUAGACAUACUAUCGUCCUCGGGAAUAUCAAGAAUAACAAAGUUCGUUAAAAUAGUAACGUUUGCAACCACAACAGGCACAUCCUCACAAAUACCGACAGGUAUAGCAGUUGAUUUAUCAGCCAUUUGCAAAGAUAUUUCAGUAGGUGUCAACUUAUUCAAAUCAAGUCUACGAUAUAAAGAGAGAGGCAUAACACUAACACCGGCUCCAAGAUCACAUAAAGCAGUUUUAACAUAGUUCCUUUUAAUGGAGCAUGGUAUAGUUGGUACUCUUGGAUCUGCAAGUUUCUUUGGUAUUCCACCUUUAAAAGUGUAAUUAGCAAGCAUGGUGGAAAUUUUAGCUUUCGAUAUCUUUCUUUUAUUAGUAACAAUAUCCUUCAUGUACUUAGCAUAAGGGUUCAUUUUAAGCAUAUCAGUCAAACGCAUACGCAAAAAGAUAGGUCUAAUCAUUUCAGCAAAGCGCUCAAAAUCCUCAUCAUCCUUUUUCUUGGAUGGUUUAGGAGGAAAAGGCAUGGGUUUCUGAACGCAUGGUUCUCUUUCUUUAUCAUACUUCCUAGCAACAAAGUCUCUUAUCAUAAUGUUGAUUCUUUGAUUGUGGGUUAUCAAGAUCAACAGCUGGUUCAAUCUCUACAUCAUUGUCAUUGCUAGGUUGAGCAUCAACAUGAACAUCUUCAUUAACAUUAUCACUAGGUUCAUGUUCAUUACCAGAUUGUGUUUCAGCAUCAGAAAUAGAAAUAUCAUUAGGAUUCUCAGGUGUGUCAACAAUAGGUUCACUAAAAGCAUGCAAAGUCCUAUCAUUUUUCUUUUCCUUCUUCUUAGAAGAACUAGGUUCAUCAGCAUUAGUUCUCUGAGAAUCUUGCUCAAUUCUCUUAUGGUGGCCCUCAGGAUACAAAGAUUCCUGAGUCAUUUUACCCCCUCUAGUCAUAACUCUAACAGCAUUAUCAUUUUCCCUAUUAUUUAAUUCAUUGAGCAAAUCAUUCUGAGCCUUAAGUACUUGUUCUACUUGAGUGGUAACCAUAGAAGCAUGUUUACUAAUAAGUUUAAGUUCACCUUUAACUCUUGUAGGACCUUGAAGUAGAUGUGUCUAGAGGGGGGUGAUUAGACACAUAAUGCUAAAGUUGCAAUUUUUAAGCUUUUUUGGUUUAAGUGGAGUUUAAGCGUAAUUUCAACAAUCACAAUACAUAUCAAGUAAGUAUGCAAAGAGUAUAUAGGCAGCGGAAAGUAAAGCAUGCAACUUGCAAGAAUGUAAAGGGAAGGGUUUGGAGAAUUCAAACGCAAUCGGAGACACGGAUGUUUUUCCCGUGGUUCGGAUAGGUGGUGUUAUCCUACAUCCACGUUGAUGGAGACUUCAACCCACGAAGGGUAACGGUUCCGCGAGUCCACGGAGGGCUCCACCCACGAAGGGUCCACGAAGAAGCAACCUUGUCUAUCCCACCGUGGCCAUCGCCCACGAAGGACUUGCCUCACUAGCGGUAGAUCUUCACGAAGUAGGCGAUCUCCUUGCCCUUACAAACGCCUUGGUUCAACUCCACAAUCUUGUCGGAGGCUCCCAAGUGACACCUAGCCAAUCUAGGAGACACCACUCUCCAAGAAGUAACAAAUGGUGUGUUGAUGAUGAACUCCUUGCUCUUGUGCUUCAAAUGAUAGUCUCCCCAACACUCAACUCUCUCUCAUAGGAUUUGGAUCUGGUGGAAAGAAGAUUUGAGUGGAAAGCAACUUGGGGAAGGCUAGAGAUCAAGAUUCAUAUGGUAGGAAUGGAAUAUCUUGGCCUCAACACAUGAGUAGGUAGUUCUCUCUCAGAAAUAGGAUGUUGGAAGUGUAGGCUUAGUCUGAUGGCUCUCUCUUCGAAUGAAGAGGAGGUGGAGGGGUAUAUAUAGCCUCCACACAAAAUCCAACCGUUACACACAAUUUACCAAUCUCGGUGGGACCAAAUCAACAAACUCGGUCGGACCGAAAAGGUAAACCUAGUGACCGUUAGAGAUUUCGGUGGGACCAACUGGAUCAACUCGGUGGGACCGAUGUGCUAUGGUUAGGGUAAAUCCAAAACUCGGUUUGACCGAUUACUCAAACUCGGUGGGACCGAUUUGGGUAAUAAGCGAAACAGAGAGUUGGCCAAGCAAACUCGGUGGGACCGAUUGCAUAUCUCGGUGGGACCGAGAAUAAUGCAAUAGGUAACAGAGAGUUUGCAAGCCCAUCUCGGUGAGACCGAGAUCCCAUCGGUGAGAUCGAACUGAUUAGGGUUUUUGGCAGUGGCUAUGACAAGUGAAACUCGGUGGUGCCGGAUAGGAAUAAUCGGUAGGUCCGAGUUUGGCUUUAAGUUUAGGUCAUAUGUGGAAGUGGGAAAGUAGCUGAGGAUUUUGGAGCAUAUCAUUAAGCACAUGAAGCAAGAGGUUCAUUAAGCAACACCUCAUCCCUCCUUGAUAGUAUUGGCUUUUCCAUGGACUCAAUGUGAUCUUGGAUCACUAAAAUGUAAAAUGAAGAGUCUUGAGCUUCAAGCUUUAGCCAAUCCUUUGUCCUUAGCAUCUUGGAGAACUUCCCACAACCUUUAGUCCAUGCCACUCCAUUGUUGAACUUAUCUGAAACAUACUAGAUGAAAACGUUAGUCCAACAAGAGAUAUGUUGUCAUCAAUUAUCAAAACCACCUAGGGAGCACUUGUGCUUUCAAUCUCCCCCUUUUUGGUAAUUGAUGGCAACAUACAUCAAAGCUUUAGAUAAAGAUAUAAAGAACAGUAAGUAAAGCUUUGGAAGGACAUGUAACAAACAUAGGCUCCCCCACAUGUAUGCAAUCAUAUGAAUAUAAAAUAUAGAAGCAUGUGAGAGCAUAAUCAUGAUAGAGUAGGCAAUGUGUUACAUGUAUCUUGGCCAUAUGCAUCAGAGUAAAAGAUUAUCAAGGAAAAUACCUUCAUGCUCAUGAGUCCUUCUUGCAAACAGUAUGUACAUAAGCAAGAACUCCUCAUACUCAUGAUUUUGAUGCAUACACUUACCUUGUAGUUUUUGAGUUGGCUUAGGAUAGAAUGAACCUGCACAAACAAAGUUAGAUAACACAGGUACAUCCACUAGCCAGGGCAAACAAAAGAAACCACAAGAGUACCAAGACUGGGAUGACAUGUAGAGAGUAAGUACUAGGUACUACAUUGAAUUCAACAUGUCACCAAGAGUAAAGAUAUGCAAUGAAUUUGACUGAUUUCUUUCCCUUAGGUGUCUUGCUCCCCCUGAAUCUUACAUGGGAUAUUGGGAGAAGAUAGGAAACAGAAAAUCAGAGCUGAAAGAUACAACUGGAUAGAACUUAAUGCAAAUAAGCGUAUAUGAACAUGUCUUUCCCCCAAAAAGACAUGUGACAUCUCUCCUCUUGAACAUCAAGCAUCUGGGAUCCUUGAGUAUUUUCUCUCCCCCUGGAAAUCUCUUUCUCCCCCUUAAUAACAUCUGGGAUCCUUGAGACUUUCUCUCCCCCUUGAGCUUCCCUUAACAACAUCUGGGAUCCUUGAGACUUUCUCUCCCCCUUGAGCUUUGAUGUGAUCUCUCUCUCCCCCUUUGACAUCAAUUUCCAAGAAAGGGCCUUCUGGAAUCCGGCGUAUAGGUUUGGUCCUUGAGACUCAGCACAAAGAAAUGGAUAAAAUUGUGAUGCUUGUAGAGGACAAGAUUCAUUGAGUGGAGCUGGAUCAGAAGAAAUGUAGAACAAGUGGCAAACUGUUUUUCUGAUUGUAAGGUCGGUGGCACCGAGUGGCAUAUUUCGGUGGUACCGAAAGGAUUCGGUUGGACCAAAAAUUGCAAGUUGGUGAAACCGAGUUUACACAGAGAAAAACACUUGUCACCUCAGCUCACUAGACAUGUAGGAUCUCACAAAGAUUUGCAAUGAAUUACCUGAAGGAUUUGCAAGGAAUUAAAUGCAGAAAAUGCAGAACAAAAACAAAGAGAAAAGAGAAGAAACUGAAAGAUCUAGAUGAAGUUUUUUUUUGAAAAAGAGAAAGAAAAUAAACAUGCAUGAGACAAAUGCAAUAACACAAGAAGGAACACAAGAGAACUUCAUCUAGAGUUGGGCGGUGACAUAGUCACCUAUGUUAGAGUAUAUUGACUUAGGAGUCAAGUGAGAACACUUGAUCAUAGGUCAUACUCAUCGUUUAAGCUCAAAAUGGGGUUACCAUUUUUCGUUUAAGCAUCUUGAUGUAUUCACAUCUUGUUGAGUUGCUUUGACUCAUGUCUUGGAGUAAAGCUUCUCUAAGAUGGAAUAACAUACCUUGGGUGGUGGUGUGGUUCUUGCUCAUGUAGUUGAACUUGUGUGGGUGCUCAAGGUUGAUGUAGCUCAUCAAGAGUUGGGAGCACCACUUGGAGUGUGAGUUCACCUACCUACAUGGAUUAGUUCUUGCAAGGAAGAGCACUUGUGUAUCCAAAAAUGACAAUCAUGAAGCUCAACAUAGAAUUUAUCAAAGGAUAUGUUUGAAUGGUUCUGUGCUUCCUUGUCUUCAACCAUCAUUGUGUAGAGACUUGGUGAUGUAAAGAUUGCUCAAGAUGUGAGUGAGUCGCAAUCUCAUGAAAUUAGAUUCAACCAAGCACCUACAUGGGUUAGACAACAUGCAAGGUACAAAUAUAUCCAAGACAUAAGAUAGUCAUCAUAAGAGAUACAUCAUGGAUUAGUCCUAACCUCAUGUCUUGCAUGUAUCCAAUGGAGUUCCUACUCCAAGUUCGAAGCAUCAAUGAUGUUCAAUUCACCUCUCAACCUGCAAAACACUUUCUCAUCAAGUGGUUUAGUGAAUAUAUCCGCUAAUUGCUUAUCGGUGCGAACAUGCUUAAGAUCAAUGUCACCCUUAGCAACAUGAUCUCGAAUGAAGUGAUGACGAACUUCAAUAUGCUUAGUUCGAGAAUGUUGUACAGGAUUAUGACCAAUUUUGAUAGCACUUUCAUUUUCACAAAGCAGUGGAACAUGUUUAACAUAGAUUCCAUAAUCUUUGAGAGUUUGGGUCAUCCAAAGUAAUUGAGCACAACAUGAAACAACGGCAAUGUAUUCCACUUCGGCGGUGGAUAAGGAUACGGAGUUUUGUUUCUUGGAAGACCAAGACACAAGAGAUCUACCAAGAAAUUGACAAGUACCCAAAGUUGACUUUCUAUCAACCUUGUCUCCGGCAUAAUCCGAGUCGGAAUAGCCAACAAGAUCAAAAGAAGACCUCUUAGGAUACCAAAUGCCAAAAUUUGGUGUAUGAAUUAAGUAUCUAACUAUCCUUUUCACGGCCUUAAGAUGACAUUAUUUAGGAGCAGCUUGAUAUCGGGCACACAUGCACACACUUAGCAUAAUAUCGGGACGUCAAGCACAUAGGUAUAACAAUGAACCAAUCAUAGAGCGAAAAACCUUUUGAUCAACCGGUUCACCAUCUUUGGUCAAAUCAUUAUGCCCACUAGUAGGCAUGGGUGUAGACAUACCUUUGCAUUCUUGCAUAUUGAACUUCUUGAAUAAGUCAUUGGUGUACUUUGUUUGAGAGACAAAUGUACCUUCCUUAGUUUGCUUGAUUUGCAAACCGAGAAAGAAUUUGAGUUCACUCAUCAUAGACAUCUCAAACUUUUCUGACAUUAGCUUUCCAAACUUUUCACUAAAGAGAGGGUUAGUUGAACCAAAUAUGAUAUCAUCAACAUAAAUUUGGCAUACAAAUAGUUCUCCAUUAACCCUUUUAGUAAAAAGAGUAGAAUCAAUUUUACCAAUUUCAAAACCACUUGCAAUAAGGAACUUGGUCAGGCAUUUAUACCAUGCUCUAGGAGCUUGUUUAAGACCAUAAAGAGCUUUGUGAAGUUUGUAAACAUGAUUUGGUUUCUUAGGAUUGAUAAAGCCGGGAGGUUGUUUGACAUAAACUUCCUCCUCUAUUUCACCAUUUCGAAAAGCACUUUUAAUGUCCAUUUCGUACAAGGUGAUAUUAUGGUGAUUAGCAUAAGCAAGUAAGAUGCGAAUGGACUCAAGUCUAGCAACGGGAGCAUAUGUCUCGCCAUAGUCCAUACCUUCGACUUGUGUGUACCCUUGGGCGACGAGACGUGCUUUGUUGCGAACCACUUGUCCAUCUUCAUCUUGCUUGUUGCGAAACACCCAUUUGGUACCAAUGAUGUUGUGGUUGUUGUCGGGCUUCUCAACCAAUGUCCAAAUUUGGUUCCUCUCAAAGUUGUGUAGCUCUUCAUGCAUAGCGUUUAUCCAAUCCGGAUCUCCCAAUGCUUCUUCGACCUUCAUAGGUUCAAUGCUAGAGAUGAAUGAAUAGUUUUCACAAAAGUUAGCUAAACGAGUUUUUGAGCGAGUGAUUCUCCCGGUUUGUAUAUCAUUGAAGAUUCGCUCGACGGGAUGAUCUUUGGCGAUUCUUGCUCGAACUCGUGAGAGCUUUUGCUUGGGUCUUCGUUGAACAUCUUCUUCAUCUUGUUAUUCUUCUUGGCCUUCUUCAUUGUUGACGUUGUCGUUUUCUUGUCGUGGUGGAGAAGGAGGUUGUUGAUGUUCGUCUUGAUGCAUUUCCUUGUCUUCUUCAUCUUGGUGUGUCCCACUUGUGGAUGCUUCCGUAUCGAUUCUUGGUUCACCUUGUUGUGAAGUAGAAGCUUCCACUUGGACGGAUGAAGUACUCUCCUACACCUCCGUUGGACGAAUUUUGCCAAUGGGCAAGUCUUGGAUUGCUUCCGAAGGGUCUUUGUCUCCUACAUCAAUUGGCAAUUGCUCUACUUGCGAGCCAUUAGAUUCAUCAAACUUCACAUCUACCGUCUCUUCAACCUUUCGGGUGAAAUUGUUGUAGACACGGUAAGUGUGAGAGUUUGAGCCAUAACCAAGUAGGAAACCUUCAUGAGAUUUAGGAGCAAACUUUGAAAGAUGAUGCUUAUCAAGAAUGUAGCACUUUGAGCCGAAUACUCAAAAGUAUCCAACUUGGGGUUUGUUACCGGUGAGGAGCUCGUCUGCCGUCUUGCCGAGUAGCUUGUGAAGGUACAAGCGAUUUGUUGCGUGACAAGCUGUCUCAACCGCUUCUGCCCAAAAGUGCUUCGGCGUCUUGUAUUCAUCAAGCAUCGUUCUUGCCAUUUCGAUGAGUGUCCGGUUCUUCCUCUCAACAACUCCAUUUUGUUGAGGUGUGUACAUAGCUGAGAGCUCGUGUGAAAUCCCUUCUUCGUCAAGAAAGGUGUCCACAUUUGUGUUCUUGAACUCCGUUCCGUUGUCACUCCGAACCUUCUUGAUCUUCACGUCAAACUGAUUUUGGGCCUUCCUAGCGAAGUUUUUGAAGAUCUUCUGUACCUGCGACUUGUCAUUAAGAAAGAACACCCACGUAAAUCUUGAAAAAUCAUCAACUAUAACUAGACCAAAAGAAUUUCCACCGAGACUCUUGUAGGCGUUGGGACCAAAGAGAUCCAUGUGAAGUAGCUCGAGUGGCCUCCUUGUGGUCAUGAUGUUCUUCAUGGUAUGCCUUCCUCCAACCUGUUUACCUGCUUGACAAGAACUGCAAAGUCUAUCCUUAUCAAAUAUGACAUCGUUAACUCCAAGGAUAUGAUUUCCUUUAAUAAGCUUGUCAAGGUUUCUCAUGCCAACGUGACCUAGUCAUCUAUGCCACAACCAACCUUUUGAGGAUUUAGCAAUAAAGCAAGUUUUAGGUUGUGCCUUUUUAGAGAAAUCGACAAUGUAAAGAUCACCUCUACGCAUACCGGUAAAGACCAUUUUAUGAUUGUCUCGACGAAAUACUUGGCAAUCUACCUCAGUAAAUAGGACAUUCAAACCGAAAUCAGCAAGUCUAGAUACUGAAAGUAAGUUGUAGCCGAGUGAUUCAACGAGCAUGAAAUUUUGAAUGGAACUAUCAUGUGAGAUGGCCACCUUACCAAGGCCAACCACUUUACCCUUUGAGUUAUCACCAAAGGUGACAUAUUUUCGAGGGCCGUCAUUUUCAGCAAUCUCACGGAACAUCUCUUCAUCUCCAGUCAUAUGAUCAGUACAUCCACUAUCAAGAACCCAUUCCUUUCCUCCUGACGCAUAUCCUCGAAGAUUUGGCGUAAGACCAAAAUGUCUCAUUGCAUCAUCAAGAUCGAAGUCACUAUCAUCAGCAUCAUCAUAGUAUCCAUGUUCAUCAUGAUCUUGUGACUCAUCAUUUCCUAGAGAGGGUAAUUCAUUAGAUAAAUGAUCAUCAAAGUGGUCACUUUUAUGAAUUCUUAUAGCUUCAGAUAUAAUAUCACUAAUGAUUCCAACAUCUCCUUUAGCUCGCUUGAGAUUGGCAAGCUCAAAUAGACAAUCACCAAAGCUAGGAUCACUAGAGUUCAUCUUACUCAAGGCAAUAGAUUUAUGGAGAAUUUCAUCCAAAUUUUUCAAGGAAUGGUCGGGAAAUCAUUCCUCAAGAAAUUUCCAUAUAGUAUAGGCACAAUUAAGAGUAGGCAAACUAGCAAUCAAAUUUUUGGGCAAUCCUCUAAUGAUGAGCUCGAUAGUUCUAAGAUUGCGAAUCAUGUCAAUAUCUUCAUCUAGGGUAGGAUGCAAGGGAUCAAUAUGAGGUGCACAAGGGCUAGCAAUAUACUUGUUCAAAUGGUAUUGGUUGAAGAUUACAAGCAUCUCAUUUUUCCACUCAUGAAAAUAUUCUCCAUCAAGAAUAGGCACUCUAUGUCUAAGACUCCCUAAAGUAGACACAUCCAUCUUCCUCCAAUGGUGAUUAAACCAAGGCAAUGGAGACCAAAGCUCUGAUACCACUUGUAGGACCUUGAAGUAGAUGUGUCUAGAGGGGGGUGAUUAGACACAUAAUGCUAAAGUUGCAAUUUUUAAGCUUUUUCGGUUUAAGUGGAGUUUAAGCGUAAUUUCAACAAUCACAAUACAUAUCAAGCAAGUAUGCAAAGAGUAUAUAGGCAGCGGAAAGUAAAGCAUGCAACUUGCAAGAAUGUAAAGGGAAGGGUUUGGAGAAUUCAAACGCAAUCGGAGACACGGAUGUUUUUCCCAUGGUUCGGAUAGGUGGUGCUAUCCUACAUCCACGUUGAUGGAGACUUCAACCCAUGAAGGGUAACGGUUGCGCGAGUCCACGGAGGGCUCCACCCACGAAGGGUCCACGAAGAAGCAACCUUGUCUAUCCCACCAUGGCCAUCGCCCACAAAGGACUUGCCUCACUAGCGGUAGAUCUUCAUGAAGUAGGCGAUCUCCUUGCCCUUACAAACUCCUUGGUUCAACUCCACAAUCUUGUCGGAGGCUCCCAAGUGACACCUAGCCAAUCUAGGAGACACCACUCUCCAAGAAGUAACAAAUGGUGUGUUGAUGAUGAACUCCUUGCUCUUGUGCUUCAAAUGAUAGUCUCCCCAACACUCAACUCUCUCUCAUAGGAUUUGGAUCUGGUGGAAAGAAGAUUUGAGUGGAAAGCAACUUGGGGAAGGCUAGAGAUCAAGAUUCAUAUGGUAGGAAUGGAAUAUCUUGGCCUCAACACAUGAGUAGGUAGUUCUCUCUCAGAAAUAGGAUGCUGAAAGUGUAGGCUUAGUCUGAUGGCUCUCUCUUCGAAUGAAGAGGAGGUGGAGGGGUAUAUAUAGCCUCCACACAAAAUCCGACCGUUACACACAAUUUACCAAUCUCGGUGGGACCGAAUCAACAAACUCGGUCGGAGCGAAAAGGUAAACCUAGUGACCGUUGGAGAUUUCGGUGGGACCGUCUGGAUCAACUCGGUGGGACCGAUGUGCUAGGGUUAAGGUAAAUCCAAAACUCGGUUUGACCGAUUACUCAAACUCAGUGGGACCGAUUUGGGUAAUAAGCGAAACAGAGAUUUGGCCAAGCAAACUCGGUGGGACCGAUUGCAUAUCUCGGUGGGACCGAGAAUAAUGCAAUAGGUAACAGAGAGUUUGCAAGCCCAUCUCGGUGAGACCGAGAUCCCAUCGGUGAGACCGAACUGAUUAGGGUUUCUGGCAGUGGCUAUGACAAGUGAAACUCGGUGGCGCCGGAUAGGAAUAAUCGGUAGGUCCGAGUUUGGCUUUAGGUUUAGGUCAUAUGUGGAAGUGGGAAAGUAGCUGAGGAUUUUGGAGCAUAUCAUUAAGCACAUGAAGCAAGAGGUUCAUUAAGCAACACCUCAUCCCUCCUUGAUAGUAUUGGCUUUUCCUAUGGACUCAAUGUGAUCUUGGAUCACUAAAAUGUAAAAUGAAGAGUCUUGAGCUUCAAGCUUUAGCCAAUCCUUUGUCCUUAGCAUCUUGGAGAACUUCCCACAACCUUUAGUCCAUGCCACUCCAUUGUUGAACUUAUCUGAAACAUACUAGAUGAAAACAUUAGUCCAACAAGAGAUAUGUUGUCAUCAAUUAUCAAAACCACCUAGGGAGCACUUGUGCUUUCAACUCUAGACAUUUAAUCACUCAAGUGUUCAGUCAUAUAGGCAUUACGUUUGAAUUGUCUACCAACAUAAGCAUUGAAGUUUUCUUAUUUAACAAUAAAGUUAUCAAACUCAUCUAAGCAUUGGCUAGCAGACUUAUUAUGGGGAAUAUCACCUUCAUAAAAUCUAUAGAGAGAAUUAACCUUUACUACCUGUGUCGGGUUAUCAAGACCAUGUAUUUCUUCAAUAGGUGGUAAAUUCUUAACAUCUUGAGCUUUAAUACAUUUUUCUUUCAUAGCUUUCUUUGCCUCUUGCAUAUCUUCAGGACUGAGAAAUAGAAUACCCCUUUUCUUUGGAGUUGGCUUAGGAGUUGGUUCAGGAAGUGUCCAAUCAUCUUCAUUACUCAACAUAUUAUUCAAUAGCAAUUCAGCUUGAUCAACAGUUCUUUCCCUGAAAACACAACCAGCACAACUAUCUAGGUGGUCUCUAGAAGCAUCGGUUAGUCCAUUAUAAAAGAUAUCAAGUAUUUCAUUUUUCUUGAGAGGAUGAUCAGGCAAGGCAUUAAGUAAUUGGAGAAGCCUCCCCCAAGCUUGUGGGUGACUCUCUUCUUCAAUUUGCUCAAAAUUAUAUAUUUCCCUUAAGGCAGCUUGUUUCUUAUGAGCGGGGAAAUAUUUAGCAGAGAAGUAAUAAAUCAUAUCCUGGGGACUACGCACGCAACCAGGAUCAAGAGAAUUAAACCAUGGUUUAGCAUCACCCUUUAAUGAGAAUGGAAAUAACUUAAGGAUAAAGUAAUAGUGAGUUUUCUCAUCAUUAGUGAACAGGGUGGCUAUAUCAUUUAAUUUAGUAAGAUGUGCCACAACAGUUUUAGAUUCAUAGCCAUAAAAAGGAGCAGAUUCAACCUAAGUAAUUAACUCAGGAUCGACAUAGAAAUCAUAAUCCUUAUCAGAAAUACAGAUAGGUGAAGUAGCAAAAGCAGGGUCAUAUUUCAUUCUAGCAUUCAAAGAUUUUUCUUUAAGCUUAGCUAGUAAUUUCUUAAGAUCAUAUCUAUCAUUGCAAGCUAAGAAGUCUCUAACAGUUUCUUCAUCCAUAACAUAACCCUCAGGCACAACAGGCAAUUCAUAUCUAGGGGGAGAAUCUUCAUCAUCGCUUUCAUCAAUAUUAUCAGUUUCAAUAAUUUCAUUCUCUCUAACCCUAGAAAGUUGUUCAUCAAGAAAUUCACCUAGUGGCACAGUAUUAUCAAGCAUAGAAGUAGUUUCAUCAUAAGCAUCAUACAAAGGAGAAGUGGCAUCAUCAAUAACAUGCGACAUAUCAGAAUGAAUAGCAGGAGUAGGUGUCGCGAGUUUACUCAAAAUAGAAGGUGAAUCAAGUGCAGAGCUAGAUGGCAGUUCCUUACCUCCCCUCGUAGUUGAGGGGAAAAUCUUGGUUUUUUCAACUUUCAAGUUCCUCAUAGUGAUUAGCAGAUAUAAAUCCCAAGUGACUCAAAGAAUAGAACUAUGCUCCCCAGCAACGGCACCAGAAAAUAGUCUUGAUAACCCACAAGUAUAGGGGAUCACAACAGUUUUCGAGGGUAGAGUAUUCAACCCAAAUUUAUUGAUUCGACACAAGGGGAGCCAAAGAAUAUUCUUUGGUAUUAGCAGCUGAGUUGUCAAUUCAACCACACCUGAAAGACUUAAUAUCUACAGCAAAGUAUUUGGUAGCAAAGUAAUAUGAUAGUAGCGGUAACGGUAGCAAAAGUAACAGUAGCAGUUUUGUAGUAAUUGUAACAGUGGCAACGGAAAAGUAACUAAGCAAAGAUCAAUAUGUGAAAAGCUCGUAGGCAAUGGAUCAGUGAUGGAUAAUUAUGUCGGAUGUGAUUCCUCAUGCAGUAGUUAUAACAUAGGGUGACACAUAACUAGCUCUAGUUCAUCAAUGUAAUGUAGGCAUGUAUUCCGAAUAUAGUCAUACGUGCUUAUGGAAAAGAACUUGCAUGACAUCUUUUGUCCUACCCUCCCGUGGCAGCGGGGUCCUAUUGGAAACUAAGGGAUAUUAAGGCCUCCUUUUAAUAGAGUACCGGACCAAAGCAUUAACACUUCGUGAAUACAUGAACUCCUCAAAUUACGGUCAUCACCGGUAAGUAUCCCGAUUAUUGUCACUUCAGGGUUAACGGAUCAUAACACAUAAUAGGUGACUAUAGACUUGCAAGAUAGGAUGAAGAACUCACAUAUAUUCAUGAAAAUGUAAUAGGUUCGGAUCUAAAAUCAUGGCACUCAGAUCCUAGUGACAAGCAUUAAGCAUAGCAAAGUCAUAGCAACAUCAAUCUCAGAACAUAAUGGAUACUAGGGAUCAAACCCUAACAAAAAUAACUCGAUUACAUGAUAAAUCUCAUCCAACCCAUCACCAUCCAGCAAGCCUACGAUGGAAUUACCCACGCACGGUGGUGAGCAUCAUGAAAUUGGUGAUGGAGGAAGGUUGAUGAUGACUAUGGCGACGAAUUCCCUUCUCCGGAGCCCCGAACGGACUCCAGAUCAGCCAUCCCGAGAGAGAUUAGGGCUUGGUGGCGGCUCCAUAUCGUAAAACGCGAUGAAUCCUUCUCUCUGAUUUUUUUUCUCCCCGAACAUGAAUAUAUAGACUUGGAGUUGAGGUCGGUGGAGCACCAGGCGGCCAUGAGGCAGGGGGCGUGCCUAGGGGGGUAGGCGCACCCCCACCCUCGUGGACAGGGUGUGGGCCCCUGGCCUUGAUUCUUUCGCCAUUAUUUUUAUAUAUUCCAAAAAUAUUCUCCGUUGAUUUUCAGGUCAUUCCAAGAACUUUUAUUUCUACACAAAAAUAACACCAUGGCAAUUCUGUUGAAAACAGCGUCAGUCCGGGUUAGUUCCAUUCAAAUCAUGCAAUUUAGAGUCCAAAACAAGGGCAAAAGUGUUUGGAAAAGUAGAUACGUUGGAGACAUAUCAGGGUGCAAGGCGCGCCCACACCCCUGGGGAACGCCCCCUGCCUCAUGGACCCCACGUGGACCCCCUCCACUUAUUCCAGCACCCACUCACUUCGUCUUCCUCCAGAAAAAAUCCUCACAUAGCUCAAACCCGUGUUCUAGCUCAUCUUGCUGCCAUUUUCGAUCUCCUUGCUCAAAGCUCCAUUCACAAAACUGUUUGGGGAGAUUGUUCUUCGGUAUGUGACUCCUCCAAUGGUCCAAUUACUUUUUGUUAUAGUGCUUUAUUUAUUGCAAAAAAACUACUAAGGUGACCCUGUUCUUGAGCUUGCAUGUCAGAUUUAUAUGGUCCAAAGUAGUUUUAAUGCAUGAUAUAGCCUCUAGGCACUUGUGGGAGUAGUUGCUAUCAAUUUUGUUGAGUUUGGUUCACUUUUAUUUUGAGUCACUAAAAAUUUCAGAAACUUUUCAGAGAAAGAAAAUGUUGAAGAGAUUAUCGAGGGGCUCUUCGAGCCGAAGCUCGAAGGAUAAGCAGAGUGAGGAGAAUAAAAAGCCCAAAUACAAUCUUCCUCACACUCCGGAGGUUCGGCCGUGUGAAUGGCCUUGUGAUGAGUUCUUGAGAGCCGCUGGAAUUCAUGAUGACUUUUAUUACUUGGCUGAGAAUGCAGGCCUCACCGACUUCCUCCGCGACCAGCGCGAACAGUAUCUCCUACUCACUAAUAUUUUCGUGCAAAAUUUUUAUUUCCAUGCUAAGAAAUCACCACCUUCAGUGGUGUUUCACUUAUAUGAUGAGGUUAAGGAGAUGUCACUCCAUGAUUUUUUUUGGGUCUGCAAGAUACCCUUUGAGGGCAGCAUCGAGGAACCACAUCGUAGUGAUGUGGAUGGGUUUAUUGGUAGAAUUGCCGUAGGAGAAACUAGGAAAGUUUCUGAUGCAAGAAUUACUAGUGUACAUUUUCCUGUUCUACGUUACUUUGCGAUAUUUGCUAGUAGAUGCUUAAUUGGUCAUGGGAAUAGUGGAAAUCUUAGUGCACCUGAUAUUGUCAUUUUGCGCCAUGCUUUGUUUUGUGAUACAACUUUCAGCUUAGGUGCUAUUGUUGCUAAACGAUUAAGUGUGAACCGUACAAAGGGCCCCAUCUUCGGAGGCAUCUUUUCUUCACGCCUUGCUGAACACUUUGAGAUACCUAUUAGGCAUUAUGAGAAAGAGAAAAUGUUGUUGCCCCCUAUUUUUCUAGAUUAUAAGAGUAUGGUAGCACAUGGUUUUAUUGUUAAAAAUAAGAAGAAUAUGCUUAUGUAUAAUUUGAUAUUUGAUAAAACUCACUGUGAGAUUAUUACCUUGCCUGCACCCUCUUUGUUUAACAUACUUUUAGAUACGUACCUCAUCUUACCCAAGGCCAUUUACGCAUACUGGAGGCUGAUACAAGUCCCAGAACCUGAGCCUGAGCCACCACUUGACCCUUAUCGACAGUCAGUUUAUCAGUGGGGUCCGGAGGAGAUCGCCAACCAGUGGCAUCCUGGGGACCCUCCUCAGUACACCGGAGAGAGUAGCUUCGAUUAGUGGCCAUAGACCAACUUAGGCCAAAAUCCUAAGCUUGGGGGAGUACGUAUUUCCCACCGACAUUACAUUCAUGUUCACACACUCAUUCUAGUUGUCGGUGCUCAUACUUUUUCAUUGUACCAUCCAUGAUAGUUUAUUUUCUUUUCUAAGCCUUCUUCUUGUGUUUUUGAAAAUUUUAAGAAAAACAAAAAAAAUAGUUGUAGCUUUUAGCUAGUUUACUUUCCAUGUCUGUAGUAGUAGUAAUUAAAAGAAAACCCAAAAAGAUUUCUCGUUCUUCUUUUGCUUGUUGGGAGCUUUCCCGUAUAAAUAGUUUUAUCUCUCUUCUUGUUCUUUGGGGGUCGGGAGGAGAAGACCAUGAUGAAAAUGUUGAGUGGCUCUCAUAUGCAUUAUUGUUGAUUUAACCAAGAGCCCAUAUUACCUCGUCUUCUCCCUUGUAUUAAAUGCUUGCAGAUUCCAGCUUAGUCCAAUGCACGUGCACUAUUAUUAUCCACACCGUUUGGUCGUGCAAGUGAAAGGAAAUAAUGACGAUAUAUGAUGGAUUGAUUGAGAUGAGAGAAGCUGGUAUGAACUCGAAUCUUGUUUUUGUAAAUAUGAUUAGUUCAUUGUUCCUGAUUCAGCCUAUUAUGAAAGAAACAUGUUUGCAAUGACAAUUAGAGAUUACAGUUGCCCAUGCCAUGCUUAAUUAGCUAGGAGUUUAUAAUGGUUUACCUUGCGUGCCAACAUGCUAUUAAAAUGGUUGCGAUGUGGUAUGAUAGGGUGGUAUCCUCCUUUGAAUGAUUUGAGUGGCUCGACUUGGCACAUGUUCACGCAUGUAGUUGAAACAAAAUCAACAUAGCCUCCAUGAUAUUUAUGUUCAUUGUGAUUUAUAUCCUACUCAUGCUUGCACUCAUUGUUGAUUAAUUUUAAUGCAUGUUCAUGACUGUUGUCGCUCUCUAGUUGGUCGCUUCACUUGUACCUACCGUUCCAAGUAAAUUUGUAUGUGUCAAACUCUAAACCUUCAAAUAAAAUUAUGUUAUGUAUGCUCGAAUAGCUCAUGUAUCAACUAGGGAUGUCUAUAUCUUCCAUGCUAGGUGGGUUAUUCUCACGAUGAGUGGACUCCGCUCAUCACUCACGAGAAAAUGGCUGGUAACUGGGAUGCCCAGUCCCAUGCUCAAAUCAAAAUAAUUGCAAACAAAACUCCCCCGGGAUUCUUGUUAGUUGGAGGUACCCAUUGUUUCGGACAAGCCAUAGAUUGAUGUUUGUUAGCGGUGGGGGAGUAUAAACUUUACCAUUCUGUUUGGGAACCGCCUAUAAUGUGUGUAGCAUGGAAGAUAUAGAGAUCUAUUGGUUGUUAUGUUGACGAUGAAAGUAUACCACUCAAAAUAUUAUUUAUCUCUAUUUCAAAACUCGAGCUCUGGCACCUCUGCAAAUCCCUGCUUCCCUUUGCGAAGAGCCUAUCUAUUUACUUCUAUGUUGAGUCAUCAUCCUCUUAUUAAAAAGCAUCAGUUGGAGAGCACCGAUGUCAUUCGCAUGCAUUGCUAUUAAUUUACAUUGAGUAUGGUUGUGACCGGAUCUCUUUUACCAUGAAUUACAAUGUCUAGUCAGUCCUUGAUCUUCAGGGGUGCUCUGCAUUUAUGUUUUGCGGUCUCAGAAAGGGCUAGCGAGAUACCAUCUUGUUAUAUCAUGUUAUGAUUGUUUUGAGAAAGUGUUGUCAUCCGAGAUUUAUUAGUAUUGCUCGCUAGUUGAUUAUGCCAUUGAUAUGAGUAAACAUGAGACCUAAAUGUUAUUGUGAAUAUGGUUAGUUCAUAAUCUUUGCUGAAAACUUGAAUGCUGGCUUUACAUAUUUGCAACAACAAGAUCAAAUGGAGUUUGUAGAAGUUUUUCUUUAUCACUUUCAGUUUGUCAACUAAAUUACUUGAGGACAAGCAAAGGUUUAAGCUUGGGGGAGUUGAUACGUCUCCAACGUAUCUACUUUUUCAAACACUUUUGCCCUUGUUUUGGACUCUAACUUGCAUGAUUUGAAUGGAACUAACCCGGACUGACGUUGUUUUCAGCAGAAUUGCCAUGGUGUUAUUUUUGUGCAGAAUUAAAAGUUCUCGGAAUGACCUGAAAAUCCACGGAGACACGUUUUGGAAUUAAUAAAAAAUAUUGGCGAAAGAAUCAGCAUCAGGGGGCCCACACCCUAUCCACGAGGGUGUAGGGCGCUCCCCCUGAGUGCGCCCCCUACCUCAUGGGCCCCCUGAGACUCCACCGACGUCAACUCCACUUCAAUAUAUUCACGUUCGGGGAGAAAAAAUAAGGGAGAAGGAUUCAUCGCGUUUUACGAUACGGAGCCACUGCCAAUCCCUAAUCUUCAUCGGGAGGGCUGAUCUGGAGUCCGUUUGGGGCUCCGGAGAGGGGAAUCCGUCGCCAUCAUCAUCAUCAACCUUCCUCCAUCACCAAUUUCAUGAUGCUCUCCACCGUGCGUGAAUAAUCCCAUCGUAAGCUUGCUGGACGGUGAUGGGUUGGAUGAGAUUUACCAUGUAAUCGAGUUAGUUUUGUUAGGGUUUGAUCCCUAGUAUCCAUUAUGUUCUAAGAUUGAUGUUGCUAUGACUUUGCUAUGCUUAAUGCUUGUCACUAGGGCCCGAGUGCCAUGAUUUCAGAUCUGAACCUAUUAUGUUUUCAUGAAUAUAUGUGAGUUCUUGAUCCUAUAUUGCAAGUCAAUAGUCACCUACUAUGUGUUAUGAUCUGGUAACCCCGAAGUGACAAUAAUCGGGACCACUCCCGAUGAUGACCGUAGUUUGAGGAGUUCAUGUAUUCACUAAGUGUUAAUGCUUUGGUCCGGUACUCUAUUAAAAUGAGGCCUUAAUAUCCCUUAGUUUCCAAUAGGACCCCACUGCCACGGGAGGGUAGGACAAAAGAUGUCAUGCGAGUUCUUUUCCAUAAGCACGUAUGACUAUAUUCAAAAUACAUGCCUACAUUACAUUGAUGAACUGGAGCUAGUUCUGUAUCACCCUAUGUUAUAAUUGUUUCAUGAGGAAUCGCAUCCGACAUAAUUAUCCAUCAUUGAUCCAUUGCCUACAAGCUUUUCACAUAUUGAUUUUUGCUUAGUUACUUUUCCGUUGCCACUGUUACGAUUGCUACAAAAAAACUAGUGUUGUUACUUUUGCCACCGUUACCGUUACUUCCAAACUACUUUUUGUUACUAAAUACUUUGCUGCAGAUAUUAAGUCUUUCAGGUGUGGUUGAAUUGACAACUCAACUCCUAAUACUUGAGAAUAUUCUUUGGCUCCCCUUGUGUCAAAUCAAUAAAUUUGGGUUGAAUACUCUACCCUCAAAAACUGUUGCGAUCCCCUAUACUUGUUGGUUAUCAGUUUGUCCCCUUCUUGGCCCAUUAGGCCCAUGUAGUUGCCAGGGGGAUGCCCGGAACCCCUCCCGGUGACCCGAUAUGUACCCGAUACCCCCAGAACACUUCCGGUGUCUGAAUACCAUCGUCCUAUAUAUCAAUAUUUACCUCUCGACCAUUUCAAGACUCCUCGUCAUGUCCGUGAUCUCAUCCAGGACUCCGAACAGCAUCCGGUCACCAAAUCACAUAACUCAUAUAAUACAAAAUCGUCAUCAAACGUUAAGCGUGCGGACCCUACGGGUUCGAGAACUAUGUAGACAUGACCGAGACACCUCUCCGAGACAUGAACGAGACACAUCUCAUAUUGGUUCUCACAUAUUCUACGAAGAUCUUUAUCGGUCGUACCAUAAUGACAACAUAUGUUAUUCCCUUUGUCAUCGGUAUGUUACUUGCCCGAGAUUCGAUCGUCUGUAUCUUCAUACCUAGUUCAAUCUCGUUAUUGGCAAGUCUCUUUACUCGUUCCAUAAUACAUCAGCCCACAACUAACUCAUUAGUCACAUUGCUUGCAAGGAUUAUUAUGGUGUGCAUUACCGAGAGGGCCCAGAGAUACCUCUCCGAUACUCGAAGUGGCAAAUCCUAAUCUCGAUCUAUGCCAACCCAACAAACAUCUUCGGAGAUACCUAUAGAUCAUCUUUAUAAUCACCCAGUUACGUUGUGACAUUUGAUAGCACACAAGGUAUUUCUCCGGUAUCCAGGAGUUGCAUAAUCUCAUAGUCAAAGGAAUAUGUAUAUGACAUGAAGAAAGCAAUAGCAAUAAAACUUAACGAUCAUUAUGCCAAGCUAACAGAUGGGUCUUGUGUUGGGGAAUGCAGUAAUUUCAAAAAAAAAUCCUACGCACACGCAAGAUCCAUCUAGGUGAUGCAUAGCAACGAGAGGGGAGAGUGUUGUCCAUGUACCCUCAUAGCCCGUAAGCGGAAGCAUUAUGAUAAUGUGGUUGAUGUAGUCGCACAUCUUCACGAUCCGACCGAUCCUAGCACCGAAGGUAUGGCACCUCCGCGAUCUGCACACGUUUAGCUCAGUGACGUCCCACGAACUCUAGAUCUAGCUGAGGUUGAGGGAGAGCUUUGUCAGCACGAUGGCGUGAUGACGGUGAUGAUGAAGUUACCGACGUAGGGCUUCGCCUAAGCACUACAACGANNNNNNNNNNNNNNNNNNNNNNNNNNNNNNNNNNNNNNNNNNNNNNNNNNNNNNNNNNNNNNNNNNNNNNNNNNNNNNNNNNNNNNNNNNNNNNNNNNNNNNNNNNNNNNNNNNNNNNNNNNNNNNNNNNNNNNNNNNNNNNNNNNNNNNNNNNNNNNNNNNNNNNNNNNNNNNNNNNNNNNNNNNNNNNNNNNNNNNNNNNNNNNNNNNNNNNNNNNNNNNNNNNNNNNNNNNNNNNNNNNNNNNNNNNNNNNNNNNNNNNNNNNNNNNNNNNNNNNNNNNNNNNNNNNNNNNNNNNNNNNNNNNNNNNNNNNNNNNNNNNNNNNNNNNNNNNNNNNNNNNNNNNNNNNNNNNNNNNNNNNNNNNNNNNGGCGCGCCCCAAGGGGGGAGUCCUACUCCCGGUGGGAGUAGGAUUCCCCCUUUCCCUUGUUGGAGUAAGAGAGAAAGGAAGGGGAGAGAGGGGGAAGGAAGGGGGGGGCCACCCAAUUCGGAUUGGGCUUGGGGGUGCGCGCCCUCCACCUUGGCCGCCUCCUCCUCUCUCCCACUAAGGCCCAAUAAGGCCCAUACACUCCCCGGGAGGUUCCAGUAACCCGCCGGUACUCCGGUAAAUGCCCGAGACUCCUCGUCACCAGGAGUAGGAUUCCCGCCCCCCUUCCCUAGUUGGAUUAGGAGAGGAAGGAUGGGGGAGAGAGAGGGAAGGAAAGGGGGCCGACCCCCCACCCAAUUCGAAUUGGGCUUGGGGGCGCGCCCCCUCCUAGGCUCCCUUAUCCUCUCUCCCACUAUGGCCCAAUAAGGCCCAUAUACUUCCCGGGGGGUUCCGGUAACUUCUCGGUACUCCGGUAUAUGCCCGAACUCACCCGGAACCAUUCCGAUGUCCAAACAUAGUCAUCCAAUAUAUCGAUCUUUAUAUCUCAACCAUUUUGAGACUCCUCAUCUUGUCCGUGAUCAUAUCUGGGACUCCGAACAACCUUCGGUACAUCAAAACACAUAAACUCAUAAUACCGAUCGUCAUCGAACGAUAAGCGUGCGGACCCUACGAGUUCGAGAACUAUGUAGACAUGACCGAGACUCAUCUCCGGUCAAUAACCAAUAGCGGAACAUGGAUGCUCAUAUUGGUUCCUACAUAUUCUAUGAAGAUCUUUAUCGGUCAAACCGCAUAACAACAUAUGUUGUUCCCUUUGUCAUCGGUAUGUUACUUGCCCGAGAUUCGAUCAUCGGUAUCAUCAUACCUAGUUCAAUCUCGUUACCGGCAAGUCUCUUUACUCGCUAUGUAAUGCUACAUCCUGUAACUAACUCAUUAGUUACAUUGCUAGCAAGGCUUAUAGUGAUGUCCAUUACCGAGAGGGCCUAGAGAUACCUCUCCAAUACACGGAGUGACAAAUCCUAAUCUUGGUCUAUGCCAACUCAACAAACACCAUCGGAGACACCUAUAGAGCAUCUUUAUAGUCACCCAGUUACAUUGUGACGUUUGAUAGCACACUAAGUGUUCCUCUGGUAUCCGGGAGUUGCAUAAUCGCAUAGUCAUAGGAACAUGUAUAAGUUAUGGAGAAAGCAAUAGCAAUAAACUAAACGAUCAUCGUGCUAAGCUAACGGAUGGGUCAAGUCAAUCACUGUUGGGGAACGUAGUAAUUUCAAAAAAAUUCCUACGCACACGCAAGAUCAUGGUGAUGCAUAGCAACGAGAGGGGAGAGUGUUGUCUACGUACCAACGCAGACCGACUGCGGAAGCGAUUACACAACGUAGAGGAAGUAGUCGUACGUCUUCCCAAUCCGACCGAUCCAAGCACCGUUACUCCGGCACCUCCGAGUUCUUAGCACACGUACAGCUCGAUGACGAUCCUCGGGCUCCGAUCCAGCAAAGCGUCAAGGAAGAGUUCCGUCAGCACGACGGCGUGGUGACGAUCUUGAUGUACUACUGACGCAGGGCUUCGCUUAAGCACUGCAACAAUAUGAUCGAGGUGGAAUUUGGUGGCAGGGGGCACCGCACACGGCUAAGGAAUGAUCACCAAGGAUCAACUUGUGUCUCUAUGGGGUGCCCCCUGCCUCCGUAUAUAAAGGAGCAAGGGGGAGGGGGCGGCCGGCCUAGGAGGGGGCGCGCCAAGGGGAGUCCUACUCCCACCGGGAGUAGGACUCCCUCCUUCCUUGUUGGAGUAGGAGAAGGGGAAAGAAGGGGAGAGGAAUAAGGAAAAGGGGGCUGCGCCCCUUGUCCAAUUCGGACCAGAGGGGGGGCGCAGGCCUCCUUCCUUUUGGCCUCUCUCCUCUAUUCCCGUAUGGCCCAAUAAGGCCCAUAUACUCCUCCCGGCGAAUUCCCGUAACUCUCCGGUGCUCCGAAAAAUACCCGAAUCACUCGGAACCUUUCCGAAGUCCGAAUAUAGUCGUCCAAUAUAUCGAUCUUUACGUCUCGACUAUUUCGAGACUCCUCGUCAUGUCCCCGAUCUCAUCCGGGACUCUGAACUCCUUCGGUACAUCAAAACUCAUAAACUCAUAAUAUAACUGUCAUCGAAACCUUAAGCGUGCGGACCCUACGGUUCGAGAACAAUGUAGACAUGACCGAGACACGUCUCCGGUCAAUAACCAAUAGCGGGACCUGGAUGCCCAUAUUGGCUCCUACAUAUUCUACGAAGAUCUUUAUCGGUCAGACUGCAUAACAACAUACGUUGUUCCCUUUGUCAUCGGUAUGUUACUUGCCCGAGAUUCGAUCGUCGGUAUCCAAUACCUAGUUCAAUCUCGUUACUGGCAAGUCUCUUUACUCGUUCCGUAAUACAACAUCCCGCAACUAACUCAUUAGUUGCAAUGCUUGCAAGGCUUUAAGUGAUGUGCAUUACCGAGAGGGCCCAGAGAUACAUCUCCGACAAUCGGAGUGACAAAUCCUAAUCUCGAAAUACGCCAACCCAACAUCUACCUUUGGAGACACCUGUAGUACUCCUUUAUAAUCACCCAGUUACGUUGUGACGUUUGGUAGUACCCAAAGUGUUCCUCCAGUAAAUGGGAGUUGAAUAAUCUCAUAGUCAUAGGAACAUGUAUAAGUCAUGAAGAAAGCAAUAGCAACAUACUAAACGAUCGGGUGCUAAGCUAAUGGAAUGGGUCAUGUCAAUCAGAUCAUUCAUCUAAUGAUGUGAUCCCAUUAAUCAAAUAACAACUCUUUGUCCAUGGUUAGGAAACAUAACCAUCUUUGAUUAACGAGCUAGUCAAGUAGAGGCAUACUAGUGACACUCUGUUUGUCUAUGUAUUCACACAUGUAUUAUGUUUCUGGUUAAUACAAUUCUAGCAUGAAUAAUAAAUAUUUAUCAUGAUAUAAGGAAAUAAAUAAUAACUUUAUUAUUGCCUCUAGGGCAUAUUUCCUUCAGUCUUCCACUUGCACUAGAGUCAAUAAUCUAGAUCACAUCACCAUGUGAUUAACAUCGAUAGUUCACAUCAUCAUGUGAUUAACACUCAUAGUUCACAUCGCCAUGUGACCAACACCCAAAGGGUUUACUAGAUUCAGUAAUCUAGUUCACAUCGCUAUGUGAUUAACACCCAAAGAGUACUAAGGUGUGAUCAUGUUUUGCUUGUGAGAGAAUCUUAGUCAACGGGUCUGCCACAUUCAGAUCCACAUGUAUUUUGCAAAUUUCUAUCUCAACAAUGCUCUGCAUGGAGCUACUCUAGCUAAUUGCUCCCACUUUCAAUAUGUAUCUAGACCGAGACUUAGAGUCAUCUAGAUUAGUGUCAAAACUUGCAUCGGCGUAACCCUUUAUGACGAACCUUUUUAUCACGUCCAUAAUCGAGAAACAUAUCCUUAUUUCAGUAAGGAUAAUUCUGACCGCUGUCCAGUGAUCUACUCCUAGAUCACUAUUGUACUCCCUUGCCAAAUCAGUGCAGGGUAUACAAUAGAUCUGGUAUACAGCAUGACAUACUUUAUAGAACCUAUGGCCAAGGCAUAGGGAAUGACUCUCAUUCUCUUUCUAUCUUCUGCCGUGGUCGGGCUUUGAGUCUUACUCAACUUCACACCUUAUAAUACAGGCAAGAACUCUUUCUUUGACUGCUCCAUUUUGAACUACUUCAAAAUCUUGUCAAGGUAUGUACUCAUUGAAAAAACUUAUCAAGCGUCUUGAUCUAUCUCUAUAGAUCUUGAAGCUCAAUAUGUAAGCAGCUUCACCGAAGUCUUUCUUUGAAAAACUCCUUUCAAACACUGCUUUAUGCUUUACAGAAUAAUUCUACAUUAUUUCCGAUCAACAAUAUGUCAUUCACAUAUACUUAUCAGAAAUGUUGUAGUGCUCCCACUCACAUUCUUGUAAAUACAGGCUUCACCGCAAGUCUGUAUAAAACUAUAUGCUUUGAUCAACUCAUCAAAGCGUAUAUUCCAACUCCGAGAUGCUUGCACCAGUCCACAGAUGGAUCGCUGGAGCUUGCACAUUUUGUUAGCACCUUUCGGAUUGACAAAACCUUCUGUUGCAUCAUAUACAACUCUUCUUUAAUAAAUCCAUUAAGGAAUGCAGUUUUGUUUAUCCAUUUGCCAGAUUUCAUAAAAUGCGGCAAUUACUAACAUGAUUCAGACAGACUCAAGCAUAGAUACGAGUGAGAAGCUCUCAUCGUAGUCAACACCUUGAACUUGUCGAAAACCUUUUGCGACAAUUCUAGCUUUGUAGAUAGUAACACUACUAUCAGCGUCCGUCUUCCUCUUGAAGAUCCAUUUAUUCUCAAUUGCUUGCCGAUCAUCGGGCAAGUCAACCAAAGUCCAAACUUUGUUCUCAUACAUGGAUCAUAUCUCAGAUUUCAUGGCCUCAAACCAUUUCACGGAAUCUGGGCUCAUCAUCGCUUCCUCAUAGUUCGUAGGUUCGUCAUGGUCAAGUAACAUGACCUCCAGAACAGGAUUACCGUACCACUCUGGUGCGGAUCUCACUCUGGUUUACCUACGAGAUUCGGUAGUAACUUGAUCUGAAGUUACAUGAUCAUCAUCAUUAGCUUCCUCACUAAUUGGUGUAGUAGUCACAAGAAUAGAUUUUUGUGAUGAACUACUUUCCAAUAAGGUAGAAGGUACAAUUACCUUAUCAAGUUUUCUACUUUCCUCCCACUUACUUCUUUCAAGAGAAACUCCUUCUCUAGAAAGGAUCCAUUAUAAGCAACGAAUGUCUUGCCUUAGGAUCUGUGAUAGAAGGUGUACCCAACAGUCUCCUUUGGGUAUCCUAUGAAGACAUAUUUCUCCGAUUUGGGUUUGAGCUUAUCAGGAUGAAACUUUUUCUCAUAAGCAUCGCAACCCCAAACAUUCAAGAAACGACAACUUUGGUUUCUUGCCAAACCAUAGUUCAUAAGGCGUCGUCUCGACGGAUAUAGAUGGUGCCCCUUUUUUUAAUGUGAAUGCAGUUGUCUCUAAUUCAUGACCCCAAAAACGAUAGUGGUAAAUCGGUAAGAAACAUCAUAGAUUGCACUAUAUCCAAUAAAGUACGGUUAUGACGUUCGGACACACCAUUAUGCUGUGGUGUUCCAGGUGGCGUGAGUAGUGAAACUAUUUCACAUUGUUUUAACUGAAGACCAAACUCGUAACUCAAAUACUCUUUUCCACGAUCAGAUCGUAGAAACUUUAUUUUCUUGUUACGAUGAUUUUCCACUUCACUCUGAAAUUAUAUGAACUUUUCAAAUGUAUCAGACUUCUAUUUCAUUAAGUAGAUAUACCCAUAUCUGCUCAAAUCAUCUGUGAAGGUCAGAAAAUAAUGAUACCCGCUGCAAGCCUUAAAUAUUCAUUGGACCACAUACAUCAGUAUGUAUGAUUUCCAACAAAUCUGUUGCUUGCUCCAUUGUUCCGGAGAACGGCGUUUUAGUCAUCUUGCCCAAAAGGCAUGGUUCGCAAGCAUCAAGUGAUUCAUAAUCAAGUGAUUCCGAAAGCCCAUCAGCAUGGAGUUUCUUCAUGCGCUUUACACCAAUAUGACCUAAACGGCAGUGCCACAAAUAAGUUGCACUAUCAUUAUUAACUUUGCAUCUUUUGGUUUCAAUAUUAUGAAUAUGUGUAUCACUACGAUCGAGAUCCAACGAACUUGUUUCAUUGGGUGUAUGACCAUCGAAGGUUUUAUUCAUGUAAACAGAACAACAAUUAUUCUCUGACUUUAAUGAAUAACCGUAUUGCAAUAAACAUGAUCAAAUCAUAUUCAUGCUCAACGCAAAAACCAAAUAACACUUAUUUAAGUUCAACACUAAUCCCGAAAGUAUAGGGGAGUGUGCGAUGAUGAUCAUAUCAAUCUUGGAACUACUUCCAACACACAUCGUCACUUCACCCUUAACUAGUCUAUGUUUGUUCUGCAACUCCUGUUUCGAGUUACUACUCUUAGCAACUGAACCAAUAUCAAAUACUGAGGGGUUGCUAUAAACACUAGUAAAGCACACAUCAAUAACAUGUAUAUCAAAUAUACUUUUGUUCACUUUGCCAUCCUUCUUAUCCGCCAAAUACUUGGGGCAGUUCCGCUUCCAGUGACCAGUCCCUUUGCAGUAGAAGCACUUAGUCUCAGGCUUAGGACCAGACUUGGGCUUCUUCACUUGAGCAGCAACUUGCUUGCCGUUCUUCUUGAAGUUCCCCUUCUUCCCUUUUGCCCUUUUCUUCAAACUAGUGGUCUUGUCAACCAUCAACACUUGAUGUUUUUCUUGAUUUCUACCUUCAUCGAUUUCAGCAUCACGAAGAGCUUGGGAAUCGUUUCCGUUAUCCCUUGCAUAUCAUAGUUCAUCACGAAGUUCUACUAACUUGGUGAUGGUGACUAGAGAAUUCUGUCAAUCACUAUCUUAUCUGGAAGAUUAACUCCCACUUGAUUCAAGCGAUUAUAGUACCCAGACAAUCUGAGCACAUGCUCAUUAGUUGAGCGAUUCUCCUCCAUCUUUUAGCUAUAGAACUUGUUGGAGACUUCAUAUCUCUCAACUCGGGUAUUUCCUUGAAAUAUUAACUUCAACUCCUGGAACAUCUCAUAUGGUCCAUGACGUUCAAAACGUCUUUGAAGUCCCGAUUCUAAGCCAUUAAGCAUGGUGCACUAAACUAUCAAGUAGUCAUCAUAUUGAGCUAGCCAAACAUUCAUAACGUCUGCAUCUGCUCCUGCAAUAGGUCUGUCACCUAGCGGUGCAUCAAGGACAUAAUUUUUCUAUGCAGCAAUGAGGAUAAACCUCAGAUCACGGAUCCAAUCCGUAUCAUUGCUACUAACAUCUUUCAACACAAUUUUCUCUAGGAACAUAUCAAAAUAAACAUAUGAAAGCAACAACGCGAGCUAUUGAUCUUCAACAUAGAUAUGCUAAUACUACCAGGACUAAGUUCAUGAUAAAUUAAAGUUCAAUUAAUCAUAUUACUUAAGAACUCCCACUUAGAUAGACAUCCCUCUAAUCCUCUAAGUGAUCACGUGAUCCAAAUCAACUAAACCAUAACCGAUCAUCACGUGAGAUGGAGUAGUUUUCAAUGGUGAACAUCGUUAUGUUGAACAUAUCUACUAUAUGAUUCACGCUCGACCUUUCGGUCUCCGUGUUCCGAGGCCAUAUCUGCAUAUGCUAGGCUCAUCAAGUUUAACCUGAGUAUUCUGCGUGUGCAAAACUGGCUUGCACCCGUUGUAGAUGGACGUAGAGCUUAUCACACCCGAUCAUCACGUGGUGUCUGGGCACGACGAACUUUGGCAAUGGUGCAUACUCAGGGAGAACACUUCUUGAUAAUUUAGUGAGAGAUCAUCUUAUAAUGCUACCGUCAAUCAAAGCAAGAUAAGAUGCAUAAAAGGAUAAACAUCACAUGCAAUCAAUAUAAGUGAUAUGAUAUGGCCAUCAUCAUCUUGUGCUUGUGAUCUCCAUCUCCGAAGCACCGUCAUGAUCACCAUCGUCACCGGCACGACACCUUGAUCUCCAUCGUAGCAUCGUUGUCGUCUCGCCAAUCUUAUGCUUCCACGACUAUCACUACCGCUUAGUAAUAAAGUAAAGCAUUACAUCGCGAUUGCAUUGCAUACAAUAAAGCGACAACCAUAUGGCUCCUGCCAGUUGCCGAUAACUUGGUUACAAAACAUGAUCAUCUCAUACAAUAAAAUUUAGCAUCAUGCCUUGACCAUAUCACAUCACAACAUGCCCUGCAAAAACAAGUUAGACGUCCUCUACUUUGUUGUUGCAAGUUUUACGUGGCUGCUACGGGCUUAAGCAAGAACUCAUCUCACCUACGCAUCAAAACCACAAUGAUAGUUUGUCAAAUAGACUCCAUUUUAACCUUCUCAAGGACCGGGCAUAGCCACACUCGGUUCAACUAAAGUUGGAGAGACAGUCGCCCGUAAGCCAUCUAUGUGCAAAGCACGUCGAUGGAACCGGUCUCGCGUAAGCGUACACGUAAUGUUGGUCCGGGUCGUCUCGUCCAACAAUACCGCUGAACCAAAGUAUGACAUGCUGGUAGGCAGUAUGACUUGUAUCGCCCACAACUCACUUGUGUUCUACUCGUGCAAAUAACAUCAAACCAUAAAACCUAGUCUCUGAUACCACUGUUGGGGAACAUAGUAAUUUCAAAAAAAUUCCUACGCACACGCAAGAUCAUGGUGAUGCAUAGCAACGAGAGGGGAGAGUGUUGUCUACGUACCAACGCAGACCGACUGCGGAAGCGAUUACACAACGUAGAGGAAGUAGUCGUACGUCUUCCCGAUCCGACCGAUCCAAGCACCGUUACUCCGGCACCUCCGAGUUCUUAGCACACGUACAGCUCGAUGACGAUCCUCGGGCUCCGAUCCAGCAAAGCGUCGAGGAAGAGUUCCGUCAGCACGACGGCGUGGUGACGAUCUUGAUGUACUACUGACGCAGGGCUUCGCUUAAGCACUGCAACAAUAUGAUCGAGGUGGAAUUUGGUGGCAGGGGGCACCGCACACGGCUAAGGAACGAUCACCAAGGAUCAACUUGUGUCUCUAUGGGGUGCCCCCUGCCUCCGUAUAUAAAGGAGCAAGGGGGAGGGGGCGGCCGGCCUAGGAGGGGGCGCGCCAAGGGGAGUCUUACUCCCACCGGGAGUAGGACUCCCUCCUUCCUUGUUGGAGUAGGAGAAGGGGAAAGAGGGGAAGAGGAAUAAGGAAAAGGGGGCUGCACCCCUUGUCCAAUUCGGACCAGAGGGGGGGCGCAGGCCUCCUUCCUUUUGGCCUCUCUCCUCUAUUCCCGUAUGGCCCAAUAAGGCCCAUAUACUCCUCCCGGCGAAUUCCCGUAACUCUCCGGUACUCCGAAAAAUACCCGAAUCACUCGGAACCUUUCCGAAGUCCGAAUAUAGUCGUCCAAUAUAUCGAUCUUUACGUCUCGACCAUUUCGAGACUCCUCGUCAUGUCCCCGAUCUCAUCCGGGACUCCGAACUCCUUCGGUACAUCAAAACUCAUAAACUCAUAAUAUAACUGUCAUCGAAACCUUAAGCGUGCGGACCCUACGGUUCGAGAACAAUGUAGACAUGACCGAGACACGUCUCCGGUCAAUAACCAAUAGCGGGACCUGGAUGCCCAUAUUGGCUCCUACAUAUUCUACGAAGAUCUUUAUCGGUCAGACCGCAUAACAACAUACGUUGUUCCCUUUGUCAUCGGUAUGUUACUUGCCCGAGAUUCGAUCGUCGGUAUCCAAUACCUAGUUCAAUCUCGUUACCGGCAAGUCUCUUUACUCGUUCCGUAAUACAACAUCCCGCAACUAACUCAUUAGUUGCAAUGCUUGCAAGGCUUUAAGUGAUGUGCAUUACCGAGAGGGCCCAGAGAUACCUCUCCGACAAUCAGAGUGACAAAUCCUAAUCUCGAAAUACGCCAACCCAACAUCAACCUUUGGAGACACCUGUAGUACUCCUUUAUAAUCACCCAGUUACGUUGUGACGUUUGGUAGUACCCAAAGUGUUCCUCCGGUAAACGGGAGUUGCAUAAUCUCAUAGUCAUAGGAACAUGUAUAAGUCAUGAAGAAAGCAAUAGCAACAUACUAAACGACCGGGGGCUAAGCUAAUGGAAUGGGUCAUGUCAAUCAGAUCAUUCAUCUAAUGAUGUGAUCCCAUUAAUCAAAUAACAACUCUUUGUCCAUGGUUAGGAAACAUAACCAUCUUUGAUUAACGAGCUAGUCAAGUAGAGGCAUACUAGUGACACUCUGUUUGUCUAUGUAUUCACACAUGUAUUAUGUUUCCGGUUAAUACAAUUCUAGCAUGAAUAAUAAAUAUUUAUCAUGAUAUAAGGAAAUAAAUAAUAACUUUAUUAUUGCCUCUAGGGCAUAUUUCCUUCAAUCACAUCAUUCUCUAAUGAUGUGGUCCCGUUUAUCAAAUGACAACUCUUUGUCCAUGGCCAGGAAACUUAACCAUCUUUGAUCAACGAGCUAGUUAAGUAGAGGCAUACUAGUGACACUCUGUUUGUCUAUGUAUUCACACAUGUACUAAGUUUCCGGUUAAUACAAUUCUAGCAUGAAUAAUAAACAUUUAUCAUGAUAUAAGGAAAUAUAAAUAACAACUUUAUUAUUGCCUCUAGGGCAUAUUUCCUUCAGUCUCCCACUUGCACUAGAGUCAAUAAUCUGGAUUACAUUCUAAUGAUUCUAACACCCAUGGAGUGUUGGUGUUGAUCAUGUUUUGCUCGUGAGAGAGGCUUAGUCAACGGGUCUGCAACAUUCAGAUCCGUAUGUAUCUUGCAAAUCUCUAUGUCUCCCUCCUUGACUCGAUCUCGAAUGGAAUUGAAGCGGCUCUUGAUGUGCUUGGUUCUCUUGUGAAAUUUGGAUUCCUUUGUCAAGGCAAUUGCACCAGUAUUGUCACAAAAGAUUUUCAUUGGACCCGAUGCACUAGGUAUGACACCUAGAUCGGAUAUGAACUCCUUCAUCCAGACUCCUUCAUUUGUUGCUUCUGAAGCAGCUAUGUACUCUGAUUCGCAUGUAGAUCCCGCCACGACGCUCUGCUUGGAACUGCACCAACUGACAGCUCCACCAUUUGAUAAACAUACGUAUCCAGUUUGUGACUUACAGUCAUCCGGAUCAGUGUCAAAGAUUGCAUCGACGUAACCAUUUAUGACGAGCUCUUUGUCACCUCCAUAAACAAGAAACAUAUCCUUAGUCCUUUUCAGGUAUUUCAGGAUCUUCUUGACCAUUGUCCAGUGAUCCACUCCUGGAUUACUUUGGUACCUCCCUACUAGACUAAUAGUAAGGCACACAUCAGGUCUGGUACAUAGCAUUGCAUGCAUGAUAGAACCUAUGGCUGAACCAUAGGGAAUGACUUUCAUUUUCUCUCUAUCUUCUACAGUGGUCGGGCAUUGAGUCUGACUCAACUUCACACCUUGUAACACAGGCAAGAACCCUUUCUUUGCUUGAUCCAUUUUGAACUUAUUCAAAACUUUAUCAAGGCAUGUGCUUUGUGAAAGUCCAAUUAAGCAUCUUGAUGUUUCUCUAUAGAUCUUGAUGCCCAAUAUAUAAGUAGCUUCAUUGAGGUAUUUCAUUGAAAAAAUCUUAUUCAAGUAUCCUUUUAUGCUAUUCAGAAAUUCAGUAUCAUUUCCGAUCAAUAAUAUGUCAUCCACAUACAAUAUCAGAAAUGCUACAGAGCUCCCACUCACUUUCUUGUAAAUACAGGCUUCUCCAAAAGGCAGUAUAAAACCAUAUGCUUUGAUCACACUAUCAAAGCGUAUAUUCCAACUCCGAGAGGCUUGCACCAGUCCAUAAAUGGAUCGCUGGAGCUUGCACACUUUGUUAGCACCUUAUGGAUUGACAAAACUUUCUGGUUGCAUCAUAUACAACUCUUCUUUUAGGUAUCCAUUAAGGAAUGCAGUUUUGACAUCCAUUUGCCAAAUUUCAUAAUCAUAAAAUGCGGCAAUUGCUAACAUGAUUCCGACGGACUUAAGCAUCGCUACGGGUGAGAAACUCUCAUCGUAGUCAACUCCUUGAACUUGUCGAAAACCUUUUGCAACAAGUCAAGCUUUGUAGACAGUAACAUUACCGUCAGUGUCAGUCUUCUUCUUGAAGAUCCAUUUAUUCUCUAUGGCUUGCCGAUCAUCGAGCAAGUCAACCAAAGUCCACACUUUGUUCCCAUACAUGGAUCCCAUCUCAGAGUUCAUGGCUUCAAGCCAUUUUGUGGAAUCUAGGCUCAUCAUCUCUUCCUCAUAGUUUGUAGGUUCAUCAUGGUCAAGUAACAUGACUUCCAGAACAGGAUUACCGUACCACUCUGGUGCGGAUCUUACUCUGGUUGACCUACGAGGUUCGGUAGUAAUUUGAUCAGAAGUUUCAUGAUCAUUAUCAUUAGCUUCCUCACUUACUGGUGUAGGAAUCACUGGAACUGAUUUCGGUGAUGAACUACUUUCCAUUAAGGGAGCGGGUACAAUUACCUCAUCAAGUUCUACUUUCCUCCCACUCACUUCUUUCAAGAGAAACUCCUUCUCUAGAAAGGAUCCAUUGUUAGCAACGAAUAUCUUGCCUUCGGAUCUGUGAUAGAAGGUGUACCCGACAGUCUCCUUUGGGUAUCCUAUGAAGACACAUUUCUCCGAUUUGGGUUCGAGCUUAUUAGGUUGAAGCUUUUUCACAUAAGCAUCGCAUCCCCAAACUUUAAGAAAUGAUAACUUGGGUUUCUUGCCAAACCACAGUUCAUAAGGUGUCGUCUCAACGGAUUUUGAUGGCACCCUAUUUAACGUGAAUGCAGCUGUCUCUAAAGCAUAACCCCAAAAUGAUAGCGGUAAAUCAGUGAGAGACAUCAUAGAUCGCACCAUGUCUAAUAAAGUGUGGUUACGACGUUCGGACACACCAUUACAUUGUGGUGUUCCAGGUGGUGUGAGUUGCGAAACUAUUCUGCAUUGUUUCAAAUGAAGACCAAACUCAUAACUCAAAUAUUCAACUCCACGAUCAGAUCGUAGAAACUUAAUUUUCUUGUUACGAUGAUUUUCCACUUCACUCUGAAAUUCUUUAAACUUUUCAAAUGUUUCAGACUUAUGUUUCAUCAAGUAGAUAUACCCAUAUCUUCUCAAAUCAUCUGUGAAGGUAAGAAAAUAACGAUACACACCGCGAGCAUCAACACUCAUCGGACCACAUACAUCGGUAUGUAUUAUUUCCAACAAGUCUGUUGCUCGCUCCAAAGUUCCGGAGAACGGAGUCUUAGUCAUCUUGCCCAUGAGGCAUGGUUCACAAGCAUCAAGUGAUUCCAAAAGCCCAUCAACAUGGACUUUAUGACCUAAACGGCAGUGCCACAAAUAGGUUGCACUAUCAUUACUAAACUUAUAUCUUUUGGCUUCAAUACUAUGAAUAUGUGUACCACUACUAUCAAGAUUUAGUAAAAACAGACCACUCGUCAAGGGUGCAUGACCAUAAAAGAUAUUAUUCAUAUAAAUAGAACAACCAUUAUUCUCUGAUUUAAGGGACAUUUACAUCUAUGCCCCUAACUAGAUCCCACUACUCAGAUUUGCCCCUAAUUUUGAAGGGUGCUCAAAUUUGCCCCUCUGCCGUCAAUUCCACUUAUAGAAAUGCCCCUCUGUGUCGUUUCCGUCCGGUCAAGGUUGUUUGACCGCUAACUUGCCGUCAGUUUGACAUAUUUGCCCCUCCGUCCAAUCUUAUCUGUUCGACCCGCAAAUCUUAUCUCUUUCAUUCUCUCGCUCAACCCGCACGCUCUCUCUUCUCUCUUCCCCCAAAUCGCAACGUGACCCUAACCCUAACCCUAGCACCUUCGAUCUCUGGCCAGCACAGCUCCAGAUCAAUGCCGGCCGCGGGGGAGAUUCCAUUGGUCUGACUCCUUAUGCUGUUGUGCUGCGGAUGGAGGGAGACAGUGCUCGCGGCGGUGGCGGCCAACAAGGGAGCGGGAGCACAACGCCAGCGAUGGAUGCAGCCCUUGGGUAAAUUCUUUCUUUCAGAUCUGAAGCAUGUUCUUUGUUCUAUUUAGUUAUUGGACUUGGAUUUGUUGGUUGCUGCGUUCGUAGUGCUCAUUUGGUGCGUUUUAUCCCUAUUUUCCAUGAUUAUCCGUAGGUCGGGACAUAUUUGUCUGGAUUGUAGGAUGCAAACGACACUGCUAGUUCCUGCUGGUACAAAAGCAGUGGAAACAGGGUUCUCAUUUCCUUUGGUUGUGGAGAGCACAGUGAAGGUUGAACAAUUUAGAUCUCAGAUUUUUUCUAAAUACCCCUGGGGAGUGCAUGAUGCGGUAGAAUUCAGGUACUGGGACAUUGAUAGUGUUGUUUGGGUCCCAGUCCAAUGUGAUGAUGAGCUAGGAAAAAUGUUUACAACACAUGCUUGGGUCCCAGUCAAAUUAGAGAUCAAUGUUAUACAGAGAAAAAGAGGACAGAAAUAGAACUGUCAAUCAUCUACUAGUUCUAGAGGCAGGAACGGUCAAUCCAGGGGGAGAAAAAGAAUUGUUAACAGUUCACAGCCUGAGUCCAGUAAGAGCAGAGUUGCAGAUGCAGGAGAGAGCUCUAUGCAGGUACCAGGAACACCAACAGUGCAAGUUCCUAAACAUGCAGGUCCUACUAGUAACAUAGAUUCUGCUGAUCCAAAUAUUGAAGAGGGACUUCCUCAUGAUUGGCCUACAUAUGAUGAGGAUGAAAGGCUUUUCCCACAGUUUGUUACAAGGCAGAGGCCCAAAAAGAAAGAUGAGGAGGGGGGAGAAGAAGAUUAUAUUCCACCACCAGAAGGAAUGUUUGAUGAGCCAGGUGAAGAUGAGUUGGAGGAGGACAUGGACAUGGGAUACAGUGAGGAUUCAGAUGAUGCAAGGCCAGAUGUGCAGUACAACAAAGAUGAUCCUUCUCUAAAAGAAGGAACUAUAUUUUCCAGUGCUGUAAACUGUAGGAAUGCACUAGCCACUUUCUCAAUAAAGACUCAAAGUGAAAUUGUGAUAGACAAAAGUGAUCCUACCAGGUUGACUAUUCAUUGUGCUUAUAAGAGGUGUAGGUGGAGGAUGCAUGCCUAUUUAAUGAGGAAUAGCACACUGUUUCAGGUAUUAACUUAAGUUAGUAACACUGGAUGCAUGCAUAGUUACAUGGAAAUUUUAUUUCACUUGUCUAUUGCACCACAUAUGUCCUAACAUGUAUUUCAACUUUCAUAAUUGCAGGUCAAAGUGAACAAGACUGCUCAUACUUAUCCAAGUGUCAACAGAAGGAAAAGACUGAAGUCAGCUAAGAGCAGAUGGGUUGGUGAUGCUGUGAAGAACUGGGUUUUAGAGGAUUCUGAGAUUGGAGUUAGACAGUUGCAGAAGAACCUGAAGAAGAAGUAUGACCUGGAGGUGCCAUACAUGAGAGUGUUCUAUGAGAAACAAAUGGCACUUGACAACAUCUAUGGUAAGUGGACUAACUCAUUUCAACUGUUGUAUACUUUCAAGGCAGAAGUUGAGAAAGCAUCUCCUGGCAGUGUUGUAAACAUUGAUAAGCACAUUGUAGAGUACAAAAUAAAUGGAAAAGGUAGACAUAAAGAGUGCUUUAGGAGAGUGUUUGUUUCUUUCAAAGCAUGCUGGCAAGGAUUUUUGGAUGGAUGUAGGCCUUAUCUUGCAGUAGAUGGCGCAGCAUUAAAUGGCAGAUAUAGAGGGCAACUUGUCAGUGCAUGUGCAGUGGAUGCUUGCAACUGGAUCUUCCCAGUAGCAUUUGGAGUUUUUGAGUCUGAAAAUAUAGAAAGUUGGACCUGGUUUUUUCAGAAUUUAAAAAACCUAAUAGGGCAUCCACCAGGUCUUGUUAUCCACAGUGAUGUAUGCAAAGGACUAGAGACUGCUGUAGAAGUUGUAAUCACAGGAGUGGAGCAUAGAGAAUGCAUGAGGCAUUUGGCAGCCAAUUUUUCCAAAAAAUUUAGAGGUAAAUUUUUUGAUGAAAAUUUAUGGCCUUGUUCAUUGACAUAUAGUAUGAAAAAACACAACUACCAUCUUAGACAGUUGUACAGCAAGCCUGGUGUGAAAGAGUACUUAGAGGAGCAUCACACCAAGCACUGGGCCAGGGCCCUCUUCAAUGAAAUUUGCAAAGUUGAUUAUGUGAACAACAAUCUAGCUGAGUCAUUCAAUUCCAAAAUUAGGAAGUGGAAGGGAGUACACAUUGUGGACUUGCUUGACAAAAUAAGGCAGUUCAGAAUGGAGACGUUUGGCUUGAGACAGAAGAUUCAGCUAGCACAUACAUUGGGCACACUAUAAUCCCCAAAAUCAUGAUAAUGCUUCAUGCUAAAUCUAAGGAUCUUGAUAUGACCAUGGUUAAAAGAAGCACCUUUGAGGCAGAAAUUACUGCAAUUGACAAGGAAAAAAGAGAGUGGAGAUAUCCUGUUAACUUGGAAACAAGGAGUUGUAGGUGUAGAAAGUGGCAGAUAAUAGGACAACCAUGCAUACAUGCUCUAUACUUUGUCACUUCAAUGAGAGGUCCAGUCAGUGAGAUUGAUCAGUAUGUGCAUGAGUAUUUCUCUGUGGCAAAAUUCAAUGCAACUUAUGCUGAUAAUUUUCCACUCUUGGAGGGCAAGCAACAAUGGGAUGUGGUAAAUCCAGGAUUUAAAUUAUGUGCUCCAGUGCAAAAUAGGCCCCCUGGCAGACCUAGGAAAACAAGGAUUAGAGCAAAAUCAAAGGGAAAAGGUCUUGGAGGAAGAAAGAAAAAGUGUAAAAGGUGUGGAAAGAUUGGGCACCGUGCCAGCCACUGCAAAGAGUCCAUUGACCCUGCAUUUGGAGAAGAACAACACUGGGGUGCUGAUAAUGCAACUGAUGAACAGGAAGCUACGAUUGAUGAAGCUACAGAUGUUGAAACUGCAACAGAUGUUGAUACUGCAACAGAUGUUGCAUAUGCAAUAGAAGCUGAGCAUUUAGUAUAAAAUGGAGAUGCACCAACUCCUGUUGCAGAUAAUACAGCUGCUGCUAUAGAUGUUGCUGUAGUAGAUCCAACAAUUGAGCCUGUGCCCUGCCAGGAUGCAACAACAGUUGGUAGUGCAGUGAGGUAUUUUUUUUGCUUCAGUCAUUCUUUGCUACAUUUUUUGAGUGUUAUAUAACUAACUUCUUUCAUUCAUUUAUAACUUUGCAGACCAAGAAAAAACUACAAAAGACCAGCUGAUAGAGGACAAUCACCACUAAAGAAGAAGAUGAAACCUGUAGAAGAAGAGGAGACUGUAGGUUCUGUCACUGGAAGCAACAAUCUGAGCAGGUCUUCUACUCCAGUUCUGCCCAAGAAAGUGAGCACCAGGAGGAGUUCUAGGCUCUCUUCAAACCCAGCUUGCAACGCCAGGAGCAAGAAGAAGUAGUUGUGAAGUGUUUGUUGGAUUUGUGAACUGUUUGUUGGAUUUGUGAACUAUUAGCUUGUCUUUUUCAAUUCAAAACUAUAUGGUGAUGUACCAGAUUUGUGGCAGUAUGCUCUUGGCUUUUGUGAACUCUUGGCAACUAAUGUAGAACUUCUAUCUCAUGUGUUGUCUGCUAUAUCAUGUGUCAUGUGCUAUCUGCUAUAUGAUGUGUCAUGUGUCAUGUGCUAUGUGAUAUCUCUUUAACUGUGAAGUUUGUUCAUGGGAGCACAUUGGAGCAAACUGGAUGAAAAUAGAUGGAACAUUUUCCUAAUGAUACAUGUCACAUUACAUUACCAGUACAACUUUGGUCCAAACACUUGACAGCUACUUGAGAUAGUUCACAACUCACAACACUGCCUUACAUUACACACAAUCAUCCAGCUACUAUGGAUUCUUAAACAAUGUUGCAAAAAUGCUAAUGCAAAGAACUAUGAGAAAUCCCCAGGUUUGCAUAAGCUCAUUUCUCUUCUUCAUCUUCAACUUUAGUUUCUUGUUCUUCUCUGUUAGAUACAUCACCCUUCGCUCCAAAUCAUGAGCUUUUAGCCAGCUUUUCUCUAAUCAUGCAUGAAGUUUCUCAAAUGCAUGAGCAACAUGAUCUAUCGGAGGUGGGUCAAUCCAAACAACCCAGUCACAUUCAUCAGGGAGCUGCAAAAUAAUAACUUGGAUCAAAAAAAGAAUGAUUUGCAACUAAUCAAAGCCCAAUGACAAACAAAAGAGAAAUUACAUCAAGAGGGCACCCCAGGAACCUUCUUCCCGUGCUUUCUCCUCCCCAGGCGACGCGUUGAGCAGGAAUAAGCCUGUGCCCCAGGCAGUGCCUCGUCAUGCGCAUCUCGGGCCCAUCGAAUGUCAGAUCUGGGAUGUAGAACUCGGAUUCAAACUGAACAAUCCCAACACCAUCCACCUUAAUGGAAAAAAUCCCCAAAUUGAUGAACCCUAAUCCCCAAAAAAUACCCAAAACAAGUCAGAACAGUUACCUCCCCAUGAACUGAGGAGCUCGAUGAAGACAUGCCCGAUGUGCACAUCAACAGCCUAGUGUAGUCGCCCUCUAGAUCCACGACCUCCAGCCACCUCCAGCCGCCGUCCAAAUCGCCCCUACCGUCAUCAAGAGGUUGAAGAAAGAGAAUGAGAGACAGACUGCAUCGAACAGGUAAGUUUGGGCCCACUUGUAAGGACGGAGGGGCAAAUAUGUCAAACUGACGGCAAGUUUGCGGUCAAACAGCCUUGACCGGACGGAAAUAGCACGGAGGGGCAUUUCUAUAAGUGGAAUUGACGGCAGAGGGGCAAAUUUGAGCACCCUUCGAAAUUAGGGGCAAAUCUGAGUAGUGGGAUCCAGUUAGGGCAGAAAUGUAAAUGGCCCCUGAUUUAAAUAAAUAAUUGUCUCGCAUCAAACAAGAUCCAUAUAUAAUGUUCAUGCUCAACACUAGCACCAAAUAGCAAUUAUUUAGGUCUAAAACUAAUCCCGAAGGUAGAUGUAGAGGUAGCGUGCCGAUGGCGAUCACAUCGACUUUGGAACCAUGUUCCACACGCAUCGUCACCUCGUCCUUAGCCAAUCUUCGCUUAAUCCGUAGCCCAUGUUUCGAGUUGUAAAUAUUAGCAACAGAACCAGUAUCAAAUAUCCAGGCACUACUACUAGCAUUAGCAAGGUACACAUCAAUACCAUGUAUAUCAAAUAUACCUUUCAUUUUGCCAUCCUUCUUCUCCGCCAAAUACUUGGGGUAGUUCCGCUUCCAGUGACCAGUCCCUUUGCAGUAGAAGCACUCACACUCAGGCUUAGGUCCAGACUUGGGCUUCUUCACUCGAGCAGCAACUUGCUUGCUGUUCUUCUUGAAGUUCCCCUUCUUCCCUUUACCCUUUUUCUUGAAACUGGUGGUCUUGUUCACCAUCAACACUUGAUGCUCCUUCUUGAUUUCUACCUCCGCAGCCUUUAGCAUUGCGAAGAGCUCGGGAAUCGUCUUAUCCAUCCCUUGCAUAAUAUAGUUCAUCACGAAGCUCUUGUAGCUUGGUGGCAAUGAUUGAAGAACUCUGUCAAUGACACUAUCAUCAGGAAGAUUAACUCCCAUCUGAGUCAAGUGGUUGUGGUACCUAGACAUUCUGAGUAUAUGUUCACUAACAGAACUACUCUCCUCCAUUUUGCAGCUGUAGAACUUAUUGGCGACUACAUAUCUCUCAAUCUGGGCAUUUGCUUGAAAUAUUAACUUCAACUCCUGGAACAUGUCAUAUACUCCAUGACGUUCAAAACGUUGUUGAAGUCCCAGUUCUAAGCCGUAAAGCAUGGCACACUGAACUAUCGAGUAGUCAUCAGCUUUGCUCUGCCAGGUGUUCACAACAUCUGGCAUUGCUCCUGCAACGGGUUUGUCACCUAGCGGUGCUUCCAGGACGUAAUUCUUCUAUGCACCAAUGAGGAUAAUCCUCAAGUUACGGACCUAGUCCGUGUAAUUGCUACCAUCAUCUUUCAACUUAGCUUUCUCUAGGAACGCAUUAAAAUUCAACGGAACAAUAGCACGGGCCAUCUAUCUACAACAACAUAGACAUGCAAAAUACUAUUGGGUACUAAGUUCAUGAUAAAUUAAAGUUCAAUUAAUCAAAUUACUUAAGAACUCCCACUUAGAUAGACAUCCCUCUAAUCAUCUAAGUGAUCGCGUGAUCCAUAUCAACAAAACCAUGUCCGAUCAUCACAUGAGAUGGAGUAGUUUUCAAUGGUGAACAUCACUAUGUGGAUCAUAUCUACUAUAUGAUUCACGCUCGACCUUUCGGUCUCAGUGUUCCGAGGCCAUAUCUGCAUAUGCUAGGCUCGUCAAGUUUAACCUGAGUAUUCUGCGUGUGCAAAACUGGCUUGCACCUGUUGUAUGUGAACGUAGAGCUUAUCACACCCGAUCAUCACGUGGUGUCUCGGCACGACGAACUGUAGCAACGGUGCAUACUCAGGGAGAACACUUAUACCUUGAAAUUUAGUGAGAGAUCAUCUUAUAAUGCUACCGUCGAACUAAGCAAACUAAGAUGCAUAAAGGAUAAACAUCACAUGCAAUCAAUAUAAGUGAUAUGAUAUGGCCAUCAUCAUCUUGUGCCUUUGAUCUCCAUCUCCAAAGAACCGUCAUGAUCACCAUCGUCACCGGCUUGACACCUUGAUCUCCAUCGAAGCGUCGGUGUCGUCUCGCCAACUAUUGCUUCUACAACUAUCGCUACCGCUUAGUGAUAAAGUAAAGCAAUUACAUGGCGAUUGCAUUUCAUACAAUAAAGCGACAACCAUAUGGCUCCUGCCAGUUGCCGAUAACUCUGUUACAAAACAUGAUCAUCUCAUACAAUAAAAUUUAGCAUAAUGUCUUGACCAUAUCACAUCACAACAUGCCCUGCAAAAACAAGUUAGAUGUCCUCUACUUUGUUGUUGCAAGUUUUACGUGGCUGCUGCGGGCUUCUAGCAAAAACCGUUCUUACCUACGCAUCAAAAACCACAACGCAGUAUAGUGAUUUCUUUUUGAUCUUCAGAAAGAACCGUGUUCAUUGAAUCCGAUUGAACUAAAGUUGGAGAAACUGACACCCACUAGCCACCUGUGUGCGAAGCACGUCGGUAGAACCAGUCUCGUGUAAGUGUACGUGUAAUGUCGGUCUGAGCCGCUUCAUCCAACAAUACCGCUGAAACAAGAAUCAACUAGUGAUGGCAAGCAAUAUGUAUAUACCCACGCCCACAACUCCUUUGUGCUCUACUCGUGCAUAUAACACCUACGCAUAGACCUGCCUCGGAUGCCACUGUUGGGGAACGCGGUAAUUUCAAAAAAAAUCCUAUGCACACGCAAGAUCCAUCUAGGUGAUAUUGUCACACCCUAGCUGGUUCAUGCAUUAGAGUGUUGCAUCAUGUUACUUUUACAGAAACUUGAAAUGGGGAUGACAGAACCCCCAGCACCCCCUGGAAACAACUAGGGUUUACUAAAAUUAUUUUCAAUGAACCCAAAAUGCCCUUCACAAAAUGUUCAUCAUUUCUGGAUUGGGUUAAAACCCCUGGCAAAAAAGGUGCACUCUUUUCUAGGACAUUCUGGAUUCUUUGAAUUAAAUCAUAAGUAUUUGAAUUUGGGCAUUUAAAUGCUAUAAAAUAUUUUAAAUGCCCAAAUAAUUCUAGAUUUAAGUGAGGGCUGUUAGGAAUAAUCCCAACAGAGCCCACAAUUAUUUUCAGGAUUUUAGCAAGUGCCUAAGUAUUUUUAAUAAAAACCUAAAGUUACAGAAAAAUAGAAAAAGAAAUCAAACAGGAAAGAGAGGAAGAGAAAGCUUACCUGGCGCCCACCCAGUAGGCCCACCUGCCGGCCCAGCCCAGCCAACGCUCCAGCGAGCUGCUUGGCUUGGCCAGGCAGGCAGGUAGCUGCUCGACGCCGGCACCAGCGCGUGCCACGCAGCUGCCUGCCGCCCUGCUUCCUCCCCUCACCGCUCUACUAGCCUGGACGACCUCCACGUCGUGCACCGAACCCCCUGGACAUGUCCAUUCCCCCCUGCUUCUCUCCCUCGCUCCCCUCCGCCAUGGCCGACGCAGCCGUCGCUGUUCCGCCGCCGUAACCGUGCCCAUCGUCGUCAACGGGCCGCUCCACCGUGUCCUGAAGCUCCGUCACUCCCUCCUCGACCGUCCCACCAAGCCACGCCCCACCGGAGGCCCCCGAGCGUCUUCACGGUGCUCAUCUUCAACCUCCUGCCGGCCAGAUCGCCUCCGCAGCCCCGCUUGCUCCGGCUCGUCUCCGACCUCGCCGUCAACUCCGUCGCAAUCGCCGUGAGCUUAGCCACGUCCCUAUCCUCUCCACUCUCCUUCUCGUGCACCACAGCGAGCACACGGAGUUUGCCCGCACGCGCCGCCGCGGAGCUCGUCGUCGACGAGGCUCCGGCCAUGCCACAGCCACGCCACUUAGUCCACUAACUUCACCACAUCCCCAGGAGCACAACGCACCACGCCCGUGCCUCGCCUUGCCUCCUAGCGACGGGUCCGAGCUCACCCGAGCUCCGGCCACCGCCAAACUCGUCGUCGGCGCUGUUUCCGGCGACCCCGAGCCCAACCACCCGCACCAACCGCCGCGGCUCGCUCCCACCUAUCCAUAGAGCCCAACGGCACCCCGAACGGUGCCCUGUAGGUGAAACCCGCACCUGCACCGCCGCAUUUCGCCUCGCCGGCGGCUAAACGCCGGCGAGUUGACCCUGCUGACCCCGUUUGACCACAUGUGGGCCCAGUUUGACCCCCCUGGGUUAAUGACAGGUAGGGCCCAGCCCUGCUGACUAAUUAGGAUUAGUAUUACCUAAUAUCUAGUUAAACUAAUCACACUGACACACGAGACCCACUGUCAGGUUUGACCUGGACCGUCCCUGUUGACCACUGACGUCACCCUGACGCAUUGCUGACGCAAUAACUAAUUUCUGGAUUUAUUUUUAUACAGAAAAUUCUAGAAAUUGUUGCAAACUUCAAAAAUUCAUAGAAAUUAUUCUAUAACUCCAAAUGCAAAGAUUUAUAUAUGAAUUUUGAUCAGAAAAAUUCAAUCUAUCCAUUGGUAAUGGUUUCAUGCAUGACAGAACAAGUUAACCUUGCUGUUUAAGCAAAAUAAGAUAAUGCACUAAAAUGGCUAUGUUAAAUGAACUAAUAUUUGAAUCUUUGAUUCAAAUGAGUUCAUUCCUUUCUGUUUUAGCUUGCAUUAGGCCAAGACACAUUCAUAUUGCCAUGUCAUAGCAUGCAUCAUAUUGUUGAAUAUCGUCAUGUGCUGAUUAUGUUCGGUGUGUUUUUCGUGGUAGGUUCUGUCUCCGAGGAUAACCCCGAAUAUCUGUCUGAAGGGCAGUACCCUACUACCACUACAUCAGGUAAGCAACCAAUUGAUCAUUCCGAUACAAACCCAUGUUCUCGCUUCUGCUCUUGUUUACUGCAUUAAGACAACGCGAUUCAAACUGUUGUGUGUUGCGGUAGUUGAACCAACUUCCUUUGCAUGACCUGUCAUUGCCACAGUAACUAGAUGAAACCCACUAGCAUGUGUAGGAGUUGAUUGAGCCAUAUUUGUGUUCCUACCAUGCUAUGACUGCUAUGCUUAGAGUUGUGUCAGGUCUGGUUCAUCUGGGUGAUGGGCUAGAGUGAAAUGAUUAUGUCGGUAAUGUGAGGGAUGUGUUGAACAUGUUUUAGUAAAGGUAUCGAUGAGAGGCCAUGUAGGAGUACAUGGUGGGUUGUUUCAUUGAGGCCGUCCAUAAGAACUGAGAUCUGUAUGCGUGAUUUAAGAUUCAGCUACUACCACACAUUGGGCCCUGAAAUAUGACCCCUUCUCGACUUACUGACCCCUCUCGUCCUCUGUCCAGGAGUUGCAACUAGUUUCUGGUGUUUGUAGGUUAUGUGUUGGCGGCCAUGCGUAGCGCUGACCCUAGGGGUGGGCUAUGAUGCGGUAGAUACACCAUGGCAUGGUGUACCGAGUCGCCCGUUUGGUGUCUCGGGAACCCUGCACACAUCGUUUAGGGACGUUGAGGACACCCUAGCCGGAUUUCCUUGCGGAUGGAACCUGAAUAGGCGAUAAACCUGGACUAGAGACUUGUGCGGUUAGUCAGGUCGUGGUCUACACCCACGUCAGUUUUCGCUUAAAGUCUGCCGAGCACAUGUCAUGUGCAGACGCUAAGUGGUGGAAACAUGUGUGAUGAAGUACACCCCUAUAGGGUAUAAAACUAUUCGAAUAGCCGCGUCCGCGGUAAAGGACUACUUGGUUUCCUAUACAGUUCAUAGACAAGUUAAUGGAUACUACUAAAAGACUCAAGAUAAGUGUGAGUACCGAGGAUGGCCCUCUCGUAGGAUGACGAGGGAGGAUCCCCGAUGGAGUAUUGUGUUGGUGAUUAGUGGACUCGUGUGCGAAAACUAUUUUACUAGUGGAGUCUCGUAAGAUAGCUUAGCCAAGAGUCAAAGCUGGCUUGCUGCAAUAACUCCACCACCUUCUUGAGAAUGAGCAUGUAUAGUAGGUUCUGAUGUAAGACUUGUUGAGUACCUUUGUACUCAUGUUUGCUUAAUUACUGUUUUUAGACGACAACACCGCCCCCUCCGAUGGGUUCUACAUAGACCUUGAUGUCGACGAGUGACUAGCCACCCAGGUGGUGGUCCAAGCCUUGGAAGGGCCCUCUAUAGAUAAAUAGGCUUCUUCAAGCCUUUUUCCUUUCUAGUGUCUGUACUCAGACUAAGUUGCUUUCGCAUGUGCUUGUAUGAUUGUAUGACUUGAGUGCCGGGUCGUGUGACCCCUACCUGUAUGAAUAUGUUAUGUAUGGCUCCUCGGAGCCUUUUAAAAUAAAGUACUUGAGUUGUAGAGUUUUGUUGUGAUGCCAUGUUGUAUGUACUCAUAUCGGGCAUAUUCUGUGUAUGAUUGAAAUGCUUGGUAUGAGUGGGAUCCGACAAUCUAGUUGUUUAUCCUUGGCAGCCUCUCAUAUGGGGAAAUGUAGUCUAGUGCUUCCUGAGCGAUAGUAGUCCGCUAUAGCUCGGUUCACCGGAGUCUUGUUAGCCCAGCACUACUGCUCUGGACACUUGACUGGCCGGCAUGUGUUUCACUUCGUUCCUGUGUCUGUCCCUUCGGGGAAAUUUCACGCGGUGACAUCCGGAGUCCUGCCUAGUAUGCUACAGCCCGGGUUACCGAAGUCCUGUUAGCCCAGUGCUACAGCCCGGAUUCACACGUUGAUGACCGACAUGCUCGAUGUGAUUCAUGUAUGCCUGUCCCCAUGGGUUAGUGCCCCUUUGGGUUCACGACUAGCCAUGCCGGCCCGGGUUCUCCGUCAUAUGGAUGCUAGCGACACUAUCAUAUACGUGAGCCAAAAGGCGCAAACGGUCCCGGGCCAUGGUAAGGCGACACCCGUGGGGAUACCGUGCAUGAGGCCGCAAUGUGAUAUGAGGUGUUACCGGCUAGAUCGAUGUGAUUUGGAAUCGGGGUCCUGACAGCGUUGGCAUCAGAGCCGGACUGCCUGUAGGUUCGUUGAGCCAAACUGGUCGAUGUCGAAUCUAGAAAUGCUUUAGUUAUAUGUAGGGGAAUUGAUUGUGGGAGGGAACGUAAGGCUCUUUUACUCCUUUACCUUAUGCCCUCUGAUCUGAGUCAUUCUCUUCUCAUUCAACGUGGGUUAAGGACUAGGCUCUCUUCUUCUAUCAGGUUCACGUGUUACUAAUCCGUAGUAGCUUAUAGGAUUGUUGUUACAAGCCUCAGUACAGUUUCUACUACUUUUAGUAUGUUGCCAGUUGAAUCAGAACCCUGAUAUGAUGUUGUUGAGUGGUAUUGCAAACUGUUGUGGAUGUCUCAAACCUUUUCCUGAGCAUUUACAGCUGUUAUGUUGUCAAAUUUUCCCUAGAAACUCUAAUGUCUUUGCAUUGUGGUUGUGCUUUCAGAUGGCCACUCGUGCUCAAAACCAAGUGGUUCGCCUGACCCGGUGCCUCGAUGUGCCCGGUCAUACUUCUAUGUUAGUCCGGGUAAUGAUCAAGACGGGUUACCGUUGGUAUCCGGAAUACACUGUCGAAGAGCAAUUCCGAGACUUUAAUCAAAGCCAAUAUUUCUGCACCGUCAGGAUAUUUCCUUCUUAUCCUGGAUCUACCGAGCCCCUCCACUGUUCCUAUGGACUCGGGGUUACUGUUGAGAUGGUUGUGCAGGAUGCUGCCUAUUCCGUGAUGACCAUCAUGCGAGUCUGGACUGGCCUGCUUCAGAACAUCGACUUCCGUUAUAUGCCAGCUUCACUCCCGGGAGCGCAAGGGUAUCUCCAGGCUAUCUAUGCUGACUCCACACGUGAGGACUCACUAACUCGCACCACUACCGAGAUGCUCGAGGAUAAGGAUCGAGAGAAUUGGGCCUUGAGACUGGAGCUUUUCAACACCCGUGCUGAUCAUUGGGCCACUUUGACUCGGUUUGCACCUGAUGUGCAAGCUGGAUGUAUGGAUACAAGGGAUCUGUAUCCUGUGAGAUCGGCUCUGCCAGACAUGGUGGAUUGGCGUGAUGUGGGAGGCAUCACCCCACCCCGUGGUCCCUGCAGGCCACCGUUUGUUGGUCCAAGACCUCAUCCUAGCCCCUAUGGUCCACAAGCUCCUCAGGACCGUCUGUUCCCGGAUGAUCACGUUGAACUUCUAGGCUAUGGAGGUGACUUCUAUGAGGACUACUAUGGAGCUGUCUGAGUUAGUAGUAGUAUCACUAGUAUUGUAAUAGUUGUAUCUCCACUGUCCUGCAUGACUUGUGGAAUAUGACUUAGUGUGUAAUCAAUUCCGGAGGUGUAGAAAAAUAAUGUAUAGGAGCUUGGAAUGCUUCCGAUGAGAUGUAACGUCUUUCAUCAUAGUUGUACUGUAGCCUGGGCUUGCACUAAACCAUGUAUGGUGUGUAUGACCGUUGGUAUAUAUAUGGCAGUUCUAUAUUACCAUGUCAUACGGAUGAACAUCUCUGCAUUUCGUGUUAUCCAUUACAUUCUGCACUUCCUUGCUAAGUUGUGCCAUCCUUAUCUAAACCGUUGUCUUGUUUUCUCCUAGGAUGGUCAACACCCAUAGCAACCCUGCUGCCCCGGAGCAGGGGGAAGCCAGUGCAGUUAGGGGUGAAAAUCUGCCUCACCCUCCUUCUCUGGCCGAAGUGAUGCUGGAGGCAGAAAGAAACAAGCAUGAGACUAACCGCUUGCUGGAGCGGAUUGAGCAGAACACUGCACGCCAUCAGCGAAAUGACUUGGUGUCAAUCAAUGACUUCAUCAAGUCAUACCCACCAAAGUUUAACCAUUCCGUCGAGCCCCUCGACGCGGAUGACUGGCUUUGCAGCAUCACCCACAAGCUACGUUCUGCCAACGUAGCCGAAGCUGAUAAGGUUACUUAUGCUGCCUAUCACCUCGAAGGCCCUGCUAGCCUUUGGUGGGAAAAUUUUGAAGCUAUGUGCCCGGUCGGCCAAAUCACUACUUGGGCUGAAUUCAGUGAGGCUUUCUGUGAGCAUCACAUCCUGGAAGGUCUCAUAGAUCGCAAGAGGGAAGAGUUCUGCAAUUUCACCCAAGGAAGACUGACUGUGGAUGCAUAUAGUCGUGAAUUUGGGAAUCUGGUACGAUAUGCUCCUGAAGAGGUAUCCACCGACGCUAAGAAGCAGGCAAGGUUCUGCAAGGGACUUAGCCCUGAGCUUCGCCGCGAUCUUCGUCUGCACGAGUGCACCUCCUUUCAGAAGUUGGUCAAUAAAGCCAUCAGUGCUGAGGCAGGCCAGUCUGACUAUGACGCUUCACGCAAGCACUCUUGUGAUUUUGGCUCUUCAUCCGGCUCUGGAUCUCAGAAGCGCCGGGUGUGGAUUCCAAGCACGGCACUGCCACCUAGGUUCAUUCCGAGGCCAUCCUUUGAGGCGCCUCAUCCCAACCAGCAGUUUGCACCGCCCAAGCCCUAUGGUGGCCCCGCUGCUAAUGCCGCUCCACGCCCCAAUGUUGUGACAUGUUUCAAGUGUGGAGAGCCGGGUCACUAUAGCCGAGAGUGUCCCCAGAACAACAACCCCAGUCAGUCUGGAAAGUCCGUUGGCCGUGGUAAGCCAGCGGGAAAGGCAUUCUACGCCAAGCCGGUCACCACUGCACGUGGCCAUGUCAACUAUGUCUCAGCCGAGGAGGCUCAUGAGGAUCCUAAUGUCGUCCUUGGUACGCUCCUUGUUAAUUGCCAUCCGGCAUCUGUUCUUUUCGAUACUGGAGCAUCUCAUUCAUUCAUAUCUGAGAGCUAUGCUCGAUUGCAUAACACAACAUUCUGUGACAUGCCCAUUUCCAUGGUAAUUCAAACUCCGGGUUCCAAAUGGCAAACUUCUAGAGUAAGCCAUGGGAACGAAAUUCUCGUCGAUAGACUUGUCUUCCUUGCAUCCUUAAUAGCUCUCAAGUCCUCGGACAUUAACAUCAUCUUGGGUAUGGACUGGAUGUCAGCUCAUUAUGCUAAGAUUGAUUGUGCCACUAGAACCGUUCAACUUACUCACCCAUCGGGCAAGGCAGUCAAUGUCUUAACUCGAGUGGCCAAGCGCCAACUUUACUCCCUAAAUGCCAGCCCCCUUCCAGACCUUGAAGAUAUUCCGGUAGUCCGGGACUUUCCAGAUGUCUUUCCAGAAGAACUGCCAUGUGUUCCACCUGACAGGGAUGUCGAGUUUGUGAUAGACCUUGUUCCGGGAACCGUUCCAAUUUCUAGAAGACCCUAUAAGAUGGCACCCUUAGAACUAGCCGAGCUUAAGAACCAACUCGAUGAGUCCUUGAAAAAGGGUUUCAUCCGUCCUAGUUCCUCUCCUUGGGCUUGCCCCAUCCUCUUCGUCAAAAUGAAGGAUGGAACGGAUCGGAUGGUUGUAGAUUACCAACCUGACAACUUGGUCACUAUCAAGAACAAGUAUCCGCUUCCCAGGAUCAACGAUCUGUAUGACCAGCUCGCUGGAUCCUCAGUCUUUUCCUAGAUGGAUUUGAGGUUGGGCUACCAUCAAAUCAAAAUCAGAAACGGGGACAUUCCCAAAACGGCCUUUGUUACUCGCUAUGGCCAAUAUGAGUACACCGUUAUGUCCUUCGGUUUAACCAAUGCCCCAGCCACCUUCUCUCGGUUAAUGAACUCGGUCUUCAUGGAGUAUUUGGAUAAAUUCGUCGUAGUAUACCUCGAUGACAUACUCAUCUACUCCAAGAAUGAAGAGGAACAUGCCGAACAUCUAAGGCUGGUAUUGACGAAACUUCGAGAGCAUCGCCUUUAUGCCAAAUUCUCCAAGUAUGAAUUUUGGUUGCCAGAAGUGACCUAUCUAGGCCAUGUAAUAUCUGGUAAGGGUAUUGCUGUCAAUCCCGAGCGAGUUCAAGCCGUCCUUGAUUGGACUCCACCUGAGACGGUCAUGCAAGUUCGGAGCUUCCUUGGCUUAGUGAGCUAUUGCCGUCGCUUCGUCGAGAAUUUCUCCAAGGUUGCUAAACCUCUAACUGAACUCCUCAAGAAAGAUAAAAAGUUCGAGUGGACCCCACAGUGCAGUUCAGCUUUCAGGAACUAAAAAGACGCCUGACAUCUGCACCCGUACUUGUACCACCAGAUUUCUCCAAGGACUUUAUUAUCCAUUGCGAUGCCUCGCGACAAGGACUAGGUUGCAUACUCAUGCAAGAUCAUCAGGUAAUUGCCUAUGCUUCACGGCAAUUACACCCACAUGAGGAAAAUUAUCCCACACAUGAUCUAGAGCUUGCAGCUGUAGUCCAUCCACUUAAAACUUGGCGACAUUACCUCCUCGGUAAUCGUUGCGAGAUCUUCACCAAUCACCAAAGUUUGAAAUAUAUCUUCACCCAACCGGAUUUGAAUCUUAGGCAAUGACGUUGGGUCGAGUUGAUCUCGGAUUACGACUUAGGAAUAACUUACACCCCGGGCAAAGCCAAUGUCAUGGCUGAUGCGCUAAGUUGUAAAUCUUAUUGUAACAACCUGAUGUUACAACAAAGUCAACCACUUCUCCAUGAGGAAUUUCGUAAGCUUAAUCUUCACAUUGUUCCUCGAGGAUUCCUAUCCACCCUGGUGGCGAAGCCUAACCUUACAGAUCAAAUUAUAACUGCCCAGAAAUGUGAUAAGGGCAUUGUGGAAAUUGUAGGAUGAUUGAAUAUUAUGUUGUUGUAUUGAUCUGACCCUCAUAUGGGGUAUAUAUAGGAGUACAACGUGGGGGAGAGGAUUGGAGUACAAGGCAAGUCAUGGUUGGUUUAAACCAAAUAUAUCUCUAUCUCUCAUAAUCCCUAACUAACACGUGUGUACUUCUAACAUUCUCCCUCAGUCGUAGCGUGAGUGAAGCGAACGAUUGCGACUGAAUUUGAAGUCUUGCACUUCUGCCGUCCUCUCCGCUGCACCAUCAUCAACUACGUCUCUGAUGGCUGAUGGGUCGGUACCUAGGGCGGUGACUGCAUCCCCUUCUGGUGUCUUCCCUGUCUUCUUCUCUAUUCCCUCCCGCAGUCACAGCGGGAGUGUCGUGAACGCAAGUGACGAGGCGGACGCUGUUGACUGGAGUUGUUGCCGAUGAGUUGCUGUAGACGUAGCCAUUAAUGUCGAGGUAGCCGAUCAUGGUGAUGUAGCCGUGGUCGAGGUAGUCGUGGUCGAUGGUGUGGUCGUCGUGGAUGAUGAAGCCGCACAAAGCUAAAGGCGCAAAAAAAUGCGCUAUGACGGAGCUGCAGACGUGGACGAUGCACCGCUCGGAUGUCGGAGGGUGUCGUCGGUGAUGAGUCCACCGGUUUUGCCAAGACCGGAGGAAGCCCAUCGAGCACACAUCGGUUUUGCCAGAACCGUGUGGCCGUGUAGGGUCGUCACUGUAGUGACGCCGUGUCGAUGCAGUCGUGCAGUUGUGAAUGACGCGGUCGAUGCCGUCGUCGUGACGCGGUCAUUGCCGUCGUCGAGGUCGCGUCUUGCAGAAAAAUCUGUCAGAGGACACUAGGUGUCCAUCUUGUGGACGAGGCGGUGGCAGUGUGUUGACGAUGAUGGUGAUGAAGACCACGUUGAUGAAGACAUUGGCGAUGAAGUGUCGGCGAUGCAGCGGCGUGUCAACGAUGAUGCGUUGCUUGGAGGCGUCCCUCGUGGCGACGGGUGUCGAUGUCGUGUCGUGCUGAAAAAGACGAUGAAGAAUUGCACGCUUUCCACACCGUCUUGGCGUGUGGAUGGUGCAUGUCGGGUCCGUAGAUGUGCUCGGCAAAGAUUUGUUUCUUUUCUUGAUGUAGCCGUACAGCUUGAUGAAGUGGUUUGGCCUGAUGUAGUUCGGCUAGAUGCAGUGCAGAUGGGUCGGUGCAGUCACUUGGUUCGACGAUGGAGCGCUUGAUGUAGAUCGUAGCCUCGUAGGAGUCGCGUCGCGUGGUGAUGCCGAAGCCGCUACCCGCGGAGCACAGCGGCGCGUGGCCGGCGUUGCCGGUCGACGCUGCAGAAGGGCCGUGGCUGCGGUCCAUGGCUCAUGCCAUGCACGUACGCAUGUUGAUCAUGGCGAGUGUUGCCACGCACGUAUGCAUGUGCACACGGCCAUGUUCUUGUUGCUCGAUGCGUGCAUGGGCUAAGGAGUCGAUGAAGUUGCAGUUGCUUGGCGAUGAAGUUAUGCUUGGUGCUGGCAGGAAGAACUUGCUGAUGACGCGCUGCCCGGGAUGCCAAUGCAGAUCGCGAGAGCAUCCGCUUGAUGCAGGCCUCCUUGUUCUGAAGUCGAUGUCGUGUUGAGCCGUUGGAGAAGCCGGUUCGAUUAGAUCGAACUCGCCAGAUCAGAUCGCUGCCGCCGAGCGUGCGCAUUGGUGCCACUGCGGACGGGGCGAGUAGCCGGUCUUGGUGCAGUCGGGAUGCGUGCGUGACGUCUGCUGAUAGACGCUGGCUCGAAGCCUGCCGUGCCCCCUGCAACUUGCCGCAGUUAGGAUGCGCGCGUGGCGUCUGGUGAUGAACGCCGGCUCGAAGCCUGCCGUGCCCUGCAACUUGCAGAGGGAGAUCCAUGCAUCCAUCUAUGAAGAUUUCUCGCCAGAUAAGAGGGUCGUAGAAUUUAUUUGGUGUCUAAUGAAAAACUAAUCUAAUGAAAUUUCUAACUUUGAAGAAUUUAUCUAAUCUAAUCUACGGAACCAAUCUGAUCUUUGAUCAAUUGGAUGCCGCGCCCCCGGGGAGAGGAGAUUAAUCUCCCCAGGGGCGGCACGCUGCGGAAGUGGUGAAAGGACCAAGGAUCAAGCGAUGUUGGUCUAAUGGCUCUGAUACCAUGUGGAAAUUGUAGGAUGAUUGAAUAUUAUGUUGUUGUAUUGGUCUGACCCUCAUAUGGGGUAUAUAUAGGAGUACAACGUGGGGGAGAGGAUUGGAGUACAAGGCAAGUCAUGGUUGGUUUAAACCAAAUAUAUCUCUAUCUCUCAUAAUCCCUAACUAACACGUGUGUACUUCUAACAGGCAUAUCCCGGAUUAAGGAAAACAUCGCUAGUGGAGUUGCUAAAUGUUUUUCCAUGGAUGAGCGAGGUGUUGUCCUCUUCGAGAACCUCUUGGUGGUUCCCAAGAAACAACAUUUACGCCAGUUGAUUCUUAAGGAAGCUCAUGACUCCCCUCUCACCAUUCAUCCCGGUAGUACCAAGAUGUAUCAAGACCUACGCCAGAGGUUUUGGUGGACUAGGAUGAAGAGAGAAAUUGCUCAAUACAUUGCUAGCUGCGACGUCUAUCGUCGUGUUAAAGCAGAGCAUCAACGGCCUGCUGGCACCCUUCAACCUUUGGCUAUUCCUAAGUGGAAAUGGGAUAAAAUCAGUAUGGAUUUCAUUACUGGGUUUCCCAGGACCAAGAGAGGGAAUAAUGCCAUCUUCGUCGUGACCGACCAUCUUUCCAAAGUAGCCCAUUUCCUACCUGUUCGUGAGAGUAUCACCGCUAGCCAGCUAGCUGAUUUAUACAUCUCCCGAAUAGUGUCUCUUCAUGGUGUCCCAUUGGAAAUUAACUCGGACCGUGGGAGUCUCUUCACCUCUCGAUUUUGGGAAAGUUUCCAAAAUGCUAUGGGAACUCGUCUCUCUUUUAGCACCGCCUUCCAUCCUCAAUCAAGUGGUCAAGUAGAGCGAGUCAAUCAAAUUUUGGAAGAUAUGCUCUGAGCUUCUGUCAUCUCAUUCGGAAUGGGUUGGGAGAAAUGCCUUCCAUUCGCGGAGUUUGCUUAUAACAGUAGUUAUCAAGCUAGCUUGGGCAAAGCUCCUUUCGAAGUUCUCUAUGGACGAAAAUGUCGAACGCCUUUUAACUGGUCAGAAACCGGGGAAAGACAACUCUUUGGCUCGGAUAUGAUUUAGGAAGCAGAAGAGCAGGUUCGCGUUAUUCGUGAGAAAUUGAAAACAGCCCAAUCUCGUCAAAAGAGCCAAUAUGAUCGUAAACAUAAGCUCAUGACUUAUGAAGUCGUCGAGAAGGCUUACCUUUGGGUUACUCCAUUAAAGGGAACCCAUCGUUUCGGUAUCAAAGGCAAAUUGGCUCCUCGUUACAUUGGACCUUUUCGCAUUCUUGCCAAACGAGGAGAAGUUGCCUACCAAUUGGAACUACCUUCGCAUCUUUCCAGAGUUCACGAUGUCUUCCAUGUUUCUCAACUCAAGCGUUGCUUUGCGGAUCCUAUCCAUGGAGUGGACCACAAAACGCUUGAUCUACAAGAUAACCUCUCAUAUCGGGAAUAUCCCGUUCGUAUCCUUGAUCAAGCCGAGCGUACCACUCGACGCCAUAAUAUCAAGUUUCUCAAGGUUCAAUGGUCACACCAUUCUGAGAAAGAAGCCACUUGGGAAAGGGAGGAUCGUCUUCGACUCGAGUACCCCACCUUCUUCCCGGAGGAUCCUAAAUCUCGGGACGAGAUUCUUUUGAGUGGGGGUGAUUUGUCACACCCUAGCUGGUUCAUGCAUUAGAGUGUUGCAUCAUGUCUACUUUUACAGAAACUUGAAAUGGGGAUGACAGAACCCCCUGCACCCCCUUGGAAACAACUAGGGUUUACUAAAAUUAUUUUCAAUGAACCCAAAAUGCCCUUCACAAAAUGUUCAUCAUUUCUGGAUUGGGUUAAAACCCCUGGCAAAAAUGGUGCACUCUUUUCUAGGACAUUCUGGAUUCUUUGAAUUAAAUCAUAAGUAUUUGAAUUUGGGCAUUUAAAUGCUAUAAAAUAUUUUAAAUGCCCAAAUAAUCCUGGAUUUACGUGAGGGCUGUUAGGAAUAAUCCCAACAGAGCCCACAAUUAUUUUCAGGAUUUUAGCAAGUGCCUAAGUAUUUUUAAUAAAGCCCUAAAGUUACAAAAAAAUAGAAAAAGAAAUCAAACAGGAAAGAGAGGAAGAGAAAGCUUACCUGGCGCCCACCCAGCAGGCCCACCUACCGGCCCAGCCCAGCCAAUGCUCCAGCGAGCUGCUUGGCUUGGCCAAGCAGGCAGGCAGCUGCUCGACGCCGUCACCAGCGCGUGCCACGCAGCUGCCCGCCGCCCUGCUUCCUCCCCUCGCCGCUCUGCUGGCCUGGACGACCUCCACGUCGCGCACCGAACCCCCUGGACACGUCCAUUCCCCCCUGCCUCUCUCCCUCGCUCCCCUCCGCCAUGGCCGACGUAGCCACCGCCGUAACCGUGCCCACCGUCGUCAAUGCGCCGCUCCACCGUGUCCUGAAGCUCCGUCACUCCCUCCUCGACCGUCCCACCGAGCCAUGCCCCGCCGGAGGCCCUCGAGCGUCUUCACCGAGCUCGUCUUCAACCUCCUGCCGGCCAGAUCGCCUCCGCCGCCCCGCUUGCUCCGGCUCGUCUCCGACCUAGCCGUCAACUCCGUCGCAAUCGUCGUGAGCUUAGCCACCUCCCAAUCCUCUCAGCUCUCCUUCCCGUGCACCACAGCGAGCACACGGAGUUCGCCCGCACAUGCCGCCGCGGAGCUCGUCGUCGACGAGGCUCCGACCAUGCCACUUAGUCCACUAACUUCACCACAUCCCCAGGAGCACAACGCACCACGCCCGUGCCUCGCCUUGCCUCCUAGCGACGGGUCCGAGCUCACCCGAGCUCCGGUGCCGCCAAACUCGUCAUCGGCGCUGUUUCCGGCGACCCCAAGCCCAACCACCCGCACCAACCUCUGCGGCUCGCUCCCAGCUAUCCAUAGAGCCCAACGGCACCCCGAACGGUGCCCUGUAGGUGAAACCCGCACCUCCACUGCCGCGUUUGGCCUCGCCGGCAGCUAAACGCCGGCGAGUUGACCCCGCUGACCCCGUUUGACCACGUGUGGGCCCAGUUUGACCCCCCUGGGUCAAUGACAGGUAGGGCCCAGCCCUGCUGACUAAUUAGGAUUAGUAUUAACUAAUAUCUAGUUAAACUAAUCACACUGACACGUGGGACCCACUAUCAGGUUUGACCUGGACCAUCCCCGUUGACCAUUGACGUCACCCUGACACACUACUAACGCAAUAACUAAUUUCUGGAUUUAUUUUUAUACAGAAAAUUCCAGAAAUUGUUGCAAACUUCAAAAAUUCAUAGAAAUUAUUAUGUAACUCCAAAUGCAAAGAUUUAUAUAUGAAUUUUUGAUCAGAAAAAUUCAAUCUAUCCAUUGGUAAUGGUUUCAUGCAUGACAGAACAAGUUAACCUUGCUGUUUAAGCAAAAUAAGAUAAUGCACUAAAAUGGCUAUGUUAAAUGAACUAACAUUUGAAUCUUUGAUUCAAAUGAGUUCAUUCCUUUCUGUUUUAGCUUGCAUUAGGCCAAGACACAUUCAUAUUGCCAUGUCAUAGCAUGCAUCAUAUUGUUGCAUAUCGUCAUGUGUUGAUUAUGUUCGGUGUGUUUUUCGUGGUAGGUUCUGUCUCCGAGGAUAACCCCGAAUAUCCGUCUGAAGGGCAGUACCCUACUACCACUACAUCAGGCAAGCAACCCAUUGAUCAUUCCGAUACAAACCCAUGUUCUCGCUUCUGCUCUUGUUUACUGCAUUAAGACAACGCGAUUCAAACUGCUGUGUGUUGCGGUAGUUGAACCCACUUCCUUUGCAUGACCUGUCAUUGCCACAGUAACUAGAUGAAACCCACUAGCAUGUGUAGGAGUUGAUUGAGCCAUAUUUGUGUUCCUACCAUGCUAUGCCUGCUAUGCUUAGAGUUGUGUCAGGUCUGGUUCAUCUGGGUGAUGGGCUAGAGUGAAAUGAUUAUGUCGGUAAUGUGAGGGAUGUAUUGAACAUGUUUUGGUAAAGGUAUUGAUGAGAGGCCAUGUAUGAGUACAUGGUGGGUUGUUUCAUUGAGGCAGUCCAUAAGAACUGAGAUCUGUAUGCGUGAUUUAAGAUUCAGCUACUACCACACAUUGGGCCCUGAAAUAUGACCCCGCUCGACUUACUGACCCCUCUCGUCCUCUGUCCAGGAGUUGCAACUAGUUUCUGGUGUUUGUAGGUUAUGUGUUGGCAGCCGUGCGUAGCGCUGACCCUAGGGGUGGGCUAUGAUGCGGUAGAUACACCGUGGCACGGUGUACCGAGUCGCAUGUUUGGUGUCUCGGGAACCCUGCACACAUCGUUUGGGGCCGUUGAGGACACCCCGGCCGGAUUUCCUUGGUGAUGGAACCUGAAUAGGUGAUAAACCUGGACUAGAGACUUGUGCGGUUAGUCAGGUCAUGGUCUACACCCAUGUCGGUUUUCGCUUGAAGUCUGCCGAGCACAUGUCGUGUGCAGACGCUAAGUGGUGGAAACAUGUGUGAUGAAGUACACCCCUGUAGGGUAUAAAACUAUUCGAAUAGCUGUGUCCACGGUAAAGGACUACUUGGUUGCCUAUACAUUUCAUAGACAAGUUAAUGGAUACUACUAAAAGACUCAAGAUAAGUGUGAGUACCGAGGAUGGCCCUCUCGUAGGAUGACGAGGGAGGAUCCCCGAUGGAGUAUUGUAUUAGUGAUUAGUGGACUCGUGUGCGAAAACUAUUUUACUAGUGGAGUCUCGUAGGAUAGCUUAGCCAAGAGUCAAAGCUGGCUUGCUGCAAUAACUCCUCCACCUUCUUGAGAAUGAGCAUGUAUAGUAGGUUCUGAUGUAAGACUUGCUGAGUACCUUUGUACUCAUGUUUGCUUAAUUACUGUUUUCAAACGACAACACUGCCCCCUCCGAUGGGUUCUACGUAGACCUUGAUGUCGACGAGUGACUAGCCACCCAGGUGGUGGUCCAAGCCUUGGAAGGGCCCUCUAUAGAUAAAUAGGCUUCUUCAAGCCUUUUUCCUUUCUAGUGUCUGUACUCAGACUAAGUUGCUUCCGCAUGUGCUUGUAUGAUUGUAUGACUUGAGUGUCGGGUCGUGUGACCCCUACCUGUAUGAAUAUGUUAUGUAUGGCUCCUCUGAGCCUUUUAAAAUAAAGUACUUGAGUUGUAGAGUUUUGUUGUGAUGCCAUGUUGUAUGUACUCAUAUCGGGCAUAUUGUGUGUAUGAUUGAAAUGCUUGGUAUGAGUGGGAUCCGACAAUCUAGUUGUUUAUCCUUGGCAGCCUCUCAUAUGGGGAAAUGUAGUCGAGUGCUCCCUGAGCGAUAGUAGUCCGCUACAGCCCGGUUCACUGGAGUCCUGUUAGCCCAGCACUACUGCUCUGGACACUUGACUGGCCGGCAUGUGUUUCACUUCGUUCCUGUGUCUGUCCCUUCGGGGAAAUGUCACGCGGUGACAUCCGGAGUCCUGCCUAGUCUGCUACAGCCCAGGUUACCGGAGUCCUGUUAGCCAAGUCCUACAGCCCGAAUUCACACGUUGAUGACCGACAUGCUCGAUGUGAUUCAUGUAUGCCUGUCCCCAUGGGUUAGUGCCGCUUUGGGUUCACGACUAGCCAUGUCGGCCCGGGUUCUCUGUCAUAUGGAUGCUAGCGACACUAUCAUAUACGUGAGCCAAAAGGCGCAAACGGUCCCGGGCCAUGGUAAAGCGACACCCUUGGGGAUACCGUGCGUGAGGCCGCAAUGUGAUAUGAGGUGUUACCGGCUAGAUCGAUGUGAUUUGGAAUCAGGGUCCUGACAGAUACAUACCAACGAGAGGGGAGAGUGUUGUCUAUGUACCCUCAUAGACCAUAAGCGGAAGCAUUAUGACAACGCGGUUGAUGUAGUCGUACGUCUUCAUGAUCCGACCGAUCCUAGCACCGAAGGUACGGCACCUCCGCGAUCUGCACACGUUCAGCUCGGUGACGUCCCACGAACUCUAGAUCCAGCUGAGGUCGAGGGAGAGUUUCGUCAGCACGACGGCGUGAUGACGGUGAUGAUGAAGUUACCGAUGCAGGGCUUCGCCUAAGCACCACAACGAUAUGACCGAGGUGGAAUUCUGUGGAGGGGGCACCGCACACGGCUAAACAAUCAACUUGUGUGUCUAUGGGGUGCCCCCUGUCGGUGUCAAAACCGGCGGAUCUCGGGUAGGGGGUCUCGAACUGUGUGUCUAAGGAGGAUGGUAACAGGAGGCAGGGGACACGAUGUUUUACCCAGGUUCGGGCCCUCUUGAUGGAGGUAAAACCCUACGUCCUGCUUGAUUUAUUCUUGAUGAUAUGAGUAUUACAAGAGUUGAUCUACCACGAGAUUGGAGAGGCUAAACCCUAAAAGCUAGCCUAUGGUAUGAUUGUCUGUUGUCCUACAGACUAAAACCCUCUAGUUUAUAUAGACACCGGAGGGGGUUAGGGUUACACAAGGUCGGUUACAAAGGAGGAGAUAUACAUAUCCGUACUGCCUAGCUUGCCUUCCACGCCAAGUAGAGUCCUAGCCGGACACGGGACGAAGUCUUCAAUCUUGUAUCUUCAUAGUCCAACAGUCGGCCAAAGGAUAUAGUCUGGCUGUCCGGAGACCCCCUAAUCCAGGACUCCCUCAGUAGCCCCUGAACCAGGCUUCAAUGAUGAUGAGUCCGGCGUGCAGUGUUGUCUUCGGCAUUGCAAGGUGGGUUCCUCCUCCGGAUACACCACAGAAGAGUUUGAAUAAAAGGAUAGUGUCCGACCCUGCAAAAUACGUUCCACAUACCACCGUAGAGAGAAUAAUAUUUCCACAAAUCUAAUCUGCUGACAUGUUUUGGCAACAUGACAUCAUGCCAUGGGUCGGUGAUUAUUCGAACCGUUUUUCUUUAACUAGCCCCGCACAUAACGCGAGGCAGUUUCUUGACACGUCUUGUCAAAGCAGAGAUCGUGUCCCCCUUAUUACGGGAUUCUCAUCAAUACGGGCGUGGGCAACCCAACCGUGCCAUCAAUUAUGGCGCUUGAGGGAUAAGCGAGUUUUACCAGGCUAGUGGGGGCGCAUAGUUUCGGCCGCCCUUAUAAAGGGAUAAGGUUUAACCUUUUUCUACCCACGCCUUCUUCCUCCUUGCUCAUUCGUUCUUGCGCACUUGAGCUCCAACGCCCAAGUCCACAUCCUUCUCCUAAACCUUCUCCAAACAUGUCUAGAGUGGGAGGCAAGUGGAUGGCUUCCUCCGUCACGGAGGGACACAUCAAAAAGCUACGAGGAGCCGGAUACUUAGCCGCGAAUAUCGCGCAUCGGCUGCCCGCUGCAGGGCAGAUCGUCCCUACCCUGGAACCUCACAAGAGGGUAGUCUUCCUCCACCAUUUCCUCCGCGGACUGGGGUUUCCCCUCCAUCCAUUCGUCCGUGGUCUUAUGUUCUACUACGGGCUGGACUUUCAUGAUCUGGCCCCGAACUUCAUCCUCAACAUUUCGGCGUUCAUCGUCGUGUGUGAGGCUUUCCUCCGCAUCCGGCCCCACUUUGGCCUGUGGCUGAAGACCUUGAAUAUCAAGCCGAAGGUGGUGGGAGGCCGACAAGUGGAAUGCGGCGGAGCCAUGGUGGGCAAGAUGCCCAAUGUUAUAUGGCUUGACGGAUCCUUCAUGGAGACCAUAAAGGGGUGGCAAUCGGCGUGGUUCCACAUCACCGAGCCAUGCGACACCAACUCGGUGGUGGCCCUCGAGUUUUGAUCCGGAAUCCCCACGCGGCUCACCUCCUGGAAAGAGAAGGGCCUAUCCUAGGGUUCAUCGGUGGAGCUGGAUGGACUCCAGAAAUGUAUCCGGAAUAUGGCAAGCAAGAAGCUCAAGCUUGUCAACAUAGUCUAGGUCAUGCUCUUCCGCCGGAUCCUCCCGUGUCAACAACGGGAUUUCAACUUGUGGGAGUUCGACCCGGCCCAGCACCAGACUCUAAGCGAGCUCUUCAACACGACACACAAGGACGUCUGGAGGGUGCUGUUCAAGGGUGCCGAGGUCCCUCCCUCUCUCACCGAGGACCGCGGGCUAAGCAUGAAGCGCCCUGCGAAUCUAGUAAGUUUUGUACAUCUGGUAGGAUUUUUACUUCCCAUAGCUUAACCACGUGCGGGGUCUGAGCUCCCAUGCCUUUAACAGGACUGGGUGGGGGCAUCGGAGAAGAUCAACUGUCCGGCCCCUCUGCCCGAAGACACUGCGGACGCUCUCCUGACGGAGAUGCUGAGUCCGGCUCCUUACAAGGUGCCAGAGAAGACCAAGAAGAAGGCCAAGGGAACCCGAAAGAGUUCCCGAUGCCAGGUGGUAUUGGACUCAUCGUCCGAUGACUUUGCGACACACUCCUCCCAUGAAGACGAGGAGGAAGAUGAAUAUGCUCCCCCUCUAGCCGGGGGAGACAAGAAAAGGAAGGCCGCCCCAACCGGGGGGCGAAGGGUCCAAGAAGGGAAGGACUCUCCUUCCGGACUGCUCCACCACCACCGCCGAAGACCAAGACGAGUGGCUGCUCAGGGCCAAGCCCCUGGCGAAGUCGUAAGUAUUCGGAUACCAGAGUAACUCAUAGCAUACCUUUGUUGCACUGCUUCUCCUAACGCCGAAUAUGAUUAUGCAGACCGCCCCAAGCCCGUAUCAAUGUAUCUUCGUCGGGCGACUCCUUGGACUCGUAGGAUAUGGAUAGCGAUCCACUUCCAAUCGCCACCUCCCCUUGCCCUACGGACAAUCCCGAGGUGCUGUCUCAAGAGGCACCGGGUCGAGGGGAGACAGUCCCGGAGGUGCCUCAAGGCGACCUUCCGGAAUCCGGGAGCAGAGGGGGUAAGGCUCCCGAGGGCUCCGAGUUUGGCCUUCAGCCGAACACUAUGCCGGAACCUCUAGUGGUUCCGGACUCGGGCAGGUGGCCUCCUUCCAAAAGGGGCAAGACGCCCAUGCCGGUGACCUCUGUCCAUCCAGAGGCACCGGACAAUCUGCUGGGAGCGCUUCGCAGUGCUUCCAUCGACGAAGAGCACCGCACUAUUAUGAGUGCGGUGAUCCAGAAGGUUCAGUCCACCAAGAGCGGACUGACUGAAGCCUGUGCCAGCCUUCUAACAGGCUUUGAGGUAAGUAUUUGAAAUAUAGGAAAAAUAUUACCGCAUAGACAGUAGCCCCUGAUGCUCUGUUUGGUCUUAAAAAAGAAAAGCCGAAUAGAGGAUCAACUAAUAUCUGCAGGAGUCUAAUAUAAGUAUGUCUAUAUGCGUAUGCAGGCUUCGCUGCUGACCUCUGCCGCACUGACUGCGUAGGUCGCCGUACUGAAGUAGGACCUCGAAGAGUCCAAGAAAGAGCUCGGCCUUGCCAAGAGGCAGCUCGAGGAGAACAAAGGUAAGUAAUACCUAGUCUGUAGAUAUGUAUAUAUAUAAGGGAUGUGAUUGCAAAAUGACAUGAUCAUCUUUAAUUUGCCAGGGGCCACGACCGAAGUGGCAACCCUGAAGCAAGCGCUAUCCGAGGCCGAAAACAAAGCGGCCCAGGAGCGCACCGAGCGGGAAAACAAGAGGCACGGGUGGGCGAGGUGCAGCAAGAGCUCCACGCUCUCGUGACGAAGCACGAGGCGUUGGAGCUUGACUUGAAGACGCGAGAGUCCGAGCUUGCCGCGACCCUUGAGAGUGCAAAGAGUGCCAAGGCCGAAGCCCAAAAGGCCCUCCAGGAGAUUGAUGCGAUGAAGAAUAUAGCAGCGGGUAAGGCAUUCUAUAUGCAAAGCAAGCAUGUGAAAGUAAAUUACUUGUUACUUACCCGAAUCCGGAGCUCUCCAGGAGCAUUCACAGAUUUGCCCCGCAGCGUGUCGGAUGCCGCAUAGUUUUACCUGGCCGAGGAGGGAAGUUCAACGGAGAAGCUGUUCUGGUCUCAGUAUACUGGGACCGAACACCCGAUGCCUCUGAGCGACCAGCUGAAGUAACUGGUCGAGCUGCACAAGGCGGCCAAAUAGGCCAUGAAGGGCUUUAUAGUCCGGAUGUGGCCUGGCGACGCCCUUCCCAACAGCUACUUCGGACUGGUGAGGCGGCUUGUGGAUGCCUGCCCACGGCUGGAAGUCAUCAAGCGGUCCGUCUGCAUCAAAGGUGCACACCGGGCUUUCGCCCAUGCGAAGGUGCACUAGGCCAAGAUGGACGUCGUGAAGCUGGUGAAGGAAGGGCCACCGCAGGGCAAGGAGCAUCGCCACCCCGAGAUGUACUAUGAGGGUGUCCUGAAGGGUGCCCGUCUUGUAGAGGACGAGUGUGCGAAAGAUGUAAUAUUUGAAUAAACUUGCUCGUGUAAUCCUGUAUUAUGAAAACUUGUUCAUAUGCGCUAUGCAACGCUUGUUUGAAUUUAAAAUAUUGCCUUCUGUUCGGUUGUUUAUCAAAUCUGAGAUAUGGCUAGUCGUCGGCUUCUGCCCCCACGCCACGAGUGCUGGGGUGUUCGGGAUAAACCUGAGCACUCUUGUUCCCAUUUUUGGGUCCUUUGAGGGAGGUGCUCGGCACAACGAACAAGGCAAUCGGACUAUAAUGCGUUAUCACUCUCACUUAGCCAUAGAAUUCUAUAAUUUUAAAUUUCGGCGAAGCCCCUAGUAUUCGGAAGGCCGAUUUUGGGGCACUAUACACGCCUUAAGCCGGACAGGGCCGACUCCUCGCUCUAAGCGGCAUAAGUCUUUAGGGACUUGAAACCUCUCAAACAUCGACCAGUCUCUCGCCUUAUCAUGACAGUCAGUUUUAGCUUUCUCUACUGAGGUGCUUAGCCCAGCAGAACCGGGGCACAAUCGCAGUAGUUCUCCCAGUGCUACCUUAGCCGAUAUAGCGGAACGUAAGGUACCAAAACAUGGGAGCCGGGCAAACCCAACUAUUGACCCAAGACAUGAUUCGGAGCUGAUGCAUAUAAUGCUAUAAGUUCGGGGUGCCGCACUGUCGAAAGUGCUCGGACUUCUCACGCCGUAUUAUGGGGUAUGCCUAAGCCCCUAGCGUAUUGGCCGUACCAGAAUGUACGGGUGCUAGAUGUCAUGAAUGAACAUAUAUAUAUAUAUAUAUAUAUAUAUAUAAAGGAAGAAUGCAAUAAUAGUCUUAAUGCUAUGCAUUGUUUAUUCAAAAAGGUGCGUUAAAGCAAAAUGAUACAAGUAGUGCGAUAAGAAAAAAGUAGGACUGUUUGACAUGUCCCCUCCAAGGGCAAGCUGAGAAAUAGUAUUAAAGCAAAUAUUUCACUCAUUAUCGUAAUCCACCUGGGAGUUCCGUGGUGUGACGUAACUUUCUACCUCCUUGGUUGCUGCAUCAUGUGUUCGGCAAUCAUGCUGCCGGAUAGGGUUUCCAGAUAUUAAAGUCAUGAAAGAUAAAAAUAACAAAGCAGGAAGCCCCUAGUGCGGUUUAAGCCGCGUCUUGGAGCAUGCCAUAGUCGUGCCCCCCUCCCCACCUGUGCCCAUGGUAUUUUUAAUGCGUAAUUAUGUACACGUGGCAUGGAUUUUGCCAUUUGGCUGGGACCGGGGUGGGGCCGCAUUGCUAUGCGAGCUCGGAACAUGCCAGGCGGUCCAGUUGCCGAUUACUCCAGGCGCGCUUGAAGGUGUUCGGGUCCUUAAUCGUCGAACUAGUGUAUUUCCUUAAGAGGCUGCUUUGCGCUUCUGCUGCGAGGGCUACAGUGUGCUCCUCCGUGCGGAGAGAGCGCUCUGUGUUUCCAUUGACUGUGAUGACCCCCCGAGGUCAUGCAUCUUGAGCUUGAGAUAUGCAUAAUGCGGUACCGCAUUGAACCUCGCAAAUGCAGUUCGCCCGAGCAGUGCAUGGGAGCCACUGCGGAACGGGACUAUGUCGAAGAUUAACUCUUUGCUUUGGAAGUUAUCCAGGGAUCCGAAGACCACUUCCAGUGUGACUGAGCCUGUGCAAUGGGCCUCUACACCUGGUAUGACGCCUUUAAAGGUCGUUUUUGUGGGUUUGAUCCUUGAGGGGUCUAUACCCAUUUUGCGCACUGUGUCCUGAUAAAGCGGGUUCAGGCUGCUGCCGCCAUCCAUAAAGACUCAAGUGAGGUGAAAUCCGUCAAUGAUUGGGUCUAGGACCAGUGCGGCGAAUCCGCCAUGACGGAUACUAGUGGGGUGGUCCCUGCGAUCAAAGGUGGUCGGACAGGAGGACCAUGGGUUGAACUUUGGGGCGACUGGCUCCAACGCAUAUACGUCCCUGAGCGCACACUUCUGCUCCCUCUUGGGGGUGUGGGUUGCGUAUAUCAUGUUCACCGUCCGCACUUGUGGGGGGAACCUCUUCUGUCCUCCGGUGUUCGGCUGCCGGGGCUCCUCCUCGUCAUCGCUAUGUGACCCCUUAUCUUUGUUUUCGGCAUUUAACUUGUCGGCCUGCUUGAACACCCAACAAUCCAUGUUGGUGUGGUUGGCUGGCUUGUCGGGGGUGCCGUGUAUUUGGCACGAGCGAUCAAGUAUACAGUCCAAACUGGACGAGCCCGAAGUGCUUCUUUUGAAUGGCUUUUUCUGCUGACCGGGUUUAGAGCCUUUGAAUCCGGCAUUGACUGUCGUAUCCUCGCUAUUGUCACUGUUAAUGCGGCACUUAUGUUUGUUGCGACGUGACCUGUCGUUGCUGUCCUUGGUAUCUGAAGUAGCAUGGUUCUUUGAUAUGUUAUUGCUGCGAGCCAACCAGCUGUCCUCUCCCGCACAGAAGCGGGUCAUGAGUGUCAUGAGGGCUGCCAUAGAUUUCGGCUUUUCCUGGCCAAGGUGUCGGGCGAGCCAUUCGUCGCGGAUGUUGUGCUUGAAAGCUGCUAGGACCUCUGCAUCCGGACAGUCGACAAUUUGAUUUUUCUUUGUUAGGAACCGUGUCCAGAAUUGCCUGGCCAAUUCCUAUGGCUGCGGAAUUAUGUGGCUCAAGUCAUUGGCAUCUGGUGGUCGCACAUAAGUGCCCUGAAAGUUGUCGAGGAAUGCGGCUUCCAGAUCUUCCCAACAGCCAAUGGACUCUGCUGGCAAGCUGUUGAGCCAAUGCCGAGUUGGUCCUUUGAGUUUGAGUGGGAGGUAUUUGAUGGCGUGUAGGUCAUCGCCGCAGGCCAUGUGGAUGUGUAGGAGGAAAUCCUCGAUCCAUAUCGCAGGAUCUGUUGUGCCGUCAUAUGAUUCUAUAUUUAUGGGUUUGAAACCCUCCAGGAUUUGGUGAUCCAUUACUUCGUCUGUGAAGCAUAAGGGGUGUGCGGCGCCUCUGUACUGGGCUAUAUCGCGAUGCAGCUCAAAUGAGUCUUGCCCGCUGUGUUCGGCCCGGCCGGACUUACUUUUACUGUAUCCGGCGUGACGAUUAUCGUCUCGCAUAGUGGCGCGCCCUCGUGAUCCGUAGAUCGAUCUUGCGUGUUUUGCUUUGUCCUCCAAUACGUCUCGCAGGUCUGGCGUAUUUCCCCAUGCCUUUUUAUUUGAAUGGCGUCGGGGUGCGGGCUGAGCUUUUGGCUGGAAUGCCUCUUUGUCGCGGACACGAGGUGGCCGAUCAGCCGCGUCAUACGCCAGGGAUGUAGGUUUCGGUGCUUCCUCCUCCAGUCGGGGUAGCAACCUACACUUUGGGUAACUCUUGGAGGGGUGUUCGAGUUUAUGUUCCUCAGCCGCCAGGACUUCAGUCCAUCUGUCAGCUAGCAAAUCUUCAUCAGCUUGAAGCUGCUGCUGCUUUUUCUUAAGGCUAUUUGCCGUGGCUAUAAGCCGGCGCUUGAAGCGCUCUUGUUCGACGGGAUCCUCUGGCACGACGAAUUCGUCAUCGUCGAGGCUUGCCUCGUCUUCAGAGGGAGGCAUGUAAUUAUCAUCCUCCGCCUCUCCAUCUGCCGCUCUCUCAGGAGGGCUGGCUUCUCCAUCCUCCUGCUCUAAAUCUUGCUGGAGGGGAUUGUUGUUGCCUUCGGCACUGUCCGGAGUGCUAUUAUCUCCGGUGCCGGUAUAACCGCUUUUUCCUUGGCGGGACUUAGAGCGGCGCCGCUGACGCUGGCGCUUGGGUUACUUCUUGGAGGGGUCAUCCUCCGCCGUCCCGUCGCCCUUGCCUUCUUUGGGUGUGUCCACCAUGUAUAUGUCAUAUGAUGAGGUGGUUGUCCAGUGCCCUGUGGGCAGUGGUUCCUCUUUGCCUCCCGCAUUGUCGUCCAUACCGUCGAUGUCUUCGGAGUCGAAGUUGAGCAUGUCGGUUAAGUCAUCGAUAGUGGCUACUAAGUGGGUGGUGGGUGGGCGGCGAAUUUCUUCGCCAUCCGCAUCCCAAUCCUGUCGGACGUAGUUCGGCCAGGACUCUCCUGACAAGGAGAGAGACCUUAAUGAGUUCAGUAUGUCGCCAAAGGGUGAGUGCUGAAAAAUAUCCACGGAGGUAAACUCCAUGAUCGGCGCCCAAUCGGAUUCGACAGGAACGGGCGCAGGCGAUUCGUAGUCUGUGGCCGGGGAAGGAUCCGGUAGUUUGGCAACACGGCUCUCGUGAAGGGUAAGGUCGAUAUUCGGCUCGAUCGCCGCAGAGGAUACGGCCUCCAUGGCGGGGUCUAUCCACCCGUCCAUGGAUGGCGCAACUGGCUCCGAAUUGAGGGUCGGAGCGGCUGCCGAUGCGAUUUCUUGAACACUGUCCGAUGGUAGAGCUAAAUCGUACUCAUAGUGACCGCGUGGCGCACAAGGUAGGGGCUCGAAUCCGUCAAAGAUCAAGUCUCCGCGGAUAUCGUCCGUGUAGUUUAAGCUUCCAAACUUGACCUGGUGGCCAGGGGCAUAACUUUUGAUCUGCUCCAGAUGGCCAAGCGAGUUGGCCCGCAGUGCGAAGCCGCUGAACACAAAGAUCUGUCCGGGGAGAAAAGUCUCACCUUGGACUGCAUCGCUAUUGAUGAUCGUAGGAGCCAUCAAGCCUAACGGCGACGACACAGAGGAACUCUCAAUGAAAGCACCAAUGUCGGUGUAAAAACCGACGGAUCUUGGGUAGGGGGUCCCGAACUGUGCGUCUAAGGCAGAUGGUAACAGGAGGCAGGGGACACGAUGUUUUACCCAGGUUCGGGCCCUCUUGAUGGAGGUAAAACCCUUCGUCCUGCUUGAUUUAUUCUUGAUGAUAUGAGUAUUACAAGAGUUGAUCUACCACGAGAUCGGAGAGGCUAAACCCUAAAAGCUAGCCGAUGGUAUGAUUGUCUGUUGUCCUACGGACUAAAACCCUCUGGUUAUAGACACCGGAGGGGGCUAGGGUUACACAAGGUCGGUUACAAAGGAGGAGAUAUCCAUAUCCUUACUGCCUAGCUUGCCUUCCACGCCAAGUAGAGUCCUAGCCGGACACGGGACGAAGUCUUCAAUCUUGUAUCUUCAUAGUCCAACAGUUCGGCCAAAGGAUAUAGUCCGGCUGUCCGGAGACCCCCUAAUCCAGGACUCCCUCACCCCCCUCCCCUGUAUAUAAAGGAGUGGAGGAGGGGGAAGGCCUGCCCUCUAUGGCGCGCCCCAAGGGGGGAGUCCUACUCCCGGUGGGAGUAGGAUUCCCCCUUUCCCUUGUUCGAGUAGGAGAGAAAGGAAGGGGGAGAGAGAGGGAAGGAAGGGGGGCGGACCCCCACCCAAUUCGGAUUGGGCUUGGGGGGCGCACCAUCCACCUUGGGUGCCUCCUCCUCUCUCCCACUAAGGCCCAAUAAGGCCCAUACACUCCCCGGGGGAUUCCGGUAACCCCCCGGUACUCCAGUAAAUGCCCGAACUCACCCGGAACCAAUCCGAUGUCCAAACAUAGUCAUCCACUAUAUCAAUCUUUAUGUCUCGACCAUUUCGAGACUCAUCGUCAUGUCCGUGAUCAUAUCCGGGACUCCGAACUACCUUCGGUACAUCAAAACACAUAAACUCAUAAUACCAAUCGUCACCGGAUGUUAAGCGUGCGAACCCUACGGGUUCGAGAACUAUGUAUACACGACCGAGACUCAUCUUCGGUCAAUAACCAAUAGCGGAACCUGGAUGCUCAUAUUGGUUCCUACAUAUUCUACGAAGAUCUUUAUCGGUCAAACCGCAUAACAACAUACGUUGUUCCCUUUGUCAUCGGUAUGUUACUUGCCCGAGAUUCGAUCGUCGGUAUCUCAAUACCUAGUUCAAUCUCGUUACCGGCAAGUCUCUUUACUCGUUCCGUAAUGCAACAUCCCGUAACUAACUCAUUAGUCACAUUGCUUGCAAGGCUUAUAGUGAUGUGCAUUACCGAGAGGGACCAGAGAUACCUCUCCGAUACACGAAGUGACAAAUAUCCUAAUCUCGAUCUAUGCCAACUCAACAAACACCAUCGGAGACACCUGUAGAGCUUCUUUAUAGUCACCUAGUUACGUUGUGAUGUUUGAUAGCACACUAAGUGUUCCUCUGGUAUUCGGGAGUUGCAUAAUCUCAUAGUCAUGGGAAUAUGUAUAAGUUAUGGAGAAAGCAAUAGCAGUAAACUAAACGAUCAAAAGUUCUAAGCUAACGGAUGGGUCAAGUCAAUCACAUCAUUCUCUAAUGAUGUGAUCCCAUUCAUCAAAUGACAACUCUUGUCCAUGGCUAGGAAACUUAACCAUCUUUGAUUAACGAGCUAGUCAAGUAGAGGCAUACUAGUGACACUCAUUUUGUCUAUGUAUUCACACAUGUGCUAAGUUUCUGGUUAAUACAAUUCUAACAUGAAUAAUAAACAUUUAUCAUGAUAUAAGGAAAUAUAAAUAACAACUUUAUUAUUGCCUCUAGGGCAUAUUUCCUUCAUCUUGUCCGUCACAUCAUUCUCCUAAUGAUGUGAUCUCGUUCAUCAAAUGACAACACAUGUCUAUGGUUAGGAAACUUAACCAUCUUUGAUUAACGAGCUAGUCUAGUAGAGGCUUACUAGGGACACUGUGUUUUGUGUAUAUAUCCACACAUGUAUCAAGUUUCCGGUUAAUAAAAUUCUAGCAUGAAUAAUAAACAUUUAUCAUGAUAUAAGGAAAUAUAAACAACAACUUUAUUAUUGCCUCUAGGGCAUAUUUCCUUCAUAGCGAUGCCGGCGCACCAGACCCGUGCGAUCCGUGGAGCGACGAUGUGGUCUGGCGAUGACUGGGCCUUCGCAAUGUCGAACUCUUGGUCAGCUCGCGAAGAUGAUGAUCAAAUGUGGUUGACCUCGGCUCGAUGAAGCAACGACCCGUCUAGCGCAGGUCAACAAUCGUUGAGCAACAUGGUCUGGCGGGUUUGACACCGACAGGACAGUCAAGAUCGCGUUAGAAAAGGAUUCAAAUUUGUAGGCACGCGUUUGAAAACAAAACACAAUACCCUAGAAAAAAUUCCUUCAAAAUGACAUUUAGUAACCCAUUCAUGAAAAAAGAUUAACUUGGAUCAGACUCGAUUUCACGCAGAAAACAGAUACAGAAAUUGAUGCACUCUUCGGACUCGUUCCAAAGUUUGAACGAUCGGAUCAAGCUAACAUUUUGAGGGGUUUUCGACAUAAGAAUUCUGCAGCCGAUCAACGCUUGGAUUUUCAAUGGAUAUCCGAGCUGGCCACUGGACUCCUCGUCCCAAACUCGUUCAGAUUCGACAAGGCUCCAGUGUAUAUCGAAGAUUGCUGGAGAUUCCUUCAUCAGAAUACAAUGAAAUUUUACAAGGUUGUUGUAGGCUCAGUUCCGCACAAUUUCACUGAAGAAGUCAUCAAAGUGAUGCUCGGAGUGGUGGGGAUGGCGAAAAAAUCCGUUGUCCAGAAAAUUCUACACGGUCGCACGAGGGCAGUGUUGAUGUUGAGCCCCCGAGCUCCAUGGAUGGUUUUCCCAUGAUCUUGGUUGAGAUUGAAGUUGAUGUUGAUGAAGGUACCCGUCCGGUCUUGACGAUCCAACAAGGGGUGUAAUCCUCGGCCUGACCAAGGUGACUAGUCGAGCUGGUGACGAAGUUGCCAAUGUCAAUGACAAAGCUCGGUUUCGACGGGCAGAUCGCGUCGGAGCCGAUCUGAAUUCCCAUUGCACCGUGGCGACUACCUGCAGGGACCUAUAUGGGACACAAAUGUCAAAGCUAAAUCCGACAGAUCUCGGGUAGGGGGUCCCAUGCUAGGCGUCUUGGAACGAUGGUGACAAGGACACCCGGAUUUUACCCAGGUUCAGACUCUCCCAAAGAGAUAUUGUUGGAGAUAUGCCCUAGAGGCAAUCAUGUGAUGAUGAUAUUUUACUAUGUAUUCAUGAGCCUUUUGUAUUGUCCUUGAACAUCAUCGGUAAUAUGUAUCAAUAAGUAUGUGACUUGUUUGUGGAACUAUAUAUUGUAUGAUGAUCGUUCCAAUGGUCCCUAGUUGAUAAGGUUAUGCGGACACAUACACUUUGACUAGUAUACAAUUCGGUUGAUGGCUAUGUUUCACAAGUCAUGGGCAUAGAGAUGCUAAACCGAUAGUAUGGACUCGGGGAUGGAGAUCACCGAGUCGGACAUGCCUACUUUGAGACACAACGAGGUAUUGCCAUCUGUUAGUCUCAAUUAUAAGAUAUAUGCCACGUCCUAUACCUGAGGUUUCUCGAGACGAGGAUCGACUCACUUAGGGUCUAUCAAACGCUACUCCGUAACUAGGUAGUUAUAAAGGUAGCUUCGGGUGAGUCGUGAGACAUGGUUGACCAAAGAUAAGAUUUGCCCCUCUGGUAUGGGGAUAUAUUUUUUGGGCACUCUCGAGUGAUCAGAUUUGAAAAGUAUGGACAUUUGACUUGGGUUAAGAGUUAACCCAGUUCAGUAAUCUGCAUCAUAGUUUCGAGAAGAGAGGUCAAGCUACCACAAGGGUGACAAGUACUCGCCUUGGGCUCGACAAAAUAUAUCAUGAGGAAAAAGGAAUGUUGCAUGUGACACAUUAUCGAGAUUCAUCAAACGACUUUAUGCACACAUAGGAAUUGGCACGUUCUGCUAGGGGCUGCUAUCAACUAUCGGCUCAUGUCGUGUCCAUGUGUACGUGAGCCUAGAGGGUCUCACACUUAAGGGGCUGCAAACUAUUUAGAUUAGUGGGCCUCAAGUGUUGAGCCCACCUCAGAGGUCUAUAUAAGGGGAGUGGGCGCACCACUUAGGGUUGAUCUUGAAGGAAAUAUGCCCUACUUAUUUAUAUUUCCUUAUAUCAUGAUAAAUGUUUAUUAUUCAUGCUAGAAUUGCAUUAACCGGAAACUUAGUACAUGUGUGAAUACAUAGACAAACAGAGUGUCACUAGUUUGCCUCUACUUGACUAGCUCGUUGAAUCAAUGAUGGUUAUGUUUCCUAACCAUAGACAUGAGUUGUCAUUUGAUUAACGGGAUCACAUCAUUAGAGAAUGAUGUGAUUGACUUGACCCAUCCGUUAGCUUAGCACGAUGAUCAUUUAGUUUGUUGCUAUUGCUUUCUUCAUGACUUAUACAUGUUCCUAUGACUAUGAGAUUAUGCAACUCCCGAAUACCAGAGGAACACUUUGUGUGCUACCAAACAUCACAACGUAACUGGGUGAUUAUAAAGGUGCUCUACAGGUGUCCCCAAUGGUACUUGUUGAGUUGGCAUAGAUCAAGAUUAGGAUUUGUCACUCCGAUUGUCGGAGAGGUAUCUCAGGGCCCUCUCGGUAAUGCACAGCACUAUAAGCCUUGCAAGCAAUGUAACUAAUGAGUUAGUUGCGGGAUGAUGUAUUACAGAACGAGUAAAGAGACUUGCCGGUAACGAGAUUGAACUAGGUAUUGAGAUACCGACGAUCGAAUCUCGCGCAAGUAACAUACCGAUGACAAAGGGAACAACGUAUGUUGUUAUGCGGUUUAACCGAUAAAGAUCUUUGUAGAAUAUGUGGGAGCCAAUAUGAGCAUCCAGGUUCCGCUAUUGGUUAUUGACCGGAGACGUGUCUCGGUCAUGUCUACAUAGUUCUCGAACCCGUAGGGUCCGCAUGUUGGGGAACGCAGUAAUUUCGAAAAUUUUCCUACGCACAUGCAAGAUCAUGGUGAUGCACAGCAACGAGAGGGGAGAGUGUUGUCUACGUACCAACGCAGACCGACUGCGGAAGCGAUCACACAACGUAGAGGAAGUAGUCAUACGUCUUCUUUCCGAUCCGACCGAUCCAAGCACCGUUACUCCGGCACCUCCGAGUUCUUAGCACACGUUCAGCUCGAUGACGUUCCUCGGGCUCCGAUCCAGCAAAGCGUUGAGGAAGAGUUCCGUCAGCACGACGGCGUGGUGACGAUCUUGAUGUACUACCGACGCAGGGCUUCGCCUAAGCACUGUAACGGUAUGAUCGAGGUGGAAUUUGGUGGCAGGGGGCACCGCACACGGCUAAGGAACGAUCUCAAGGAUCAACUUGUGUGUCUUGGGGUGUCCCCUACCCCCGUAUAUAAAGGUUGGAGGAGGGGGGCCGGCCGGCCAGGGAGAGGGAGGCGCAGGGGGAGUCCUACUCCUACCGGGAGUAGGACUCCCCCCUCCAAUCCUAUUCCAAUUAGGACUCUCGGGGAAACGGAGAGAGAAGGGGGGGCCGGCCGCUUAUCCUAGUCCUACUAGGACUUGGGGAAAGGGGGGGCGCCGGCCAGCUAUGGGCUGCCCCUUUUCUCUUUUUCCACUAAGGCCCAAUAGGCCCAUUAGUCUCCCGGGGGGUUCAGGUAACCCUCCCGGUAUUCCGGUAAAAUCCCGAUUUCACCCGGAACACUUCCUAUGUCCAAACAUAGGCUUCCAAUAUAUCAAUCUUUACGUCUCGACCAUUUCGAGACUCCUCGUCAUGUCCGUGAUCUCAUCCGGGACUCCGAACAACCUUCGGUACAUCAAAAUGCAUAAACUCAUAAUAACUGUCAUCGUAACGUUAAGCGUGCGGACCCUACGGUUCGAGAACAAUGUAGACAUGACCGAGACACGUCUCCGGUCAAUAACCAAUAGCGGGACCUGGAUGCCCAUAUUGGAUCCUACAUAUUCUACGAAGAUCUUUAUCGGUCAGACCGCAUAACAACAUACGUUGUUCCCUUUGUCAUCGGUAUGUUACUUGCCCGAGAUUCGAUCGUCGGUAUCCAAUACCUAGUUCAAUCUCGUUACUGGCAAGUCUCUUUACUUGUUCCGUAAUACAUCAUCUCACAACUAACAUAUUAGUUGCAGUGCUUGCAAGGCUUAUGUGAUGUGCAUUACUGAGAGGGCCCAGAGAUACCUCUCCGACAAUCGGAGUGACAAACCCUAAUCUCGAAAUACGCCAACCCAACAUCUACCAUUGGAGACACCUGUAGUACUCCUUUAUAAUCACCCAGUUACGUUGUGACGUUUGGUAGUACCCAAAGUGUUCCUCCGGUAAACGGGAGUUGCAUAAUCUCAUAGUUAUAGGAACAUGUAUAAGUCAUGAAGAAAGCAAUAGCAACAUACUAAACGAUCGGGUGCUAAGCUAAUGGAAUGGGUCAUGUCAAUCAGAUCAUUCAACUAAUGAUGUGACCUCGUUAAUCAAAUAACAACUCUUUGUUCAUGGUUAGGAAACACAACCAUCUUUGAUUAACGAGCUAGUCAAGUAGAGGCAUACUAGUGACACUCUGUUGGUCUAUGUAUUCACACAUGUAUUAUGUUUCCGGUUAAUACAAUUCUAGCAUGAAUAAUAAACAUUUAUCAUGAUAUAAGGAAAUAAAUAAUAACUUUAUUAUUGCCUCUAGGGCAUAUUUCCUUCAGUCUCCCACUUGCACUAGAGUCAAUAAUCUAGAUUACACUGUAAUGAUUCUAACACCCAUGGAGCCUUGGUGUUGAUCAUGUUUUGCUCGUGGAAGAGGCUUAGUCAACGGGUCUGCAACGUUCAGAUCCGUAUGUAUCUUGCAAAUCUCUAUGUCUCCCACCUGGACAAAAUCCCGGAUGGAGUUGAAGCGUCUCUUGAUGUGUUUGGUCCUUUUGUGAAAUCUGGAUUCCUUUGCCAAGGCAAUUGCACCAGUAUUGUCACCGAAGAUUUUUAUUGGACCCGAUGCACUAGGUAUGACACCUAGAUCGGAUAUGAACUCCUUCAUCCAGACUCCUUCGUUUGCUGCUUCCGAAGCAGCUAUGUACUCUGCUUCACAUGUAGAUCCCGCUACGACGCUUUGUUUUGAACUGCACCAACUGACAGCUCCACCAUUUAAAGUAAACACGUAUCCGGUUUGCGAUUUAGAAUCGUCCGGAUCAGUGUCAAAGCUUGCAUCAACGUAACCUCUUACGGUGAGCUCUUUGUCACCUCCAUAUACGAGAAACAUAUCCUUAGUCCUUUUCAGGUAUUUCAGGAUGUUCUUGACCGUUGUCCAGUGAUCCAUUCCUGGAUUACUUUGGUACCUCCCUGCUAAAUUUAUAGCAAGGCACACAUCAGGUCUGGUACACAGCAUUGCAUACAUGAUAGAGCCUAUGGCUGAAGCAUAGGGAACAUCUUUCAUUUUCUCUCUAUCUUCUGCAGUGGUCGGGCAUUGAGUCUGACUCAACUUCAUACCUUGUAACACAGGCAAGAACCCUUUCUUUGUUGAUCCAUUUUGAACUUCUUCAAAAUCUUGUCAAGGUAUGUGCUCUGUGAAAGUCCAAUUAAGCGUUUUGAUCUAUCUCUAUAGAUCUUUAUGCCUAAUAUGUAAGCAGCUUCCCCGAGGUCUUUCAUCGAAAAACUUUUAUUCAAGUAUCCCUUUAUGCUUUCCAGAAAUUCUAUAUCAUUUCCAAUUAGCAAUAUGUCAUCCACAUAUAAUAUUAGAAAUGCUACAGAGCUCCCACUCACUUUCUUGUAAAUACAGGCUUCUCCAAAAGUCUGUAUAAAGCCAAAUGCUUUGAUCACACUAUCAAAGCGUUUAUUCCAACUCCGAGAUGCUUGCACCAGUCCAUAAAUGGAUCGCUGGAGUUUGCAUACUUUGUUAGCUCCCUUUGGAUCGACAAAACCUUCUGGUUGUAUCAUAUACAACUCUUCUUCCAGAAAUCCAUUCAGGAAUGCAGUUUUGACAUCCAUCUGCCAUAUUUCAUAAUCAUAAAAUGCGGCAAUUCCUAACAUAAUUCUGACGGACUUAAGCAUCGCUACGGGUGAGAAGGUCUCAUCGUAGUCAACUCCUUGAACUUGUCGAAAACCUUUCGCGACAAGUCGAGCUUUAUAGACAGUAAUAUUACCGUCAGCGUCAGUCUUUUUCUUGAAGAUCCAUUUAUUCUCAAUUGCUUGCCGAUCAUCGGGCAAGUCAACCAAAGUCCAUACUUUGUUUUCAUACAUGGAUCCCAUCUCAGAUUUCAUGGCCUCAAGCCACUUUGCGGAAUCUGGGCUCACCAUCGCUUCUUCAUAGUUCGUAGGUUCAUCAUGAUCUAGCAUCAUGACUUCCAGAACUGGAUUACCGUACCACUCUGGUGCGGAUCUCACUCUGGUUGAUCUACGUGGUUCAGUAGUAUCUUGUUCUGAAGCUUCAUGAUCAUCAUCAUUAGCUUCCUCACUGAUUGGUAUAGGUGUCGCAGAAACAGUUUUCUGUGAUGUACUAUUUUCCAAUAAGAGAGCAGGUACAGUUACCUCGUCAAGUUCUACUUUCCUCCCACUCACUUCUUUCGAGAGAAACUCCUUCUCUAGAAAGUUCCGAAUUUAGCAACAAAAGUCUUGCCUUCGGAUCUGUGAUAGAAGGUGUAUCCAAUAGUUUCCUUUGGAUAUCCUAUGAAGACACAUUUCUCCGAUUUGGGUUCGAGCUUAUCAGGUUGAAGCUUUUUCACAUAAGCAUCGCAGCCCCAAACUUUAAGAAAUGACAACUUUGGUUUCUUUCCAAACCAUAGUUCAUAAGGUGUCGUCUCAACGGAUUUUGAUGGUGCCCUGUUUAACGUGAAUGCGGCCGUCUCUAAAGCAUAACCCCAAAACGAUAGCGGUAAAUCAGUAAGAGACAUCAUAGAUCGCACCAUAUCUAGUAAAGUACGAUUACGACGUUCGGACACACCAUUACGUUGUGGUGUUCCGGGUGGCGUGAGUUGCGAAACUAUUCCACAAUUUUUCAAAUGUACACUAAACUCGUAACUCAAAUAUUCUCCUCCACGAUCAGAUCGUAGAAACUUUAUUUUCUUGUUACGAUGAUUUUCAACCUCACUCUGAAAUUCUUUGAACUUUUCAAAUGUUUCAGACUUAUGUUUCAUUAAGUAGAUAUACCCAUAUCUGCUUAAAUCAUCUGUGAAGGUGAGAAAAUAACGAUAUCCGCCACGAGCCUCAAUAUUCAUCGGACCACAUACAUCGGUAUGUAUGAUUUCCAAUAAAUCUGUUGCUCUCUCCAUAGUACCGGAGAACGGUGUUUUAGUCAUCUUGCCUAUGAGGCACGGUUCGCAAGUACCAAGUGAUUCAUAAUCAAGUGGUUCCAAAAGCCCAUCAGUAUGGAGUUUCUUCAUGCGCUUUACACCGAUAUGACCUAAACGGGAGUGCCACAAAUAAGUUGCACUAUCAUUAUUAACUUUGCAUCUUUUGGCUUCUACAUUAUGAAUAUGUGUAUCACUAUCUUCGAGAUUCAACAAGAAUAGACCACUCUUCAAAGGUGCAUGACCAUAAAAGAUAUUACUCAUAUAAAUAGAACAACCAUUAUUCUCUGAUUUAAAUGAAUAACCGUCUCGCAUUAAACAAGAUCCAGAUAUAAUGUUCAUGCUCAACGCUGGCACCAAAUAACAAUUAUUUAGGUCUAAUAUUAAUCCCGAAGGUAGAUGUAGAGGUAGCGUGCCGACCGCGAUCACAUCGACUUUGGAACCGUUUCCCACACGCAUCGUCACCUCGUCCUUUGCUAGCGUCCGCUUAUUCCGUAGUCCCUGUUUCGAGUUGCAAAUAUUAGCAACAGAACCAGUAUCAAAUACCCAGGUGCUACUGCGAGCUCUAGUAAGGUACACAUCAAUAACAUGUAUAUCACAUAUACCUUUGCUCACUUUGCCAUCCUUCUUAUCCACCAAAUACUUGGGGCAGUUCCGCUUCCAGUGACCAGUCUGCUUGCAGUAGAAGCACUCAGUUUCAGGCUUAGGUCCAGACUUGGGUUUCUUCUCCUGAGCAGCAACUUGCUUGCUGUUCUUCUUGAAGUUUCCCUUCUUCUUCCCUUUGCCCUUUUUCUUGAAACUAGUGGUUUUGAUAACCAUCAACACUUGAUGCUCCUUCUUGAUUUCUACCUCCGCAGCUUUCAGCAUUGCGAAGAGCUCGGGAAUAGUCUUGUUCAUCCCUUGCAUAUUAUAGUUCAUCGCGAAGCUCUUGUAGCUUGGUGGCAGUGAUUGGAGAAUUCUAUCAAUGACCCAGUCAUCUGGAAGAUUAACUCCCAUCUGAAUCAAGUGAUUAUUAUACCCAGACAUUUUGAGUAUAUGCUCACUGACAGAACUGUUCUCCUCCAUCUUGCAGCUAUAGAACUUAUUGGAGACUUCAUAUCUCUCAAUUCGGGCAUUUGCUUGAAAUAUUAACUUCAACUCCUGGAACAUCUCAUAUGCUCCAUGACGUUCAAAACGUCGUUGAAGUCCCGAUUCUAAGCCGUAAAGCAUGGCACACUGAACUAUCGAGUAGUCAUCAGCUUUGCUCUGCCAGACGUUCAUAACAUCUGGCGUUGCUCCAGCAGCAGGUCUGUCACCCAGCGGUGCUUCCAGGACGUAAUUCUUCUGUGCAGCAAUGAGGAUGAUCCUCAGGUUACGGACCCAGUCCGUGUAAUUGCUACCAUCAUCUUUCAACUUUGCUUUCUCAAGGAACGCAUUAAAAUUCAACGGAACAAUAGCACGAGCCAUCUAUCUACAAUCAACAUAAACAAGCAAGAUACUAUCAGGUACUAAGUUCAUGAUAAGUUUAAGUUCAGUUAAUCAAAUUACUUAGGAACUCCCACUUAGAUAGACAUCCCUCUAAUCUUCUAAGUGAUCACGUGAUCCAAAUCAACUAAACCAUAACCGAUCAUCACGUGAGAUGGAGUAGUUUUCAAUGGUGAACAUCGUUAUGUUGAUCAUAUCUACUAUAUGAUUCACGCUCGACCUUUCGGUCUCCGUGUUCCGAGGCCAUAUCUGUAUAUGCUUGGCUCGUCAAGUAUAACCUGAGUAUUCUGCGUGUGCAACUGUUUUGCACCCGUUGUAUUUGGACGUAGAGCUUAUCACACCCGAUCAUCACGUGGUGUCUGGGCACGACGAACUUUGGCAACGGUGCAUACUCAGGGAGAACACUUCUUGAUAAUUUUUAGUGAGAGAUCAUCUUAUAAUGCUACCGUCAAUCAAAGCAAGAUAAGAUGCAUAAAAAGGGAUAAACAUCACAUGCAAUCAAUAUAAGUGAUAUGAUAUGGCCAUCAUCAUCUUGUGCUUGUGAUCUCCAUCUCCGAAGCACCGUCAUGAUCACCAUCGUCACCGGCGCGACACCUUGAUCUCCAUCGUAGCAUCGUUGUCGUCUCGCCAAUCUUAUGCUUCCACGACUAUCACUACCGUUUAGUAAUAAAGUAAAGCAUUACAUCGCGAUUGCAUUGCAUACAAUAAAGCGACAACCAUAUGGCUCCUGCCAGUUGCCGAUAACUCGGUUACAAAACAUGAUCAUCUCAUACAAUAAAAUCAGCAUCAUGCCUUGACCAUAUCACAUCACAACAUGCCCUGCAAAAACAAGUUAGACGUCCUCUACUUUGUUGUUGCAAGUUUUACGUGGCUGCUACGGGCUUAAGUAAGAACUCAUCUCACCUACGCAUCAAAACCACAACGAUAGUUCGUCAAAUAGACUCCAUUUUAACCUUCUCAAGGACCGGGCGUAGUCACACUUGGUUCAACUAAAGUUGGAGAGACAGUCUUCCGCAAGCCAUCUAUGUGCAAAGCACGUCGAGGGAACCGGUCUCGCGUAAGAGUACGCGUAAGGUUGGUCCGGAUCGUCUCACCCAACAAUACCGCCGAACCAAAGUAUGACAUGCUGGUAGGCAGUAUGACUUGUAUCGCCCACAACUCACUUGUGUUCUACUCGUGCAAAUAACAUCAAACCAUAAAACCUAGGCUCGGAUGCCAUUGUUGGGGAACGCAGUAAUUUCGAAAAUUUUCCUACGCACACGCAAGAUCAUGGUGAUGCACAGCAACGAGAGGGGAGAGUGUUGUCUACGUACCAACGCAGACCGACUGCGGAAGCGAUCACACAACGUAGAGGAAGUAGUCGUACGUCUUCUUUCCGAUCCGACCGAUCCAAGCACCGUUACUCCGGCACCUCCGAGUUCUUAGCACACGUUCAGCUCGAUGACGUUCCUCGGGCUCCGAUCCAGCAAAGCGUCGAGGAAGAGUUCCGUCAGCAUGACGGCGUGGUGACGAUCUUGAUGUACUACCGACGCAGGGCUUCGCCUAAGCACUGUAACGAUAUGAUCGAGGUGGAAUUUGGUGGCAGGGGGCACCGCACACGGCUAAGGAACGAUCUCAAGGAUCAACUUGUGUGUCUUGGGGUGUCCCCUGCCCCCGUAUAUAAAGGUUGGAGGAGGGGGGCCGGCCGGCCAGGGAGAGGGAGGCGCAGGGGGAGUCCUACUCCUACCGGGAGUAGGACUCCCCCCUCCAAUCCUAUUCCAAUUAGGACUCUCGGGGAAAAGGAGAGAGAAGGGGGGGGCGGCCCCUUAUCCUAGUCCUACUAGGACUUGGGGAAAGGGGGGGCGCCGGCCAGCUAUGGGCUGCCCCUUUUCUCUUUUUCCACUAAGGCCCAAUAGGCCCAUUAGUCUCCCCGGGGGUUCCGGUAACCCUCCCGGUAUUCCGGUAAAAUCCCGAUUUCACCCGGAACACUUCCUAUGUCCAAACAUAGGCUUCCAAUAUAUCAAUCUUUACGUCUCGACCAUUUCGAGACUCCUCGUCAUGUCCGUGAUCUCAUCCGGGACUCCGAACAACCUUCGGUACAUCAAAAUGCAUAAACUCAUAAUAACUGUCAUCGUAACGUUAAGCGUGCGGACCCUACGGUUCGAGAACAAUGUAGACAUGACCGAGACACGUCUCCGGUCAAUAACUAAUAGCGGGACCUGGAUGCCCAUAUUGGCUCCUACAUAUUCUACGAAGAUCUUUAUCGGUCAGACCGCAUAACAACAUACGUUGUUCCCUUUGUCAUCGGUAUGUUACUUGCCCGAGAUUCGAUCGUCGGUAUCCAAUACCUAGUUCAAUCUCGUUACUGGCAAGUCUCUUUACUCGUUCCGUAAUACAUCAUCUCACAACUAACAUAUUAGUUGCAGUGCUUGCAAGGCUUAUGUGAUGUGCAUUACCGAGAGGGCCCAGAGAUACCUCUCCGACAAUCGGAGUGACAAACCCUAAUCUCGAAAUACGCCAACCCAACAUCUACCAUUGGAGACACCUGUAGUACUCCUUUAUAAUCACCCAGUUACGUUGUGACGUUUGGUAGUACCCAAAGUGUUCCUUCGGUAAACGGGAGUUGCAUAAUCUCAUAGUUAUAGGAACAUGUAUAAGUCAUGAAGAAAGCAAUAGCAACAUACUAAACGAUCGGGUGCUAAGCUAAUGGAAUGGGUCAUGUCAAUCAGAUCAUUCAACUAAUGAUGUGACCUCGUUAAUCAAAUAACAACUCUUUGUUCAUGGUUAGGAAACACAACCAUCUUUGAUUAACGAGCUAGUCAAGUAUAGGCAUACUAGUGACACUCUGUUGGUCUAUGUAUUCACACAUGUAUUAUGUUUCCGGUUAAUACAAUUCUAGCAUGAAUAAUAAACAUUUAUCAUGAUAUAAGGAAAUAAAUAAUAACUUUAUUAUUGCCUCUAGGGCAUAUUUCCUUCACCGCACGCUUAAUGUUCGGUGACGAUCGGUAUUAUGAGUUUAUGUGUUUUGAUGUACCGAAGGUAGUUCGGAGUCCCGGAUGAGAUCAGGGGCAUGACAAGGAGUCUCGAAAUGGUCGAGACGUAAAGAUCAAUAUAUUGGACGACUAUAUUCGGACAUCGGAAAGGUUCCGAGUGAUUCGGGUAUUUUUUGGAGUACCGAAGAGUUACGGGAAUUCGCCGGAGGGGUCAAUGGGCCUUCAUGGGCCUUAGUGGAAAGAGAGGGCAGCAAGGAAGUGUGGGGUGCGCCCCCUAGGCCCAAACCGAAUUGGUUUAGGGCUUUGGGGGUCGGCCCCCUCUUUCCUUCUCCCCUACUCCUCUUUCCUUCUCCUCCUAGUUGGACUAGGAAAGGGGGAAUAUACUCCUAUUAGGAGUAGGAUUCCCUCCUUGGGGCGCAUCCUAUGAGGCCGCCAGGCCCCUCCCCUUUCUCCUUUAUAAACGGGGGCAGGGAGGCACCCUAGGACACACAAAUUGAUCUAUUGAUCUAUUCUAGCCGUGUGUGGUGCCCCUGUCCACCAUAAUCCACCUCGAUCAUAUCGUAGCGGUGCUUAUGUGAAACCCUGCGUCGGUAGCAUCAUCAUCACCGUCAUCACGCCUUCGUGCUGAUGAAACUUUCCCGUGAAGCUCUGUUGGAUCGGAGUUCGUGGGACGUCAUCGAGCUGAACGUGUGCUGAACUCGGAGAUGUCGUACGUUCGGUACUUGGAUCAGUCGGAUCGUGAGGACGUACGACUACAUCAACCGCGUUGUGCUAACGUUUCCGCUUUCGGUCUACGAGGAUACGUAGACACACUCUCUCCUCUCGUUGCUAGACAUCACAUGAUCCUGUGUGUGUGCGUAGGAUUUUUUUUUUGAAAUUACUAUGUUCCCCAACAGAUCUUUUUCCUCCCUCUACAGCCGCCAGCACUCCCCACGCACCAUGCUGCGCGAUCGGACCAACCAGUCCGUCACCUGACGCUGCUCCCCGUACAUGUGGAUACCUUGGAGGCAUCGCAUCUGUGGUGCUUGGACGAACCGUUCGAGGGAACCACAAGGAGCCGUUCGAGGGGUCGGCGAGGAGUUGUUCGCGGGGACUUUGUCAUUCAUGGGAGGUCGCUGUUCACGGGACAUCGCUAUUUGCCGGAGAUCGGCCGAACGAAUACACGCAUCGCCAACUCUACUUCCGCUACGGUGACUGCGCGUCUAAUGGUAAACCUCGAUCCCGUGAUCUAUUUCCAGCAGCAUGAUCUUGGGUGCGCAGUGAGUUUUUUUAUUUGGCGCUAGCAUAGCGUAUAGCGUGUUCCAACAAUAAUACCCCACGUUCUGCUUUUGAUUGUAAUUAUAUUGGAUAUAGAACAUAGUACAUGUAUCUAUCAUAAGAUUGUUGUGUAUGAUUCUAAUGAUAUGAGAUGUCAUGAUCUAUUGACUAGUCUAGCCUUUGUUUAUAUAAUGUACCAGACACCUAGAAUAACAUGAUUUGCCCGAAGAAACCCAUUACUGAACCGCCAUGGGGGUCCUCGGCCCGACCCACCUGGCCGGAAUACAACAUGGUGAGUACCCCCUAGUCCAAGACACCAUCAGUAGCCCCUGAACCGGUCUUCAAGUUGAGAACGCUCUUCGGUUCUUCCAAUCUGUUGUUCGUCUUUGGUGUCCCGACCGAUAAUAUAGCAGUGUCCCGACACCCACUGCAGCUACUCCCACCUACUCAAAGCAACAACUCCGACCUGCCUCGGACCCAAAACUAGUCCUCCGAGCACAUGCCCUAGGUCCAGUGUUAUCAUUGGCAUGAACCCGAAAGAAGGAAGAUCUCCACCACCACCCUGCGACGCCUUCUACGACCACUAUAACUGCACCGCUGCCACCACACUAGACCCGCACCACCAUAGGCUGGGCGUACGACUUGUGCGUGAGAGUGGCCUGGCGGGCAGCCGUCUUUGUGGAUUAAAACUAGCUGUAACAAAACUACACCAAUAUACAAUGUUUUAAGAAACAAACCUGAAUAAUAUUAUGUGCAAAAUCGGCCCCAAUAGUCAAUUGUUGUGCAAUUUCCUCGGUUUGCCGCGGAAGAUCGAACUGGUCGUGUGAUGCUACCGACCUGAAAGAAGCACAGUGGUAAUGAUCAUGAUCUUUCACCGAAUGAGAAGCACAGUGGUAAUGAUCAUGAUCUUUCACCGAAUGGAGUACAUAUGGGAAAAUAUCUGGUGCUAUCAAGGUUUAGAUGAUACCAUGAUACAGACUCUUGGGAGCCGUAGGAUCUCAGAUCGAACGGCUACUGAAAGCUCUUGAACAUUUUGCAAAAAAAGUCAUUCAAGAGUCAAAAUUACGUGCAGGUAAAAUAGCUUCUCCGAUGCUGUUGGAUCUGAGAUCCAACGAUCUAAAAUCAUGUAUCAUGGUAGCAUGUGAAGUAUGGUAGCACCUGACUUUCCCGAAUACAUAUAUGUGUGCUCGUGCUACAUGUAAUUUCGUCCGUGCUACUCAAGCUUCGAACGGAUGAUGAACGAACGCACGAAGCACUCCUCUUGGAACCGGCAACAUCGAAAAUUUUGAGCUGCCGCCCGCCUGAAUGGACAACGAAAUUUGAGAGCCACGUCACCGAUCCGCGCCAUCUCUCUCGCGGAUCGCCAUCUUGACCGUCCAAUCCCGUGCGGAUCCAACGGCAGGCUGCACACUCCUCCCCCGUUAAAUCCCCCUUCCAUUCCUCCCCACUCUCACCACCACCAGCCGCCGCCACCAUUUCCAUCUCAGUCAGCUCCAAGCCAUCAACCAUGUCCGGCCGCGGCAAGGGAGGGAAGGGCCUCGGCAAGGGCGGUGCCAAGCGCCACCGGAAGGUUCUCCGCGACAACAUCCAGGGCAUCACCAAGCCGGCCAUCCGCCGUCUGGCGCGCAGGGGCGGCGUGAAGCGCAUCUCGGGGCUCAUCUACGAGGAGACCCGUGGCGUGCUCAAGAUCUUCCUUGAGAACGUCAUCCGCGACGCCGUCACCUACACGGAGCACGCCCGCCGCAAGACCGUCACCGCCAUGGACGUCGUCUACGCGCUCAAGCGACAGGGCCGCACCCUCUACGGAUUCGGCGGCUGACCUGCAUCUUCAGAGUCGACUCUGCCAGCUGCUGCAGCUGUCCCGGUGCUAUGGUUUCGUUUCCGAGUGCGUGUGUUGCUGUUCCAUGGGUCUGUGUAGUUAGUGGAAUUGCGAUGGAUCUGAAUGUAAUGGAGUUGCUGGUUCUUGCAAGAAACGAAUCUGAAUGAAAUC